GGAUAGAAAACACCAUAUGGCCACACGAGAGGACCCGACUGAGAGGUGCAGGCAGCAACAACUCUAGACCAUAGAGCUAUGAGAGCUUCCCAAUUAAAGAGAGCUUAGAAAUUGUAGGAAUAUUCAUCAGUACAUCAUGAUUAGAUGAUCCAGAAACAUGCAUAGUCUACUCUAAUAGAUAUAGGUAUUCAUCAGUACAUUAUCUUCAUCACAUAUAUCGAUUUUGCCCUAUUAACUUGGUUCUGCCUGCAGUGCACCAUUAAGGCAUUAACACAAACAUCAUCUUCGAUAGGAGCGACCCCAAAGUGAUUAACACCAUGUCACCAGAUUUAAUUAAGAAGACUUCAAAUGGAAAAGUUCUCAAAGUGAGAAAGUUUCGUAUCGUCAGAAGGAGAAAUUUUGAUAUUUGGGCCAUAGCCAUCUGAUCUAAUCUCUAAGGCCGAAGUUGUGUUUGAAGUACUGAGAUUUUGCAUUCAAAACACUAUUCGGCUGAUUAUGCCCCAAGAUGGCCUCAUAUGGGAAAAGUUUCUACAUGGAUUGUCUUUGUCUCGUCGAAACGAUCGAUUUUGAUAUAAGAAACGUCUAAAUCGGAGCUCAUAUGCAAAUGUUAGAGCCAAAACGGUGUGCUGCAUAAGUCUGCCCCAGAAGUUCCGGGCAAAACUUCCGGGGAGGUUCCGGGAUAAACCGAAAGUUUGCACGUGGUGCGCCCCGAAACUGGAAUUUUAACAUUAUUUGCAGAUUAGCGGGGCCGAUUUCAACAUCAAGAUGACCUAGGAUGAAAAAGUGAUCAACUAAGGAAUUUUUGUGCAUUGCAAGAUCUACAACUUUGCUUUUGGGACCAUCGCGAUCUGAAGCCAUAUGCGACCUCCAGGAGCUGUGCAAUAGGGCUACUUGAUGUAAUUUUAGCCCGGAAGUUCCGGGCUGACCGGAAGUUUCGGCCCUCGUAGUCCGAGUUAGGUUAUGUUUUGAUGUUUUGGACAUGAUUUGAGUCCUUUUCUUGUACGGGAAGUCCAGCCGCCUCAUAUAUAUGUAAGGGGUGACGGCCGAUUGAACAACACACAAUCGAACCAUCAAUCUAUCAUCUUUUACCUUUACCUUUAUCUCUCUCCCUUGUUCUUCUUCUUCCUCGUUCUUCCUUCGUUCUUCUAGUUGCAGGGCGGCGAUCCACGAGGCCCUAGGGGCGAUCAGGUCGACCUAGGGCAGCCCAUAGCCACCGCACGCCCUGACGGGGUCCCUCCCGGGCGUGUGGGGUUUCGGGUCUACAAAAGCGCCCGCCGGAUUGCCUGCGUACCGCGCUUCCGGAUGGGUCUCCUUCAACGUGAGCUACGGUGCAUCACCCUCGGCAUCGAGGGUACACAGUGACGUGUUCAUGAGCGAACAGUCUCCACAACUCCUUUCCGACACACACCGAUCGAUAAACCUCUCCAGCGAUGCCUGCCUACAGCCUACACACACAGCUUCAAUCUCCUCCUUUAUGUGUCCUUGCCCCGUGUCUCUCAUAUGGUCAGACACAUGUGUAAACUCUCACCCCUCUUUUAAUCGAUCUCACAACCGCACACUCCUCCCCCUAUCCAGCUAGUAGUUGAGCCUCUCGCACCACCUCCUAGCUCCAUUCUCUCUGUCUAUCCGUCUCGCUGGGCCUUAUGUGCCUCUAACAAAUGGACGUACACCGACCGAUCUCUCGCUAUACAUAUAGCCAGCUAGGUCCUUAUAACUCGUUUUUACCCACACAUCGAUCGAUCUACCUCAUUAGUUGUGUCUCUCCCUUCCUCCGACAAACAACAAUUGAUCUACAGAUCUAGUUAGGUUUGCUUGCCAAGCACAUGGUUCCCCUUCAUCAUCCAUGGAUGCGUCCCGACAGAUCUAUCACGCACAGGAACACACAGAAACACAUCCCCACUCUUAUUGAUAACAUUGCAGUUCCACCCUCAGUUUGUCUAGUAGGCCUCUCCCAACAUCUCCGAGAAGCAACUCCAUCACCCAUCCAGCACUCUACCCCUCUCCCUCCCUCUCCCUCCCUCUCUCUCUCCUCUCUCUCUCUGUCCCAUCAUAUUUCCCGCAACCUUGGACGCAAGAUACAUGUAACAGGAGCUGGAAGCUUCAUAGCAUUGUACAAAUUUAUCUCACCGAUAAAUUACAGUACGUACUAGUACUAUACUAGUACUUCCUCCGUUCCUAAAUAUAAGUCUUUGUAGAGAUUUCACCAUUAACCACAUGCGGAUGUAUAUAGAUGCAUUUUAAGUGUAGAUUCAUUCAUUUUGUUCCGUAUGUAGUUCACCUAGUGGAAUUUCUACAAAGACGUAUCUACUAGUAAUAGCUAGCCCCCACUACUAGGAAUUCUCUAUCCUCUCCUUGAGCCCCAUCAUCAAAAUUGACGUAGCCGUUAGAUGAAGUAAAUCAGUCAUAAUAGCCGUCUGAUCUAGACAUUGAGAGGCUCAGCACUAAGCCACAUGCAAGCAUGCAGAAAUACCGUGGCACAUGCAUGUGAGUGGGUUUUAAAUCACAUCAACAUGUAUGCAUGCAAGCAUUCACCGGUAGCAUGCAUGUAAGUGAGCUUUUAAGUCCCAUUAACAUGUCAAAAAGAAAAAUAUAAUCCCAUUAUGCAGUAGGAGUUGGCUGAUCUUUUUUCCUUAUGUGGGAUGAUCUAAAUGAUGAUGGGAGUUUAUUUAAUUUGGCUACCACAUUUGUCAUGCGGUUAUAGAUUUUUUCUUAGUUCUAUGAAAUCGAUAAUUUUGCGCAGAGAGAUAUACCGUUGUUCCGCGGCAACGAGCGAGGACUCAUCUAGUAAUAUUUAGGAACGGAGGGAGUACUAUGUAAAGAGUUAGGUGUCGCACGGUGAUAGUGUGAGGUGGGCCAUGUAAUCACUGAGCCUGCGUGUUUUCACUGCUCUUGCACUCCUCUGCUGUAAGAAUGGAGAAAAUUGUAAUCUACUACCUCCUUUCGCCGAAAGCGUGGGACAUCCAGCAGUCCUACCACCUCAGUAAUAAAGACCAAUGAGCCGUCAAAUCACAUAGACCCAGCAGUAAGUUGGAUGGAUGAAGCAACCAUCACUCUUGCGCCAGUGAGAGGUCGCGUCCGCUCUGCCCGGGCAUGAAUGCGGCACCGAUUCUUUGGAGCGGUGCUGACCGUUUCAGGCGGGAAGCGCACGGGCGGUGGAGGGGCUUUGGGUGGGCCAGGCUAGUGAGAAGCGGGCGUGGCAGCUGUCGGCAUGUCCCUACCGGACACGCCCGAAAACGAGAGGAUGCACCGACUCUCGCGGCUAAAAUCGUACACUACACACCAUAUCUCUGUAGGAGUAGGUCGAUCUGUCGCACUCUCUAACACACACAUGCUGUUAAACGCACACACGCACACGCACGCACCUUGGUCCCGUUGCACCUUCUAACGUGACUUAUUACACCUAGACGGAGGGAGUAGUAAGUAUACGAGAUACGGUGGCACAAUGACUUAAGUUGAAUACAAGUGCCCAAAAUUUGUGUGCAUGUUAUAAUAAGGAUUCACUUAAAAUAGUACGUGAGCGAACAGAGGGAUCAAUUGGACAGUGUUCCCGAGCAGUAGCGAGAUGUGUGAGGUAGUAAGAUACACCGCUGGCGCUUUUAAUUUUUCUUAUUAAUUUGUUUCUUUCACCCUCUGACUGGUGGGAUCCAACGUACUACGUGGAGAGAGGUAAGGUGACUAAGGCUGCAUUAUUUCUGCACCACUGUGGAUAGUCUUACCACCAAAGCCACAUGACACGAUUAUGAUUGAAAUCCUAAUGACUCCCACACACACACACACACACACACACACAAAACACGGCAUGCCUGUCACACGAAUGCAGGAAUGUAUAAAAGGUUAUUUUCCUCUCGUUGAACAUAAUGGGAGGGUUGUGUAGCUGGUUAGCCUGUUCGCUCAUCAAACUUGAGGUCUCGGGUUCGAUAACUACACUUGAGCAUAAUUUUUGCCAGGAGGAUUCUUUGACUGGUCAAAAUGUUUUCUUGGGUUUGCACGCUUCACACUCUCUCUCUAGUAUAUAUAUACAUGCUGGAGCCUCAGCGCUUGUAGUUGCUCUCUUCACACUCUCUCGCCCUCUCCUGCUGGAUCCUCAGCGCUUGUAGUUUCUCUCUUCACACUCUCUCGCCCUCUCCAGAUCUAAACAAGACUUCGUUGGCCUCUCUCUCCCCUCACUGCUGCUCAAAGAGCCGGCAGGAUCCGUCCGUCAGGAAGGGAAGGAGGCUUAACGUUGUCGCCGUCGGUGAGGGAGGGAAUCCACUACCAGCACUGCUAUUCACUUUCCACCCAGCGGCGGCACGGGAGGGCCUCCGACCCUUCUUCUUUGCCGCCGUCCCGUCGCCCACCGGACCACGCCCCAAGAACCUUAAGGUAUAUUUUACUUACUCCACAUGCAUUGCUCUAGCUGCAUGUAUACCAUGAAUCUAGGACGUGGUUCAAAGAGGAAAGGAGUGGGGGAAAGUAGUGGAAAAAGUUGUAUAUAGCAUGAAUCUAGGACGUGGUUCAAAGAGGAAAGGAAUGGGGGAAAGUUGUGGGGAAAGUUGUAUUGCAUAAAUCUAGGACGUGGUUAAAAGAGGAAAGGAAGGGGCGAAAGUACUAGUUCAAAAAGGAAAGGAAGGGACAAGGCUGUAGAGUUUGAGCAGGACUAGAUUUGCUGCGCUCACAUAGGGAAAGGUGUCUAAAGAUAACAAAACUGGGACCAACACAAAUAUGCUCCUUGGUUGUUUGUUCUUUGUUGCAACAGACUGUGCAUGACCACAGUACAUCGGUAGAUGCACAUGGUGCUGGUGCCAUUUGAGAAAUGCUAUUGUCUUGCUUUCUUUCCCAUUUUGAUAAGGUAGAUGCUUCUUUUUGUUGGCUUCUGUAUCAUCCACCGUUAUUUACCACUAAUAGUUUCCUUUGCACCUCUGUGUAAACAGGGUUAUCUACUUCACCUCGUUGCCAUCGUGACCUUUUGUUGCACUGCGCAAAACACUUUUGUUUUAAGAGUGUUUUGUGCAGUUCAACCAAAAUGCCACACCGACAAUGUUGCUUGAUUGCUUGAUCUUAGUGGAACUGCACAAGAGGAUAUCUUACUUCCUAUCCGUUAAGGCGAAUUUGGUUCAGAUCUUCUUCUUGUGAGUUGUUUGAAUUCCGCAUCAUGAGAGGUCAGUACUAGCCUUCUUUCACAUGAUUCUGCAGUGUGCUUUCAUAUGUUGUGCUACUUGUACGAUAAUGUUGCUUGAUUUUAGUGAACUGCACAAAUGGAGACAAGACUUCCAAUUUGUAUGUGCACCUAUAUCCCAUUGAGGUAAGAUAAGGAUAUUUCACAACUGCUGGCCUGUAUUUUGCCACUUUCAUCAGAAAUUUAAGUUUAGUACUAUACUUGUGCUCCCUAAUUGACAUGCCAAAUCUUACAUUGAAGGCAAAGCUUGUCUGUUAUUGAACCAAGUGAUGACGGGGAAGAACAAGCGGAAGAAAAACAAAAAUCAACUCCCGGUGCUGUAAUGAAGCACUAGAACUGUGAUGACACAAGUAAUGAUAUAGUUUUGCAUCUUAAUUCAUUGCUAUGGCUGGAACGAGCAAUUGUUUUUCCACUGAGUUGAUGCCAUACAUAAUUAUCUCUACUUGUGCAAACAGGGAUCUACUUUGAAGAUACCAUAUAUUUUAGUGGAACUGCACAAGAAGAUGUUGGAAACAUUAAACUAAUCGAGGAGUAUAUAGUAAGCAUGGCCACCCCCGUAGAUAGCAACAGAUGGUUCCCGAGAAGUGCUUCAUCUGUAUGCUCUACACAGUCAGCCUCCUGACAAAGGUUGGUACUCACCCAUUGAUUUCAUCCAUAUGAUUGAGCUUUGUCAUCUCUAUUGGUGUUGUGCUACUGUUUAGAUACUGUCAUGAAAAAGUGGUAUUGCCCUUGGGAAGUGCUUCAUCCAUGCUAUUUUAAAUAUUUCCUUUCCUUUUUUUCGAGCAAACAUGGAUGCUAGCAUUUAGUAGUCCUCUUGUCUUUGCACAACAGGAUCAUCUUCCUCUGAAGAAGAAUAUGGAGUAUGUGAAGUGACUAGUUCCGAUUAUGCCAGGAUGAAGAAGCACUGUCUAUCUUCUCAUCAGAAGGAGCAGUUGAAGGAUGGUUACAUUACUCCCCACAAGACCAAACUAACUUCAGCUCAGAAGGACUGACAUAUCUCCAUUGUUUUGUUGUGAUGCGCGAGUACAAUGUUGUUCUAGGAUUCUUUCUGGUGAGUUCCAUUUUUCUAAAAGUGUGCUCUACAUGGACCAUGUAUGUGCCUGUUGAAACUGUCAAUUCAUAGUAUAGUUUGCUUUAUACUAAUCACUUUUUUGUAUUUGUGCAAACAGGGGUGCUCAGCUUGAUUUGAACGGGAACUGCACAAAAUGUUCAUGAAUACAUCGAAUCAUUCAUUUCCACCACAAGAAAGGAGGUGCCCAUAAGUUCAAGGCAUUGCAACAUAUAAGGGCGAAAUCAUACAAGCUACCCGCGAAUUUGGUUGAUUUUGGUGGAACUGCACAAAAAGAACAGCUGGUUUAUUUAGCACGAGUUGCCAUGUCAAUGUCCGAAUUAUUGGCAAACCCUGCCCAUUCCACAAUCGUAGGCAUUUGAUAUUUUGGAAUGGGACAACCUUGUCAAAUUUUGCUCAUUGAUUUUAGCAAGAUAUGCGUUUGAUAUUUUCGAAUGGGACACCCUUUGCUGUCAGCAGAGGCGAUCAAUUUUUUCUUUAUUCUUUAAUUGUGAAGUAAAUAUUGCCUCUGACAUGUGAGUCACUGAGAUGCAUAAUCAUCGAUUGUUUUGAAUGUUCUCUAUGAAUUGCCAGGCCUGUGUGUUUGAUUGCAAUGUACAGAAACGCUAAAAAGCUUCUCAAACUCUUUGUACUCCUUCUGUUCCUUUUUACUUUGCACAUUGUGAAAGUGCAUACUUUUUUGUAUAAGAUUGGUCAAAGUAGAGAUACUUUGACUACAGACAAAACUUGUAUGCAGACUAGAAAGGACAGGAGGGAGUACAUGUGAAACUGCUGCAAACGUGGUGAUCACCAUGGGAAUAACCGAAGCUACCCACAUGUGUCCUGCUGAUCCGAACUAAUCGAAAGUAGAGAUGUUUUGCAUGUUCAUCCAAUGCCAGUGAUACAGGAAUUCAAACUAAUCGAAAUAAAUUCAUUCAUACACGGUCGGAUUUCAUAUAAACAUGCCGGAUUUCAUUACAUUUCAUACAUUCUUCAACUAAAAAGGGGUGUUUGUGGCCGCAUGCAUCUCCCAGAUGCAGAGUCCGGGGGUCAUCCUCCUUUCCGAAAAAAAACUAAAAAGGGGUGUGCUACAGGUAUAAUUAAAUAACCGAAGCUACCCACAUGUGUCCUGCUGAUCCGAACAGAAGCCUCAGUGACUUAACUGUAGGUGCAGUUGCGUAAUUGACAUGUGGCCUGUUGGGCCCACGUGUCACUCAGCCAACUGCACCAGUAGUUAAGUAGAAGUAGCGUUCUUCUCCAGCGCAGCUCUCCGACUCCACGUCGCUGCCAAGAAGCUAACCGGUCGUCAAUGGUCAACCCGCCUAGCUUGGCUUCAACCGGAGGGUAGCAGCGGUGGUCAUACUUGGACCCGAGCGGCGACGACCUACCAUGUUCUACUCAUCCUUGUUUUCUGUGUGGCGUGACCUCGUUGGCAGCGGGGCGGGGCCUCGGUGGAGCCGGCGAUGCCUCUGUCUCAUUGCCGGCGGGCGGCGCCUCAGCGGAGCAGUGGAAAUCCUCCCCCAUGUUGCCGGCACGGUGGGGCCUCGGCUGAGCCGGCGAUGUCCUCUGCCUUGUUGUUGGCGGGGCGGGGCCUCGGUGGAGCCGGCGGUGUCCUCUGCCUUGCUGUUGGCGCCGCGGGGCCUCGGCGGAGCCGGCGGUGUCCUCUGCCUCGUUUUUGGCGCCGUGGGGCGUUGUCGACAAAAGCGGAGCGGGGACUCUCGGAGCCGGCAUUGUCCUCUGCCUCAUCCUCGGUCUCACCAAACAGCGCCUCGCCCACUUCAUCACCCUCUUUGCUAGCCUCUUUGUAGGCGGUCGCAGCCUCCGCCACCCGCAUGUGGUACCGCCAGCGCUCGAGGCGGCCCUUGCGGGCGGAGCGGUACGAGUCGAGCAGCGCCUCCUGCUCCGCCCGCUCCGCGGCGAUCUGCUCCUCUGCCUGCAGGUGCUCCUGGAGGAGAUGGUGGUUGUAGGCGGCGUCGGCCUGCGCCUCCCGGAACUGCUCCUCACGCACCUGCCUCACCCUGUCCAUAUAUUGGGCACGGGCAUCGCCGAUGGUCAUGGUGCAAUACACCGGUGAGGAUGGCGCGGAGGAGGGGGUUGGCGCUGGAUCGUCGACUACCAUGUUCUCCAUUGGGACGUCGUCGUCCUCCGGCUGCUUGCCGGCCAGCCGGUCGACAGCAAUGGCUACUAUCUCCUUGUGGUCCGUCGUCCGCCUGUCCCGAAGAGCACUGGAGCACGAGGAAGCCAUGGUGGGCAGUAGUGGUGUGGACAGGAGAAAGGCAACGGAUGCGGAUGACUGCGGCUAUGGCCGCCGCAGCAGUUUAUAUAGCAAUGGUGGGCGGGCGGAGGGACGGACGUGUGACGUCGGAGUAGCCGCCUUGGCAACUGCGUAUCAUUAAUGUGUGCGGUAGAUGGACGGACGGACGGCACUUGUGUCGUUUGAAGGCGGAACAAUCGCCUGCACCGGGAAGCGGGGCGGCCGGCGCUGACUGUUUCUGGCAGAAAGCGCGCGCCGGCGAGGAGAUCACUUUACUUGGAUAGGAUGACAAUGGGGACCCACCAGGUCCAUAGCCUCACGUACGCAAGUGCCUCCUUAUUGCUUGAGCCUCGUGGGCAUAUAUAUAUAUAUAUAUAUAUAUAUAUAUAUAUAUAUAUAUAUAUAUAUAUAUAUAUAUAUAUAUAUAAUUUAUUUUGCUUCCUCUUGGUUUCCUGACAUCACGGCCCCACACCAUUGUCUACCUAUGUACUCCCUCCUUUCCGGUUUAUAGGGCUUAUCUCAAAAUUUUAGUUUUUCCAUUUUAUAAGGCUCAAUUUGGUUGUUUUCCAUCACAUGUUCAGAUUCCAAGGUGCAUUAAACCAUUGCNNNNNNNNNNAUAUAUAUAUAUAUAUAUAUAUAUAUAUAUAUAUAUAUAUAUAUAUAACUAUAAUUUAUUUUGCUUCCUCUUGGUUUCCUGACAUCACGGCCCCACACCAUUGUCUACCUAUGUACUCCCUCCUUUCCGGUUUAUAGGGCUUAUCUCAAAAUUUUAGUUUUUCCAUUUUAUAAGGCUCAAUUUGGUUGUUUUCCAUCACAUGUUCAGAUUCCAAGGUGCAUUAAACCAUUGCAUGCAAGUAUUAAGAGAAAAUUAACCAAUGCAUGUACUUUAUGCAUGCAUGCAUUGCAAUUAAUGCAUUGAUAAACAUAAUUUUUUGAGGAUAACAAGAGCAUUAAUUAUGUGCUUUUGCAAAACUAGAAAAAGUAUUCCACCACUCGCCAUCUACCUUGAUUGGUGAGAUUUUUGAAUUGAGCAUUAUAAAUUGGAAAGGAGGGAGUAGUCAAUAAACGAGAGAAUUGCACAAGAAGCGGCCGAUAGUUGGGGCCAAGCAGCUCGAGCAGUAUUUGUGUUUUUGAGGUGUGAGCACUGCAGAGUUUUUCGAUGUUUACCCCAGAUAUUAAUUUUUCUCCUCUAAACAACAACGAAAACAUCGCUGCAGGUAUUAACUGGGUGGGCUGUUAUUCUCCGCCCUGCUGGGCUGCAACUCUUUCCUAGGAGAGAUGCAUUAGGCUUAACAAAAAAAUGGGCUUUAAGAAAUAAUAAAUGGGAUGUAAUUAUAAAAACUGGGUAGUAACUUAAAAAAUGCACCAAAUAGUGAUUACUUUAUAAAAUAUUAUUUUUGGAAUAUUGAAAAUUUUAAUUUCAUUAAUUGUUGCGAGCGGAAUGUUUCGUUGGAUUUUUACGCAAUAUAAAUUUAUAUUGAAAUUGUAUUUAAUCUGACUAAAAUUUCAGGAUAAAAAUAUUCGGAUCCCAUCAAAAUGUGGGAAAUUUUAUUGAAUUCUGUUUUGAAUGGUUGGUUGAAAUGGGUUGUACUUUUAACAAACUGUAAAUGGGCUGUAGUAAAUUCCAUUAGAAUUCAAAAAUGGGCUACACAUUCUUACAAAUCUCAAAUGGGCUAUAAGUUCUCUGCCACACACUUCUGGCCUUACUAAGUUGACGCGUCCCCUAAAAAACAGAGUUGACGGAUAUGCAAGGCUUUGUCAAUUUAUAGUCAACACACGGUUCUAGCAGCAGUGGCCGUUGGAUGUCCAUCCAAUGGAUGCCAUGCUUCUUCUUCAAUCUCGGAUAUUCUAGCUUCACCCGCCCAAAAAAUGAGUCAUCCCCCUGACAUCUGGGGCGCACUGUUUCGGAAGCUGACCUGUGGGCCUACUAAGUUGACAUACCAAGGGCUUUGUCAUCUUAGUCAAUAUAAACGAUUCUAGCUGAUGUGACCGUACGAUGUUGAUCCAACGACUGUCGUGCUUCUUCAACCUCUGGUCUUCUUGCUCCAGCCGCCCAAAGCAGCGCCGGUCGUGCCGCCUGCUCCUGCCUCCCGUGGCCGGCUGUGCUACCACAGAGGCCUCACCGCCCCCUACUACUCCCACCGCUGGCUAGACCAUCCCUCCACUCACCCACUGACCCACACCCCCUGUUAUUCUGCGGCGACGGCAGCGCAGCCGAACCAGUGAACCCUCGUACUCCUCUCCACAUGUGCAUCCACUGCCGCGUCUUCCCCGGCUCCGCGUCAUCCCCUUCCUAGGCCUCGCCGUCGUCCACCGCCGUGGUGCUCUCGGCGCGGUGUGGUCAACGUGGUCAAGGAACGACUUCCAUCGGACGUCGACUGUACGUGGAGAGGCUGACAGCCGGGUCCAUGGCAGCCGCAAGGAAGUGCCUCCUUAUUACGCGCAAAAUAAUUAUUCCUCCACCUGACAGCGGGGACCCACCGGACGGGCCACCGUAUUUCGUGAAAAAAAUGAUUCGCCCCCUGACUGCUGGGACCCACGAGCUACAUCUUCGCACGCAAGGAAGUGCGUCCGAAGAAAAUGAUUCGCCCCCCUGACUGCUGGGACCCACCAGCUACAUCUUCGCACGCAAGGAAGUGCGUCCGAAAAAAACGAUUCCCCCCCGACUGCUGGGACCCACCAGCUACACCUUCGCACGCAAGGNNNNNNNNNNNNNNNNNNNNNNNNNNNNNNNNNNNNNNNNNNNNNNNNNNNNNNNNNNNNNNNNNNNNNNNNNNNNNNNNNNNNNNNNNNNNNNNNNNNNNNNNNNNNNNNNNNNNNNNNNNNNNNNNNNNNNNNNNNNNNNNNGUCCGAAAAAAAAAACGAUUCGCUCCCCUGACUGCUGGGACCCAGCAGCUACACCUUCGCACGCAAGGAAGUGCGUCCGAAAAAAAACGAUUCGCCCCCGUGACUGCUGGGACCCACCAGCUACAUCUUCGCAGGCAAGGAAGUGCCUCACAGUUGGGACCCACCUGGUCGAAGCGUACAUAGCGUUGUCAUCCUGGUCGCAAAUGUGUACGUACAUACUGGUCAAUGUAGAGCGCACGUGUCGUAGUAGAGGCGCGCACGUGUCAUAGUAGAGGCGCACACGUAGCAUGUACACGUACGUACAGCGGCCAAGGUGCAAGAAAGAAAAUACGGUCACGUAUGUGUACAUACGGGCGGGGUAUCGAACGCCUAGUCGCGCAUACCGCAAAACAGAGGAAACGGACCUCCUACGGUCAAAACGGGGGUCCUGUUGAUCGGGAGGGGUGUGGCGUACCGCAAAACGGAGGAAACGGACCUCCUACAGUCAAAACGGGGGUCCUGUUGAUCAGGAGGGGUGUGGCGUACCGCAAAACGGAGGAAGCGGACCUCCUACGGUCGAAACGGGGGUCCUGUUGAUCGGGAGGAGUGUGGUGUACCGCAAAACGGACGAAACGGACCUCCUACGGUCGAAACGGGGGUCCUGUUGAUCGGGAGGGGUGUGGCAUACCGCAAAACGGACGAAACGGACUUGUGUUGGAGCGCUACGGUCGAAACGGGGGGGAGGGGUGUGGCGUACCGCAAAACGGGACUCCACGGGAUACUGUUCAUCUCCACCAUUGACCUCCUCCAGCCUCCACGGGCUACCAUCGACCUCCUCCAGCCUCCACGGGCUCCUGUUCAUCCAGCCUCCACCGCGCGCUACUCCACCAGCUACUAUUCAACCACCCCUCCACGGGCACCCCUCCACCGUCUACUGUUCAUCCAGCCCUCCACACCACGGGGUCCUAUUCAACCACCCCUCCACGGCCACCCCUCCACCGUCUACUGUUCAUCUAGCCCUCCACACCACGGGUUCCUGUUCAUCCAGAGGCAACGCCACCGCUCACUGUUCAUCCAAACCCCCCUGCAACACUCACUGUUCAUCCAAUCGAUCGGCUUAAGUUAGCAACAGUAGCGAAGGAAUCGCUCCAUCGGGUUCAGUUAACGGCCAUCAAUCGAUUGCUCAGGUUCAGUAACGUGUAGCCUAUAGUGCAAUCACUCGGGUUUAGUUAGAGUCCAACGCCUCGCUCGGCUUCAGUUAGAGCCAACGCCUCGCACACACACACGCGCGUACGUACGAGAGAAACGCGCAUCACUCCACCCCCGACCUCCCACCGUAACCAGCAACUCCCCGAAAUUUUCUUCCCCCUCGCUUCUACCAUGGUUUUUUCCGUCAUGGACAUCCCAAAGAAUAUCAUGCAGCUGCGUCUCCGGACCGCCCAGGACGAAAAGCCCAUUUUCUGUCAUGAUUUUUUGUCAUAUAAGUAGGAGCCCACCACAUCUAUGAUGAUACCGGGUUUUGUCACAAUUAUCGUCAUAGAAGUGUCAUAUGUAUGACAGAAAAAAAAUUGUUCGGCCCAAAAUGUCACGGAUGUGUCUUUUUUUUGUAGUGCAAGCAUCAAUCCAUGGCUUGCUCGAAAUGAUGAGUGCCUCCAACUAACAAUAGCCCUGGGGGUGUUUUGUUUAAUUAUUUUGAUUUGCUUUGAUCUUUUUGGAUCAUGGGACUGGGCAUCCCGGUUACUGGCCCUUUCUCGUGAAUGAGGAGCGGAGUCCACUCCUCUGAGAAUAACCCACCUAGCAUGGAAGAUAUAGGCAGCCCUAGUGGAAACAUGAGCAGCUAGAGCAUACAAAACAGAAUUUCAUUUGAAGGUUUAGAGUUUGGCACAUACAAAUUUACUUGGAACGGCAGGUAAAUACCGCAUAUAGGAAGGUAUGGUGGACUCAUAUGGAACAACUUUGGGGUUUAAGGAGUUUGGAUGCACAAGCAGUAUUCCCGCUUAGUACAGGUGAAGGAUAGCAAAAGACUGGGAAGCAACCAACUGAGAGAGCGACAACAGUCAUAAACAUGCAUUAAAAUUAAUUCAAACUGAAUACAAGCAUGAGUAGGAUAUAAUCCACCAUAAACAUAAAUAUUGUGAAUGCUAUGUUGAUUUGAUUCAACUACAUGCGUGAACAUGUGCCAAGUCGAGUCACUCAAUUCAUUCAAAGGAGGAUACUAUCCCAUCGUACCACAUUAUAAUCAUUCUAAUAGCAUGUUGGCACACAAGGUAAACCAUUAUAACUCAAAGCUAAUCAAGCAUGGCACAAGCAACUAUAAUCUCUAAAUGUUAUUGCAAAUAUGUUUACUUCAUAAUAAUCUCUAAAUGUUAUUGCAAAUAUGUUUACUACAAAAACAAGAGAGUUCGAGUUCAUACCAGCUUUUCUCAUCUCAAUAAGUCCAUCAUAUAUCGUCAUUAUUGCCUUUCACUUGCACGACCGAACGACAUGUAUAAUAGUAAGAGUGUACGUGCAUUGGCCUAAGAUGGAAUCUGCAAGCAUUCAACUCAAGAGAGAAGACAAAGUAAUAUGGGCUCUAGGUUAAAUAAACAAUCAUACAAAUGAGAGCCACUAAACAUUUUCAAUAUGGUCUUCUCGACCCCCAAACGAAAGAAAAGAAAAUAAAGCUAUUUACACGGGAAAGCUCCCAACAAGUAAAAGAAGAACGAGAAAUCUUUUUGGGUUUUUCAUUUAAUUCUACUAUAAGAAUGGAAAUUAAGCUAACUAAUUUUGUUUUGUUUUGUUUUUCUUAAGGUUUAUCAAACACACAAUAAGAAAACUAGAAAAAGAAAUUAAAACUAACAUGGAUAAUACAAUGAAAGAGUAUGAGCACCGAGGAUUACUGUGUGAACAUGAAUGUAAAGUCGGUGAGAAAUACGUACUCCCCCAAGCUUAGGCUUUUGGCCUAAGUUGGUCUAAUGCCAAGGGUAGCCUGGCUGAUAUCCGUAGUUGUAUCUGGGGUCGUACUGAGAUGCAGCAGCAAAUGCCUCCUGAGCUGCGGCAUGCUGGCGAGCCGCCUCCACUCUCCCCUCAUGUUCAGCUGCUUCCUCCCUGGUAACAACAUAUCUUCCUUUUGCCUGAUAAUCAAAAAGGUAGGGAGCAGGAAGAGUAACAUGGACAACGUUGCGUUUGUCAUAGGUCAGUCGAUAUUGGAGGAAUUGUUCAUUCCUCCCAAGAAAUUGAUAACUGGCCAUAGCUUCAUAAUCCAAAUAAACAAGAGGUAUUAUCAUAUCUUCCUCUCGUGGGGCUAUACCAAGAUAAUUAGCCACACGGGUUGCAUAAAUUCCUCCAAAUAAAUUUCCCUUUCUACUAUUAUUCUGCAACCUACGUGCAACUAUUUCCCCCAAGUUAUAACCUUUAUAACCUAACACAACACUCUUGAGGAUACUUAGAUCAGGGACACACAUGUGACAUGCUUCAUCCUUGCCAUUAAUACAUCUAUCAAUGAGGAGAGCAAAAUAAUGUAUAGCAGGAAAAUGAAUGCUCCCUAUGGUAGCUUGUGUUAUGUCCCUAGAUUCUCCCACAGUAAUAUUAGCAAGAAAAUCUCUAAAUUCAGAUUUGUGAGGAUCAUUAAUAUUACCCCACUGCGGGAGUUUGCAAGCAGUUGUGAAAUUCUCUAAAUCCAUGCUAUAAGAUGUAUCAUAAAUAUCAAAUAUGAUACUAGGAGAAUUACGCGUACGAUUAUUUUUAAACCUCCGCACAAAGGAAUCGGUCAAUUGAUAGUACUGCGGACACUUAGCUUGUAAGAAGUCCUCCAUCUCGGCAUUACGCACAUAUGCGUCAAAUUCCUCCUUAAAGCCCGCUUUGACCAUAAAAUCAUCGGAUGGCCACUCACAAGCUCGUACAUCCACGUUCCUCGACAAUUCAACAUCUUGCUCACGUAUAGCAAUCCUGGGCCCUUUCUUCACCGAGGAACCACCUUGGUACAUUCUCCUAAGCAUAUUUCUUUUUCUGAAAUAAUUCUGAAAUUUUAGUAACUUCAAAAUAAAAGUGAAUAAAAUUAAACAAGAUUGGUAGCAACUACUCCUACAAGUGCCUAGAGCCUAUAUCAUGCAUUAGAAAUGCUUGGGACCUCAUAAAUUGAACAUGCAAGCUCAAUAACAUGGUCACCUAAGAAGCAAAAAUUUGCGAUGAAUAAAGCACUAGAACAAAAACUAAUUGGACCAAUGGAGGAGUCACAUACCAACCAACAAUCUCCCAAAGCAGUUUUAUGAAUGGAGCUUUGAGCAAGGAGAUCGAAAAUCGCAGCAAAAUGAGCUAGAACUCAUGCUUGAGCUGGAUGGGGAUUUUUUGGAUAGAAGAUGGAGUGUGUGGGUGCUGGCAUAAGUGGAGGGGGGCUACUAGGGGCCCACGAGACAGGGGGGCACGCCCAGGUGGGGUGGGCGCGCCCUCCACUCUCGUGGCCUGGUGCUUGCCCCUACUGCAGUGAUUUCAGUGCCUAAAAUCCUCAAAUAUUCCAUAAAAAAUCAUACUAAAUUAGGAGGGCAUUUGGAGCACUUUUAUUUCCGAGAUAUUUUUUAUUGCACGGAUAAUUCAGAAAACAGACGGAUAAUACUACUUUUGCUUUAUUUAUUGUAAAUAAUAGAAAGUAAAAAGAAAGUACAGAAGGCCGUGCCUUCUAGUUUCAUGCAUCUCAUGAUCAUCAAAAUGAAUCCACUAACAAGGUUGAUCAAGUCUUGUUAAUAACUCAUUCCGAAUAACACGGAACCGGACAAAUUUUGAAGUGACACUAAGUUACCUCAACGGGGAUAUGAAAAUCCCCAACAAUAAGAAUAUCAUACUUUUUCUUGACAGUAGGGAGAGCAAAUACAAAACCUCCAAUAAUAAUUGAUGGAAUUUUCUCAAUAGUAUUUAUGCUAUGAACUUGGAUUUGCUUCCUUGGAAAAUGUACGGUAUGCUCAUUUCCGUUAACAUGAAAUGUGACAUGGCCUUUGUUGCAAUCAAUAAUAGCUCCUGCAGUAUUCAAAAAGGGUCUACCAAGUAUAAUAGACAUACUAUCAUCCUCGGGAAUAUCAAGAAUAACGAAGUCUUUUAAGAUAGUAAUAUUCGCAACAACAACAGGCACGUCCUCACAAAUGCGACAGGUAUAGCAGUUGAUUUGUCAGCCAUUUGCAAAGAUAUCUCAGUAGGAGUCAACUUACUUAAUUCAAGUCUACCGUACAAGGAAAGAGGCAUAACACUAACACCGGCUCCUAAAUCACAUAAGGCAGUUUUAACAUAAUUUCUUUUAAUAGAGCAAGGUAUAGUGGGUACUCCGGGAUCGCCAAGUUUCUUGGGUAUUCCACCCUUAAAGUUAUAGUUGGCAAGCACGGUGGAAAUCUCAGUUUCAGGUAUUUUCCUCUUAUUGGUGAUGAUAUCUUUCAUAUAUUUAGCAUAAGGGUUUGUUUUAAGCAUAUCAGUUAAGCGCAUGCGUAAGAAAUAGGUCUAAUCAUUUCAGCAAAACGCUCAAAGUCCUCAUCAUCCUUUGUCUUGGAUGGUUUAGGAGGAAAGGGCAUGGGUUUCUGAACCCAUGGUUCUCUUUCUCUACCAUGCUUCCUAGCAACAAAAUCUCUCUUAUCAUAACAUUGGUUUCUUGAUUGUGGGUUAUCAAGACCAAUAGCGGGUUCAAUUUCUAUAUCGUUGUUAUUACUAGGUUGAGCAUCUACAUGAACAUCAUUAUUAGCAUUAUCAUCAGGUUCAUCUUCAUCUCCGGAUUGUGUUUCAGCAUCAGAGAUAGAAGUAUUAUUAGGAUUCUCAGGUAUUUCUACAUUAGGUUCACUAGAAGUUUGCAAAGUUCUAUCAUUCUUCUUUUUCUUCUUCUUAGAAGAACUAGGAGCAUCUAGAUUAUUAUUCUGAGAAUCUUGUUCAAUUCUUUUAGGGUGGCCUUUAGGAUACAAAGGUUCCUGAGUCAUUCUACCAGUUCUAGUAUCCACUCUAAUAGCAAAGUCAUUUUUAUUAUAUAAUUCAGCAAGCAAUUCAUUCUGAGCCUUAAGUACUUGUUCAGCUUGAGUAGCAACCAUGGAAGCAUGUUUACUAGUGAGUUCAAAUUCAUCUUUAACUCUAGCUACAUAAUCAUUGAACCGUCCUAUCGUAUAAGCAUUAUUCUUCAAUUGUCUACCAACAUAAUCAUUGAAAUUUGCUUGUCUAUUCAUGAAAUCAUCAAAUUCAUCUAAGCAAGGGCUAUGAAAUUUAGUAGAUGGGAUUUCAUCUUUAUCAUAUCUAUAGAGAGAAUUUACCUUUACUACCUAUGUCGGGUUAUCAAGACAAUGCGUUUCUUCAACAGGCGGUAUAUUAAGACCAUGUAUUUCUUCAAUAGGAGGCAAAUUCUUAACAUCUUGAGAUUUAAUACCUUUUUCUUUCAUUGAUUUCUUUGCCUCUUGCAUAUCUUCAGGACUAAGAAAUAGAACACCUCUCUUCUUCGGAGUGGAUUUGGAAUAGGCUCAGGAGUUGGCUCAAUUGGUUCAGGAAUUGCCUCAGGAAUUGGCUCCAGGAGAGUCCAAUUAUUUUCAUUAGUUAACAUAUUAUUCAAUAGUAACUCAGCUUCGUCGACUGUUCUUUCCCUGAAAACACAACCAGCGCAACUAUCCAAGUAGUCCUUGGAAGCAUCAGUUAGUCCAUCAUAGAAGAUAUCAAGUAUUUCAUUUUUCUUAAGUGGAUGAUCAGGCAAAGCAUUAAGUAAUCGGAGAAGCCUCCCCCAAGCUUGUGGGAGACUCUCUUCUUUGAUUUGCGCAAAAUUAUAUAUUUCCCGCAAGGCAGCUUGUUUCUUAUGAGCAGGGAAAUAUUUAGCAGAGAAGUAAUAACUCAUAUCCUAGGGACUAGCACACAACCAAGAUCAAGAGAAUUAUACCAAGUCUUAGAAUCACCCUUUAAUGAGAACCGAAAUAUCUUAAGUAUGUAGAAGUAGCGAGAUCUAUCAUCAUGAGUAAAUAGGGUAGCUAUAUCAUUCAACUUGGUAAGAUGUGCCACAACAGUUUAAGAUUCAAGGCCAUAAAAAGGAUCAGAUUCUACUAGAGUAAUAAUCUCAGGAUCAACAGAGAAUUCAUAAUCCUUAUUAGUAACACAGAGAGGUGAAGUAGCAAAAGCAGGGUCAGGUUUCAUUCUAGCAUUAAGAGACUGCUGCUUCCAUUUAGCUAAUAAUUUCUUAAGAUCAUAUCUAUCAUUGCAAGCAAAGAUAGCUCUAGCAGCUUCUUCAUUCAUAACAUAACCCUCAGGAACAACAGGCAAUACAUAAUCAUUGGGAGAAUUUUCAUCAUCACUAUCAUCAAUAAUAGCAUCUUCAAUAAUUUCAUUCUCUCUAACUCUAGCAAGUUGUUCAUCAAGAAAUUCACCUAAUGGCAAAGUAGUAUCACGCACAGAAGUAGUUUCAUCAUGCAUAGCAGAAGUAGCAUCAUCAAUAACAUGCAACAUAUCAGAAUUCAAUAGCGGUAGCAGGUUUAGGUGUCGCAAGCUUACUCAUAACAGAAGGAGAAUCUAGUGCAGAGCUAGAUGGCAGUUCCUUACCUCCCCUCAUAGUUGAGGGAUAAAUCUUGGUUUUAGCGUCUUUCAAGUUCUUCAUAGUGAUCAACAGAUAUAAAUCCCAAGUGACUCAGAGAAUAGAGCUAUGCUCCCCGGCAACGGCGCCAGAAAUUAGUCUUGAUGACCCACAAGUGUAGGGGAUCGCAACAGCUUUCGAGGGUAGAGUAUUCAACCCAAAUUUAUUGAUUCGACACAAGGGGAGCCAAAGAAUAUUCUUGAGUAUUAGUAAUUGAGUUGUCAAUUCAACCACACCUGGAUAACUUAGUAUCUGCAGCAAGGUAUUUAGUAGCAAAGUAGUAUGAUAGUAAUGGUAACGGUGGUAAAAGGUAAAGAUAGUAAUAGCAAUAUUUUUGGUGUGUUUGUAGUAGUUGUAACAACAGCAACGGAAAAGUAAAUAAGCGAAGAACAAUAUAUGAAAAGCUCGUAGGCAAUGGAUCAGUGAUGGAUAAUUAUGCCGGAUACGAUUCCUCAUGUAAUAGCUAUAACAUAGGGUGACACAGAACUAGCUCCAGUUCAUCAGUGUAAUGUAGGCAUGUAUUCUGAAUAUAGUCAUACGUGCUUAUGGAAAAGAACUUGCAUGACAUCUUUUGUCCUACCCUCCCAUGGCAGCGGGGUCCUAGUGGAAACUAAGGGAUAUUAAGGCCUCCUUUUAAUAGAGAACCGAAACAAAGCAUUAGCACAAAGUGAAUACAUGAACUCCUCAAACUACGGUCAUCACCGAGAAGUAUCCCGAUUAUUGUCACUUUGGGGUUGUCGGAUCAUAACACAUAAUAGGUGACUAUAGACUUGCAAGAUAGGAUCAAGAACACACAUAUAUUCAUGAAAGCAUAAUAGGUUCAGAUCUGAAAUCAUGGCACUCGGGCCCUAGUGACAAGCAUUAAGCAUAGCAAAGUCAUAGCAACAUCAAUCUCAGAACAUAGUGGAUACUAGGGAUCAAACCCUAACAAAACUAACUUGAUUACAUGGUAAAUCUCAUCCAACCCAUCACCGUCCAGCAAGACUACGAUGGAAUUACUCACGCACGGCGGUGAGCAUCAUGAAAUUGGUGAUGGAGGAUGGUUGAUGAUGACGACGGCGACGAAUCCCCCUCUCCGGAGCCCCGAACGGACUCCAGAUCAGCCCUCCCAAGAGAGAUUAGGGCUUGGCGGCGGCUCCGUGUCGUAAAACACGAUGAAACUUUCUCCCUGAUUUUUUUUCUCCCCGAGACGGAAUAUAUGGAGUUGGAGUUGAGGUCGGUGGAGGUCCAGGGGGCCCACGAGAUAGGGGGGCGCGCCCUAUAGGAGGGCGCCCCCUAUCUCGUGGACAGGGCGUGGCCCCCCUGGUGUAUUUUUUUCGCCUAGAAAUUCUUAUUAAUUCCAAAAAGUGCCUCCGUGGAUUUUCAGGACAUUCUGAGAACUUUUCUUUUCUACACAGAGAACAACAUCAUGGCAGUUCUGCUGAAAACAGCGUCAGUCCGGGUUAGUUUCAUUCAAAUCAUGCAAGUUAGAGUCCAAAACAAGAGCAAAAGUGUUUGGAAAAGUAGAUACGUUGGAGACGUAUCAGUGACCAAGUAACCUUCUCCACAUGAUCAUACCAAAUGGAACGGCUAUUAACAUAAGCACGGUUCGUUCCAUGACUAACAAAAAAACCACCAUGAUUGAUCUCCACAGAGAAAUUACUGCUUCAACGGCCUGAGACAGCAACACAUAUACAACAUGCAUCAGAAUCGACAUAAAUCUCCACAUGAGCAUCAAUUUAUUUGAACAUCUAAAACCCUAAGUCCCAAUUGUCGUACCCCCAAAUCCCAUGCCAAAACCCUAGCAGAAUCCGACCUACCUACCAACUACAACACAUCUAGUAAGGAAACGCGGGCCGAAAAGGAGGGUUUUCAACAUCAAAACGCCAAAAAAGGGGGAUUCUUCAGUUUAGGGGACUUACUGUACACUAGGCCGCCGCCCCUUCUGCAUGACGAAUAGGGGACAUUGACGCCGCCUCCCACGGGUGGCGAAGGCGCGCGGUGGCGGCGCCUCCUCAACCACGCACGAAAACUGGCCGUCGCCUCCUCAACCUUGCGAUGAUUGUUGGAAAUAUGCCCUAGAGGCAAUAAUAAAAGCAUUAUUAUUAUAUUUCUUUGUUCAUGAUAAUUGUCUUUAUUCAUGCUAUAAUUGUGUUAUCCGGAAAUCGUAAUACAUGUGUGAAUAACAGACACCAACAUGUCCCUAGUAAGCCUCUAGUUGACUAGCUCGUUGAUCAAUAGAUAGUCAUGGUUUCCUGGCUAUGGACAUUGGAUGUCAUUGAUAACGGGAUCACUUCAUUAGGAUAAUGAUGUGAUGGACAAGACCCAAUCCUAAACAUAGCACAAGAUCGUAUAGUUCGUUUGCUAGAGUUUUUGCAAUGUCAAAGUAUCUCUUCCUUCGACCAUGAGAUCGUAUAACUCCUGGAUACCGUAGGAGUGCUUUGGGUGUAUCAAACGUCACAACGUAACUGGGUGACUAUAAAGGUGCACUACAGGUAUCUCCGAAAGUAUCUAUUGUUUUAUAUGGAUCGAGACUGGGAUUUGUCACUCCGUAUGACGGAGAGAUAUCACUGGGCCCACUCAGUAAUGCAUCAUCAUAAUGAGCUCAAAGUGACCAAGUGUUUGGUCAUGGGAUCAUGCAUUACGGUACGAGUAAAGUGACUUGCCGGUAACAAGAUUGAACGAGGUAUUGGGAUACCGACGAUUGAAUCUCGGGCAAGUAACAUAUCGAUUGACAAAGGGAAUUGCAUACGGGGUUGAUUAAAUCCUCGACAUCGUGGUUCAUCCGAUGAGAUCAUUGUGGAGCAUGUGGGAGCCAACAUGGGUAUCCAGAUCCCGCUGUUGGUUAUUGACCGGAGAGCGAUCUCGGUCAUGUCUACAUGUCUCCCGAACCCGUAGGGUCUACACACUUAAGGUUCAGUUACGCUAGGGUUGUAGGGAUAUGUAUAUGCAGUAACCCGAAUGUUGUUCGGAGUCCCGGAUGAGAUCCCGGACGUCACGAGGAGUUCCGGAAUGGUCCGGAGGUAAAGAUUUAUAUAUGGGAAGUCCUGUUUCGGGCAUCGGGACAAGUUUCGGGGUUAUCGGUAUUGUACCGGGACCACCGGAGGGGUCCCGGGGGCCCACCGGGUGGGGCCACCCAUCCCCGGGGGCCACAUGGGCUGUAGGGGGUGCGCCUUGGCCUACAUGGGCCAAGGGCACCAGCCCCACUAGGCCCAUGCGCCUAGGGUUCAAGGGGGCAAGAGUCCUAGGAGGGUAAGGCACCUCCUAGGUGCCUUGGGGGGGAGGGAAACCCCCCUUGGCCGCCGCACCCCCUAGGAGAUUGGAUCUCCUAGGGCCGGCCACCCCCCCUUGGCACCCCUAUAUAUAGUGGGGGAGAGGAGGGACUUCAUACCUUGAGUCCUUGGCCUUUGGUUGCCUCCUUCUCCCUCCCCAACACCUCCUCCACCUCCUUAUUGCUUAGCGAAGCUCUGCCGGAGUACUGCAGCUCCAUCAACACCACGCCGUCGUGCUGCUGCUGGUGCCAUCUCCCUCAACCUCUCCUCCCUCCCUUGCUGGAUCAAGAAGGAGGAGACGUGGCUGUUCCGUACGUGUGUUGAACGCGGAGGUGCCGUCCGUUCGGUGCUAGAAUCUCCGGUGAUUCGAAUCACGUCGUGUUCGACUACAUCAUCCCCGUUCUUUGAACGCUUCCGCUUGCGAUCUACAAGGUAUGUAGAUGCAUCUAUUCACUCGUUGCUAAAUGAACUCCUAGAUGAUCUUGGUGAAACGAGUAGGAAAAUUUUUGUUUUCUGCAACGUUCCCCAACAGUGGCAUCAUGAGCUAGGUCUAUGCGUAGUUCUUCUUGCACGAGUAGAACACAAUUGGUUGUGGGCGUAGAUUUGUCAACUUUCUUGCCGCUACUAGUCUUAUCUUGCUUCAGCGGUAUUGUGGGAUGAAGCGGCCCGGACCAACCUUACACGUACGCUUACGUGAGACCGGUUCCACCGACUAACAUGCACAAGUUGCAUAAGGUGGCUGGCGGGUGUCUGUCUCUCCUACUUUAGUUGAAGCGGAUUAGAUGAAAAGGGUCCUUAUGAAGGGUAAAUAGAAGUUGACAAAUCACGUUGUGGUUUCACGUAGGUAAGAAAACGUUCUUGCUGGAACCCUACUUCAGCCACGUAAAACUUGCAAACAACAAUUAGAGGACGUCUAACUUGUUUUUGCAGCAAGUGCUUUGUGAUAUGAUAUGGCCAAAGUUGUGAUGAAUGAUGAAUGAUCUAUAUGUCAUGUAUGAGAUGUUCAUGCUAUUGUAAUAGGAAUCACGACUUGCAUGUCGAUGAGUAUGACAACCGGCAGGAGCCAUAGGAGUUGUCUUUAUUUUUUGUAUGACCUACGUGUCAUUAAAGAACGCCAUGUAAACUACUUUACUUUAUUACUAAACGCGUUAGUCAUAGAAGUAGAAGUAGUCGUUGGCGUGACAACUUCAUGAAGACACGAUGAUGGAGAUCAUGAUGAUGGAGAUCAUGGUGUCGUGCCGGUGACAAGAUGAUCAUGGAGCCCCGAAGAUGAAGAUCAAAGGAGCUAUAUGAUAUUGGCCAUAUCAUGUCACUACUUAUAUAAUUGCAUGUGAUGUUUAUUAUGUUUUAUGCAUCUUGUUUACUUAGAACGACGGUAGUAAAUAAGAUGAUCCCUUACAAAAUUUCAAGAAGUGUUCUCCCCUAACUGUGCACCGUUGCUACAGUUCGUCGUUUCGAAGCACCACGUGAUGAUCGGGUGUGAUAGAUUCUUACGUUCACAUACAACGGGUGUAAGACAGUUUUACACAGCGAAAACACUUAGGGUUAACUUGACGAGCCUAGCAUGUACAGACAUGGCCUCGGAACACGGAGACCGAAAGGUCGAACACGAGUCGUAUGGAAGAUACGAUCUACAUGAGAAUGUUCACCGACGAUGACUAGUCCGUCUCACGUGAUGAUCGGACACGGCCUAGUCGACUCAGAUCGUGUAACACUUAGAUGACCAAAGGGAUGUCAAAUCUGAGUGGGAGUUCAUUAUAAUUUGAUUAGAUGAACUUAAUUAUCAUGAACUUAGUCUAAAUUUUUACAAUAUGUCUUGUAGAUCAAAUGGCCAACGUAGUCCUCAACUUCAACGCGUUCCUAGAGAAAACCAAGCUGAAAGACGAUGGCAGCAACUAUACGGACUGGGUCCGGAACCUGAGGAUCAUCCUCAUAGCUGCCAAGAAAGAUUAUGUCCUACAAGCACCGCUAGGUGAUGCACCUGUUCUCCCUGCUGAACAAGACGUUAUGAACGCUUGGCAGGCACAUUCUGAUGACUACUCCCUCGUUCAGUGCGGCAUGCUUUACAGCUUAGAGCCGGGGCUCCAAAAGCGUUUUGAGAGACAUGGAGCAUAUGAGAUGUUCGAAGAGCUGAAAAUGGUUUUCCAAGCUCAUGCCCGGGUCGAGAGAUAUGAAGUCUCUGACAAAUUCUUCAGCUGUAAGAUGGAGGAAAAUAGUUCUGUCAGUGAGCACAUACUCACUAUGUCUGGGUUACAUAACCGCUUGACUCAGCUGGGAGUUAAUCUCCCGGAUGAUGCGGUCAUUGACAGAAUCCUCCAGUCGCUUCCACCGAGCUACAAGAGCUUUGUGAUGAACUUCAAUAUGCAGGGGAUGGAAAAGACCAUUCCUGAAGUAUUUGCUAUGCUGAAAUCAGCAGAGGUAGAAGUCAGAAAGGAACAUCAAGUGUUGAUGGUCAAUAAAACCACUAAGUUCAAGAAGGGCAAGGGUAAAAAGAACUUCAAGAAGGACGGCAAGGUAGUUGCCGCGCCCAGCAAGCAAGCUGUCGGGAAGAAGCCAAAGAAUGGACCCAAGCCCGAGACUGAGUGUUUUUAUUGCAAGAAAGUGGUCACUGGAAGCGGAACUGCCCCAAAUACUUAGCGGACAAGAAGGCCGGCAAAACCAAAGGUAUAUUUGAUAUACAUGUAAUUGAUGUGUACCUUACCAGUAAUCGUAGUAACUCCUGGGUAUUUGAUACCGGUGCCGUUGCUCAUAUUUGUAACACACAACAGGAGCUGCGGAAUAAACGGAGACUGGCGAAGGACAAGGUGACGAUGCGCGUCGGGAAUGGUUCCAAGGUCGAUGUGAUAGCCGUCGGCACGCUACCUCUACAUUUACCUACGGGAUUAGUUUUGAACCUCAAUAAUUGUUAUUUUGUGCCAAGUUUGAGCAUGAACAUUGUAUCAGGAUCUCGUUUAAUUCGAGAUGGCUACUCAUUUAAAUCCGAGAAUAAUGGUUGUUCUAUUUAUAUGAGAGAUAUGUUUUAUGGUCAUGCUCCGAUGGUGAAUGGUUUAUUCUUUAUGAAUCUCGAGCGUAAUGCUACACAUAUUCAUAGUGUAAGUACCAAAAGAUGUAAGAUUGAUAGUGAUAGUCCCACAUACUUGUGGCACUGCCGCCUCGGUCACAUAGGUGUCAAACGCAUGAAGAAGCUCCAUGCUGAUGGACUUUUAGAGUCUCUUGAUUACGAAUCAUUUGACACGUGCGAACCAUGCCUCAUGGGUAAAAUGACCAAGACUCCAUUCUCAGGAACAGUGGAGAGAGCAACCAACUUAUUGGAAAUCAUACAUACUGAUGUGUGCGGUCCAAUGAGUGUUGAGGCUCGCGGUGGCUAUCGUUAUGUUCUCACCCUCACUGAUGACUUGAGUAGAUAUGGGUAUGUCUACUUAAUGAAACACAAGUCUGAGACCUUUGAAAAGUUCAAGGAAUUUCAGAGUGAAGUUGAGAAUCAACGUGACAGGAAAAUCAAGUUUCUACGAUCAGAUCGUGGAGGAGAAUACUUGAGUCACGAGUUUGGUACACACUUAAGAAAAUGUGGAAUAGUUUCACAACUCACGCCGCCUGGAACACCUCAGCAUAAUGGUGUGUCCGAAUGUCGUAAUCGCACUCUAUUAGAUAUGGUGCGAUCUAUGAUGUCUCUUGCCGAUUUACCACUAUCUUUUUGGGGCUAUGCUUUAGAGACUGCCGCAUUCACUUUAAAUAGGGCCCCGUCGAAAUCCGUUGAGACGACACCGUAUGAAUUAUGGUUUGGGAAGAAACCUAAGCUGUCAUUUCUAAAAGUUUGGGGAUGCGAUGCUUAUGUCAGGAAACUUCAACCUGAAAAGCUCGAACCCAAAUUGGAAAAAUGCGUCUUCAUAGGAUACCCUAAAGAAACUGUUGGGUAUAUCUUCUACCUCAGAUCCAAAGGCAAGAUCUUUGUUGCCAAGAAUGGGUCCUUUCUGGAGAAAGAGUUUCUCUCGAAAGAAGUAAGUGGGAGGAAAGUAGAGCUUGAUGAAGUAUUGCCUCUUGAACCGGAAAAUGGUGCAACUCAAGAAAAUGUUCCUGAGGUGCCAGCACCGACAAGAGAGGAAGUUAAUGAUAAUGAUCAAGAUACUUCUGAUCAAACUCCUACUGAAAUUCGAAGGUCCACAAGGACACGUUCCGCACCAGAGUGGUACGGCAACCCUGUCUUGGAAAUCAUGUUGUUAGACAACGGUGAACCUUCGAACUAUGAAGAAGCGAUGGCGGGUCCGGAUUCCGACAAAUGGCUAGAAGCCAUGAAAUCCGAGAUAGGAUCCAUGUAUGAAAACGAAGUAUGGACUUUGACUGACUUGCCCGUAGAACGGCGAGCCAUAGAAAAUAAAUGGAUCUUUAAGAAGAAGACAGACGCGGAUGGUAAUGUGACCAUCUAUAAAGCUCGGCUUGUCGCUAAGGGUUAUCGACAAGUUCAAGGGGUUGACUACGAUGAGACUUUCUCACCGGUAGCGAAGCUGAAGUCCGUCCGAAUCAUGUUAGCAAUUGCCGCAUUUUAUGAUUAUGAAAUUUGGCAAAUGGACGUCAAAACGGCAUUCCUUAAUGGUUUCCUUAAGGAAGAAUUGUAUAUGAUGCAGCCGGAAGGUUUUGUCGAUCCUAAAAAUGCUGACAAGGUGUACAAGCUCCAACGCUCGAUUUAUGGGCCGGUGCAAGCAUCUCGGAGUUGGAACAUUCGUUUUGAUGAGAUGAUCAAAGCGUUUGGGUUUACACAGACUUAUGGAGAAGCCUGUGUUUACAAGAAAGUGAGUGGGAGCUCUAUAGCAUUUCUCAUACUAUAUGUAGAUGACAUACUUUUGAUGGGAAAUGAUAUAGAACUUUUGGACAGCAUUAAGGCCUACUUGAAUAAGAGUUUUUCAAUGAAGGACCUUGGAGAAGCUGCUUAUAUAUUAGGCAUCAAGAUCUAUAGGGAUAGAUCAAGACGCCUCAUAGGUCUUUCACAAAGCACAUAUCUUGAUAAGAUUUUGAAGAAGUUCAAAAUGGAUCAGUCCAAGAAAGGGUUCUUGCCUGUUUUGCAAGGUGUGAAAUUGAGCUCAGCUCAAUGUCCGACCACGGCAACAGAGAUAGAAGAGAUGAGUGUCAUCCCCUAUGCCUCAGCCAUAGGUUCUAUUAUGUAUGCCAUGCUGUGUACCAGACCUGAUGUAAACCUUGCCGUAAGUUUGGUAGGAAGGUACCAAAGUAAUCCCGGCAAGGAACACUGGACAGCGGUCAAGAAUAUCCUAAAGUACCUGAAAAGGACUAAGGAAAUGUUUCUCGUUUAUGGAGGUGACGAAGAGCUCGUCGUAAAAGGUUACGUCGACGCUAGCUUCGACACAGAUCUGGAUGACUCUAAGUCACAAACCGGAUACGUGUAUAUUUUGAAUGGUGGGGCAGUAAGCUGGUGCAGUUGCAAGCAGAGCGUCAUGGCGGGAUCUACAUGUGAAGCGGAGUACAUGGCAGCCUCGGAGGCAGCACAUGAAGCAAUAUGGGUGAAGGAGUUCAUCACCGACCUAGGAGUCAUACCCAAUGCGUCGGGGCCGAUCAAGCUCUUCUGUGACAACACUGGAGCUAUUGCACUUGCCAAGGAGCCCAGGUUUCACAAGAAGACAAGGCACAUCAAGCGUCGCUUCAACUCCAUCCGUGAAAAUGUUCAAGAUGGAGACAUAGAGAUUUGUAAGGUACAUACGGACCUGAAUGUAGCAGAUCCGUUGACUAAACCUCUCCCAAGAGCAAAACAUGAUCAACACCAGAAUUCCAUGGGUGUUCGAUUCAUCACAAUGUAACUAGAUUAUUGACUCUAGUGCAAGUGGGAGACUGUUGGAAAUAUGCCCUAGAGGCAAUAAUAAAAGCAUUAUUAUUAUAUUUCUUUGUUCAUGAUAAUUGUCUUUAUUCAUGCUAUAAUUGUGUUAUCCGGAAAUCGUAAUACAUGUGUGAAUAACAGACACCAACAUGUCCCUAGUAAGCCUCUAGUUGACUAGCUCGUUGAUCAAUAGAUAGUCAUGGUUUCCUGGCUAUGGACAUUGGAUGUCAUUGAUAACGGGAUCACAUCAUUAGGAUAAUGAUGUGAUGGACAAGACCCAAUCCUAAACAUAGCACAAGAUCGUAUAGUUCGUUUGCUAGAGUUUUUGCAAUGUCAAAGUAUCUCUUCCUUCGACCAUGAGAUCGUAUAACUCCUGGAUGCCGUAGGAGUGCUUUGGGUGUAUCAAACGUCACAACGUAACUGGGUGACUAUAAAGGUGCACUACAGGUAUCUCCGAAAGUAUCUAUUGUUUUAUAUGGAUCGUGACUGGGAUUUGUCACUCCGUAUGACGGAGAGAUAUCACUGGGCCCACUCAGUAAUGCAUCAUCAUAAUGAGCUCAAAGUGACCAAGUGUUUGGUCACGGGAUCAUGCAUUAUGGUACGAGUAAAGUGACUUGCCGGUAACAAGAUUGAACGAGGUAUUGGGAUACCGACGAUCGAAUCUCGGGCAAGUAACAUAUCGAUUGACAAAGGGAAUUGCAUACGGGGUUGAUUAAAUCCUCGACAUCGUGGUUCAUCCGAUGAGAUCAUCGUGGAGCAUGUGGGAGCCAACAUGGGUAUCCAGAUCCCGCUGUUGGUUAUUGACCGGAGAGCGAUCUCGGUCAUGUCUACAUGUCUCCCGAACCCGUAGGGUCUACACACUUAAGGUUCAGUUACGCUAGGGUUGUAGGGAUAUGUAUAUGCAGUAACCCGAAUGUUGUUCGGAGUCCCGGAUGAGAUCCCGGACGUCACAGGAGUUCCGGAAUGGUCCGGAGGUAAAGAUUUAUAUAUGGGAAGUCCUGUUUCGGGCAUCGGGACAAGUUUCGGGGUUAUCGGUAUUGUACCGGGACCACCGGAGGGGUCCCGGGGGCCCACCGGGUGGGGCCACCCAUCCCCGGGGGCCACAUGGGCUGUAGGGGGUGUGCCUUGGCCUGCUUGGGCCAAGGGCACCAGCCCCACAUAGGCCCAUGCGCCUAGGGUUUAAGGGGGAAAGAGUCCUAGGAGGGUAAGGCACCUCCUAGGUGCCUUGGGGGGGAGGGAAACCCCCCUUGGCCGCCGCACCCCCGAGGAGAUUGGAUCUCCUAGGGCCGGCCACACCCCCUUGGCACCCCUAUAUAUAGUGGGGGAGAGGAGGGACUUCAUACCUUGAGUCCUUGGCCUUAGGUUGCCUCCUUCUCCCUCCCCAACACCUCCUCCACCUCCUUAUAGCUUAGCGAAGCUCUGCCGGAGUACUGCAGCUCCAUCAACACCACGCCGUCGUGCUGCUGCUGGUGCCAUCUCCCUCAACCUCUCCUCCCUCCCUUGCUGGAUCAAGAAGGAGGAGACGUGGCUGUUUCCGUACGUGUGUUGAACGCGGAGGUGCCGUCCGUUCGGUGCUAGGAUCUCCGGUGAUUCGAAUCACGUCGUGUUCGACUACAUCAUCCCCGUUCUUUGAACGCUUCCGCUCGCGAUCUACAAGGUAUGUAGAUGCAUCUAUUCACUCGUUGCUAGAUGAACUCCUAGAUGAUCUUGGUGAAACGAGUAGGAAAAUUUUUAUUUUCUGCAACGUUCCCCAACAAUGAUCGCUAGGGCGGCGUCGCCUAUGCAGCGCCCCCUUUCUCUAACGACGAAGACGAACAUGCAGGUAGAGUGGAGGAGGGAUGAAUGGGGGUUGCGGUGAUGCCUAAGGGCUUUUUUGCUUAUUUCCACAGUCGCGCCUCCACGGUUCGCCACCUGUUCCCAACGAGCGGUCAACACGUGGUCAAACUGCGUGUACGCAUCGCAUAUGCGCUACAGUGAUCGUAUUUUCACGUCCCGUCGUAUUCAGUGACCGUAACAAGCGUAUUUCAAAUUUGGGUGACCGUAUCGUGCUUUCAACGCAAUUACAAUGACCGUGGGUGUAUUUAUCUCAAUCUCAUUCUCUCACAUGACUGCGCAAGAGAUUAUGUUCCUGCUCGCCAUCGGCCUCUCCUCCCAUCGAUCGCCUCUGGUCUAAUGUCCCAUCGACUUGAUGUCUCCUCCUUGCGCUGCUCCCCGUCCCGACUGCCCGUCGCCUCGCCCGCCUGUCCUUGUCGGUCUCCGUCCUUACUGUCACCACCACGGCGAUUCUGGAUCCAUGCUCGCCCAUCGCCGCCGCACGUCCUACCAAAGGUUGCUGGCUUGCUGCACAGAUGCUUAGAGGGGAGAGGCCUUGGCAUCAGGGAGCACGAGCAGUGCCAUGGUGUCCUCCCGCACCGAUAUUAUCUCUUGAUCCGACGAAGCAUGACGUCUCCUUCUCCGAUUAAGCCCGACCUGCAGCGGGUUGUUUUCAUUUCCAGGGUAAGCAUCUCGAUCUCUUUUGCAUCUCCCUCUUCUUCUCAGGUGACUAUGGUUUGAUGAUUUGGGGAUUCUCACCUAACGUUCUUCAGUCUAGCAGUCCAAUAUUUUGUUCCACAAUGCACAACCACCUUCAACCUCUUGGUUUUUAUUUUGACGACCAAUUGACUUGCUCAAAAUUCUUUUCUUCAGAGCAAUGACCACCUUCAGAGCAUUCUUGAUGAUCAAUUAAUAUUUAGUUCCUCGAUUUGAUUAGCAGUUUAGCAUCAAUCACAUCACAGGCAGGAUGAACAUCAUGGUGGAUUGGAGCACGGUGAGCCCAACAACACCAGAAACGCCAUGGUGUUAGAGUAUAAGCAGGGGCGUAUAGGUGAUGUAGGCAUAUGGAUAUAGGAUCACCGUCGACAGGUGAAGUAGGUGGCGAUGAUGACCAGCUUAGCCAGGUACUUGAGCAAACUUUCCCAUUAACAUGUACUCUCCCAACUUCAAUCAAUCCCUCAAUCUUGAGAGAGUACACAUAACGUAGGUCGGUUGUUGAGAGCAGCAUGUUCGUACAUGAGGAAUUUGAUUUAUCGGCUUCAGGUUUUGAGAGCCAACAGGUAUGUACAAUAUGUGCUAAGAAUUUUUAUGGGUAAUCAAUCUUAGGAGAGAAAGGAUUGUUAGCAUUUUUAUGGGUAAUCAAUCUUAUGGGAAAGAACUGAUUUUUGUCUCUACUAAACAGUAGCACUCCUAACCUAUUUGAACAAAAAAUUUCAGGAACAUAAAAGCAGUAGUGACUUGACCAUGCAAUAAGCUAAAUUGUUAUUACGGUUUCUGUUGUAACAAGUUGAAGUUAUUCAAAAGAAAAGUUGAAGUUUCUGUUAGCAGCAUCAACUUCUUUUCAGAUGUCCGAAAGUACUUCAGUUCAAGAUUUAGAAACAAUCAGCCAACUUAACUGUCAGCCUAAAACCAUUCUCUGUUGCAUUAUUAAGUUAUGUCAAGCUAUUAUAAUUCAUUCAGCAUGUGCAUUCAAGUAUUCCACUAAUUUGCACAUUGAAUUGCAAAUGUAAUCAAAGGAGGUAGGGUAUGGAGGGUACUUGGUGGGGAGGCGUGCAUCCACUUCUUUGGGUGGGACGCCAACUAUAGCAGCUUUGGGACGAUGCCCUUGGUGGCGAGGUGUGCAUGCACCGCUUGGUAAUGAGUCGCCAACAACACUGGGUAGGGGGUUUUUUUUAACAGAGACGCAUGAAGCGUCCGGCUUUAAAUUAAUAAAACCCCAAGGCAGCAUCCACACAAGAUUUUCAACAUUACAAACCGGUAAGACAUAAGUUUCGCGGGCUCGACGUCCCGGCAAAGGCUAAGAACCAAGUAGUUUAAGGAUCACAAAAGCGGAGCGAAACAUAGGGCUCAACGCAAAAGACUCAAGCUUGUUGUCCUUCUUGUCGCGAUUGGGUAGGGGCUUUGGGUUUGGCGCCUACACUACACCGUCGCGCUGGUGACGAUGUUGAGUGCCUCAAUGGUGUGUGUGCGUGUGUGUGUGCGCGAGAGAGAAAAGGUGGGUGGCUGAUGAAGGAGGUGUGCUACCGCCUACUGCCGAAGUAUGAUCUCUGUUUUGAAUUUUUCUUUUGUGUGCGUCGCUUCUUAUUCGAGAAUUGUUAUGUGUGAGUGUAUCUUUUUGUUUUCUCAAUUUUUGACUUAUAUUUAUUUGUUUAUGAUUAUACUAGAAUUUCUUAUUAGAUGGUUAAAUAAAUUAGUAGUGUCCUUUUUCUUCUUCUAUACAUACAACAUCAAAAAGUAUAUAGAAGAUGAUUAUAACUUGUAUAGGUCUUUGCUCCGUUUUCAGAAAAUAGAAGAUGAUUAUAACUUAUACGGGUGCUUUUGCUGAUUUAUACAUCUAGCUUCACAAUGAUAGCACAUGCUUGUGGGAUGUACUAAUAAACAUUAAAUCUCAAUAAUGGAGGCGAAUGGUGCUUUCAGAACUUUUUUUUGACUGGUCUAUUUUAAUUCAGAUUAAAUCAACAAAAGACUUGCAUCUGUAUUUGUUUCUUGCUGAUGAAAGACAACCGCUUAGUUUCUGAUGAGAGAGUUAAAUGUUGUAGUUGUUUUGAAGUAAUUGCCAACUCUUGCUUGGAGAAAGGAAUCACCAAAGUCGUCUGACCCGAGGGGGUUUCCUCUACUAUGGCUGCAUCAAAGCUCUAGCUGAUGCUGCUAGAGAGAAUGGGAUUCUGUCCUCUUAACCUAGUGUGUUGCAGCAGCUUUUGAUGUCGUUUUAGCACCAACCAAUGUCAUAAUUUAUCAUGUGUGCAAAUGAUUUUUUGACUGUAGUAUGAGUAUAACACAUGGUUCAGAGAGGUUCGGUCAGAUACUAAAGCAUAUCCUUAGUCUCAAAGUCAUAAGCUAUUCCUUUUCAACAUUGCAUCUAUCCAGGCCUUCAUUUAGGAGAGGAUUUGGAAACUCAACAUACAAAAUUAUUUAAUCUAAUGCAGGUUACAUAUUAAACCUUUUGGAAGCAUGUAUGGAAGAAUAUUUGGUGAGCUCUCCACAAGUAAAGUUAUAUAACAGUUUCUUUGACUCUAAGGAAUAUUUGUAGGAUUUCAAUCUUCAGGAAGUUUGAGGGCAUCAUCUUGGCAAAAUAGAUGUUGCUAACAUAAAUUAUCAAUGGCCUUUUUUUACCAGCCUUGCAUAUAUGUCUGGGCAAAAAGCAUACGAUUUAUUCACCACAGUUAACGUACAACCUUGCUCUACUUAUGGAUCUGUAUUUGUGUUUCAUAUAUGCCAACCAUAUUUUCACUAAACUCUCGUGUUAGCUAUUGAGUGACAGGAACAGUUCAUGAUCUAACUGAAACCUGUGAUCACACUUUUGGUCAGACUUACAUUAGGCCAACGACACAUUUUAAUUAAUGAUAACUAUGAGCUAAGAUCAUAUAGGAGCUCUGUUUGGUUCAGAUAAUGUGCUACCGGUGCAGAAACAAUUGUCUUCGAAAUUCUCUCUCCCCUACAACGUCAGCUGAAUGGACUGGAGCCAUAUCAAAGUUAAUUAGAAGCACCAACAUGUUUCAGACAUGCUUUUGUUUUGCACCAUAAUCUUUCACUUGUACAUUGAAGAAAAACAAAGGGAUCGUUCAUUGUGUUUUGAACCAACUGAAUUAUAUACCACUUUAUCUGUGCAAUUCUCCAUUUGAGAGAAGAAGUACUAUUAUUUGUGUAUAGAUCAAAGGGUUCGAUCAACAUGUGGCAGAUUGGUUAAUUGUUUUCGAGAAGGCAAGCAUAUAAGUUGCUCGGCAAAACAAAUGUUAUUGUGUAGAUAAUGCUAUACUAGAGACCCAUUCCUAUAUUUUACUGAUAUGCAUGCUUGAAUAGUAGUACUUAUGUUACACGAGGAGUAAUGUAAAAUGAAGUGAAACAUGGUGGAAAACAUUCAUGGCGGAGCUGGCGGAGAGAUGUUUUUUGAAACUGCUAGCUGAACAAAUGGGGUUCAUCAGCGCUAGCAAGGAGGCUGAUCGGUUCCAUGGAGCAAUGCAAUGUUGGAGCAACAACGUAUUGGGUUCGAUUUUCAGGUGGAGAAGAACUAAUGAACGGCAUGCACAUGAUUCAUUUGGUCCUUCCUUAUUUCACUUAACUCAAGAUUCAUUUACUUUUGCACUUACCCAUGGUUUGAGGGAUCGAGGAAUUAGGUGACGUUAAUUCAAUGAGGAAUAUCAUAUAUCAACAAAUCUAAAACAAACUUUGUAGAACAUGAUCAUGAUGAACCAGUAAGGUUUUUGAAGUGCCCCUUGCAACGCACGAGCACUCUACUAGUAAAUAUUAGUUGAUUAGUAGAUAAACCAUAAUCACACUGCCAAGAAAGCCCACCAGAACACUACAUUUAAACACACACACACACACACACACACACACACACACACACACCAUCUUCCGCACACGUCAAAUCAAAUAACAAACAAAAAUUAUGAAAUCCCAAGAACACUAACGACGCGACAAUGCGCACUCAAACUUUCUACUCCCUUUGUUUCAGUUUACAAAUCCUACGCGUAUAUCUAGGUUGUCAAUUUUAUCACCCUAAUAUAAACUAUAUAACACAAAAACCAUACCGUUUGAAAAUAGAACAUCUGAAGUUUGUAUUGAUAUAUUUUUUGUAAUAUAUGACUUGUAUUUAGUUGGUCAAAUUGACGACCUAGGGGUACGCGGACGCCCUAUAAACUAAGAGAGAGGGAGUAGUAAGAUGGUUAUAUCUCGUCCAAUCAUUUCAUUUUUAUUUACUCCGCAUAUUAACUUUGUCUGAAGUCAAAUUUUAUAGACUUUGAUCAAGUUUAUAGAAAAAAUAUUUAACAUGUAGUAUACCAAAUCAACAUUGAAUAUAUAAGAUGACCAUAUUCUGUCUGAGGAAAAAAAAUAAGCAACCCACAACGUGUCGUGUGGUCAUCCAAGUCCGAGCAGCACCUAUAAAGUAUAAUUCCAUAUUUCACGGUAAGAGAUUGCUGACCAGGCCUGCUGCCUGGUUAUAGCGUACUCGCCAAACAAGGUUAUAAACACGUUGGUUCUACAUUACGCACGCGGUGUGGUACUAAACGUACAGCAGAACCGGGACUCGGAGAUCGCAUCUCCGGGGCGGCGUGCGCCACAGUGUACCGCCUUGUAUCUCGACCCAACACACUCCUACCCCGCAAGUUUGAGGCCAGGCCCGUCCGGUAAAGCGAUGCCUUCGCGUUUAUAAUGUUUCAAAAUUACGAGCCACCGAGAGCGCUAUUUAGGGUUCAAAAUUACACGUAUACAAAAAGACGCAGCAAAAGCGAAAAGAAACAUCCUGAUUCCGAUUUCCGAGGGACCUCACAUCACGGCGACAGGAAAACAUCAAGACAGGCACCUCUCCACACAGCUGCAGAAGCUGGGCUCGAGGGGGAAGCCUGCGCGGCAGCCUUCAGCCUGCACAUGACAGCACAUCAUGAUCAUCCCAAACUAAAGAUUGUGACCCAUGCGCCGGCCGAAUUUUCAGCAGGACGCAGGCCACGCUGACAACCCGCACCCACGGAAAACAGCGCCCCCACGUGAGACGCGUUUUUGUGGCCCCACGUAGAUCGCGCCCUCCUCCCUUCUCUGUUCCCAACCGCACACCUUCAUCCCCUACCUCUAGCCUCAUCCCUCCCCAUGCCCGUGUUUUCUUCUUCCUUUCCCCCGCUCUGCUGCCGGCGUGGUAACCUAUGUCGCCGGCUCCUCGCACCACCGCACACUAGUUGUAGCAAAUUCGGUCGUCGGAGGUAGCUUUUCCCGCUGCUGGUUGCAACAAAUUUGCAACCUUGUCGCCGGCCACACUCCCGCCGUCUUCGUGUUUGUAGCCAAAAACGGAAAAAGCUUCAACCAGUGCAUAAAAAAGAUUCAUCCGGUGAGUGAAAAAGCUUCAAUGGCCAUGAAAAAAAAGCUUCAUCGCGCCCAUUUGUUACAAACGUUGUUAGUUUUUGCUACAACCGACGACCAAUUUUUCUGCAUCGCCGACGGCCGGAGUUCUGUAGGUAAGGUGCAUGUCGACGAUAAAGUUGUGAUUUGUUGCAACCCGCAACUUGCAAAGCUUCCACCGAUGAGUUAUUUUGCUUCGAUGGCGAUAGAUGGAACUGGCGACCAGGGAGACGAUGACAAUGCGAGCGGCAUGCACCCGGUGGCGAGCGUCGUCGGCGAUGGCGGCCGGCGGCGCACCUAGCGUUGCAACCAUUGGGGUGGUGAGCUGCAACCGCUGCCGGCCGGUGCUACAACGGCGUGAUGUCGGAGCAGCGACCCGUCAUGGCGAUGAACUGCAAAAACACGACGGUCGGCUGUGAGGGGCCGACGAUGAGGGAUGCGAACGACGACGACGAGUUGCAAGCACGGCGUGGGAAGGCCGGUGGUUCUCGCUAUCGGCUUUUCUUUUCUCCGCGCGCAGUAGCGUGAUUUGGGGAAGAAGACCACGUGGGAUACAGGCGAAAGGAUUUGAUCUGACGGUUGAAGGGAUUGCAUCGUACGGCCCGGGCUUGACCGGCCCAACAGUUGAGCCGGCGCGCCCUUGAUUUUUGGGCACACACAGUGCAUUGCUAGGUUGAAUCAAUGAAUAUCCCGAAAUCCCAUGCCCCCUUGAUUUUUGGGCACACACAUUUUCCACCAAGCCAUCCAAUGCAUCCGCUUCUGAUUAUCCUCGCCCCCACCAGAUUUGAGAUAUCGCAUCAGUGAUUCCCUUACAAUUUUUUAGGAAUUUUAAAGACAAACAUCACAUAGGUGGGGAUAGCUUGUAUAGCAGAUUUCAGGAGGAUUUCCUUCCCUCCCCCGGAUAAUUUUUUUCUUUCCAUCAACUUAUCUUCAUGAUGAUACGGUCAAUCAAAUAUUGAAAACAGUCAGAUUUAUCGAUCCAUACCCACAUUAGCCGGUAACCCAAAUAUUUAUCAUUGAGAGCUUCAAUCAUAAUAUUAAGUGUUGUGCAGAGUUGCUCCUUGAUUUUCACUUUUGUAUUGGGGCUGAAAAAUAUACUUGAUUUAUCAACACUGACCAAUUGCCCCGAUGCUUUACAAUACGAGUCUAGAAUGGUUUUCAAAACCUCGGCACUGUGAAUACUUGCUGUCAUGAGGAUCAAUGAGUCAUCCGCAAAAGAAGAUUCAUAAUAGAUGGUGCCUCUCUACAUACUUUCACUCCUUCAAUUUUCCCACUUUCCUCCGCAUGUGACAAGAGAGCAGUCAGCCCCCCAGUACAUAGCAAAAAUAAAUAAGGUGAUAACAUGUCUCCUUGUCGUAAAGCUCUGGAUGACUUAAAACUCUCAGUUUCUUCCGAAUUAAAUUUAACUCGAUAUUCAACAGUAGAAACACAUUGCAUGAUAAAAUUAACCCAACUCUUUUGGAAGCCUAAUCUCAACAUGAUCUCCUUCAGAAAAACCCACUCCACUUGGUCAUAAGGUUUAUGCAUAUCAAGUUUAAUCGCGCACAAUCCUUCCUUUCCAUCCCUUCUAUUUUUUAUUUUGUGAAAACAUUCAUAAGCCACUAAAACAUUAUCAAAUCAUUCGUCUAGGUACAAAAGCACUCUGUAUCGGGCUAAUAAUUUCUGGAAGGAAAACCUUCAAUCGAGCAGCCACCCUUUUGGAUAUAACUUUGUGCACAACAUUAGUCUGAACUGAGUUACCUUAUCUGGUGAAUUAAUCUUCGGGAUCAUCACUAUCAAAGUGUCAUUUCAGCCUUCCGGGAUAGUGCACGUAUUCACGGCUUGCAACCCUUCUUGGACGAGAUCAUUCCCCAGCAUAGGCCAAAAUCCUUUAUAAAAAAUAGCAUGGAGUCCGUCAGAGCACGGGGCCUUUAAAUCUUCUAUAUCAAAAAGGGCUUUUCGAACAUCAUCAGCCGUAUAAGGCGCCAUGAGGGCGUUAUUCAUGUCAUUUGACACUCUUUUCCUAACGAGGGAUAGAACUUCCAUACUUGGCUGCCCCACUUCAGAGGUAAAAAGGUUUGAGAAAUAACUCCUAAUAUGAUUCUUUAAUUCCGCUCCUUGCCGCCAAACACCAGUAUCAUCAAGAAGUUUUUUAAUGUUAUUUCUUUUCUUCCUAGCCGUUGCGGCAUUAUGAAAAAAAGAUGUAUUACAAUCUCCAUGCAUCAAUCAGUUUGCUCUUCUUCUCUAUACCCAAAAAAUUUCCUCUUGAUCUAACAAAUUCUCGAUGAGAACAAGGACUUCCUUCUCGCAAGAGCAAGAUUAUGCAUCCAUUGGUCCCUGCCUCAACUUUUCCAGCUCUUUUUUUAAUUUACUUAUUCUUCUCUUUGGUCCUUUUAGAGUUUCUCGGUCCCAGGUGUGUAAAUCAGCCUGCACUGCCCGUGUACGUGCCGCAAGAGACGGACCAACACCCGCUAGUUUGACCUUUUCCCAUGCUGUUCACACAAUUUCUCCCACCGUCUCCUCUUUAAGCCAUCUAGCCUCAAAUUGCUUCACAUGUAUUUUUGGGCUAUUAAAAAAAUUCUCACCAUAAUAUUCUGUGUCAAAGAUUAAGGGACGAUGAUCAGAAUGCACAUACUCCUCAUUGGUGAUGCCCGUCUUUGGGAACUUAUUUGACCAUUCAACAUUGUAUACAACCCUAUCAAGUCUCUCCCUAAUCUCCGCUCUCCUCCAAGUGAAACAACCGCCAACAUAUCCCAGAUCAUGUAACCCACUGUCUCCCAAACAAUUCUGAAAUUCUUGCAUCAUUGCAUUCGGUCUUGGGUUACCUCCAUCCUUUUCAUAAGAAUACAUAACUUCAUUGAAAUCACCAAGAACAACCCACGGAUACGAGGCAUUAGAAUGUAAAGUGCGAAGGUCGGACCAAGAUAUAUGUAUGUCAUUCCAGACCGGAUGACCAUAAAACCCCAUAAAGCGCCAGUCCAUUUUAUUCUCAUUUAUAAAUAUUACAUCAAUAAAAUACGGAGACAAGUAGUAACCUGUGGAAGAGAUCCUGUGGUAACCAGCGGUGCGUUCAGAGACGAGACGCUGAUCGCCAUGGAGCGUCCGGGUUAUAUUGUCGGUGUGAUCCAUAUAAAUUCCAAGGUGGUGAUGCCGAUGCCAUCCUUGGGGAGGGGAGGCACUCGUACACGAUCGGACUUGCUAAGCUACCGGUAAUCCCUGAAUCGGCUGGCCUGUGAUAGAGUUCAGGCCAAGACAGAGAGAGAGAGCACGCCCACGCAACGCUGCGCAGGCAGGAACGGCAAGCCGGCCGGCCGCGCGUUCCACUGUCGUACAGCGGCUAUGCGAAGGUGAGAGCAUCUACAACCGUACUUUACAAAUUCGGCCUCUCAAACACCCGCGGACAUGUCUGUGAAAAGUGACCGAAGUGACCGUCCACGUCUUAAAUUAGCUACUCUGUAUUCGAAUCUCUCAUACCUCAACCCCUAAAUCCAUAUAAAGCAUCCAAAAAAAAUCCUACGUACUACAUACUAGGUACUACCCUAGCUAAUCUUCGUCGCCGAAUAUGUCCACGAGUUGGUGCCGGACGCUGGGUGGACGGACGCGCAUGUAGGAGGGCUCCGGCUCAUCCCGCUCGACCUCAUCCAGGUAGGCGAACAUCUCCUCCUCCUCCUCCUCCUCCGUGGCGUGAUGCACCUCCAUCUCCUGUCGGCGACGCCGUCUCUCGCCUCCGCAUCCGGCUCCGAGCGGAGGGAAUCCAGGAUGGCCUGCUGCUCCGCCUGCAGAUCUGCAUCCCGGCGUCCCCCACAUCCUCCUCCUCUGGAUCCACUGCAUCCGGAGGUAGCCCCGUGGCGAUCCGGGCUUCAUGCCUUGCCUGGAUCUCCUCAAGGAGCUGCAGUCGGCGCUCCCGCGAUAGAAAUGGGUGGCCCCUUAUCUGGUGGCGUGGGAGAAUGGCUACUAGUGGUGGCGGAGGGGGAGUGAAAAGUGGCGGCGGCGGACGGGCGGAAGGAAAUGUCGAAGGGUAGGGUUUCGGUGCUGGCGGUCGGCUUAAAUAGCCGGACUAGGCACUACGCGGCCCGCUGGAGCGGUGCCACACGGCGACAUCGGUCCGACAGAGUAGACUAGCUUCGGACCGUCGGGUUCCAGGCGAUUCCACGUGGGUCCCCGAUGUCAGUUCGACGUGGCGGGCGUGUCCAGACGCCCCAUAUCCGCCGCAUAUUUGGGAUGGAUAUGAGGGAUGCGGGUCAGCCGGGGAGUUUGAGGCUCAUUUGAGGCGCCCAGCUGGGUCAAAAUUUCAUGACCGGGCGGCCUGUUCGGAUGUUUAAGUCGGGUUUGGUAGAUGCUCUGGGCUCUGGAUUGUCGAAGCCAUGUUGUACAUCGGGAUAUGAUGCCACCAACCAUGGUACUGCUGUAGACGGUACAAAUUGGGACAGUUAGACGACUAUUCAUUUUAAAAACCAACACGUAAGAAGCUUCUGGCUUUAAAUUAAUAACAAGUCACGCCAUGCAAUGGAUUUAGCGGCAAAUCGCGUCGACUUCGGUCAUGGCGGACGAUGACGGUGUCUCCGAUGCUCCCUGUUGAUGCAUCGUCAUUGCAAACUGCGUCAACAUGAUUGGAAUGUUCCGGGGGAAACACUAGAUCUGGGUCUACCGGAUCGGACGAUGACAGCGCCUUCAAUGGAGUGCUCCCUCCUGAGGGCAUCGUUUUGGAGCAGGAGCUUGCUGGAGGGGACGAGGAGGAGCGGUGUUUCAUUUACCGCAAGGCCGAUGACAGAUCCCGGCGGCAUGGCGCUGCGGAGUUUCGGUGACGGGCGCGUGUGGAUGGACUCGCGCAGGAGGACGACGCUGUCUGGCGUCGUGGUGGCGUCGAUGACAGAGAGACCUGGCACGGUAGAUGUGAUCCGUCUCCAACGUAUCUAUAAUUUUUGAUUGUUUCAUGCUAUUAUAUUACCCCUUUUGGAUGUUUAUGGGCUUUAUUUUACACAUUUAUAUCAUUUUUGGGACUAACCUACUAACCGGAGGCCCAGCCCGUAUUGCUGUUUUUUUGCCUAUUUCAGUAUUUCGAAGAAAAGGAAUAUCAAACGGAGUCAAAACGGAAUAAAACCUUCGGGAGCGUGAUUUUUAGAAUGAACGUGAUCCAGAGGACUUGGAGUGCAAGUCAAGAAGCAGCCGAGGCCUCCACGAGAUAGGAGGGCGCGCCCCCCCUGUAGAGCGCGCCCCCUGUCUCGUGGGCCCCUCGGGCAUCCACCGACGUACUUCUUCCUCCUAUAUAAGCCUACGUACCCUAAAAACAUCCAGGGGCAGGACGAAACACAAUUUCCACCACCGUAACCUUCUGUAUCCGCGAGAUCCCAUCUUGAAGCCUUCGCCGACACUCUGCCGGAGGGGGAAUCGACCACGGAGUGCUUCUACAUCAACAUCCUUGCCGCUCCGAUGAGUUGUGACACUAGUAGAAAAGGGGGCAAUGGUCCAGGCUGGUCCAGCCCAUUAGUCCCGGUUCAAUCCAGAACCGGGACCAAUGGGGGCAUUGGACCCGGUUCUUGAGCCCAGGGGGCCGGACGGGCCACAUGGGCCAUUGGUCCCGGUUCGUCUGGACCUUUUGGUCCCGGUUGGCAGGACGAACCGGGACCAAUGUGCCUUGCUCCUGGCCCACCACCAUUGGUCCCGAUUCGUGGCACGAACCGGGACCAAAGGCUUCCCUUUAGUCCCGGUUCAUGCCACGAACCGGGACCAAUUAAUUUCCUAUAUAUACCCCACGAGCAGAGCACUCUCACUGCUCUGUUUUUCGUGGCCGGCGAGGAGAGAGCUUUGUGUUGCUCUAGCUCACCUCCUAUGCACACGAGGUGUUCGAUGGAAUGCCCGAGCCACACUACUUAAGCUUUCUCCUCUCCAAGCUCCACCUCCAAGCUCCAUUUUUCUCAAUAUUUCUCUAGGUUUAGCGGUCCGUCAUGUCCCGUCCCCGUCUUCACCGCCGUCGAUCACCCGCGUCGCCGGCACCACCGUGGUGAGCCUCUUGUUCUUAUCUUCUUUCUGAAAGGAAAAAAAACUCUUACUUGUAUGUUUAUAUAGACACUUGUAUAAUUUUCUUUCUUUUCUUAUUGCAUCUUAUAUAGUGCGAUGGUUUUGGUAUCCGCCCCCGUCGGCCCUCGUCCUGUCUAUGAUUCAGAUGUGGUAUAUAUUAUCUUUUCAUAACUAUUGGUUCAUUUAUUGUUUAUGACAAUUAUGCCGACGAACGUGACAUAGAUUUUAUUUAUCUAGGAGGUUGUUGAACCAGAAAUUCCAACCGACCCUAUUGUCAAGAGGUUAAAUUUAGUUGAAGAAGAAAACAAUUUGUUGAAGGAAAAAAUUAGAAAAAUUGAGGAGGAGAAGAUGAUAUUGGAGUUGCAUGUUGCGGAUGUCGUCGAUGAUCACAAGAUCAAGAUGGAUGCAAUGCGCUUGAAGAUUAGAAAGAUUAGAAAAUAUGCCAUUCAUACCGAGGCUUGGUAUCAUUAUGCCGUUGGAUCAGUUGUUACAUUGGUUGCGAUUAUGAUCGCAUUUGUUUUCGCAUUGAAAUGUUUUACAUAGUUUCAGUGUAUGGUUUAAUUAAUUUAGAUGCUCUGCAGAGCUUUAUGUUGUUAGAUGAGAACUAUGUAUGUACUUUGGUUUUAAUGUGAUGAUGAACUUCUAUUAAUUUGGUCACUUAAUUAUAUAAUGCACGCAGAUGAACCGGCAAUGGAUGUACGGUUCAAGACACACCUCCGAGUACAUUAAGGGCGUGCAUGAUUUUCUCAAAGUGGCUGAGGCAAACAAGCAGAAUGGUUUUAUGUGUUGUCCAUGCCCUAUAUGUGGGAAUACGAAGUCUUACUCUGACCGGAAAAUCCUCCACACCCACCUGCUUUACAAGGGUUUCAUGCCACACUAUAAUGUUUGGACGAGGCACGGAGAAAUAGGGGUUAUGAUGGAAGAUGGCGAAGAAGAAGAGUACGAUGACAACUAUGUGCCCCCUGAAUACGGUGAUGCUCCUGAAGAUCAAGAGGAACCAGACGAUGUGCACGAUGAUGCUGCAACGGGCGAAGCUGCUGAAGAUCAAGAGGAACCAGACGAUGUGCCCGAUGAUGAUGAUCUCCGCCGGGUCAUUGUCGAUGCAAGGACGCAAUGCGAAAGUCAAAAGGAGAAGCUGAAGUUCGAUCGCAUGCUAGAGGACCACAAAAAAGGGUUGUACCCCAAUUGCGAAGAUGGCAACACAAAGCUGGGUACCGUACUGGAAUUGCUGCAGUGGAAGGCAGAGAAUGAUGUGCCUGACAAAGGAUUUGAGAAGCUACUUAAAAUAUUGAAGAAGAAGCUUCCAAAGGAUAACGAAUUGCCCGACAGUACAUACGCAGCAAAGAAGGUCGUAUGCCCUCUAGGAUUGGAGGUGCAGAAGAUACAUGCAUGCCCUAAUGACUGCAUCCUCUACCGCGGUGCGUACAAGGAUCUGAACGCAUGCCCGGUAUCCGGUGCAUUACGGUAUAAGAUCAGACGAGAUGACCCUGGUGAUGUUGACGGCGAGCCCCCCAGGAAGAGGGUUCCUGCGAAGGUGAUGUGGUAUGCUCCUAUAAUACCACGGUUGAAACGUCUGUUCAGAAACGGAGAGCAUGCCAAGUUGAUGCGAUGGCACAGUGAGGACCAUAAGAAAGACGGGAAGUUGAGAGCACCCGCUGACGGGUCGCAGUGGAGAAAAAUCGAGAGAAAGUACUGGGAUGAGUUUGCAAGUGAUCCAAGGAACGUAUGGUUUGCUUUAAGCGCGGAUGGCAUUAAUCCUUUCGGGGAGCACAGCAGCAAUCACAGCACCUGGCCCGUCACUCUAUGUAUGUAUAACCUUCCUCCUUGGAUGUGCAUGAAGCGGAAGUUCAUUAUGAUGCCAGUUCUCAUCCAAGGCCCUAAGCAACCCGGCAAUGACAUUGAUGUGUACCUAAGGCCAUUAGUUAAAGAACUUUUAGAGCUGUGGAAUGGAAACGGUGUGAGUACGUGGGAUGAGCACAAACAGGAGGAAUUUAACCUAAAGGCGUUGUUGUUCGUGACCAUCAAUGAUUGGCCCGCUCUCAGUAACCUUUCAGGACAGACAAACAAGGGAUACCACGCAUGCACGCACUGUUUACUUGACACCGAUAGUAUGUACCUGGCAAGCUGCAGGAAGAAUGUGUACCUGGGCCAUCGUCGAUUUCUUCCGACCAACCAUCAAUGUCGAAAGAAAGGCAAGCAUUUCAAAGGCGAGGCAGAUCACCGGAAGAAGCCCGCCAUGCGUACCGGUGAGCACGUACUUGCUAUGGUCAAUGGUUUACACGUAAUCUUUGGAAAGGGUCCCGGCGGACUAGCUGUUCCGAGUGACGCUGGGGGACACGCACCCAUGUGGAAGAAGAAAUCUAUAUUUUGGGACCUACCCUACUGGAAAGACCUAGAGGUCCGCUCUUCGAUCGACGUGAUGCACGUGACGAAGAACCUUUGCGUGAACCUGCUAGGCUUCUUGGGCGUGUAUGGGAAGACAAAAGAUACAGCUGAGGCACGGGAGGACCUGCAACGUUUGCACGAAAAAGACGGCAUGCGUCCAAAGCAGUAUGAAGGUCCUUCCAGCUAUGCUCUUACCAAAGAAGAGAAGGAAAUCUUCUUUGAAUGCCUGCUUAGUAUGAAGGUCCCGACUGGCUUCUCGUCGAAUAUAAAAGGAAUAAUAAAUAUGGCAGAGAAAAAGUUUCAGAACCUAAAGUCUCAUGACUGCCAUGUGAUUAUGACGCAACUGCUUCCGGUUGCAUUGAGGGGGCUUCUACCGGAAAACGUCCGAUUAGCCAUUGUGAAGCUAUGUGCAUUCCUCAAUGCAAUAUCUCAGAAGGUGAUCGAUCCAGAAAUCAUACCAAGGCUAAGGAGUGAUGUGGUGCAAUGUCUUGUCAGUUUUGAGCUGGUGUUCCCACCAUCCUUCUUCAAUAUCAUGACGCACAUCCUAGUUCAUCUAGUUGACGAGAUUGUCAUUCUGGGCCCCGUAUUUCUACACAAUAUGUACCCCUUUGAGAGGUUCAUGGGAGUCCUAAAGAAAUAUGUCCGUAACCGCGCUAGGCCAGAAGGAAGCAUCUCCAUGGGCCAUCAAACAGAGGAUGUCAUCGGGUUUUGUGUUGACUUCAUUCCUGGCCUUAAGAAGAUAGGUCUCCCUAAAUCGCGGUAUGAGGGGAGACUGACUGGAAAAGGCAUGCUUGGAAGGGACUCAAUAAUAUGCAGGGACGGAUAUUCUUGGUCUCAAGCACACUACACAGUUCUACAGAACUCUACCUUGGUGACCCCGUAUGUCGAUGAACACAAGAACAGUCUGCGCUACAAACACCCGGAGCAGUGCGACGACUGGAUGACAUGUGAACACAUCAGGACUUUCAGCAGUUGGUUGGAAGCACGUAUCAGAGGUGACAACACUGUUUGUGAUGAGUUGUACUUGUUAUCCAGGGGACCAUCUUUGACUGUAUUGAUUCGGAAAGGAUACGAGAUAAAUGGGAAUACAUUUUACACGAUUGACCAAGAUCAAAAGAGCACCAACCAAAACAGCGGUGUCCACUUUGAUGCAACAACCGAGAGGGGAAAUGACACAUAUUAUGGUUACAUAGUGGACAUAUGGGAACUUGACUACGGACAUGAUUUUAAGGUCCCUUUGUUUAAGUGCAAAUGGGUCAAUAUGUCAGGAGGCGGGGUAUAGGUAGACCCACAGUACGGAAUGACAACAGUGGAUCAGAAAAAUCUUGGGUACACUGACGAACCGUUCGUCCUAGCCAAUGAUGUGGCACAGGUUAUCUAUGUGAAGGACAUGUCUACCAGACCGAGAAAGAGAAAAGAUAAGGAAGCGAAUACAUCAUACGAUGAGCCAAAGCACCACAUAGUUCUUUCAGGAAAAAGGGACAUCGUGGGAGUGGAGGACAAGACAGACAUGUCUGAAGAUUAUGAAAAGUUUCAUGAAAUUCCUCCCUUUAAAGUCAAGGCUGACCCCAGCAUCUUGAUAAACGAUGAAGAUUAUCCAUGGUUACGGCGCAAUAAGCAAAUGACACAAGCGAAGAAAAAGUGAAGACUUUCUCCCGCAACUAUUAUGAUGAUACCAUGCCAACUUUGUAACUGACGAGUAUGAUACCAUUGUCCGUUUUGUACAUGCACAUGCUAUGUGUGGGUCAAUUUAUGAUACCAUGCCAACUUUCAACUUUUUCAGAGUUCAUUUGAAAUGCUUUAAUGUCUUAUGGUUCGGCCCUCGUAAUAAUUAAAAAUAGCAACAAUAAGUAUUUUGUUGUAAGUAGAAACAAAAUAAAACAAAAAAAGUAGGAAGUUUAUAAUUUUCUUAAAACUAAAAGCAAAAAGAAUUAAAAAUAAAGCAAAAAACAAAAGAAAAUAAAUAAUGCACAAAACAAAACAAAAAAACUGGAAAAAAAAUAAAAAUAGCAACAAUAAGUAAAGAAAACAAAAAAACAAAAAAAAUGCCCCCCACUGGGGCCCCACGGCCUGAAUACAACUUGAAACCCUACUAUGGGCCAGGAUUCAGGCCCGCAGUAGGCCCAGAAGGCCCAUCAAGCAAAGCAGUCGCAAGUAGGCCCAUAAGCCUGCAGUAGAGAGGAGCUCGAGAGGGGUGCGGCAGUGGGGCUUAUAAACCACUGCACGCCCCUCUCAACUAGCGAGGUGGGACUAAANNNNNNNNNNNNNNNNNNNNNNNNNNNNNNNNNNNNNNNNNNNNNNNNNNNNNNNNNNNNNNNNNNNNNNNNNNNNNNNNNNNNNNNNNNNNNNNNNNNNNNNNNNNNNNNNNNNNNNNNNNNNNNNNNNNNNNNNNNNNNNNNNNNNNNNNNNNNNNNNNNNNNNNNNNNNNNNNNNNNNNNNNNNNNNNNNNNNNNNNNNNNNNNNNNNNNNNNNNNNNNNNNNNNNNNNNNNNNNNNNNNNNNNNNNNNNNNNNNNNNNNNNNNNNNNNNNNNNNNNNNNNNNNNNNNNNNNNNNNNNNNNNNNNNNNNNNNNNNNNNNNNNNNNNNNNNNNNNNNNNNNNNNNNNNNNNNNNNNNNNNNNNNNNNNNNNNNNNNNNNNNNNNNNNNNNNNNNNNNNNNNNNNNNNNNNNNNNNNNNNNNNNNNNNNNNNNNNNNNNNNNNNNNNNNNNNNNNNNNNNNNNNNNNNNNNNNNNNNNNNNNNNNNNNNNNNNNNNNNNNNNNNNNNNNNNNNNNNNNNNNNNNNNNNNNNNNNNNNNNNNNNNNNNNNNNNNNNNNNNNNNNNNNNNNNNNNNNNNNNNNNNNNNNNNNNNNNNNNNNNNNNNNNNNNNNNNNNNNNNNNNNNNNNNNNNNNNNNNNNNNNNNNNNNNNNNNNNNNNNNNNNNNNNNNNNNNNNNNNNNNNNNNNNNNNNNNNNNNNNNNNNNNNNNNNNNNNNNNNNNNNNNNNNNNNNNNNNNNNNNNNNNNNNNNNNNNNNNNNNNNNNNNNNNNNNNNNNNNNNNNNNNNNNNNNNNNNNNNNNNNNNNNNNNNNNNNNNNNNNNNNNNNNNNNNNNNNNNNNNNNNNNNNNNNNNNNNNNNNNNNNNNNNNNNNNNNNNNNNNNNNNNNNNNNNNNNNNNNNNNNNNNNNNNNNNNNNNNNNNNNNNNNNNNNNNNNNNNNNNNNNNNNNNNNNNNNNNNNNNNNNNNNNNNNNNNNNNNNNNNNNNNNNNNNNNNNNNNNNNNNNNNNNNNNNNNNNNNNNNNNNNNNNNNNNNNNNNNNNNNNNNNNNNNNNNNNNNNNNNNNNNNNNNNNNNNNNNNNNNNNNNNNNNNNNNNNNNNNNNNNNNNNNNNNNNNNNNNNNNNNNNNNNNNNNNNNNNNNNNNNNNNNNNNNNNNNNNNNNNNNNNNNNNNNNNNNNNNNNNNNNNNNNNNNNNNNNNNNNNNNNNNNNNNNNNNNNNNNNNNNNNNNNNNNNCGGCUCUGUUUUUUCAUUUUUAUUAGUUUAAUUUUUUUGUUCAUAUAUAUAUAUAUAUAUAUAUAUAUAUAAUGUAUAUGUGUAUGUAUGUGGCUAUGUGUAUGUAAUGUUCAAAAAUUGUUCAGAGCAUGUUUUUGUUCAUAUAUGUAUUUAUUGUUCAUAUGUGUAUUUAUUGUUCAGAACAAGCAAUACUAAAAGAAUGAGAGGAAAAAGGAAAAUAAGAAGAGAAAGAAAGGAGAAAAAGAGGAGAGGAAGAAGAGGAGAAAUAAAUAAGAAGAGGAAAAAAGAAGAAAAAGAAGAGAAAAAGAAGAAAGGAAUAGAGGAGAAAGAAGAAAUUCUAUUUUUUCUUCUUUCUCUAUUCCUUUCUUCUUCUCCUCUUUUUUUUCUUCUUCUUAUUCCUUCUUCCUGUUUCUCUUUUCUUCCUUUUCCUUAAUUAUUUUCCUUUCUCGAGGGAGAAGAACAAAAAGAAGAGGAGAAGAAGAUAUAACCCCCUCUAGAUAACUUCGACAUGAGGGGCGGUCGAUAUAUAUAUAUACCCCCUCUCGACCGUGAUAACUUAUACAACUGCAGCACCCCCCUUGGCCCUCUCGCUCGACCAAAACUCUCGAGGACACCCAAACCCUAGAGAGAAAACAAUGUUGUGGUCUCCUACCCCCUUCCGCCGCGCCCCUACCCGACAAAUUAACUCUCUCGAGGCCACCCAAAUUUAUCAAGUUAAAAGAGCGUUAUCGUCGAGGCCACCCCAAACCCUUGAAGCGUUGUGUCGAGGCCACUAACAUGUUUCCUUAUUGUGAUUAGCUAGAUAGUUCUACUUNNNNNNNNNNNNNNNNNNNNNNNNNNNNNNNNNNNNNNNNNNNNNNNNNNNNNNNNNNNNNNNNNNNNNNNNNNNNNNNNNNNNNNNNNNNNNNNNNNNNNNNNNNNNNNNNNNNNNNNNNNNNNNNNNNNNNNNNNNNNNNNNNNNNNNNNNNNNNNNNNNNNNNNNNNNNNNNNNNNNNNNNNNNNNNNNNNNNNNNNNNNNNNNNNNNNNNNNNNNNNNNNNNNNNNNNNNNNNNNNNNNNNNNNNNNNNNNNNNNNNNNNNNNNNNNNNNNNNNNNNNNNNNNNNNAUAUAUAUAUAUAUAUAUCCAUCUGUACCAUGUUUGAAUAAUAAUUGACAUGUUGUAAAUAUUUGCAGAAACUAUGGAGCACUCCCGAGACGAAGAAACAGAAGCGAUGUUGGGGGACAUAAUCGCAAAUGGAUCAAGUGAUGAUGUUGCGUCAUUUCUCCUCGACACCGUUGAUCAGCUAGAUGAAGAAGAGGGCUAUGUUUAUGAUGGUGGCUUCGACCCAUUAAUGCCGGUACAAGAGGAGGACUAUGUUCAUAUGGCUUCGGUGACACAAUGGAGGUACAAGACGAAGGAGACCGUGCUGACUGCUCCGGUCACCGAACCGAGUCCGGCCAGGUAUAUAUAUAUUAGUUAAGCCCGUGCUCACUAGUUAAUUGAUGCAUCCAUUGUUUUGGUAUAUGUACACAUAUUAAUUACUGUCGUCUUUCUUCCUUAUAAUUUCUAGCCCUCCGGAUCGAGCACAACUUCGGUAAGGAGACGAGGCCCGAAGAAAAAGUUGAGCUCGGAUGAAAAGUUCGAGAUCAUAGAAAUCGCGCCCGACGGCGAACCGAUUGAACCCAUCCGGACAAGGAAGGCAUUUUCUGCUCAGUGCGGGGUUCUUGUUAGGGACAGGAUCCCGAUCAGCAUCCAGCAAUGGUAUAAGCCUGCUAAGGAUGAAGACGCUGAGGUGUCUUAUGUCAAUGAUACGCAGAAAGAAGAUCUUUGGACUGAGCUGAAGGAAAAUUUCACCCUAUUGCCAGAGGAGGAUCCGGAGAAGCCAGUUAAAGAGCAAUUAAUCAAGUCUUGUGCUCUUAAGAAGAUGGCAGGCCUAAUGAGGAGGUGGAGGAAAGAGCUGAACCAGUUCGUCAAGGAAAAAAAGACACCAGAAUUCAUCAGCAAAUAUGAGAAGAUCAAAGAUCACUGGCCCGCAUUUGUGGCCCACAAGACAUCGGAAAAGAGUAAGAAGAUGUCGGAGACAAACAAGAAAAAUGCUGUGAAGAAGAAGCUUCACCAUCGCACGGGGUCAGGUGGCUACCUCAAAGCCCGGCCUAAGUGGUCCAAGGCUGAGCAUGAUCUGCUUGAAAAAGGGAUCAAACCAGAGACAAUGCGCUAGCCAGACCGUUGCCGGACUUGGUUCUUCGGGGCUGGCGGAACCUUGGACCCUGUAAAAGGGAAGUGUCAGUGGACGGACGAGCAACUGCAAAUACCAGUCAAGAACCUUCGACACUAUAUCGAUGCAGCGCAGCGAGGGACGUUCCUUCCAAACAGGGAGAAGGACGAGCUCACAAUGGCCCUUGGGAAUCCCGAGCACCCUGGACGGACACGAGGCACGCCAGGCUCCAUUCCGUGGAAGGUUGGUUUUCCAGACACAGGGGGUUAUAAAACCCACGAGAGGAGGAAGAAACUGGAGCAGGACCAAAUGCAGGCGCUGCUUGGAAGGGUAAAGGGGCUAGAGGAUCGAGAAGAGGAACGAGAAGCAGCAGAUCGCAACAAACGACAUGCCGAAGCUUCCCCCAAAGCUACCCCGCCAUCUCAGCGGAGAAGCAGCGUGGCUUCCACCGAGCUGCUUCAGCCGGAGCAUGUCUUGACGGCUCCUGCCAGCUAUCCCGUGGAUGGUAUCACGGAGUCUCAAAAUUGCCACAUGAUGGCGCGAUGGAUGAAUUUGAAGGUCAAGGCGGCUGUUGGCCAAGUUUAUCCUAGUGGACCCGGCACAACUUAUCACUGCCAGCCGAUUCCAAAAGGAUAUGCUAAGGUGAUGGUGGAUGAAAUAACGGAGGGAUUUGAGGACCUCGUACUUGACCACCCUACCGGUGAAGGGGAGACUAGGCUGGGUUCUGCUCUGAAGACUCCAUGCCUAUGGAAGAAGGAGCUCAUCAACCUUCUGAACUGGACGCCUCCGCCUCCUCCUCCUGCUCCGGCGAGUCGGGGCACUCCGCCUCCUCCACCGCCUCCUCCUUCGGCGAGUGACGAUCAGGGCACGCGUGGCGGCACUCCGCCUCCUUCUCCGGCGCAUGGCGGCACUCCGCCUCCUUCUCCGCCUGCACCGGUGCUCCCGAGCAGCCAGCAGCAUCCUCCUUCUCCGCCUCGCCAGCAAGGGCGGAAGAGACCCGCCGCCGCCCCGGCUGCUCCGGCGCGUCGUACUCCUUCUCCUCCACCUCGUAAGCAAGCACGAAAGAAGACAGACGCCGCAGUCGCUCCGUCUGCUCCGGCCUCUAGCAGCACAACCAGAGGCGGGAGGCAAUACAAAUACGGUCCAUCAUCUCUCAAGCCUCUAGAGAAGUUACCGUACGAGAGGUCCGAGGAGGAAAACAAUAAGAUUGUGCAUGCCCACGUGAAGGAGUUCUUUGAAGGGGUGAAAGCAAAGAUACAUCCACCUCCGGAGGAGAAGGUAGAUCCAGUGAAAGCAAAGCGCACUAUCGAUGCCCUGAGGAAAACACCAAAGUCUCCACCGAGAACCAACUAUGAGCGCAUUACUGAACAGACAUAUCUCCAAGCCCAGUGGUCGGGAACUACUGUCAGUGCUAAAAGGUCAAAACAACAAGCAAAGGGGAAAAAAUUGCCCAGCUCAGCGAACAAGCACAGCAAUCGUGCCCCCCGCUCAAUGUGUCUAAUGCUCCGGGGACGGUGGCCGGUUAUGGCAAUCUUGACGAUUACCUGCCUGAUGAUGCACUUCCUGAUUUCUUGAAGGUGGACGGACACAGAUACGAGUACGGGAAGCCUCUCGUCAAAGAUGAAAAAUCUCUGACAACAAUAAUGCGAAGAUUCCAUAAUUGGUACAUGGAAACCUGCAGAGAGUCUGAUGGUAAGAAUGCUUUGUAUCUGCAUAUUAAAGAGGAGCACGAUCUCGUUGCAAAUGAUCUGUUGACUGUUCCAUUUGAGGAGUUCUUCGAGUUCUUCAAUCAAAAGGCCCUCGAUAAAUUAAUGGUCUUUUGCUACUGCCUGUAAGUACUAUUUCUGUCAUUAAGUCUCUAUAUAUAGCUCGGCUCUUUCAUUGCAUGCAUGUAUUUAUAAUUAAUUAUCCUCAAUAUAUUAUGCAGAUUGAAGAUCGUCGAGUGCAAAAAACAAGAAAUUUAUGAUAUUGGGUUCAUUAACACAAAUAUCAUAGAUGUAUUUCUGGUUAAAAAGAACGUCAAAGAGGCCGAGGACAACUUGCUACGAUCGUUGAUAAAAAAUCAAAACAAAGAUACCAUACUCUUUCCUUACAACGGCCCGUGAGUGUUACUGUCGUGUGCAUAUUCGGUUUCCCUUAUUACUCAAGCGAGGUUAUAGUAAUGUAAUUGAUGAGUUAUGCAUGCGUGCUCAGGUACCACUAUAUUCUUCUGGAGAUUAAGCUUGAGCGUGGACUAGUAACCGUCUUAGACUCGAGACGGAAAGAUCCCAAAACCUAUGCGGACAUGACUGAAAUGCUCAGCAAGUAAGUUCAAUCGAUCAUAAUUAUCGCACCAUAUCGGUAACUUUUUGUUCAUUUCCUGAUAUCUCAAGUAAAAAUAAUUAUUUUCUUUGUCUUGCAGGGUUUGGAAACAGUUCACCGCAGAAGCUCCGGGACUGCCGAAGGAGCUGCGAUAUACAUACCCGAAAGUAAGUACUAUUGGCUAGCUAGUUGCGCGCAUCUCCGGCCCGUUGAUUCUAUAUAUAGCUAUACUUUCAUCAAUGCCAUUUAUAAUGCUUCAUUAUCAGUUUGAUUGACCUCUAUUUCUCGUAAAGUGCUUGUGGCAGGAGGAAGGGAAUGAUUUUUGUGGAUACUACGUGUGCGAGUUCAUCCACACCGCAACUUUGAAAAACAAGCGGGGCUACUCUCAAAGACAAUAUGAAGUGCGUAAGCAAUAAUAUUCACAAUUUCAUUUUAUUACACCAUCAUUUCUGUUGAGUUUCAUUCAUAUAUAUGUAUUAAUUAACCCCCUUCUUCAAAUUAGACGUGGCAGAUGCGGAAUGAACUCCUAGAACCAGAUCGCAUGAAAGCAAUUCAAGAGGAAUUGGCGGGAUUCUUUCUUGACCACGUCAUCAGUAAAACCGGAGAAUACCAUGUGGAAAUUGAUUUCAAAUGCUAGCUAGGGAUUUGUAAUUAUAAGAGAUCUUAUACAUAUUGUACAUGUAUGUAGCCAGUAGCGUCAGAUACAUGAUACGAAAACUUGUUGUUCGACCAACCUCUCGGAGAAGGAGAGGUCGAUCGAUCACUUCUCUCGGUAUGCAUGACGAACUUCUGUAUUGAAUGGUUCUCUCGAUCACUUAUGUAUAUAUAGUACGUAGCGUCCAAGCACGGACAUAAGAGAGGACACUCUCUCUAUUAAUUAGCUAGCUAACACAAUAUAUGAAACACCUAAUUAAAUUAACCCCCCAAAACCCCCAACCUCCCCUCCUUUCAAAAAAAACACAAAAACCCCAGCAACCGGAAUGCUGACGCGUGGAUGCAUUUUGGUCCCGGUUGGUGCCACCAACCGAGACCAAAGGCCCCCUGACUGGGGUGGGCGCACAGGGCCACGUGGAGGCGCAUUGGUCCCGGUUCUGGAUUGAACCGGGACUAAUGGGUGGAGGUAUUAGUAACGACCCAUUAGUCCCGGUUCAUGAACCGGGACUAAAGGCCCUUACGAACCGGGACUAAUGGGUGGUUUUCUACUAGUGUGAGUAGUUUGCCACAGACCUACGGGUCAAUAGUUAUUAGCUAGAUGACUUCUUCUCUCUUUUUGGAUCUCAAUACAAUGUUCUCCCCCUCUCUUGUGGAGAUCUAUUCGAUGUAAUCUCUUUUUGCGGUGUGUUUGUCGAGAUACGAUGAAUUGUGGGUUUAUGAUUAGAUUUAUCUAUGGAUAAUAAUUGAAUCUUCUCUGAAUUAUUUUAUGUAUGAUUGAGUUAUCUUUGUAAGUCUCUUCGAAUUAUCAGUUUGGUUUGGCCUACUAGAUUGAUCUUUCUUUCCAUGGGAGAAGUGCUUAGCUUUGGGUUCAAUCUUGCGGUGUCCUUACCCAGUGACAGAAAGGGUUGCAAGGCACGUAUUGUAUUGUUGUCAUCGAGGAUAAAAAGAUGGGGUUUAUAUCAUAUUGCUUGAGUUUAUCCCUCUACAUCAUGUCAUCUUUCUUAAUGCGUUACUCUGUUCUUAUGAACCUAAUACUCUAGAUGCAUGCUAGAUAGCGGUCGAUGUGUGGAGUAAUAGUAGUAGAUGCAGGCAGGAGUCGGUCUACUUGUCACGGACGUGAUGCCUAUAUACAUGAUCAUGCCUAGAUAACGUCAUAAUUAUUCACUUUUCUAUCAAUUGCUCGACAGUAAUUUGUUCACCCACCGUAAUACUUAUGCUCUCGAGAGAAGCCUCUAGUGAAACCUAUGGCCCCCGGGUCUAUCUCUUAUCAUAUUUGCUUUCAAUUACUUUUAUUUGCAUCUUUAUUUUCUGCAUCUAUAUUAUAAAAUACCAAAAAUAUUUUUAUCUUAUCAUACUAUCUCUAUCAUAUCUCAUUUUCGCAAGUGGCCGUGAAGGGAUUGACAACCCCUUUGUCGUGUUGGUUGCGAGUUCUUUAUUUGUUUGUGUAGGUUCGUGGGACUUGUUGAGGAGCCUCCUACUGGAUUGAUACCUUGGUUCUCAAAAACUGAGGGAAAUACUUACGCUACUAUUGCUGCAUCACCCUCUCCUCUUCAAGGAAAACCAACGCAAGCUCAAGACGUAGCAAGAAGGAUUUCUAGCGCCGUUGCCGGGGAGGUCUUCGCUCAAGUCAAGACAUACCAAGUACCCAUCACAAACUCAUCUCCCUCGCAUUUACAUUAUUUCCCAUUUGCCUCUCGUUUUCCUCUUCCCCACUUCACCCUUGCCGUUUUAUUCGCCCUCUCUUUCCCAAUCUCCUCCUCUCUUUCCGUUUGCCUUGUCGUUAUGGCUAGCUCGGUUUUUAUCCCUUCGUAUCCCGGCUUUGAAGUUCUUCACUUCAAACAAAGACAAGGAGAAAAUUUAAAAGAUGCUUGGUUCAGGAUGCUAGAAUCUUAUCAUAGUUGCGCUGUAGAAGGAGAUUUCAAGAUUUUAAUUCGCAAUUUUUAUGUUGGGUUGACUCUACCCCAUAGACAACUCCUUGAUUUUGCUGCAAAAGGGUGUUUUAUCGAAGUUGAUCCUAGUCUCGCUUCUGAAAUUAUAGAGGGGUUAGUAGGAGUACUUCCCCUACAAGCGAGAUCACCCUUCUCUCAUGAGGGAACCCAAAUUUUAGAGAAACUUUGUGAAUUGCAAAAAUUUGUUGAACCACUUAAGAAUAUUGGUGGGAGUAUCAACCGCAUGAAUAACUUGAUUACACUUUGUAAUAAGCGGUUGGAUGCCUUAGAUCAAAAGAUCUCUGAGUAUGAAGGGAAACGCAAGGAGCCUCCCGGAUCCGAGCAUAAUCCCAUUAAAAAGACAAGUGCCAAAGAUGGCACUACUUAGAUCUAUCUUCGCUUUUAUGCCUAGCUAGGGGCGUUUAACGAUAGCGCUAGUUGGGAGGCAACCCAAUUUUCUUUGUGUUUCUUGCUUUUGUUCCUGUUUAGUGUUAAAUUUUGUUUCUACUUUAUGUUUAUAUGUGUUUUUAGCUUUUAAUUAGUGUUUGUGCCAAGUAGAACCUAUAGGAUAAACUAUGAUGAUAGUUGAUUUGAUUCUGCUGAAAAACAGAAACUUUGCACUCACGAGAAAAAAUUCAAUAAAUCACCGAAACGUGCUCUUGCAUUGAUUCUUUUUUCUGAUGAUCAAUAAACAAAUUUUCCAGUACGUCCAAUUUUGGUAGGAUUUUUAGAGUUCCAUAAGUUUGCGUUAGUUACAGAUUUCUCAGACUGUUCUGUUUUUGACAGAUUCUGUUUUUCGUGUGUUGAUUGCUUAUUUUGAUGCAUCUAUGGCUAGUAAAAUAGUUUAUAAACCAUAGAGAAGUUGGAAUACAGUAGGUUUAACACCAAAAUAAAUAAAGAAUGAGUUCAUUACAGUACCUUAUGUGGUGGUUUUGUUUUCUUUCACUAACGGAGCUUAUAAGAUUUCCUGUUGAGUUUUGUGUUGUGAGGUUUUCAAGUUUUGGGUAAAGCUUUUAUGGACUAUGGAAUAAGGAGUGGCAAGAGCCUAAGCUUGGGGAUGCCCAAGGCACCCCAAGAUAUUCAAGGAUAGCCAAGCCUAAGUUUGGGGAUGCCCCGGGAAGGCAUCCCCUCUUUCGUCUUCGUUCAUUGGUAACUUUACUUGGAGCUAUAUUUUUAUUCGCCACAUGAUAUGUGUUUUGCUUGGAGCGUCGUGUAUUAUAUUAGUCUUUGCUUUUUAGUUUACCACAAUCAUCCUUGCUGUACACACCUUUUUGGAGAAGCCUAUUUUAUUUGAAUUUGCUAGAAUACUCUAUGUGCUUCACUUAUAUCUUUUGAGCUUGAUAAUUUUUGAUCUAGUGCUUCACUUAUAUCUUUUAGAGCAUGGUGGUGUCUUAAUUUUGGAGAAAUUGCUAGUCUCUCAUGCUUCACUUAUAUUAUUUUGAGAGUCUUUUAGAACAGCAUGGUAUUUGCUUUGGUUACAAAUUUGGUCCUAGAAUGAUGAGCAUCCAAGUUGGGUAUAAUAAAAACUAUCAUAGAAAAUGAAUUGGAUGCUAGGAUCAAUUUGAUGCUUGAUAAUUGUUUUGAUAUAUAAAGGAAGUAAUGUUAAGGUCAUGCUAGUGGAUAAUUAUGAAAUUGAGAAAUACUUUUUUUGAAGUUGGCAAGUCCCGUAGCAUGCACGUAUGGUAAAAGUUGUGUGACAAAUUUGUUGCAUGAGGUGCUCUUUUGAGUGUCUUCCUUAUGAGUGGCAGUGGGGGACGAGCGAUGUAAUUUUUUCCUUCCAAUCUAUCCCUCUUGGGGCAUGCGUAGUAGUACUUUGCUUCGAGGGCUAAGUAGACUUUUGCAAUAAGUAUAUGAGUUCUUUAUGACUAAUGUGAGUCCAUGGAUAUACGCACACUCAUCCUUCCACUUUGCUAGCUCCUCUAUUUUACCGCGCAAUUUUCGCCGGUAGCAUAAACCCAUUAUUUACCUUCCUCAAAACAGCCACCAUACCUACCUAUUAUGGCAUUUCCAUAGCCAUUCCGAGAUAUAUUGCCAUGCAACUUUCCACCGUUCCGUUUAUUAUGACACGUUUCAUCAUUGUCAUAUUGCUCUUUGCAUGAUCAUGUAGUUGACAUCAUAUUUGUGGCAAAGCCACCUUCAUAAUUUUCAUACAUGUCGCUCUUGAUUCAUUGCAUAUCCCGGUACACCGUCGGAGGCAUUCACAUAGAGUCAUAUCUUGUUCUAGCUUUGAGUUGUAAUUCUUGAGUUGUAAAUCCAUAAAAGUGUGAUGAUCUUCAUUAUUAGAGCAUUGUCCUAGUGAGGAAAGUAUGAUAAAGACUAUGAUUCCCCCACAAGUCGGGAUGAGACUUCGGACUUUAUAAAAAUAAAAGAGGCCAAAGAAGCCCACCAAAAAGAAAAAAAAAAGAAAAAAGAGGGAGAAAGAAAAAAAAGAGAAAGAAAAAAAAGAAAGAAAAAAAAGGAAAAAAAAGAAAAAGAGAGAAUGGACAAUUGCUACUAUCUCUUUUUCCACACUUGUGCUUCAAAAAUAGCACCAUGAUCUUCAUAAUAGAGAGUCUCAUAUGUUGUCACUUUCAUAUACUAGUUUCAUAUACUAGUGGGAAUUUUUCAUUAUAGAACUUGGCUUGUAUAUUCCAAUGAUGGGCUUCCUCAAAAUGCCCUAGGUAUUCGUGAGCAAGCAAGUUGGAUGCAUACCUACUUAGUUUCUUUUUGUUGAGCUUUCAUAUAUUUAUAGCUCUAGUGCAUCCAUUGCAUGGAAAUCCCUACUCACUCACAUUGAUAUCUAUUGAUGGGCAUCUCCAUAGCCCGUUGAUACGCCUAGUUGAUGUGAGACUAUCUUCUCCCACUUUUUUCCCUCACAACCACCAUAUUAGACCACCAUAGUGCUAUGUCCACGGCUUGCGCUCAUGUAUUGCGUAAGAUUUGAAAAAAACUGAAGCGCGUUAAAAAGUAUGAAACAAUUGAUCGGCUCGUCAUCGGGGUUGUACAUGAUGGGAGUAUUUUGUGUAAUGAAAAUGAAGCAUGGCCUAACUAUAUGAUUUUGUAGGGAUAAGCUUUCUUUGGCUAUGUUAUUUUGAUAGGACAUGAUUAUUUGUUAGUAUGCUUUGAAGCAUUAUUAUUUUUAUGUUUUAUAAGAUUUUAUCUUGAAUCAUUUGGAUCUGAAUAUUCAUGCCGCAUUAAAGAAAAUUACAUUGAGAAUUAUGCUAGGUAGCAUUCCACAUCAAAAAUUUCUUUUUUAUCAUUUACCUACUCGAGGACGAGCGGGAAUUAAGCUUGGGGAUGCUUGAUACGUCUCCAACGUAUCUAUAAUUUUUAAUUGUUCCAUGCUAUUAUAUUACCCCUUUUGGAUGUUUACGGGCUUUAUUUUACACAUUUAUAUCAUUUUUGGGACUAACCUACUAACCGGAGGCCCAGCCCGUAUUGCUGUUUUUUUGCCUAUUUUAGUAUUUCGAAGAAAAGGAAUAUCAAACGGACUCCAAACGGAAUGAAACCUUCGGGAGCGUGAUUUUUGGAAUGAACGUGAUCCAGAGGACAUGGAGUGCAAGUCAAGAAGCAGUCGAGGCCUCCACGAGAUAGGAGGGCGCCCCCCCCCCCCUAUAGAGCGCGCCCACUGUCUCAUGGGCCCCUCGGGCGUCCACCGACGUACUUCUUCCUCCUAUAUAAGCCUACGUACCCCGAAAACAUCCAGGGGCAGGACGAAACACAAUUUCCACCACCGUAACCUUCUGUAUCCGCGAGAUCCCAUCUUGGAGCCUUCACCGGCACUCUGCCGGAGGGGGAAUCGACCACGGAGUGCUUCUACGUCAACAUCCUUGCCUCUCCGAUGAGUUGUGAGUAGUUUACCACAAACCUACGGGUCCAUAGUUAUUAGCUAGAUGACUUCUUCUCUCUUUUUGGAUCUCAAUACAAUGUUCUCCCCCUCUCUUGUGGAGAUCUAUUCGAUGUAAUCUCUUUUUGUGGUGUGUUUGUCGAGAUCCGAUGAAUUGUGGGUUUAUGAUCAGAUUUAUCUAUGGAUAAUAAUUGAAUCUUCUCUGAAUUCUUUUAUGUAUGAUUGAAUUAUCUUUGCAAGUCUCUUCGAAUUAUUGGUUUGGUUUGGCCUACUAGAUUGAUCUUUCUUUCCAUGGGAGAAGUGCUUAGCUUUGGGUUCAAUCUUGCGGUGUCCUUACCCAGUGACAGAAAGGGUUGCAAAGCAUGUAUUGUAUUGUUGUCAUCAAGGAUAAAAAGAUGGGGUUUAUAUCAUAUUUCUUGAGUUUAUCCCUCUACAUCAUGUCAUCUUUCUUAAUGCGUUACUCUGUUCUUAUGAACUUAAUGCUCUAGAUGCAUGCUGGAUAGCGGUCGAUGUGUGGAGUAAUAGUAGUAGAUGCAGGCAGGAGUCGGUCUACUUGUCACGGACAUGAUGCCUAUAUACAUGAUCAUGCCUAGAUAACGUCAUAAUUAUUCGCUUUUCUAUCAAUUGCUCGACAAUAAUUUGUUCACCCACCGUAAUACUUAUGCUCUCGAGAGAAGCCUCUAGUGAAACCUAUGGCCCCCGGGUCUAUCUCUUAUCAUAUUUGCUUUCAAUCUACUUUUAUUUGCAUCUUUAUUUUCUGCAUCUAUAUUAUAAAAUACCAAAAAUAUAUUUAUCUUAUCAUACUAUCUCUAUCAGAUCUCACUUUCGCAAGUGGCCGUGAAGGGAUUGACAACCCCUUUGUCGCGUUGGUUGUGAGUUCUUUAUUUGUUUGUGUAGAUUCGUGGGACUUGUUGAGGAGCCUCCUACUGGAUUGAUACCUUGGUUCUCAAAAACUGAGGGAAAUACUUACGCUACUAUUGCUGCAUCACCCUCUCCUCUUCGAGGAAAACCAACGCAAGCUCAAGACGUAGCAAGAUGCAACAGUACAACCCUGAAGAUGGAUUGGUGGUAGGUGGCUGCGGCGGCCUCAUACCCGAUAGGCGUCCUGGUUGAGGAGUGCGCCAGACUGGUGGGUACCCAAUACCCGACAGGCGUCCUGGUUGGGACCUCAGGUCUUAGAUGUUAGGUUUGUGUCGUGGAAUUGUCACGUCACAUGUCCUAGUGAAAGGACUUAGUCGUGGAGCCAUCGCAACUAGGAAACUUAAAUGGGUUAAUCGGGACAAAGGACACGGGGUUUAUACUGGUUCGGCCCCUUACGGUGAAGGUAAAAGCCUACGAUCCAGUUUUGAGUAGGAUUGCUUAUGUCUCGAUUACCAGGGAGCGAAUCCACUUGACCUAGUUCUCGAUCUGAUGUUCCUUGACCUGAACCGCCGCCGGGUCGUCCCUUUAAUACAGAGGUCGACACCCAGCGGCUCAUAGAGUCCCGGCCGGCUCAUAAACAGUGUCCGGCUCGGUCUCUAACUAUUCUUGCCUUACAAUACAAGUUAUGUACAUACGACGGUUUAUCUCUACGGGCCUUAAGUCGCCUUUGGGCUUUGGGCCCUUAACUGAACCGCCAUCUUCAAGCUUUGUCUUGGGCUUCAAGAGUCCUCAUAGAUAUAACUCGACCCUACUGGGAGGGUCAUACCUAAUAGUUAUAUCCCCAAUGUUAGGCCCUAGAUUGAUUUGAAUUGGUUCAUGUCAAUCUUCAACACUUAAGAAAAAUCUUCUGCUAUUUGCUUGUAUAAAAAUUUUGUAACCCGCCGUGACGUCAUCCUUUGGAUUUGUGGUAACCCGCCAUGACGUCAUCUGCCAUUAAUGCACAUUUUGUCCAACAUAUCUCAACGGAUCCUUAUCUUAAUGACCAUCCCGAGAAUCAAGGCGUCCUUGUAGCUGGAUAACCAUGUUUUUGGCCUCCUCGUUUUUCACGUCCACUUAUCAGUCUUCCCUUAUAAAUAGACACGAUCAGGUCUUUCCUCAUUCUCCCCUUUCCUCAUCUUCUUCCUCUCGCAACCCUACUGCCACUCAAGCUCCGCCGCCGCCGCAGAGCACCUCAUCUUCCUCAACCUCGGCUGCUGCAUCAACCUGAGUCGAUCCAGAAAACGAUGGCGACCCUCCGCAGUAGAUCUACAGCUGUAAGUCUUCUCCUUCCCGCACCUCAGAUCCGCAUUAGGGUUUGCAAGUUCCCCCGUGUUCUUCGUGGUUCAUCACGGUUUCUUCAUAGUUCUUCCACCGCAGCCUCUUUUGAUCCAAAAGUAAUAUGGAACUCAUGCCGGAGUUGUUUUGCAUCCAUUUUUUAUACUAGCAGAUCCCUUUUCCUUGUAAAGAGGCUUCUUUAGAACUCAAAAAUUCAUCUGUACUAGUUUUUUAGGUCUAGAAUAUUUUCUUUUCUGAACAACCGUUGAUCCAAAAUAAUAGCUGCAACCUGUGAAACUUUUUUGUGCAACACUUAGGCAAAAAACUGUAUUUUGUUAGAUCCACCUAGUCAUGGCAACUCUUAUCACCGGCUUACAAUUUGCAAUGCUCAAUUGAUAACCUUAACCACUCAUGACGGUUUAAAUAACCUCAUUGCUCAUGGUUGAUAUGAACACUACAGCGUCUAGAAUAUUAUCCAGCGCGGAUGCUACUAAACUCGAACCAACUGAGUCGAGCGAGGAGAGUCUAAUCAAGGAUGCUGGUAAAAUUAUGAAUUGUCCAAAUAUAUUGCACACUGGCAAAGAUGGCAAGAAACGUAUGAUAUGCGGACCAGGUAUUGGUGCUGCGAAGAUGGGCGCACAUCAAGCUGGUUAUUUGGACUAUAAAUUGAUGCAUGGAUGUGUUACGAGUCUUGUACGUGCACCUGCACAAGGCAAUAUGAGAGAAUCAGGAUUGAUUUAUAGAGAGAAAAACAAUCAGCAGAAGCCUUGUGAGCCACGGCCAUACAUAAAGCCAAUAUGUCAAUUUGGUUUGAUAAAUAAAAAGAAGUUAGAUCCUUUCCAAGAAGUAUAUGCUCAUCACGGCAAGAAACCUGAGGUUAUGGAGGAACCCGUACGUGCCAAGGUGCAUCCCAAUUUUCGUACACCUCCUGAAUGGAUUAGGAUUGGCACCAUAGUGCUACACGUUUAGGUCUGCAUGGAUUUAAUCACGCCAUUUCCUUCCUUCACGUGGUUGUUACCUUUUUAAGCUAGCAGGUAGGAGUAGAUAUAUUUUGUUAGGUAGUGCACUUGAGGUUAGUUAUAUACCAGAUCACGUUUGUAUUUUUUCUUCCUUAGAGAUAGGCCGAGCUGGUUGCAGCGUGAGCCAUAUAAAGGCUGGCUUCGGCCGAUGUGAAGGAGGGGAGUUUUGAGUUUUAUUCCGGGUAUGAGAUAUACAGAAAAACAUCCGAGUUACGGGCGACCAUAUCUUGUGUAUUAUCUGUGAUUUUUCCAUCGUGAAAAUUUACUAGCAACGGAGGGUUGAUCAUCACAUCGACGCCUACGUGCUGAUCCGAGGGGGUCAUUAUUUUCAUUUGUGUAUUUUUGUACACAGGUGAAAAUUGUUCUUGGAGGUUAUGAGGAGGAACAGGGAGACGAGGUGUUGAUCGAGUAUCUCGUGAAAGAUCGGGCCAUCUACACGCAUGAAUUAGCAUCUUGGUAGUCCGUGCCUCAUCAAUGGUGCUCAUGGCGGCUUAAAUAACUUGACAUAAUUAGCCAUAUACCAUUAGGCCCCUUUAUAAGUCGCCAUCUUGAAUAUGUACUAUAAUGUUUCUCCCCGGCUUAAAUUUAAACCGGAAAUUUUACUCUUUCUUAGGCUUCUAUCACAAUGCCGCCCAAACAACCCACUUCAUGCAAUUGGGCCAAAUCCAUCGUCACAGACAGUACGCUUGACGACUUUGUGAAGACCGGCUAUCUGCCGAAGAAGGAAGUUAUGUCAUAUCGUGCUCCUGAUCCGAUAGAGGAAAUUCCUCAGCCAAAAGAGGGGGAGGUCAUCGUCUUCACUGCCCAUAUGAACCGGGGGUAUUCACCACCCAGCUCAAAAUUCUUAAGGGACGUCCUGCACUUCUUUGACCUCCGUCCUCAAGACAUCGGAUCCAAUUCCGUGUCUAACAUUUGCAAUUUUCAAGUGUUCAGUGAGGUAUAUCUUGGAGAAGAACCGAACUUACUACUCUUCAGAGAGUUAUUCUACUUGAACCGCCAGAACGAAUGUGCCAAUGGACCUAGCUUGGAACUUGGCGGGGUCUCAAUCCAACAUCGGAGGGACGUCAUUUUUUCUUAUGCCAAUCCACCAAGUCAUCCCAAAUACUGGAACCAGACAUGGUUCUAUUGCCAAGACACUUCUCCGGAUGAUGAGAAUCCUCUGCCUGGCUUUUGAGCUCUACGUCUUGAGUCUAAUCACCCGCUUCCUGACAAGAUUAUAGCCGCCGAAUGCCAGACGCUCGCCCCCACCAUGGCUAAAUUCAAGGCUCUUUUGGGGAACGGGCUAAAUGGUAUCGACUUAGUCCGGGUUUGGCUCGCCUGGCGGAUCAUUCCAUUGAGCCUCCGCCCCGGCCUGAUGUGCACCUAUACGGGCAAUAAAAAUUACCCUCCAUGGCACAGUUCCGACGACUUACCUGACCACGUCAUUGAUGACAUGACAAAGUCAUUGUUGAAUGAAAUCCUAGCAGAUUGCGGUAAAGUGGGCUUAAGCCCCUUUUGCGAAGCUAACCCGGCUCCAGCGGUAAGCCGCCAACCUAAGUAAAUUACCUUUAACCUUGAUGUUUGUCUGUACUCAACCUUUGCUAAUUUUCAUAGGCUGAUGAUAAAUUUUGGAAAGUAAAAUAUGACCACGAUGCUGCGAAGAAAGCCAGGAAGGCCAAGAGAGCCGCCAGGAAAGAAGCCGCCAAGAAGAAGGGAAAGAAGGCCAGCGCCUCUAACUUGCUUCGACUAGAAGAUACUUCUGAGUCGGAGGUAUCCCUUGACUCUCUUUGUUCCUUUUUUAACCACCUUAUUGACACGGAUUAUCAUCAGGAGGACACAGGAACAAGUCAUGGGAAGGAUGAAGAGUUAACUAUCAUUUCCUCCGACUCCAAGCCUUUGCCAAGACAGAAAAUCUGAAGAGUAACCUGGAAAGUAAGAUUUUCACAUCCCUUAGCUUAUCAAGAUCCUCAAUUUCUUUUGAAGUGACAUAUUCAUGAGAGCCGGAGGCAGACCCGGACCAGCAAGGAUGCGGAACUCUCCUCCGGCUUACCGAAUACACCAAGGAAGCGCUGGAACGAGGUCACCUCCGAUUUAAAUCCCUUUUAUCCUUUGGCGGGUCUCACUCAUCAAGCAACUCUUCUGACUCGAAUUAUCAGGAAACUUCACCUUCCUCCGGCGACUCAAUGCAGUCCAAUUUGCCGACUUUCAAGACUGCUCAAGAGUGGGGCUUGAUCCUCCGGACUGAGGAUGUGGUCUCCCCUUACGUCAUUGAUUGUUGCAUGCGCAUUGGUGUUAGCCACAAACUCCAAGCUACCGUCAGCCUUACGUUUAUUAUUACCUCCUUGAUUUGUCGGAUUAUGCUGAGGACCCUUGGCGUUACCGUUCUUCUUUCCCUUUCCUAUCUUCUCAUCAUCAGACUCGGGAUCCUUGGUACUAUCAGAUUCGGCGUAUUUGACUAGAGCCGCCAUCAGCUGGCCCAUGUCAUUACAAUCAUGCUUAAGCCGCCCCAGCUUCAUCUUUAGAGGCACAAAACGGAAAUUUUUCUCCAACAUUAAGACUGCAGAGCUGGCAUCCAUCUUAUCAGACGAAUGUAUUAUGGCUUUGACCCGGCGCACCCAAUGGGUCGUGGACUCACCCUCCUCUUGCUUGCAAUUAGUCAAAUCCAUAAUUGACAUAGGCUGCUUGCAUGUAUCUUUGAAGUUCUGAAUAAACCGGGCCUUUAACUCUGCCCAUGAACCAAUGGAAUUAGGCGGCAGCCCCUUCAACUAAGUGCGAGCCAUCCCAUCCAACAUCAUGGUGAAGUACUUGGCCGUCGCAGCGUCACUGACUUCCAGCAGCUCCAUAGCCAUCUCAUAGUUUUCAAUCCAUGCCCCAGGCUGUAAGUAGGCCGUGUAAUUAGGCACCUUUCGAGGCCCCUUGAAAUCCUUGGGCUAACGCUCAUUACGCAGAGUCGGCACCAGACAAGGGAAACCUCUGUUGGGGAACGUAGUAAUUUCAAAAAUUUCCUACGCACACGCAAGAUCAUGGUGAUGCAUAGCAACGAGAGGGGGAGUGUAUCUUCAUACCCUCGAAUAUCGCUGAGCGGAAGCGUUUAUCAACGCGGUUGAUGUAGUCGUACGUCUUCACGAUCCGACCGAUCCAAGUACCGAACGCACAGCACCUCCGAGUUCUGCGCACGUUCAUCUCGAUGACGUCCUCGCCUUCUCAAUCCAGCAAGACGGGCGAAAUAGUAUAUGAGUUCCGGCAACACGACGGCGUGGUGACGGUGUUGGUGAAGAACAAUCUCCGCAGGGCUUCGCCUAAGCACUACGGAAACUAUGACGGAGGAUAAACUAGAGGGGACGGGGUUGCCGACACACGGCUUGGUGUUUCUUGAUGUGUCUUUGGUGCUAGCCCUGCCCCUAUAUUUAUAUGUUGAGCCUUGGGGUCGAAACUUGGAGUAAAAGCCUCCACAAAGUCGGUUUCACCCAAAAGGCAAGAGUCCUUCUCGGACUCCAGGGCCAGACGCCAGGGUUCCCGGCGUCUGGCCCCUGGACUCCGCAAAAACUUCCUUUUGCACUUUCCAAAAACCUUGUGGGCUUUCCCCUUUGGCCCAAAUAAUGUGUUCUCGUACCCAAACAUUUCAGGAAACAUCUGAAACCCCUUCCGAAGACAAAACAACAUUAUCCCAUAUAUUAAACUUCAUCUCCGGACCAUUCCGGAGUUCCUCGUCAUGUUCGUGAUCUCAUUCGGGACUCCGAACAACAUUCGGUUACCAACAUACAUAACUCAUAUAAUACUAUAUCGUCAACAAACGUUAAGCGUGCGGACCCUACGGGUUCGAGAACUAUGUAGACAUGACCGAGACAUCUCUCUGGUCAAUAACCAAUAGCGGAAUCUGGAUGCCCAUAUUGGCUCCUACAUAUUCUACGAAGAUCUUUAUCGGUCAAACCGCAUAACAACAUACGUUGUUCCCUUUGUCAUCGGUAUGUUACUUGCCCGAGAUUCGAUCAUCGGUAUCUCAAUACCUAGUUCAAUCUCGUUACCGGCAAGUCUCUUUACUCGUUACGUAAUGCAUCAUUCCGUAACUAACUCAUUAGCUACAUUGCUUGCAAGGCUUAUAGUGAUGUGCAUUACCGAGAGGGCCCAGAGAUACCUCUCCGACAAUCGGAGUGACAAAUCCUAAUCUGGAAAUACGCCAACCCAACAAGUACCUUCGGAGACACCUGUAGAGCACCUUUAUAAUCACCCAGUUACGUUGUGACGUUUGGUAGCACACAAAGUGUUCCUUCGGUAAACGGGAGUUGCAUAAUCUCAUAGUCAUAGGAACAUGCAUAAGUCAUGAAGAAAGCAAUAGCAACAUACUAAACGAUCAAGUACUAAGCUAACGAAAUGAGUCAAGUCAAUCACAUCAUUCUCCUAAUGAUGUGAUCUCGUUAAUCAAAUAACAACUCAUGUCUAUGGUUAGGAAACUUAACCAUCUUUGAUUAACGAGCUAGUCAAGUAGAGGCAUACUAGUGACAUUAUGUUUGUCUAUGUAUUCACACAUGUAUUAUGUUUCCGGUUAAUACAAUUCUAGCAUGAAUAAUAAACAUUUAUCAUGAAAUAAGGAAAUAAAUAAUAACUUUAUUAUUGCCUCUAGGGCAUAUUUCCUUCAACCUCCGGUCCUAGUGGUCACGCCUGCCUCAAGAGAAGUCGUCGGAUAAACCGGAAAAGACUAGUAAGUUGCUCGCUGAGCCGCCUGCUGAGCCACCCGCUCGGCCUCUUGACGUAUUCUGUCCUGAUUAACCAAGUUAAGAGCUCCAUCACGUGUCGGGUCAUGCCCGCACGGCUGGUCACGGCGCCAGGCGUUGCUUGAAACGGCCGCUGAAUCCAUGUGCCUGCUAUAACUCGGGCUCCGGCUUGGACGAGGGGUCGAAUGAAUUCUGUCUCGGCUAUAUGAGUACGCCUCCUGCUGCGCUAAUGCCGUCUGAAGAAGCUCCGUGACCCUGCGAGUUUCAACCACCGUUGGAGAGUCGCCCUCCAUCGGGAGAGUCGCCAAUCAUGCCGCCGCAGCAAUCAUGUUCUCCAAAGGGUUAGAAUAAUGACCCGGUGGUGUUGGUACAUAAGGAGGCGGAGCAGUAUUCAUGCGGGGAGGUUCCAUCGCGCGCGGCUGAACCGGCGUCCUAGCCCGGGCGUUACAACCCGGUUUACCUCCGGCGGGUUACUGGGCCCUGCCCCGGGUGUACGGAAGAGGUUUCGAGGAUCAUAAACCUGAGGCAGACGGGACUGACUCUUCUGGUACCUUCUCCUCAUGACCUCAUUUGACGCGUUCUGAUCCAUCGUGAGUUGGAAAGCCUGCGACUGAAUCCGCUGAGCCUAAGCGUCCAGAGCCGCCAGCUCUACGGUCAUCUUGACAUCUUCCGCCGCCAGGUCUUCCUUAGCCUGCACUAUAUCAUGUUUUAACUGCGCCCCUUCCGCAUCUUGUUGAGCUUGAUCCGCCGGGUUGACCACGGCGGUUAAUAGAGUUGUCAUCUUAUCCAUGAGAUCCAUCAGCACCUGAGCUGGCGGGCGCACAGGGCUUCCUGCCCUGGCUGCCGUUGACCCGGAGGUUAUCACUGCCGCAGCCGUAGAGGUUUGAACGGGUUGCGUGCCAGCCAUGAAGAUCCCAACUCUGCUCGGCGGCUCAAGGAGGUCCGGAAUACUACUGCCAUCGGAACAGCCCCCAAGCCCGCCGUCUUGCAAUUGAUACAAUGAAUCCGUCUCACCUGUGGACGACUCACCAUGAGAGUAGAUGGCCGUCUCACCAGCAGACACAGAUCCUUCAGAAAGUUCCCCUCCGUGGAUGCAUCCCACGAAGGCACGCUUCAUGGCAGGCUGAGCCAGGGCGGGUCUCGCAUGCUGAGCCGUCUCGAUUAGGUCGGUACAGAUUCUGGCUCAGGGCCCGACUCGCCGAUCUUGCCGAUGAAGACGUGGAUUCCGCCAAAGGGGACCCGGUACCCGUACUCAAUUGAGCCGGCCUCGGGGCCCUAGCCUGCAUCGUCGAUGUAGAGCUUGCCGCGACGACUCUUGGUCAUCCGGCCCACAGCGUAUCCUUUGAGCCCUUCGAAGCUGCCCUUCAAGAACUCAAAUCCACCAUGCGCUGGCCCCACGGUGGGCGCCAACUGUCAUGGAAUUGUCAUGUCGGAUGUCCUAGUGAAAGGACUUAGUCGUGGAGUCAUCGCAACUAGGAAACUUAAAUGGGUUAAUCGGGACAAAGGACACGGGGUUUAUACUGGUUCGGCCCCUUACGGUGAAGGUAAAAGCCUACGAUCCAGUUUUGAGUGGGAUUGCUUAUGUCUCGAUUACCAGGGAACGAAUCCACUUGACCUAGUUCUCGAUCUGAUGUUCCUUGCCCUGAACCGCCGCCGGGUCGUCCCUUUAUAUACAGAGGUCGACGCCCAGCGGCUCACAGAGUCCCGGCCGGCUCAUAAAUAGUGUCCGGCUCGGUCUCUAACUAUUCUUGCCUUACAAUACAAGUUAUGUACAUACGGCGGUUUAUCUCUACGGGCCUUAAGUCGCCUUUAGGCUUUGGGCCCUUAACUGAACCGCCAUCUUCAAGCUUUGUCUUGGGCUUCAAGAGUCCUCAUAGGUAUAACCCGGCCCCUCCUGGGCGUGUCAUACCUAAUAGUUAUAUCCCCAACAGUUUGGUUGCGAGGUCUGUUUGGUAUUAGGCCCAGACUAUCAACAUUACUACAUCAACUGGAUAGGAGUAGCGACAGAUGUUAACUAGACGGUGGCUUCAGUCUUACUGUUGUAUGAUUUUGUAAGGUUUUAUGUGAAUAAUUAAUAAAGUGGCUGCAUGCAUCGUCCAGAUGCAAAGGACGGGGAUCCUCCUCUAUUUCUAAAAACAUGCAAUGGAUUUAGCAAAGACAAGAAAUUCGCCCCGGAGGCUUCAUGAACUGCACUCCACACAAAAUGCUCUAAGGGCAUCUCCAACAUCGACCCUCAAACCUCCCGCAACCUUCCUGACCGCGGAAGUCAUCUAACCCGACGUUCGGUCCGCGGGACGGUUCGAACGCGAUUUCUUCCGCAAACCGAAGACAAAAAUGAAGAGGUUCCGGAAGCCAUCCAACGCCGACUUGUAUCGGCCCGUGGGACGAUCCGGACGCGAUUUUUUCCGCAAACCGAAGACAAAAACGGAGAUGUUUGUUAGAAAAGAAAAAAACAAAAAGCAACCCACAACGUGUCGUGUGGUCAUUCAAGUCCGAGCAGCACCUAUGAAGUAUAAUUCCAUAUUUCACGGUAUGAUAUUGCUAACCAGGCCUGCUGCAUGGUGAUAGCCCACUGGCCAAACAAGGUUAUAAACACGUUCGUUCUACCUUACGCACGCGGUGUGGUACUAAACGUACUGCAGAACCGGGACUGGGAGAUCACAUAUUCCGGGGCACCGCGUUAUAUCUCGGGCCAACACACUCCUACCCGCGAGUUUGAGGCCAGGCACGUCCAGUAAAGCCAUGCCUUCGGGCUCCGGCUUCAUCGCCGAGUGCCCCACUCAUCAUCCUUCGCGUUUAAUGUUCGGGCGUGAGAGGAAAACAUCAAGGAAGGCACAUCUCCACACAAGAGCAGAAGCUGGGCUCGAGAGGGAACCCCCCCCAACCCCUGCGUCGCUUCGCUCGGGGCGACUCGGGCGGCGACGAAACCCUAGCGCGCGCCGCCGCCCUCUGCUAGCUCUCCCCUCGCCGCCACCAGAGUAGGUCUCCGGGAAAGCCAGUGCGGCCGACGAGGACGGUGGCGGCGAGGAUCUGCUGCUCCGCCUCCGUGCGGAGAGCCACGGACGCCGAGGCGGCAGCCUCGGAAGGAGAGGCGACGGCUGGCUCUCCGGCGAGUAGUGGUCGCGGGUGCUGCUCCGCCCCCUCGGCCGCGCGGGCGGCAUGGUGGCGGCGGUCGUUUGGUGGCUGGUCUUCGCGUGCGGUCUUCUCCCCGGCGGACGGCGCCAGAUCUGCAGGUCUUUUCCUCCCCCUCUCAUAGCACCAGAGGCGGAGCCAGCAUGCUAGCGUUGGGUUCAGAUGAACCCAACGAUCUUUCCUGGUCUAGUACACGUACAUACGUUCAUACUGCUAUGAUCCCAAUGAAAAACAAGGGUUGAACCCAUUAAGUUUCAACGCCAAGAAAACAGCCUAAUAAAAAAAGCCCAAAAGCCCAAUAAUAAAUUGGGUCUGUACCUAGCCUGUUGGUGCCCCUAUUCUAUUCUUCACCGCAGCCGCAGUACACGAACCAAGACUUGUCUUUCCUGUUCGCCUCUCCGUCUAUUUCUCCUGUUCGGCCGUCGGACACCGGCAGGUCGGCCGCAGCGCCGGCGCCCGGCGAUUGUUGUGCAAAACUCCAUAUUCGAGGUGCUGAGAUCGUAUCACCACGUCGCUUCUCUAUCAUGUGUACCCUAAUUUUUUAAUUGUUUAUACUCCACGUACUGGCUGAUCUAGGUUAUGGAAUUAAAAAAAUGGAUCAACAGAUCCAAACGAUGAUGCAUUUCACGGCCACCCAUCAGGCGAGGUCCAUCAAAUGUUGUCGCUGCAAACAGUCUUUCAAAGCCUUCUAUUCAAAGAGAAAUUAAUUUGAAUGAGUUGCCUUAUGAUUCCGCUAAUUGGUAGAGAAUUUCAUAAUACACAAGAAAUUCUAAGAAGCGAGACAAGACCAGGUGAAGAUAUUUAACAGGGUGACCCGUGUUCUCUCAAUUUCUAAAGAUAGUACUGGUAUUCUCAGUUGCCGCAACAUCUGUCUAAGAGAUACUUUUCACUAUGAAUGUUGUCAAGAAAAAGUUGCGCAAUAAAAUUGGAGAUCAGUUUAUGAGCCAUAGUCUAAUUUUCUAUUCAGAGAGAGCUAAUAUCUUUAUUGGUGACAAAUCGAAAAGGGGCACUCUAAAAUGUGAGUGACUCUAUAUGAUUAUUUUGUUUUAUGUUACUUAUUUUAAGCUGGUCAAACUAAUUUUUCAUUUUUUCAAUGUUUUUAGAAGGACGGGAAUCUGCACAUGAAGCUAUUAAGUUAUUUUGGUACUACUCUAUUUCUAAACAGGUGAUUUUUACAAUUUUAUCUAGCAGGUAUGUUUUGCUUUCUUUAGUAUUGAUGUAAUAACUAUCUAUGAUAAGUGAUAUCAUUUUUCUGUCUAUUAUUAAUUUUUAGUAUUAUUAUUUUUAAAGAGACUUUUAUUUUCUUUAUAUAAGGUGGUGUAAAACUAGACUUAAUAAAAUUAUUUGAUAAUAAAUCCUCACAAUAAGUCAAUGAAUGAACCCAUCGGCCAAAAUUUCUGGCUCCGCCCCUGCAUAGCACCUUCCACCCCGACGUUGCUGGUCCUUGGCGGUCCCUGUCGGAUCUGGUGUGUUUGGGGUGCGGGAGUGGCGGCAGUCCGGGAGAAAUCCUUGGCCGGUGUGGCCCGGCCACGACGGUGACGACAUCAUCUGGUGCCGUGCCCUCCCUGGAGGCUGCGUCGAGGUUCUGUUCCCCUCUCCCCCUCUCGCCCCGGGUGAAAAUCUCAUCCUUUUGGAUGGGGCGGCAGCGGCGCUCUUCGCCGUCACCUUCCUGGAGGUGCUGCUCUGGUGGUUCGAGAGAUGUGAGGGCGUUCUGAUUUGGGGAUUGGGGGAUCGACGGUCGCAUGGUCCGAUUUUUCACAUCGGUGCUGCUCUUCGGUGGGUGAUUGCCAAUCCCGCAGUUUCUUUGGUCGUCCCCUGUUCUUGUCGUGCUAGUCUGCUUGCCGAUGGGUCGGCGCCCUUUGUUCAGGGCCAGGAGUGGAUAGGGUUCCAUCCCUCAUCUUCAGCUGCACAUUGACGACAGGGUGAUCGCGGUGCCGCUCUUUGCAGGCUUGUCCUUGACCUCAUUGCACUUGAUGUGUCAGUUAUCGUUCUGCGCUUCCUUCCUCAGCACCUUCGAUCUUGACAGCUUCAUCCCUUCAUGUGUGGCUCUAUGCAUGUGGGCGAGGAUCUUCCAAGGCGAGCUCGACUCAGCUGGGGGCAGGGUUGAGUAUCUCUCAUGGUUGUUCGUGGCUGUCAUCUAAUCUGGCUCUAGGGUGAGCUUCCCCAUCUUCCGACGGUACGGCGUCCUUCGAGCCAGGACGAGGGGCAGGGGUCCUCUUCGGAGAUGGUUUCGGGUAGGUUGUUGCAGCUCACCACUCCUGGUGCAGAUGAGGGCAUGCUCCCGGCCUAUGAUGGUUCUCAUCUUGUUACUGCUUCCGCUUCACCUAUGGUGCUCAUUCCGCGGCUGGGGACAUCAUCGACAUCAAGCGAAGCUUUGUUGUCCAUUAUGUUGUAGUGCUUGAUGUUGUUGAGGUUUGUAAGUUGUCUAGUAACACCAUGUAUCUGCUGUUUUUUUUCUUUUUUUCCCUCUUGUAAGGUUCUGUCCGAUGUAACUCCUGGCCGGUUGAUGACUUUGUUAAUUUAAAGCCGGGCUCUCUCUCGAGCCUUCGUUCUAAAAAAAAGAAAGCACGCGCAGCAGCCUUCAGCAUGCACAUCGCAGCACAUGAUGAUCAUCCCAAACUGACAACGAUCCUGAAGGCGCCAAUCUACGCAAGGGAUACGAGCUGCUUGAUAAGACAUCGAAACGCGGUCAAGGUAGUAACCUGGGCAAGCGAUCCUGUCGUAACCAGCGUUGAGUUCAGAGAUGAGACGCUGAAUCAGCUGGCCUGUGACAGAGUUCAGGCCAAGACAGACAGACAGAGCACGCCCACGCAACGCUGCGCAGGCAGGAACGGUAAGCCGGCCGGCCGCGCGUUCCGCCGGCUUACAGCGACGAUGCGGAGGUGAGAUCUAGAUUGUCGGAGACGUGUUGCGCACAGGGGCGACGCCACCAACCGUGCUACUGCUGUACGCAGUACACGCUGGGACUAGACGACUCUUCAGUUUAAGAACCAACACGUAAAAAGCGCCCGGCUUUAUAUUAAUAACAAGUCGCGCCAUGCAAUGGAUUCAGCAAAGAUAACAAAUCCGUCCCUGAGGCUUCAUGAACUGCACUCCACACGAAGUGCGCUAACGGAUAUCCAAAAAAGACGUGAUUGGCAUUCUCAUGCACAUCACAAAGUGCACAAUUACCGUAGGAGGGCCUGUUUCGCUUAGCGACAUUGAAGGACGUCGGGAGUCGGUUCCUAGACAUUUGCCAAAGGAAUACUCGUAGGCGCAACAGCAGGAAAACCCGAGCCCCGAUCUCCGUUGCGUCCCGCAGGUGUGUCGCCACAAAACCGCCAUAUCUGCGACAGUGGCGGAGCCAGAAAAAUUCUAUCACAGGGGCCAAGUGCACUUAAAACUGAUUGGAGAGGGCCAAACCAUUAAUUUAGCAGUCAAUCAUCACUAAUUUCCUACUGUUCAUGAGCUAAUAUGCAGCAAAUACAUGAUGUUAGGGGGGGUCAGGGCCCUGCUGAUUCCCCCUGUCUCCGCCACUGAUCUGCGACCACCUCUAGAGCCCAAAAUCCCAAUCAAAUCAACAGCAUCACGGCGAACGCCUUCUUCCACCCAUCUAUCAACCACGACACUGACAUGUGGGCCUAAAAAAUCACAUUGCUCCCUUCACGGGAAAUCGUCACACGUUGUGAUCCUCCACAGUCAUGACUAGGAGGCAUCUGCGCCACUGUGAGAUGUGUAGCAUAGUGGGGCAAUCGAGUGUGUGCUCAACGCGACGAAAGAGUGCAGCCGCACUUUGAUUAUUUACAAGUUUUUCUAAAUACACACGUUUCGUGAUAAAGAGCAGCAAGGCAGACUAAUUUUUACAAAAAUACUUAAACUUGAGUGAAAACGCACAUUCAUUUUUUCUCUACAAAAAGAACGUUGUCAACUGAGGUUGGGCCAGACCUAAGUGAAGCCCGAUGGACGGCAGAACUCUGAGACGGACGCAAUGGGAGGAGUAAUUCAAUCCAACUCCGAUCGGAUCAUAGUUCCUAGGGUUUGCCCCCGCCUUUAUUAGCCGAGGCAACACGGUGGCCUCCCUACCCCGAUCGAUCGAAAGGUAAAAUCUCCACACCCCUCCACAAAUCCCCACUCCGUCCGUGUCAGCGAAUCUUCUUGGCGAUGGCCGGUAAGCAGGGCCGCAAGAAGGCGAGGAGCACCGUCUCCGGACGGAAGAAGCCUGCGGCGGCGAAGCCGGCAACGGUUCCUUGGUGCAAGUACCACCUGUCGGAGGAGUCUGUCCAGGCGGUCUUUCCUAGGUGCCUACGUGUGCUAUCAUCAACACUUGCUAAAUAAGCAUGCACGUACAGCUAACUACAGAUCAUGGUAAGGUGAGCUAUCAUGCACAAUUGUGCUCCUGUAUGAAGCAAGUGUGCAUGCUGAACCUAGCUACAGAUCUUCACAAAUGAAAAGCUAGCUACAGAUCUUGCAAGAUGAGCCAGCAUACGUGCAUGUACAAGAUUAGAGGAACAUAGUUACAGUACGUCAGUACCAUGUCCAGCUUGCCGGAAACCAGCGCGUGCGUCUGGCGCCGGGGCACUACCCAAGCCCGACUGGAUGCGCCGCAUGCUGCUGCUCCCGUGGAGCCGUUCAACGCCCGAGCCCACCUGCCCCGACAUCGAAGUUGUGCGGCCGUGCUCCAUGGCGCUGCCACCACCGUCCAUGGACGGGAAAGAGACUGGGAGGGAGGAGAUUGGGAGGGAGGGAGACAAGGGAGGAGAUUGGGAGGGAGGGAGACGAGCUGGAUGGGAGGAGGCGGCGCUGCACCGCGCCCCCGCCUCACUCGCUAGGGUUUCGUUGCCCACAGCCGCCGCUCAAUCGGAUGGAGACGGGAAAAGUGAAUUUUAGGGUUAGGAGGAGAUGAAUUCGUGCUUUUAUACCACAGGGGGGUUUGUGUGGGCUGUAGUAGACCAUGGGCUGGGCUGUGAGUUUAAAAGUGGCCGAAUUUUUUGGGCCGGUACACCCUAUUACCGGGCCCUAACGAGAUGGCCGAAAAUCGCUGGAAUUUCGGUUUUCUCGGACGAAAUCCACAAGGCCGGCUCGGGUUGGUGAUGUCGAAGAGGACGAGGUCCUUGUCGGUUGCCCGGACGUAGGCAUAGGCGGGCGGGGUGGCUGGGGCAAACGGACGUUCCUCUGGCAAGUGGAGGUUGAGAUAGGAGUUUCCUUUUCGAGGAGCCGCAAGGGUGAAGGAGACAUAGCAGGAGAGGCCGCCGUCCAUGUCGAGUGGAGCGGCAGUCUUGUUCUUGUUGACAGCCAAACGAGCAGCGUCUAGGCCGUUGUGGCAGCGGGUGCGGCCUCUGCGAUCCAGCGCCAUCCAAUCGGGGAGAACGGUGGUCUCCUCCUCCGGCUCCGGCGCGCCUCCGGUGGCCAUGGCGAUCGGGAUCGGGAACACCGCCUCGCUAAGGCUUACCCUAGUUUUUGGACGGGAAGGAAGGGCGACAGAGACUCAGGUUAUUAUAGAAGGGCCAUCUCAUUGGGCCAGGCGCCUCAAGGAAAGAAAUAUUGGGCCCAGGAAACUACUCGCACAAUCGAACGAACUGGGAGGUCUGUCGUGGGCGCGACUACCACCACUAAGUCUGGACUUAUAAGAUUAUAUAAAACAGAAACUAGUCUGGACUAUCUCACCUUUAGUUAUGUGCUGGGGAUGUGCGCCCAUCAUGCCCGACAGGUGUUCGGCGAUUUGUCUGCUCGGCGAUGGACUCGGACGACGAGGAGGCGCUCGCGGCGCUGCUGGAGGAGGAAGCCGAUUCCGACGUCCAGGACGAGGAGCAUCUCAUGGUCCUCGCCGCCCUGGCCGGCCUGCUCGCGAGCAAUGAAAAGCCGCGGCGAGAUGGCUCUGCACCGGGGUGGCUGAAAGCAAAGAACCGGCAUCGUAUGGAAGGCUAUUGCAUGCUUUACUCCGACUACUUCGCCGAUGCUCCACUGCACGGUGACAAAGUAUUUCGACGCCGUUAUCGGAUGAGCCAAAACCUUUUCCUCAGGAUUGUGAAUUCCAUCCGGGAGUUCGACAACUACUUCAAGUGCAAAAAAGAUUGCACUGGCAAACUUGGACUCACCUCAAUCCAGAAGUGCGCGACAGCUAUGAGGAUGCUUGCAUACGGAGCUCCCGGUGAUUCACUCGACGACUAGGGGCGCAUGGCCGAAUCCACGACCAUUGAGUGUUUCUACAAAUUCUGCGGGCAGUGGGGGCAGUGUUUAGAUCGCAAUACUUGCGAUCACCCAAUGCUGAAGACGCUGCUCGGAUCCUAGCACAGAAUGCAGCAAGAGGAUUUCCUGGGAUGCUUGGAAGCAUCGACUGCAUGCAUUGGAAAUGGAAGAACUGUUCAUUUGCUUGGCAGGGGAUGUACAAAGGCGCAAAAGGCGGUUGCAGUGUGGUACUAGAGGCAGUGGCCACAUAGGAUCUCUGGAUUUGGCACUCCUUUAGUAUGCCAGGAACUCACAAUGACAUCAACGAGUUGCAGUGCUCCCCUGUCUUUGCCAAGCUUGUUGAAGGUCAUUCUCCUCCGGUGAACUUCAAGGUCAAUGGGCGGCACUACAACAAGGGAUACUACCUAGCUGAUGGCAUCUAUCCGAUAUGGUCUACAUUUGUGAAGACUAUCUCAAAUCCUGUGCCAGGAGGCAAGAACUCCCAGUUUGCGAAGGUUCAAGAGGCUUGCAGGAAGGAUGUCGAGCGGGCAUUUGGUGUGCUCCAAUCUUGAUUUGCUAUUGUCCGAUACCCCGCUCAGACCUGGUCGAAAGAUCAAAUGUGGGAGAUCAUGACUUGCUGUGUCAUCUUGCACAACAUGAUCAUUGAGAGCGAGCAGGAAGAGCCAGUGUUUCACACUAAACCAUAUUACAGGCAGGGUCAUAUUGCGCAAGUUGAUCACCAGCUAUCGGCAACCUGGACUGCCUUCCUCAAUAUGCGUCAGGAGAUCCGAGACCCACAGGUGCAUCAACAACUGUAGCAGAAUCUGGUGGAGCACCAAUGGAGGCUCAAGGUCAACGUCUAGCUCGACGUGUGAUGAAAUAUGAGUUUUUAUUUGUUGAACUAUAUAAUUUGUAUUGAACUAUUUGUUGUUGAACUAUUUGAUUUCUAUUGAUUUUUUGUGAUGAACUAUGCGAUAAAAAAAUAAUUUAUGAUGAAUUUGCGCCGAACCACGGUGAAUAUGAGCUGAUUUGCGCUGAUAGCGGGCCGAUUUUUCGCCGAAAGUGGGCUGAAAAGCGGGCACAUUAGCGCCAAAAAUGGGCCGAUACCGGCGCCUAGGGGCGGCAGCUGGGAACCGAAUCGCUUCGAGAGCCGAUUUUCACGCCGGCUCGCCCCCAGACGGCGAUUUUAAGCCCCCUGGGGGGUGGGGGGACAACGGCCGGAGAUGCUCUAAGGCACCAUAGGACUAGCAGUCUAGCACACCAGAACAAAAACCGCCGCCAUUGAAGAGUAGCAUAGAUCAGAAGGAUCCAACCUGAAGACGCACGAACAUAGACGAAGUACGACAAGAUCCGAGCAAAUCCACCAAUGACAGGUCCACCAGAGACACACCUCCACACGCCCACAGACGAUGCCAGACGCACCACCGGAACGAGGACUUGGCGGUGAGAACCAUAUUGAUUCAUAUUUUAGUUCGACUAGAGACUGACUCGGAAAAAAUUAGCUAACUAUGAGCCAUUUAUGUAGCUAGAUUAAAAAACAAGCUGAUCUUCAGUUAACAUUGACCCGCUCGAUAUCUCGAUAUCAUAUAAUUACACUAAAUAAUCUUGAUAUAUAUUAUGAGAAUAGGUUAAUUUAUUACCAUAUAUGUUCUAUAUGAUUUUUAUCCACGUUACUUACUAGCAAACAAGAAAGUUUAAUUAAGAGAAGAGAAAAUUUGUAAAAAAGAGCAGAGAAAAUUUAACCCGAUAUGAUACAAGGCCAGCCAUGUGUCAAAUAUCCUGUUAUGUUUUGCCAAAAUUUAAGAGCAAACACACCUUCAUUUUCUUGUUUUGUCAGUUCAUCCAUGAUCUUUCGCUAUUAAGUAUUAAUCUUCAGUUGAAAGAGAAUAAAUAAAAAUUUAUAGUGGUUUUUUUAUGUUGUGUUGUGGCCUAUUUUAUUCAAAAAUUGCCUUACAUAUUCAUUUUUUUGCCUUACAUUACUAUAAAGAAACAUCUUAUUUAGCUCGAGAUCAAUACAAACUGAGCAUAAACCAAGCUCGUUCAAAUUUUAGUGUAAGUUGAGAUAUGCCUAAUCUAACUCGCUCGAACUCGACGAUUUUUUGUCACUUUAGUCCACCUAGUCUAACUCGCUCAAGCUCGCUCAAAUGACAGAAAAGACCAUGUUCAAAUGCUUUUGGCAGAAAUACCGUGGCACAAGCCCAGCAGCCACUAGCCGUGGCACCUACUGCCACAGCCCACGGCGGCAGCCUGAGCAUAACGGCUUUUUCGGCCCCGCGGCAGCCGUAACGGAACGGUGUGUGGCUGCUGAAACCUGCUGCCACACCCCGUCGUGGCACCCUCUGGCAUCCACUAACAUGUGCAUUUGUGUGUACAAGUCUUAAUUACAAUGGCAGAAGAAAUCAAAGUAGCCCGUUGCGUGCAUGUGGACUGCUAGCUAGUUCAUACUCAUAGGCUGUCAUCAAUGGAUCACUCAUGGCUCAUGGGGGGUAUGCAUGCAUUUGCUCUGAAACCUCUCACCAUUUUGUUUCGAUCCAUGCGAUGCAAUGCACUCUUUGAGGUCAGCCUAGAGUCGCCUUGGCUGUCAUCGACCCAAUCAGCGAGAACACGAUGGUCUCCUCCUCCCUAACCUUGACCCUAGUUGAUCAUGCUAGUACUUGAGCGGUCCUUGGCAUUACUGAACCCGAGCUAUCAAUGCGAGACUCGGACCGAUCGAUCGUUGCUCGUGCGCAUACGUGGUUUGCUAGCACGAUCGAUCGAUGCUAGUCUCUUGCUAGCCUGCAACUGUGCAUGGUGCGUUGCAAUCGUGCAUGGUAGUUGUUUCAGGAAGGGAGAUUGAACCACGCUUGAUCCAUUGAUCUUAGGCAUACAUAUCUCUACUAUUAAAGGGGGAUCAAACGUCGUGAUGGUUGGACCUCCUUCGAUACCCCCGCCUCAUUCGAUCCCCCUCCCUCCUCCUCCUGUACGUGAAAAAAAGAACCUCCUCGCACGAAAGAAAAAUCAAAAAGAAAAUAAAACAGCCCACCUUUUUUUGAGGUGUAACUAGGGAUUUAUUCAAAGUUUAAACAGUUUGGAAUACAAAUAAUGUCUGGGACAGUCCCUAGCCACACAUGGCGCCCACGUCAAGAGUCGACGCGGCCUUAGCUAAUCUAUGAGCCUCACUAAUGCAUUCCAUUGGUUCAUGACGAAAGACAACAUGCUCAAAAUUCCUUCUGCGAAUAUCUAUCUCCUGCAUAAUUGGCACAUAAACUGCAGCUGUGUCUCGGCUCAUAUUGGUGAUUACUUCGGCACAAUCAGAGGCGAUUAGAAGUCGCUGAACAUGCAAGUCCUGGGCCAAGGCCAAAGCCUCAUUGCAUGCCCACGCUUCCAAACUGGCAGGAUCAGAGAGUCCAUCGAACACAACUGCUGAAGCUCCAAGGAAGGUUCCAUUGCAGUCUCUGCAGACAGCUGCUGCUGCACCUUUGUUUCCACUGCGAGAUGAACCUCCAUCCACAUUUAUUUUCACUUCUGUUUCUGCCGGUGGAAGCCAGCCCCGCCGCACCUGGCGCGGCAGCGCUCUUGCGUUAGCUUUCGGUAAAGAAGCAGCGGUGAUCUGCAGGUCCUGCAGGUAGGAUUGAUGAAACUCAUUGUAGUUAAGGGACUCUGAAACUCAUUAUCAUGGAUGGCUUUCCUCCUAGCCCACCAGAUAGACCACAUUGUGAUUAGCACACGGGCUAGUUCUUGUCGUGGUAGCGUGUCAAACAGCCAAAAGAGCCACUGUCUUGCGUCUUCAGAUUGAUUUGAUAUCACAUGCUCAAGAAUUCCUUCGUCUCCCAAAGCCCAGACACACCGAGCCAUCCGGCAGUUGAGAAGAGAAUGAUGCCAAGUAUCUUCAGUCGCCGAGCAUAUCGCGCAUGCUGGAGAUGUAGCCAUCUUCCUCUCGUGUCUGGUCGAUCCGGUCGGCAGAGACGUGUGAGCCAAACGCCACACGAAAACCCGGACCUUUGAUGGCACCUCUGUUUUCCACAAUCUUGACCAGUCAUUCUUCGUCGCAGUUUGGUUCGAGUUGCUUGUUCGAUUUUCCAACCAGUCUUCUCGCUGAAAUUUAAUUCCGGAGAUCAUUAUGUAAGUAGAGCGUAUUGAGAAUAAGCCCCUGCGAUCACAGUGCCACGCCCAGAAAUCUUCAUGCACUCGUGUACUAAGGGGAAUAUUCAGAAUGAUAUCUAUGUCUGGAGCAAUGAAAUGAUCCUCUAAUGCUUGUCUAUUCCAUGUCCUGGUUGACUGAUUAAUCAGGUCCGACACCAACAGGGGCGGGUUAGCUGAUCGAGAGCAGAUCGGCCUCAGCUUGAAAUCCCUCGGUAGCCAGUUGUGCUGCCAAAUUUGAGUGUCCUCCCCCGUACCUAUACGCUUAAUCAAGCCCAGAGACAGAACUUCUCUUCCUUCCCUGAUUGAGCGCCACACCUGAGAUGGGUUUGACCCAAGUGGCGCAUCCAAGAACUCUCCCUCCGGGAAGUACCUUGAUUUCAAAACACGGGCGCUCAAUGAACUCGGAUCUUGCAAUAUCCUCCAAGCUUGUCUAGCUAAUAAAGCUAAGUUAAAGAGCUCGAUAUCGCGGAAACCCAUUCCACCCAUGUACUUUGGCUUUGUCAUAGUAUUCCAGGAGACCCAGGCUGUCUUCCUUUCACCCCUCUUACUCCCCCACCAAAAUUUCCUCAGAAGCCCAUUGAUAUGGUUGCAAAGACCACGAGGCAGCUUGAAACAUGACAUUGAAUAUGUUGGUAUUGAUUGGGCAACUGAUUUAAUUAAGACCUCCUUUCCUCCUGCAGAGAGGCACUUCUCCAUCCACCCUUGGACAUGUUUCCAAAUCCUAUCCUUCAAAUAUUGAAAACAUCCCUCCUUGGAUUUACCAACAUCAGUUGGAAGACCCAAGUAUUUCUCCGAAAGAGAUUCAGUAUGAACUGCUAGAGUCUCCUUGAUUUCACCUCUCAAACUGUCCGGAACUCCCUUACUGAAAUAAAUGGAGCUCUUGUCAGCAUUGAUUUUCUGGCCGGAGGCGUUGCAGUAAACCUGCAGCAAGUCACGGACUCUCCUUGCUUCGUCAUUUGAUGCCUCAAAAAACAGUAAACUGUCAUCUGCGAACAGAAGAUGAUUGACCUCCGGGGCCGUCGGUGCCACCUUGAUACCGCGGAUGCCAUUUUUCUGCAAACAAGGUAGACCCUCUGCUGCAAUAACGAACAAAUAGGGGGAUAUUGGAUCCCCUUGCCUAACUCCACAAGAAGGCCUGAAAUCAUUCAGCACACCUCCAUUAAAAAGCACCGAAAAGGACACCGACGAUACGCACCUCAUAAUAGUAUCAAUGAACCUCGGGCUAAUACCCAACUUCGUCAUGACCGCCUUCAGGUAUGGCCAUUCCACUCGAUCAUACGCUUUCAUCAUAUCCAGUUUUAACGCACAAAACCGAUUGCUCUUUACUCUUCUCGUUUUCAUAUAGUGUAAACUCUCGUAGGCAGUUAUAAAAUUAUCCGUGAUGAGACGUCAUGGAACGAACGCUGACUGCUCUUCUGAAAUCACCUCUGGAAGAAUCAUUUUCAGCCUAUUAGCUAAGACCUUUAAUGCAAUCUUGUAGAUUACGUUACAAAGGCUUAUUGGCCGAAAUUGUCCUAAGAUUUUUGGACUAGCAACUUUCGGAAUCAUAACAAUGAACGUACGAUUGAUAUCCUCCGGUGAGUCAACUCCAUCGAGCACUCUUAUGAUCAUACCCGUAAUCUCUUCUCCACAUAAAUCCCAAUGCCUCUGGAAGAAGUGCGCCAGGAAUCCAUCAGGUCCCGAAGCUUGGGUUGGAAACAUUUGGAAUAGCGCUUCUUUGACCUCCUCUUUGCUAUACGGCUUAUUCAGGCGUGCAUUCAUCCCAGCAUCUACCCUUGAUGGUAUAUGGGAGAGCACUUCCUCCAUACCAAUUGUACCUUCCGAAGUAUAGAGAUUAGAGUAAAACUCAGUAGCCAUGUGUGCCAGCUCCUCCGGAUCAGUACUGAUUGUACCAUCAUUUUUUUGCAGCUGAGUUAUCUUGUUUUUAGCCCUGCGGGCACUUGCCUUUUUUUGAAAAAAAUUCAGUAUUCUUAUCCCCUUCAGCGAGCCAUUUUAUUCGUGAUCUCUGCCUCAUCAUGAUCUCCUCCGCCAGAGAAACUUCGAUCAUACGAUCUUGGACUCGCUUCUCCUCCUCACUUGGACCCACUCGACCUGGGACUGCCCGUAGGGUAGCUAGCUGAUGUCGCAAUGAACGAAGCUCCUGCCGGACUGAUCCAAAAGACCUGCGCCCCCACUGAGCUAGCGCUACAGAAACUGAACUGAGCUUGGCAGCUAGGUCCGAAACUAAAAGUGAAGGUUGAUUACGGUUCCAGACUUCCUCCACUACAUGAUGAAAAUCUACCUGUGUCUACCACAUACACUCAUAUCGGAAGGGUUUUUUAGAGCGUGCCUCAUACUUAUUGUCUCCAGCUCUGUAUUAAGCAAAAUGGGGCAAUGAUCUGACUUGGCUGCGGUUAGGUGCUCAAGAAAUGCAAAAGGGAACAGUGUCGACCAACUGGGACUGGCCAGCGCACAAUCCAGUCGCACCCUACAGAACUCGCCUCCCCUGACUCUUUUUUCCCACGUCCAAUCAAGGCCUUUGUAGCCUAAGUCAGCAAGCUCGCACACAUCCACUGCAUCUCUGGAGCCUGUGAUCUGACCACUGUCUCGAGCACUAGUACCCAUGUGCUCCUCCGGCCGCAACACCUCGUUAAAGUCUCCAAUGCACACCCAAGGAAGUGUACUUUCCCCUCGUAAUCUCUUCAUCGUCUCCCAUGUGUUAUGCCUCAGACUUCUGUUGGCUUCACCAUAAAAGCAUGAUAACCGCCAAUCAUCAGCACCUGGUUGUGAGAUCCAUGAAUCUAUGUGAUACUGCGAGAAGUUCUUUAUUGCAAGAUUAACAUAAUCUUUCCAAAAAAUACAUAAACCACCACUACGCCCGUUACUCGGAACUACAAAGCAACCUGAAAAACCUAAUGAAGCAGCCAAACCCUCCACUCGGGCCUUCGCAAGUUGAGUUUCAACAAUGCAAAGGAUCGACGGCGCACACACCUCCACGAGAUCGCGGAGCUCCCUAACUGUCGCGGGAUCGCCAAUUCCGCGACAGUUCUAACUCAAUGUCUUCAUCAGGCUCGGCGGCCCUCCUCGAGGGAGGCCGCCUCUCUUGUUUGACCCACAAAAGCACCUUCUUCUCCAUCUUGGCGUCUUCUCUUCACUAUAGGGUCCUUCUCCGGGGUGGAAAUCACAGUACUUGUGCUAGCCACUCGAGAUCCCCCUUCAAUCAUCAUGACAGUACUAGCUACCCGACCAGCCAAAUGAUUGAGCUGUUGCCCCCGGACGUUUAGGGUUCCAUCCGCAUCAACUAGCCUCUUCCUCGCUCCCCUUUCCCCUAAACCUCCUCCACCGUCUCCCUGGCCCUCCACAUCCAUGUGCUGCGAUCCAGCUUGCUGCACCCCUGCUCCGGGAUCCCCUCUUUCCCAUCCGCCCGUCGUGCCUCUCCCUCCUCUACCUCCUCGGUCUCCCCUACCUGCAUCCCAACCUCUUCCCCUACUACCUCCAUCUCCUCUACCUCGGCCUCCUACACCUUGGUUUGUAGGCACUUCAGGCUCCCACAGCAACCACUCACCCCACUCAAAGGAGUUUGGGUCAUGAAUCCCAUCACCACACUCGUCUACUGUUGGAAAUAUGCCCUAGAGGCAAUAAUAAAAGUAUUAUUAUAUUUCCUUGUUCAUGAUAAUUGUCUUUUAUUCAUGCUAUAACUGUAUUAUCCGGAAAUCGUAAUACACGUGUGAAUACAUAGACCACAAUAUGUCCCUAGUGAGCCUCUAGUUGACUAGCUCGUUGUGAUCAACAGAUAGUCAUGGUUUCCUGACUAUGGACAUUGGAUGUCGUUGAUAACGGGAUCACAUCAUUAGGAGAAUGAUGUGAUGGACAAGACCCAAUCCUAAGCAUAGCACAAAGAUCGUGUAGUUCGUUUGCUAGAGCUUUGCCAAUGUCAAGUAUCUUUUCCUUAGACCAUGAGAUUGUGCAACUCCCGGAUACCGUAGGAAUGCUUUGGGUGUAUCAAACGUCACAACGUAACUGGGUGGCUAUAAAGGUGCAUUACAGGUAUCUCCGAAAGUGUCUGUUGGGUUGGCACGAAUCGAGACUGGGAUUUGUCACUCCGUGUAAACGGAGAGGUAUCUCUGGGCCCACUCGGUAGGACAUCAUCAUAAUGUGCACAAUGUGACCAAGGGGUUGAUCACGGGAUGAUGUGUUACGGAACGAGUAAAGAGACUUGCCGGUAACGAGAUUGAACAAGGUAUCGGUAUACCGACAAUCGAAUCUCGGGCAAGUAAAAUACCGCUAGACAAAGGGAAUUGUAUACGGGAUUGAUUAAGUCCUUGACAUCGUGGUUCAUCCGAUGAGAUCAUCGUGGAACAUGUGGGAGCCAACAUGGGUAUCCAGAUCCCGCUGUUGGUUAUUGACUGGAGAACGUCUCGGUCAUGUCUACAUGUCUCCCGAACCCGUAGGGUCUACACACUUAAGGUUCGGUGACGCUAGGGUUAUAAAGGAAGCUUGUAUGUGGUUACCGAAUGUUGUUCGGAGUCCCGGAUGAGAUCCCGGACAUCACGAGGAGUUCCGGAAUGGUCCGGAGGUAAAGAUUUAUAUAUGGGAAGUCCUGUUUUGGUCACCGGAAAAGUUUCGGGCGAUAUCGGUAAUGUACCGGGACCACCGGGAGGGUCCCGGGGGUCCACCAAGUGGGGCCACCUGCCCCAGAAGGUUGCGUGGGCCAAGUGUGGGAGGGUACCAGCCCCUAGGAGGGCUGGUGCGCCCCCCACAAGGGGCCAAGGCGCAAGGGAGAGUGGGAGGGGGCAAACCCUAGUCCAGAUGGGCCUUAAGGCCCACCUAGUGGGCGCCUCCCCUCUCUCCCCCUCUUGGCCGCCACCCCCUUUGCCAUAUAGGGCUGGCCGCACCCCUUGGGGGUGGGAAACCCUAAAGGGGGCGCAGCCCCCCCUUCCCCCUAUAUAUAGUUGAGGUUUGGGGCUGCCAUACACAUGAGUUCUCUCCCUCUUGGUGCAGCCCUACCUCUCUCCCUACUCCUCCUCUCCCAUGGUGCUUGGCGAAGCCCUGCGGGAUUGCCACGCUCCUCCACCACCACCACGCCGUUGUGCUGCUGCUGGAUGGAGUCUUCCUCAACCUCUCCCUCUCUCCUUGCUGGAUCAAGGCGUGGGAGACGUCACCGGGCUGUACGUGUGUUGAACGCGGAGGUGCCGUCCGUUCGGCACUUGAUCAUCGGUGAUUUGAAUCACGACGAGUACGACUCCAUCAACCCCGUUCACUUGAACACUUCCGCUUAGCGAUCUACAAGGGUAUGUAGAUGCACUCUCCUUCCUACUCGUUGCUGGUCUCUUCAUAGAUAGAUCUUGGUGAUACGUAGGAAAAUUUUUGAAUUUCUGCUACGUUCCCCAACAUCUGCAACAUGACCCAUCUUACCACACGCAAAGCAAAAGUCCGGUAGCUUCUCAUAAUAAACACUGUAUCUUUUAUACUCCUUCAAGGUUAUUGGAACAAAACGGACAAGCGGACUAUUGACAUCCACAUAAACCCUCACCCGGAGGGUACUAGCUGGGUUGAUUCUUCCCUCAUUCAUUAUCACGGAGAAAGGUGGGUCACCUACUUUAGCUGCUACUUUCUCCGCUAACUCUUUCCUUCUUGUGAGUCCAUCCGGCAGCCCCUUCACCCUUACCCAUACUGGAAUUUUGUUGAGUCUAUAGCCUUUGACAUCCGAAAAACCAUCAUACUCCUGGAUCACCACCGGUGCCCUCCUAAAUAGCCAUGGCCCUCCAUCCAUAAUCCUCCUCCAAUCACCUAGACAAUGGCAUUGCACAAGAAACAGAUUGGGUCCCUUGAUGUUGAACGUCACCCCUUGAGCCGCCGACCAUGCAUUACGCAUCUGAGACAAGAGCGCAGCGUGGCUAAAAGGUUUCGUAGUAUGGACACGGAACAGGGCAAGCCAACGUACAUCCUUAAUCAGUUCAUCAACUUCCGCUGAGAAAUCUAGCUCUUCCUCCUCCCUUCCAUGGAGCUUCAUACCUGCAAAUUGAUCCUCCAAAUCAGGUUCAGGCCCAUGAUAAUCUGCAAACUCCUCUUCCUCUCCUCCAAAUUGGUUACGCACGUCCUGCGAACUGUGAACAAAUCCAUCCCUACUCCUAUUCUCAUCCGUAACCCCCUCCUUCGUUUCUCUCGGUCCGCUCGGCCUUCCUGCUACCGCCAAAGCUUCCGCCGCCCCGAUCUCUCCCUCCCCACCCCCUUGCACCUGUUGCGUUGGAUCCGCCAUGCACACGACUGCGCGUGACGGGAGAAGUAGAUCUCACCCGCGGCCGGGUCAAUCCGGUCCUCCGGUGAGAUUUUACGUGGACUCCGGUGCGGCGGCGCCGGAGGAUAGGUGGAACCCUAGAAACCUAGGGGAAAGCUGUGCGCGAGGCAAAAUUAAAACAGCCCACCUAUGCACGUCGUCCCACCUCCAAGGCCCACGCGCCCCUUCCCCCAAUUCCAUCGCUCUCGAUCUCCUGGCUCUAUCGCCGUCGCUGACCUCCUCCUGCCUAUGGCAACUUCGAGCGGCAGCACGCUGCAGUGGAUCCACCAGCCCUGAAGGAAGCGAUGCAGCAGGAGGGCUACCAUCUAUCCGAUGGUGCCUUACCCGUCGUGAUGCAGCAGCACGGCGAGCGGCGCGCGGUUCACGUACCAGUUCGUCAAGUGGAUCAUCGCCAAGCGACGAAGCGGUCCUCGGUUCGAGCCAUGGUGAGGGUGGUGCUGGCAGCUGUGGCCACUCGUAGGCCUGGCUGGCAUCUUGACUUCAGCAACUGCCCGACUCAUGCCCCCCCAGCUCCUCGAGUGCACGUACAGUCUUACACUCGCCCUCGCUGCCCUCCACUUUUCCAAUUGCUCGGGCAACUAAUUUUCUGCAUAAUCUAUAGAUGAAAUCUUGUGUUGACAGCCUUCAAGUCAACAAUUCAAGAUGCACUUCUAUUCAAAGGGAAUCAACCUCUGCAAGCUUGCAGCCACAUGCACAAGCCCUCCCAGCAACAUUACCGAGGUCAACUUUACUUGCAACUGCAGGACUCAAUUUCAAAUCACUGAAUGUGUGUGCAGAGUGGCCAUUGUUGCUGUAUAAUUUGCAACAUAUUUUAUUUGCGGGAAACAAACAUGUUAUAUUCAGUGGAUUAUAACAUAUAUCAAAUAAUUUCAAUGAGAUUUGCAUUGAUGCUUUUGUCAAAAAGCAUGUUAUAUUCAGUGGAUUAUUUGUGAAACUUAAGUCAGAAAAAAGUGAUGGUAGUAUAUAUUAGUUGGACUAGGACAAAUUAGUGGUACUCAAGUGUAGUAUUACAACUCCUUUCAAUUAUAAUUGUACUUUGAUAAAUAAAUUUCUUGCAAUUUCAUUUCUACUUGAGCAAAUAUGGUUUCAGCAACGAAAUUGACGCCAGUUUUUUAUAUUCUAUAGUUCAUAGAAUGAGAGUUUUUAACACUAUGUCUGUACGUACACUGGAAUAAAAAUGGCAGGUUAUAUUUGCCUUCCAAUGUAUUAGAUGUUUUCUGGAUUUAAGUUUAUUCCUAUGGCCUGGCAAUUUUAGGGGGAGUUAUUGCUGGAGAUGUCAAUUCUCCAUUUGACAGUAUGCAGAUCAUGAUGGCUUGGAACACUUCAUCAUGGGAAGUUUUUAUUUAUCUUUACCUAUAUUUAUUGGAUUAGGUUCCAUUGGCAGGUGAGAUUCAUAUUUGUGGCAAUAGAAUUGCAGGAUCUCUAAACAUUUUGAUUCAUAAUACCAGUUGCAAUCAGGACUGUUUCUGACGGAGAUUAAAGUUGUCAUAGAGUCAACAUGUUAAAGACGAUGUACCCUUUUCUUGUUUGGAUACCAGCCAUUCGAUUCAGCAGUCAGAUCUAUUGCUUCUUUACUUGCACAAUCAAGUGAGCUGCGGCAUCUGCUUUUAACAAUUUACGGAACAACCCUUUCCAAUAAGACACUCUUUUCUUCUUUGGGUCAGUACUAUUUGUUCACCUUUUGUACCUCAUCGUCGUAGCAUCUGGUUUCCAAAAUGAAUGACUACUUGCGAAGAUACUGCUUUUAAUUUCUUAUUUUUGGUUCGGCUUGUUUGGUUUUCUGUAGCUUAGCUUCUUCUGAAAUUAAAUCUCAAGCAACAGUAAUUGCUCGCCAACUUGCUUCUAAGGUGUGUUUUCUCUACAACUAUUGUAUCCAUAAUAUUGGUCACUUUUGUUUUAGGCGCUGAAAGCAAACAAUUGCUUGGAAAGCCCUCGAGAUCUUUACGGAGAAAAUGUUGCCUUAGAAUAAAAAUUGUGCAGCAAGAAUACUUCUUUCUCUAAUCUGAAAUCAUAGUUUCACUUGUACUUCUGAUCCAGACUUGAGCUAUUUAGUGAAUUUUUUGGACGUUGAAUUGUGGCAAUGCGCCAGGAAGUUGAUGUCGGUUGCCUACAAUUUGUGAUUGAUUUAGCACUCCCACUCACUUUUAUUCUCUCUCCGUAAAAUUCCUUUUGGGUAAGUACGUGGAUAAAAAAAAAUGGCAAUGUACAACACUCCUACAUUAAUCAGUCUGAACAAAGUCAUGUUGAGGUACCUACAGAAUUUUUUGCAGCUUCUGUGAACCCUUGUAUUAUGAGAAAUUAAAUCAACGUUGGUGGGUAAGAAGUUUCAAUUUUCUUUUCCAAUUUUAUUGAUGAUUGAUUAGUUAUUGGUCAUGGUCUCAAAGGAGAUGCCGAUGGAGAUAGCUGGGAUGUCAUUGUCCUUUCUUGAUCUGGGCUUAUGUGCCGACAGUUUCAGAUUCCAUUGCCUAGAGAAACAACAUGGAUUGUCUGCUAUCUAUGACUCAUUUAUGUGCUACAGGGCCAACUUACAUUUCCGUGUCGAGCUGGGAUGAUUAUCAGAGAGCUAGGAAAGAUGAAACAUGAGCGGGAGCAUCAACUACAAUGAGUUCAUCGGGCCGACAGUGCACAACACAAGCUGUAGCGGGAGGAGCACCAGCUGGCUGCCUUCGCCUACUUCGACAAGGACGGCACCGGGUACAUCACCGUUGAGGAGGUUGAAGAGGCCUAUCGGGAGUACACCAUACAAGCUGUGGUCGGUAUCAACACAUCAUCAGGGAGGUCGACAAUGACAACAUGUGUAUGUUUAUUCACUGCAGUCUCUGCCUCGAACUAUUUAAUUGGUUUCAGUUAAUUCCGUUGAUUAGUCUGUACUAUUAUGCUAAUGAUUAAAAAUCUGAAAUCCAAAUUUACCAUGGCCUUGAUAUAUAAUACUCCCUCCGUUCCAAAAUAAUUGACUCAACUUUGUACUAACUUUAGUAUAAAGUUGGGUCAUCUAUUUUGGAACGGAGGGAGUACAUUUUAUUAGGCUGGUCGAAUCGACGACAUGGAGUUCGUUGUGAUGGUGAAGAAGGGGAUUAUCGGGAUUCGGGAACAUAUACAAGGUUGACCCAGAGGCACAGCUCCCACGCGAUCAUCCUCCGUGGAGCGGACGUCCUCAGUUGCAUCGUGGCUCUUCCCCCAAUCAAUGACCUUUGUGCCAAUUUCAUAUCAUAUACUUGAGGUUUAAACGAUCGGAGUUAUGAACAAUAAAGCAGAUUAAUCAUAUUGUACUUGUUGUAUACAAGCUAGCCCCCGACAUUAUUUAUUUCCUAUGCAAGAUAUAGGACAUGAAAAGAGUGAUUGUCGUGGUACCAGUAAGAACCCAUGUUGCUUUAGGUAGUUAUAUCUUUUGGCUGAAAUUUUCAUAUACCUUUGUUCCCGUUGUGAUAUCAAUAUUUUUAACCAAGUCAUUAUUAAUGUUCGUGUAAACUGAUGGAGAUAAAAAAUUGUUUGCAUCAUCUAUGUGACUUCAAUCCCUAUGAUAUUUAAUUUGACAUCUUUUUUAGAUGUUAUUUUGUACUCCCGUAUUAGUAUGGUUACAUCAGGAACUGAAUUUUUCUUUCUAUGGGAAAUUUGGAUUCACUGAGACAAGGUCAUCAAAAUCACGAUGAUCGAUAGAUAUGCGGUAGUAGAGGCAUCAACACUGUCCAUUUAGGUUCAGAACCAAGCAUUGAAGGUUAUGAUUAAUUGUUCUUCAUACCAAGUUAAAUUCAAGAGGCAAAAAUACUGAUAGGUCCUCAUUUUAUACUUGCGAGUUUUGAUUUCCGGAUUAUAUCGUUUCAAUGAUGUGCCCAUCUACCAUAUAAUGUCAUUCAAGAAAUUUAUUUGUAAAAUUUGAAGCGCAAAAUGGUACCACCCCCACCCCCAAAAAAAUGUGAAUUGUACAUCUUUUUAAUCCAAGAAGCAAAUUAUUUUAUUCCCCAAAGAAAGCACAUCAAACACUGAGGAUUACCAUGAUUAAUAAGUAAAAUCAUUAUUUUUUGUACUCCGUGGCAAAGCACGGGCAUUCAACUAGUAGUUUACAGAGGGAGAGGCGCGAGGCCACGAUGGUGAUCGUGGGCUGGCCAUGAUCGUGGAGGAGGACGUGUGUGCUCGGUGGGAAAACUGCACACACGCUCACUACACUACUCUACCUUAUACGUACAGAAUACAGUAGUCUAACAGCCCCCGCAGUCUUGGCGUCGAUGCUCGAGACGCAAAGGCUGGAACGGAAGUCAUGAAAAACAUCAGAGGGCAGCCCCUUCGUCAUCACAUCGGCGAACUGUUGGCGCGUGGGAACGUGCAAGACGCGGAAGUCGCCAAGCGCCACACGUUCGUGCACGAAAUGUAUGUCCAGCUCGAUGUGCUUGGUGCGCCAGUGAUGCACGGGGUUGCUGGAGAGAUACACUGCCGAUAUGUUGUCGCAGUAAACGAGCGACGCCGUGUUGACGAUGCAGUGGAGCUCACGAAGGAGUUGGCGCAGCCAGACACACUCUGCGACGGCAUUGGCGACAGCGCGAUACUCGGCCUCCGCGCUAGAGCGCGAGACCGUGGCCUGGCGUUUGGACGACCAAGACACGAGCGCGUCGCCAAGAAAGAUGCAGAAGCCGGAAGUAGAGCGGCGCGUGUCCGGGCAGCCAGCCCAGUCCGCGUCGGUGUACGCACGGAGCUCCAGAGUUGACGAAGCGCGCAAGUUGAGGCCGAGGGUGACCGUGCUGCGGACGUAGCGGAGCACGCGCUUGAGGAGAGCCCGAUGACAUUCGCGCGGUUCGUGCAUAUGGAGGCAGACUUGCUGGACGGCAUAGGCGAGCUCGGGACGGGUGAUGGUGAGGUACUGCAGCGCGCCGGCGAGGCUCCUGUAGGAGGUGGGGUCGGAGACACGAGGCCCGUCGGAGGACGGGAGCUUGGCCUUGGUGUCAACUGGUGAAGGCGCGGCCUUGCAAGUGUCCAUGCCCGCGCGCUCGAGGAUGUCCUCGGCGUACUGGGCUUGCGAGAGGAAGAAGCCAGCAGCAGUGCGCGUCACCCGUAUGCCGAGGAAGUAGUGGAGCGUGCCGAGGUCCUUCAUGGAAAACUCGUGCGUGAGCUUGGCGAUUAUGCGUUGAAGAAGACCAGCCGAACUCGCCGUGAGGACGAUGUCGUCCACGUAGAGCAAGAGAUAGGCGGCGUCAGCGCCGGACGCGAGGAUGAAGAGGGAGCUGUCCGAGCGUGUGGCGGUGAAGCCGAGGGUGGCGAGGAAGCCGGCGAAGCGAAGGAACCAGGCACGCGGCGCUUGCUUGAGCCCAUAGAGGGAUUUUGUGAGCCGGCAGACGUGGUCGGGCUUGCCCGCAUCGACAAAACCUGCAGGUUGUAGACAGAAAACUUCCUCCUGGAGUGUGCCAUGCAAGAAGGCGUUCUUGACGUCGAGUUGCCGAACGGGCCACCCGCGCGAGGCUGCGAGGGUGAGCACAGUGCGAAUGGACGCCGGCUUGACGACAGGGGAGAAGGUCUCGCCGUAGUCGACGCCGGCGUGCUGGCGAAACCCUCAGACGACCCACCGCGCUUUGUAGCGCUCGAGGGAGCCGUCGGAGCGCGUCUUCUGCUUGAAGAUCCAUUUGCCAGUGAUGAUGUUAGCGCGUGGAGGGCGAGGCACCAGCUCCCACAUACGGUUGCUGACGAGAGCGGCGAACUCCUCGCGCAUGGCAGAGACCCAGUUCGGAUCGCGAUGGGCAUCGCGAACGGAACGGGGAAGCGGAGAGAUGUCCGGCGAGGUGUUGGUGGCGGCGAUGCAGACGUAGUCGUCGGCGUAGCGCUUGUUCGGACGGAACACGCCAGCUCGAGCGCGCGUGGUGAUCCGUGACCCGUCAGCUGUAGAUGAAGAAGAGCUGGCGGGGACGACCGGGCGCUGCGCAGGAGCGGCCUGAUUGAAAUCCGAGCCGCCCGAUGCAGAUCCGUCGGUACAGCUUGAACGCGGAGGAGUGGCGCGCGACAAAGACGAGGCAGGGCCACCGGAUGGCGAUCGGGAGGUCGAGCUUGAAUCUGGAGAAGUAGCGCCAGACAAGGAAGAGGCGGAGCCGCUGGAUGAUGAUCGCGCGGCCGAGCUUGAACCAGCCGCUCUCGCGCGCUGGUGUGAGCCAGGAGGGCCGGACUCAACAGAGUCAGGCAGGCUGACAGCACCGGGCGGCGUAGCAGCAGCAAGGGGAACCUGCAGUGGUGCGGAGACGUAGCGAGGUGCUGGUGCAGUGCUGACGGCAGGCGGGUCAGAAGCGGUAGCAAAGGGGAAGUGGGUCUCAUGAAACCAAACAUGGCGGGAGGUGAGAACUCGCCGUGUGCGGGGAUCAUAACAACGAUAGCCGCGAUGAUCUGGUGGAUAACCAAAGAACACACAAGCUACGGACCGGUGAUCGAGUUUGUGGCGCGAGGUGGAAGAAGUAUUAGGGUAGCAGAGGCAACCGAACACGCGCAGAGUGGAGUAGUCAGGGGCCGUACCAAGGAGCAGUUCAUGCGGUGACCGUGGCGAGGAAGUGGUGCAUGGUUUGUAGUUGAGGAGGAGUGUUGCAGUGCCAAGAGCUUCAGCCCAAAAACGCGCCGGCAUGGAGGCGUGAAAGAGCAGAGAGCGCACACUGUCGUUCAGGGUGCGUAGGACACGCUCGGCCUUGCCGUUCUGCUAGCUGGUGUACGGACAGGAGAGGCGCAGGACAGUGUCGUGCUUGGAAUGGAGCGAGCGAACAGCGAGACUGUCGAACUCCUUGCCAUUAUCGGUUUGAAACGCAAGAACGGGUCGCUUGAAUUGUGUCUGAAUGUAGGCGUAGAAGGCAGUAAGAACAGAGAGCACAUCAGACUUGUGGCGCAAAGGGAAAGUCCAAACAUAAUGCGUGCAACUGUCAAGUACAACCAGAUAGUACAUGAAGCCAGAUACACUAGCUACAGGCAAAGUCCAAACAUCUAAAUGCAAGAGCUGAAAAGGGAAAUAGCUAGGACUGUAUGAAGAAGAAAAUGGCAGACGGGUAUGCUUGCCCAGCCUGCAGGCGUGGUAGGUGGCGAAGGGAAACUGGUGCAGCACCCGUCGAAGCGCGUCGUCUCCGGGAUGGCCGAGUCGUUGAUGCCACAACUCCACGGAAGCGACACCGGCGAACGGAGGUGAGGAGGACGGCGCACCACAGGGCGUGACGGGGUACAAGUCUCCAGUGGAAUCACAGCGCCGGAUCGCCUGGCGGGUGCGGAUGUCCUUGACAGAGAAGCCAAAUUCAUCAAACUCAACAGAAAUAGGAUUCUCACGCGUAAGUUGCCGAACAGACAGUAGGUUGGUGAUAAGCGAGGGAGAAAGCAAAACAUUGCGAAGAACAAGUGGAGAAUUGGUGGUGAUGAGAGACCCGUGGCCGGUGUGGGUGAUCGGGAGACGACCGCCGUUGCCGACCAUGAUCUGAUUGGGUGAGGAAUUAGGAGAAAGGGAGUGGAGGGUACCAGGGUUGGCGGUCAUGUGCGCCGUCGCGCCGGAGUCAAGGUACCAGUCGGAGGUGCUUCCAGCAGACGGAGCUGAGGUGGACGCGGCCUGCAGAGCCGUGUGCAGCGUCCCAUGUCCCAGGGCUGGGGCUGCGCUGGUGGUGGCGCGGUGCUGGAGCUGGCGCCGGGGGAGCCGUAGCCAUAGCCAAGAGGGGCGCCGUAGGCACCGUAGCCAGGUGGGAACGACGGUGCACCCGGCCCAGCAAAGAAGGCCUGCUGCGGAGGAGUGCCGGGGCGGGGACCAAGAACGCCGGCACCGGGCGCGCGCCAGGGCAUUGGCCAGGCUUGCACCAGCCCAGUCCAAGAGUUAGCACCGGGGGCCUGCCCAGGGAGAGCAGGCGGACGGGGCGGCGAUGGAGUGGUCGACGAAGACGCCCAGGGACUGCCACGGCCACGACGCUUGCCGCGGCCACGCCCGCGGCCAGCGCCGGAGUCAUCCGGCGGGGUAGCAUUGGGGGCAGACGGAGGAGUCGACAGAGUGAUACGCCUGGCCACCAUGGCGUGAACGUGCUGAAUGCGUGCCAUCUGCUCGGCACAGUGCUCCUCUAGUAGCAAGAACGAGCGGGCCUGUAGGAAACUGGGCAGGGGCACGCGCGAGGUGAGAUGAGGUAUGGCGCCGUGGUACUGGCGCCCAAGCCCACGGAUCAUGUUGAAGAGCUGCUGGGUCUCAGAGACGGGCUGGCCGAGAUCGCGAAGUUGGUCGGCGAACGUCUUCAGACGCGUGCAGUACUGCAUGAUGGAGAGAUCGCCCUGCACGAGGGCGUGGUACUCAGCAUCGACGUACACGGCGCGGGAGAGCUGGUUGUCGUGGAAGAUCGCCUCAAUCGCAGUCCAAAGCACGACCGCCGUAUCCUCGGGCUGCAUGACGGCGUCGAGCAGCUCCGGCGAGAUCGUGGCGUAGAGCCAAUGAACCACGCAGUGGUCGAUCAUGACCCACUCGGGGUCGCGGCGGCCUGGCGCGGCGUCGGUGAUGAUGUGGUCGUGGAUGCCGAACAUGCCCACGAUGGUGUGGAAGAAGCGGCACCACUGCGCGUAGUUGCCGGCAUGGAGACCGAGAGUGAUCGGGACAUGGUGGCGAAUGUCGAUGGUCUGAAGAACCGACGCUGAAAAGGCACGCAGAGGAGGGAGGAGGGCGUUAGGGAGGUGGACGGCGUCGGUGUUCUGGAGGACGCCGGCAGCAGGGUCACCGUCAUCGUCUGAUGAGGUGGGAGAGGGGACGGGGUUGCCGUCCAUGGCAGCUGAAGAAGGAGGUGGCACAGGCGCAAAGGGGUUGGAUUCCUGCGCAUCUGAUACCAUGUUUCAGGAAGGGAGAUUGAACCACGCUUGAUCCAUUGAUCUUAGGCAUACAUAUAGUUUACAGAGGGAGAGGCGCGAGGCCACGAUGGUGAUCGUGGGCUGGCCAUGAUCGUGGAGGAGGACGUGUGUGCUCAGUGGGAAAACUGCACACACGCUCACUACACUACUCUACCUUAUACGUACAGAAUACAGUAGUCUAACAGUAGUGUAGGAGGCCCCGAUCAAUCUCCGUUCAUGGUAUGCACGAGUGUUUAGUAGUUUCAAGUAUCCCCCACGUGCGAUACGUAGAGUGAAGAUGAGCCGAUUGUUGCAUAGAGCCCUCGUGCGCGAUAUGUAGAGUUGUCCUAGCCAGUUGGCUCUCGAUAUACAGUUGAACCUAUUUGCUUAUUUAUAAAGUUGGCCGUAUGCAUCGUUCUGAUGCAGAGGCCGGGGAGUCCCCCCUUUUCAAAAAAACAGUUCUCAAUAUACAGUCCCCGUUACUGCGUCACAGUGUCGUGCGCAUACGCUCCACCCCAGCCGGUGGGGGUUCAUUGAAUAGGACCCGUUGUAGGCGGUUGGCACUGGAUGAAAAGGACCCCGAGGAGGCCAUCCCUCUAUACGACACACCCCGGCCGGUUGGGGGUCAAUGAAGAGGACCCCGUGGAGGGCGAUGAUGGUGUCAAGGAGAGCAAAUGCAAAGGAUUGCACGAUCAUAGGAUGUUGUCCACCACCACAUACUAGAGGAGCCCAUCUGAUGCCGCAUAAACUCGCUGACUCAGACCUGGAGGAUUACCACCGCCCGAGCACGCCACUAGGGAGUUGGUACUAGCGGAGCUCUGAGUCUUUCUCCGUACACAGGGCAUCGUCUUGGAUCUUAUUUGUCCUAGGGCAUGGCAUGGCAUAGUAUUCAGACUUUUCUGUGUUCUUUUUCGGCGCUGUGGUCGUGUGUGUGUUAUGUUAUCCGGUUAUCCUGGGAUAUGCUUUGUAAGAAGACUGCCUCACUAUUGGGGAACGUAGUAUUUCAAAAAAUUCCUAUGAUCACGCAAGAUCUAUCUAGGAGAAGCAUAGCAACGAGUAGGGAGAGUGUCUCCACGUACCCUUGUAGACCGUAAGCGGAAGUGUUUAGUAACGCGGUUGAUGAAGUCGAACGUCUUUGCGAUCCAACCGAUCAAGUACCGAACGCACGACACCUCCACGAUCUGCACACGUUCAGCUCGGUGACGUCCCUUGAACUGUUGAUCUAGUUGAGGCCAAGGGAGAGUUUCGUCAGCACGACGGCGUGGUGACGGUGAUGAUGAAGUUACAGACGCAAGGCUUCGCCUAAGCACUACGACAAUAUGACCGAGGUGGAAAACUAUGGAGGGGGGCACCGCACACGGCUAAAUAUCAACUUGUGAGUCUAUGGGGUGCCCCCUCCCCCGUAUAUAAAGGAGGGGAGGGGGGGCCGGCCGGCCACAAGGGGGGGGGGAUCCUACUCCUAGUAGGAGUAGGUUCCCCCCUUCCUAGUCCAACUAAGAGAAGAAGGAAUGAGAGGGAGAGGGAGAGGGAAAGAGGGGCCGCCCCCAUUCCCUUGUCCUAUUCGGACUCCCCUUUGGGGGGGUGCGCCACCUCCUGGCUGCGGCCCUCUCUCUUCCCUAAGGACCAUAACUUCCCGGGGGGGUUCGGUAACCCUCCGGCACUCCGGUUUUAUCCGAAACUAUCCGGAACACUUCCAGUGUCCGAAUAACAUGGUCCAAUAUAUCAAUCUUUAUGUCUCGACCAUUUCGAGACUCCUCGUCAUGUCCGUGAUCUCAUCGGGGACUCCGAACAACCUUCGGUACAUCAAAUCACAUAAACUCAUAAUACGAAUCGUCAUCGAACAUUAAGCGUGCGGACCCUACGAGUUCGAGAACUAUGUAGACAUGACCAAGACACAUCUCCGGUCAAUAACCAAUAGAGGAACUUGGAGGCUCAUAUUGGCUUCUACAAUUCUACGAAGAUCUUUAUCGGUCAAACCACACAACAACAUACGUUGUUCCCUUUGUCAUUGGUAUGUUACUUGCCCGAGAUUCGAUCGUCGGUAUCCUCAUACCUAGUUCAAUCUCGUUACCGGCAAGUCUCUUUAAUCGUUCCGUAAUGCAUCAUCCCAUAACUAACUCAUUAGUCACAUUGCUUGCAAGGCUUCUAGUGAUGUGCAUUACCGAGAGGGUCCAGAGAUACCUCUCCGAAACACGGAGUAACAAAUCAUAAUCUCGAUCUGUGCCAACCCAACAAACACCAUCGGAGACACCUGUAGAGCAUCUUUAUAAUCAUCCAGUUAUGUUGUGACGUUUGAUAGCACACUAAGUGUUCCUCCGGUAUUCGAAAGUUUCAUAAUCUCAUAGUCAUAGGAACAUGUAUAAGUCAUGAAGAGAGCAAUAACAAUAAACUAAACGAUCAUAGUGCUAAGCUAACGGAUGGGUCUUGUCCAUCAUAUCAUUCUCUAAUGAUGUGACCCCGUUCAUCAAAUUACAACACAUGUCUAGGGCUAGGAAACUUAACCAUCUUUGAUUAACAAGCUAGUCAAGUAGAGGCAUACUAGGGACACUCUGUUUGUCUAUGUAUUCACACAUGUACUAAGUUUCCAGUUAAUACAAUUCUAGCAUGAAUAAUAAAUGUUUAUCAUGAUAUAAGGAAAUAUAAAUAAAAACUUUAUUAUUGCCUCUAGGGCAUAUUUCCUUUAGUCUCCCACUUGCACUAGAGUCAAUAGUUUAGAUUACAUUGUAAUGAUUCUAACACCCAUGGAGUCUUGGUGUUGAUCAUGUUUUGCUCGUGAGAGAGGCUUAGUCAAUGGGUCUGCAACACUCAGAUAUGUAUGUAUCUUGCAAAUCUUUAUGUCCCCCUUCCGACACUUGAUGACGGAUGGAAUUGAAGCUUCUCUUGAUAUGCUUGGUUCUCUUGUGAAAUCUGGAUUCUUUCGCCAAGGCAAUUGCUCCAGUAUUUUCACAAAAGAUUUUCAUUGGACCCGAUGCACUAGGUACUACACCUAGAUCGGAUAUGAACUCCUUCAUCCAGACUCCUUCAUUUGCUGCUUCCGAAGCAGCUAUGUAUUCCGCUUCACACGUAGAUCCCGCCACGACGCUCUACUUAGAACUGCACCAACUGACAGCUCCACCAUUCAAUAUAGACACGUAUCCGGUUUGUGACUUAGAGUCAUCCGGAUCAGUGUCAAAGCUUGCAUCGACGUAACCAUUUACGAUGAGCUCUUUGUCACCUUCAUAAACGAGAAACAUAUCCUUAGUCCUUUUUAGGUAUUUUAGGAUGUUCUUGAUCGCUGUCCAGUGAUCCACUCCUGGAUUCACUACAGGAAUCAGCUACUUUGCCAUCAGCCACGGCGGACGGCAAAGGCAUGGAUGGCGGACGACAAAGGUCUUUGCCGUCCGCCGCGGACGACAAAGGUCUUUGUCGUCCGCCGCGAAUGGCAAAAGUGGACGGCAACGUACGGGAUGGCAAAGAGCUACAUCGCCAUCCGCUUCGGGCAGCUGACGGCAAAGGGUCCUUUGCCAUCAGCUGCCGACAGCAAAGAAUACUGACGGCAAUAAUUGCGUUGUUACUCCGUUAGGUGGUUAACGGCAAGCCUUUGCCGUCGGCCGCUGACGGCAAACAUUGGAAGGCCUUUGCCGUCCAUCGUUGUAGGCAAAGUUUUUUUUCUCUUUGCCGUCAGCCACUGUUGGCAAACUGACCAAAUAGGUCAGCCUCCCAGGAAGCACAGUUGCCUGCCACGUGGCCUCUUUGCCGUCCGCUGCUGAUGGCAAAGAGACCUUUGCCGUCGGUGGCUGACGGCAAAGAGCCUGCAUAUUGGCUCUUUUUUUCUGUUUUUUUAAAUCCAACAAUUUUCACAGCAAAUAUAUAUGACAUAUAUAGAUAUACUUCACAGAGCUAUUUAACAACACAUAAGUUUCAUCGUACAUACAUAUAUAGUUCCAUCCACUCAUACAUAGCAAGUUCCAUCAAGAUAGCAAAGUUGCACAUACAUAUUACAAUGCAAAGUUUCAUCAAGAUAGCAAGUUCCAUCGUAGCAAGCUAGAAGAAUACUAGAAGAGAAUGAAAUAAAAAACAAGCACUCCAUCAUAGCAAGCUAGCUUCCGAGAAGUGAAUGAAAUCUGCAAAAUGGCAAAUAAGAAAGUUAGGAAAAGGUGACUAGAAGAAGAAUACUAGAAGAAGAAGCACGCCAUCGUUUGUGAGGUAACUUAGGUGAAAUGGAUCGUUUAUGAGCUAACUUAGGUAAAAUGCAUCAUUUUAGAGCUGAUGUAGGUAAAAUGGAUCGUUUAUGAGCUAACUAAGCUAAUUAUGCCGUUUUUUUACAUAAGUAAGGUAAGUACAUGUCAUUAUUGAGCAAACCUAGUUAACUAAGCAUAUUAUAACUAACUUAGGUCAUUUUGGAGGAAACAAAGCUAAGUAUAGAUCGUUUUAGAGCUAACUUAGGUAAAAUGGCUGGUUUUGGAGGUCAGUAAGCUUAUUAAGUCAUUUUGCAGGAAAAGAAGCUAACUCUAGGUCAUUAAGGUAAGCAUAUUGGAUGAAAUAAAGCUAAGUCUAGGUCUUUAUGCAUUUGUUAAGCAAAAAACUAGAGAAACUUACCUUGAUCAUGGAGGUGUGGGAGCGGGCUGGCUCAGGCCAGUAGCUGGAGAAGGAUCGUGUGAUGCUUGUGUGGAGUAACGCUGCACCAAAGAUCAUUUCCAAUGUUUUGUUAGCAUGAUGACACUCAAAUGUUAAGACUAGCAAGUAACGUCCAUUCAAAUUAAACUCACCGUGGUCUCAGGAGCAAUCUCUGGAUCAAUGGCUAUGGAGCCACGGGACCUCCCGCCACUAGAUAUCAUCACCUGCUCUGGAUUGUAGGGGAUCUGGCUCGGGUUAAACUCCUCCCCUUUCCUCGCCUUCCCCUUGACUUGCUUGUAAGAGGCAGUGUGGGCCAUGGCAUACAGGUCGUACCCCUCUGGCACCUUAUCCGUCUUAUUGUAGCAUGCCUGAAAGAGAGAAACAAAGUAAAUUAGUAAUUAAAGGGCUCAAGCUAGCAUGAUGAAUGAAUUGCAUUAAUAAUGAAGCAAACCACAUUACCCAAUUCCGCCCGAACUGAUAUAAGCUGGAGCUACCUUGAUGGUGUGGCACACCUUCAAUUUGGGCAUGUUUGUCCUUGGCCUCAGUCGGCUCCCCUUCCAUCUUUAACACCUGCCAUGACAAAGAGUAAACAAAAUUAGUACAACAUAAAAAAAAUACCGACAUGAAUAUUAAUAUGUAUAUCACUUAAGUGUAUCAUCAUCAAGUACAACAUAAAAAAAUUGAAUACCUGACACUACUAAUAAUCUCGAUCAGUAUCAUCAAUAAAUGCAUAAUCAUCAUCAUCACUAUAAUCAAUGACGGGCUCAUAGGGUUCAGUGGCAUCAACAUGUGGAAGGCCACCUUUACGUAAUCGGUCAAGCAUUGAGAGGUCGUCCGCAGCAGUAACCUCUUCUUGUUCCGGCUCUUCUUGUUCCUCCUCUGCGGUGAUGUGGGAUUCACUGUCGCUGUCUACUUCAAUGUUUUGGGGUGAAGUAUACCGGUUCUUGAAACGCUUUUUGGAAAGACGUGUCUCUUGGAAGAAUUCUCCUUCAUAUGUGUCUGGGUUAAUGUGAGGUUCAUAAUCGUCUUCCUUUGGGGGAGAUAGUCUAGCACGUGGCGGCACUUCAUAAACGACAUCCCAACCUUUCAGAUUUGGAUUAGUUUGGCAGGCCCAGGGUAGAUAGAAUACUUGGGUCGCCUGUUGAGCCAUAAUAUAGACAUCAGGAACAUCUAAAUGGGUGCUUUGGUUGAUUUCAACUAGCCCUAUAUGUUCAUGAGUCCUUCUAGUCUCCUUCGGCUGAAACCAAUAACAUUUGAAGACUACGACAUUCGGUGGGUUUUCACCAUAGAAUAGAAGUUCAUAAAUUGCUUCAACUCUCCCAUAAUACUCGGUACCUCCUUCACCGAUAGCAGAUACACAACAAUUUGUAGAUUUUCGGUCGGCCAUAGAUAGAUCUUUGCCAUAGGUACGAAAACGAUACCCGUUGAUGUCGUAUUUGUCAAAUGAACGGACCUUAUAGUCAAAACCAUUAGCGACUUGUCUCAAUUUGGCAUCCAUAGACUCUGAAUUAGCCUAAAAGUUUAAUAUGAAAGGAUUGUUGCAUUACGCACAAAUUAGCGAAUGAAAUGAAAUUGUCUAAUAGAAUUUACCAUUUGUUUGAACCAAGAGAUGAAACCGGGAUAGCUGCCUCCUUGCUUUGCGAGAAGCUCAUACAAAUACGGGCCAACAACUGUAUUGGGCUGCCGUCAUACCAAACACACUGAACCCAUCGGUGCUAAUGCCGACUCGAGGAUGCCUCGGAUCUGCCGCUUUGUCAGCAUGUAAUUCAUCAAACUUUUUCCACGCAACACCAUCUGAUGUGUGUACCAUCAUCAGAUUACCAUCUGCAUCUAGUUCAGUUCUUUUGCCUGUUUUGUGCCAUGUCAUCUGUCUGGCCGUCUCUUCGACCAUGAAAAGACGUUGAAGUCUUGGUACGAUUGGCAUAUACCGAAGAACACUAAUAGAGAUUUUGGUCUGUGUCUUCUCACCCAUACCGUUGUCUACCACAAUAUACCUGGAACACUUGCAAAUGGGACAAUAGUUCAAGUCCGCAUAGUCAAGCCUAAAUAAGGCACAUCCUUUCUCACAGGCAUGUAUCUUCUCAUAGGGCAUCUUCAGUGCACGGAGGAUUUUGUCCGACUGGUACAGGUUUGUAGGCAUUACAUGGCCUUUGGGUAGAAACCAUCCAAAUACUGUCAUAAUUGCGUCAUAGCAUUCUCUGCCCAAGUCGAACUGAGCCUUCAAAGCCAUUACUUGUGAGAUGGCAUCCAACUGACAAAGCUCAGUGUGCUCGUGGAGCGGACGUUUUGAAGACUCCAACAUUUCAUUGAAGGCCUUUGCAGAUUCCUCCAUCUCCCCGUCCGAAUCCCGAGCAUCAUCAUAGUCUUGCACCAUGUUUUCCAUCCCGGUACCAUGCUCGUCAGUGCGACGAUGAUCCACCUCAGCUCGGUCACGUUGGGCAGACUCACCAUGAAAUGUCCACACCGUAUAAUCGGGCGUAAAACCAUUCUUCUGCAGGUGUUUACCCAUUUCAGCCUCUGUCCUCUUUUCCCAAUUGUCGCAUCGGAAACAGGGGCACCAAGUUUUCCUCUGGCCAUUUGCAAAUGCGGCUUGCACAAACCCCUUGGUUUUUGUGAAUCAUUCAGCGCUCCAUUUGUUCUGACCAGUGUGACCGGUAUACAUCCAUGCACGAUCACUCAUCUUGACUUUCAGAUCUACUGGACACACAACAAUUAUAUAUAUAAUUCACCAUGUAUAUAUUCAUCAGUUGAUCUACUUUGUCAAUUUUAUUACGUCCAUGCAACCUACACUCUAAUAGGUAAUGAUAGGUCCUAAUCCCACCCGAGUAUGUGUAGAUUGGGUUCAUUUUCCCAAGCUAUGCUCCGGAUCCGACGCAAAAUUUCGGCAGCACCUCCCCGCUGUUCUCCUGAUACACGUCUCUGCAAUAAACAGAGAGGAUGUGUACCCGGAGAACAACAGGGGAGGCACUGACGAAAUUUAUGCGUCGGAUCCGGAGCAAAGCAUAUGGGAAAACGAACCCAAUCUACACAUACUCGGGCUGUCCAUGGAUAGCGUUGGACAACUCGAAAGAAUCAAGGUUAUAAAUAUGCAAAUGCAUGCAUAUUUAUAACUAUGACGCUUUCGAACGGGAGACACAUAUUGGUUACGCAUACUGAUGAUUCAAGACACAUAUAUAGCUAGCUACCAAAUUUCAUGUCAUUUAUGCAAAUAAUUAAUGGGGGAGAAGGACAAGUCAUUUGUGCUCACCCACGAACGAAGGGGCAGAGCUCGUCAAACGCACGGCGAGGUCGUCGAACACCAAACCUCGCAGCGAUGAAACAACUGCACAUUUAAAUCUACCUGAUCAACACAAUUAUAUAUGAUGUUUUUCAGAACAAAAUCAAAAAAUAUAUGACCUAACUAAUAAUUCAAAAAUAUAUAACCCCGUCAGCCUCUGGAAGGCCAAAGAGCACCAUUUCGGGAGGUUUAGGGGGUCGGGGUGUCAUGUCGGUGUCGGGGUGCUGUUUUGGGGUCAGGGUGUCAUGUCGGGGUCGGGGUGUCGGGGUGUGGUGUCGUGGUCUGUGUGUCGGNNNNNNNNNNNNNNNNNNNNNNNNNNNNNNNNNNNNNNNNNNNNNNNNNNNNNNNNNNNNNNNNNNNNNNNNNNNNNNNNNNNNNNNNNNNNNNNNNNNNNNNNNNNNNNNNNNNNNNNNNNNNNNNNNNNNNNNNNNNNNNNNNNNNNNNNNNNNNNNNNNNNNNNNNNNNNNNNNNNNNNNNNNNNNNNNNNNNNNNNNNNNNNNNNNNNNNNNNNNNNNNNNNNNNNNNNNNNNNNNNNNNNNNNNNNNNNNNNNNNNNNNNNNNNNNNNNNNNNNNNNNNNNNNNNNNNNNNNNNNNNNNNNNNNNNNNNNNNNNNNNNNNNNNNNNNNNNNNNNNNNNNNNNNNNNNNNNNNNNNNNNNNNNNNNNNNNNNNNNNNNNNNNNNNNNNNNNNNNNNNNNNNNNNNNNNNNNNNNNNNNNNNNNNNNNNNNNNNNNNNNNNNNNNNNNNNNNNNNNNNNNNNNNNNNNNNNNNNNNNNNNNNNNNNNNNNNNNNNNNNNNNNNNNNNNNNNNNNNNNNNNNNNNNNNNNNNNNNNNNNNNNNNNNNNNNNNNNNNNNNNNNNNNNNNNNNNNNNNNNNNNNNNNNNNNNNNNNNNNNNNNNNNNNNNNNNNNNNNNNNNNNNNNNNNNNNNNNNNNNNNNNNNNNNNNNNNNNNNNNNNNNNNNNNNNNNNNNNNNNNNNNNNNNNNNNNNNNNNNNNNNNNNNNNNNNNNNNNNNNNNNNNNNNNNNNNNNNNNNNNNNNNNNNNNNNNNNNNNNNNNNNNNNNNNNNNNNNNNNNNNNNNNNNNNNNNNNNNNNNNNNNNNNNNNNNNNNNNNNNNNNNNNNNNNNNNNNNNNNNNNNNNNNNNNNNNNNNNNNNNNNNNNNNNNNNNNNNNNNNNNNNNNNNNNNNNNNNNNNNNNNNNNNNNNNNNNNNNNNNNNNNNNNNNNNNNNNNNNNNNNNNNNNNNNNNNNNNNNNNNNNNNNNNNNNNNNNNNNNNNNNNNNNNNNGCGGCGCGAUGGGGCGGCGGGGGCGGGGGCGGAGGAGGUCGAGGGAGAAGAGAUGAGUAACGGGCGGGGGAGGGGGCGAAGCCGUUGCCGUCUGCCCUCCUUUGUCGUCCGCUUUUGUUCAUAUUUGCCGUCUGCUGCGGACGACAAAGCGGUGGGACGUUAAGUAUUUUUUAACCAGCUCCUCAGUGGGGCCCCCCUCCCUCUUUGCCGUCUGCUAGCGGACGGCAAAGAUUCUUUUCCGUCAGCUAGCGGACGGCAAAGAACAGGCUGAUGGCAAAGGCUUUCUUUGCCAUCAGCCAGUUCUUUGUCGUCUGCUUUCGGGUACCUGAUGGCAAAGAGCUUCUUUGCCGUCUGCUAGCUGACGACAAAGAGCUGGCAGAUGGCAAAGUAGCUGAUUCCAGUAGUGAUUACUGUGGUACCUCCCUACUAUACUUAUAGCAAGGCACACAUCAGGUCUGGUACACAGCAUUGCAUACAUGAUAGAACCUAUGGCUGAAGCAUAGGGAAUGCCUUUAAUUUUCUCUCUAUCUUCUGCAGUGGUCAGGCAUUGAGUCUCACUCAACUUCACACCUUGUAAUACAGACAAGAACCCUUUCUUUGACUGGUCCAUUUUGAACUUCUUCAAAAUCUUAUCAAGGUAUGUGCUUUGUGAAAGUCUAAUUAAGCGUCUUGAUCUUUCUCUAUAGAUCUUGAUGCCCAAUAUAUAAGUCACUUCACCGAGGUCUUUCAUUGAAAAAUUCUUAUUCAAGUAUCCUUUUAUGCUAUCCAGAAAUACUGUAUCAUUUCUAAUCAACAAUAUGUCAUCCACAUAUAAUAUUAGAAAUGCUACAGAGCUCCCACUCACUUUCUUGCAAAUAUAGGCUUCUCCAAAAGUCUAUAUAAAAUCAUAUGCUUUGAUCACACUAUCAAAACGUUUAUUCCAACUCUGAGAGGCUUGCACCAGUCCAUAAAUGGAUCGCUGGAGCUUGCACACUUUGUUAGCAUCCUUUGGAUCGAUAAAACCUUCUGGUUGCAUUAUAUACAACUCUUCUUCCAGAAAUCCAUUCAGGAAUGCAGUUUUGACAUCCAUUUGACAAAUUUCAUAAUCAUAAAAUGUAGCAAUUGCUAACAUGAUUCGGACAGACUUAAGCAUCGCUACGGGUGAGAAAGUCUCAUCGUAGUCAACUCGUUGAACUUGUUGAAAACCUUUUGCAACAAGUCGAGCUUUGUAGACAGUAACAUUACCGGCAGCGUCAAUGUUCUUCCUGAAGAUCCAUUUAUUCUUGAUAGCUUGCCGAUCAUCGGGCAAGUCAACCAAAGUCCACACUUUGUUCUCAUACAUGGAUCCCAUCUCAGAUUUCAUGGCCUCAAGCCAUUUUGCAGAAUUUGGGCUCAUCAUCGCUCCUCAUAGCUCGUAGGUUUGUUAUGGUCUAGUAGCAUAACGUCCAGAACAGGAUUACCAUACCACUCUAGUGCGGAUCUGAUAUGUCUGCAACGCAUCUAUAUUUUUUGAUUGUUCCAUGCUAAUAUAUUACCCGUUUUGGAUGUUUAUGGGCUUUACUUUACACUUUUAUAUCAUUUUUGGGACUAACCUACUAACUGGAGGCCCAACCCAAAUUGCUGUUUUUUUGCCUAUUUCAGUGUUUCGAAGAAAAGGAAUAUCAAACGGAGUCCAAACGGAAUGAAACCUUCGGAAGCGAUCUUUUUGGAACAAACACAAUCCAGGAGACUUGGAAUGGACGUCAAGAAGCAGUCGAGGUGGCCACGAGGGUGCCCGGCGCGCCCCCUGGAAGUGGGCGCGCCCCCACCCUCGUGGGCCCCUCGAGCGUCCAUCGACAUAUUUCUUCCUCCUAUAUAUAUCCACGUACCCCUAAAACAUCCAGGAACACCACGAAAAACUAUUUCCACCGCCGCAACCUUCUGUAUCCGCGAGAUCCCAUCUUGGAGCCUUCAUCGGCAUUCCGCUGGAGGGGGAAUCAACCACGGAGGGCCUCUACAUCAUCUCCAAGGCCUCUCCGGUGAGUUGUGAGUAGUUUACCACAAACCUUCGGGUCCAUAGUUAUUAGCUAUAUGGCUUCUUCUCUUUCUUUGAAUCUCAAUACAAAGUUCUCCUUGAUCUUCUUGGAGAUCUAUUCGAUGUAACUCUUUUUGCGGUGUGUUUGUUGAGAUCCGAUGAAUUGUGGGUUUAUGAUCAAGUUUAUCUAUGAGAAAUAUUUGAAUCUCCUCUGAAUUCUUUUAUGUGUGAUUAAGUUAUCUUUGCAAGUCUCUUCGAAUUAUCAGUUUGGUUUGGCCUACUAGAUUGAUCUUUCUUGCAAUGGGAGAAGUGCUUAGCUUUGGGUUCAAUCUUGCGGUGUCCUUUCCCAGUGACAGCAGGGGCAGCAAGGCACGUAUUGUAUUGUUGCCAUCGAGGAUAACAAGAUGGGGUUUAUAUCAUAUUGCAUGAGUUUAUCCCUCUACAUAAUGUCAUCUUUCUUAAUGCGUUACUCUAUUUUUAUGAACUUAAUACUCUAGAUGCAUGAUGGAUAGCGGUCGAUGUGUGGAGUAAUAGCAGUAGAUGCAGGCAGGAGUCGGUCUACUUAUCACGAACGUGAUGCCUAUAUACAUGAUCAUGCCUAGAUAAUCUCAUAACUAUUCACUUUUCUAUCAAUUGCUCGACAGUAAUUUGUUCACCCACCGUAAUACUUAUGCUAUCUUGAGAGAAGCCACUAGUGAAACCUAUGGCCCCUGGGUCUAUCUCUUAUCAUAUAAGUUUACCAUCUACUUUUAUUUGCAUCUUUUACUUUCCAAUCUAUAUCAUAAAAAUAAAAAAAUAUUUAUCUUAUCAGAUUAUCUCUAUCAGAUCUCACUUUCGCAAGUGGCCAUGAAGGGAUUGACAACCCCUUUAUUGCGUUGGUUGCGAGGUUCUUGUUUGUUUGUGUAGGUGCAUGGGACUUUCGAGGAGCCUCCUACUGGAUUGAUACCUUGGUUCUCAAAAACUGAGGGAAAUACUUACGCUACUUUGCUGCAUCACCCUUUCCUCUUCAAGAAAAACCAACGCAAGCUCAAGCUGUAGCAGAAUCUUAGUCUGGUUGACCUACGAGGUUCAGUAGUAACUUGGUCUGAAGUUUCAUGAUCAUCAUCAUUAGCUUCCUCACUAAUUGGUGUAGGAAUCACUAUAACUGUUUUCUGUGAUGAACUACUUUCCAGGAGAAGGUAAAAUUACCUCAUCAAGUUCUACUUUCCUCCCACUCACUUCUUUCAAGAGAAACUCCCUCUCUAGAAAGGAUCCAUUCUUAGCAAUGGAUAUUUUGCCUUCAGAUCUAUGAUAGAAGGUGUACCCAAUAGUCUCCUUUGGGUACCCUAUGAAGACACAUUUCUCCGAUUUGGGUUCGAGCUUAGCAGGUUGAAGCUUUUUCACAUAAGCAUCACAGCCCCAAACUUUAAGAAAUGACAACUUGGGUUUCUUGCCAAAAUACACUUCAUAAGGUGUCGUCUCAAUGGAUUUAGAUGGUGCCCUAUUUAAGAUGAAUGCAACCGUCUUUAAAGCAUAACCCCAAAACGAUAGCGGUAAAUCAGUAAGAGACAUCAUAGAUUGCGCCAUAUCUAAUAAAGUGCGGUUACGACAUUCGGACACACCAUUACGCUGUGGUGUUCCAGGUGGCGUGAGUUGCGGAAUUAUUCCGCAUUGUUUCAAAUGAAGACCAAACUCGUAACUCAAAUAUUCUCUUCCACGAUCAGAUCGUAGAAACUUUAUUUUCUUGUUACGAUGAUUUUCCACUUCACUCUGAAAUUAGAUGAACUUUUCAAAUGUUUCAAACUUAUGUUUCAUCAAGUAGAUAUACCCAUAUCUGCUCAAAUCAUCUGUGAAAGUCAGAAAAUAAUGAUACCCGUCGCGAGCCUCAACACUCAUCGGAUCGCAUACAUCAGUAUGUAUUAUUUACAAUAAGUCAGUUGCCCACUCCAUUGUUCCGGAGAAUGGAGUCUUAGUCAUCUUGCCCAUAAGGCAUGGUUCGCGAGCAUCAAGUGAUCCAUAAUCAAGUGAUUCCAAAAUCCAUAAUCAAGUGAUUCCACAUUGUUUCAAAUGAAGACCAAACCCGUAACUCAAAUAUUCUCCUCCAUGAUCAGAUCGUAGAAACUUUAUUUUCUUGUUAUGAUGAUUUUCCAGUUCACUCUGAAAUUCUUUGAACUUUUCAAAUGUUUCAUACUUAUGUUUCAUCAAGUAGAUAUACCCAUAUCUGCUCAAAUCAUCUGUGAAUGUCAGAAAAUAACGAUACCCGUCGCGCCUCAUCGGACCGCAUACAUCAAUAUGUAUUAUUUCCACUAAGUCUGUUGCUCGCUCUGUUGUUCCAGAGAACAGAGUCUUAGUCAUCUUGCCCAUGAGGCGUGGUUCGCAAGUAUCAAGUGAUUCAUAAUCAAGUGAUUCCAAAAGCCCAUCAGCACGGAGUUUCUUCAUGCGCUUUAUACCAAUAUGACCUAAAUGGUAGUGCCACAAAUAAGUUGCACUAUCAUUAUUAAACUUAUAUAUUUUGGCUUCAACACUAUGAAUAUGUGUAUCACUACUAUCAAGAUUCAACAAAAACAGAACACUCAUCAAGGGUGCAUGACCAUAAAAGAUAUUACUCAUAUAAAUAGAACAACCAUUAUUCUCUGAUUUAAAUGUUAAUCGUCUCGCAUCAAACAAGAUCCAGAUAUUGUUGGGGAACAUAGUAAUUUCAAAAAAAAAUCCUACGCACACGCAAGAUCAUGGUGAUGCAUAGCAACGAGAGGGGAGAGUGUCAUCCACGUACCCUCGUAGACCGUAAGCGGAAGCGUUAUGACAACGCGGUUUAUGUAGUCAUACGUAUUCACGUUCGACCGAUCCUAGUACCGAAUGUACGGCACCUCCGUGAUCCGCACACAUUCAGCUUGGUGACGCCCCAUGAACUCACAAUCCAGUAGAGCUUCGAGGGAGACUUCCGGCAGCACGACGGCAUGAUGACGGUGAGAUGAAGUUACCGGUGCAGGGCUUCGCCUAAGCACUAUGAUGAUACGACCGAGGUGGAUUAUGGUGGAGGGGGGCACCACACACGGCUAAGAGAUCAAUGAUCAACUUGUCUCUAUGGGGUGCCCCUUGCCUCAGUAUAUAAAGGAGGAGAGGAGGGGAGGCCGGCCGGCCCUAGAGGCGUGCCCAAGUGUGGAGUCCUACUAGGACUCCAAGUCCUAGUAGGAGUCCACCAAGAGGAAGGGAGGGAGAAGGAAGGAGAGGGAGGAAAGGAGGAAAGGGGGGCCGGCCCCCUAGUCAAAUAUAUCAAUCUUUACGUCUCGACCAUUUCGAGACUCCUCGUCAUGUCCCCGAUCUUAUCCGGUACUCCGAGCUACCUUCGGUACAUCAAAACACAUAAACUCAUAAUACCAAUCGUUACCGAACGUUAAACGUGUGGACCCUACGGGUUCGAGAACUAUGUAGACAUGACCAAGACUCGUCUCCGGUCAAUAACCAGUAGCGGAACCUGGAUGCUCAUAUUGGCUCCUACAUAUUAUAUGAAGAUCUUUAUCGGUCAAACCGCAUAACAACAUACGUUGUUCCCUUUGUCAUCGGUAUGUAAGUUGCCCGAGAUUCGAUCGUCGGUAUCUCAAUACCUAGUUCAAUCUCGUUACCGGCAAGUAUCUUUACUCAUUCCGUAAUACAUCAUCCCGCAACUAACUCAUUAGUCACAUUGCUUGCAAGGCUUAUAGUGAUGUGCAUUACCGAGAGGGCCCAGAGAUACCUCUCCGACAAUCGGAGUGACAAAUCCUAAUCUUGAUCUAUGCCAAUUCAACAAGUACCAUCGGAGACACCUGUAGAGCACCUUUAUAAUCACCCAGUUACAUUGUGACGUUUGAUAGCACACUAAGUGUUCCUCCGGUAUUCGGGAGUUGCAUAAUCUCAUAGUCAUAGGAACAUGUAUAAGUCAUGAAGAAAGCAAUGGCAAUAUCUAAACGAUCAAAUGCUAAGAUAAUGGAAUGGGUCAAGUCAAUCACAUCAUUCUCUAAUGAUGUGAUCCCCUUAAUCAAAUGACAACUUAUGUCUAUGGCUAGGAAACUUAACCAUCUUUGAUUCAACGAGCUAGUCAAGUAGAGGCAUACUAGUGACACUUAGUUUGUCUAUAUAUUCACACAUGUACUAAGUUUCCGGUUAAUACAAUUCUAGCAUGGAUAAUAAACAUUUAUCAUGAAAUAAGAAAAUAAAUAAUAACUUUAUUAUUGCCUCUAGGGCAUAUUUCCUUAAGUCUCCCACUUGCACUAGAGUCAAUAAUCUAGUUCACAUCACCAUGUAAUUUAACACCAAUAGUUCACAUCACCGUGUGAUUAACACCCAUAGUUCACAUCGCCAUGUGACCAACACUCAAAGGGUUUACUAGAGUCAGUAAUCUUAGUUCACAUCUCGAUGUGAUUAACACCCAAAGAGUACUAAGGUAUGAUCAUGUUUUGGUUGUGAGAGAAGUUUAGUCAACGGGUCUGCCAUAUUCAGAUCCGUAUGUAUUUUGCAAAUUUCUAUGUCAACAAUGCUCUGCACGGAGCUACUCUAGCUAAUUGCUCCCACUUUCAAUAUGUAUCCAGAUUGAGACUUAGAGUCAUCUGGAUCAGUGUCAAAACUUGCAUCGAUGUAACCCUUUACGACGAACAUUUUGUCACCUCCAUAAUCGAGAAACAUAUCCUUAUUCCACUAAGGAUAAUUUUGACCGUUGUCCAGUGAUCUACUCCUAGGUCACUAUUGUAGUCCUUGGCCAAAAUCAGUGUAGGGAAUACAAUAGAUCUGGUACACAGCAUGGCAUACUUUAUACAACCUAUGGCUGAGGCAUAGGGAAUGACUUUCAUUCUCUUUCUAUCUUCUGCCAUGGUCGGGCUUUGAGUCUUACUCAAUUUCACACCUUGUAACACAGGCAAUAACUCUUUCUUUGACUGUUCCAUUUUGAACUACUUCAAAAUCUUGUCAAGGUAUGUACUCACUGGAAAAAAAACUUAUCAAGCGUCUUGAUCUAUCUCUAUAGAUCUUGAUGCUCAAUAUGUAAGCAACUUCACCGAGGUCUUUCUUUUGAAAAACUCCUUUCAAAUACUCCUUUAUGUUUUCUAGAAAAUUCUACAUUAUUUCCGAUCAACAAUAUGUCAUUCACAUAUACUUAUCAGAAAUUCUGUAGUGCUCCCACUUACUUUCUUGUAAAUACAGGCUUCACCGCAAGUCUGUAUAAAACUAUAUGCUUUGAUCAACUCAUCAAAGCGUAUAUUCCAACUCCAAGAUGCUUGCACCAGUCCAUAGAUGGAUCGCUGGAGCUUGCACGUUUUGUUAGCACCUUUACGAUCGACAAAACCUUAUGGUUGCAUCAUAUACAACUCUUCUUUAAGAAAUCCAUUAAGGAAUGUAGUGUUGACAUCCAUUUGCCAGAUUUCAUAAAAUGUGGCAAUUUGCUAACAUGAUUCAGACAGACUUAAGCAUCGCUAUGAGUGAGAAAAUCUCAUCGUAGUCAACACCUUGAACUUUGUCAAAACCCUUUUCGACAAGUCUAGCUUUGUAGAUAGUAACACUACUAUCAGCGUCCGUCUUCCUCUUGAAGAUCCAUUUAUUUUCUAUGGCUUGCCGACCAACGGGUAAGUCAACCAAAGUCCACACUUUGUUCUCAUACAUGGUUCCCAUCUCAGAUUUCAUGGCCUCAAGCCAUUUCAUGGAAUCUGGGCUCAUCAUUUCUUCCUCGUAGUUCGUAGGUUCGCCAUGGUCAAGUAACAUGACCUCUAGAACAGGAUUACCAUACCACUUUGGUGUGGAUCUCACUCUGGUUGACCUACGAGGUUCGGUAGUAACUUGAUUGAAGUUACCUGAUCAUCAUCAUUAGCUUCCUCACUAAUUGGUGUAGGAGUCACAGGAACAAAUUUCUUUGAUGAAUUACUUUCCAAUAAGGGAGCAGGUACAUUUACCUCAUCAAGUUCUACUUUCCUCCCACUCACUUCUUUGGAGAGAAACUCCUUCUCUAGAAAGGAUCCAUUCUUAGCAACGAAUGUCUUGCCUUCGGAUCUGUGAUAGAAGGUGUACCCAAUAAUCUCCUUUGGGUAUCCUAUGAAGACACAUUUCUCCGAUUUGGGUUUGAGCUUAUCAGGAUGAAACUUUUUCACAUAAGCAUCGCAACACAAACUUUAAGAAAUGACAACUUUGGUUUCUUGCCAAACCACAAUUCAUAUGGUGUCGUCUCAAUGGAUUUAGAUGGUGCCCUAUUUAACGUGAAUGCAGUUGUCUCUAAUGCAUAACCCUACAACGAUAGUGGUAAAUCGGUAAGAAACAUCAUAGAUUGCACCAUAUCUAAUAAAGUACGGUUACAAUGUUCGGACACAUCAUUACGCUGUGGUGUUCCAGGUGGCGUGAGUUGCGGAAUUAUUCCGCAUUGUUUCAAAUGAAGACCAAACUCGUAACUCAAAUAUUCUCUUCCAGGAUCAGAUCGUAGAAACUUUAUUUUCUUGUUACGAUGAUUUUUCACUUCACUCUGAAAUUAGAUGAACUUUUCAAAUGUUUCAAACUUAUAUUUCAUCAAGUAGAUAUACCCAUAUCUGCUCAAAUCAUCUGUGAAAGUCAGAAAAUAACGAUACCCGCCGCGAGCCUCAACACUCAUCGGAUCGCAUACAUCAAUAUGUAUUAUUUACAAUAAGUCAGUUGCCCGCUCCAUUGUUCCGGAGAACGGAGUCUUAGUCAUCUUGCCCAUAAGGCAUGGUUCGCGAGCAUCAAGUGAUCCAUAAUCAAGUGAUUCCAAAAUCCCAUCAGCAUGGAGUUUCUUCAUGCGCUUUAUACUAAUAUGACCUAAAUGGCAGUGCCACAAAUUAGUUGCACUAUCAUUAUUAACUUUGCAUCUUUUAGCUUCAGUAUUAUGAAUAUGUGCAUCACUACGAUUGAGAUCCGACAAACCAUUUUCAUUGGGUGUAUUACCAUAGAAGGUUUUAUUCAUGUAAACAGAACAACAAUUAUUCUCUAACUUAAAUGAAUAACCAUAUUGCAAUAAACAUGAUCAAAUCAUAUUCAUGUUCAACGCAAACACCAAAUGACACUUAUUUGAGUUCAACACUAAUCCUGAAAGUAUAGGGAGUGUGCGAUGAUGAUCAUAUCAAUCUUGGAACUACUUCCAACACACAUCGUCACCUCGGACUUAACUAGUUUUUGUUCAUUCCGCAAUUCCCGUUUUGAGUUACUACUAUUAUCAACUGAACCAGUAUCAAAUGCCGAGGGGUUGCUAUAAACACUAGUAAAGUACACAUCAAUAACAUGUAUAUCCAAUAUACCUUUGUUCACUUUGCCAUCCUUCUUAUCCGCCAAGUAUCUAGGACAGUUCCACUUCCAGUGACCAUUUCCUUUGCAGUAGAAGCACUCAGUUUCAGACUUGGGUCUAGCUUUGGGCUUCUGCACGGGAGCAACAACUUGCUUGCCGUUCUUUUUGAAGUUCCCCUUCUUCCCUUUGCCCUUUUCUUGAAACUAGUGGUCUUGUCAACCAUCAACACUUGAUGCUUUUCUCGAUUUCUACCUUCGUCGAUUUCAGCAUCACGAAGAGCUUGGGAAUUGUUUCUGUUAUCCCUUGCAUAUUAUAGUUCAUCACGAAGUUCUAGUAACUUGGUGUGUUGAGGAACGUAGUAAUUUCAAAAAAAAUCCUACGCACACGCAAGAUCAUGAUGAUGCAUAGCAACAAGAGGGGAGAGUGUUGUCCACGUACCCUCGUAGACCGAUAGCGGAAGCGUUAUAACAACGUGGUUGGUGUAGUCGUACGUCUUCACGGCCCGAUCGAUCAAGCACCAAAACUACGGCACCUCCGAGUUCUAGCACACGUUCAGCUCGAUGACGAUCCCCGGACUCCGAUCCAGCAAAGUGUCGGGGAACAGUUAUGUCAUCACGAUGGCGUGGUGACGAUCUUGAUGUUCUACCGUCGCAGGGCUUCGCCUAAGCACCGCUACAGUAUGAUCGAGGUGGACUAUGGUGGAGGGGGGCACCGCACACGGCUAAGAGAUCCAAGGGAUCAAUUGUUGUGUCUAUGGGGUGCCCCCUCCUCCGUAUAUAAAGGAGUGGAGGAGGGGGCCGGCCAAGGGGGGUGGCGCGCCCAAGGGGGGGAGUCCAAAUCCCACCGGGAGUAGGACUCCCCCUUUUCGUAUUAGGAGUAGGAGAGGGAAGGAAGACGAAGGAGGGAGGAAGGAAAGGGGGGACGGCCCCCCUCCCAAUUCGGAUUGGGCUUGGGGGGGCUCCCUUGCUCCUUUCCCCUCCUUUCCACUAAGGCCCAAUACGGCCCAUAUACCUCCCGGGGGGUUCCGAUAACCUCCCGGUGAUCCGGUAUUGUCCCAAUCUCACCCGGAACCUUUCCUGUGUCCAAAUAUAGUCGUCCAAUAUAUCGAUCUUUAUGUCUCGACCAUUUCGAGACUACUCGUCAAGUCCGUGAUCAUACCCGGGACUCUGAACAACCUUCGGUACAUCAAAAUAUAUAAACUCAUAAUGAAACUGUCAUCAUAAUGUUAAGCGUGCGGACCCUAUGGGUUCGAGAACAAUGUAGACAUGACCGGGACACGUCUCUGGUCAAUAACCAAUAGCGGAACAUGGAUGCUCAUAUUGGAUCCCACAUAUUCUACGAAGAUAUUUAUCGGUCAGACUGCAUAACAACAUACGUUGUUCCCUUUGUCAUCGGUACUUACUUGCCCAAGAUUCGAUUGUCGGUAUCUCAAUACCUAGUUCAAUCUCGUUACCGGCAAGUCUCUUUACUCGUUCCGUAAUACAUCAUCUCACAACUAAAUCAUUAGUUGCAAUGCUUGCAAGGCUUAAGUUAUGUGCAUUACCGAGAGGGCCCAGAGAUACCUCUCCGACAAUCGGAGUGACAAAUCCUAAUCUCGAAAUACGCCAACCCAACAUCUACCUUUGGAGACACCUGUAGAGCUCCUUUAUAAUCACCCAUUUAUGUUGUGACGUUUGGUAGCACACAAAGUGUUCCUCCGGUAAACGGGAAUUGCAUAAUCUCAUAGUCAUAGGAACAUGUAUAAGUCAUGAAGAAAGCAAUAGUAAUGUACCAAACGAUCGUGUUCUAAGCUAAUAGAAUGGGUCAUGUCAAUCACAUCAUUCUCCUAAUGAUGUGAUCCCAUUAAUCAAAUGACAACACAUGUCUAUGGUUAGGAAACAUAACCAUCUUUGAUCAACAAUCUAGUCAAGUAGAGGCAUACUAGUGACACUCUGUUUGUCUAUGUAUUCACACAUGUAUUAUGUUACCGGUUAAUACAAUUCUAGCAUGAAUAAUAAACAUUUAUCAUGAUAUAAGGAAAUAAAUAAUAACUUUAUUAUUGCCUCUAGGCCAUAUUUCCUUCAGUCUCCCACUUUCACUAGAGUCAAUAAUCUAGAUUACACUAUGACGAUUCUAACACCCAUGGAGCCUUGGUGCUGAUCAUGUUUUGCUCGUGGAAGAGGCUUAGUCAACGGGUCUGCUACAUUCAGAUCUGUAUGUAUCUUGCAAAUUUCUAUGUCUCCACUUGGACUAAAUCCCGAAUGGAAUUGAAGCACCUCUUGAUGUGCUUGGUUCUUUUGUGAAAUCUGGAUUCCUUCGCCAAAGCAAUUGCACCAGUAUUGUCACAAAAGAUUUUCAUUGGACCCGAUGCACUAGGUAAGACACCUAGAUCGGAUAUGAACUCCUUCGUCCAGACUCCUUCGUUUGCUGCUUCCGAAGCAGUUAUGUACUCCGCUUCACAUGUAGAUCCUGCCACAACGCUUUGUUUAGAACUGCACCAACUGACAGCUCCACCGUUCAAUGUAAACACGUAUCCGGUUUGCGAUUUAGAAUCGUCCGGAUCAGUGUCAAAGCUUGCAUCAAUGUAACCAUUUACGAUGUGCUCUUUGUCACCUCCAUAAACGAGAAACAUAUCCUUAGUACUUUUCAGGUAUUUCAGGAUGUUCUUGACCGCUGUCCAGGGAUCCACUCCUGGAUUACUUUGGUACCUCCCUGCUAAACAUAUAGCAAGGCACACAUCAGGUCUGGUACACAACAUUGCCUACAUGAUAGAUCCUAUGGCUGAAGCAUAGGGAACUUCUUUCAUCUUUUCUCUAUCUUCUGCAGUGGUCGGGCAUUGAUUCUUACUCAACUUCACACCUUGUAACACAGGCAAGAACCCUUUCUUUGCUUGAUCCAUUUUGAACUUCUUCAAAACUUUGCCAAGGUAUCUGCUUUAUGAAAGUCCAAUUAAGCGUCUUGAUCUAUCUCUACAGAUCUUAAUGCCCAAUAUGUAAGCAGCUUCAUCGAGGUCUUUCAUUGAAAAACUUUUAUUCAAGUAUCCUUUUAUGCUAUCCAGAAAUUCUAUAUCAUUUUCGAUCAGCAAUAUGUCAUCUACAUAUAGUAUCAGAAAUGCUACAGAGCUCCUAGUCACCUUUUUGUAAAUACAGGCUUCUCCAAAAGUCUGUAUAAAACCAAAUGCUUUGAUCACACUAUCAAAGCAUUUAUUCCAACUCCGAGAGGCUUGCACCAAUCCAUAAAUGGAUCGCUGGAGCUUGCACACUUUGUUAGCUCCCUUUGGAUCGACAAAACCUUCCGGUUGCAUCAUAUACAAUUCUUCUUCCAGAAAUCCUUUCAGGAAUGCAGUUUUGACAUCCAUCUGCCAUAUUUCAUAAUCAUAAAAUGCGGCAAUUGCUAACAUGAUUCAGACAGACUUAAGAAUCGCUACGGAUGAGAAGGUCUCAUCGUAGUCAACCCCUUGAACUAGUCGAAAACCUUUCGCGACAAGUUGAGCUUUGUAGACAGUAACAUUACCGUCAGCGUCAGUCUUCUUCUUGAAGAUCCAUUUAUUUUCAAUUGCUUGCCGAUCAACAGGCAAGUCAACCAAAGUCCACACUUUGUUCUCAUACAUGGAUUCCAUCUCAGAUUUCAUGGCCUCAAGCCAUUUUGCGGAAUCUGGGCUCACCAUCGUUUCUUCAUAGUUCGUAGGUUCAUUAUGGUCUAGUAACAUGACUUCCAGAACAAGAUUACCGUACCACUCUGGUGCGGACCUUACUCUGGUUGAUCUACGAGGUUCAGUAACAACUUGAUCUGGAGUUUCAUGAUCAUCAUCAUUAUAUUCGUCACUAAUUGGUGUAGGUUUCACAGAAACCUGUUUUUGCGAUAUACUACUUUCCAAUAAGGGAGUAGGUACAAUUACCUCAUCAAGUUCUACUUUCCUCCCACUCACUUCUUUCGAGAGAAACUCCUUCUCUAGAAAGUUUUCGAAUUUAGCGACAGACGUCUUGCCUUCGGAUCUAUGAUAGAAGGUGUACCCAACAAUCUCCUUUGGGUAUCCUAUGAAGACACAUUUCUCCGAUUUGGGUUUGAGCUUAUCAGGUUGAAGCUUUUUCACAUAAGCAUCGCAGCCCCAAACUUUCAGAAACGACAACUUUGGUUUCUUGCCAAACCACAGUUCAUAAGGCGUCAUCUCAACAGAUUUUGAUGGUGCCCUAUUUAACAUGAAUGCAGUCGUCUCUAAAGCAUAACCCCAAAAUGAUAGCGGUAAAUCUGUAAGAGAGAUCAUAGAUCGCACCAUAUCUAGUAAAGUACGAUUACGACAUUCUGACACACCAUUACACUGUGGUGUUCCGGGUGGCGUAAGUUGCGAAACUAUUCCGCAUUGUUUCAAAUGUAGACCAAACUCGUAACUCAAAUAUUCUCCAUGAUCAGAUUGUAGAAACUUUAUUUUCUUGUUACGAUGAUUUUCAACUUCACUCUGAAAUUCUUUGAACUUUUCAAAUGUUUCAGACUUAUGCUUCAUUAAGUAGAUAUACCCAUAUCUUCUCAAAUCAUCUGUGAAGGUGAGAAAAUAACGAUAUCCGCCAUGAGCCUCAAUAUUCAUUGGACCACAUACAUAUGUAUGUAUGAUCUCCAAUAAAUCAGUUGCUCUCUCCAUAGUACCGGAGAACGGUGUUUUAGUCAUCUUGCCCAUGAGGCACGGUUCGCAACUACCAAGUGAUUCAUAAUCAAGUGGUUCCAAAAGUCCAUCAAUAUGGAGUUUCUUCAUGCGCUUUACACCGAUAUGACCUAAACGGUAGUGCCACAAAUAAGUUGCACUAUCAUUAUCAACUCUGCAUCUUUUGGCUUCAACCUUAUGAAUAUGUGUAUCACUACUAUCGAGAUUCAGUAAAAAUAAACCACUCUUCAAGGGUGCAUGACCAUAAAAGAUAUUACUCAUAUAAAUAGAACAACCAUUAUUCUCUAAUUUAAAUGAAUAACCGUCUCGCGUCAAACAAGAUCCAGAUAUAAUGUUCAUGCUCAACGCUGGCACCAAAUAACAAUUAUUUAGGUCUAAAACUAAUCCCAAAGGUAGAUGUAGAGGUAGCGUGCCGACCGCGAUCACAUCGACUUUGGAACCAUUUCCCACGCGCAUCGUCACCUCGUCCUUAGCUAAUCUUCGCUUAAUCCGUAGUCCCUGUUUCAAGUUGCAAAUAUUAGCAACAGAUCCAGUAUCAAAUACCCAGGUUCUACUGCGAGCAUUAGUAAGGUACACAUCAAUAACAUGUAUAUCACAUAUACCUUUGUUCACCUUGCCAUCCUUCUUAUCCGCCAAAUACUUGGGGCAAUUCCGCUUCCAGUGACCAGUCUACUUGCAGUAGAAGCACUCAGUUUCAGGCUUAGGUCCAGACUUGGGUUUCUUCUCCUGAGCAGCAACUUGUUUGCUGUUCUUCUUGAAGUUUCCCUUCUUCUUCCCUUUUCCCUUUUUCUUGAAACUAGUGGUCUUGUUAACCAUCAACACUUGAUGCUCCUUUUUGAUUUCUACCUCUGUAGCUUUUAGCAUCGCGAAGAGCUCGGGAAUAGUCUUUUCCAUCCCUUGCAUAUUAUAGUUCAUCACAAAGCUCUUGUAGCUUGGUGGCAGUGAUUGGAGAAUUCUGUCAAUGACGCUAUCAUCCAGAAGAUUAACUCCCAGUUGAAUCAAGUGAUUAUUAUACCCAGACAUUUUGAGUAUAUGCUCACUGACAGAACUGUUCUCCUCCAUCUUGUAGCUAUAGAACUUAUUGGAGACUUCAUAUCUCUCAAUCCGGGCAUUUCCUUGAAAUAUUAACUUCAACUCUUGGAACAUCUCAUAUGCUCCAUGAUGUUCAAAACAUCAUUGAAGACCCGGUUCUAAGCCGUAAAGCAUGGCACACUAAACUAUAGAGUAGUCAUCAGCUUUGCUCUGCCACAUGUUCAUAACAUCUGGCGUUGCUCCAGUAGCAGGCCUGGCACCCAGCGGUGCUUCCAGGACGUAAUUCUUCUGUGCAGCAAUAUGGAUAAUCCUCAAGUUACGGACCCAGUCCGUGUAAUUUCUACCAUCAUCUUUCAAUUUUGCUUUCUCAAGGAAUGCAUUAAAAUUCAACGGAACAACAGCAUGGGCCAUCUAUCUACAAUCAACAUAGACAAGCAAGAUACUAUCAGGUACUAAGUUCAUGAUAAAUUUAAGUUCAAUUAAUCAUAUUACUAAAGAACUCCCACUUAGAUAGACAUCCCUCUAAUCCUCUAAGUGAUUACGUGAUCCAUAUCAACUACACCAUGUCCGAUCAUCACGUGAGAUGGAGUAAUUUCAACGGUGAACAUCAAUAUGUUGAUCAUAUCUACUAUAUGAUUCACGCUCGACCUUUCGGUCUCCGUGUUCCGAGGCCAUAUCUGUUAUAUGCUAGGCUCGUCAAGUUUAACCUGAGUAUUCCGCGUGUGCAACUGUUUUGCACCCGUUGUAUUUGAACGUAGAGCCUAUCACACCCGAUCAUCACGUGGUGUCUCAGCACGAAGAACUUCCGCAAUGGUGCAUACUCAGGGAGAACACUUUUACUAUGAUAAUUUAGUGAGGGAUCAUCUUAUAAUGCUACCGUCAAUCAAAGCAAGAUAAGAUGCAUAAACGAUAAACAUCACAUGCAAUCAAUAUAAGUGAUAUGAUAUGGCCAUCAUCAUAUUGUGCUUGUGAUCUCUAUCUCCGAAGCACCGUCGUGAUCACCAUCGUCACCGGCGCGACACCUUGAUCUCCAUCGUAGCAUCGUUGUUGUUUCGCCAUCUAUUUCUUCUAUGACUAUCGCUACCGCUUAGUGAUAAAGUAAAGCAAUUACAGGGCGCUUGCAUGUCAUACAAUAAAGCGACAACCAUAUGGCUCCUGCCAGUUGCCGAUAACUCGGUUGCAAAACAUGAUCAUCUCAUACAAUAAAAUAUAGCAUCACGUCUUGACCAUAUCACAUCACAACAUGCCUUGCAAAAAUAAGUUAGACGUCCUCUACUUUGUUGUUGCAAAUUUUACGUGGCUGCUACGGGCUGAGCAAGAACCGUUCUUACCUACGCAUCAAAACCACAACGAUAGUUCGUCAAGGUAGUAUUGUUUUAACCUUCGCAAGGACCGGGCGUAGCCACACUCGGUUCAACUAAAGUUGGAGAAACUGACACCCGCCAGCCACCUAUGUGCAAAGCACGUCGGUAGAACCAGUCUCGCGUAAGAGUACGCGUAAUGUCGGUCCAGGCCGCUUCAUCCAACAAUACCGCCGUACCAAAGUAUGACAUGCUAGUAAGCAGUAUGACUUAUAUCGCCCACAACUCACUUGUGUUCUACUCGUGCAUAUGACAUCUACACAUAAAACCUGGCUCGGAUGCCACUAUUGGGGAACGUAGUAAUUUCAAAAAAAAUUCCUACGCACACGCAAGAUCAUGGUGUUGCAUAGCAACGAGAGGGGAGAGUGUUGUCCACGUACCCUCGUAGACCGAUAGCGAAAGCGUUAUAACAACGCGGUUGGUGUAAUCGUACGUCUUCACGGCCCGAUCGAUCAAGCACCGAAACUACGACACCUCCGAGUUCUAGCACACGUUCAGCUUGAUGACGAUCCCCGGACUCCGAUCCAGCAAAGUGUCGGGGAAGAGUUCUGUCAGCACGACGGCGUGGUGAUGAUCUUGAUGUUCUACCGUCGCAGGGCUUCGCCUAAGCACCGCUACAGUAUUAUCGAGGUGGACUAUGGUGGAGGGGGCACCGCACAUGGCUAAGAGAUCCAAGGGAUCAAUUGUUGUGUCUAUGGGGUGCCCCCCUCCUCUGUAUAUAAAGGAGUGGAGGAGGGGGUCUGCCAAGGGGGGUGGCGCGCCCAAGGGGGGAGUCCAACUCCCACCGGGAGUAGGACUCCCCCUUUUCCUAUUAGGAGUAGGAGAGGGACGAAAGAGGAAGGAGGGAGGACGGAAAGGGGGGGGGCGGCCCCCCUCCCAAUUCGGAUUGGGCUUGGGGGGGGCAUGCCCCCUCCCAUGCUUCUUUCCCCUCCUUUCCACUAAGGCCCAAUAAGGCCCAUAUACCUCCCGGGGGGUUCCGAUAACCUCCCGGUGAUCCGGUAUUGUCCCAAUCUCACCCGGAACCUUUCCGGUGUCCAAAUAUAGUCGUCCAAUAUAUCGAUCCUUAUGUCUCAACCAGUUCGAGACUCAUCAUCAAGUCCAUGAUCAUAUCCGGGACUCCGAACAACCUUUGUACAUCAAAAUAUAUAAACUCAUAAUGUAACUGUCAUCGUAACGUUAAGCGUGCGGACCCUACGGGUUCGAGAACAAUGUAGACAUGACCGAGACACGUCUCCGGUCAAUAACCAAUAGCGGAACCUGGAUGCUCAUAUUGGCUCCCACAUAUUCUACGAAGAUCUUUAUCGGUCAGACCGCAUAACAACAUACAUUGUUCCCUUUGUCAUCGGUAUGUUACUUGCCCGAGAUUCGAUCAUCGGUAUCUCAAUACCAAGUUCAAUCUCAUUACCGGCAAGUCUCUUUACUCGUUCCGUAAUACAUCAUCUCACAACUAACUCAUUAGUUGCAAUGCUUGCAAGGCUUAAGUGAUGUGCAUUACCGAGAGGGCCCAGAGAUACCUCUCCGACAAUCGGAGUGACAAAUCCUAAUCUAAAAAUACGCCAACCCAACAUGUACCUUUGGAGACACCUGUAGAGCUCCUUUAUAAUCACCCAGUUACGUUGUGACGUUUGGUAGCACACAAAGUGUUCCUCCGGUAAACGGGAGUUGCAUAAUCUCAUAGUCAUAGGAACAUGUAUAAGUCAUGAAGAAAGCAAUAGCAAUACACUAAACGAUCGUGUGCUAAGCUAACGGAAUGGGUCAUGUCAAUCACAUCAUUCUCCUAAUGAUGUGAUCCCAUUAAUCAAAUGACAACACAUGUCUAUGCUUAGGAAACAUAACCAUCUUUGAUCAACAAGCUAGUCAAGUAGAGGCAUACUAGUGACACUCUAUUUGUCUAUGUAUUCACACAUGUAUUAUGUUACCGGUUAAUAAAAUUCUAGCAUGAAUAAUAAACAUUUAUCAUGAUAUAAGGAAAUAAAUAAUAACUUUAUUAUUGCCUCUAGGGCAUAUUUCCUUCAUGGUGAUAGUGACUAGAGAACUCUGUCAAUCACUAUCUUAUCUGGAAGAUUAACUCCCACUUGAUUCAAGUGAUUGUAGUAUUCAGACAUUAUGAGCACAUGCUCACUAGCUGAGCUAUUCUCCUCCAUCUUGUAGGCAAAGUACUUGUCAAAUGUCUCAUACCUUUCGACAUGGGCAUGAGUCUGAAAUAUUAAUUUUAACUCUUGGAACAUCUCAUAUGCUCUGUGGCAUUUAAAAAACGUCUUUGAAGCCCCGAUUCUAAGCAGUAAAGGAUGGUGCACUAAACUAUCAAGUAGUCAUCAUAUCGAGCUUGCCAAACGCUCAUAACGUCUACAUUUGCUCCUGCAAUCGGUCUGUCACCUAGCGGUGCAUCAAGGACAUAAUUCUUCUAUGCAGCAAUGAGGAUAAUCCUCAGAUCAUGGAUCCAAUCCGCAUCAUUGCACUAACAUCUUUGAACUUAGUUUACUCUAGGAACAUAUCAAAAUAAACACAUGAAAGCAAUAACGCGAGCUAUUGAUCUACAACAUAGAUAUGCUAAUACUACCAGGACUAAGUUCAUGAUAAAUUAAAGUUCAAUUAAUCAUAUUACUUAAGAACUCCCACUUAGAUAGACAUCCCUCUAAUCAUCUAAGUGAUCACGUGAUCCAUAUCAACUAAACCAUGUCCGAUCAUCACGUGAGAUGGAGUAGUUUUCAAUGGUGAACAUCACUAUGUCGAUCAUAUCUACUAUAUGAUUCACGCUCGACCUUUCGGUAUCAGUGUUCCGAGGCCAUAUCUGCAUAUGCUAGGCUUGUCAAGUUUAACUCGAGUACUUCUGCGUGUGCAAAACUGGCUUGCACCCGUUGUAUGUGAAUGUAGAGCUUAUCACACCCGAUCAUCACGCGGUGUCUCGGCACGAUGAACUUUGGCAAUGUUGCAUACUCAGAGAGAACACUUGUACCUUGAAAUUUAGUGAGAGAUCAUCUUAUAAUGCUACCGUCAAUCAAAGAAGAAUAAGAUGUAUAAAAGAUAAACAUCACAUGCAAUCAAAAUAUGUGACAUGAUAUGGCUAUCAUCACUUGUGCUUUUGAUCUCCAUCUCCAAAGUACUGUCAUGAUCUCCAUUGUUACCGGAAUGACACCAUGAUCUCCAUCAUCUUUAUCUUUUAUCAACAUGUCGUCACAUGGUCGUCUCACCAGCUAUUUGCUUUUGCAACUAUUGCUAUCGCAUAGCGAUAAAGUAAAGCAAUUACAUGGCGAUUGCAUUUCAUACAAUAAAGCGACAACCAUAUGGCUCCUGCCAGUUGCGAUAAUUGUUACAAAACAUGAUCGUCUCAUACAACAAUUUAUAUAUCAUCACGUCUUGACCAUAUCACAUCACAGCAAGGCCCACAAAAACAAGUUAGACGUCCUCUAAUUUGUUCUUGUAAAUUUUAUGCAACUGCUACGGGCUUCUAGCAAGAACCGUUCUUACCUACGCAUCAAAACCACAACGAUUUUUCGUUAAGUGUGCUAUUUUACGCAUCAAAACCACAAUGAGUUCAACAAGGACCGGGCGUAAUCACACUCGAUUCAACUAAAUCUGGAGAAACAAACACCCACUAGCCACCUGUGUGCAAAGCACGACGGUAGAACCAGUCUCAUGAACGCGGUCAUGUAAUGCCGGUCUGGGCCGCUUCAUCCAACUCUUUGUGUUCUAUUCGUGCAUAUAACAUCUACGCAUAGACCUGGCUCAGAUGCCACUGUUGGGGAACAUAGUAUUUCAAAAAAAAUCCUACGAUCACGCAAGAUCUAUCUAGGACAAGCAUAGCAAUGAGCGGGGAGAGUGUGUCCACGUAUCCUCGCGGAAGCGUUUAGUAACGCGGUUGAUGUAGUCGAACGUCUUCGCGAUCCAACCAAUCAAGUAUCGAACGCACGGCACCUCCGCAAUCUGCACACGUUAUGCUCGGUGACGUCCCUUGAACUCUUGAUCCAGUUGAGGCCGAGGGAGAGUUGUUGGGGAACGUAGCAGAAUUUCAAAAUUUUCCUACGUGACACCAAGAUCUAUCUAUGGAGAAACCAGCAGCGAGGGGAAGGAGAGUGCAUCUACAUACCCUUGUAGAUCGCUAAGCAGAAGCGUUGAAGAGAACGGGGUUGAAGGAGUCGUACUCGUCGUGAUCCAAAUCACCGCAGAUCCUAGUGCCGAACGGACGGCACCUCCGCGUUCAACACACGUACAGCCCGGUGACGUCUCCCAUGCCUUGAUCCAGCAAGGAGAGAGGGAGAGGUUGAGGAAGACUCCAUCCAGCAGCAGCACAACGGCGUGGUGGUGAUGAAGGAGCGUGGCAAUCCUGCAGGGCUUCGCCAAGCACCUGCGGGAGAGGAGGAGGUGUCACGGGAGGGAGGGAGGCGCUAGGGCUUCAGGUGCGGCUGUCCUCCCUCCCCUCCACUAUAUAUAGGGGCAAGGGAGAGGGGGAGAGCGCAGCCUUGCCCCUUCCUCCAAGGAAGGGGUGCGGCCAAGGGGGGGAGGAGUCCAUCCUCCCCAAGGCACCUCGGAGGUGCCUUCCCCUUUUAGGACUCUCCCCUCCCCAAGUCUCCCUGGAGCAUGGGCCUCUUGGGGCUGGUGCCUUUGGCCCAUAUAGGGAAAGGUGCACCCCCUACAGCCCAUGUGGCCCCCCGGGGCAGGUGGACCCCCCGGUGGACCCCCGGACCCCUUUCGGCACUCCCGGUACAAUACCGAUAAAGUGCGAAACUUUUUCGGCGACCAAAAUAAGACUUCCCAUAUAUAAAUAUUUACCUCCGGACCAUUCCGGAACUCCUCGUGACGUCUGGGAUCUCAUCCGGGACUCCGAACAACAUUCGGUAACCACAUACAAACUUCCUUUAUAACCCUAGCGUCACCGAACCUUAAGUGUGUAGACCCUACGGGUUCGGGAACCAUGCAGACAUGACCGAGACGUUCUCCGGUCAAUAACCAACAGCGGGAUCUGGAUACCCAUGUUGGCUCCCACAUGUUCCACGAUGAUCUCAUCGGAUGAACCACGAUGUCAAGGACUCAAUCAAUCCUGUAUACAAUUCCCUUUGUCUAGCGGUAUUAUACUUGCCCGAGAUUCGAUCGUCGGUAUACCGAUACCUUGUUCAAUCUCGUUACCGGCAAGUCUCUUUACUCGUUCUGUAACACAUCAUCCCGUGAUCAACCCCUUGGUCACAUUGUGCACAUUAUGAUGAUGUCCUGCCGAGUGGGCCCAGAGAUACCUCUCCGUUUACACGGAAUGACAAAUCCCAGUCUCGAUUCGUGCCAACCCAACAGACACUUUCGGAGAUACCUGUAGUGCACCUUUAUAGCCACCCAGUUACGUUGUGACGUUUGGUACACCCAAAGUAUUCCUACGGUAUCCGGGAGUUGCACAAUCUCAUGGUCUAAGGAAAUGAUACUUGACAUUAGAAAAGCUUUAGCAUACGAACUACGAUCUUUGUGCUAGGCUUAGGAUUGGGCCUUGUCCAUCACAUCAUUCCCUAAUGAUGUGAUCCCGUUAUCAACGACAUCCAAUGUAAAUGGUCAGGAAACCAUAACCAUCUAUUGAUUAACGAGCUAGUCAACUAGAGGCUUACUAGGGACAUGGUGUUGUCUAUGUACCCACACAUGUAUCUGAGUUUCCUAUCAAUACAAUUAUAGCAUGGAUAAUAAACGAUUAUCAUGAACAAGGAAAUAUAAUAAUAACUAAUUUAUUAUUGCCUAUAGGGCAUAUUUCCAACAGUCUCCCACUUGCACUAGAGUCAAUAAUCUAGUUCACAUCAUCAUGUGAUUAACACUGAUAGGUCACAUCGCCAUGUGACCAACAUCCAAAGAGUUUAGUAGUGUCACUAAACUAGUUCACAUCACCAUGUGAUUAAGACUCAAUGAGUUCUGGGGUUUGAUCAUGUUUUGCUUGUGAGAGAGGUUUUAGUCAACGGGUCUGCAACAUUCAGAUCCGUAUGUACUUUGCAAUUCUCUAUGUCAUAUUGUAAAUGCUGCUUCCACGCUCCACUUGGAGCUAUUCCAAAUGGUUGCUCCACUAUACGUAUCCGGUUUGCUACUCAGAGUCAUUCGAAUAGGUGUUAAAGCUUGCAUCGACGUAACCCUUUACGCCGAACUCUUUAUCACCUCCAUAAUCAAGAAACAUUUCCUUAUUCCUUUAAGGAUAAUUUUGACCGCUGUCCAAUGAUCAGUUCCUGGAUCAUUCUUGUACCCCUUGACUGACUCAUGGCAAGGCACACUUCUGGUGCGUUACACAGCAUAGCAUACUAUAGAGCCUACGUAUGAAACAUAGGGGACGGCCUUUGUCCUUUCUCUCUUUUCUGCCGUGGUCGAGCUUUAAGUCUUAACUUCAUACCUUACAACUCAGCCAAGAACUCCUUCUUUGACUGAUCCAUCUUGAACACUUUCAAGAUCAUGUCAAGGUAUGUGCUCAUUUGAAAGUACCAUUUAGCGUUUUUGAUCUAUCCUCAUAGAUCUUGAUGCUCAAUGUUCAAGCAGCUUAUUUCAGGUUUUCUAUUGAAAAACACCUUUCAAAUAACCCUAUAUGCUUUGCAGAAAUUCUACAUCAUUUCUGAUCAACAAUAUGUCAACAACAUAUACUCACCAGAAAUUCUAUAGUGCCCCCACUCACUUCUUUGGAAAUACAAGUUUCUCAUAAACUUUGUAUAAAUCCAAAAUCUUUGAUCAUCUCAUCAAAGUGUACAUUCCAUCUCCGACAUGCUUACUCCAGUCCUUAGAAGGAUCGCUGGAGCUAGCAUAGCUUUAGCAUCCUUAGGGUUGACAAAACCUUUCUGACUGUAUCGCAUACAACCUUUCCUUACGAAAACUGGUUAGGAAACUCGUUUUGACAUCCAUCUGCUAGAUUUCAUAAAUGCAGCUAAUGCUAACAUGAUUCCGACGGACUUAAGCAUCGUUACGGAUGAGAAAAUCUCAUCGUAGUCAACUUCCUUGAACUUGUGAAAAAACUCUUCGCCACAAGUCGAGCUUCAUAGACGGUGACAUUACCAUCCACGUCUGUCUUCUUCUUAAAGAUCCAUUUAUCUCAAUGGCUUGCCGAUCAUCGGGCAAGUCCACCAAAGUCCAUGCUUUGUUCUGAUACAUGGAUCCUAUCUCGGAUUUCAUGGCUUCUAACCAUUUGUCGGAAUAUGGGCCCACCAUCACUUCUCCAUAGCUCGUAGGUUCAUUGUUGUCUAGCAACAUGACCUUCAAGACAGGAUCACCGUACCACUCCGAAGCAGUACGCGUCCUUGUCGUCUUACGAGGUUCGGUAGUUACUUGAUCCGAAGCUUCAUGAUUACUAUCAUAAGCUUCCACUUCAAUUGGUGUAGGUGCCACAGGAACAACUUCUUGUGCCCUGCUACACACUGGUUGAAGUGAUGGUUCAAUAACCUCAUCAAGUCUCCACCAUCCUCCCACUCAAUUCUUUCGAGAGAAACUUUUCCUCGAGAAAGGACCCGUUUCUAGAAACAAUCACUUUUGCUUCCGGAUCUGAAUUAGGAGGUAUACCCAACCAUUUUGGGUAUCCUAUGAAGAUGCAUUUAUCCGUUUUGGGUUCGAGCUUAUCAGCCUGAAACUUUUUCACAUAAGCGUCGCAGCCCCAAACUUCAAGAAACGACAACUUAGGUUUCUCCAAACCAUAGUUCGGAGUCGUCUCAACGGAAUUACGUCGUGCCCUUUUUAAAGUGAGUGCAGUUGUCUCUAAUGCCUAACCCAUGAACGAUAGUGGUAAUUCGAUAAGAGAGGACAUGGUGCGCACCAUAUCCAAUAGGGUGCAACUAUGAUGUUCGGACACACCAUCACACUAUGGUGUUCCACGCGGUAUUAAUUGUGAAACAAUUUCCAUAAUGUCUUAAUUGUGUGCCAAAGCUCGUAACUCAGAUACUCAUCUCUAUGAUCAUAUCACAGACAUUUUAUCCUCUUGUCACAAUGACCUUCAACUUCACUCUGAAAUUACUUGAACCCUUCAAUAAUUCAGACUUGUGUUUCAUCAAGUAAAUAUACAGUAUCUACUUAAAUCAUCUGUGAAGUAAAACAUAACGAUAUUCACUGCAUACCUCAGCACUCAUUGGACUGCACACAUCAAAGUGUGUUACUUCCAACAAGUUGCUAUCUUGUUCCAUCUUACUGAAACCGAGGCUUUUCAGUCAUCUUGCCUAUGUGGUAUGAUUUGCAUAUCUCAAGUGAUUCAAAAUCAAGUGAGUCCAAACGAUCCAUCUGCAUGGAGUUUCUUCAUGCGUAUACACCAAUAGACAUGGUUUGCAUGUCUCAGACUUUUCAAAAACGAGUAGGUCCAAAGAUCCAUCAACAUGGAGCUUCAUCAUGCGUUUUACACCAAUAUGACUUACAUGGCAGUGCCACAAGUAAGUGGUACCAUCAUUACUAUCUUAUAUCCUUUUGGCAUGAAAAUGUGUAUCACUACGAUCGAGAUUCAAUAAACCAUUCCUUUUAGGUGCUAGACCAUUGAAGGUAUUAUUCAAAUAAACAGAGUAACCAUUAUUCUCCUUAAAUGAAUAACCGUAUUGCGACAGACAUAAUCCAAUCAUGUCUAUGCUCAAUGCAAACACCAAUAACAAUUAUUUAGGUUUAACACCAAUCUCGAUGGUAGAGGGAGCGUGCGAUGCUUGAUCACAUCAACCUUGGAAACACUUCCAACAUGUAUCGUCAGCUCACCUUUAGCUAGUCUCCGUUUAUUCCGUAGCUUUUUUAUUUCGAGUUACUAACACUUAGCAACCGAACCGGUAUCUUAAUACCCUAGUGCUACUAGGAGUACUAGUAAAGUACACAUUAACUUAAUGUGUAUCCAAUAUACUUCUAUUGAACUUGCCUGCCUUCUCAUCUACCAAGUAUCUAGGGUAAUUCUGCUCCAGUGGUUGUUCCCCUUAUUACAGAAGCACUUAGUCUCGGGUUUGGGUUCAACCUUGGGUUUCUUCACUAGAGCAGCAGCUGAUUUGCCGUUUCAUGAAGUAUCCCUUCUUGCCCUUGCCCUUCUUGAAACUAGUGGUUUCACCAACCAUCAACAAUUGAUGCUCCUUCUUGAUUUCUACUUUCACGGUGUCAAACAUCGCGAAUACCUCAAGGAUCAUCAUAUCUAUCCCUGAUAUGUUAUAGUUCAUCACGAAGCUCUAGCAGCUUGGUGGCAAUGACUUCGGAGAAACAUCACUAUCUCAUAUAGAAGAUCAACUCCCACUCAAUUCAAGUGAUUGUUGCACUUCAGACAAUCUGAGCACAAGCUCAACAAUUGAGCUUUUCUCCCUUAGUUUGCAGGCUAAGAAAAUCGUCGGAGGUCUUAUACCUCUUGACGUGGGCACGAGCCUGAAAUCCCAAUUUCAGCCCUCGAAACAUCUCAUAUGUUCCGCAACGUUUCGAAAAACGUCUUUGGUGCCUCAACUCUAAACCGUUUAACUGAACUAUCACGUAGUUAUGAAAACAUGUAUGUUCGAUGUUCGCAACAUCCACAGACGACAUUUGGGGUUCAGCACACUAAGCGGUGCAUUAAGGACAUAAGCUUUCUUCUGUCCGCAUAAUCGCUACUGUCAACUUUCAACUAUAUUUUUCUCUAGGAACAUAUCUAAACAGUGGAACUAAAACGCGAGCUUACGACAUAAUUUGCAAAGGUCUUUUGACUACGUUCAGGAUAAUUAAGUUCAUCUUAUGAACUCCCACUCAGAUAGACAUCCCUCUAGUCAUCUAGGUGAUUACAUGAUCCGAGUCAACUAGGCCGUGUCCGAUCAUCACGUGAGACGGACUAGUCAUCAUCGGUGAACAUCUUCAUGUUGAUCGUAUCUACUAUAUGACUCAUGCUCGACCUUUCGGUCUCUUGUGUUCCGAGGCCAUGUCUGUACAUGCUAGGCUCGUCAAGUUAACCUAAGUGUUUCGCGUGUGUAAAUCUGGCUUACACCCGUUGUAUGUGAACGUAAGAAUCUAUCACACCCGAUCAUCACGUGGUGCUUCGAAACGACGAACUUUCGCAACGGUGCACAGUUAGGGGGAACACUUUCUUGAAAUUUUAAUGAGGGAUCAUCUUAUUUACUACCGUCGUUCUAAGUAAAUAAGAUGCAUAAACAUGAUAAACAUCACAUGCAAUCAAAUAGUGACAUGAUAUGGCCAAUAUCAUUUUGCUCCUUUUGAUCUCCAUCUUCGGGGCUCCAUGAUCAUCAUCGUCACCGGCAUGACACCAUGAUCUCCAUCAUCAUGAUCUCCAUCAUCGUGUCUUCAUGAAGUUGUCUCGCCAACUAUUACUUCUACUACUAUGGCUACCGGUUAGCAAUAAAGUAAAGUAAUUACAUGGCGUUGUUCAAUGACACGCAUGUCAUACAAUAAAUAAAGACAACUCCUAUGGCUCCUGCCGGUUGUCAUACUCAUCGACAUGCAAGUCGUGAUUCCUAUUACAAGAACAUGAUCAAUCUCAUACAUCACAUAUCAUUCAUCACAUUCUUCUUGGCCAUAUCACAUCACAUAGCAUACCUUGCAAAAACAAGUUAGACGUCCUCUAAUUGUUGUUUGCAUGUUUUACGUGGCUGCUAUGGGUUUCUAGCAAGACGUUUCUUACCUACGCAAAACCACAACGUGAUAUGUCAAUUGCUAUUUACCCUUCAUAAGGACCCUUUUCAUCGAAUCCGUUCCGACUAAAGUGGGAGAGACUGGCACCCGCUAGCCACCUUAUGCACCAAGUGCAUGUCAGUCGGUGGAACCUGUCUCACGUAAGAGUACGUGUAAGGUCGGUCCGGGCCGCUUCAUCCCACAAUACCGUCGAAACAAGAUUGGACUAGUAACGGUAAGCAUAUUGAACAAAAUCAACGCCCACAACUACUUUGUGUUCUGCUCGUGCAAAGAAUCUACGCAAUAGACCUAGCUCAUGAUGCCACUGUUGGGGAACGUAGCAGAAAUUCAAAUUUUUCCUACGUGUCACCAAGAUCUAUCUAUGGAGAAACCAGCAGCGAGGGGAAGGAGAGUGCAUCUACAUACCCUUGUAGAUCGCUAAGCGGAAGCGUUCAAGAGAACGGGGUUGAAGGAGUCGUACUCGUCGUGAUCCAAAUCACCGGAGAUCCUAGUGCUGAACGGACGGCACCUCCGCGUUCAACACACGUACAGCCCGGUGACGUCUCCCAUGCCUUGAUCCAGCAAGGAGAGAGGGAGAGGUUGAGGAAGACUCCAUCCAGCAGCAGCACAACGGCGUGGUGGUGGUGAAGGAGCGUGGCAAUCCUGCAGGGCUUCGCCAAGCACCUGCGGGAGAGGAGGAGGUGUCACGGGAGGGAGGGAGGCGCCAGGGCUUCAGGUGCGGCUGCCCUCCCUCCCCUCCACUAUAUAUAGGGGCAUGGGAGAGGGGGAGGGCGCAGCCUUGCCCCUUCCUCCAAGGAAGGGGUGCGGCCAAGGGGGGGAGGAGUCCAUCCUCCCCAAGGCACCUCGGAGGUGCCUUCCCCUUUUAGGACUCUCCCCUCCCCAAGUCUCCUUGGCGCAUGGGCCUCUUGGGGCUGGUGCCUUUGGCCCAUAUAGGCCAAGGCGCACCCCCUACAGCCCAUGUGGCCCCCCAGGGCAGGUGGACCGCCGGACCCCUUUCAGCACUCCCGGUACAAUACCGAUAAAGUGCGAAACUUUUCCGGCGACCACAAUAAGACUUCCCAUAUAUAAAUCUUUACCUCCGGACCAUUCCGGAACUCCUCGUGAUGUCCGGGAUCUCAUCCGGGACUCCGAACAACAUUCGGUAACCACAUACAAACUUCCUUUAUAACCCUAGCGUCAUCGAACCUUAAGUGUGUAGACCCUACGGGUUCGGGAACCAUGCAGACAUGACCGAGACGUUCUCCGGUCAAUAACCAACAGCGGGAUCUGGAUACCCAUGUUGGCUCCCACAUGUUCCACGAUGAUCUCAUCGGAUGAACCACGAUGUCAAGGACUCAAUCAAUCCCCUAUACAAUUCCCUUUGUCUAGCGGUAUUAUACUUGCCCGAGAUUCGAUCGUCGGUAUACCGAUACCUUGUUCAAUCUCGUUACCGGCAAGUCUCUUUACUCGUUCCGUAACACAUCAUCCCGUGAUCAACCCCUUGGUCACAUUGUGCACAUUAUGAUGAUGUCCUACCAAGUGGGCCCAGAGAUACCUCUUCGUUUACACGGAGUGACAAAUCCCAGUCUUGAUUCGUGCCAACCCAACAGACACUUUCGGAGAUACCUGUAGUGCACCUUUAUAGCCACCCAGUUACGUUGUGACGUUUGGUACACCCAAAGUAUUCCUACGGUAUCCGGGAGUUGCACAAUCUCAUGGUCUAAGGAAAUGAUACUUGACAUUAGAAAAGCUUUAGCAUACGAACUACGAUCUUUGUGCAAGGCUUAGGAUUGGGUCUUGUCCAUCACAUCAUUCCCUAAUGAUGUGAUCCCGUUAUCAACGACAUCCAAUGUCCAUGGUCAGGAAACCAAAACCAUCUAUUGAUCAACGAGCUAGUCAACUAGAGGCUUACUAGGGACAUGGUGUUGUCUAUGUACCCACACAUGUAUCUGAGUUUCCUAUCAAUACAAUUAUAGCAUGGAUAAUAAACGAUUAUCAUGAACAAGGAAAUAUAAUAAUAACUAAUUUAUUAUUGCCUCUAGGGCAUAUUUUUAACAAGAGUUUCGUCAGCAUGACAGCAUGGUGACGGUGAUGAUGAAGUUACCGACGCAGGGCUUCACCUAAGCACUACGACAAUACGACCGAGGUGGAAAACUGUGGAGGGGGCACUGCACACGGCUAAAGAUCAACUUGUGUGUCUAUGGGGUGCCCCAUUCCCCCGUAUAUAAAGGAGGGGAGGAGGGGGUCGGCCGGCCAUAAGGGGUGCGCCCAAGGGGGGGAAUCCUACUCCUAGUAGGAGUAGGUUCCCCCUUUCCUAGUCCAACUAGGAGAAGAAGGAAGGAGAGGGAGAGGGAGAGGGAAAGAGGGGUCGUGUGCCCCUCCCCUUUUCCUAUUCGGACUCCCCUUGGGGGGGCACCACUUCCUGGCUGCGGCCCUCUCUCACCCACUAAGGCCCAUAACUUCCCCCCGGGGGGGGGGGGGUCCGGUAACCCUCCGCCACUCCGGUUUUAUCCGAAACUAUCCGAAACACUUCCGGUCCGAAUAACAUGGUCCAAUAUAUCAACCUUUAUGCCUCGACCAUUUCGAGACUCCUCGUCAUGUCCAUGAUCUCAUCGGGUACUUUGAACAACCUUCGUUACAUCAAAUCACAUAAACUCAUAAUACGAAUCAUCGUCGAACGUUAAGCAUGCAGACCCUACGGGUUUGAGAACUAUGUAGACAUGACCGAGACACAUCUCUGGUCAAUAACCAAUAGCGGAACCUGGAUGCUCAUAUUGGCUCCUACAUAUUCUACGAAGAUCUUUAUCGGUCAAAUCGCACAACAACAUACGUUGUUCCCUUUGUCAUCGGUAUGUUACUUGCCUGAGAUUCAAUCAUCGGUAUCCUCAUACCUAGUACAAUCUCGUUACAGCCAAGUCUCUUUACUCGUUACGUAAUGCAUCAUCCUGUAACUAACUCAUUAGUCACAAUGCUUGCAAGGCUUAUAGUGAUGUGCAUUACCGAGAGGGCCCAGAGAUACCUCUCUGAAACAUGGAGUGACAAAUCCUAAUUUCGAUCUAUGCCAACCUAACAAACACCAUCAGAGACACCUGUAGAGCAUCUUUAUAAUCACCCAGUUACGUUGUGAAGUUUGAUAGCACACUAAGUCUUCCUCCGGUAUUCGAGAGUUGCAUAAUCUCAUAGUUAUAGGAACACGUAUAAGUCAUGAAGAGAGCAAUAGAAAUAAACUAAACGAUCAUAGUGCUAAGCUAACGGAUGGGUCUUGUCCAUCACAUCAUUCUCUAAUGAUGUGAUCCCGUUCAUCAAAUGAAAACACAUGUCUAUGGCUAGGAAACUUAAUCAUUUUUGAUUAACGAGCUAGUCAAGUAGAGGCAUACUAGGGACACUCUGUUUGUCUAUGUAUUCACACAUGUACUACGUUUCCGGUUAAUACAAUUCUAGCAUGAAUAAUAAACAUUUAUCAUGAUAUAAGGAAAUAUAAAUAAUAACUUUAUUAUUGCCUCUAGGCAUAUUUCCUUCACUCACUACCUUGUAUUAUUUGGCUGCGUACUUUGUUUUCUGUUUUAUCUAUAAAGUGGGGCGAGAGACUCUUUUGAGAUGAGAAAAUUAAUUCCAGUGUGAUUGCAUGCGCUCAUAAUCUAAAAUGACCAAUUAGAGAGCAUGUGCUAAUUUCCAAAGGGACACAUGCGCUCACGACACCGCGAUGGGAGAACCAAAGGACAUCAUUUCCCCUCCUUUGCCUUAGGCAUAAUUUCAGUCUUGUAUGAUUUUUUCCUCUGCCGGUGUUACCCUUUGUGUGUAUGCGCUCGCACGCUUCCAACAUGCAUCCUAAUUAUGAUGUGGCCGAGUAUGUCCUGACUAUGCUUGUAUCUGUGCAUUCUUACAUUAUGAGUCAAUAAAAAGAGCCCUUUAUCAAAAAAAAGAAAAAAAAUCAUUUUUAUUUAUAUUCCAUAGGUUCUUAUUUGUAACAAAUGUUUAUCAAUAAUGUGGUGAUUAAUAUACACAUAUCCGAGUGUAUCCAUAAAAAGAGCCAGGGCAAUCGAUGUGUUUACCCGACCUAUGUGCCAGCCCUAUAGGUAAGUAAUGCAGUUUGCAACUCCAUGGUGUUUAUGUAUAAUUUGUUUUCAAUAUCAUUGCAGUCUCAGCAUUUCACAUUGUUCACUUCAUCCAUGAUGUACAAUUUUGCACUUCAGUUGCAGUGUUGUGGUGGAACAACUAUAAUAAAUGUGUACUAAAAACAUGUGAUGUGCAGUGAAGUUUAUGACUAAUGCAUUUACUAUUCUAGUGAUGUCUGCAUUGUCCAGGUUUGAAAUCGUCAUUCAUAAAUUAUCCAUAUCCCGUUGAGCAUAACUAGUUGUCCAGGUGUGCACCUGAGGAAAGUGACGAGUUCGUGCUUCAUGGUUGAGGGGACUACAACCGAGACUGUCAUUCCAUUGCCUACGAUGUGGUCAAUGGUCUCAAGGGUACUAACUAGGGUGUUUGGGUCAUCUGUUUCCACAACUAGUACUCCCUCCUUCCUUUCCAAAAUAUAAGGCCCGCUUGAUUUUGCACGGUCUUUGAUGCACAACUUUGAUCACUAAUAUAUAGCAAAUUACAUGGAUUGAACAUGUAUCAAUAGUAUUGUCGUAUUUGUCUUGCAAAAUAAUUCUAUUUCAUAUGUCUUUAUAAUAAUUUGUAGGCAUACUGUAAGUAAAAAGAGUAGUCAAAGUUGUACGAUGAAGACCAAAAAAGUCAAUACACGCCUUAUAUUCUGGGAAGGUGGGAGUACAAUAUAUGUGAUGCUCUUAUGAGUAGAAUUUGCUCUCCCUCCAAGUAGUAGUUACAAACCGGUUACUGAUGCAUGAUAAGAAAAGGUAGACUUUUUUGUUGCGAAUCAAACACUUGUAUUACUCAAAUAAGGGAAUUACAAGAAGUCUCAAUACAAUUUUGUAGGAAGGAUAAAAUAUAAUUAGUCCAUAAGCACCUUCUCCUAUCACUACUAGCAUGCUUGGCACAAAGAUGGUCAAUCUCAUCUGCUUCCCGACCAACAUGAAUUAUGGAGUACUUGCCAACGCCUUCUGACAUGUUAUUGAUCUCUCUGGAUACAACUGAAAUAAUUAGGUUACAGUUGAACUUUUAGUUGUAAAGUGUGUGGUUGGAGUACAAUGUCCUGUUUGAGUUGGACAUUAGUAUCUUAGGUCUCUUAUACUUCCUCCGUUCCUAAAUAUUUUUCUUUCUAGAGAUUUCAACAAGUGACUACAUACAAAAUAAAAUGAGUGAAUCUAUACUAUAAAAUAUGUCUAUAUACAUUCGUAUAUGGUAGUCUAUUUAAAAUCUCUGAAAGGACAAAUAUUUAAGAACGGAGGAAAUAUAAUGUAGGCUAACAAUAUAACCUAUGCUAACGUAAAAGUACAUGCACACAAUAUGAGCUAGCGUGAUGUGUCGGCGUUUCAGUGGCCGGUGUGAAGUAUUAUAGCAGUAUCACUCUGACGGUAGCCGAUGUUCGGUCAACCUUGUUAAUAAAUUUCAAUGUCGUGGUUGUGCAACUGUUUGAUCCUCAGUAGAUCAAUAUGCAUUUCCGAUUUUUGACAAGUGAUAUCGGAGUUAGAUUAAAGAAAUCACAAAUUGUUGAUCUGGACUGGACCUUGUUGUUACAUUAGUUGCGCCGGACCAUGUCAUGUGGCUAUAUGCGAUCAUACGACGCCUUGUCGCACUGAGGGAGUGGAAACUAGUCAACAUUUCCCGUGUGACACUUCUGUUUGCCACAUCACCGUCUAAAAGCAGGACUACUGGUCAGUUUUGGCGUGAAACAUGGUAAGAGCAUCUCCAACAGCCGCGCUACGCGCCGCGCACUAAAAAUUAUUUUGCCGCGCGCCCUUCGCCUGAUUUUGCGCGGCCGGCAGCGCUGACUCCAACAGCCACGCUAAAAUGCAACACGCGCGCCGCUUCAGCAGCCGUGCUAAAAUGCAACGCGCGCUAUCGCACGCACAUAGAAAAAAAUAUCCUCAUGCCUUUUCCAAUAGAUAUUUUACAUUCAUAGAUAAACGAUACAUAGAUAUUUUACAUAGUUCCAAAGCAUAGAUAGAUAACUACGGUGCAACGACAUAAAACUACAACGACAUAAAAAAAACUACUAGAUAGUGCAACUAGAUAAAACUACAACCUACUCCCAGUCGUCAUCAUCAUCAUCACUGUCAUCAUCGCUGGUCUGGUCCGAGAUAUCGAGCCACAUAUCGUCCCAACGAGGAUCAUUAUCCCAAAAGAUUGACUGCCCACCAUUUUCAACGAUCUCGCACUGCGAUAACGCCAGGGCCUUCCACCGACGCCUGUCCAACCGGUCCGCGCUGCGCUUUGCUAUCUGCUCUGCCCAGUAGGCUUGCUCGUCGGCGACGUCCUCCGGGUGGCGCCGACGCCACUCCGCCAUGACCCGCUCGUCCUCCGUGGCGACGAGGACGCGGCGCUGUCGCUCAGCGUGCUCCGCACGGUCUUGUGCCAUGAUAAGACAAGGCGGCGGGGCGACGUCCAGCGCCUGCUGGAGCGUGUAGACGUCCUGGAAGUUCAUCUGCGAGCGCGGCCUACCUAGGCGCCACGCCGCCGCGUCGUACGCGCGGGCGGCCUCGUGCGUCGUCUCGAAGGUGCCGAGGCCGAGCCGGAGGUCGCCGGACUGUAUCUCGAAGUAGUACCAGCCGUUGGGGCGCUGGCGGACGCCGCGGUAGCCCGACGCUCCUUGGCGGCGCGGCGGCAUGGUGGCGCGUCGAUGGCGGGGCGUUGGAUCGGUGAGGUAGCAACGAGGAAGCAGGGGAGGCGCGCGUGGCAGCGAAAGAGGAAGAGAAGUGUGGAAUAGGCGUGUGAUGAGCGCCGCAAUUUAAAGGCGCGCUGGAAGCGGUGCGCCAAAAAUAGUGCGCGAGCUGCUGCCUUUUCCUGCGCGCGCGCAAACGAUUCCCGCGCGCGCUAGUUUUCCGCAACCGCUGGAGCGCACCGAAAUGUCCGGCGCGCGCUAAAAACUUGGUUUACUGUGCGCGCACGCCUUUUGGCACGGCUGUUGGAGAUGCUCUAAGUGAGUGAUGAACAACUUUUGCAAAAGUAAAAUAUAGCCUUGCACGUGAUGGGAUUUGCAAUUCGAGUGAUUGCAGAUGUUUUCUGUGAUUUGAGCCUCCAACGUGGUUUGUUUUUCUUGUUACACAAUGAAACCGGAUAAUUUACCUCUUGACCCUUCCAAAGAGGUUUUAACUUCACAUCGAGCUUAUGUGGGAGCGUGGCUCCAACCGGGACCAAAAGGCAUCCACGCGUCUGCAUUCCAGUGGCUGGGGUUUUUGUUUUUUUUUUAAAGGAGGGGGUUGGGGGUUUUGGGGGGUUAAUUUAGGUGUUUCAUAUAUUGUGUUAGCUAGCUAAUUAAUAGAGAGAAGUGUCUUCUCUUAUGUCCGUGCUUGGUCGACGCUACUAUAUAUACAUAAGUGAUCGAGAGAACCAUUCAGUACAGAAGUUCGUCAUGCAUACCGAGAGAAGUGAUCGAUCGACCUCUCCUUCUCCGAGAGAUUGGUCGAACAACAAGUUUUCGUAUCAUGUAUCCGACGCUACUGGCUACAUACAUGUACAAUAUGUAUAAGAUCUCUUAAUUACACAAACCCCUAGCAUUUGAAAUCAAUUUCCACAUGGUAUUCUCCGGCUUUACUGAUGACGUGUUCAAAAAAUAAUCCCGCCAAUUCCUCUUGAAUUGCUUUCAUGCGAUCUGGUUUUAGGAGUUCAUCCCGCAUCUGCCACGUCUAAUUUGAAGAAGGGGGUUAAUUAAUACAUAUAUAUGAAUGAAACUCAACAGAAAUGAUGGUGUAAUAAAAUGAAAUUGUGAAUAUUAUUGCUUACGCACUUCAUAUUGUCUUCUAGAGUAGCCCCGCUUGUUUUUCAAAGUCGCGGUGUGGAUGAACUCGCACACGUAGUAUCCACAGAAAUCAUUCCCUUCCUCCUGCCACAAGCACUUUACGAGAAAUAGAGGUCAAUCAAACUGAUAAUGAAACAUUAUAAAUGGCAUUGAUGAAAGUAUAGCUAUAGAAUCAAUGGGAGAUGCGCGCAACUAGCUAGCCAGUAGUACUUACUUUCGGGUAUUUAUAUCGCAGCUCCUUCGGCAGUCCCGGAGCUUCUGCGGUGAACUGUUUCCAAACCCUACAGGACAAAGAAAAUUAUUAUUAUUACUUGAGAUAUCAGGAAAUGAACAAAAAGUUGCCGAUAUGGUGCGAUAAUGAUCGAUUGAACUUACUUGCUGAGCAUUUCAGUGAUGCCCGCAUAGGUUUUGGGAUCUUUCCGUCUCGAGUCUAAGACGGUUACUAGUCCACGCUCAAGCUUAAUCUCCCAAAGAAUAUAGUGGUACCUGCGCACGCAUGCAUAACUCAUCAAUUACAUUACUAUAACCUUGCUUGAGUAAUAAGGGAGACCGAAUAUGCACACGACAGUAACACUCACGGGCCGUUGUAAGGAAAUAGUAUGGUAUCUUUGUUUUGAUUUUUGAUCAAUGAUUGUAGCAAGUUGUCCUCGGCCUCUUUGACGUUCUUUUCAACCAGAAAUACAUCUAUGAUAUUUGUGUUAAUGAACCCAAUAUCAUAAAUUUCUUGUUUUUUUGCACUCGACGAUCUUCAAUCUGCAUAAUAUAUUUAGGAUAAUUAAUUAUAAAUACAUGCAAUGAAAGAGCCGAGCUAUAUAUAGAGACUUAAUGACAGAAAUAGUACUUACAGGCAGUAGCAAAAGACCAUUAAUUUAUCGAGGGCCUUUUGAUUGAAGAACUCGAAGAACUCUUCAAAUGGAACACACAACAGAUCAUUUGAAACGAGGUCGUGCUCCUCUUUAAUGUUCAGAUACAAACUGUUCGUCCCCUCAGACUCUCUGCAGGUUUUCAUGUACCAACUAUGGAAUCUUCGCAUCAUUGUUGGCAGAGAUUUUUCAUCUUUGACGAGAGGUUUCCCGUACUCGUAUCUGUGUUCGUCCACCGCCAUGAAAUCAGGAAGUGCAUCGUCGGGCAGGUAAUCUUCAAGAUUGCCAUAACCGGGCACCGUCCCCGGAGCAUUAGACACAUUGAGCGGGGGGCACGAUUGCUGUGCUUGUUCGCCGAGCUGGGCAAUUUUUUCCCCUUUGCUCGUUCUUUUAACCUUUUAUAACUGACAGUAGUUCCCGACCACUUGGCUUGGAGAUAUGUCUGUUCAGUAAUGUGCUCAUAGUUGGUUCUCGGCGGAGACUUUGGUGGUUUCCUCAGGGCAUCGAUAGUGCGUUUUGCUUUCACCGGAUCUACCUUCUCCUCCGGAGGUGGAUGUCUCUUUGCUUUCACCCCUUCAAAGAAGUCCUUCACGUGGGUCCGCACAAUCGUAUUGUUUUCCUCUUCGGACCACUCGUACGGUAACUUCUCUAGAGGCUUGAGAGAUGAUGGACCGUAUUUGUAUUGCCUCCCGCCUCUGGUUGUGCUGCUAGACGCCGGAGCAGACGGAGCGGCUACGGCGUCUGUCUUCUUUCGUGGUUGCUUACGAGGCGGAGGAGAAGAAGUACGACGUGCCGGAGCAGCCGGGGCGGCGGCGGGUCUCUUUCGCCCUUGCUGGCGAGGCGGAGAAGGAGGAGGCUGCUGGCUGCUCGGGAGCGCCGGCGCAGGAGGAGAAGGAGGCGGAGUGCCGCCACGCGUGCCCUGAUCGUCACUCGUCGGAGGAGGAGGCGGUGGAGGAGGCGGAGUGCCCUGACUCGCCGGAGGAGGAGGAGGAGGCGGAGGCGUCCAGUUCGGAAGGUUGAUGAGCUCCUUCCGCCAUAGGCAUGGAGUCUUCAGAGCAGAACCCAGCCUAGUCUCCCCUUCAUCGGUAGGGUGGUCAAGCGGGAGGUCCUCAAAUCCCUCUAUUAUUUCAUCCACAAUCACCUUAGCAUAUCCUUCUGAAAUCGGCUGGCAGUGAUAAGUUGUGCCGGGUCCACUAGGAUAAACUUGGCCAACAGCCGCCUUGACCUUCAAAGUCAUCCAUCGCGCCAUAAUGUGGCAACUUUGAGACUCCAUGAUACCAUCCACGGGAUAGCUGGCAGGAGCCGUCAAGACAUGCUCCGGCUGAAGCAGCUCGGUGGAAGCCACGCUGCUUCUCCGCUGAGAUGGCGGGGUAGCUUCAGGGGAAGCUUCGGCAGGUCGUUUGUUGCGAUCUCCUGCUUCUCGUUCCUCUUCUCGAUCCUCUAGCCCCAUUACCCUUCCAAGCAGCGCCUGCAGUUGGUCCUGCUCCAGUUUCUUCCUCCUCUCGUAGGUUUUGUAACCCCCUGUGUUCGGAAAACCAACCUUCCACGGAAUGGAGCCUGGCGUGCCUCGUGUCCGUCUAGGGUGCUCAGGAUUCCCAAGGGCCAUUGUGAGCUCGUCCUUCUCCCUGUUUGGAAGGAACGUCCCUCGCUACGCUGCAGCGAUAUAGUGUCGAAGGUUCUUGACUGGUAUUUCCAGUUGCUCGUCCGUCCACUGGCACUUCCCUAUUACAGGGUCCAAGGUUCCGCCAGCCCCGAAGAACCAAGUCCGGCAACGGUCUGGCCAGUACAUUGUCUCUGGUUCGAUCCCUUUUUCAAGCAGAUCAUGCUCAGCCUUGGUCCACUUAGGUCGGGCUUUAAGGUAGCCACCUGACCCCGUGCGAUGGUGAAGCUUCUUCUUCGGAGCAUUUUCCUUGUUUCUCGCCGACAUCUUCUUACUCUUUUCCGAUGUCUUGUGGGCCACAAAUGCGGGCCAGUGAUCUUUGAUCUUCUCAUAUUUGCCGAUGAAUUCUGGUGUCUUUUUUUUUACAAACUGGUUCAGCUCUUUCCUCCACCUCCUCAUUAGGGUUGCCAUCUUCUUAAGAGCACAAGACUUGAUUAAUUGCUCUUUAACUGGAUUCUCCAGAUCCUCCUCUGGCGGUAGGGUGAAAUUUGCCUUCAGCUCAGUCCAAAGAUCUUCUUUCUGCAUAUCAUUGACAUAAGACACCUCAGGGUCUUCCUCCUUAGGCUUAUACCAUUGUUGGAUGCUGAUCAGGAUCUUGUCCCUAACAAGAACCUCGCACUGAGCAGAAAAUUCCUUCCUUGUCCGGAUGGGUUCAAUCGGUUCGCCGUCGGGCGCGAUUUCUAUGAUCUCAAACUUUUCAUCCGAGCUCAACUUUUUCUUCGGGCCUCGUCUCCUUACCAAAGUUGUGCUCGAUCCGGAGGGCUAGAAAUUAUAAGGAAGAAAGACGAGAGUAAUUAAUAUGUGUACAUAUACCAAAACAAUGGAAGCAUCAAUUAACUAGUCAGCACGGGCUUAACUAAUAUAUAUAUAUACCUGGCCGGACUCGGUUCGGUCACCGGAGCAGUCAGCACGGUCUCCUUCUUGUACCUCCAUUGUGUCACCGGGGCCAUCUUGAACAUAGUCCUCUUCUUGUACCGGCAUUAAUGGGCCGAAGCCAUCAUGAACAUAGCCCUCUUCUUCAUCCAGCUGACCAUCGGUGUCGAGGAGAAAUGACGCAACAUCAUCACUUCCAUUUGCGAUUAUCUCCCCCAACAUCGCUUCUGUUUCUUCGUCUCGGGAGUGCUCCAUAGUUUCUGCAAAUAUUUACAACAUGUCAAUUAUUAUUCAAACAUGGUGCAGAUGGAUAUAUAUAUAUAUAUAUAUAUAUAUUAGUGGCAAACGUAGAACUAGCUAGCUAAUCACAAUAAGGAAUCAUGUUAGUGGCCUCGACGCUGCUUCUCUAGGGUUUGGGGGUCGCCUCGACACAACGCUUCAAGGGUUUGGGGUGGCCUCGACGACAACGCUCUUUUAACUUGGUAAAUUUGGGUGGCCUCGAGAGAGUUAAUUUGUUGGGUAGGGGCGCGGCGGGAGGGGGUAGGAGACCAACAUCGUUUUCUCUCUAGGGUUUGGGUGUCCUCGAGAGUUUUGGUCGAGCGAGAGGGCCGAGGGCCGGGGGGUGCUGCCGUUGUAUAAGUUAUCACUGUCGAGAGGGGGUAUAUAUAUCGACCGCCCCUCAUGUCGAAGUUAUCUAGAGGGGGUUAUAUCGACAACGACGCGACAUACAUAUACAUGGGAAAAUAAUGUUAUCGGGGAGGGGGUAUCGGUACCACCCCCUCGUGUUGAAGUUUCUUCUUUCUCCUCUAUUCCUUUCUUUCUUCUUCUACUCUUCUUUUUCUUCUUCUCCCUCGAGAAAGGAAAAUAAUUAAGGAAAAGGAAGAAAAGAGGAAGAAGGAAGAAGGAAGAAGGAAGAAGAAGAAAAAAAAAGAAGAAAAAAAAGAGGAGAAGAAGAAAGGAAUAGAGGAGAAGAAGAAAAAAUAGAAAAAAAAAUCUUCUAUUUUUUCUUCUUCUCCUCUAUUCCUUUAUUUUUCUCCUCUUCUUUUUCUUCUUUUUUCCUCUUCUUAUUUAUUUCUCCUCUUCUUCCUCUCUUCUUUUUCUCCUUUCUUCCUCUUCUUAUUUUUCUUUUUCCUCUCAUUCUUUUUCUUCUUCUUCUUCCUUCUUCCUUCUUCCUUCCUUCUUCCUCUUUUCUUCCUUUUCCUUAUUUUACUUUCUCCUCUACACUAACCUAAAAUGCACUAACCUAAAAUCGAUAUCUACUAACAACCUAAAUAUAAAAUUAAUACAUAUAUGAAAAAACAUAUAUAAACAAAAAAAUGCUAUGAACUUUAUAUUCAUACAUACAUAUAUAGCCACAUCCAUUCAUCAUAUAUAUAGCUACCACAUACAUAUAUACAUUAUAUAUAUGAAAAAAAUGCAAUGAACAAAAAAAUACACUUAUGAGAAAAAAUACUAUGAACAUGUACACAUAAAAACACAUAUACACAAAAAAAUGCAAAAAAAUACAUAUAUACUUGCAUAUAUGUAUAAAUUUUUGCAUAUAUAAUUUUUUGCAUAUAUAAACUUCUGCAUAUAUAAAAAAAAGAGGAAAGGGCGCCGNNNNNNNNNNNNNNNNNNNNNNNNNNNNNNNNNNNNNNNNNNNNNNNNNNNNNNNNNNNNNNNNNNNNNNNNNNNNNNNNNNNNNNNNNNNNNNNNNNNNNNNNNNNNNNNNNNNNNNNNNNNNNNNNNNNNNNNNNNNNNNNNNNNNNNNNNNNNNNNNNNNNNNNNNNNNNNNNNNNNNNNNNNNNNNNNNNNNNNNNNNNNNNNNNNNNNNNNNNNNNNNNNNNNNNNNNNNNNNNNNNNNNNNNNNNNNNNNNNNNNNNNNNNNNNNNNNNNNNNNNNNNNNNNNNNNNNNNNNNNNNNNNNNNNNNNNNNNNNNNNNNNNNNNNNNNNNNNNCAAGAGCAUUGGUCCCGUUUGGUGGCUCCAACCGGGACUAAUGCCCCCUUUAGUCCCAGUUGGAGCCACCAACCGGGACCAAAAGCCUCUUUUCAGCAGCCCAAAGGGCGGGAAGCGGCGGCCUUUGGUCCCGGUUUGAGGCACCAACCGGGACUAAAGGGUGGGCAUUGGUACCGGUUGGGGCCAUGAACCGGUACCAAUGCACCCCCUUUAGUCCCGGUUGGAGCCACCAACCGGGACCAAAGGCCCCUGUGCUGCCCGCGUCGCGGCCAAAGUUUAGUCCCACCUCGCUAGUUGAGAGGGGCGCGCAGUGGUUUAUAAGCCCCACUAUCGCACCCCUCUCGAGCUCCUCUCAACUGCAGGCUUAUGGGCCUACUUGCUAUUGCUUUGCCUGAUGGGCCUUCUGGGCCUACUACGGGCCUGAAUCCUGGCCCAUAGUAGGGUUUCAAGUCGUAUUCACGCCGUGGGGGCCCAGUAGGAGGCAUUUUUUUGUUUUCCUUACUUAUUGUUGCUAUUUUUAUUUUUUUCCAGUUUUUUUGUUUUGUUUUCUGCAUUAUUUAUUUUCUUUUGUUUUUUGUUUUAUUUUUUAAUUCUUUUUGCUUUUAGUUUUAGGAAAAUUAUAAACUUUCUGUUAGUGCCAGUACUUUUCAAAUUUGAAAACACUUUUUUGUUUUUUUGUUUUCUUUCUUGCUUUAUUUAUUUUAUUUUGUUUCUACGUACAACAAAAUACUUAUUGUUGUUUUUUUGUUUUGUUUUCUGCAUUAUUUAUUUUCUUUUGUUUUUUGCUUUAUCUUUUAGUUCUUUUUGCUUUUAGUUUUAGGAAAAUUAUAAACUUUCUGUUACUGCCAUUACUUUUCAAAUUUGAAAACACUUUUUUUGUUUUUUUGUUUUCUUUCUUGCUUUAUUUAUUUUAUUUUGUUUCUACUUAGAACAAAAUACUUAUUGUUGCUAUUUUUAUUUAUUACGAGGGCCGAACCAUAAGACAUUAAAGCAUUUCAAAUAAACUCUAAAAAAGUUGAAAGUUGGCAUGGUAUCAUAAAUUGACCCACACAUAGCAUGUGCAUAUACAAAACGGACAAUGGUAUCAUACUCGUCAGUUACAAAGUUGGCAUGGUAUCAUCAUAAUAGUUGCGGGAGAAAGUCUUCACUUUUUCUUUGCUUGUGUCAUUUGCUUAUUGCGCCGUAACCAUGGAUAAUCUUCAUCGUUUAUCAGGAUGCUGGGGUCAGCCUUGACUUUGAAGGGAGGAAUUUCAUGAAACUUUUCAUAAUCUUUAGACAUGUCUGUCUUGUCCUCCACUCCCACGAUGUUCCUUUUUCUGAAAGAACUAUGUGGCGCUUUGGCUCAUCGUAUGAUGUAUUCGCUUCCUUAUCUUUUCUCUUUCUCGGUCUGGUAGACAUGUCCUUCACAUAGAUAACCUGUGCCACAUCAUUGGCUAGGACGAACGGUUCGUCAGUGUAUCCAAGAUUUUUCAGAUCCACUGUUGUCAUUCCGUACUGUGGGUCUACCUGUACCCCGCCUCCUGACAGAUUGACCCAUUUGCACUUAAACAAAGGGACCUUAAAAUCAUGUCCGUAGUCAAGUUCCCAUAUGUCCACUAUGUAACCAUAAUAUGUGUCCUUUCCCCUUUCGGUUGUUGCAUCAAAGCGGACACCGCUGUUUUGGUUGGUGCUCUUUUGAUCUUGGUCAAUCGUGUAAAAUGUAUUCCCAUUUAUCUCGUAUCCUUUCCAAAUCGUAACAGUCGAAGAUGCUCCCCUGGACAACAAGUACAGCUCAUCACAAAUAGUGUUGUCACCUCUGAGACAUGCUUCCAACCAACUGCUGAAAGUCCUGAUGUGUUCACAUGUAAUCCAGUCGUCGCACUGCUCCGGGUGUUUGGAGUGCAGACUGUUCUUGUGUUCAUCGACAUACGGGGUCACCAAGGUGGAGUUAUGUAGAACUGUGUAGCGUGCCUGAGACCAAGAAUAUCCGUCCCUGCAUAUUAUUGAGUCUCUUCCAAGCGUGCCGUUUCCAGUCAGUCUCCCCUCAUACCGCGAUUGAGGGAGACCUAUCUUCUUAAGGCCAGGAAUGAAGUCAACAAAAACCCGAUGACAUCCUCUGUUUGAUGGCCCAUGGAGAUGCUUCCUUCUGGCCUAGCGCGUUUACGGACAUAUUUCUUUAGGACUCCCAUGAACCACUCAAAGGGGUACAUAUUGUGUAGAAAUACGGGGCCCAGAAUGACAAUCUCGUCAACUAGAUGAACUAGGACAUGUGUCAUGAUAUUGAAGAAGGAUGGUGGGAACACCAGCUCGAAACUGACAAGACAUUGCACCACAUCACUCCUUAGCCUUGGUAUGAUUUCUGGAUCGAUCACCUUCUGAGAGAUUGCAUUGAGGAAUGCACAUAGCUUCACAAUGGCUAAUCGCACGUUUUCCGGUAGAAGCCCCCUCAAUGCAACCGGAAGCAGUUGCGUCAUAAUCACGUGGCAGUCAUGAGACUUUAGGUUCUGAAAUUUUUUUCUCUGCCAUAUUUAUUAUUCCUUUUAUAUUCGACGAGAAGUCAGUCGGGACCUUCAUACUAAGCAGGCAUUCAAAGAAGAUUUCCUCCUCUUCUUUGGUAAGAGCAUAGCUGGCAGGACCUUCAUACUGCUUUGGAGGCAUGCCGUCUUUUUCGUGCAAACGUUGCAGGUCCUCCCGUGCCUCAGUUGUAUCUUUUGUCUUCCCAUACACGCCCAAGAAGCCUAGCAGGUUCACGCAAAGGUUCUUCGUCACAUGCAUCACGUCGAUCGAAGAGCGGACCUCUAGGUCUUUCCAGUAGGGUAGGUCCCAAAAUAUAGAUUUCUUCUUCCACAUGGGUGCGUGUCCCCCAGCGUCACUCGGAACAGCUAGUCCGCCGGGACCCUUUCCAAAGAUUACGUGUAAAUCAUUGACCAUAGCAAGUACGUGAUCACCGGUACGCAUGGCGGGCUUCUUCCGGUGAUCUGCCUCGCCUUUGAAAUGAUUGCCUUUCUUUCGACAUUGAUGGUUGGUCGGAAGAAAUCGACGAUGGCCCAGGUACACAUUCUUCCUGCAGCUUGCCAGGUAUAUACUAUCGAUGUCAAGUAAAUAGUGCGUGCAUGCGUGGUAUCCCUUGUUUGUCUGUCCUGAAAGGUUACUGAGAGCGGGCCAAUCGUUGAUGGUCACGAACAGCAAUGCCUUUAGGUAAAAUUCCUCCUAUUUGUGCUCAUCCCACGUACGUACACCGUUUCCAUUCCACAGCUGUAAAAGUUCUUCAACUAAUGGCCUUAGGUACACAUCAAUGUCGUUGCCGGGUUGCUUAGGGCCUUGGAUGAGAACUGGCAUCAUAAUGAACUUCCGCUUCAUGCACAUCCAAGGAGGAAGGUUAUACAUACAUAGAGUCACGGGCCAGGUGCUGUGAUUGCUGCUCUGCUCCCCAAAAGGAUUAAUGCCAUCCGCGCUUAAAGCAAACCAUACGUUCCUUGGCUCACUUGCAAACUCAUCCCAGUACUUUCUCUCGAUUUUUCUCCAUUGCGACCCGUCAGCGGGUGCUCUCAACUUCCUGUCUUUCUUACGGUCCUCACCGUGCCAUCACAUCAACUUGGCAUGCUCUCCGUUUCUGAACAGACGUUUCAACCGUGGUAUUAUAGUAGCAUACCACAUCACCUUUGCAGGAACCCUCUUCCUGGGGGGCUUGCCGUCAACAUCACCAGGGUCAUCUCGUCUGAUCUUAUACCGUAAUGCACCGCAUACCGGGCAUGCGUUUAGAUCCUUGUACGCACCGCGGUAGAGGAUGCAGUCAUUAGGGCAUGCAUGUAUCUUCUACACCUCCAAUCCUAGAGGGCAUACGACCUUCUUUGCUGCGUAUGUACUGUCGGGCAAUUCGUUAUCCUUUGGAAGCUUCUUCUUCAAUAUUUUCAGUAGCUUCUCAAAUCCUUUGUCAGGCACAUCAUUCGCUGCCUUCCACUGCAGCAAUUCCAGUAUGGUACCGAGCUUUGUGUUGCCAUCUUCGCAAUUGGGGUACAACCCUUUUUUGUGGUCCGCUAACAUGCGAUCGAACUUCAGCUUCUCCUUUUGACUUUCGCAUUGCGUCCUUGCAUCGACAAUGACCCGGCGGAGAUCAUCAUCAUCGGGCACAUCGUCCGGUUCCUCUUGAUCUUCAGCAGCUUCGCCCGUUGCAGCAUCAUCGUGCACAUCAUCUGGUUCCUCUUGAUGUUCAGUAGCAUCACCGUAUUCAGGGGGCACAUAGUUGUCAUCGUACUCUUCUUCUUCGCCGUCUUCCAUCAUAACCCCUAUUUCUCCGUACCUCGUCCAAACAUUAUAGUGUGGCAUGAAACUCUUGUAAAGCAGGUGAGUGUGGAGGAUUUUCCGGUCAGAGUAAGACUUCGUAUUCCCACAUAUAGGGCAUGGACAACACAUAAAACCAUUCCGCUUGUUUGCCUCGGCCACUUCAAGAAAAUCAUGCACGCCCUUAAUGUACUCAGAGGUGUGUCUUGAACCGUACAUCCAUUGUCGGUUCAUCUGCGUGCAUUAUAUAUAAUUAAGUGUGUCAAAAAUCAUUACAGAACAUCAUGAAUAGAUAAUUAAGUGACCAAAUUAAUAGAAGUUCAUCAUCACAUUAAAACUAAAGUACAUACAUAGUUCUCAUCUAACAACAUAAAGCUCUGCAGAGCAUCUAAAUUAAUUAAACCAUACAUUGAAACUAUGUAAAACAUUUCAAUGCGAAAACAAAUGCGAUCAUAAUCGCAACCAAUGUAACAACUGAUCCAACGACAUAAUGAUACCAAGCCUCGGUAUGAAUGGCAUAUUUUCUAAUUUUUCUAAUCUUCAAGCGCAUUGCAUCCAUCUUGAUCUUGUGAUCAUCGACGACAUCCGCAACAUGCAACUCCAAUAUCAUCUUCUCCUCCUCAAUUUUUCUCAUUUUUUCCUUCAACAAAUUGUUUUCUUCUUCAACUAAAUUUAACCUCUCGACAAUAGGGUCGGUUGGAAUUUCCAGUUCAACAACCUCCUAGAUAAAUAAAAUCUAUGUCACGUUGGUCGGCAUAAUUGUCAUAAACAAUAAAUGAACCAAUAGUUAUGAAAAGAUAAUAUAUAUCACAUCCGAAUCAUAGACAGGACGAGGGCCGACGGGGGCGGAUACCAAAACCAUCGCACUAUAUAAGAUGCAAUAAUAAAAGUAAGAAAAUUAUACAAGUAUCUAUAUAAACAUACAAGUAAGAGGCUCACCACGGUGGUGCCGGCGAUGAGAUCGGCGCGGGCGAUCGACGGCGGUGAAGACGGGGACGGGACGUGACGGACAGCUAAACCUAGACAAAUAUUGAGGAAAAUGGAGCUUGGAGGUGGAGCUUGAAGAGGAGAAAGCUUAAGUAGCGCGGCUCGGGCAUUCCAUCGAACACCUCGUGUGCAUAGGAGGUGAGCUAGAGCACACAAAGCUCCCUCCUCGCAUGCCACGAAAAACAGAGCAGUGAGAGUGCUCUGCUCGCGGGGUAUAUAUAGGCAACUAAUUGGUCCCGGUUCAUGGCUUGAACCGGGACUAAAGGGAAGCCUUUGGUCCCGGUUCAGGCGACCAACCGGGUCCAAUGGUGGUGGGCCAGGAGCAAGGCACAUUGGUCCCGGUUCGUCCCACCAAUCGGGACCAAAAGGUCCAGACGAACCAGGACCAAUGGCCCACGUGGCCCGGCCGGCCCCCGGGGCUCACGAACCGGGUCCAAUGCCCCCAUUGGUCCCGGUUCUGAAUUGAACCGGGACUAAUGGACUGACCCGGCCUGGACCAUUGCCCCCUUUUCUACUAGUGUAUAGAUAUAGUAUCAUACACUAGUAUCAUAUGCAUGAUACUAGUGUAUGUUACUCUCCACUAUGACCAGCCUAAUAGGGUCCAGCCAGCUAACUAUAAACCAUACCACAUCAUCAAAAUCACAGCUGGAGGAGAGAGAAGGCAAGAAAGAGAAAGAAGCGGGCACUUCAUCAAUCGCCGACUCCAACACAGGAAACAAGAAAAGAAACCUGCAUGCAGGUGUGUGACCUCCUUUUCACCAAUCACGUGUAUCUUUUCUCUUCCUCCGCAUGCAAGCUUUAAAUCCUACUAGCUAGUUUAGAGCCAAUCUAUUAUACUAGUAAGCUUAGACUUUAGGUGACAUGGCAUUGGCAUAUAGCCAGCAGUAGGCUAUGUUAUUAACCAUGCUCUCAGUGGAGCCAUCUACGGCAGCAUUAAUGAGCUGAUUGUGUUAGAGCUCAACCUCCACAUCAACAUGAUAAUUAAUGUCGCCUAUCUUAGGCCUUGGAUAGGAGGCUAUUCUUAGAUUUUUCUUCUGAGGUAUUUUCUAUACUUUGUGAUUUCAUUCAUGUUUUAGUGGCAGCUGCAUUUUCCCCGUGAGCCCAGUCUCCAGUUACACGACAUGACAUUAAAAUACACACUGUCUGAAACAAAAGGAUUCUAAACAAAAAAUCCAAAGAUGUGACCUCAUUGACCUAGCUAGAGUAAUCUAAGGAAACACGUUCUAAAACUUCUGCCAAUACUAAAAGCUUCAUGUAUCUUAUAAAGCUACCAAGUCAUUUGCUUCGAUAUAGAAAUUAGAGAACCAUCCAGUUUUUCUCUUUGCAAGAGCAAUAACAAUAGUGGGGUUCCUAGAAUUCACUUCAAAAUGGCACACCAAACUAGUAGGAACGGAAGGCUAAAUUAUGAUUCAAGAACUACACAUAACACAUUACGCGUGUAUAGAUAAUGGACAGUCCCAAAAAGAGCAAAAGAUACAACAAGCAGAAUAGAGGAUUUUAAACUCGACAAGGACAACUUGAUGACCAUUAUUGGUAUUCAGUGUAGUGCACUUACACAACUAGAGCGGCUAAAAGUCAAACACUAGAACAGCCUAACAGAAGAUUCAUAGUAACAAUAUAUUACAUGCUUCAAUUAACCAAACCAGGCAGCAUAUGUAUUGCAUCAUAGGUAGUAAGGUACUCCCUCCUUCCCAGAAUAUAAGGCACGGAUUGACUUUUCUGGUCUUCGUUGCACAACUUUGACUAUGAUUUUUAUGUAUUGUAUGUGUAUAAAAUUAGUAUAUAUACAUAUGAAAUAAAAUUGUUUUGCAAGACAAAUACGACGAUGCCAGUUAUACAUGUUGAAUCCAUAUACUUUGAUAUAUAUUAGUGGUCAAAGUCGUGCAUCAAAGACCGUAAAAAGUCAAACGCGCCUUAUAUUUUGGGAAGGAGGGAGUAAUUAAGUAAAAACACCAAUGUUACACUAGCAUAUCCAACAGAAAGCUAAGCAAAGGCAACCAUGUCAUAUGUAGUAGUUCCUCCGUCACACAAUAUAAGACGUUUUGGCAAAGCUGUUUUAGCUUGAAAAAAAUAUCUUAUAUUGUGGGACCGAGGGAGUAAUAAUAUACAGGUACGUGUAUACAAGGAACAUGCAUUUGAAUAUUAAGAGAGCUUCCUCUAGUUAUCUGUUGCCUUUCUUUUUCUUUUCUUUUUUGCCUUUUGCGAUGCAGUUGGCCUUUCAAGGUAUUUGGAGAAGACAGUUGAAAGUUGGGCGACACCAUUACCGUAAGCUUCCACACCCACAGAUUCACAUGACCGCAUACGUGCAUGCUUGCCAAUCAUGAUCAUCCACCCAUUACCACCAAGAAAUUCCUCCUCCGUUAACAGGCAGCACAAAACACCUGGGUCAUCCACGCUGAUGAUUGGGAACUCAGGAAGACGUUGAUCUAUGUGCAGAUCUCGGUAACCAGCUUGCGCCCAGAAAGAGUCCAGGUCGAUCACAUGAUGUAGCUUCCACUCGAACUCCGAGUUCAAAGUCCAAGUGGUGAUUUUCUGAGGAGUCUGCUGCUGCUGCUGCCCUUGCCUUUUUCUAUCACGAAGCUCAAGACAUCGGUGGUGGCGACCAGGGACUCUGUCAUGGAAGUCAUUGUCAAUGUGGACAAAGCAGAUCUUAGCCUUGGCUGAUGGACACACUUCGGAAUCUCUCCGGGAAGUACCUUUCAACCCGUGAAGGAGAGCGACGGGGGUGUCUAUGUUUUUGGAGAAGUCACAUAGAAGGACACCGCUGAAGUAGUCGACCAAGCACAGGAAACGGCCGUCCGAGGCGAGCACAUUGUCGGUUGACCAGAGUUCGGGGAAAAAUAAUAUUGUUCUUUUUUUGCUGGGAGAAAAACAAUUUUGUUCAACAUUUCUCUCAAAAAAAUAUUAUUGUUCAACAAAACCACAUAGGCCUUUUAAUAAUGGAAAUACUAACCGGCAAACAUUCCUUGGGAGGAGGAUGGCUAACGAAUGUUUUUUGAUGGGCUACCACUAGAUCGCCAAUUACAAAUAGCUGAAAAAGGUUUAUUGUUCAUCCUAGAUAACAUUCACAUAAUGAAAGUCCACCAUGUACUAAGUUCUAACAAUUUUAUUAUGCUUUUUCAUUCACCCCCCUCUGUAUGCUGAAGAAUUCCACAAUCUGAACAAUAACACAUCAAGCUCUAACUUAGUUAGCCAUGGAUUGUCACACAGGCACAGCGUGAAGCGGCUACGCCUGGGCACAUCUAGUUUUCUUUUUUUUAGGUAGGCUGGCUUUGUUAGAAGGUUGUGGCCUAGGAGCAAUGAAAUUGCUGAAAUGCGAGUGACAGAUGAAGAAUCAACAGUUCAAGUAGCAAACGAUCAGCCAUGCAGUCAGUUUGAAACUAAAAUUGGCCCAGUAAAACAUAAUUAGCGCCUCUCUCAAUUCCAUUUUCAUAUCUGUCUAAUAUGAAAGAAAAGAUGUUCAAUCUCAAACUUUUAUAACUCUUAAACAUACCAUUACAUAUCAUUUACUCUAAUAGAUAUUCAUAGGUACAUCAUCUUCAUCACAUCAAAGCAAUAUUUUGCCCAAUUGACUUGACUGUGCCUGCAGUGCACGAUGAACCAGAACCAAACAUCAUCUUCGAUUUGAGCAACACCAAAGUGUUCCACAGCAGUUAGCAGAUUCCAGCCCUUUAACUGGCAAAUUGCUUACGCUUCUUAGGGUCCACUGAAAGACAAGUUGGCUUGUCACAUGCUAUCCCUUUUACAAAUAGAAAUAGAAGUAACUCAGGUACAUACACCAUCGGAACAUCUUGCGAGCAGUAUGGACAGAUAAGAUGAAUUGCCACUUAAAAAUAACAGAGUCCACAAUAACAGUCCAAAAACAGAAAGACAUACAAGGAGAAAUGACAAUGCAUUGGAAUAUAUUGAUAAAGGAAACUGUUGCACCUUCAAUAUUAAUGUAAACGUAAUGGCAUCAUAUACUUGAUCUGUCUUAAGAUGGUAACCGGACAUCACGCUCUUCAGCUAACUUGUCAUCGAAGUGUUGUCUUUUUCUUUUUGUGACAAUAAAAAAGAAGGCUCAUCCCUAGAAUCAGGAGGAAGAUUCACAUGAUAAGACCAGCAAGGCUAAUACUACAGGAGUUUUACCUAAUGGCAUUCUCAUGGAGGGAGAAUGGCUUUUCACUGGCCCAGUAUCCAGUUACACGAUAUACUAAGUACACGCUAUCUGAAACAAAAGGAUUCUAGAUAACAGAAACAGCCAAAAAUGUGCGCCCUGAUUGACCCACAAGUAACCCAAGUACCCAACGAAACACAUUCUAAAACUUUUUGCCAACAGAAAAAAUUAUGUAUAAAGGGCUUCGUAUAUAUCAUCUAAAUGCAUGAGACAUUUGCUCCGGUACAGAAAACAGAGGACAAUAUAAUUUUUAUGCUGUAAAAGAGCAAUCAAAAUAGUGUGGUUCCUAGAAUUCUCUUCAAAAUAGCCUACAUUUGAACUCCCAAGGGCAACUAGAUGGCGGAAGUACCAAAGCUAUUAUUGAUGUACUCCCUCUGUUUCCAAACAUAAAACGUCUUAUGUUUGGAAACGGAGUACAGUGAAGUGCACCUACACAACUGGAGCGGCUCUUGAACAGCCUAACAGAAGAUUCAUGGCAACAAUGUAUUAAAUGCUUCAGUUAAUUAAUACUCCCUCCGUCCGAAAAAACUUGUCCCUCAAAUGGAUGUAUCUAGCAUCAAGUUAGUGCUAGAUACAUCCAUUUGAGGGACAAACUUUUUCGGACAGAGGGAGUAUUACCUCCAUCCCAAAUUAGUUGUCCUAGAUGUGUCUAGAUACGAAUGUACUCCCCCAGUAAACUAAUAUAAGAGCGUUUAGAUCACUAAAAUACGGAGGGAGUAUCUAAUGCUAGAACGUGUCUAGAUAUAUAUCUAGAGAGACAAAUCUAAGACAACUAAUUCAGGAUGGAGGGUGUAUAUAUUAUUAUUAUAACACAGCGAGACUAGAGAUUCAUGAUGCAAAAUAGCAAAAUUGGAAUCUUGAGGCUGGAGCAAAGCAGCAGAGCAUAACAUAGGGCAAACAACCCUGAUUAGUAGAGCAGUAUGGGUCUAGAAGUCGUUGGGCAGAGAUAUGCUAAUGAUACAGUAGUUAUUAUAUGUAUUGCAUCAUACAGUCAGAUAAACGAGCAAAAUUAAGUGCUACGGUACCAUAUCCAACAGAAAGCUAAGCAAAGGCAACCCAGCUAGGUGGGAAUCAUAGCAUUUGAAUAUCAAGAGAGCUUCUUCUAGUUACCUGUUGGCCUUUCAAGGUAUUUGCAGAAGACAGUUGGAAGUGGGGAGGUAUCAGGAAGGUGGUUAUGGCGAUGUUCCGCACCCAGAGAGACACAUGACAGCAGAUGUGCAUUGUUGCCAACCAUGAUAUUCCACCCAUCACCAUCAAACUCCUCCUCUGUUAACAGGCAGCAAAGAACAUUCGGGUCAUCCAAGCUGAUGGUUGGGAACUCAGGAAGACGCUGAUCUAUGUGCAGAUCUAGGUAGCCAGGUUGCGCCCAGAGAGAAUCCAGGUUGAUCACAUGAUGUAGCUUCCACUCGAACUUGUUGGAGUCCAACGUCCAAACGGUGAUAUCCUGGGUAGGCCGCUUCUGCUGGGCUCACCUUUUUCUCGCAGGAGGCGACCCAUGGAAGUCAUUGUCAAUGUGCACAAAGCACAGCAUGCCUUGGCUGAUGGACACACUUCGGAAUCUGUCAGGGAAGCGCCUUUCAACCCGUUCCUCAUCAGAGAAAUCAUUUUUCCCAGGGAAAGGCACAAAGCGGAGCACCGGGGAUAAGUCUUGUAUCGCGAAGUCACAUAGCAGAACACCACUCAUGUAGUCAACACAGCACAGGAAACGGCCGGCAAAAGCAAGCAGAUUGUCGGUUGACCAGAGGUUGGGGAACUGGCCGCCAUUGCUCUGGUCCUGCGGCUGAGGGGCAGGCAUCUCGGGGCUGAGUUCCCACUGUUUAGCCCCAGAGCGGAAGACGCAGAGUUGGGCACACAUACCAUUUUUUCCGCGGUAGACAUUGAUAUCGGCAACGAUGUAGCGAUCCUCAUCUUUGAGCCGCAGGAUGCCUGUGGUGACGAAACCCAUCAGGAACGGCAUGUUGCUCUCGAUUGUGUAGGGUGGGAGCCGCUGCACCGAGGGGCGAGGACCGCCGGCCUUGUAGACGAACAGAUCUGCCGGGGGUUCCCAGUAGCAACUCUGGCUCGGGUUGGAGAUGUCGAAGAGGACUUUUUUCUGCGGGUUGGAGAUGUCAAAGAGGACGAGGUUGUUGUCGGUUGCCCGGAGGAAGGCAUAGGCGGGCGGGGUGUCUAAGGCAAUUGGAGGUCCCUCCGGCAAGUGGAGGUUGAGGCAGGAGAUCCCUUUUUGAGGAGCCGCGAGGGUGAAGGCCACGUAGCAGGAGGGGCCGCCGUCCAUGUCGACCGGAGCGGCGGUCUUGUCCUUGUCGACAGCCACACGAGCAGCUUCUAGACUGUUGUGGCAGAGGGUGUUGCCCUUGCGGUCCAGCAUCACCCAAUGAGGGAGGACGACGGUCUCCUCCUCCGGCUCCGGCUCCGGCGCGCCUCCAGUGUCCAUGGCGAUCGGCAUCGGGAAUAAAGCAGCCGCCGCCUCCCUAACCCUAACCCUAGUUUUUGGUGGGGGAACUGAUGGACGGGAAGGAAGGAAGGGAGACAGUGGGGCUCCUAUUGGGCGGCUUAAGCGCCAGCGAGCGGAACCGGCCCUCACGCGCACACCUUCGUGGGCUGGCCCAGCCAGCGAGCGGACGGUCGCGGUGGAAUUCCCCUGGUCGCGGUUGCCAGGCCGCGGUUGACCGGUCUGACUAUUUGUCAAUGGUGUGUGAUGAAACCUUGAUGUUUUGUACUGAACCAUUAGUAAAUGUUUACUACCUCCUGUUUUUUGAGAUGUUUCCUUUGUACUGAAGUAGUUUUUUGGUAUAACUUUAGCCUAUAUUGGGUAGCUGCCUUGCUUACAUAUGGAUAUGCUGCAAACUUUGUCUUAUAUUAGUACUAUUAGUACCUACUCUCUCAUGUCCACGCCCGCAUCAGCGCUCUUAGUAUUGAACUGAAUGUCAAGUGGUUAUCUUCUGUAGUCUCAUAAAUGCACUGGACUCGAUGCUGCCUUGUAAUCUAAUAAUGAUGUUGAACUUGAUGAUGUCUUCAUUCUAUUGUAAAUGAAUGUUUUUUCCUGUUUGAAUACGUUGGCUAAACCAGGAUUCCUAUCCUAUGAUACUUGCUUUACCACACCAAAUCAGGAUUCUUAGUGACUUGACAUUAUCUGCUUUAACACAUAAUUGGGACCGGCACCCUCGCGCCAAGGCGCGAUCCCAAUCUAUACUUUGUGAUGCAACAGCUUCAUGGGUGAGUGUUCGAGGUUUCUCAGGUUGCAGCGUUAAGCGAAUACCGAUAUUUGUAGUUACAUUCUAUCUGACAUCUAUAGCUCCAGUUAAUUCAGGCGUUGUUAGUCCCAUUUAGACACACGAUGAUAAUAUCAUGCUUUCAUUGCCCUUUUAGUCGUCCAAAUAACAACUUGAGUUACUAAUAACUUAACAUUACACGUUUGAUCAAAACGUUCGGACAGGCACCCUCGCGUCAGGGCGCGUUGCCGAUCUAGUAGCAAUUAUCUAAUCACGCGCAGCUGCCCGUUGGUGCUACUGUAUUAUCUAAUCGCCUGCUACAUGUACUAAUGCAUGUGCACUAGGAGCAUGCCUGGUGGUGGGUGUGGAAGCCACCAGUCCUCGUCCUUUUUAAUCCGAGCGUGUGACGGAGCCGGCCUCGUCCACUUCCCUUCCCUGUCCACAUCUAGUCUGCUUGCCCCCUCGUCGGCGACAAAAAACCCUAGGACAGCGCCAUGGGCUUCUUCAGCGGCAAGGGCAAGGCCACGUGCCUCAUCCUCUGCCACCACCGCCAUCGGCACAUCGACGCGGUGGGCCGCCACGGGUGUGCAAGAAGCUGCACAUCCCAGUCCACCAAGCGUGAUGGCACUGGCAGUACCGGCAUCCACUCCCGUACUAGAUGUCAGCCUGCCGCCUGCCGCACAGCUGGCAUCUGGAUCCGAGUCGCAUCCCGAUUCUGGCGGUGCCCCGACGGCGCCGGCGCACGUCGAGGCGGCGCGAGCUGCUCACUGCGGAGCAGUGGCGGAUGGCAGCGUACGCGGCCGACUCUCCCAACCGAGAGGUCUGGUCCACGUUGGAGCACGAGGAAGACCGCCGUUGCGGCGUGCCAGCCAACCCCGUGUACCCCCCACCGCCCCCAAAGGUGAAGCCGGAGGAGGACGAGGACGGCCAGCGUUGGGUUUGCGUCGAUCCAAACGUCCUGCCAGCAUUGGGUGCAUGCGUCGACCCAAACGAAAAACCAGACACAUGCGUCCGCUCGGCCGACCCAAACGUCCGUUUUUUACCCGUUUGAGUCGGUCGGUUGGAGUUGCUCUAACACACUACUACUACCGAGUACCGACCAUGCACUUGCACGUGAUUGGCAAAAUAAUCCUGCACGGUACUAGUAUACGUAGAUAGUACAUCCACAUGCAAAGCACUCUUACUAGUGUACGUAGAUAUUACAUGCACUACCGUCUCCAUCACCAGAUGAACGGGCACGUGGUGGACGUACAAACAUGCAAACAUGCCAUGUGAGAUCGAUGGAUGGGUGGAUGGAACGACACGUCAAUUCCAUCGAGUCUGUAACUGCAGCGAGGCGAGCGUCUGGGACAUGCUGCAAGUGAUUACUCUAGAUAAUACAGUAGCACCACCAACGGCCAGCUGCAAUGCCAUGUGAGAUCGAUGGAUGGAACUACAGGUACGUUCAGCUGCAUGCAUGUGAGAUCGAGUCCAUAUCCACGAGUAAAGGCUCCUGCAUGCAUAUGGCAGCAAGCCAGCCAGCCAAGCCAACCAGCGUACGUGCAGCUGCACUGCUGCAGCGAGGCAACGCGCCUCGAUGGUCCGGCGCUCUUCGGCCUUAAGGAAGCCGAAGACCACUCUUCGGUCUACACACGGCCGAAGACCACUCUUCGGCCCCUAAGCUACUAUCUUCGGCCUAGCUGGCCACUCUUCGGCCAAUGGGAGGCCAACGGUAGGCCGAAAAGGCCCUCUUCGGCCAAUAGGACGCUGACGGAUCAUAGUUUCGAUUUUUAUGUAUUAGUGCGUUUAAUUUUGAAUUUGCUAUAAGAUUCAUCAUACUUUCAAAAAAAAAUCAUGAAUCAAGAACUACGCGUGUACACAGAUAAUGGGCACGAUGCAGAGGCCGAGGGAUGUCCCCUCUUUUCGAAGAAAAAAAACACAGAUAAUGGGCAGUCCCAUAAAGAGCAAAAAAAAUCUAACAAGGAGAAAUAAGAUUCUAGGACAACUUGAUGCAUGGCUGAAGAAGGACCGGUGUUACCAUAUCCAACAGAAAGCUAAGCAAAUGUAACCAUGUCAAUAAAAGACAUAAUUUGAAUAUUGAGUGAGCUUCUUCUAGCUAGCUAGCUACCUGUUGGCCUUUCAAGGUGUUUGGAGAAGACAGUUGGAAGUAGGAGCGUAUUAGGAAAAUCGUUUCUGGCAUCCACACACUCAGCACAACCCACAUCCGCACACUUAGCACAGUAGGAAUGUCGAUUGAUAUAUGGAGUAGAUGACCGCAGAUAUGCAUGCUUCAUGUCAACCAUGAUCAUCCACCCCUUGCCAUUAAAUUCCUCCUCCCUUAACAGGCAGCAAAGAACAUCUGGGUCGUCGACGCUGACGAUUGGGAACUCGGGAAGACGUUGUCGUAUGCCCAGAGCUUCGUAACCACGUUGCGCCCAUAGACAAUCCAGGUUGAUCACGCCAUGUUGCUCCCACUUGAACUUGUCGGAGUUCAAAGUCCAUAUGGUGAUUUUUGGGGGACCCUGAUGCUGCUGCCCUUGGCUUCUUCUCUCGGGAAGAUGACGCCAUGGCCAGUCAUCCUCGAUUGUCUCAUGGAAGUCAUUGUCAAUGUGGACAAAGCGCAUCUUGCCUUGGCUGAUGGACACAUUCCGGAACCUCCCCGGGAACUCCCUUGGGACCCGUACCUCUGCAGGGUAUUCCUUUUCUCCAGGGAACGGCACGAAGUGGAGCGCCGGGGAACCUAGAGCGGAAGAGAAGUCAGCUAGUAGGACACCGCUGAAGUAGUCGACCCAGCACAGGAAACGGCCGUCGAAAGCGAGCACAUCGUCAGUUGACCAUUGGUUGGGGAGCUGACCACUGCUGCUCUGGUUCUGCUCCGGCGUGUGCCAACGUAUCAGGCCAGGCGUAAUGGGGAUGACCUUCCACUCUUUGGCCUCAGAGGAGGAGUUGAAGACGCAGAGUGCGCCGUCGAGGACACAGAGGUCGGCGACGAUGUAGCGCUUCUCCGAGAGCCGCAAGAUGCCUGUGGUGAAUUGACCCUUCAGGAACCGCCGCCAUUUCCCCCUCUCCUCGGCAUACAUAGGGAGCUGCUGCACCGAGGGGGAAGGACCGGCGGCCGUGUAGACGAACAGAUCUGGCGGGGCGCCGAAGUAGGGAACCCGGGUCGGGACGUCGAUGUCGAACAGGACGAGGUCUUUGUCGGUUGCCCGGACGAAGGAACAGGCGGCGUCGGAUCCUUCUCCCACCGACGGCCAGUGGAGGUUGAGGUAGGAGACCCCACCCGGAGCCGCGAGGGUGAAGGACACGUACAAGGAAAGGCCGCGGUCAAUGCGGAGGCGAGCGGCGGUCUUGUUCUUGCUGACAACCAGACGAGCAGCGUCUAGGUCCUUGUGGCAGCGGGUGCGGCCCAUGCGAUCCAGCAUCGCCCAGUCGGGGAAGACGGCGGCCUCCUCCAUCGCCCAAUCGGUGAAGACGUCGGUCUCCUCCUCUUCCUCCUUCUCCAUCUCCCAAUCGGAGAGGACGACCGUCUCCUCCUCAUCGGAGCUUGGCCCGGCUUCCAUGGGCAGCAUGGGGAUCGGGAUCGGGAAUAAAGCAGCUGCCGCCUCCCUAGCCCAAAAGGACCCUAGGUAUAAAAUUUUGGGCCCAGUUCGUACCGACGAGUACUUCUCGGACGACGACCAAGCACAGCUGACUGAUCACGAUGAAGUUCUUUUACGUUGAUGAGAUUGCACCGCACCCGAUCAAUCUUUCGCUGGCCGCGAUGCAGUUUAGCCGAACCUAGGUCACGUAGAAAGGUAUUGCCACAGGAUUUUGUGUUGCUUCAAAACCACAGUAGUAGUACAAGUUACAGGGUGCACGCAUAUACUAUAUAGUACUCUGAUGCUAACCGCCUGAAGCAAUACUACUCGGAUACUAAUUCCUACAUGGAUACAUACAAGAACAAGAAACCUAUACACACCAACACGAGGUUAUGUCGUGUUUUUUUUUUUCGCAAGCGAGGUGUACUGUCAUUGCCCGAUACAGUAGGAUUUUGCGUCGUCAGUUGCCAUUGCUCGCAUGUGCAUGACGGGCUCUUAUAAGAAUAUAUUUUUAAAUGAAGUUAAAAAAGAAUAUAUUUUCAAAUGUGAUCACUUUCUAAAAUUAUAUGAACAAUUUUAAAUUGCAUGAAAAACUUUAGUUGCACAAAAAACUUCUUAAAAACUUACUACAUUUUUUUUCAAACAUGAAAAUUUUGAAUUAUUUAAAAUAUGUGAUUUUUAAAAAAAAACAUGAAUAUUUUUUAGAUUCAUAUGACUUACUAUAUGUGUGAAUAUUUCUACAUAAAAGCCGAGUUCUUGGUGUAGUGAAAUCCUCUAGCACUUGACGCUCUGACUUGGUGGUUUGAUUUGCAAAUUUCACCAAGUUGUUCUGGGGUUGGAAGUCGGCGAUUAGCGGGAUAGGGUAAUUCAAGUCAUUGGAAUCUUGCCAAUUGAAAUAUCGUGGUUUGUCGAUUACAGAUGGUGAGUAGGAAAUUAUAAAAUUCUAUAUCCAAAAACAGAGUAGUCGGCAUAAUUGAAUAACAAGAACCGAAAUUGAGUUUUUUACCAGCAAGGUAAAAAGGUCAGAACUGGUGGAUGGGGAGGGACGGGAACGAAUGGUCACAGAGUCAAGUUAUACCAACUGGGCCACAUUUCAAAAAAGAAAAAAGGAAACCUAUCAAGUACUUAAGGCCUCCCUACAGGCUUAUUACUAGAGCACCAAACAAAUUCAACCAAAUAAACUGGAGCAACAGACAUAUUCUGUGUCUCCUCAAUAUCAGGUACAGUAUGUCAAAGGGGUGCAGAGAACAUCAGGCAUCUACUCUUCACGUGUGAGCAAGCCUAACAGGUUUGGAAGUUUCUCAGAAUUCAUGAUUUUUUAGAAAAGGAGGAUGACCCCCGGCUUCUGCAUCUAGACGACGCAUACUGCCACUUUAUUAUUUAUUCUCACAAAACCUUACAAAGCCAUACAAAAGCAAGACUAAAGCCACCGUCUAAGCAACAACUGUCACUACACCUAUCCAAUUGAUGAAGGGGCGCAGAUAGUCUGGGCCUAAUACCAAACAGACAUCGCAGCCAAACCUAAACAUCUAAGACCUGAGGUCCCAACCAGGACGCCUGUCGGGUAUGACGCACCUACCAGUCCAACGCUCUCCUCAACCAGGACGCCUGCCAGGUAUGAGGCCGAUGUAGCCAUCUGCCACCAACCAUCUUCAGAGUUGUACUGUUGCAUGUACCGUGCCAGGUCUCUCUGCCAUCGACGCCACCACGACGCCCGACAGCGUCGUCCUCCUGCGCGAGUCCAUCCUCCCACAGCGAACUCCGAAUCUGCAUUGCUCCACGCCGUCAGGAUCCGUCGCCAUCAGUGUGUAGGAUGAAGCACCGCUCCACCAAAGAAUCCGUCAUCUGGUCCCUCGAUCACGUGUGUACCUCCAAGAAUGACGCCCCCAAGGGAGGAACGACACCAGAGCGCCGCCGUCAUCCGAUCAUCCGAUCCGUGGUUUCCCCCGAAGGUAGCAGAGAGUGGCCUUGAACUUCUCCACGGCGAUGCCUUCAAGAGGGAACAACACAGAUAGCGCCGCCACCGCCGGCCUUAGCAGGAGCCGAAGGCAAAUUUUCACCCAGAUCAGUUCGAAGGGAUCCAACUCUCGUGCCCGAGCCGCCGUCACCACCAGCACCACCAGGCAGACCCUGGAGUACCGGCAUAUCAGCGAGCCGCCCGCACCAUCGCAUCCAGAUCGCCGGCCACGUCGGGCCGCCGCCAUCCCCCGUGCCGUCCAGGUCAGAGACGGAGCCGCCGACCGCGCACAGGGACCGCCGCCGCUUGCACAAGCCGGAGCGCCGCCGAGAUCCCGGCGCCCGCCACCGCUUGCCAAAGCCAACCAUCCGAGCACUGGCUCCACCGUGGAGCCAUCAGAUCGGGGAGGAAGACACGCGCCGACCACCCUCGCGUACCCCGCCGCAUGCCCGAGCAUCGGCACCACCGCGGCGCCAUCAGAUCGGGAUGAGGAGGAGCCCGCGCGCUCGCCAUCUCGCGUAGACCACGCCGCCGCCAGCGCCGCAGCGCCACCAAGCAGGGGAGCCCCGUCCAGAUCCGUCGGCGGCCCGACCUGUCGCCGAGCCGAGCGCCGCCGCGAGGGCCGGCCGUCCCGCGCAGCCUAGGAGCCUCGCGAGGAGGGAGGGAGCCCCGCCGCCGCCGACGCACGCGCGGGCUUUGCCCGGCGGCGUCCCCUGGCGGCGGCGAGGGAGAAGGAAGGCGAGGAAGGGGAGUAGCGGCGGCGAUCUAGGGUUCCGCCCGGGCCGCUCGCGGGAGCGGCACGGGGGGACGGGGGGCACUAGGAUUCCUCGUUACCUUGCCUUGCGUCAUGCAUUCCCAUCUCGGAAUUCAUGAUAUUGUAGAAAAAACAUUUUUUGUUGAUCAAUCGGGGUCCAUCAUUUUGGAGGAGAUCCUUCGUCACACCGGAGCAUGGUCACCGGUUCUCGGACAAAUUGGUGUCAAGGAAAUUGUUUCAGCGGGUGCCUGGUAUAUUUGGUGGCAAAGGCGUAAACUUGUCAAAGGACAGCAAGUAGCUUGGCCGGCUAGAACAGCAUUCGCUAAUCAGGCUUUCACUCAAACCAUUCUACCGGGCGAGCAGUGAAGGCACAUGAAAUUUCAUGGACAAAGCCACCAUGGGGCUCAUAUAAACUUUGCUUUCUUUGGAGCUCCGGCCGCUGUUCCGGCGGGGGCAGCGACCCCGAGCGCGAGCGGCGUGUCCGCUCGGACGGCGCGAGGAAGCGUGCGGCGAGGAAGCGGACGAACAUGGGCCUCGAGCUGCCGCCAACGCUCAUCCGUCGCGAGACGGAGGAGUACAACCGUCUACACGGGCGUACACCCUCCUCGGCCGCAGGCUCGUCAUCCGCCGCAAGAUAUUCCCACGCCGCGAGCUCUUCCUCUUCCGUCGCGGGGCUUCUCCCCGUGAAGAGGGAGUGGUUGGAGGAGCCGGAGGAGAUCGAGCACGUCGCCGUCAAGCAGGAGCCGGAGGAGAUCGAGCUCGUCGCCAUCAAGCAUGAGCUGGAGGAGAUCGAGCACCGAGGGGUCGUCGGGCCCGAAGAUUUCGUGGCCGAUGUCGACGCGGUCGCGACCGCCAUUGUCGAACGAAGCUUGCGCGCGGAGGCGGAGCGCCGGCGCCACGACGAGGAGCUCGAACCUCAUCCUCAACCAGGCCGUCGCGGCCAACCUUGCCGCGAAGGACAAGGACGAUGAGUGGUGGCGCAUCCGCGAGGAGCAGAGGCAGAAGUUCAUCGAUCUCGUCAGCUCCGACGAGGAGGACUGAGCUCCUCCACCGCGUCGUCCUCGGCUGUGAGCUCGUCCAUUUUGGUACAUCGACCUCGGCCUCGCCGCCGCGAGAUCCCCAACCCCCUCUAGUAGUAGAAGAAGAAUGUAGAAUGUAUGAUCUUGUAGUAUGUGAUGAACUAGUGUAUGAUCAUGUAGUAUGUGAUGAACUAGUGUGGUUGUAGUUUCUUCUGCGAAAGUUUUUUUCAAAUUAUACAAUUUCAUAUACGGGUUCUACUCUGCCGCGCACGAUUUCGACCCGCAAAACAGUUCUUUGUUGAACUAUAAACACCUUAUGCUGGUCACGGUUUUAAGGGGUCUGCUAGAGAUGCUCUCAGUGGACCAACUGGGAUGCUCUCAAGUAAUGGUCGAAUCGGAUUAUAUGGAACACAUCCAAAUAUGUAAUAUGGUGUGAGAGAAGUCUUGACUCCAUAUGGGGCAAUUCUGGCGGAAUGUUUCGUGACGGCACAGAGGAUAUGGAAUAGUAUUUCUUUCCAAUAUUGUCCAAGGGAUGAAAAUAAAGUGGCUUAAUUAUACUAUUGCAAGGCAUGCUGUUGACUUAAAUGGUGUUUUAGUUUGAAAUGGAGAUCCUCCCAGCUUUAUCAUGCCUUUUGUAACUAUCUCAAUCUCGCAAUAAAGAGCCACGAGGCAUUCCCCUUUAAAAAAGACUGGAACAAGAGAAGAUACACUGGCUACAACGGGGUCGAGCAAACUGGUUAUUGCAUGGUGACCGUAAUACUUCUUUUUUCCAUAACAUCGCAACAGCUAGAAAGAAGAGGAAUCAGAUAAAAAAAUUGCUUGACAAUAAUGGGGUUUGGGUAAAAGACACGGACAUGAAGAAUCAUAUUCUGGGGUAUUUUUCUAACUUGUUUAAUUACUUCAGAAGUUAAUCAACCGAACCAUGAGGUCCUCUUCCUUGUAAAAAGAAAAGUAACGAAUGAGAUGAAUAGGGCUCUCCUUGCCCCCUACACGGCUGAAGAGGUUAGGAAGGCACUUUUUAACAUUGGUAAUUUAAAGGCGCCGGGGCCAGAUGGCCUUCACGCCAUUUUUUAUAAGAGAUUUUGGGCUAUGUUAGGGGAUGAUUUGACUGAAGAGGUUCUCCAAGCGGUGAAUACCUGUACUAUAGCUGAUGGUUGGAAUGAUACUACAAUAGUAAUGACCCCAAAAGUUAACUCCCCGGAAAAGGUAACUCAAUUUAGACCAAUCAGUUUGUGCAAUGUGGUGUAUAAAGCCAUUUCAAAGAUGAUUGCUACUCGUCUGAAGACAAUCCUCCCUGAUAUUAUUAGCCCUACCCAAAGUGCUUUUGUGCCUGGAAGAAUGAUUAUAGAUAACAUCUUGGUGGCUUAUGAAUGUUUCCAUAAAAUAAAAAAUAAAAGGGCUGGUAAAGAGGGCCUGUGUGCAAUCAAACUGGACAUGCACAAAGCAUAUGACGGAGUGGAGUGGCCUUUUUUAAAGGAAAUCAUGUUGAGACUAGGCUUUCAGCAGGAUUGGGUGAAUUUAAUUAUGCAAUGUGUGACCUCGGUGGAAUAUCGGGUUCGUUUUAACACGGAAGAAACAGAGAGCUUCAAACCAUCUAGAGGACUGAGGCAGGGGGACCCUCUCUCCCCAUAUUUAUUUUUGUUAUGUACGGAAGGCCUGACUGCACUCUUAGCUAAUGCAGAGGAGAAUAGAAGUAUUUCCGGAAUUAAAGUUAGCAGAGAUGCCCCAUCUAUUUCAAAUCUCCUUUUCGCGGACGAUUCAUUAAUCCUGAUGCAAGCUAAUUCCAUGAACGCGGAGGCGCUGAAAGCAGUUUUGGAUGCUUAUUGUGCUGCAUCGGGGCAAAUGGUGAGUGUUGAAAAAUCUAGUAUAUUUUUUGGUCCCAACACGAAAGUGGAAGAUAAGACACAUAUAUGUACUAUUCUGAACAUUAUGACUGAAGCUCUCAAUGACAAAUAUUUGGGUCUGCCUUCAAAUGUGGGUAUGGACAAAAGUGAUUGUUUCCAAUUCUUAAUAGACCGAAUUAUUAUGAAAAUCAGUGGUUGGAAGGAAAAGUUGCUAUCAGCAGGAGGAAAGGAAAUCCUUCUCAAAUCGGUUGUACAAAUUAUCCCGACUUAUGCAAUGUCCGUCUUUAAAAUUCCUAAAAAGAUUUGUAAAGGAAUCAUUGACACGAUGUCGCAUUUUUGGUGGAGUGACGAAGACAAUCAGAAGAGAAUGCAUUGGAUGGCAUGGUGGAAGAUGUGUGUACCAAAAGACCAAGGAGGAAUGGGUUUUCGAGACAUACAUUGUUUCAAUCUGGCCUUGUUAGCCAAACAAGCGUGGCGCCUGCUUGAUAACCCUGAUUCACUAUGUGCUACAAUUUUGAGAGCUAAAUAUUUUUCAGAUGGAGAUUUAAUGAAUGCGAGUCUGAAAAAAGGAUCCUCUUUCACGUGGCAAAGCAUUAUGUCCAGAGUGGAUUCUCUCAAAAAGGUUAUAUUUGGAGAGUUGGUAAUGGACAGAAUAUUGAUAUCUAGAGAGAUGCAUGGAUCCCGAAUGGGGCAAAUAGGAAAAUUAUCACUCCUAGAAGAGGGCAGCUUCUAACAAAAGUUGCUGAUCUUAUAGAUCCAAUCAACAAUUGCUGGGAUGAAGAUUUGGUAAGACAAACAUUGUGGCCAAUUGAUGUCCAAAGGGUGCUUACGAUCCCCCUCCCUACAUAUGACAUGUCAGAUUUCAUAGCUUGGAGCUUUACAAAGAAUGGACUGUUCACGGUUCAUUCUGCUUAUCUGGAGGAAUGGAAAACGCAACAUGGGAGGAAAUUGCUGAAGGAAAUAUGCCCUAGAGGCAAUAAUAAAGUUAUUAAUUAUUUCCUCAUAUCAUGAUAAAUGUUUAUUAUUCAUGCUAGAAUUGUAUUAACCGGAAACAUGAUACAUGUGUGAAUACAUAGACAAACAUAUAGUCACUAGUAUGCCUCUACUUGACUAGCUCAUUAAUCAAAGAUGGUUAUGUUUCCUAACCAUAGACAUGUGUUUUCAUUUGAUUAAUGGGAUCACAUCAUUAGGAGAAUGAUGUGAUUGACAUGACCCAUUCCGUUAGCCUAGCACUUGAUCGUUUAGUAUAUUGCUAUUGCUUUCUUCAUGACUUAUACAUGUUCCUGUAACUAUGAGAUUAUGCAACUCCCGUUUACCAGAGGAACACUUUGGGUACUACCAAACGUCACAACGUAACUGGGUGAUUAUAAAGGAGUACUACAGGUGUCUCCGAAGGUACAUGUUGAGUUGGCGUAUUUCGAGAUUAGGUUUUGUCACUCCGAUUGUCGGAGAGGUAUCUCUGGGCCCUCUCGGUAAUGCACAUCACUCUAAGCCUUGCAAGCAAUGUGACCAAUGAGUUGGUUACGGGAUGAUGCAUUACAUAACAAGUAAAGAGACUUGCCGGUAACGAGAUUGAACUAGGUAUUGGAUACCGACGAUCGAAUCUCGGGCAAGUAACAUACCGAUGACAAAGGGAACAACGUAUGUUGUUAUGCGGUUUGACCGAUAAAGAUCUUCGUAGAAUAUGUAGGAACCAAUAUGGGCAUCCAGGUUCCGCUAUUGGUUAUUGACCGAGAAUAGUUCUAGGUCAUGUCUACAUAGUUCUCGAACCCGUAGGGUCCGCACGCUUAACGUUACGAUGAUAGUUUUAUUAUGAGUUUAUAAGUUUUGAUGUACCGAAGUUUGUUCGGAGUCCCGGAUGUGAUCACAGACAUGGCGAGGAGUCUCGAAAUGGUCGAGACAUAAAGAUUGAUAUAUUGGAAGCCUAUGUUGGGACAUCGGAAGUGUUCCGGGUGAAAUCGGCAUUUUACCGGAGUACCGGGGGGUUACCGGAACCCUCCCGGGGGUUAUUGGGCCUACAUGGGCCAUAAGGGAGAAGAGGAGAGGAGGCAAGAGGUGGGCCGCGCCCCCUCCCCUCCCUAGUCCGAAUAGGACAAGGAGAGGGGGGGCGGCGCCCCCCCCCCCCUUUCCUUCCCCUCUUCCUCCUCCUUCCCCCCUUCUCCUACUCCAACUAGGAAAGAAGGGAGUCCUCCUCCUUGGCGCGCCCUCCAAGGGCCGGGGGGCCUCCCCCUUGAUCCUUUAUAUACGGGGGCGGGGGGGCACGCCAUAGACACACAAGUUGUUCUACGGAUCGUUCCUUAGCCGUGUGCGGUGCCCCCCUCCACCAUAUUCCACCUCGGUCAUAUCGUCGCGGAGUUUAGGCGAAGCCCUGCGCCGGUAGAACAUCAUCAUCGUCACCACGCCGUUGUGCUGACGGAACUCAUCUCCGGAGCUUUGCUGGAUCGGAGCCCGGAGAUCGUCAUCGAGCUGAACGUGUGCUGAACUCGGAGGUGCCAUACGUUCGGUGCUUGGAUCGGUCGGAUCGUGAAGACGUACGACUACAUCAACCGCAUUGUGCUAACGCUUCCGCUUACGGUAUACGAGGGUACGUGGACAACACUCUCCCCUCUCGUUGCUAUGCCAUCACCAUGAUCUUGCGUGUGCGUAGGAAAUUUUUUGAAAUUACUACGUUCCCCAACAGUGGCAUCAGAGCUAGGUUUUAUGCGUUGAUGUUAUAUGCACGAGUAGAACACAAGUGAGUUAUGGGCGAUACAAGUCAUACUGCUUACCAGCAUGUCAUACUUUGGUUUGGCGGUAUUGUGAGAUGAAGCGGCCUGGACCAACAUUACCCGUACGCUUACGCGAGACUGGUUUCACCGUUACGAGCACUCGUGCUUAAAGGUGGCUGGCGGGUGUCUGUCUCUCUCACUUUAGCUGAAUCGAUUGUGGCUACGCCCGGUCCUUGCGAAGGUUAAAACAUCACUAACUUGACGAACUAUCGUUGUGGUUUUGAUGCGUAGGUAAGAACGGUUCUUGCUAAGCCCGUAGCAGCCACGUAAAAUUUCCAACAACAAAGUAGAGGACGUCUAACUUGUUUUUGCAGGGCAUGUUGUGAUGUGAUAUGGUCAAGACGUGAUGCUAUAUUUUAUUGUAUGAGAAUAUCAUGUUUUGUAACCGAAGUUAUCGGCAACUGGCAGGAGCCAUAUGGUUGUCGCUUUAUUGUAUGAAAUGCAAACGCCCUGUAAUUGCUUUACUUUAUCACUAAGCGGUAGCGAUAGUCGUAGAAGCAAUAGAUGGCGUAAACAACAACGAUGCUAUGAUGGAGAUCAAGGUGUCUCGCCGGUGACGAUGGUGAUCACGACGGUGGUUCGAAGAUGGAGAUCACAAGCACAAGAUGAUGAUGGCCAUAUCAUAUCACUUAUAUUGAUUGCAUGUGAUGUUUAUCCUUUAUGCAUCUUAUCUUGCUUUGAUUGAUGGUAGCAUUUUAAGAUGAUCUCUCACUAAUAAUCAAGAAGUGUUCUCCCUGAGUAUGCACCGUUGCGAAAGUUCUUCGUGCUGAGACACCACGUGAUGAUCGGGUGUGAUAGGCUCUACGUUCAAAUACAACGGGUGCAAAACAGUUGCACACACGGAAUACUCAGGUCAUACUUGACGAGCCUAGCAUAUACAGAUAUGGCCUCGGAACACGGAGACCGAAAGGUCGAACGUGAAUCAUAUAGUAGAUAUGAUCAACAUAGUGAUGUUCACCAUUGAAACUACUCCAUCUCACGUGAUGAUCGGACAUGGUUUAGUUGAUUUGGAUCACGUGAUCACUUAGAUGACAAGAGAGAUGUCUGUCUAAGUGGGAGUUCUUAAGUAAUAUGAUUAACUGAACUUAAAUUUAUCAUGAACUUAGUACCUGAUAGUAUUUUGCUUGUCUAUGUUUGUUUGUAGAUAGAUGGCUCGUGUUGUUGUUCCGUUGAAUUUUAAUGCGUUCCUUGAGAAAGCAAAGUUGAAAGAUGAUGGUAGCAAUUACACGGACUGGGUCCAUAACCUGAGGAUUAUCCUCAUUGCUGCAUAGAAAAGUUACGUCCUGGAAGCACCGCUGGGUGCCAGGCCUGCUGCUGAUGCAACUGACGACGUUAAGAACGUCUGGCAGAGCAAAGCUGAUGACUACUCGAUAGUUCAGUGUGCCAUGCUUUACGGCUUAGAACCGGGUCUUCAACGACGUUUUGAACAUCAUGGAGCAUAUGAGAUGUUCCAGGAGUUGAAGUUAAUAUUUCAAGCAAAUGCCCGGAUUGAGAGAUAUGAAGUCUCCAAUAAGUUCUAUAGCUGCAAGAUGGAGGAGAAUAGUUCUGUCAGUGAACACAUACUCAAAAUGUCUGGGUAUAAUAAUCACUUGAUUCAACUGGGAGUUAAUCUUCCUGAUGAUAGUGUCAUUGACAGAAUUCUCCAAUCACUGCCACCAAGCUACAAGAGCUUCGUGAUGAACUAUAAUAUGCAAGGGAUGGACAAGACUAUUCCCGAUCUCUUCGCAAUGCUAAAAGCCGCGGAGGUAGAAAUCAAGAAGGAGCAUCAAGUGUUGAUGGUUAACAAGACCACCAGUUUCAAGAAGAAGGGCAAAGGGAAGAAGAAGGGGAACUUCAAAAAGAACGGCAAGCAAGUUGCUGCUCAAGAGAAGAAACCCAAGUCUGGACCUAAGCCUGAAACUGAGUGCUUCUACUGCAAGCAGACUGGACACUGGAAGCGGAACUGCCCCAAGUAUUUGGCGGAUAAGAAGGAUGGCAAAGUGAACAAAGGUAUAUGUGAUAUACAUGUUAUUGAUGUGUACCUUACUAAUGCUCGCAGUAGCACCUAGGUAUUUGAUACAGGUUCUGUUGCUAAUAUUUGCAACUCGAAACAGUGACUACGGAUUAAGCGAAGAUUGGCUAAGGACGAGGUGACGAUGCGCGUGGGAAAUGGUUCCAAAGUCGAUGUGAUCAUGGUCGACACGCUACCUCUACAUCUACCAUCGGGAUUAGUUUUAGACCUAAAUAAUUGUUAUUUGGUGCCAACGUUGAGCAUGAACAUUAUAUCUGGAUCUUGUUUGAUGCGAGACGGUUAUUCAUUUAAAUCAGAGAAUAAUGGUUGUUCUAUUUAUAUGAGUAAUAUCUUUUAUGGUCAUGCACCCUUGAAGAGUGGUCUAUUUUUAUUGAAUCUCGAUAGUAGUGAUACACAUGUUCAUAGUGUUGAAACCAAAAGAUGCAGAGUUGAUAACGAUAGUGCAACUUAUUUGUGGCACUGCCGUUUAGGUCAUAUCGGUGUAAAGCGCAUGAAGAAACUCCAUACUGAUGGGCUUUUGGAAUCACUUGAUUAUGAAUCACUUGGUACUUGCGAACCGUGUCUCAUGGGCAAGAUGACUAGAAUGCCGUUCUCCGGAACUAUGGAGCGAGCAACUGAUUUGUUGGAAAUCAUACAUACUGAUGUUUGUGGUCCAAUGAAUGUUGAGGCUCGCGGCGGAUAUCGUUAUUUUCUCACCUUCACAGAUGAUUUGAGCAGAUAUGGGUAUAUCUACUUAAUGAAACACAAGUCUGAAACAUUUGAAAAGUUCAAAGAAUUUCAGAGUGAAGUGGAAAAUCAGCGUAACAAGAAAAUAAAGUUUCUACGAUCUGAUCGUGGAGGAGAAUAUUUGAGUCACGAGUUUGGUCUACACUUGAAACAAUGCGGAAUAGUUUCGCAACUCACGCCACCCGGAACACCACAACGAAAUGGUGUGUCCAAACGUCGUAAUCGUACUUUACUAGAUAUGGUGUGAUCUAUGAUGUCUCUUACUGAUUUACCGCUAUCGUUUUGGGGUUAUGCUUUAGAGACGGCCGCAUUCACGUUAAAUAGGGCACCAUCAAAAUCCGUUGAGACGACGCCUUAUGAACUGUGGUUUGGCAAGAAACCAAAGUUGUCGUUUCUUAAAGUUUGGGGUUGCGAUGCUUAUGUGAAGAAACUUCAACCAGAUAAGCUCGAACCCAAAUCGGAGAAAUGUGUCUUCAUAGGAUACCCAAAAGAGACUAUUGGGUACACCUUCUAUCACAGAUCUGAGGGCAAGAUUUUCGUUGCUAAAAUUGGAUCCUUUCUAGAGAAGGAGUUUCUCUCGAAAGAAGUGAGUGGGAGGAAAGUGGAACUUGAUGAGAUAACUGUAUCUACUCCCUUAUUGGAAAGUAGUUCAUCACAAGAACCGGUUCCUGUGACAACUACACCAAUUAGUGAGGAAGCUAAUGAUAUUGAUCAUGAAACUUCAGAUCAAGUUUCUGCUGAACCUCGUAGGUCUACCAGAGUAAGAUCCGCACCAGAUUGGUAUGGUAAUCCUAUUCUGGAAGUCAUGUUACUUGACCAUGAUGAACCUACGAACUAUGAGGAAGCGAUGAUGAGCCCAGAUUCCGCAAAAUGGCUAGAGGCCAUGAAAUCUGAGAUGGGAUCCAUGUAUGAAAACAAAGUAUGGACUUUGGUUGACUUGCCCGAUGAUCGGCAAGCCAUUGAGAAUAAAUGGAUCUUUAAGAAGAAGACUGACGCUGAUGGUAAUGUAACUGUCUAUAAAGCACGACUUGUUGCGAAAGGUUUUUGACAAGUUCAAGGGGUUGACUACGAUGAGACUUUCUCACCCGUAGCGAUGCUUAAGUCUGUCCGAAUCAUGUUAGCUAUUGCUGCAUUUCAUGAUUAUGAAAUUUGGCAAAUGGAUGUCAAAACUGCAUUCUUGAAUGGAUUUCUGGAAGAAGAGUUUUAUAUGAUGCAGCCAGAAGGUUUUGUUGAUCCAAAAGGUGCUAACAAAGUGUGCAAGCUCCAGUGAUCCAUUUAUGGACUGGUGCAAGCAUCUCGGAGUUGGAAUAAAUGCUUUGAUAGUGUGAUCAAAGCAUAUGGUUUUAUACUGACUUUUGGAGAAGCCUGUAUUUACAAGAAAGUGAGUGGGAGCUCUGUAGCAUUUCUGAUAUUAUAUGUAGAUGACAUAUUAUUAAUUGGAAAUGAUAUAGAAUUUCUGGAUAGCAUAAAGGGAUACUUGAAUAAAAGUUUUUCAAUGAAAGACCUCGGUGAAGCUGCUUACAUAUUGGGCAUCAAGAUCUAUAGAGAUAGAUCAAGACGCUUAAUAGGACUUUCACAAAGCACAUACCUUGAUAAAGUUUUGAAAAAGUUGAAAAUGGAUCAGGCAAAGAAAGGGUUCUUGCCCGUGCUACAAGGUGUAAAGUUGAGUCAAACUCGAUGCCCGACCACAGCAGAAGAUAGAGAGAAAAUGAAAGAUGUUCCCUAUGCAUCAGCCAUAGGCUCUAUCAUGUAUGCAAUGUUGUGUACCAGCCUGACGUAUGCUUAGCAAUAAGCUUGGCAGGAAGGUACCAAAGUAAUCCAGGAGUGGAUCACUGGACAGCGGUCAAGAACAUCCUAAAAUACCUGAAAAGGACUAAGGAUAUGUUUCUUGUAUAUGGAGGUGACAAAGAGCUAGUCGUAAAUGGUUACGUCGUUGCAAGCUUUGACACUGAUCCGGACGAUUCUAAAUCGCAAACCGGAUACGUGUUUUUAUUAAACGGUGGAGCUGUAAGUUGGUGCAAUUCUAAACAAAGCGUCGUGGCGGGAUCUACAUGUGAAGCGGAGUACAUAGCUGCUUCGGAAGCAGCAAAUGAAGGAGUCUGGAUGAAGGAGUUCAUUUCUGAUCUAGGUGUCAUACCUAGUGCAUCGAGACCAAUGAAGAUCUUCUGUGACAAUAGUGGUGCAAUUGCCUUGGCAAAGGAAUCCAGAUUUCACAAGAGGACCAAGCACAUCAAGAGACGCUUCAAUUCCAUUCGGGACCAAGUCCAAGUGGGAGACAUAGAGAUUUGCAAGACACAUACGGAUCUGAAUGUUGCAGACCCGUUGACUAAGCCUCUCUCACGAGCAAAACAUGAUCAGCACCAAGACUCCAUGGGUGUUAGAAUCAUUACUAUGUAAUCUAGAUUAUUGACUCUAGUGCAAGUGGGAGACUGAAGGAAAUAUGCCCUAGAGGCAAUAAUAAAGUUAUUAUUUAUUUCCUCAUAUCGUGAUAAAUGUUUAUUAUUCAUGCUAGAAUUGUAUUAACCGGAAACAUGAUACAUGUGUGAAUACAUAGCCAAACAUAUAGUCACUAGUAUGCCUCUACUUGACUAGCUCAUUAAUCAAAGAUGGUUAUGUUUCCUAACCAUGGACAUGUGUUGUCAUUUGAUUAAUGGGAUCACAUCAUUAGGAGAAUGAUGUGAUUGACAUGACCCAUUCCGUUAGCCUAGCACUUGAUCAUUUCGUAUAUUGCUAUUGCUUUCUUCAUGACUUAUACAUGUUCCUGUAACUAUGAGAAUUAUGCAACUCCCGUUUACCGGAGGAACACUUUGGGUACUACCAAACGUCACAACGUAACUGGGUGAUUAUAAAGGAGUACUACAGGUGUCUCCGAAGGUACAUGUUGAGUUGGCGUAUUUCGAGAUUAGGUUUUGUCACUCCGAUUGUCGAAGAGGUAUCUCUGGGCCCUCUCGGUAAUGCACAUCACUAUAAGGCUUGCAAGCAAUGUAACUAAUGAGUUAGUUAUGGAAUGAUGCAUUACAUAACGAGUAAAGAGACUUGCCGGUAACGAGAUUGAACUAGGUAUUGGAUACCGACGAUCGAAUCUCGGGCAAGUAACAUACCGAUGACAAAGGGAACAACGUAUGUUGUUAUGCGGUUUGACCGAUAAAGAUCUUCAUAGAAUAUGUAGGAACCAAUAUGGGCAUCCAGGUUCCGCUAUUGGUUAUUGACCGAAAAUAGUUCUAGGUCAUGUCUACAUAGUUCUCAAACCCGUAGGGUCCGCACGCUUAACGUUACGAUGACAGUUUUAUUAUGAGUUUAUAAGUUUUGAUGUACCGAAGUUAUUUCGGAGUCCCGGAUGUGAUCACGGACAUGACGAGGAGUCUCGAAAUGGUCGAGACAUAAAGAUUGAUAUAUUGGACGACUAUAUUAGGACACCGGAAGUGUUCCGGGUGAUUUCGGAGAAAACCGGAGUGCCGGNNNNNNNNNNNNNNNNNNNNNNNNNNNNNNNNNNNNNNNNNNNNNNNNNNNNNNNNNNNNNNNNNNNNNNNNNNNNNNNNNNNNNNNNNNNNNNNNNNNNNNNNNNNNNNNNNNNNNNNNNNNNNNNNNNNNNNNNNNNNNNNNNNNNNNNNNNNNNNNNNNNNNNNNNNNNNNNNNNNNNNNNNNNNNNNNNNNNNNNNNNNNNNNNNNNNNNNNNNNNNNNNNNNNNNNNNNNNNNNNNNNNNNNNNNNNNNNNNNNNNNNNNNNNNNNNNNNNNNNNNNNNNNNNNNNNNNNNNNNNNNNNNNNNNNNNNNNNNNNNNNNNNNNNNNNNNNNNNNNNNNNNNNNNCCCCUCUCCCCCUUCCUUCCCCCUCCUAGUUGGAGUAGGAAAGGAGGAGUCCUACUCCUACUAGGAGGAGGAUUCCUCCUCCUUGGCGCGCCCUCUAAGGGCCGGCCGGCCUCCCCCCUUGCUCCUUUAUAUACGGGGGCGGGGGGGCACCCCAUGGACACACAAGUUGAUCUACAGAUCGUUCCUUAGCCGUGUGUGGUGCCCCCCUCCACCAUAUUCCACCUCGGUCAUAUGGUCGCGGAGUUUAGACGAAGCCCUGCACCGGUAGAACAUCAUCAUCGUCACCAUGCCGUCGUACUGACGGAACUCAUCUCCGAAGCUUUGCUGGAUCUGAGCCCGGAGAUCGUCAUCGAGCUGAACUUGUGCUGAACUCGGAGGUGCCGUACCUUCGGUGCUUGGAUCGGUCGGAUCGUGAAGACGUACGAAUACAUCAACCGCGUUGUGCUAACGCUUCCGCUUACGGUCUACGAGGGUACGUGGACACCACUCUCCCCUCUCGUUCCUAUGCCAUCACCAUGAUCUUGCGUGUGCGUAGGAAUUUUUUUGAAAUUACUACGUUCCCCAACACUAUGUUCAAAUACAACGGGUGCAAAACAGUUGCACACGCGGAAUACUCAGGUCAUACUUGACGAGCCUAGCAUAUACAGAUAUGGCCUCAGAACACGGAGACCGAAAGGUCGAACGUGAAUCAUAUAGUAGAUAUGAUCAACAUAGUGAUGUUCACCAUUGAAACUACUCCAUCUCACGUGAUGAUCGGACAUGGUUUAGUUGAUUUGGAUCACGUAAUCACUUAGAUGACUAGAGAGAUGUCUGUCUAAGUGGGAGUUCUUAAGUAAUAUGAUUAAUUGAACUUAAAUUUAAUAUGAACUUAGUACCUGAUAGUAUUUUGCUUGUCUAUGUUUGUUGUAGAUAGAUGGCUCGUGUUGUUGUUCCGUUGAAUUUUAAUGCGUUCCUUGAGAAAGCAAAGUUGAAAGAUGAUGGUAGAAAUUACACGGACUGGGUCCGUAACCUGAGGAUUAUCCUCAUUGCUGCACAGAAAAGUUACGUCCUGGAAGCACCGCUGGGUGCCAGGCCUGCUGCUGAUGCAACUGACGACGUUAAGAACGUCUGGCAGAGCAAAGCUGAUGACUACUCGAUAGUUCAGUGUGCCAUGCUUUACGGCUUAGAACCGGGUCUUCAACGACGUUUUGAACGUCAUGGAGCAUAUGAGAUGUUCCAGGAGUUGAAGUUAAUAUUCAAGCAAAUGCCCGGAUUGAGAGAUAUGAAGUCUCCAAUAAGUUCUAUAGCUACAAGAUGGAGGAGAAUAGUUCUGUCAGUGAACACAUACUCAAAAUGUCUGGGUAUAAUAAUCACUUGAUUCAACUGGGAGUUAAUCUUCCUGAUGAUAGUGUCAUUGACAGAAUUCUCCAAUCACUGCCACCAAGCUACAAGAGCUUCGUGAUGAACUAUAAUAUGCAAGGGAUGGACAAGACUAUUCCCGAGCUCUUCGCAAUGCUAAAAGCCGCGGAGGAAGAAAUCAAGAAGGAGCAUCAAGUGUUGAUGGUUAACAAGACCACCAGUUUCAAGAAAAAGGGCAAAGGGAAGAAGAAGGGGAACUUCAAGAAGAACAGCAAACAAGUUGCUGCUCAAGAGAAGAAACCCAAGUCUGGACCAAAACCUGAAACUGAGUGCUUCUACUGCAAGCAGACUGGACACUGGAAGCGGAACUGCCCCAAGUAUUUGGCAAAUAAGAAGGAUGGCAAAGUGAACAAAGGUAUAUGUGAUAUACAUGUUAUUGAUGUGUACCUUACUAAUGCUCGCAGUAGUACCUGGGUAUUUGAUACUGGUUCUGUUGCUAAUAUUUGCAACUCAAAACAGGGACUACGGAUUAAGCGAAGAUUGGCUAAGGACCAGGUGACGAUGCGCGUGGGAAAUGGUUCCAAAGUCGAUGUGAUCGCGGUCGGCAUGCUACCUCUACAUCUACCAUCGAGAUUAGUUUUAGACCUAAAUAAUUGUUAUUUGGUGCCAGCGUUGAGCAUGAACAUUAUAUCUGGAUCUUGUUUGAUGCGAGACGGUUAUUCAUUUAAAUCAGAGAAUAAUGGUUGUUCUAUUUAUAUGAGUAAUAUCUUUUAUGGUCAUGCACCCUUGAAGAGUGGUCUAUUUUUAUUCCUUGAUAGUAGUGAUACACAUAUUCAUAGUUUUGAAACCAAAAGAUGCAGAGUUGAUAAUGAUAGUGCAACUUAUUUGUGGCACUGCCGUUUAGGUCAUAUCGGUGUAAAGCGCAUAAAGAAACUCCAUACUGAUGGGCUUUUGGAAUCACUUGAUUAUGAAUCACUUGGUACUUGCGAACGAUGUCUCAUGGGCAAGAUGACUAAAACGCCGUUCUCCGGAACUAUGGAGCGAGCAACUGAUUUGGUGGAAAUCAUACAUACUGAUGUUUGUGGUCCAAUGAAUGUUGAGGCUCGCGGCGAGUAUCGUUAUUUUCUCACCUUCACAGAUGAUUUGAGCAGAUAUGGGUAUAUCUACUUAAUGAAACACAAGUCAGAAACAUUUGAAAAGUUCAAAGAAUUUCAGAGUGAAGUGGAAAAUCAUCGUAACAAGAAAAUAAAGUUUCUACGAUCUGAUCGUGGAGGAGAAUAUUUGAGUUACGAGUUUGGUUUGCAUUUGAAACAAUGCGGAAUAGUUUCGCAACUCACGCCACCUGGAACACCACAACGAAAUGGUGUGUCCGAACGUCGUAAUCGUACUUUACUAGAUAUGGUGCGAUCUAUGAUGUCUCUUACUGAUUUACUGCUAUCGUUCUGGGGUUAUGCUUUAGAGACGGCCGCAUUCACAUUGAAUAGGGCACCAUCAAAAUCCGUUAAGACAAUGCCUUAUGAACUGUGGUUUGGCAAGAAACCAAAGUUGUCGUUUCUUAAAGUUUGGGGCUGCGAUGCUUAUGUGAAGAAACUUCAACUAGAUAAGCUCAAAGCUAAAUCGGAGAAAUGUGUCUUCAUAGGAUACCCAAAAGAGACCAUUGGGUACACCUUCUAUCACAGAUCUGAGGAAAAGAUUUUCGUUGCUAAAAUCGGAUCCUUUCUAGAGAAGGAGUUUCUCUCGAAAGAAGUGAGUGGGAGGAAAGUAGAACUUGAUGAGAUAACUGUAUCUGCUCCCUUGUUGGAAAGUAGUUCAUCACAAGAACCGGUUCCUGUGACAACUACACCAAUUAGUGAGGAAGCUAAUGAUAUUGAUCAUGAAACUUCAGAUCAAGUUUUUACUGAACCUCGUAGGUCUACCAGAGUAAGAUCCGCACCAAAGUGGUACGGUAAUCCUAUUCUGGAAGUCAUGUUACUUGACCAUGAUGAACCUACGAGCUAUGAGGAAGCGAUGAUGAGCUCAGAUUCCGCAAAAUGGCUAGAGGCCAUGAAAUCUGAGAUGGGAUCCACGUAUGAAAACAAAGUAUGGACUUUGGUUGACUUGCCCGAUGAUCGGCAAGCCAUUGAGAAUAAAUGGAUCUUUAAGAAGAAGACUGACGCUGAUGGUAAUGUAACUGUCUAUAAAGCUCGACUAGUUGCAAAAGGUUUUCGACAAGUUCAAGGGGUUGACUACGAUGAGACUUUCUCACCCGUAGCGAUGCUUAAGUCUGUCCGAAUCAUGUUAGCUAUUGCUGCAUUUCAUGAUUAUGAAAUCUGGCAAAUGGGUGUCGAAACUGCAUUCUUGAAUGGAUUUCUGGAAGAAGAGUUGUAUAUGAUGCAGCCAGAAGGUUUUGUUGAUCCAAAAAGUGCUAACAAAGUGUGCAAGCUUCAGCGAUCCAUUUAUGGACUGGUGCAAGCAUCUCGGAGUUGGAAUAAACGCUUUGAUAGUGUGAUCAAAGCAUAUGGUUUUACACAGACUUUUGGAGAAGCCUGUAUUUACAAGAAAGUGAGUGGGAGCUCUGUAGCAUUUCUGAUAUUAUAUGUAGAUGACAUAUUAUUAAUUGGAAAUGAUAUAGAAUUUCUAGAUAGCAUAAAGGGAUACUUGAAUAAAAGUUUUUCAAUGAAAGACCUCGGUGAAGCUGCUUACAUAUUGGGCAUCAAGAUUUAUAGAGAUAGAUCAAGACGCUUAAUAGGACUUUCACAAAGCACAUACCUUGAUAAAGUUUUGAAAAAGUUCCAAAUGGAUCAGGCAAAGAAAGGGUUCUCGCCCGUGCUUCAAGGUGUGAAGUUGAGUCAAACUCAAUGUCCAACCACAGCAGAAGAUAGAGAGAAAAUGAAAGAUGUUCCCUACGCUUCAGCCAUAGGCUCUAUCAUGUAUGCAAUGUUGUGUACCAGACCUGACGUAUGCUUAGCACUAAGCUUGGCAGGAAGGUACCAAAGUAAUCCAGGAGUGGAUCACUGGACAGCGGUCAAGAACAUCCUGAAAUACCUGAAAAGGACUAAGGAUAUGUUUCUCGUAUAUGGAGGUGACAAAGAGCUAGUCGUAAAUGGUUACGUUGAUGCAAGCUUUGACACUGAUCCGGACGAUUCUAAAUCGCAAACCGGAUACGUAUUUUUAUUAGACGGUGGAGUUGUAAGUUGGUGCAGUUCUAAACAAAGCGUCGUGGCGGGAUCUACAUGUGAAGCGGAGUACAUAGCUGCUUCGGAAGCAGCAAAUGAAGGAGUCUGGAUGAAGGAGUUCAUUUCCGAUCUAGGUGUCAUACCUAGUGCAUCGGGACCAAUGAAGAUCUUCUGUGACACUGAUGCAAUUGCCUUCGCAAAGGAAUCCAGAUUUCACAAGAGGACCAAGCACAUCAAGAGACGCUUCAAUUCCAUCCAAAAUCAAGUCCAAGUGGGAGACAUAGAAAUUUGCAAGAUACAUAUGGAUCUGAAUGUUGCAGACCUAUUGACUAAGCCUCUCUCACGAGCAAAACAUGAUUAGCACCAAGACUCCAUGGGUGUUAGAAUCAUUACUAUGUAAUCUAGAUUAUUGACUCUAGUGCAAGUGGGAGACUGAAGGAAAUAUGCCCUAGAGGCAAUAAUAAAGUUAUUAUUUAUUUCCUCGUAUCAUGAUAAAUGUUUAUUAUUCAUGCUAGAAUUGUAUUAACCGGAAACAUGAUACAUGUGUGAAUACAUAGACAAACAUAUAGUCACUAGUAUGCCUCUACUUGACUAGCUCAUUAAUCAAAGAUGGUUAUGUUUCCUAACCAUAGACAUGUGUUGUCAUUUGAUUAAUGGGAUCACAUCAUUAGGAGAAUGAUGUGAUUGACAUGACCCAUUCCGUUAGCCUAGCACUUGAUCGUUUAGUAUAUUGCUAUUGCUUUCUUCAUGACUUAUACAUGUUCCUGUAACUAUGAGAUUAUGCAACUCCCGUUUACCGGAGGAACACUUUGGGUACAACCAAACGUCACAACGUAACUGGGUGAUUAUAAAGGAGUACUACAGGUGUCUCCGAAGGUACAUGUUGAGUUGGCGUAUUUCAAGAUUAGGUUUUGUCACUCCUAUUGUCGGAGAGGUAUCUCUGGGCCCUCUCGGUAAUGCACAUCACUAUAAGCCUUUCAAGCAAUGUGACCAAUGAGUUGGUUACAGGAUGAUGCAUUACGUAACGAGUAAAGAGACUUGCCGGUAACGAGAUUGAACUAGGUAUUGGAUACCGACGAUCGAAUCUCGGGCAAGUAACAUACCGAUGACAAAGGGAACAACGUAUGUUGUUAUGCGGUUUGACCGAUAAAGAUCUUCGUAGAAUAUGUAGGAACCAAUAUGGGCAUCCAGGUUCCGCUAUUGGUUAUUGACCGAGAUGUUGGAAAUAUGCCCUAGAGGCAAUAAUAAAAAGCAUUAUUAUUAUAUUUCUUUGUUCAUGAUAAUUGUCUUUAUUCAUGCUAUAAUUGUAUUAUCCGGAAAUCGUAAUACAUGUGUGAAUAACAGACACCAACAUGUCCCUAGUAAGCCUCUAGUUGACUAGCUCGUUGAUCAAUAGAUAGUCAUGGUUUCCUGGCUAUGGACAUUGGAUGUCAUUGAUAACGGGAUCACAUCAUUAGGGUAAUGAUGUGAUGGACAAGACUCAAUCCUAAGCAUAGCGUAAGAUCGUAUAGUUCGUUUGCUAGAGCUUUUCUAAUGUCAAGUAUCUUUUCCUUUGACCAUGAGAUCGUGUAACUCCCGGGUACCGUAGGAGUGCUUUGGGUGUAUCAAACGUCACAACGUAACUGGGUGACUAUAAAGGUGCACUACAGGUAUCUCCGAAAGUGUCUGUUGGGUUGACACGGAUCGAGACUGGGAUUUGUCACUCCGUAUAACGGAGAGGUAUCACUGGGCCCACUCGGUAAUGCAUCAUCAUAAUGAGCUCAAAGUGACCAAGUGUCUGGUCACGGGAUCAUGCAUUACGGUACGAGUAAAGUGACUUGCCGGUAACGAGAUUGAACGAGGUAUUGGGAUACCGACGAUCGAAUCUCGGGCAAGUAACAUAUCGAUUGACAAAGGGAAUUGUAUACGGGGUUGCUUGAAUCCUCAACAUCGUGGUUCAUCCGAUGAGAUCAUCGUGGAGCAUGUGGGAGCCAACAUGGGUAUCCAGAUCCCGCUGUUGGUUAUUGACCGGAGAGCGAUCUCGAUCAUGUCUACAUGUCUCCCGAACCCGUAGGGUCUACACACUUAAUGUUCGGUGACGCUAGGGUUGUAGGGAUAUGUAUAUGCAGCAACCUGAAUGUUGUUCGGAGUCCCGGAUGAGAUCCCGGAUGUCACGAGGAGUUCUGGAAUGGUCCGGAGGUAAAGAUUUAUAUAUGGGAAGUCUUGUUUCGGGCAUCGGGACAAGUUUCGGUGUUAUCGGUAUUGUACCGGGACCACCGGAAGGGUCCCGGGGGCCCACCGGGUGGGUCCACCUGCCCCGGGGGGCACAUGGGCUGUAGGGGGUGCGCCUUGGCCUGCAUGGGCCAAGGGCACCAGCCCCAACAUAGGCCCAUGCGCCUAGGGUUUGAGAGGGAAGAGUCCUAGGAGGGGAAGGCACCUCCUAGGUGCCUUGGGGGGGAGGGAAACCCCCUUGGCCGCCGCCCCCCUAGGAGAUUUGAUCUCCUAGGGCCGGCGCCCCCCCUAGGCCCUCCUAUAUAUAGUGGGGGAAGGAGGGCUUUCAUCCCACGCCUUUGGUUGCCUCCUUCUCCCUCUCCAACACCUCCUCCUCCUCCAUAGCGCUUGGCGAAGCCCUGCCCGGAGUACUGCAGCUCCAUCAACACCACGCCGUCGUGCUGCUGCUGGUGCCAUCUCCCUCAACCUCUCCUCUCCCCUUGCUGGAUCAAGAAGGAGGAGACGUGGUUGUUCCGUACGUGUGUUGAACGCGGAGGUGCCGUCCGUUCGGUGCUAGAAUCUCCGGUGAUCUGAAUCACGGCGAGUAUGACUCCAUCAACCCCGUUCCAUUGAACGCUUCCGCACGCGAUCUACAAGUGGUAUGUAGAUGCAAUCACUCUCCCAUGACUCGUUGCUAGAUGAACUCAUAGAUGGAUCUUGGUGAAACCGUAGGAAAAAAAUUAAUUUUCUGCAACGUUCCCCAACAGUGGCAUCAUGAGCUAGGUCUAUGCGUAGUUCUUCUUGCACGAGUAGAACAAAAUUUGUUGUGGGCAUAGAUUUGUUAACUUUCUUGCCGCUACUAGUCUUAUCUUGCUUCAGCGGUAUUGUGGGAUGAAGCGGCCCGGACCAACCUUACACGUACGCUUACGUGAGACCGGUUCCACCGACUAACAUGCACUAGUUGCAUAAGGUGGCUGGCGGGUGUCUGUCUCUCCCACUUUAGUUGGAGCGGAUUCGAUGAAAAGGGUCCUUAUGAAGGGUAAAUAGAAGUUGAUAAAUCACGUUGUGGCUUUCAUGUAGGUAAGAAAACGUUCUUGCUAGAACCCUACUUCAGCCACGUAAAACUUGCAACAACAAUUAGAGGACGUCUAACUUGUUUUUGCAGCAAGCGCUUUGUGAUAUGAUAUGGCCAAAGUUGUGAUGAAUGAUGAAUGAUCUAUAUGUGAUGUAUGAGAUGUUCAUGCUAUUGUAAUAGGAAUCACGACUUGCAUGUCGAUGAGUAUGACAACCGGCAGGAGCCAUAGGAGUUAUCUUUAUUUUUUGUAUGACCUGCGUGUCAUUGAAGAACACCAUGUAAACUACUUUACUUUAUUACUAAACGCGUUAGUCAUAGAAGUAGAAGUAGUCGUUGGUGUGACAACUUCAUGAAGACACGAUGAUGGAGAUCAUGGUGUCAUGUCGGUGACAAGAUGAUCAUGGAGCCCCGAAGAUGAAGAUCAAAGGAGCUAUAUGAUAUUGGCCAUAUCAUGUCACUACUUUAUAUAAUUGCAUGUGAUGUUUAUUAUGUUUUAUGCAUCUUGUUUACUUAGGACGACGGUAGUAAAUAAGAUGAUCCCUUACAAAAAUUUCAAGAAGUGUUCUCCCUUAACUGUGCACCGUUGCUACAGUUCGUCGCUUCUAAGCACCACGUGAUGAUCGGGUGUGAUGGAUUCUUACGUUCACAUACAACGGGUGUAAGACAGUUUUACACAGCAAAAACACUUAGGGUUAACUUGACGAGCCUAGCAUGUACAGACAUGGCCUCAGAACACGGAGACCGAAAGGUCGAACACAAGUUGUAUGGAAGAUACGAUCAACAUGAGAAUGUUCACCGACGAUGACUAGUCCGUCUCACGUGAUGAUCGGACACGCCCUAGUCGACUCGGAUCGUGUAACACUUAGAUGACUAAGAGGGAUGUCUAUCUAAGUGGGAGUUCAUUAUAAUUUGAUUAGAUGAACUUAAUUAUCAUGAACUUAGUCUAAAUAUUUUACAAUAUGUCUUGUAGAUCAAAUGGCCAAUGUAGUCCUCAACUUCAACGCGUUCCUAGAGAAAACUAAGCUGAAAGACGAUGGCAACAACUAUACGGACUGGGUCCGGAACCUGAGGAUCAUCCUCAUAGCUGCCAAGAAAGAUUAUGUCCUACAAGCACCGCUAGGUGAUGCACCUGUUCUCCCUGCAGAACAAGACGUUAUGAACGCUUGGCAGGCACGUACCGAUGACUACUCCCUCGUUCAGUGCGGCAUGCUUUACAGCUUAGAGCCGGGGCUCCAAAAGCGUUUUGAGAGACAUGGAGCAUAUGAGAUGUUCGAAGAGCUGAAAAUGGUUUUCCAAGCUCAUGCCCGGGUCGAGAGAUAUGAAGUCUCCGACAAAUUUUUCAGCUGUAAGAUGGAGGAAAAUAGUUCUGUCAGUGAGCACAUACUCACUAUGUCUGGGUUACAUAACCGCUUGACUCAGCUGGGAGUUAAUCUCCCGGAUGAUGCGGUCAUUGACAGAAUCCUUCAGUCGCUUCCGCCGAGCUACAAGAGCUUUGUGAUGAACUUCAAUAUGCAGGGGAUGGAAAAGACCAUUCCUGAAGUAUUUGCUAUGCUGAAAUCAGCAGAGGUAGAAGUCAAGAAGGAACAUCAAGUGUUGAUGGUCAAUAAAACCACUAAGUUCAAGAAGGGCAAGGGUAAAAAGAACUUCAAGAAGGACGGCAAGGUAGUUGCCGCGCCGAGCAAGCAAGCUGCCGGGAAGAAGCCAAAGAAUGGACCCAAGCCCGAGACUGAGUGCUUUUAUUGCAAGGAAAGUGGUCACUGGAAGCGGAACUGCCCCAAAUACUUAGCGGACAAGAAGGCCGGCAAAACCAAAGGUAUAUUUGAUAUACAUGUAAUUGAUGUGUACCUUACCAGUAAUCGUAGUGACUCCUGGGUAUUUGAUACCGGUGUCGUUGCUCAUAUUUGUAACACACAGCAGGAGCUGCGGAAUAAACAAAGACUGGCGAAGGACGAGGUGACGAUGCGCGUCGGGAAUGGUUCCAAGGUCGAUGUGAUCGCCGUCGGCACGCUACCUCUACAUUUACCUACGGGAUUAGUUUUGAACCUCAAUAAUUGUUAUUUAGUGCCAAGUUUGAGCAUGAACAUUGUAUCAGGAUCUCGUUUAAUUCGAGAUGGCUACUCAUUUAAAUACGAGAAUAAUGGUUGUUCUAUUUAUAUGAGAGAUAUGUAUUAUGGUCAUGCUCCGAUGGUGAAUGGUUUAUUCUUUAUGAAUCUCGAGCGUAAUGCUACACAUAUUCAUAGUGUAAGUACCAAAAGAUGUAAGAUUGAUAGUGAUAGUCCCACAUACUUGUGGCACUGCCGCCUUGGUCACAUAGGUGUCAAACGCAUGAAGAAGCUCCAUGCUGAUGGACUUUUAGAGUGUCUUGAUUACGAAUCAUUUGACACGUGCGAGCCAUGCCUCAUGGGUAAAAUGACCAAGACUCCGUUCUCAGGAAUAAUGGAGCGAGCAACCAACUUAUUGGAAAUCAUACAUACUGAUGUGUGCGGUCCAAUGAGUGUUGAGGCUCGCGGUGGCUAUCGUUAUGUUCUCACCCUCACUGAUGACUUGAGUAGAUAUGGGUAUGUCUACUUAAUGAAACACAAGUCUGAGACCUUUGAAAAGUUCAAGGAAUUUCAGAGUGAAGUUGAGAAUCAACGUGACAGGAAAAUCAAGUUUCUACGAUCAGAUCGUGGAGGAGAAUACUUGAGUCACGAAUUUGGCACACACUUAAGAAAAUGUGGAAUAGUUUCACAACUCACGCCGCCUGGAACACCUCAGCGUAAUGGUGUGUCCGAACGUCGUAAUCGCACUCUAUUAGAUAUGGUGCGAUCUAUGAUGUCUCUUGCCGAUUUACCACUAUCUUUUUGGGGCUAUGCUUUAGAGACUGCCGCAUUCACUUUAAAUAGGGCACCGUCGAAAUCCGUUGAGACGACACCGUAUGAAUUAUGGUCUGGGAAGAAACCUAAGCUGUCGUUUCUAAAAGUUUGGGGAUGCGAUGCUUAUGUCAGGAAACUUCAACCUGAAAAGCUCGAACCCAAAUCGGAAAAAUGCGUCUUCAUAGGAUACCCUAAAGAAACUAUUGGGUAUAUCUUCUAUCUCAGAUCCGAAGGCAAGAUCUUUGUUGCCAAGAAUGGGUCCUUUCUGGAGAAAGAGUUUCUCUCGAGAGAAGUAAGUGGGAGGAAAGUAGAGCUUGAUGAAGUAUUACCUCUUGAACCGGAAAAUGGCGCAACUCAAGAAAAUGUUCCUGAGGUGCCUACACCGACUAGAGAGGAAGUUAUUGAUAAUGAUCAAGAUACUUCUGAUCAAGCUCCUACUGAAAUUCGAAGGUCCACAAGGACACGUUCCACACCAGAGUGGUACGGGAACCCUGUCUUGGAAAUCAUGUUGUUAGACAACAGUGAACCUUCGAACUACGAAGAAGUGAUGGCGGGCCCGGAUUCCGACAAAUGGCUAGAAGCCAUGAAAUCCGAGAUAGGAUCCAUGUAUGAAAAUGAAGUAUGGACUUUGACUGACUUGCCCAUUGAACGGCGAGCCAUAGAAAAUAAAUGGAUCUUUAAGAAGAAGACAGACGCGGAUGGUAAUGUGACCAUCUAUAAAGCUCGGCUUGUCGCUAAGGGUUAUCGACAAGUUCAAGGGGUUGACUACGAUGAGACUUUCUCACCGGUAGCGAAGCUGAAGUCCGUCCGAAUCAUGUUAGCGAUUGCCGCAUUCUAUGAUUAUGAAAUAUGGCAAAUGGACGUCAAAACGGCAUUCCUUAAUGGUUUCCUUAAGGAAGAAUUGUAUAUGAUGCAGCCGGAAGGUUUUGUCGAUCCUAAGAAUGCUGACAAGGUGUGCAAGCUCCAACGCUCGAUUUAUGGGCUGGUGCAAGCAUCUCGGAGUUGGAACAUUCGUUUUGAUGAGAUGAUCAAAGCGUUUGGAUUUACGCAGACUUAUGGAGAAGCAUGCGUUUACAAGAAAGUGAGUGGGAGCUCUGUAGCAUUUCUCAUAUUAUAUGUAGAUGACAUACUUUUGAUGGGAAAUGAUAUAGAACUCUUGGACAGCAUUAAGGCCUACUUGAAUAAAAGUUUUUUAAUGAAGGACCUUGGAGAAGCUGCUUAUAUAUUAGGCAUCAAGAUCUAUAGGGAUAGAUCGAGACGCGUCAUAGGUCUUUCACAAAGCACAUAUCUUGAUAAGAUUUUGAAGAAGUUCAAAAUGGAUCAGUCCAAGAAAGGGUUCUUGCCUGUUUUGCAAGGUGUGAAAUUGAGCUCAGCUCAAUGUCCGACCACGGCAGAAGAUAUAGAAGAGAUGAGUGUCAUCCCCUAUGCCUCAGCCAUAGGUUCUAUUAUGUAUGCCAUGCUGUGUACCAGACCUGAUGUAAACCUUGCCGUAAGUUUGGUAGGAAGGUACCAAAGUAAUCCCGGCAAGGAACACUGGACAGCGGUCAAGAAUAUCCUGAAGUACGUGAAAAGGACUAAGGAAAUGUUUCUCGUUUAUGGAGGUGACGAAGAGCUUGUCGUAAAGGGUUACGUCGACGCUAGCUUCGACACAGAUCUGGAUGACUCUAAGUCACAAACCGGAUACGUGUAUAUUUUGAAUGGUGGGGCAGUAAGCUGGUGCAGUUGCAAGCAAAGCGUCGUGGCGGGAUCUACAUGUGAAGCGGAGUACAUGGCAGCCUCGGACGCAGCACAUGAAGCAAUAUGGGUGAAGGAGUUCAUCACCGACCUAGGAGUCAUACCCAAUGCGUCGGGGCCGAUCAAGCUCUUCUGUGACAACACUGGAGCUAUUGCCCUUGCCAAGGAGCCCAGGUUUCACAAGAAGACAAGGCACAUCAAGCGUCGCUUCAACUCCAUUCGUGAAAAUGUUCAAGAAGGAGACAUAGAGAUUUGUAAAGUACAUACGGACCUGAAUGUAGCAGAUUCGUUGACUAAACCUCUCCCUAGAGCAAAACAUGAUCAACAUCAGAAUUCCAUGGGUGUUCGAUUCAUCACAAUGUAACUAGGUUAUUGACUCUAGUGCAAGUGGGAGACUGUUGGAAAUAUGCCCUAGAGGCAAUAAUAAAAAGCAUUAUUAUUAUAUUUCUUUGUUCAUGAUAAUUGUCUUUAUUCAUGCUAUAAUUGUAUUAUCCGGAAAUCGUAAUACAUGUGUGAAUAACAGACACCAACAUGUCCCUAGUAAGCCUCUAGUUGACUAGCUCGUUGAUCAAUAGAUAGUCAUGGUUUCCUGGCUAUGGACAUUGGAUGUCAUUGAUAAAGGGAUCACAUCAUUAGGGUAAUGAUGUGAUGGACAAGACCCAAUCCUAAGCAUAGCGUAAGAUCGUAUAGUUCGUUUGCUAGAGCUUUUCUAAUGUCAAGUAUCUUUUCCUUUGACCAUGAGAUCGUGUAACUCCCGGGUACCGUAGGAGUGCUUUGGGUGUAUCAAACGUCACAACGUAACUGGGUGACUAUAAAGGUGCACUACAGGUAUCUCCGAAAGUGUCUGUUGGGUUGACACGGAUCGAGACUGGGAUUUGUCACUCCGUAUAACGGAGAGGUAUCACUGGGCCCACUCGGUAAUGCAUCAUCAUAAUGAGCUCAAAGUGACCAAGUGUCUGGUCACGGGAUCAUGCAUUACGGUACGAGUAAAGUGACUUGCCGGUAACGAGAUUGAACGAGGUAUUGGGAUACCGACGAUCGAAUCUCAGGCAAGUAACAUAUCGAUUGACACAGGGAAUUGUAUACGGGGUUGCUUGAAUCCUCGACAUCGUGGUUCAUCCGAUGAGAUCAUCGUGGAGCAUGUGGGAGCCAACAUGGGUAUCCAGAUCCCGCUGUUGGUUAUUGACCGGAGAGCGAUCUCGGUCAUGUCUACAUGUCUCCCGAACCCGUAGGGUCUACACACUUAAGGUUCAGUGAUGCUAGGGUUGUAGGGAUAUGUAUAUGCAGCAACCCAAAUGUUGUUCGGAGUCCCGGAUGAGAUCCCGGACGUCACGAGGAGUUCCGGAAUGGCCCGGAGGUAAAGAUUUAUAUAUGGGAAGUCCUGUUUCGGGCAUCGGGACAAGUUUCGGUGUUAUCGGUAUUGUACCGGGACCACCGGAAGGGUCCCGGGGGCCCACCGGGUGGGGCCACCUGCCCCGGGGGGCACAUGGGCUGUAGGGGGUGCACCUUGGCCUGCAUGGGCCAAGGGCACCAGCCCCAACAUAGGCCCAUGCGCCUAGGGUUUGAGAGGGAAGAGUCCUAGGAGGGGAAGGCACCUCCUAGGUGCCUUGGGGGGGAGGGAAACCCCCUUGGCCGCCGCCCCCCCUAGGAGAUUUGAUCUCCUAGGGCCGGCGCCCCCCCCCCCUAGGCCCUCCUAUAUAUAGUGGGGGAAGGAGGGCUUUCAUCCCACGCCUUUGGUUGCCUCCUUCUCCCUCUCCAACACCUCCUCCUCCUCCAUAGCGCUUGGCGAAGCCCUGCCCGGAGUACUGCAGCUCCAUCAACACCACGCCGUCGUGCUGCUGCUGGUGCCAUCUCCCUCAACCUCUCCUCUCCCCUUGCUGGAUCAAGAAGGAGGAGACGUGGCUGUUCCGUACGUGUGUUGAACGCGGAGGUGUCGUCCGUUCGGUGCUAGAAUCUCCGGUGAUCUGAAUCACGGCGAGUACGACUCCAUCAACCCCGUUCCAUUGAACACUUCCGCACGCGAUCUACAAGUGGUAUGUAGAUGCAAUCACUCUCCCAUGACUCGUUGCUAGAUGAACUCAUAGAUGGAUCUUGGUGAAACCGUAGGAAAAAUUUUAAUUUUCUGCAACGUUCCCCAACACGAGAAUAGUUCUAGGUCAUGUCUACAUAGUUCUCGAACCCGUAGGGUCCGCACGCUUAACGUUACGAUGACAGUUUUAUUAUGAGUUUAUAAGUUUUGAUGUACCGAAGUUUGUUUGGAGUCCCGGAUGUGAUCACGGACAUGACGAGGAGUCUCGAAAUGGUCGAGACAUAAUGAUUGAUAUAUUGGAAGCCUAUGUUUGGACAUCGGAAGUGUUCCGGGUGAAAUCGGCAUUCUACCGGAGUACCGGGGGGUUACCGGAACCCUCCCGGGGGUUAUUGGGCCUACAUGGGCCAUAAGGGAGAAGAGGAGAGGAGGCAAGAGGUGGGCCGCGCCCCCUCCCCUCCCUAGUCCGAAUAGGACAAGGAGAGGGGGGCGACGCCCCCCCCCCUUUCCUUCCCCUCUUCCUUCUCCUACUCCAACUAGGAAAGAAGGGAGUCCUACUCCCGGUGGGAGUAGGACUCCCCCCCUUGGCGCACCCUCCUUGGCCGGCCACCUCCUCCCCCUGGCUCCUUUAUAUACGGGGGCGGGGGGGGGCACCCUAGAACCCACAAGUUGAUCUACGGAUCGUUCCUUAGCUGUGUGCGGUGCCUCCCUCCACCAUAUUCCACCUCGGUCAUAUCGUUGCGGAGUUUAGGCGAAGCCCUGCGCCGGUAGAACAUCAUCAUCGUCACCACGCCGUCGUGCUGACGGAACUCAUCCCCGAAGGUUUGCUGGAUCGGAGCCCGGGGAUCGUCAUCGAGCUGAACGUGUGCUGAAGUCGGAGGUGCCGUACAUUUGGUGCUUGGAUCGGUCGGAUCGUGAAGACGUACGACUAUAUCAACCGCGUUGUCAUAACGCUUCCGCUUACGGUCUACGAGGGUACGUGGACGACACUCUCCCUUCUCGUUGCUAUGCCAUCACCAUGAUCUUGCGUGUGCGUAGGAAAUUUUUUGAAAUUACUAUGUUCCCAACAAUUGCAACACUCAGAUGGCAUUGGAGGAAUAAAUGUCAAUACUAUUUGGAACAAGAUUUAGAAAUUAUCUUGUCCAGCAAAAGUGAAGAUCUUUAUUUGGUGUACCUUACAUGGAACCCUCCCGUGUCGUGUUACACUUGCUAAUAGACAUAUGAAAGUUUCGCCCACCUGCCCAUCAUGUUUGAACGGGCAUGAAGAUACUAAACACUUAUUAUUUUUAUGUCAAAAGGCAAAAGAGGUGUGGGAGAAACUGGGAUUGCAGGAAGCCAUUAAAAAAGCCUGUGCGGUCGAUCGUGCGGGAGAGGCAAUACUUGAAUUUCUAAUUUUUAUGCCAGAACAUGAGCUAUCUACAGUGGGCACACAGAAUGUUCGCGAACUGAUCGCUAUAACAGCCUGGUAUUUAUGGUGGGAAAGACGUUCGCUAGUUCAUCAGGGGAAGACCCAAGAUGCAUACCAAAUUUCGAUGGGAGCCCGUGCUAUAACGACGAACUAUGUUAUUGCCCAAUCCUCCAAGGCAACAAAUAAAAUAGAGGCAUGGACGAGACCCCCUCUAGGUUUUGUGAAAUUAAAUGUCGAUUCUUCUUUCGAUCAAGACAUGCUUAGAGGCACAGCGGGAGUUGUACUUAGAGAUGAUAAAGGAAGAUUUAUUGUUGGAGGGAAUUGGAAGAUGGAUUGGUGUGCAGAUGUUUUAACAGCAGAAGCCAUGGCAUUACGUUUUGGCUUAUUACUUGCACAAAAGGCGGGAAGUAACCGACUUAUUGUUAACUCCGACAAUAUGGAAGUAAUUGACAUGAUGAAGAAUGGAGGACAUACAGCGGGAGCGGCGGCAGCUGUGUUUGAUGAUUGUUAUUUUUUGGCUUGUGAUUUUUCGUUAGUUAGAUUUGAACACUUUAAUAGGAAGGAAAAUAAAGUAGCUCAUGAAGUUGCUAGAGUAGCCAAAUUUUCUGAGACAAGGGAUUGGUUUGAGGAACCUAUGAACAAUAUUCUAAAUUUUUUUAUAGACGAUGUAACCAAUAUUACUAAUAAAUAAAAAGGAUGUUUUAUUUCAAAAAAAAGACUGGAGACAACAGACAAGAGCGACCACCAGGAAGACAUUAAUUGUAGAGCAACGCAACAUCACAGCACAUCAGUCACCCACCAAAAAUACUAGAUAUAUAAGCUUUUACAGGUUUCUACCGGCUCCUUCCAAACUUUCUAAACACAUCCCCUGAUUACAAUGGGGGUGAGCCCGCGCCUCUACUAAUGACUAAUUAAAAACCGCCACAACACCCUGUAAACCCCUCAUGCCUGUAACAUCAUGUAUGUGUAGCAAAGCUCGUCACCCACAGAUCAGUUGGUGUACACUUAGGGCAUCUCCAGCCGCGCCCCCAAGAAGGCCUCCCCAGGCGAUUUUUUCGCGCCGGCGCCGAAAAAACGGCCCAGUCGCGCCCUCAGGACGCCGAAAAUCGCCGGUUCGGACCUUUUUUCCGCCCGGCGGUCACAGGCCGAACCCGGCGCGCUGGGGAGCCGUUGGGGGCUCCGGCGCUAGGGAGAAGCACGCCUGGCCCACACCGACAGGGGAAAAGUCAAGUUUUUCUUCCCCCGACUCGCCUCGCACCCCCCGCGCCCUCGGCCACCACUAGCUGUAUCCCGGCGACGGGCGCCGGCCUACUCCGCUAGAUAGCCAUUCCCCGCCGGAAAAUAGCAGCGCUUCGCCGCGGCAGCCCCUCCCGCAGCACUAGGCGCUGCCGGCCGCCGUUUCCGGCCGCGGAGGCGCGGUUUAAUGGCGGGUACACGCCCACCGAGCGCAAGGUGUUCGGCGUUUUGACUGACUAGGCGAUGGACUCCGAUGAGGAGGAAGAGCUCGCCGCGCUGCUGGAGGAGGAAGCCGCGGCCGACGUCCAGGAAGAAGAGCAUCUGAUGGUGCUCGCCGCCCUCGCCCAGCUGCUGGCGAGCAGUGAAAAGCCGCGUCGAGGUGGCUCGGCGCCGGGGCGGGUGAAAGCAAAGAACCGGCAUCGUCUGCAAGGCUACUACAUGCUCUACUCCGACUACUUCGCCGAUGCUCCACUUCAUGGCGAGAGAACAUUUCCGCGCCGUUAUCGGAUGAGCCGAAAGCUCUUCCUCAGGAUUGUGAAUUCCAUCCGGGAGUUCGACAACUACUUCAAGUGCAAGAUGGAUUGCACUGGCGCUCUUGGAUUCACCUCCAUCCAGAAGUGCACGACAGCGAUGAGGAUGCUUGCAUAUGGAGCUCCCUAUGGGCGCAUGACCGAGUCCACCAGCAUAGAGUGUUUCUACAAGUUCUGUCGGGCAAUGGUGGCAGUGUUUGGGCCACAAUACUUGACAGCACCCAAUGCGGAAGACACUGCUCGGAUCCUAGCCCAGAAUGCAGCAAGAGGAUUUCCUGGGAUGCUUGGAAGCAUCGACUGCAUGCAUUGGAAAUGGAAGAACUGCCCAUUUGGUUGGCAGGGGAUGUACAAAGGCGCCAAAGGCGGUUGCAGUGUGGUGCUUGAGGCGGUAGCCACACAGCACCUCUGGAUUUGGCACUCCUUCUUUGGUAUGCCAGGAACUCACAAUGACAUCAACGUGUUGCAGUGCUCUCCUGUUUUUGCCAAGCUCGUUGAGGGCCAUUCUCCUCCAAUGAACUUCGAGAUCAAUGGGCACCAAUACAACAAGGGGUACUAUCUAGCUGACGGCAUCUAUCCGAGAUGGCCGACAUUUGUGAAGACGAUCUCAAACCCUGUGCCAGGAGGCAAGAACGCCUGGUUUGCGAAGCUUCAGGAGGCUUGCAGGAAGGAUGUCGAGCGGGCAUUUGGUGUGCUCCAAUCUCGAUUCGCUGUUGUUCGGUACCCCGCUCAGACCUGGUCGAAAGAUCAAAUGUGAGAGAUCAUGACUUGCUGUGUCAUCUUGCACAACAUGAUCAUCGAGAGCGAGCAAGAAGACCCAGUGUUUGACACUGAACCAUACUACAGGCAGGGUCCUCUAGCCGAAGUUGAUCACCAGCUACCGGCAACUUGGACUGCAUAUCUCAGUAUGCGUCAAGAGAUCCGAGACCCACAGGUGCAUCAUCAACUGCAGAAAGAUCUGAUUGAGCACCUAUGGAGGCUCAAGGGGGACGCCGCGUGAUGAAAUACGAGUUUUUAUUUGUUGAACUAUAUAAUUUGUAUUGAACUAUUUGUUGUUGUACUAUUUUGUUGAAGUAUUUGAUUUUUCUGUGAUGAAAUAUGUGAUAAGGAAUAAUUAUGUUGAUAAUUGAACGCCGAGACAGGGCGAAACCACGCCGAAUAUGGGCCUAUUCUCGCCCAUAUGGGCCGUUUAUUCGCCGAAAUUGGGCUGCAAAGUGGGCCAAUUUCGGCGCCUGGGGGCGAGCUGGGGGCGGCGACUGGGCGAAAAACCGCCUCCAGCGCCGAGUGUCUCGCCGGCUCGCCCUCAGGGUGCGAUUUUUUUACGUCCUGGGGGGGCCAACGGUUGGAGAUGCCCUUAGCAAGCAGGAACUGACGACGCGCCUCGUCAGUUGCCUCCAGCAGCCCAGGCGAUCCGAAGGAGCUCAACACGUCGAUGAUUGCGUAUCUGCCGGGAUGGAGCGGCUCGAUGGUUUUCUAGCCCGGCCUCCGCUUCCAACUUGACAAUUUCGCCUCUCCUUGAUCCUCGAGAGUUUGUCGAGGCUAUUUUUAGAUCAUUUUUUGAGGUAUUUCUCCAUGAUUUGCGAUUUCAUUCGUGUUUUUUCUUCUUUUCUUUUGCGGGUAAUUCGUGUUGUUGUAGUGGCUGCUGCAUUUUCCGUGCCGUAGCGCCUGCAUGUGUGAGCCGUGAGCUUUGGGUUUGAUGGAUCGGCGCAUCACGUCCACAUGCACGUUGAGGAAGCACAUCAGCCGUCCCUAUGAACUAUCGUGCCAGCCGUGGCAGCGGAGACUUCGAGUCUCUCUGGCCAACAUUAUCUUCUCGCCCAAGCCGCUACCGAUCUCAUAUCUGCAUUCCGGAGCGAUUUCGAUGCUGACAAAAGACGAGGACGUACUUGGUCCAAGAUUUCGGUGCCGAACAGAGAGAGAGAGACUCGUCGUGCAUCCACGUGCAUCGGUCGAUGAUGUUUGUCUGUAGCUGCAUAUCCAUCGCAUCAACCAGACAAGGCCUGGUUCAUUUAAGCACGAGUGGAAACUGCUGACUUUACACACGCUACCAGUUCUUCUACCGUGAUCCUCAAGAAAAAAUAGUUCUUGUACUGUGUCGAUGAUUAACUGCUCGUUUAUGGAGGGUGUAUAUUUGGUAACUUAAUUACCUUUUUUUUGAGAUGCUUCAUUGCAUGGUUACACAAGGACUGGUCACUUUGUUUUUCAACUAAGAGCAUCUACAACCAGAGUUGGUAAAUUUGGGCCCAAAUACGGCCAUGAACGCGCCCGCGGACAAUGCUUGACCGGCCUCAACCAACUCCAUUUGCAUCCACAACCCUUACUUUUGAAAUUUCGAAUUGAUGCAAACACAUGUACAUCUCGAUGAUCACACACAAACAAUGAAUAAUGAUGGAGGUUAUACCCAAGGGGUAGGCCCAUAUAUACAUAUGGCGAAGCCUAAGGCCCAUUGCGAGUCGAAAUAAGGUCCAAAUACAACCCAAGACAAUGAGUCGAAAUAUGGCCCAGCCUAAGUCCCAGUAAGACUAUAUAACCCAAGACAUGAUAGUCUAGAGAGGAUACACGUUCCAAUAAACCGUGACAAUGGUUCCAGCAAAUCACCGCGUUGGUUGCAGCAUCUCGUCGAUCUAUCGACGGCCCUUCCCACAAACACGGUCUCCGGUUCCAGCAAAUGGCGAUGCCGAUUCCAGCAAAUCGUGACACCAAGCGUUUCCCAAUAAAACUCGUGGACUAGCGCUCGACCCGUGCCGACUUUGCCGAGGGCGUGCUCCACAAACCCUAGCGCCGCCACUCUACAUCCCUCCUCCUCCUGCCGCGCCGCCGCCGGAGGACAUCGCGGAGCGAAGCUCGUGCGGCCCACUGCGGCGUGGGCUUUCCUCUCGCGGCGGCAACCCGGAUCUGAUGGGCACGGAGGCAGGCGGCGCGUCGGUGUGCGCUUGGACACGAGGUCACUGUGGUCAACGACGGGGCUCAACGGUUGGACGCGGUUUGCAGCGGUCCCUAGUGUCUGGUUUCAGACUGCGAUUGUGGGAGGGUUCAUGCAUGCAUGGGUGGGCGCUGGUUGGGGUGCCGUUGCAACCAGGCAUUUCCUGCGGAUGUGUGUGACCUCCAGCGGCACUUGGGCCGGGCCUAGCAUGGUGGCUUGUCUCCCCAUGCCGGCGCACGGUACCUCGGUUGGUGACGGUGAUCUAGAUCUUGGUUAGCCUGGCGAUGGGACUGUGUUGGUGCGGCGACCUCCUGUGGCUCCACGGCGACGGUGUACAUCGAAAGAUCUUUGGGGAGUUCAUCUCUCCAGAUCCGAUGGUUGACUUCGACGAGGAGCUGCAAACUAUGGAUGGCGGCUUGACGCGGAGAAAUAGUCGUGCAGCGGCGCAUCACAUAUAGCUGCGGGGAUCGUGGAAUAGUGGUGGUGACAGUACAUUUGUGACGUCGAUGGUGGUGCUUCUUGAGUACCCAAUAUCGAGCCCAGAGGUGAAAGUCCAGAUCUGAAGUCUGGCAAUGGCAAUGUUUAUACGGGCUCAAACUCGCCGUGCUAGAUCAAAAACUGUAUCCAAAACCGUAAAAUUUAUAAAACAUGUUUCGCGCAAGAAAUUUAACGCAAAAAUUCGCCGGAGCAUAGAUUAUUCUUCACAUAGGGGCAGAUCGUUCGUACACAACAUAGAUAUAUUUACAUAAAAGCUCGACGGAGCUACGCUACCGUAGCAUUAGACAAAAUGGAGCUCACUGGAGCUCGUGCGGUAGCCGACCAGCGGCGGCGCUCAAUCGGAGUCAUCGUCGGAGGUGAGGAGGACGAAGAUUCGCUCCUGCUCAUCGUCCCCGCGGCGCCAAUCCUCCUUCUUGUCGCCGAACGCGAGGGCCGACGUGACUCCCUGCUCGUAGAGCACGGUGUCGAUCUCGUCGUCCCUCCGACGGUGUUGCCGCUCCGCUUCCUCCUCCCACGCACUGCGUGCAAGAAACGCGGGCAAAAUGGCGUCCGCCUUCGCUGGGGGAGGAAGUCCUCCGGCCCGACGACGCCAUCGGCACGUCGCUCCGGCCCCGUGGCGUGUGUACUGCAAGGCGGUGCGCUUCCGCGCUGCGUAGGAUCUGACGCAACACGCCCGCUCGGGGUCACCGUUGUCACGAUGGGCGGAGUUGGCCAUCGCGGGCGGCGGAUUGGAGGUGCGAGCGGCGGAUCUGCGGCACCGGCGGUGAGGGCUUGGGGAUUUUCGUGGCGGAGGAGGGAUAGGGUUCGGGCCCAUAUCCAGCAGUCGAACCCGCACAUAUACUGGUCGAGGGGAAGCGUUUCCGGGCCACCGCAAAAGUUUUACGAGCCAGGCCGCGUUUACGGUGUCUGUUCUGGCAGACAAAACGGCCCAAACCCGUAUAAUCGCCGGAAUUUUACAGUUCCGGCGAUUAUACGGUGUCUGCUAGAGAUGCUUUUACCUUGUUGAAGGCAUUGCUCGAACUGUUUUUUAAAUGUGAAAACCUAAAUUCUGGCCAUUAGUCCAUGACUAGCCGGAUCCGGUGACGGCGGCAAUUGAGCACCACUCCCUUCCUGAAAAGGCGUUGUUCUUGAAGAACCUCCUUAUCCAUAUGGCGUCUUGAGAUAGUUUGUGCGAAUAUGGUCUUUCAUGUAGGUUCCCCAUCCGAUCACUUUGGAUUUUAUUUCUUCUCUCCAUGCAUAACUUUGGUAUUAUAUGACUUUGCUAUCUGUAUGUGUGUUUUUUGGUGUUGGUGUUGACUGUGUGCAUUCUGACUAUGCAGAGGACAAAUGUGUGCUCAUCGUGUUUGUAUUCUCAUGAUGCUUUAUUUUAAGCUAAUAAAAUGGAUCUUUUUUCAAAAAAAAACGUGGAAACGCGUUAAGUCCGUGGCGACGUAGCUCAGUUGACUCGCUGUUGACUUCUGAUUUUUAUAUAACACAUGGUGCGCAAACCGGAGAGCAUCCAAACUAGCCAAGAAGAAAAAGGAAAGAAAAGCAGAUCUCGCGCCGGAACAUGCCCUCGCAAUCCAGGCUGCUGCCACUGCCAGUCCAGCUUCUACUCAUUCUUGCAGGCGCAGCAGCCAUGGCCGGGGCUGAACUAGAUGAGCAGCUGCCGAUCACACGUCCGGGCUGCCCUGACAAGUGCGGCAACCUGAGCAUCCCGUUCCCCUUUGGCCUGAUGCCCGGCUGCUUCCGCGAGGGCUUCCAGGUCACCUGCGACCACUCCGUCGACCCCCCUCGAGCGUUCCUCGCCGACACAGACACCAACCGCAUCAUGGUCACCGACCGCGACGCCUCGGCGGCCUCCGACGCCGCCGCCUAUCUGGGGUUCAACACCUCGUAUUUUCCGGUGGAGCUGGUGGACAUGUCAGCCGAUAGGAGCCAGGCGCGGGCGUACGGCCCCAUCACGUCCGGCUGCAGCACCAACAGCACCCAGUACAGGUUCCAAACCCAGGCCAUGACGCUCGGCAACGGCAUCACGGAGGGGCCGUUCGCCGUGUCGCGGACGCUCAACGUCGUCGUCGGCGUGGGCUGGAGGGUCGACGUCGUCAUGGACGGCCCGACCACGCCCGUCUGCCGCACUGGCACGGAGCGAGAGCUCGCGGUGAGGAACGGGUCGUGCGCGGGGCAGGGCUGCUGCGAGGCCGCCCUGCCCCGCGAGCCGGAGUACGGCAGCGUCGCGCCGGGGCUCCUGGUCGCGGACGAAAACGCCCGGUGGAGGUCCAGCCCGUGCUCCUACGCCAUGGUGGUCGAGAAGUCGCGCUACGUCUUCUCCACGCCGGACUUGUACGGCGACACGCUGCUGAUGGAGACGCUCCCCGUGGUGCUCGACUUCGCCAUCGUCGGGAACGCCUCGUGCCCGGCGAAAGGCCAGCGGCCACCUCCGGACUACGCGUGCGCCAGCCGCAACAGCUACUGUGUCAACGCCACAGUUGGCCUCUCGGGGUAUGCACUCAGCUACGUGUGCAAAUGCUCGGAGCACUACGCGGGCAACCCGUACAUCGCCGAUGGAUGCCGAGGUACUAUCUCAAUCAAGCUAACAAUUCGUUGACCUACUAGUAGCACAGUCCAUCCUGUCUUAGACGACUAAUUAACUAACUCAAGCUUAAUUAAUUUCAUACCCUUAAUUUUAUCUUCUCAAGACAUCGAUGAGUGCAAGUUCCCCGAUCUAUACUACUGCUCGAGCAAAGGCGUAUGUAAGAACAGGCUGGGAGGAUAUGAUUGUCCAUGCAAGCCAGGAAUGAGAGGCGAUGGGAAAUUAGGACAGUGUGUUGAGAAAUUUCCCCUGGUAGCCAAGGCGAUUGUGGGUAAGUACCACUUCAACUGCUAAUACAUAUGCUGUUAAUUUUCAUACUACUGACAUGUACUACUUAAUUAAUAAAAGUAUAGGAUAGGAUGAAUGUUCAUAUAUAGGAUACCAUGUUAAUUCUAAAAUGAAGUCUGAAAAGAAGUGUACGUAAUAAGUCAAAAUGAGGUACAUGGACAACUACGUACACGACCCCUGCUCUUUUGCGCGUACGAACGCUCAAGACAGACAGGCCCAGACACGAGCCGUCAUCCUUGACCAAAUAAUGGGGCCGGUUACCCUGUGUGAGCUUGCGUGGUCCACUUCUUUUCCUUUUUUUUUGUCUGUGUAUUCCACAUUUCCACUUCAAUGCCAGUCCAAAGGACCUGCUGCACAGUGCUCUGGAUCAUCAAGAAAUUGGCAUGGUUUCCAACAUAUCAUAUGCCUUUGACUAAUAUGAUCUAUAGUAGUAUUUCUCUCUUGGUAAAAGUUAUGAAUCUAUACCAACGUAGAGACUAGCUUAGUAAGCUUGAAUCUGCCCAACAUUCACAUUGGAUCCAACACUAUUUUCUUCCUUGGUGCAUUUUGCUCAAUUCCUACUCAUCCAUUUAUGCAUUUUCUCAAUUUCUCGAUCCACCUUGCGGUAAACGUACAAGGAUGCAACCAACAAAGGUCCACAACUCCACAUGCAAAUACUUCCGCUUGGUAUAGAAAUCCAAUUCCCCGAGACAGAGUACAUAUAUAUGGCUUACUUUGUGAGGGUCGCUCACUCAAAGAGGACAAGGCAAAGUCCCUCCCCUUUCUUUCUAUUGUUAAACUAUUCACUAGUACUUCUGCUUUUAAGUCAAAUUCUAAAUAACUUGUUGAAUCAGUAAUUUAUUAUCUUUUAUGCAAUAUCAUUUGUUGCAAACUUUUUAGUAGGAUACUUUGCCAUGUAGGUAUCAUUGGUGGUAUUUCUGUCAUAGUAGUUAUGUCAUUUCUAGUUCUUCUCCGCAAAGAGAGAAGGAAGACCAGGGAGUUCUAUGAAAAGAAUGGUGGACCUACACUAGAAAGAGCAAAAAAUAUUAAAAUUUUCAAAAAGGAGGAGCUCGUGCCAAUUUUAAAGGAAAGCAAUCUUAUUGGAAGAGGUGGCUUCGGUGUAGUUUACAAGGGCACUCUUGGUAAAGAACAAGUUGCAGUGAAGCAACCGAUUAGUGGUAGUCUGCUGGAAAAUGACCAAUUUGCAAAUGAAGUCAUCAUCCAAUCUCAAGUCAUCCACAAGAAUAUUGUUAGGCUCAUAGGUUGUUGCCUCGAGGUUGGUACCCCAUUGCUAGUAUACGAAUUUCUCUCUGGUGGUAGCUUGGAUGACAUUCUUCACAGCAAAGACAAGAAGCCUCUAAACUUGGAUAUACGUUUAAGUAUUGCUGUAGAAUCAGCAGAUGGUCUUGCUUACAUGCAUUCAAAAACAAACACCAAAAUCCUACACGGUGAUGUUAAACCAGCAAAUAUACUUUUGGAUGAUAAGUUUGUCCCCAAGAUCUCGGACUUUGGCAUAUCAAGGUUGAUUGCGGGAGACAAAGAACACACCGGAAGAAUCAUCGGUGACAUGAGCUAUAUGGAUCCAGUAUAUCUGCAGUCAGGCCUGCUAACUGAAAAGAGUGAUGUCUAUAGCUUCGGAGUGGUGUUGUUGGAACUUAUUAGUAGGAAGAAGGCCAUACAUUCUGACAAUAAGAACUUAGUAAAGAGCUUCCUUGAAGCUCGCAACAACAAGAGCAGAAUAACCGAGUUGAUUGACAAUGAAAUUGCGGCAGCAGAGGACUUGGAGCUUCUUCAAAAUCUGGCAGGGAUGGCAGUGGAGUGUCUCAACCUUGACGUGGAUCAGAGACCAGCGAUGGCAGAUAUAGCACACCGCCUUCUAAUACUGAACAAGUCUCGUAGGUCGUAAGUUCUUGGACGCUGAGUGAACACAUAUGUUUGUGAUAACCUUUUUUUUUUUGCUAUUUUGAGCAAAUAUUAUUGAUACAUAUGGGAAACGUGUCCAUUAGUUCCAAGAAAAUAUGUACUUGGUUGUAACUCACUCGCUGUGUAACCAUGUAUUCGUGUUAGCAAUUGUACGUCUUCCAUAUGCAAAGGAGCAAUCAUCUUCACAUUAGCGUAUAAUUAGCAAAUUUCCCCAUGUGCUUGGAUGAACCAGCGUAUAUAUCUUGUUGAAGCUAGUUCUGGCUGACUGUGACUGUUAAGAUGCAGCUACAGACCAACAGUUGUGCAGUUUAACAAAAAAAAAGACUACUAGUCGUGGUGCCGGAAUCGUUAGCCCUUCAGCACCGGAAUCUUGGACCAAGUACGUCCUCAUGCAUGUUUGUCAGCAUGGAAAUCGCUGGUGGUUACACGAGAUCGGAAGGUCGGCACAGCAGUGGGUGAGAAGAGAACACAAGGUGGUCAGAUUUUGGCCAGAAAAGUCUUCAGUACGGUAUGUCACGGGUGGAACCAUAGGGCUUCGGACUCAGCUGCGGUCUCCGCUUGACCGCGCACGCUUCCACAAACACAAACUCCGAACUGGCACGCCUAACUACCUCCGUCGGUAUCGAUAUCGUAGCCAGAUGAACCUGAUGGUCACCGAGAUCAAGGAAUUGAGCGCCAUUCUUUACCAUGGUGUUAGUGCAUUUCUAACCGGUCCUCUAUAACCGGUUAGAGAAGUAAAGAUUCGAUUUUAUUUCUUUAACUAUUACCUAGCCGAUUCCCAAUCCGUCAAGGGAGUAGAAAUUAUACUCAGCCACGGCGAAUUUUUCUAUGUUUACUCCACCGUCUUGCGGCUGAGUAAAAGUCACGCCUCUCCUCCAUUGCCUGUCCACGCCGCAUAUGUGCCAGCGCCGCCCCUCCUAUCCCCGCCGGCACUGGCACGUCGUUGUCGAUGCUCUGUAGGCUCCGCCACUAUCCUCGACCACUUGGAUUUGUGCCUCCUCUUCCCGUCGCCGGCACAGAACCGAUGGAUCUGCGGCUGCAGGCGUUGCCGCCGGGUUUGACGUUUCUGGCCGCAGGCGACUGCGCCUUGCCAUGGAUUGGUCGGGAAUCGGACCGCACAGCCCCAGCAAUGCCUCCGUGCCGCAUGCAAGUAUCGGCUCCUCUUCUAGACACUCGAAUCUCUCCUGUCAGCGGUUCGUCGGUGAAGACACGCCUGGUCGUCGCCCGGGCUCAGUGCUGGCUCGUCGGCUCGCAGUUGCCAGUAAUACAGUGCGACGACUGCUCGCGGCAAGUGGUGCACCGAGUUCCUACCACGCCGCAACAAUCCAGAUAAGUGUUGUUCAAGUGCAAAAGUAAUGGGGUAUGUGUUUCUUUUUAUUCGGUUGUUCACCGGAUUCGGCGCAAUUUCGGUAGCUCAUUGUUUGCUGAAAUUUGUGUGUAUGAUGGAUGCAAGUUUGAUAGCACGAAAAUUGAUAGAUGUGCGUGUACUCAUUGCUAUAAUAGAGGCUAGAGAUGAGAUUAGAUACGAAGCAACGUCUACUUCUUUAGAAUCGAAGAAGAAAAAAAUGUGCAAGCUCGAGAAGCCGCGGAUCAACAAUGAAGACAUAGAGAAGAUAUUAGUCCAACUAGUGGGAGCAGUUACGGAAAUUACAUAGCUUUUAAAAUGUCUAAUUGUGAUUCUUAUUUUCUUUGGUCUUCUCUCGUAGCGAAGAAUUGGUGAAUUAUGUACUCCAAUGUAUCAAAAUGUCGUUGAAUAAAAACAAAGCAAAGAAAUGUGUUUCAGUGGCCGAAAAUGAAAUGCAAAUGAUUUUUUUACUCCGUUAUAUAUAGGGGAUCGAUUAGGUUCUACCAAAACUUAGUGAGUAAAUUUACUUCACUAUAUUGGAAUUUUGCUAGUAGGCCUUUGUCCCAAAGCCCAACUAAAAUUCUGAAAUUCUCUUGGCCCAUUCAUGCACACAUAUGAGUGGAGUGAGUGAGUACGGAAUAUACCACCCUCGAGUUUAGGGUUUUUCGCCUCUGGCGGCGACUCCCAUCGUCGCCUAGAGUUUUACUCGGAUCUACCGCCGAUUUGAUCCUUCGCUCGAGCCCGCCCUGGUGCUGGCUAACGGGGGGAGAGAUCGGCUAGCUGUUUGGCCUGGUUUUUUGAUUUGGUGAGCUAUUUCGAGGGAUAACCCUAGAUGGCGGCUGAAGCAGGAUCGUCUUCCGCGGGAUGGUCGGGGAAGAAGCUAGAGGAGAUGCUGCAGCACUUGGACCUCAAAGACGAUGAGCUGUAUGAUGUGAUCGUGGGGGGAGGAGGAAACCAAGAAGUACGCAGCAGAUGCGCGUUGGCUGGUGAUCGGGAAGGUUAACAUGACCCGGCAGUUUAGUUCAUCAUCGAUGUUUGAGACCAUGAAAUCCAUCUGGGGAUUAGCACAAGUGCCAAAGUACAGAGAAGCGGGUGAAAAUCUUUAUAUCUUCCAGAUGUUCUACUUAGCAGAUUGGAAGAAAGUUGUCCAUGGAGGACCCUGGUUAUUCCGGGGGAUGGGUAUGCUCAUUGAGGAUUAUGAUGGUAAGCAAGAUCCAGCAUCUUUCGUCUUCGAUGGUUUGUAUGUCUGGGCGCAGAUCCACAAUAUACCAGAAUUGUAUCGCAAGAUCGAGGUGGUUGAUCAACUAGCUCGGCGAAUCGAUCGAGUUAAGGAAACACAACUCUCACCUAGACUCUUCUACGAGGGUGACUACGUACGGGUCUGUGCUAGGGUUUUGGUCAAUAAACCCCUGACGAGAGUGACUCCGCUGAAUGUGACAGGUGAGGGCAGGAAACUCCUACCUGUUAAGUAUGAGAAGAUACCAUAUUUCUGCAAAGUUUGCGGUCUCAUGGGUCACAACCACGAGGAGUGUGGAGAUGGAGUUUGGGAGGCAAAAUACAAGCAAUGGGGAGGUUGGAUGUUGGCGCAGCGAAGUGAGGUACCUCGGGAGCAGCUAGGUGGCCGAGCUCCUCGAGGAGGCAGGUUCGGAGGCUGGGGCAGAGGUAGAUCAGGCCGGGGUGCUGCACCACCCCGCCAACCAUCUCCAGUGCGUAAACGCUCAUCACAGGAGGCGGGUCUUGACUCGGACGUAGAAGAGGGAGAAGAAGAUGAUGUUAACAGCCCCUUGAAACCGAGCUAUGCUGAGGGGAAGGAGCAAGAAGAACCAUUGGGGGCCCGUAGGAAUCUGGAUUUUGGCCAAACCAAUGACAUACAUGGCCAAGACCAGCAGCCACAGGGAUCUGAGGCGGGCAUGACAGCACUGGGUGAUAAGAGUCAGGCUUUGGUAAUCAUCCCUCCACUACCCGCACAGUAUGUAUCUCCCAGAGAAGCAAAAAAGGCAAAGACAACAACUUCACCAAAGAAGCAGAACACAAACAAGAUGGCAUCAUUGAGGGCUCUGACGCGGGGCGCCGCCAGGCCCAAUGAAAAUAUUAAGCUGGAACUGCCGCGGGAUAGGCGAUCCCGCGACAGUUCGUGAGCUCCGCAAUCUCGUGGAGAUUAGCUCGCCAACUAUCUUAUGUUUAGUUGAAACUCAAUUGCAAAAGAGUCAUGUGGAAGGUCUUCGGACAUCUUCAGGUUUUGAUUUCAGUUUUGGAGUAGGGAGUAGUGGCCGCAGUGGCGGCCUUUGUAUCUUUUGGAAGAACUCUUUGGAUGUUGAAAUAAAAAAUUAUUUUGAGUAUCAUGUUGACACCUGGGUCACGGAACCUGGGAAGGAGCAAUGGAGGAUGACAUGCUUUUAUGGGGAAGCGACCAGGAGCUUCUGCUACAAGACAUGGAAUACUAUGAAACUCUUGAGAGGGGAGAGCACCCUCCCAUGGAUGUGCAUAGGCGAUUUUAACGAGAUUUUGCAGCCUGAAGAGCAACACGGCCCCAAUGAGCGUGACAGCUCUCAGAUCGAAGCUUUUCGGGAAGCGGUGGACGUGUGUGGUCUAGCGGAUUUGGGUUACCGUGGUUUGGACUGGACUUGGGAGAAGAAGGUAGUCGGAGGACAUUACUGUCGCGUUCGGCUGGAUAGAGUUUUGGCAUCACCUUGCUGGUCUAACCUUUUCCUGUUUGCCUCAGUUGAGCAUCUUACCGCAGCAAAGUCGGAUCACUGCCUGAUCCUUUUGCAGACUGACCUGAAUGCUACAUGUGUGUGUGCAAAACAGAAACAAUUUUGCUGUGAGUGUGUGUGGGAGCGGGACACACGUUUUGGCGACAUGCUUACUGAGGCAUGGAAUUCAACAGGAAGAGCACAUAACAGUCACAGAAUUGUCAGACAAGUUGGCGUCGGUAGCUGGAAGGCUGCAACGCUAGGGACAGACCACUUUUGGUGCAGUCCGGGCUGAACUCCGCCGUCUAUGCAAGCAACUUGAGGAGUUGCGUCCGCUCCCCAAUCGCACAGGACCGUCGGCUGAAGAGGAGCGGGUGGAAACCUGCAUGAUAGAACUAUGUCUGAGGGAGGAGAUCAUGUGGCGUCAGAGGGCUCGAAUCUAGUGGCUUGCGAAAGGAGACAGCAACACCAAGUUUUUUCACCGCAAGGCGAGCGCGCGAAAGGCAAAGAAUCGCAUUGCCGAGCUGCAAUGGCCGGAUGGUUCUACCUGCACAGACGAGCAAGACAUGGCGGACAUGGCCACAUCCUUUUACAUCAACAUGUAUGCCUCAGAAGCAACGGUGGGCAUUGAGGAAGUUCUUUCGCAUAUACCCUCAAGAGGGACGCUUCUAUGAACGCCUCACUAAAUGCACAGAAUACCAACGCCUAGGUAAAAACUGCUUUGUUUCAGAUGUUCCCGACCAAGGCUCUAGGGCCUGACGGUUUCCCUACACGCUUUUUUCAACAGCACAGGGAGUUUUGUGGUGAUGAGGUUACUGCUAUGGUGCUCCGAGUUCUAAACGGAGAGGAUUCCCCGAAGGAGAUUAACAAAACGUUCAUUGUUUUAUUUCCCAAGAUUGCGAGCCCAAAAAAUUUAGCACAGUUUCGACCGAUAAGCCUUUGCAAUGUGAUCUAUAAGAUUGCAUCCAAGGCAUUGGCAAAUCGGCUCAAGCUUAUUCUCCCCCAUGUCAUCUCUGAAGAACAGUCAGCAUUUGUACCAGGACGUCUUAUUACGGACAACUUCAUUUCAGCCUACGAAUGUCUCCACUAUAUGAAAACAAGGAAGCUGAAGGGCAACACGUACUGUGCCUUAAAACUCGAUAUGAUGAAGGCUUAUGACAGGCUCGAAUGGAACUAUUUGGAGAGAGUUAUGCUCAAACUGGGAAUCAACCCACGUUUCACAUAGACAGUUAUGAGGUGUGUCACAUCUGUGUCUUUUUCGGUCAUCUUCAACGGUGGCAAACAGGAGGAGUUCAGGCCCUCCCGUGAUCUCAGACAGGGUUGCCCUAUAUCCCCAUAUCUAUUUCUAUUGGCUGCUGAGGGGCUCUCAUGUCUUCUGAAAUCCACGAGACCUGACGAGAGUGUGAAUGGAAUCACGGUGGCGGCUGGUGCACCACAGGUAAAUCACUUGCUUUUUGCAAAUGACAGCCUUCUAUUUUUCAAUGCUACACCGGAGAUGGCAAAUAGAGUGGAUACCCUUCUUCAAAGGUACUGUGCGGCAUCAGAGCAGCGCAUCAACAAGGAGAAAUCCUCCAUUUUCUUUAGUAAGGGUUGCUCUGAAUCCUCGAGGCAAGAGAUCAAACAACUUCUCCAAGUUCAAAAUGAGAAGCUCUCCGAAAAGUACCUUGGACUCCCUGCCGACGUGGGAAGAGCUAAGGAGGGGUCUUUCAAAUAUUUGAAGGACAGGAUCUGGAAGCAAGUACAAGGCUGGAUGGAGAAGGCACCUUCUAUUGGAGGGAAGGAGGUGCUCGUCAAGUCCGUGGCACAAGCAAUCCCGACAUAUUCCAUGGCCUGUUUUAAGCUCCCACGAGGCUUGUGCCAACACAUCAAUGGUUUCUUGAGGAAGUUUUGGUGGGGAUCAAAAAAUGGCGAGAGGAAAACGGCUUGGGUCUCCUAGGACGAAGUGAUGACGCAGCCGAAAUUUAUGGGGGGCAUGGGAUUCGUGACAUUGAACUCUUUAAUCUAGCCCUGCUUGCGCGGCAAGCUUGGCGUCUCCUCCAGGAACCAAAUUCCCUGAGCGCUCGAAUUCUCAAGGCUGUUUAUUAUCCUACAUCAUCGAUCCUUGAAGCCGAGCUUGGCAGGAAUCCAUCACAAGUCUGGCGCUCUCUGAUAGAAGGCCGAGACACAUUACAGCUUGGUCUCGUGAAACGUAUCGGCUCCGGCGAGGACACCAACAUUUGGGUGGAUAACUGGAUACCACGAGAUUUUAAGCUCCGACCUGUGUGCCCGAAGAUGACUAAUCCUCCACAUAUGCUGUCAGAACUCAUCAACCCGGUCACCUCUUCCUGGGAUGUCGAUGUGCUUGAAACGCACCUCUAUGCAAUGGACAAGGAAGCAAUCCUCAACAGCCCUCUCAGCUCUCGAGUCCGUGAUGAUUUCUGGGCGUGGCAUUAUGAACGCAAGGGCGUUUUCACGGUGAGGUCGGCAUACAAACUUUUGUCCUCCACAAAACAGCAGCGCACAGAUUGGCUUGAACACACUGAGGGGCACUCGUGGGCCGCUGCAGAUCGCCGGUCUUGGUCCAGACUAUGGGGUGCCGCAGUUCCCUCGAAAGUACGGGUCUUCACCUAGAGGUUGGCCAAGAGCUCGAUCCCAACUGGAUAUGUCCGAAAACAUCAAAGUAUGGCUGAUUCAGCGGAGUGCGCCAUCUGUCACGCGGCGGUCAAUACACGGCGUCAUUCCCUCUUUGAUUGCCGCAUGGCUCGCUGUGUUUGGGCCCUCACUGAGGAGGAUUUGACGGAAACAAUCAUAUCAAAUAGGGAGAAGGAUGCCAAGCUUUGGAUGCUAUGGUUGGUUGAUACCCUACCUUUGGCCGACCUAGCACGGGUAUUGGUGACAAUGUGGGCCAUAUGGUGGGCGAGACGCCGAGCCAUCCAUGACGACCAGUACCAGAGCCCACUAAGUACCCAUAUUUUCAUUGACAAGUUUCUAGCGGAGCUCGAGAUGAUGCCGCACAAGAAAUCACGCCCCAAGGACCUACAUGUAACUUCAGGGGACCUGCAUGUGAUUUCCAGGGACCUGCAUGUGACUAGAAGUGGCCAUGGGGAUUCGCCAUCGCAUGCGUGGCUCCCGCCUGAGCACCAUGAUGUUAAGAUGAAUGUUGAUGUAGGCUUUUCGAAGAUCGGCGACCGUGCAGCUGCAGCAGUGAUAUGCAGGGACAAACGAGUAAACUUCCUGGGUGCCUCGGCCAUCAUCUAUGAAGGCCGCCUCGAUCCAACUAUACUCGAAGCACAGGCAUGUUGCGAGGCCCUCUCUCUCGCCUCGGAUUUGCAGGUUCAUUCCAUAUGUGUGGCCUCAGACUGCUUGGAGGUAGUGAUGAACAUACAAGAUGAAGUUCCCUGCCGAUAUUUUUCUAUCUUACAAGAUAUCAAGCACCAGAGGAGUCAAUUCCAGGAUGUAAAGUUUCUCCAUGAGAGUAGGAAACAUAACGGAGAAGCACAUGCCUUAGCAAAGGCAGCUGCCUCUCUUAGCCUCGGGCGCCAUGUGUGGCUUAGUUUUUGCCCGAUAUCAUCUGUAUCUCCAUGUGUGUGAACUUUUAAUAAAGGGUGCAGUUGCUCAAAAAAAUGAGUGGAGUGAGUGAGACUAAAGUUUAGUCCCACCCAGGAAGUUGAGAGAGAGUUGCACCUCUUUAUAAGAUGAGCUCUUCUACCACUUGUAUGAGCAUGAGAAGAGGAUACCUACACGCGCGCUCCUCCUCCUCCUCGCCAUGCCGCGCCGCACCGCGCCGCGGGAUUGAGCCGAGCCAAGGACAGAGCUAUGCACAUUGUCUAUAUUUUUGCUGCUCGGGAAAAUUAAUGAUUAACAGAUGCAUUAAUUACUGAACCGUUUUCAAUUCUUUUGGAUCGUGACGACUCGAACGUGGGGUUUACUCCCACGACCUACCCGGCCCGCACUAUAUAGUCAGGCAGACGUCUACCCUAGCCGCCGCUGCUUCAUAUGGUUUCUGACCACCAUUCUAGAUCAUUGUGCCGCCAAGCAAGUCUUCUCCAUCCCUCCUUUUGGCGUGCAUGGGGAGAAGGGACAGCAAGCCUCCGGAACCCCGCCUCUCGUGGUCCUGUACGGGAGAGGGGCGACAAGGUUUUUGGGGAGCGCACUUUCAUGAUUGCUGGCAGCGACGACUUCGUGAAUGACAACCUCUUCCCCAACCUCGGCAACCUCAUCCUCGACGACAUGGGCGACAACAUCAACGCCGGCGGUGCUGCUCCCGCUGCAUCGUAUGUGCUUCUAUCCUUCCUGUUCGAGAUCGUGGUAGAAUUCAUGUUUCUAGUAUGUGCCCUAGAUGUCAUCUAUUCAUCUACUAUGCUAGUUCGCAUGAUUAGUUUAAUCUCUGCUAUUGCUGUCAUGAUUUAUCUUUUGUUCAUUUGGAUUAAAUCUCGUAGUAAUUUGCUCAUAUUUCCAAUAAUCUAAAAACCUGAUUAUAGGCAAUUUACUCCGAGUGGUUUUGCUGCGCAUCUGAAGCCGCCUGUCUUUAAGGGGGCGCAAUAUAAGAGGUGGCGCACGAGAGCAGUCUACUGGUUUCAGACCAUGGGCUGCUAUGAUGCCACCAAGGGCAAGUCUGAAGGCAAUCUUAAUCCAGCACAGCUGGAAGCUUUUGAGAAGAUCGAUAUUCUCUUUAAAGGCUCUCUUCUGAGUGUUCUUGAUGACUCCAUUGUGGAUUCGUAUAUGUCGUUUGACAACGGCAAGGACAUGUGGGCUGCGCUCGAGGCCAAGUUUGGUGCCUCGGACGCCGGCAGCGAGUUGUACGUCAUGGAGCAAUUCUAUGACUACAAGAUGAAUGAUGAGUGCUCUGUUGUACAGCAGGCUCAUGAGAUACAGUCGCUCGCAAAAGAACUUGAGUACUUCAAGUGUGUGUUGCCAGACAAAUUUGUUGCCGGAGGUAUCAUUGCCAAGCUUCCACCUUCUUGGAACAAUUUUGCUACUUCCCUGAAACACAAGAGACAGGAGUUUUUCGUUGCAGAUCUCAUUGGUACUCUUGAUGUUGAAGAGAAGGCGAGAGCAAAGGACACACGUGCUCGAGUUGCUGAGGGAGCUUCUAGCGCCCACAUGGUACAGAAGAAGAACUUCCAGCCCAACAAGUUCAAAACAACAAGAACAAAACUUAGGGCAAAGGCAAGUUUGAUACAAAGAACAAGCCGUCACAUUCUACCAACUUCAAGAAGAAUUCUCAUAAGAAAGGGAAGGGACUUUUUCAUGUCUGCGGUGAUCCUAAUCACUGGGCUCCAAAAUGUCCUAAUCGCUUUGAGGAGCGCAAACAUGAGAAGAGCGGUGAUACGUCUCCGUCGUAUCUAUAAUUUUUGAUUGUUCCAUGCCAAUAUUAUUCAACUUUUAUAUACUUUUGGCAACUUUUUAUACUAUUUUUUGGGACUAACAUAUUGAUCCAGUGCCCAGUGAUAGUUCCUGUCUAUUGCAUGUUUUUUGUUUCGCAGAAACCCAAUAUCAAACGGAAUCCAAACGGGAUAAAAACGGACGGAGAUUUUUUUUGGAAUAUUUAUGAUUUUUGGGAAGUAAAAUCAACGCAAAACGGUGUCCGGGGUGGCCACGAGACAAGGGGCGCGCCCUCCCCCCGGGUGCGGCCUGGGCUCUCCUGGGCCACCCGUAAGGCGGUUGAAGCUCUUCUUUUGGCGCAAGAAAGCUAAUUUUAUGAGAAAGAUCUGGGCGAAAGAUUCAUCCCAAUCGGAGUUACAGAUCUCCAGAUAUAAAGGAAAUGGUGAAGGGGUAGAAUCUGAGAACGCAGAAACAGAGAGAUAGAUCCAAUCUCGGAGGGGCUCUCGCCCCUCCCAUGCCAUGGGAGCCAAGGACCAGAGGGGAAACCCUUCUCCCAUCUAGGGAGGAGGUCAAGGAAGAAGAAGAAGAAGGGGGUCCUCUCCCCCUUGCUUUCGGUGGCGCCGGAACGCCGCCGGGGGCCAUCAUCAUCACCGCGAUCUUCACCAACAACUUCACUGCCUUCAUCACCAACUUUUCCUCCCUCUAUGCAGCGGUGUAACCUCUCUCUUACCCGCUGUAAUCUCUACUUAAACAUGGUGCUCAACGCUAAUAUUAUUUCCCAAUGAUGUAUGGCUAUCUUAUGAUGUUUGAGUAGAUCCGUUUUGUCCUAUGGGUUAAUUGAUGAUCGUGAUUGGUUUGAGUUGCAUGUUUUAUUAUUGGUGUUGUCCUAUCGUGCCCUCCGUGUCACGCAAGCGUGAGGGAUUCCCGUUGUAGGGUUUGCAAUAUGUUUAUGAUUUGAUUAUGGUGGGUUGCGUGAGUGACUGAAACACAAACCCGAGUAAGUAGGUUGUUGGCGUAUGGGAUAAAAGGGGACUUGAUACUUUAAUGCUAUGGUUGGGUUUUACCUUAAUGAAUCUUUAGUAUUUGCGGAUGCUUGCUAGAGUUCCAAUCAUAAGUGCAUAUGAUCCAAGUAGAGAAAGUAUGUUGGCUUAUGCCUCUCCCUCAAAUAGAAUUGCAACAGUGAUUACCGGUCUAGUUAUCGAUUGCCUUGGACAAAUAACUUUCUUGUAACAAAAAGCUCUCUACUAAUACUUACUUUAGUUGUGUCUUUAUCUAAACAGCCCCUACUCUUUACUUACGUGCUCUUUAUUGUCUUGCAAACCUAGCCUAUCACACCUACAAAGUAUUUCUAGUUUCAUACUUGUUCUAGGUAAAGCGAACGUCAAGCGUGCGUAGAGUUGUAUCGGUGGUCGAUAGAACUUGAGGGAAUAUUUAUUCUACCUUUAGCUCCUCGUUGGGUUCGACACUCUUACUUAUUGAAAACUGCUACGAUCCCGUAUACUUGCGGGUUAUCAAGACCUUUUUCUGGCGCCGUUGCCGGGGAGUCAUAGCGUGGGGUGAAUAUUCUCGUGUGUGCUUGUUUGCUUUAUCACUAAGUAAUUUUUAUUUGCUGUUCCUAGUUGUUCUCUAUCUUUAGUUAUGGAUAUGGAACACAAAAUACCAAAAAAAUUAGAGGUACUUGCUACUCAUGUAGAUGGGGUAACUCCUAAAACCCCCGAUUCUCAUUAUGUGAGAGAUAUUAUGUACUACUUUGAUAAUCCUGAGAAAACUCCAUUCAACUUUAUAAUGGGAGACACGUUGGAUCAACGUGAAUACUUUAGGGAUUAUCGCUCGACACAAAAAGGGAAACUAUUAUGGGAUCAAUUUAUUAUGUUGCGUUGGUAUGCCUGGAAUCUAUGCUUGAGAUAUGAUAUUACUUGUUGCUCUAGGAUGGAGUCUCCACACCUCCCCUUUUCAUGCAAAUUUAACGAUAAUGAAACCUUAGCUUCUUAUGCUAAUGGUAUAUAUGAUUACUAUGAUGUGGAACAAAUAGAAGAAUUUGUUGCUUUUAAGGCUGCUUAUGAAAUUGAAUCUUUGUUUGAGAAGUAUGAAGCUUUAGAUGAUGAUGCUUAUAGGCCUGAAAAUCUUGCUAUACUUGGAUAUUGCUAUGAAAAUUAUGAAUACAAUUACUAUAUUAAUGCAUUUAUUAAGGAAGUCUCCGCUGUCCAAGAAGAGACUAAUAUUUUGCAGGAAGCUAUGGAAGAAGAAAUUGAUGAAACAGUGAGCUCAUUGGAUGAAAAAGAUGAUGAGGAGAGCGAAGAACAAAAGGAGGAAGAGCGGAUUAGCUACCCGUGCCCACCUUCUAAUGAGAGUAACCCUCCAACUCAUACAUUAUUUAAUUCCCCUUCGUGCUUACCGAAGGAUGAUUGCUAUGAUCCCUUGAAUUUGUUUGAAAUACCCUUUUUGAUGAUGCUUGCUAUGCUUGUGGCCAAGAUGCCAAUAUGAAUUAUGCUUAUGGAGAUGAACUUGCUAUAGAUCCUUAUGUUAAACAUGAAAUUGUUGCUAUUGCACCCACGCAUGAUAAUCCUAUUGUCUUUUUGAAUUCUCCAAACUACACUAUAUCGGAGAAUUUUGUGCUUACUAAGGAUUAUAUUGAUGGGUUGCGUUUUACUACUUUACUUGAUGAUUUUAAUAGAUAUAAUAUGCAUGUGCUUGCUGCUCCUACUUGCAAUUAUUAUGAGAGAGGAACUACAUCUUCGCCUCUUUAUGUUUCCAACACAAUAGAAUUGCAAGAAACUGCUUAUACUAUGCAUUGGCCUUUACUUGGUGUGCAUGAAUUGUUCUUUUAUAACAUGUCGAUGCAUAGGAAGAGAGUUAGACUUCGUUGUUGCAUGAUAUAUGUUACUUUGUGCUCACUACUAAAUUACAAAUCAUUGUUAAUUAAAAUUGGCUUUGAUAUACCUUAGGAUUCGGGUGGAUUCAUUACUUGAGCACUAAAUGCCUAGCUUAAUGGCUUUAAAGAAAGUGCUGCCAGGGAGACAACCCGGAAGUUUUAGAGAGUCAUUUAUUUCUGUUGAGUGCUUUCAUAUAGUUUAAAAACACAAAAAUAAAGAGGGGAACCUAAAAACUUUUCAAAAAGGAAAGUGAAAGUGAGAAAGACAAGCAUUGUUGAAGUGGGAGCUAGCCUUGGACUUUGUUCAUGCUCACGGAAACUUUGUGAAUCUUGAUUACAGAAACUUUUCAACAAAAAUAAUUACCCCCUUGUACAUUUCCAUUGUAUUAUAAAAAUAAUGUGCCAAGGUUUGCCUUUAGGAUGUUUACAAUGCUUGUUGGUUUGUAAGGUGCUGGACAGAAACUUUGGCUGUAGUACGCGAUUUUAGAUUUUUAACUGGAACGUCAAUUGGUUCUGAUUCCUUUUUCACUGUCUUGCUAUACAACUUGUUUAUUUUUCCUAAUUUUGGUAGAAUUUUUAGGGUACCAGAAGUAUGGUGGAUGUUCAGAUUGCUACAGACUGUUCUGUUUUUGACAGAUUCUGUUUUUGAUGCAUAGUUUGCUUGUUUUGGUGAAUCUAUCAAUUUAUAUCAGUGGAUUAAGCCAUGAAAAAGUUAUAUUACAGUAGACACAAUGCAAAAACGAAAUAUGAAUUGGUUUGCAACAGUACGUAGAGUGGUGAUUUGCUUUAUUAUACUAACGGAUCUUACCGAGUUUUCUGUUAAAGUUUUGUGUGGAUGAAGUGUCUAAACGAGGAGGUCUCGAUAUGAGGAAAAGAAGAGAGGCAAGAGCUCAAGCUUGGGGAUGCCCGAGGCACCCCAAGUAAAUAUUCAAGGAGACUCAAGCGUCUAAGCUUGGCGAUGCCCCGGAAGGCAUCCCCUCUUUCUUUAACAAGUAUCGGUAUGUUUUCAAAUUCGUUUCGUUCAUGCAUUAUGUGCAAGUCUUGGAACGUCUUUUGCAUUUAGUUUUAAUUUUUCUUUUAUGCACCGUGCUGGUAUGAGAUAGUCCUUGGUUGAUUUAUAGAAUGCUCAUUGCACCUCACUUAAAUCUUUUGAGUAUGGCUUUAUAGAAUGCUUCAUGUGCUUCACUUAUAUCAUUUGAAGUUUGGAUUGCCUGUUUCUCUUCACAUAGAAAACCGCCAUUUGUAGAAUGCUCUUUUUCUUCACUUAUAUUUGUUAGAGCAUGGGCAAUCUUUUGUAGAAAGAAUUAAACUCUCUUGCUUCACUUAUAUCUUUUUAGAGAGAUGACAGGAAUUGGUCAUUCACAUGGUUAGUCAUAAAAUCCUACAUAAAACUCGUAGAUCGCUGAAUAUGAUAUGUUUGAUUCCUUGCAAUAGUUUUGCGAUAUAAAGGUGGUGAUAUUAGAGUUAUGCUAUUGGGUGACUGUGGGUUAGUAGAAACACUUGUGUUGAGGUUUGUGAUUCCCGUAGCAUGCACGUAUGGUGAACCGCUUUGGGAUGAAGUUGGAGCACAAUUUUAUUUAUUGAUUGUCUUCCUUAUGAGUGGCGGUCGGGGACGAGCGAUGGUCUUUUCCUACCAAUCUAUCCCCCUAGGAGCAUGCGCGUAGUACUUUGUUUUCAAUGGCUUGUAGAUUUUUGCAAUAAGUAUAUGAGUUCUUUAUGACUAAUGUUGAGUCCAUGGAUUAUACGCACUCUCACCCUUCCAUCAUUGCUAGCCUCUUCGGUACCGUGCAUUGCCCUUUCUCACCUCGAGAGUUGGUGCAAACUUCACCGGUGCAUCCAAACCCCGUGAUACGAUACUCUCUAUCACACAUAAACCUCCUUAUAUCUUCCUCAAAACAGCCACCAUACCUACCUAUCAUGGCAUUUCCAUAGCCAUUCCGAGAUAUAUUGCCAUGCAACUUCCAUCAUCAUCAUAUACAUGACUUGAGCAUUCAUUGUCAUAUUGCUUUGCAUGAUCGUAAGAUAGCUAGCAUGAUGUUUUAAUGGCUUGUCCGGUUUUUGAUGUCAUUGCUAUGCUAGAUCAUUGCACAUCCCGGUACACCGCCGGAAGCAUUCAUAUAGAGUCAUAUCUUUGUUCUAGAUAUUGAGUUGUAAGUAAAUAAAAGUGUGAUGAUCAUCAUUAUUAGAGCAUUGCCCCCAGUGAGGAAGGAUGAUGGAGACUAUGAUUCCCCCACAAGUCGGGAUGAGACUCCGGACUUUAUGAAAAAUAAAAGAGGCCAAAGAAGCCCAAAUAGAAAAAAAAGGCCAAAGAAGCCCACCAAAAAGAAAAAAAGAAAAAAAAAUAAGGAAAAAAGAGAAAAUAAAAAAUGAGAGAAACAGAGAGAAGGGGCAAUGUUACUAUCCUUUUACCACACUUGUGCUUCAGAGUAGCACCAUGUUCUUCAUAGAGAGAGUCUAGUAUGCUUUCACUUUCAUGGGAAUUUUCAUUAUAGAACUUGGCUUGUAUAUUCCGAUGAUGGGCUUCCUCAAAUGCCCGAGGUCUUCAUGAGCAACAAAGUUGGAUGCACACCCACUUAGUUUCAGUUUGAGCUUUCAUACACUUAUAGCUCUAGUGCAUCCGUUGCAUGGCAAUCCCUACUCACUCACAUUGAUAUCUAUUGAUGGGCAUCUCCAUAGCCCGUUGAUACGCCUAGUUGAUGUGAGACUUUCUCCCUUUUUGUCUUCUCCACAUAACCUCCACCAUCAUAUUCUAUUCCACCUAUAGUGCUAUAUCCAUGGCUCACGCUCAUGUAUUGCGUGAAAGUUGAAAAAGUUUGAGAUUAUUAAAGUAUGAAACAAUUGCUUGGCUUGUCAUCGGGGUUGUGCAUGAUUAAAUACUUUGUGUGAUGAAGAUAGAGCAACAGCCAGACUAUAUGAUUUUGUAGGGAUAACUUUCUUUGGCCAUGUUGUUUUGAAAAGACAUGAUUGCUUUAUUGGUACGCUCGAAGUAUUAUUGUUUUUAUGUCAAAUGACAGACUAUUUCUUUGAAUCACUCGUGUCUUAAUAUUCAUGCCAUGAUUAGACAUGUGGUCAAGAUUAUGCUAGGUAGCAUUCCACAUCAAAAAUUAUCUUUUUUAUCAUUUACCUACUCGAGGACGAGCAGGAAUUAAGCUUGGGGAUGCUGAUACGUCUCCAUCGUAUCUAUAAUUUUUUAUUGUUCCAUGCCAAUAUUAUUCAACUUUUAUAUACUUUUGGCAAUUUUUAUACUAUUUUUUGGGACUAACAUAUUGAUCCAGUGCCCAGUGCCAGUUCUUGUCUGUUGCAAGUUUUUUGUUUCGCAAAAACCCAAUAUCAAACGGAGUCAAACGGGAUAAAAACGGACGGAGAUUUUUUUUGGAAUAUUUAUGAUUUUGGGAAGUAAAAUCAACGCGAAACGGUGUCCGGGGUGGCCACGAGACAGGGGGCGCGCCCUCUCCCCUGGGCGUGGCCUGGGCUCUCGUGGGCCACCCGUAAGGCGGUUGACGCUCUUCUUUUGGCGCAAGAAAGCUAAUUUUAUGAGAAAGAUCUAGGUGAAAGAUUCACCCCAAUGGGAGUUACGGAUCUCCAGAUAUAAAGGAAACGGUGAAGGGGUAGAAUCUGAGAACGCGGAAACAGAGAGAUAGAUCCAAUCUCGGAGGGGCUCUCGCCCCUCCCACGCCAUGGGAGCCAAGGACCAGAGGGAAAACCCUUCUCCCAUCUAGGGAGGAGGUCAAGGAAGAAGAAGAAGAAGGGGGACCCUCUCCCCCUUGCUUCUGGUGGCGCUGGAACGCCACUGGGGGCCAUCAUCAUCACCGCGAUCUUCACCAACAACUUCACCGCCUUCAUCACCAACUCUUCCUCCCUUUAUGCAGCGGUGUAACCUCUCUCUUACCCGCUGUAAUCUCUACUUAAACAUGGUGCUCAAUGAUAUAUUAUUUCCCAAUGAUGUAUGGCUAUCUUAUGAUGUUUGAGUAGAUCCGUUUUGUCCUAUGGGUUAAUUGAUGAUCGUGAUUGGUUUGAGUUGCAUGUUUUAUUAUUGGUGUUGUCCUAUCGUGCCCUCCAUGUCGCGCAAGCGUGAGGGAUUCCCGCUAUAGGGUUUGCAAUAUGUUUAUGAUUUGCUUAUGGUGGGUUGCGUGAGUGACUGAAACACAAACCCGAGUAAGUAGGUUGUUGGCGUAUGGGAUAAAAGGGGACUUGAUACUUUAAUGCUAUGGUUGGGUUUUACCUUAAUGAAUCUUUAGUAUCUGCGGAUGCUUGCUAGAAUUCCAAUCAUAAGUGCAUAUGAUCCAAGUAGAGAAAGUAUGUUAGCUUAUGCCUCUCCCUCAAAUAGGAUUGCAACAGUGAUUACCGGUCUAGUUAUCGAUUGCCUUGGACAAAUAACUUUCUCGUAACAAAAAGCUCUCUACUAAUACUAGCUUUAAUUUGGGUGGUACUAUCACUGGCUGCCUCACAUGGUAUUCUCAUUCAUCAAAUGGAUGUUAAGACGGCUUUCCUCAAUGGAGAGUUGAAGGAGGAAAUUUACAUGGAUCAGCCAGAUGGUUUUGUAGUACUGGUCGGGAAUCAAAGGUGUGCAAGUUAUUAAAGUCUUUAUAUGGCCUUGAGCAAGCUCCUAAGGAGUGGCAUGAGAAGUUCGACAGAACAUUAACUACUGUCGGGUUUGUAGUAAAUGAUGGUGACAAGUGUGUGUACUAUCGCCAUGGUGGGGCGAAGGAGUUAUUCUUUAUCUGUAUGUCGAUGACAUACUGAUCUUUGGAACCAAACUUGAUCUAAUCAAGGACGUUAAGGAUUUCCUAUCUUGUUGUUUUGAGAUGAAGGAUCUAGGAGUAGCUGAUGUUAUCAUGAACAUCAAGAUGUUGAGAGAUGAGAAUGGUGGGAUCACACUACUUCAGUCUCAUUAUGUGGAAAAGAUCUUGAGUAGUUUUGGGUAUAGCGACUGCACGCCUUCUCCAACUCCAUAUGAUGCUAGUGUGUUGCUUCCAAAGAAUAGACGGAUUGCUAGAGAUCAACUGAGGUAUUCUCAGAUUAUUGGCUCGCUUAUGUAUUUGGUGAGUGCCACGAGGCCUGACAUCUCUUUUGCUCUGAGCAAGCUGAGUCGGUUUGUGUCAAAAUCGGGAGAUGAUCAUUGGCGUGCACUUGAGAGAGUUAUACGCUACUGGAAAGGCACUGCGAGCUAUGGGAUUCACUACACCGGGUAUCCAAGGGUACUGGAGGGUUAUAGUGACUCAAACUGGAUAUCUGAUGCUGAUGAGAUUAAGGCCACAAGUGGUUAUGUUUUUACACUGGUGGCGCUAUUUCCUGAAAGUCUUGCAAGCACACCAUCUUAACGAGGUCAACUAUGGAAGCAAAAUUCACAGCAUUAGACACUGCCACUGUUGAAGCAGAGUGGCUUCAUGAGCUCUUGAUGGACUUACCUAUGGUUGAAAAACCAAUACCCCCUAUCCUGAUGAACUGUGAUAAUCAAACUGUGAUCGUCAAGAUAAAAAGUUCUAAGGACAAUAUGAAGUCCUCAAGGCAUGUGAAGAGGAGACUAAAAUCUGUCAGAAAAUUGAGGAACUCCGGAGUUAUUAUGUUGGAUUAUAUCCAAACAACGAAAAACUUGGCAGAUCCCUUCACAAAGGGUUUAUCACAUAAUGUGAUAGAUAAUGCAUCAAUGGAGAUGGGUUUGAGACCCACCGCAUGAGUUGUCCAUAGUGGUAACCCACUCUAUAUGAUCGGACAUCCCGUGAAGUAGAAGUGGGAGACAAGCUGUUGGUCAGCUGAGAGGAGAGUAUCCCUAUUUUAAUUAUCCCACUCCAUGAAGAUGCAAUACUCUCCUGAUCUGCAUGGCAGGUUGAUAUUUAUCUUAAUCUGUUCCAAGUGCUUAUUUGAGUAAGCAGAGAUGUUGUCCUGCAGAGCAUCUCCUAAUGAACACACCUAUAUGAAUUUGACUGUUAAUGUCGUAGUCUGUGAGAAUUGGGUGUUCUCUAAUAAAUUCAUGAAAGGCCCUGGAGUAUGACGUAUAUGCUCCACCCGCGGGGAAGCCUUGCGACAGCCCAGUAUCGGUCAAGAAUUUGUGUGAAACUAAUUUCGCGGAAAACUUGUAGUUCAAGGCAUAGUCCACUAUUCAAGUUAUGAUCUAGUGUAGCAUAAAACUCUAAGUGCAAGUUCAACUUCACAGUCUCCACUAAGCACUGGUAUAUAAACAAUAUUUUGGAACUAAAUGAUGAGAUGUGCCAAUGAGACUUUGUGAGGGAUUGUUGGAAUUUUGCUAGUAGGCCUUUGGCCCAAAGCCUAACUAAAAUUUUGAAAUUCUCUUGGCCCAUUCAUGCACACAUAUGAGUGGAGUGAGUGAGACUAAAGUUUAGUCCCACCCCGGAAGUUGAGAGAGAGUUGCACCUCUUUAUAAGGUGAGCUAUUCCACCACUUAUAUGAGCAUGUGAAGAGGAGACCUACACGCGUGCUCGCAUCGCCACGCCAAUGCCUCGUCACGACGCGCCGCGCCGCGGGUUGCGGGAUUGAGCCGAGCCGAGGACAGAGCUAUGCACGUUGUCUAUAUUUUUGCUGCUCGGGAAAAUUAAUGAGUCAUUAUUUAAUAAUUAACGGACGCAUUAAUUACUGAACCGUUUCCGAUUCUUUUGGAUCGUGAUGAUUCGGAGUGGGGUUUACUCCCACGACCUACCCGGCCCACACUAUAUAGUCAGGCAGACGUCUACCCUAGCCGCCGCCGCUUCGUAUGGUUUCUCACCACCGUUCCAGAUCAUUGAGCUGCCAAGCAAGUCUUCUUCAUCCCUCCUUUCGGUGUGCAACUGGAGAAGGGACAGCAGGCCUCCGGAACCCCGCCUCUCGUGGUCCUGUACGGAAGAGGGGCGAUCAUGUUUUUGCAGGGCACACUCGCACGACUGCUGGCAGCAACGACUUCGCGAACGAUGACUUCUUCCCCGACCUCGGCAACCUCAUCCUCGAUGACAUGGGCGACAACGCCAACGCCGGCGGUGCUGCUCCCGCUGCACCGUAUGUGAUUCUAUCCUUCCUGUUCGAGAUCGUGGUACAAUUCAUGUUUCUAGUAUGUGCCCUAGAUGUGAUCUAUUCAUCUACUAUGCUAGUUCGCAUGAUUAGUUUAAUCUCUGCUAUUGCUGUCAUGAUUUAUCUUUUGUUCAUUCGGAUUAAAUCUUGUAGUAAUUUUGCUCAUAUUUCCAACACAGUAAGGGUUUACUCCACCGGAUACUUCACUAUUUAUUUGGGAUCAGUUAGAAAUGUCCUUGUACCUGCAGCCACCAGUCUUGAAGCUUCAUUGGAGUCAUUGGGUGAACCUGUGGAGCCGCCAAGGGAGAAGCAUGGCGAAUCGAAUGCAGCGGUCCGAAUGUUGCAGUUGACGAUGCGCGAGGCGACCAGCCUCUGCUACCUGUCUCUGAGUGCCAGCCAAAAAAAGACCUUGAUGUCCAAGAGUGCCCAAGAAUGCCAAAGCUCCGCCGCGCAGGGAGGGAAGACCCGGCCUAGGAACAUGGCCUAGUACGUAGAACUCGCUCUGUACUUCCCAUCUAACGGAAGCCUCCAACUCCAUGAGACAUCGUCUGGCACGGCAGUCAGCUGAACCUCCUCCUCGAAACAAGCUUUCGCCCCCGCUUUAUAUAUAUAACCAGCUGAACUUGCCUUACGGUGGCCCAAAGCUGUAGAAACUAAGUGAUCGGCGAAAUGGAGGGCGCAUCGCCAAUGUCACGAACCCAAAGGUCGUCGUUCAGUGCCUCUACCACACAGAGGUGGCGUGGUGUGUUCUUGUUCACAAAUUUCAGAAGAUCGGGGACAAGUUGCUCCAUUCCUAGUCCGUUCUGCCACCUAUCAAGUUCGUGAGCCACCUUAUUAGCUUCCCAAUUACAAUGUUUGAACCUAACAAAAGAGGAAAAACACAAGCUAAGAAAUAGCAAUCAUCGAACACUGUCGUCGCCGCUGCCGCCGAAUGUCCUUCAUUUUUCAUUGUGUCAAUCACCUCCAUAUUGUCAGAGCUAACGACAAGACGAUUGCAUCCCGCCCUCUGUGCAAGGGAUAGGCCGAACCUUAGAGCCAAAGCUUCUGCUGUUAAUACAUCCAAUAGUAUCCGACCCCUACCACCUAUAAAGAUUUUUCUAGCAUCUCAUAAAUUUGAUCAUUACUCUAUAAAAUCAGCAUUUAAUAAGCCAUGAAAGUGCAAAAAGGAUUGCGGAAGGAAAAUAAAAGCCUCAACUCGCAGUGUACAUUACAAACUUAAUUAUGUGAAAGCCUGAAAGAAACUGCAGAAAAUAAUGAUAUGAUGACAACAACUUGCAGAGUUAAUGGUACUUAUAAUUUUUUAAGUAGAUGCAUAGCGAUCACAAGCACUUAAAUCUACAUCAUCAAUCUGAUGAACAAAAAACUCAACAGAUGUGCAGACUAAACUAAAGACUUGACAUAAACCUAUUGAGGCGUGCCCUAUGUUCAUACUUAUUAGGUCCUAAACAAUGAUGUAAUUUGUACACAUCAUAAUAAGUGUAUUACAAAGUAAUAGUUGGAAGCUGCGUGCCCUAUGUUCAUACUUGUUAGGUGCCGAAGAACAAAAGCAUAUAUAAUGUGAACACCUAAAGACCACUAUCAAGACCCAUUCAUCCAAAGAUCUUAAGAAUCACAAGGGAAUGUUCAUUCUAAGGCGAAUCACAUUGAAUUUACAUAUCUAUUCGUUGUCAAACCAAAGCUAAUUGUUCUCCCUAAAAACAAAUAUCAAAAUCCUGAGGCGAGGCUUUAUGUAAUUCCGUUGUUGCCGUAUUAUAAUAAAAAAUGAAGAAAUGGCAACCAUUUUUUUUUACAAUUCCUGCAACGCAUCAGACUCUACAAAUUGAAGGAAAUAGAUGGUACUACUUACUUCAGCCCACACAUCUCCUUUGCACAAAAAACGGAAAUGUUCUCACAAUACCUGCAUGUCACAUACGUGUUUUAGCUCCAGGUAAUCCAAAUGCAGAAUUACAGGUAUUUCUUGUAUUUUCUAAGAUGAGUGGUGAUAAUUAAGGAAUCUAGCAGAACAUAUGUAAAUUAAAAGAAACACAUAUUUUUCCAAGUCUGCAUUGUGAAAAUAAAAGAUGUUUCAAAGACAUAUUUACACACGGAGAAAAAUUAGUCAUUGGAUACAGUUCCACAGUAUAAUCACUAACAAGUAAUAACAUGGUUCCCAAGUCUGACGGUUUGGAACAAACAAGUGAAGGUGUAAAAUCAGUGUCCUUAAUAUGUCAAAUUUCAUAGAGAAAUAAAUAAUAUGGGCAUUGAGUAAUAUAUCAAAGCAGGAACCAAAACUUUACCUCAUCAUUUUCCUCUAUCUAAGAGUUGUACUACAAUUGUUGAUUCAAAUAUCUCUCCCAUUUUGAUAAAAAAUAAUCUGAAAUAUUCCUAGUUAUUUUGCUUCAACUUAAUUGUUAUUCUAAAAAAUGUUGGUUACUUAUAUCGAUUCAAAGAGCUAUCAAGGUUUUCUUUACACAAUGGUAUCUUAUUAAUCUCCUCUUCCGGAAAUUGGUCAAUGCAUGCAUGAGCAGGAUAAAGUAGUUUCGAGUCUACAUUCAUAAAUUUAGCACUGAGUUAACAAACAUAUUAAAAAUCACCUGGGCAGGAAAUUAGUGGUCAGUGGCCAUGCCAGGUUUACCCUUCUGCGUCUUUGUUUAUUGCUCUUUGUAAAGCAGAAACAUUGCAAAACUGUGGUGUGAAAUGCUCCAUUAAUCUAGAUAGUUGGUUAUCGUUCUUGUUGCUUGCACAACUUCAGGCACAUGAUGUGUGCACAAAGAAAGAAUUGAGUGUCGACUAUUACAAAAAUCUCUAGAAAUAAAUAACAGAAAUCAACCACAACUUACUCACCAAUCUAUAGAAGAUUUAUUAUCUAUGCACAUUCGUUGAUCUAUUAGAAUCAUUUAAACACAAAUGGACAAAAAAUAAAUGAUAAGACAUGAAGGAGCCCAUCUCUCCUUGAUCUGUUGGCUGGCUGGGUUUCGGCCAGUCUACUUCUUGAGCUCAGUUGCGUGCCUCUUCGGCGCUCGAAGCGUCGGGCCGCAUUGCGGGCCUGUCCGGGCCACCUCAUGGUCCAUGUUCCUACGCGUGGCCUUCGUGCUCCUCGUUGUUUUUUCUGUAUCGUCCUUAUGGAUUGAAAGUGACAUGAGCCUCUACUUGAAUUAUUGAGUCAAAUUGUCGACAAAAUAUACACACGCUACAUCUCAUGAGUGGAUGAGCCAUCCCAGUUGCACGAUCGCUACUACUUCAUCCACCGGUUCAAGCUUUUUCUUUACUUAAAUUUUAAAGGUUUUUUACGGUUCAUGAAUUUUUCGAGAUGAUUAUGAAUUUUAUAAAACUAUCUUGUAUAUUAAAAAUAUUCAUUAAUUGUACAAAAAAUUCCAAAAAAAAUAUUUGUGAAUUUUAAAGAUGUUCAGUAAUUUUUAAAAAUCCUAGAAAAUUUAGAUAAUAUUUACAAUAAAAAUGUUUCAAAAUUAAAAAAUGUUUGUUAAUCUAAUAUGUAUUCCAAAAUUUUGUAAAAAAAACUAAGAAAUGGUGAAAGUAUUCAAAACAUUUAGGUGUUUUUACAGGAAACAAAUUAAAAAUAAACCUUAGAAGGAAAAACUGAUGAAAAGAACAAAAUAAUGCAGAACAUAAAAUCUGGACCAUAAUGUAGGAAAACGCUAAAAAGAAUCUCUAUAGAGCAACCACUAAAAACUUCUCGUCCUCGCCUCUCUCUAUUGGAGCAUGGCCCAUGUUGUCGUCCUUGUGUGAUUGAGCGACAUUUUGACGCAAAUGGAUGAAAUAGGAGUCACCGAAAGUGACCUUUGCGAGGGUGCAAAUUUUAUGAUUUGUUAGGUACAUUCUGAGCUAUUCCUAUGCUCGAAUUGCGUGUGCAGCCCAUGGUCCAGGCAGACUUGACAUCGAUUUUACAAAAAGAAAAACAUUUCACAACAAUUCAUCAAAUUUCACUCCUCGUGUUUUUGUAUGGAAAGUCGCCGCAGAAGAUUUUCUCACUAUCCUUUCUUCGCUUCAACUGACUCUCCAAAUCUCACUGCUCUAACCUGCAAUAAAAUUGUAGAUGCAAGCCCCCACUUGCAAUAUAAGCUUCUAGGUGACUGUUUUUUUCUUGAAGUUAAACAUUUUUACUGGCCCACAGUGCCCAUCUUUUCCUCUUGCGUCCUCACCUUGCGUAGAAAGAGGUCCUAAAAGGGUGCGGUUCCCUUAAUGAGGCUUGCCAAAAGGACUCAUACAAGACAAGUACAACUAAAGGAAUUUUCUUUCGAGAAACAAGUACAAAUAAAUGUCAAUUAUAUCAUUUUGACCCUUACUCAGCAAAUGGUGUAUAAUCUACUUGAUGAGCAAGGUGUUCGGCAAGAAUUGCUGCAUAAUAAAUAUCUGAACUCCAAAAUGUUAUCCCAAGUAGAUGUUAAGCCUAUUGACUCACCAUAUUGGAGCGGCUUGAUGAAGGUCAAGUCUUCCUUUCUUUAGAAAGGUUGCUUUAAGAUUGAUGACACCCAAUUGACGAGUUUUUGGGAAGAUGUCUGGUUGGGUGACACUUCAUUAGCUCUAGAAUAUUCGACCCUGUAUAAUACUGUGUUUAGAAAAGAGGAUUCAGUGGCUUCUAUUCUUGGGGAUAGCCCUUUGAGCAUCCAAUUUCGCAGGGCAUUACUGGGUUACAAAUGGAUUAAGUGUGUCCACUCGGUUUCUAGGUUGAUGUCAAUUAAUCUAACUCAGAUGCCAGAUUCAUUCCAAUGAAGGUUAACCAGUAAUGGUGUCUUUCGUGUGAAGUCUAUAUAUAUGCAGAUCUUAUGGAUUCUGGAACUCUUUUUCAUAGAAAACAUAUUUGGAAAACUAAGGUUCCUUUCAAGAUGAAAGUUUUCAUGUGAGUUUUGCAGAGAGGAAGGUAGUUCUUACCAAAGAUAACCUUGAUAAGACUAACUGACAUGGCAACAAAAAAUGUUGUUAUUUUGAUUAGGAGGAGAUAGUUAAUCAUUUAUUUAUGUCAUGUCCGUUUACUGCCUUGAUCUUGCGCACAAGUCAUGUUACAUACAGUAUAGCACAACCAACCUGUAUUUCAAAUUUGUUUGGAAACUGGUUAGGUGGUAUUUUUCAUAAGCUGAAGGGGUAAAUACAUGUGGGAGUUUGUGUCAUUUCUCUGGGCAAUGUGAAAUUUCUGGAAUGAUUAUGUUUUAACAGAUCGUCUUCUCUCAAUUUAUUGCAGAUUAUUUGCACGACUACAGCCUCAAUCCAUAUGUGAUCAUCACUGCAGCAUAUGGAUGCGCGGGCACUUAUGACCUUUGGGUGCAGUCGGCUAAAAACGGGUGUAAAGAAUUUCCUAGGGUUGGUGAGCCACUCCUAGACUAUGUGGAUGAGCUAUGUAAUUUGAGGUUCAACCGCUUGUGGUCAUUUUUUGGUUUAUUUGUUUUACUGUCACCUACUCUGUGGCUUGAACUUAUUUCAUGUUUAAUAAUAUGGUUGUGUGCAUCGUGUGACAUAGAGGCUGGGUACUUCUCUUUUCAGAAAAAAUAUAUAUGGUUUUUUGACCCUUAUCUCCCUUGACAUGGAAUUUCCUAGGGUUGCCAUUGGGACAUGGUGUACGUUUUUAUGAGAAGCCCUUUGUAUAAAAAUUUAUAUCUUAUGUAAAAUAAAUUGUGUAUCUUCUCUCAACAAAAAACAAUUGUAUCUUCUCUAAAAACGGCCCUUGUAUCUCUCUUUUUUUGCCAUAAAAGGCUCUUGUAUCUCUGAAUCUAGAAGCGUUCUUACCCAUCAUUUUUUUUCUUCCAAACUUAUCUCUAACUGCUAUGCCCUGGGUGUUGGUCUUUCGCGCAUGCAGUGGCCGGCCGGCGCCGCUACGGUCCGCAAAUUGUACUGCAACUGACUUCCUGCGAAAGAUGACCCCUUCCCAAAACCUUUCGACUUCAAUGAUGUGAUACAAAUUAUGGACGACAGCUUGACGCAAAGGGAUGGUUGUGCGGUGAAGACGGUCGCAACGCAUGUAGCAGCUGGGAUCGCGGAAAAGUGAUGGGGACAACACAUGAGUGACUACGAUGGUGGUGCUACUCGAGCACCCGGUCUCAAGCUCCAGGGCAAAAUCCUAGGUCAGACUCUAGCAAUGGCGAUGUUUUUUUACCCCAUUACCUUGUUAAAGGCAUUGCUCGGAUAUACUCGGACCGAUUCUUCAAGGUGAAAACAUAGAGUUUGGCCUUGUGGUUGGAUCCAGUGACGGCGGCGCUUGAAUGUCGCUCCCUUUCCGAAGGCGUUACUUUUGAAGAACCUUGUCGUCCGUGUGAUGUAGUUAGGUGGUUGGCGCGGAUAUGGUCACUGGCGUAGUUUGCCGAUCGCAAAUAUGAUUGCUUCGAGGAUUUUUUUUCCUUUUUUUCUCGCCUAUGCAUAACUUUGGGCAUAUAUGACUUUACUAGUUGCCGGCAUGUUUUCGCGUGUGUGUUUGAGUUGGUGUUUGGUUGUGUGUAUCAUAACUACACAUAGGCAGGGUGUGUGCUCAUUGUGUUAUAUAUCUUCUUGAUAAUCUAUUUUGAGCCAAUAAAAUAAAACAUUUAUGAAAAAAAUCCCCAAGGAAACUUAGAACAAUGAACGGGCAGGGUCGCAUUUUUUGUCCUCUGAAUCCUGAUGUUGGUAAUUGAAACAUGUGUAGCAAGCAUUAUGAUGAAAAUUAAAUGAUAUGAGGGUUUUUUCGAAAAGGAAGGAUAAACCUCAUACGCUAGAAUGACUGCUCUACGGUUUUGGCUCUAAACAAAUGAUAAACUCACUCUUUGAAGUGUUUCCUUUCCUCACUUGCUAACUGCUCUGCAAAAUUAGUUUUUAAAAAAACUGCUCUGCAAAACUAAAUUGGAACUGCUCUGCCCAUUUAUAUGCAAAAAAAAAAAGGCCUCUGCCCAUUUGUAUAUUCUUCAAAAGCUGUACCCCUUCAUGAGAGUGCUCUCGGUGUUCUUGCUAGCAGUCUUCCCGAUUGCCCGAUUUCACUGAAACAGAGCACUCCUCCACUCCACGCCCCCCACCCAAACUGCAGGCUAUCAAUUAUGGGUUUUGUCUGCUUUUCUUUCAGAGAUGUGCAACUGAACCUAUUUAGUCAUCAAGCAACAUGGCACAUCUUCUCGAAUGUAGUGAUCUUGGGUGACAUAACCCAUUACUCCUGCAUAAGCUGGACAUUGCACUUUAUAUAUUCAAAUGUCAGAUCCUAAAUUCCAGUGUAUCUGAGCUCAUACAUGACUACAGUCAGGGGAUGCUCCUUGACUUGUUAGUCUUGCAACUGGCUUUCACUAGUCUUUCUAUUCAGGGAUGCUCCUUUAUACAUCAUGUUUUAGAAUGUAAUGAUAUUGGGUUGGGCGACAACCAAUUACAGGAAAAAUGCUUCUGUAGCUAACCAUGUACAGUAGUAUAAUGUAUUCUACGCCAGCUGGACAUAGCAUAGGUGAAACGUUGGCAUUUGUAGUACAGUACUUGACAUACACAAAUGUCUGAACCUGAACUCAUACUACAGGUUGGGAAUGCUCCUCGGUUUCUUCAGCUUGCAACCAAUUACAGGAAAUGACCAAGUGAAUUUAUCAGAUUCAGACGAUUGGUAGACACAACUAUUCGUCCCACUGUACAGAUGUAAAACUCCAUAGCACUGCAAAAUCCAGAACAGACAGGCGACAGAGAGAGAAUUUACUGCAAGUCAGAGAGAUUUCUGACUCUUUUUUCAAAGCAGAACAGAACAUAUACUAGAUCGACACCAUUACUUAAACAUCGGACACUAAUUCUAAUACGAAGGACUAGUAAUCGCCUAAGCCUUCUUGGGGGACUUGGCGGCCUUGUUGGGCGACUUGGGCUCCGUCUCGGCCGUCUUCUUGGGGAGCAGCACGGGGUUGAUGUUGGGCAGCACGCCGCCGUGCGCAAUGGUGACGCCGGCGAGCAGCUUGCCGAGCUCCUGGUCGUUCCGGAUGGCGAGCAGCAGGUGGCGCGGGAUGAUGCGGGCCUUCUUGUUGUCCUUGGCGGCGUUCCCGGCCAGCUCGAGCAGCUCGGCGGCGAGGUACUCGAGGACGGAGGCGAGGUAGACGGGGGCGCCCAUGCCGACGCGCUGCGCGUAGCGGCCCUUCUUGAGGAAGCGGCCGAUGCGGCCGACGGGGGACUGCAGCCCGGCCUUGACGGAGCGCGCCACCGCCUUCUUCCUGGGGCCGCCGCCAAGCUUGCGCCCCACCACGUACUUCUUCGCCUUGGAGACGGCGCCGGUGGCCGAGGCGUCCAUGGCGGCUAGAGGGAUUUGAGAUUUGGCGCGAUGGGGGAUUUGAGAAGGCGGGAGAGUGUUUGGUGAUGAGGAGGCGGGCUUGGGCAGACUAUUUAAACGGCGCGGGAAGGGGGCAGCGUGGGGCCGUCGGUCCGCGCGCACGGGCAAUGAGCGGCUGGAUCGGUGGCGAAUGGACGGCUGCGAUGCCAAAUUACGCUGCGCCCUUCCUUCCAUUUGGUCAAUGCUUUUGUCAACCGAAGUGAGAAAUGGACCGCAGAAAUCGGAAACGUCUUCUUUUUUUGUUGCAAAACUAGAAACCAGCAAAGCCAGGGGAAAAAAAAUUGUUUGUACAAGUAGGAAUAUUUUUUAUGAAAAAAUUGGGUCAACAAAUGAAACCACCGACUUAUAAAUUGGUUAUGUAAACUCAGAUCCAUAUGACAUUUUUUUUUUGCGAAAAAAAUCCAUAUGACAUGUAACAGCACGGUGGAUGCUAUUAGAAAUUUCCUCUUUUCUUUUGCAUGUACGUAAUAUAAUCAAAUGUUAUUAUAAAUUUCCUCUCCCUUGAAUCUUUUUGGUGAGAAAAACGUGUGAAACAUGCUAAGAACUAGUGGUUUUUAGAUUUCCAUUACGUUUCUUGCAGGAUUACAUAAGCCUUGGUGUCUCAGAUGGCUCAGCGUGUUGGACAUUACGACAAGUAUCUUCCGAUGUUAUGUACUCGCUUCGUAACAAAAUGUAAGUUGCUUUUUAUGCCCUGUGCAAAACCAACAAAAGUCUUACAUUUUGGUUAGAGGGAGUAUUUACGAGGAGACUGAGCUUGGCAACCCACGAUCAAUAUUUAGAACCAGAUAAUCUUAACUCUUAGUCUUCCACAACCGUGAAUCCUUCAAAUGACAUCCAUACUUUAUGGCUUGAAUUUUUCGCCACAUUACGAUGCACAAUAUGAACACUAAACCGGAAAUUAAAAAAAGUGAAAUAAGCACCUUCAUGCACAAUAAAACUAUACGAAAAUAACACCAUGAUCAGCGUAAGCCCAUCAAAUUUACAACAUAGGAAUGCUUGCUUUGCUUUGGAUGUACUAAGGAGGUGUUUGGUUGCAAACAAUGUAAUGGUAACGGUAGCGGUUUGAGAAUACAAUGUCAAUUUGUCAUCACAAAUGGAAUGGGUGAACACUGAUUUGUUUGGUUCAUGAAGAUAACUGUAUGGAAAUACAAUAUGAUGUUUCGUUCAGAGAGUAAGAUGCAAAUACACCAUCCCACGCCAAGCCGGCCACUAGGAGACGUUGUACGGAACACUCCUCACUCAAGGCCUCCAUGGCGUCUGUCGGCAAAUGCGGCUUUCACGGGCAGCACCUUCUCCUCAGCGGCGUCCCUUCCCCUCUUGAUUUAGUGCAACUAUCGGUUCUACUGCCAUAGACGAAAUGACGAAUGAGCUAGAUUCGUGUCCUUGCCUCCUGAUCGAUAGGGAUUGACAAAGACCCACGGCGACACUACCACUCCUCAUGUUGUAUACUCUUGUCGUGACGUUAAGGAAGUUGAGGGGCGGUGGGAGCAGGGGAUCGAGGCCUCCACUGCGACUAGACGAAGAAGAUCAGAGUCGGAGGGGAUCAGGGGCGUCAGUCCGUUGGUCUGUUGGAGCUGCCGCUGGUAACGCAAUCCGUUAACGGUAGGGUUGGGUGGAGUCAAAGUUGACUUGAGUUGUUAUCUGUUAUAGCGGUAUGUGUUAACAGGCCAAACUAACCAAACACAUUUUAAAGGAACUUAACAUUGUAAUCGGAUAAUGGUUCAAAAGAGUUGAACCAAACACCUCCUAAAUUCUUCCUAAUUAAUCUAUCUUUGUGAUUCACUGUCUUACCGGAAAAAUUUGGAUACAUAAGAUAUGACGUUGUCGUUGCCAAUAGCUUGUUUGGAUUGGAACCCUAAGAGCAUGGCCAAUGCUACACGGUGGACAGUAGCUACAACUAUCCACCUCGGCUCGGAUGGUCCAGGACGGUUGAAAAGGUUGUCCGCAGAGUAAAGCGGGUUCCUGCAGAGGAGGAUGUCUCCUUACCAACAAAAGCUUAUUAUGAUGGUGGGUGGUGUGUGUGUGUGAGGCAGCACACCAUCUAGUUUUCGAGGAAAGUAAGAGAGAGAAAUGAAUAGGUAAGGAAAGAAAAGAGAGAGGGUGGGUCCCAAAGUAGGCUGCAGCAUUCCAUGAGAGUUAUUUCAUACGGUGGUCUCAGAUUGACUGAUCUACGUGGAUGGGCUGAGGCAGCACCAAAGUGCUGCCUCCAUUGUACAUGCCCUAAGCUACACAGCCAAAAAAAUCGCAUGGACCAGAUGAUUGGGUGCGUGUUUGGAUGGGCACUAAUUUAUUGCAUGCCUUGGCUAGCUUGGUUUCCAAAUUUUUUUUCACGCCCAUGAUUUGUGAGNNNNNNNNNNNNNNNNNNNNNNNNNNNNNNNNNNNNNNNNNNNNNNNNNNNNNNNNNNNNNNNNNNNNNNNNNNNNNNNNNNNNNNNNNNNNNNNNNNNNNNNNNNNNNNNNNNNNNNNNNNNNNNNNNNNNNNNNNNNNNNNNNNNNNNNNNNNNNNNNNNNNNNNNNNNNNNNNNNNNNNNNNNNNNNNNNNNNNNNNNNNNNNNNNNNNNNNNNNNNNNNNNNNNNNNNNNNNNNNNNNNNNNNNNNNNNNNNNNNNNNNNNNNNNNNNNNNNNNNNNNNNNNNNNNNNNNNNNNNNNNNNNNNNNNNNNNNNNNNNNNNNNNNNNNNNAAAUGCGCCCAUGGUUUGAUGGGGCUAGCUCCGGAAGCAUCUAAACAUGCCCCAAUCAUCUAGCCAACCUGUUGCCAACUUUUGGCAAGUCUUGGCAGUGUCAAAUUUUCCUUGUUUAUCCAGACAUAAUAUUUACACUGAUAUAUGAUCUCAGGCCAGACAUGGCGACCCACCCUCAAAGAAAGAGCAUGCUUUUUCCGAGGCUGUAAGCUUCAUAAUUAAAGUUUCUCGCCUCAUGAACAAAACUACAGGAGGGAAAUGUUUGUAGAGCAUCCUCCGAUCUCAGGUAUAAUGGCACCGUUGCUUCCACAAGGAACCUACUUAAUAUUUUCAAUUAUCACCUUGCAAGUUCUCAGCCAAAGCUAACGCUUCUAUACAGGAUGCACUGGAUGUAGAAGUCCUUAGCCAGAGCUAACGCUUCUCUACAUGCAAGUUCUUCAAUUGUUCUAGGAUCGGUGAUCCCUCUACAAUCCGCAAAAGCCCCAUAUAAAGGAAUGGUCUUGGCAAAAAGCACCCACGCCUCUCCUUUCCUCAUCUCUUGAUACAACGACAUGGGGAGAUGAUUGAGAGGAUAAGAUUUGCACUUAUAUCAAUUCAUUAGUCGGAAUGUUGGGCUGGACACAAUCGCACACGAUCACCGAUUUCAACCAUAAAGAGCAUCACAUACAGUCUCUUCCUUCUGAAACGUGUGAGAUGAUUCAGAGACAAAUUUUGUGGAAAACCUCAUAGCAAGGUGCAUCAUGAUUGAUGAAUACGAGAAUCACAAGACAUAAGAAACAGUUUUUUACAAGGAAAAUACAUACUACUCCAUCCGUUCCCAAAUAUAAGUCGUUCUAGAGAUUCCACCAAGUGACUACAUACGGAGCAAAAUGAGUGAAUCUACACUCUAAUGUAUGUCUACAUACAUCCGUAUGUAUUUCAUUUGAAAUGUCUAAAAAGACUUAUAUUAGGAACGGAGGGAGUAUAUAACAAGGCAAAGGCAAUCGCAGGGAUGAAAAAGUUAUUUUCUAAUCGUGUAUACACAUUAACACAGUUUUUUUUCUUUUUUGACUGUAACAAGAGCAUUACACACACUCAAUCGUUCUACCUACGAAUCAAAGACAACACACACAAUAUUACGGAGAAAGCCGUAGCAAGGUGCAUCACACACGAUUGAUGAUGACGAGACAUCGGAAGCAUGGCUGAAAUAGGUGCACAAUUAUUUUUCUAUCCAUGUAUACACAUCACAAUUAUUUUUCUUCUUAGUGUGUGUGCAAUCAGAGGGGCUUCAGAGGACCAAUCCAUACAAAACGAAACCAUAGCCUAGCUGAUGCAUGUGUUGUUUCCAAGCAUAGCUCUAGCACUUGUAGCCGUGAAGAUUCUAGGACCAAAAGUAACUUCAUUACCUUGCUUUUACGAAAACGGGCCAAAAGUACAUAAACAUUCCAACGGGAAAUUGAGGACACUAGUAACCAGUUUUCACAAGAGCAACAUCUCAGAACAUGAAAUAACUCAGCUAAGAGGCUACUAGCAAAAUCUUAAGAGUACAGAGACUUGUCGCACGAGUGAGUCACUGUACCACCAUGUGUCAUAACUUGGAAGUCCUCAACGAUAUUGGCCAAAGCUCGUAGAAGGCUCGCCACUUGAUGAAGACUGCAUACGGUCUUUCAGAUAUAUCAUAUCAAUGUUUUCUUGGCCCGUACCCGGUAGACUUGCUCUCAGUGUGCAUUGUUACUGGCAGGCACCAACAGUCAACACCAUCCUCCGAGAUAUAUGUUAUGAUGGAGUCAUACACGAUCGGACCGAAGGAUGUCUUGCCGAUGUCGCCAACCCGAUAUCCACGCCAUUGACCAUCCCGGAUUUGCCGCUUGCAGAGAGGCUUGUACUGGCACACACUCGAUUCUUCUAAAUGUCUUGGUUCUGCCCUUCCAAUGUACACCUGGACAGGAAAAGAUAAUUUCAAUCUAUCGGCAUAUGACCACACCAAACCAUAUAUAUAUGGGAUUUGAAAUUCCCAAGUAGGCAUAAUGGAAAGCCAAAUUUUGUACAGAAGGAGAUUAAAACUAUCAUGCUAUGUAUUACAUUCGCUCAUAUUACUAUUCGCUAUCAGUCCCAAUAUAUAAGCUAGGUAUAUUUUGUUACCUCUGACAGAUAGUUACUCUAUUAGUCUAUUUACUGCAUAUAAUUCCUGUGAUACAGAACUAAUGUUAUUGGAUUCGUAUGCAAGUACUUGCCUAUAAUUAGGAUGUUGUAGUAGUACAGUAUAACAUAAGCAGCAUAUUAGUGGACUAACUGUUUGUCAGGAAAAAACAUGACUUAUAUUGUCUGACUUUAAUUGGGUUGCCACUGAAACAAAAGCUUAAUUACCCUCCCUUAUAUCGACAUAAAGGAACAGCAAAAGUUGAAACGAACCCAAUAAAAGGUUAUAAAGAAUCAGUUCUGAUGCACGACACAUACCCAUAAAAAAUCCAAAUCAUUCAUUAUGCGGUAAUAUCUUUCAGACUCUCCAUUCUCACUAGUAAUAUGUAACAGCACCGGCACGAUCCAGUCAUUCAUUAUGCGGGAAAAAAGAAACUUCGAACGGGGUUGACAUAGGUACCUCCCGGCCGUUGAUGACAUGGUGUGGGUCAGCGAGGGCGCGGCCAGCAUCAUCGGGGCUAGAGAACUGGACAAAGGCGCAGCAGCGGGGCUGGCCCGUGAGGCUGUACGUGGGAAUGAAGAUGUCAGCCACGUCCCCAUAGCGACCGAAGUGGCGGCGGAGGUCCGCGUCACUGGUGCCUGGUGCCAUGUCAUCUAAGUACAGCCUCCCGUUUAUAUGCAGCCUGCUCAUCGCUGGUGUCAUGCUGUUGUUUGGUUGGACACUGUAAACACAAUCGUAGAAGGAACCGCUCAGAAAGCAACUUGAAAUAGUUGUGAUUUGCCUUAUGGCUACUAUUGGUCCGAAAAGAACGUCAUGGAACAGAGCAUGAACUUCAGAGACGACUAAAAGUUAUAAUAAAAAUCAUAUGAAAGUGGCAAGGCAAAAAUACACCCUCCAAAUCAUGGAAUCAGAUUGAAGAAGAAGAAUUCGAUCUUAGGGAACAUCAUCUUCUUGGCGAACAUGAAAAAAAGCUACGGUUAAGGUUAAAAAGGAGAGGAUUUUGUUGUAUGUGUGUGUAUGAGAGAGAGAGAGCUUGUACCGGGGCACACUCGAUUCUUCUAAAUGUCUUGGCCGUGCCCUUGCAACGUACACCUGCACAGGAAAAAGGCAUUUAAAAUCCAUCAGCCUAUAACGAAACCAAACCUAAUAAUAUACAAAAUUCCCAAGUAGGCAUGAAUGGAAAGCCAAAUUUUGUACAAAAGGACAUUCAAAUUAUCAUGCUGUGUAUUACUAUUCGCUGUCAGUCCUAAUAAUACGUAAGGUAUACUUUGUUCCAUUUGACAGAUAAUUACUCUAUAUUUACUAUAUAAUUCUGUACUGAGGGAGAUUAAAACUGUCAUGGUAUGUAUUACUACUAUUAUCUAUCGGUCUCCUAUUAAAUCCUAGCUCACUUUCUCUUCAAAAAUUGACCCUGCGUUCUCACUAGUAAUAUGUACCGCCAGCAGUAUGAUCCAUUCAUCAUUCAUUAUGCGGGGAAAAAUAAGAAGCUGCGAGCGAGGUUAACAUAAGGUACCUCCCGGCCGUUGAUGACAUGGUGUGGGUCGGCGAGGGCGCACCCAGCGUCACGAGGACUAGAGAACUGGACAAAGGCGCAGCAACGGGGUUGGCCAGUGAGGCGGUGCGUGGGAAUGCAGAUGUCGGCCACGUCCCCGUAGCGACCGAAGUGGCGGCGGAGGUCCGCGUCGCCGGUGCCUGGUGCCAUGCCAUCUACGUACAGCCUCCCGUUUAUAUGCAGCCUGCUCACUGCCGGUGACAUGCUGGUGUUUGGUUCAACACUGUAAGCACAAUAAUCGUAAAAGGGACCAUUCAGAAAGCAGUGUUGUGCAAACAGAUGUAACUGAACAGCACAUGAUUUGUUUCAUUGGUUUGGUCAAAAGCUUAAUUUCCAGAUUUAUGUUCUUUUUUUGAAACAAAGGCAAAAGCUUUGCCUCAUCUCAUUGAAGAGAAAACAUAGUUUUAAAGUGACAUGGCCACAAAGAUCGGGCGGCAAAGGCCGAUAAGAAUUACUCACUCACUGGGGAUUACAGACUCUAAACCAGAGGCCCAGCCAAAACCCCGUUAGAGAAGACCCCAGCAUUUCUCUCAUUCCAGAUCUCCCAACAGGGCAACACAUACAUGUCAAAAAAAGAAGGCCAGCAUAGCGAGGGAUUUCAUCCGGCACCCUCCACAAUGGCGCUCCACCAAUCUUUAACCAAGGAAAGGUUGCUCCAGGGUGGCGUAUGAGAUGGCAUCCCCAGUCAGUCAGAGAUAAUUUUCCAAAUCCGGAUUUUGUUUGUCUUAUGGCCACUAUUGGUUGGAAAAGAACGUCACAGGACAGAACACGAACUCGAGAUAACUUAAAAUUAGAAUACAAAUCAUAUGAAAGUGGCGAGGCAAAACGAAAGCCUCCGAAUCAGAAAGGGAAGGAGGGUAAUUUGAUCAUGUCAUUUUCUUGGCCCCCCAUUUUCUCUUAACAAAAGCUAGGGUUAGGGUUAGUAGAAGAAAAAAGAGGAUUUUGUUUUGUGUGUGGACGAGAGAGAGGGGGGGAGGGGGGAGGGGGGAGGGGGAAGCACCUAGUUGGUCGAGGAUCUCGCCGGAAGCCAAGAGUCCAGGGGACGCGAUGGCUACUCCAUGGAGACGACGAAGCCGACAGGACAGGAGGCGGCUGCGUGAGCGGCGGUGCUUCCUUGGAUGAGUUUCUUUAGGGCAAUUGAUGAUGAAGCAUGCCCAUUGGGCUUGUUGUUUCAAUGCAAAACAAUGAGAGCUAGCCCAGCAUCAUCAUUGCUCUCAUAGCGCCGCCACUACUCCGGCCCGCUAAAAUAGGGACAAUUUGUUUUCCGAAUUUUGUAGAAUAAUCUAAUCGGUUAAGUAAGUAAAAUAAGUGAAAUAUUCAUGUGUUAUAAAAAAUAUUGGCACAUAAAAUAUUCUUGCAUUUCGAAAAAAUUGUGUUUAAAAGAAUCGAGUAUUUUAAAAAAAUCCAUGCAAUUAAAUGUCAGCAUUUCAAGAAAGUUACUCCCUCCGAUCCAUAUCAAUUAUUGCUCAUUUAGUCCAACUUUAAAUAUAAACUUGUAUUAAAUGAGUGACAAUUAAUAGCGUAAUUAACAAAAGUGUUUACGCCUUUUUGGAAAAUGUCCAAGUAAUUCAAAAUGUUUUCAUGUAUUUUCAAAAAAUGUUAGUAUAAUUUCAAAAAAAAUGAUUUGUCCAUUUCUAAGAAUGUUCAUGUAAUUCCAAAUGGUGUUCACACAUUUAAAAAUCAUGUAAAUUAAAUAAUGGUCACCUAUUUUAAAGAAUGUUUCAAAAAAGUAUUUAGUGAUGACAACGGGAAGGCCUGGUUUCUCUCUAAAAAUAAGCAGGAAGGCCUGCCAAAUAAAAAAAUUUAAAUGGCACAGAGGGAGACAGUUGUGCUUGUCAAUACGCAUGCAUUUGCAAUGGAAGGUUGGUUCACAGGGAAAUGGAUGGCUGCGAUGCUAAAAUCACCAUGCGCCCACAUCUAGAAAUUUCAAACGAUGGGUAAUCAAGACGAGGCGAUAAUUAAACACAAAACUCUUAGGCCCUCUUUAUAUUGCGGGAAUUAUAUAGUUUUUUUUUUUUGCGUGAUUCAAUCCUCUAGGUCCGGUUUGGAAUGCAAGAAAAACAAGCCAUGCAUGUAUUCAUAAUUAUUACCUCUGUUCCGAAAUAUAAGUUGCUGGGGGAGUUCAGUUUACACUCCCCCAACGACUUAUAUUUAGGAACGGAGGGAGUACAUCUUUUGCAUUAAUCAAUCCAUGCAAACAAUGCCAACUCCUCAAGUCACGCAUGUUAUAUUUUUACAUUGAUAUAUCCAUGUAAAGAAUGUCACUUCAUCCAAGUCAUGCAUGUGUUUUCUCUUCCAGGGGAAUCAAGUCAUGCAUGUAAGUCAUUAAGUUACUUUUAUGCGUUAAUCUUUGUGUGAUCAUGGAAAAUAUAUGUGUUGGAUGCUUGGACAAAAAAUAGAUAGUUCAUGUUUCACAUUUGCAUUAAAAGAUGGUGUCGUGUUAAGUUCAAUUCAAUAGUUUUGGUGCAUGUGAGCUCGUGCUCACAAGAUCACACACUUUUAGUUAUAUUACUCGCCUUCUCUUAUUGUGGGCGAAGAACAUUGUGGAGACUAGAGAAGCUAAGCCAUAGAAAAGUGACAAGCUGCUUGCGUUGGGAUCCCGAGAAUUCUGGGCUGAAGCAGUGCUCGAGGACCCAUACGACGGCGCCAACGAAGAGGAAGAAGGUGUCGGUGAUAGCCCACAUCCCCAGCUUGAAGGACUUGAGGAAUGGCGACGCGAUGGAGCUCUUGUCCUUCAUUGGCGACACGACCACCAACCCAGAUUCCAUGUAUGGUUGCUGAAGUCCACCACCCGCGUCCGGUUCGUCACCUUUUUUUGGAUUAAAAGCUUGUGGGAUUUUCUUGCUAUUGCUUAAUCCCGUAAACCAACAAAAAUUCCAUCAGGAUUUGCUUGCUAGUGCUUAAUCGCGUAAACCAAAAAAACCCAUCAAAUAUAGCUUUUGGAACAUCUGAUAGACAUCUUCCAAAAGCUAUAUAAGUGUCUUAUACACAAGAUUAUUGGAACAUAGCGAUUUCAAACGUCGUGGCAACGAAUUGAUCUGGACGCUCUUGAAGAACGUACAUAUCCUCACCCGCCCCCGCGUCGCUCCCUUGGGGCGACUCGGGCGGCCCCCAACCCUAGCCCGCCGCCGGCCUCUCCCCUCCUCCCUCCCGACCUUGCCGCCACCGGAGUUAGCCGCCGGCAAGCCCGCGCGGCGCCGAGGAAGGUGGCGGCGAGGCUUGCCGCUCCUGCCUCACGCGGAGGGCAUGGUGUGCCGGGGUGGCGGCCCCGGUCAAGGUGGGCAGCGUUGUUCCCUGCGGCGGAUGGCGGCUGCGGGUGCUCGGCUGGGCUCCUCGGCUUGCUUGGGCGGCGAGGCCCCGGUGGAUGGAGCUCGCGGUGGCCGGUUUUCCUCCGUCGGCCGGCCUCCAGAUCUGAAUCGACCAGCUCCAACUCCACGCUCCUCACCUUCUCCCGUUCGAUCUCAGCUCCGGUGCGGCCCUGCUCGCUGGAUCCGGUGGUUGGCGGUAUUUUGGCGGUGGGGCUCCUGGGACCGGGGGAAACCCUUGGCCGCCGGCGGCGGCCACAACGACGACGAUGCCGCGGCGUCGAACUACUUCUUGGAGGCUUCGUUGAGGUAUCCCACCCCCCACCCAUCUGCCCCUGCAUCUAGGUGAUAACCUUGGUCCUGUUUCGGGACGACGGCGGCGCUGCGGCACCGUUCCCCUUCCUGAAGGCGCCGUCCUUGGACUGCGGGGUGGAUGUCGAGUAUGGAUGUAUUGGUGGCUGCAGUGGCGGCAUUGCUCUUCAUCAACCUCUCGCCGUGUCGAUUUGGUUCGCGUUCCUUUCCUGCAGUGCGCGUCUCCUUCGUGGUUGUGCCAUGGCAACUGAAGUUUCUUGUGGUGCACAAUAUGGUCUGUUGCAACCCCUCCCAUGGUACACCUGGUUGCCAUUUGUGAAUCCGGGUUCAUGGGGAACCACUUCGCCUGUCGACGUCGGGAAGGUUGUGGCCUCCUACGGCGACGAAGACGGAUUUCAUUAUGCCCAGGUUGUCCAUCAUGCUGGAGUGGACUUGAGCCUUCUCCUUUCACAUUGUUGCUUUCCACAAGUUCGUUGUUUGUCCGGUGCUGGCUGCUUCGGUGGACGAAGACCUUGACUGAUCAAGCUUAGUUCUUCAGUCUCAUCUUGGUAGCUGCUUGUGUAGUCUUAGGUGUGUGCACUGUCCUGUUUUGCACCUUGUAUCGGCCGCCUGAGGUUGUUCUGCCUCAGUGACUUCCUUUUCCCUUUUCUUUCUUUUUCAUGCUGCUUGUAUGUGGUUGAUCGAUGUAAUCCUGGCCGGUUGAUGGCUUUGUUAAUUCAAAGCCGGGCUAGGUUCGAGCCUCCUCUCGGGCUCGGUCGAUGCCUUUCCUCUAAAAAAUCUGGACGCUCUUGAGUUGAGGGUUCACGCAUGACCAGCGAGCAGCCCCCAACGGCCACUGCUAUGGAUCCUGGCCACAUAAUAUGCUCUACCUUUUUAUUGUUUGAGACACACUUUACCUUUUCAGUGUAUAGAGUAGAUACUAUUGGUUCGAACCUUAUUUGGGUACCCUCGAUCGUGUUCCACGUACACGGUUACAGAUCCGUGAGUCUAGGAUUAUUGGCUGCAGAAUUCCGCGGUUGAAAUUUCGGUUAAGCAAAAAAAUACUUAAGAGGAGAUGCAUGCAUAUAUAGUGAAGUUGCCAUUCCUAGAAUAAUCCCAGGUCAGAAAAAAAGCAGUACUAAAUCGCCGUGGUGGUAGUAUAUACUAGUGAAGUAGUGAUGCAAUCCAGAAAUAUGAGAGGGAUGGAUGCCUGAGCUCUCUCAGCGAUUAGCGAUUCUCGACCGUUGGAUCUCUCCCUUGAUGCGUUUUCGUCCGUCGGAUCUGCCCCUGGGAUGAGCUGGGCCGUUGGAUAAAAAUCGAGACGCUCGCAAGCCCCGGUCGUGCCACCGCGCGUAAACAGCCUGCCCCGCCGAGGGCAUUCUCGUCAUUUCACCCGCACGGGGUAUAAAACGCAGCCACGCCCGUGGUGAAACCCUAGCCGCCUCCUCCUCUCCCCUCCCACGCGCCUCCUCUCCCUCUCUCUCUCUCGUUCCCCUCCCCUCCAACGAGCCUCCCCUCCCGCGCGCCUCCUCUCCUCCCGCCAUCUCCUACAUCCAUCGGCCGCCACCUUCGCCGGCUCCUCCCCCCCACCCCCGCAUCUCCUUACCGUCUUCAGGCCGCGUGUUGCCACCACCCUUCCUCCUCUCCUCCCAUUAUUCCCCUCCCCUAACCCUAGAAAUGGAAGAAGGGGGCCAGUCGUCCGCGGCGCCGUGUCCGCCGUCCAGAACGCUCGCCGGCGUGGAUGUGUGGUGCGAGGCUGGGGAUGCUGUCUUCGCUCCCUGCCGCGCCGUCGCAUCUUCUCCUCCUCCCCGCCCUCCCGGUCCUUAGCGGGAGGAGCGCGGCUCGCCGCCGCAACUGCUCCGCGUCGCUGCUCCCUCGUCGAGCUGGCACGUCGCCGUCACCUGGAGGAGCGGCCGCUCCCUGCCGCGCCGUCGCAUGGCAGCUGCUCCGCGUCGCUGGUCCCCCAUCUAGCUCGUGUGUCCCCGUCGCCUGGAGGAGCAGAGGCUGCCGCUCCAGCAUCUUCUCGGCCCUCCUUCCCUCGUCGGCGAGCGGCUCAUGGCAACUCCAGACCGUGCUCUGUCGCCUCCAACUUUGGUCCCCGUCUCCACUUCAUUAGGUUGACCUCUCCCCCUCCCUCCCUCCCUCUCUCUCUCUUCUGAUAAUGCUUGUUAAUGUCAUCCUUGCUGCACCUUACAUUUAUUCUACUAGGGAGGCAGGUCUGAAUCCAAAUGUGGAACAGGGAAAGGUAAAAGCAGCUCAAUUGGUUGGUUCAAGCUACAGGUUGGCACCUACGCAGAAAGAGGUGACGGAUUGAAAGGUCAAUCCACAAGAGCGAACUAAGAAGGUAAUCCAUGAUACCUUGCCCCUUUGUGCCAAUGAAAUUGGUAUAUGAUACCUCGAGAAAACUAAAAAGAUGUUGGCUAGCCUGAGUAUGAAUGCUUUCAGCGAUUCCUAUUUAUUGACAUGCACAUGUUGCAAUACUGCUCACAAUUCAUGGCGAACAUCCAACGAGUUAUGGUUCUGAAAAAAACAUACAACUGAAUUUACUGAACAGUUGCGCUUGCGUUAUGUUUGUUGAGUGUAUGAUAGUGGCUUUGUACUUCUGUUUGAAAGUGCAGGAACCACUCAGAAUAAUCAUCGAUACGGACAAUGACGGUGAAGGCCGUACUUCUCGGGCGAUUCUCAACGUAGAACCAGGUGUGCAUUUUUGUUACCAAAGAAGCACAAAGAAAUUGUAAAUGAGAUGAAGAAAAUCACCCUCUGUUCUGUAUAUAUAUGCUGCAGUUGACCUGACGGAAGAAGCCGGCAGCGAGUCGGGCCUGCGGCUUUUGUGGUGGGGUGAGGAAGAGGAGGACGAUGAGUGAAACGCUGUCCAUUGAUGAUGUCGCCUUGCUGCUAGGAGAAGGCGAGAGGAGGAGGCAGGAGCCUGGACCAGAAGCACAGAAGGAUGAGGCUAUUCACGCGGUUGAAGUCGCUCAUCUACCUAUUGUUUAGUAUUUACUUGCAAUACGCACAACCUGAUUUUCAACUCAAUCAAGAGUCAACCUAAUUAGUAGACGAACAAAAAAAACUACUCUUUGCGGCCAGAUGAUGAACCAAAAGGAAAAUUCUAUAUGUACAUAUAUUAUUUCAAGGAAAAUUCUGCUCACAGGAAAUACAUUAUUAGGACAUCAUAGAGGAUGUCACAUUUAUGUGUAGUAAGCCAUGCUUCCUAUUUGCUGUGGUUGUUUUUGGUGUUAUGUUUCGGGGUAUAUAUCUAGGACAAUGAAUCUGAAGUUGGGUAUUUAGAUGGGUUGCAGUUUGUUGAAGCUAAACAUCUAAGCACAUUAAAAUGGGACAUUCUUGCAAUUAUGUUGAUUUAUGGUGAGAUAACCUAGAGAAGUAUCGAUGUGUAUCUUCAGUUCAUAGUUGUCCUGUUUGUUACUACAAACCUGAAAGCUAUAAACUCAAGAUGUUCUUCUCACAUGAAAGUAUAGUCUCUCUUUUGAUUUAUUUAAUUCCCAUUUCUGGCAAAAACUAAAUAAUGUACUGAAUUGUAGUUUUGUAUUACUUAUAUAUUAUUUCAUCAAGCAGUGGUAUGCAUUGGCAUCCAGUGAUGUUUAUUUCUUUUGAAUGUUUGAUAGGUAAUUGCAGGAGUUGAUGAUAUGUAUCGUCCUAUGUUUAUAAAGCGGUAAAGCGAAGCGAGGCGCUAGGGGGGCGCCUCACUGCUUAAGCGAUAAAGCGUAAAGCGAGGCGACGCUUUACAGACUCUGAACCUGAUGGGCAGUAUAAUAGAGCACCAUUUAGUGAGACAUAUAUAUGUUGAUUCUAAUCCACCAGUGAGCCCAUAUAUUCUGAUCCAUCCACUAAGCAGUAAGCAACUAGCCAAUUGCUAUAAGAGAGGCAGUAGCACCUAACAGCAGAGGAGUUGUGCAUAGCAUAACACACAACAGAGCAGAAAAGGCUGGUGCAGAUCUGAGGAAGCUGCUGCCAGAGGAGAGAGGAAAGAGCUGAAAGCCUGGAUAUUUGCACGCUCUGGUUUUGGUUCUCUCUCUUUCUUUCCCCUCCUGUAACUGUUUCACAUGUGAGCCCAGCCCUGUUUCCCUGCCAGGAAUCUCUGUACCCUGCCUGGCAAGUCUAAGGCGUCCUCUCUGCCUUAAAGCGCCAAUCAGGACGCCUAAGCAGGCGCUUCAGACGCUUUAGUGUCUAAGGCGGACGCCUUAGACACAUGUCUAAAGCGAGUUGGACGCUUUGAGCCUGGAGGGCGCUCUAACGCUUAAGCGUCGCUUAAGCGACACUUUAGGGACGCUUUACAAACAGAGGUAUCGUCCAGCACCGUUACUUGAGGUAACCUAUUUAACUUUAUAACCGAGUACAUCAACUGAAUUUUUCCCAUGGUGAGCUAGCUUCAACUGUUCCUGUUUGGGUUAUGUUUAUCAGUAGUUGUAAUAGUUCAUGGUGUGGUCAGUGCCAUUUAACAUCAUAUUCUGCCUAUGGUAUUAAAGAUUUUAGAUUAAUCUAAAAUAUUGGAUUUUAUCUGAAUGUUAGCCAUCGACUGUCAUAUUGUGCAUAUUUGUGAUUCAGAUUUCUUUUUAUGCCAUUGUUCAGACAUUACUCGAAAUCUCCAAUUUGUCAAAAACUUUUCUUGAUUAGAUGAUAAUGUGAUAUACAUGGUGACUGCUAUUAAAUGAGCCCAUCCACUUACGCCCUUAUAAGCGAGCAACUAAUUGAUGGUAAAUCUGUAACCCAUUGUUUUCGACUUAUGCGUGUACUUGUUUCGAAUGGAGCACAUAUUGGCAUGCUCCGUUCAUCUUAGGUGAGUGUGAAUGUUGAAGUGUGAUUUCGUAGCAUUAGGCUUGCAAUUUAAGAGAUCUUCCAAUCCAUUUUUUCUGGAUUUUGGGGAUGUGUACAGUGGAAAAUUAUAGAUAAAUAAGAUUUCUUUGUUCUUAAUUCUUUCAUGUUGGAGAGAGUGACAGUACCUACGUUCCUGUCAGUGGGCUAUAUAUAUUCUCUAGCUGCUUGCUGUUUUCUUUCUUGCGGUAAUUUAUUUGCCAUUUGUAACAGCAAAAUGAUAUGUCAACAUGCUCUGAUAUUUUAUAGCAAUUUUAGAGAUUUCUUCUCAUAUUAAGAUUAGUUCUUGCUGAUUAUUUUUGUGGGACUAGGAAAUGAAGCUUUUUUUUAUUUGUGUUGUACUCUAUUCUUUUUAUUCUGUUGGUUUUGCCUCAUACAACCAUUAUUUUAAUUAAAAAGCAUAUUUCUCUCUCUAUCUCUGACCGCGGCUCUUUUCAUCGCCUUGGCUUGCAGGUCGCCGCUGGAGCCGGACAAGGUAAUGGCUUACCUUACCCGGUGAGGUGCUGAGUAGGAAGAUCGCGCAAGACACCACCACCACCAGGUACUAGAGGGCGCCAUCAAGUAUGUCGCUGUACUGAUUGCCGAUAACCUAUAGGUCCAUCUCUUCUCUCUCUCUCUCUCUCUCUCUCUCUCUCUCUCUCUCUUUGUAGUUCUGGAUUAGGCUUACCUGAACUACUUAAUGUGACAAAAUAUCUUAAACAAGCUCUGUGAUUUCCUAUGCUCUCUUAUAUUUUCAAAGAAAAAAGAACUGCUCUUAUAUUAUAUUUGUUAGUUCCUUUAUACCCCAAGAGAAAAUAGAACUGACUAACAAAACUCUGUUGAUGAUGAAUAAUGCAGUGUAUAUAAUUCAGGGGCCCCUUUUCUUUCAUUUGUUGCUCAGUUAGCUUGUUGUUCUUACCUGCUGUUCUGAUUUUGUUUUCUGGGUGCUGUAUAGGAUACUAUGGUUAAAGAUUGUUCUGAUUUAUAUCGAUGUUGUUGAUUAUCAAAAUUAGUGGAUAUUAUCUAGGGUGCUUCUCCUUUGGAUUUGAUGUACUAUGUCUUUCCAGCUUAUACUAGAUGAUUUCUUUUCAUGGUUUUUGAUAAUUAUGGAUAUGUAUCUAAUAAUCUUAUUUUGGCGUCAACAAAUUACUCAUCUAGCAUUUCUUCUAUUACAGCUCUGUAUCUUUUUCUUUACAUGGUUACUGCACUAUUGAAGUAGUUGUAUUCUGGACUCUUUCCAUUUUACCUUGCUUGGCUGACUAGAGCCCAGAAAUAACAUUUAGUUCUGGUUGUUUUGAUCAAGUAAGUGACACCUAACUGUCAUUGAUUUCUGGGAUUGUUCAUUAUCUUGAGCCAUGCCUGGUACUGAAUCUGAAUUUUCCAUCUCUGGUACCAUGGCACGGGGUUGGCGGCGGCAUCUUGGUGAAGAAGAGGACGACAGUGGCUUAGGGAGGAAGAUGACAGUGGCAACCUGAUCUAUAUGAAUUGAGAAGCUUUCUUUCUUCCUAAAUGUGUUGAUAUGCUCUUCAUUGAUAUAGCAUAUCCUUUUCUGUAUUAUUCACAUAAUUCUUUGCUAGCAGAAUAUCCUAAACAAUCUGAAAAAUAGAUAGCUUGAAGGAUGCACGUUGUAGUGUCAAAAGGAUGCAGAACAUUUGUGCGUUCCCUCUAGAAUUUCCCCGCCUAUAUGAUUUUCAUCGAAUUAUUGCGGUCAACCUCUUUUGAUCAUUUGCUCACAAUCUGGUAAUUCACGCUUACAAUUUGUCAAGCUGAAGAAGUCUGUUUAGGCUACAUGCUCUUACCUCCUUAGACUCGGCAGAUGGGCGUUUUACAAUGAAAUAAUGUUCUUUUAUUAGAUAAAUUAUUAGGUUUUAUUUGGCUCUGCAGAGGGAUAACAUAGGACGGUAAUUUACAUUUCUGUAAUGAGUUGGAAAUAAAGAGGAGCACCCUAUGUUUUUAAGGCGGUAAGGCGAGGCGAGGCGCUGGGGGGGCGCCUCACUGCCUAAGCGCUGAGGCAUAAGGCGAGGCGACGCCUUAGAGACUUGUAAGCAACAGAAUUUAAGUAGAACUUGGUAGGCAUUAAGCAACUAGGCAUACAGCCAUACACACCUUGCAACUGAUUGUUGUAGAGCCCCCAUCCUCUUUGCACUUGCUUUUCUCCCCAACAGAAUUCUGCAUCAACAUGAAGUCAUGAACAAAUAUGUUAGAAUAAUGUAUCACUUACCAGUGCACAUUCCACAAAAAAUAGAAAUAAAAGUGAGGCAGCGAACAAAAGUGGAAAGAAAGAUAGCAAGUAUGAGUGCAACUGCAAUCUGCAAUGCAUGGCAUAUUACAUAACCAUUAACCAAUUCAAAUGACACAAGUCCAGUAGUCCACAUAAGACAAACAGAAUAAUAGAUAAUUCCAGCAUAGCAAAAGGGAUAAAGGUGGCCAGCUCAGCUCUCUCAUGUCUCUCCACUCUCAAAGUCUCAAUCAAAAGUCAUCAUCAUCAAACUCAUUGGCAUUGGUGUUGUCUUCACCAUCUUGGUCAACAUUAGUUGGCUCUUGAUCGUCAUUGCUCACAUCAUCAUCAUCCUCAACGUAGUCUGAAUCCUCCCCCUCCGCAUUGGGCAUACUGUUGCUCUUGCUUGUUGUUGCUGUACUGCAGAGGAGGAGGAGCUGCUGGACAGGAGGAUGAGGAGGAGCUGCUGGACAGGAGGAAGAGGAGGAGGAGCUGCUGGACAGGAGGAAGAGGAGGAGCUGCUGGAGAGGAGGAACCGUUGGAGAGGAGGGGGAGGAGCUGCUGGAGAGGAGGAGGAACCAGAUCUGCUGGAGAGGAGCCACUGAAGAGAAGGAGGGGGAGGAGUGUGUGGAUUGGGGGCUGUUUCUCUCUCUCUCUUUCUCCCCUCUUACCUGUUGGCGCCAACAUGAUUCCAGUUUCCCGCCAAAACUCUGUUUCCCGCCUAAAACAGUUCCCCUGCCUGCCUGGCAAGCUAAGGCGUCCAAAAUGGACUAAGGCAACGCCUCGGACGCCUAGGCAGACGCCUCGGACGCCUUAUAGCUUAAGGCGGACGCCUUAGACACCCACCUAAGGCGAGGUGGACGUCUUGCCCUCGCAGGGCGCCCUGACGCCUAAGCGUCGCCUAGGCGACGCCUUAGGGACGCCUUGAAAACAGAGGGAGCACCUCUAUUUUAUAUGGAAUGCUGAACUUUAUAUGGAAUGCUUAAUUAAGUUCUGAUAUCAAUUUCCAUUUAUGUAAUGAGUUGGAAAUAAAGAAAUGAUUAAGAAAUAUUCAUCUAGCAGAUUCUUAUGAAUGUGCAAAGUUAGGAGUACAUUGAAUUUCUAGAUGUUUCCAGCCUACCACAUUUAUUUAUUUGCAUAUAUUUUCCAAUGUAGGUUGGUAGCCUGUUGCUCAUUCCAUGCAUCUGCUCUACUGCUGGCCUCUGCCUCCUCGUUCUUUAGGAGACGGUACAAGUCAUGGAGAAUUUGUGCAACCUCCGUUCCUUUCCGACGUGUUGUGAGUUGUUGAAGGAGCGAGAGGACGCAAGACUGGGAUCAAAGCCGAGGUAAGACCCCUCCUCAUUUCCAUGCAUAUUUUUUCUUUGGGAGAUGCUGCCUUUUCUUGACUUGGCCUGCUGUCAUGUGUGCGUCCAUGUCCAGGUUGGACCGGUGAUGGCGGCUGCAGCGGGACGGAUGACACAGACAAAAAAGACAGUUCCUCAUAUUUGUCUCCGAUGAAAAAAGAUCAUCUGGUGACAAACACCUCCUUCUUUUUUCUAUAUGCAUCCUCCCAUGACAAAACUUGUUUCUGGACAGGGUAUCUUGCUGGGGAAAUAGACCCUGUAGUCUAUAUUUGUGCCUGUUAAGACUUUUUAUUGUUAUUGAAAGUGAAGCUAGCUCUGUAUAAAAGGGCUUUCGGUUGAUUAAAGUUUCACUGAAAAGAAUGUUUAUUUCAGUCCAUAUCUUAUUCCAAAUUCCCAUGAUCUAAUUGGUGUUCUAUGCAGAACAACACUUUUGGGUUUUAGGUAAUCUUUGAAUGGUCUCUAAAUGGUAAUCUUGCCUGACCACUGACUUUUUGAGUUUUGCCUUACAAGAGCAUUUCCAUGCAAAUAUAUAACAUGACGAUCUUGGAUUUCUUAUGGGUAUGAUAAUUUAUUUUUUCUAUAUGAUCAUAUGAGGUCAUGUGUAUUUUAUUCGAGCAAGUAAGGCAUAUAUCUGUUUCUUUGGAGAAUUAAAUAGGAGAAUUACUUGAACUCAAGCAGCUUUGUGGCAUUUGUUUAUGUUUAAAUUGUUUACAUUCAGAUUGGUUUCCUAAUUUCUAUUACACGGUUGGUCUCUGCAUUCCAGUUUGGUUUGUCUGUUGUAUAUAUAAUUGUGAGCUUUGUUUACUUUUACUUAUUAGGUUUCUUAGGGUCAUUCCUCCAUUACUGCUGCCACUGCUCCUUUGGUUCUUGGUCAUUGCUCUGACGAAUGUCUCCGUCCCAGGUAAUUUUCUUCUGCCUUUUGUUAUUAUUAUGUGAGUUGUCAUUGUUUUUACAUUGUAUGUUAUAUUUCCUGUUCCUUUGGCUUGGAUAAUCCGUCUUUUAUUCAUCAUCCAUUACUGUUGUUGCUGCUCCUUUAGUUCUUGGUCACAUAUAAGCUGUAAUUGUUUUUACACACUAAUGAGGGCCUUUGGAUAAUCUGUCUUUGAUUCAUUUUUCUUAUCAGAGCUCAGUUAUUGAUAUUUCAAGCCAAGUUUUUUCCACUAUUAUAAUAAAUUGAGGAGUGUUGAGAAGAAUCUAUUUGGGUUGCUCUCAUUGAAUUUCUCAUUAAGACAUGCACUCAGUUCUGGUUUAUCAAGUUAUGUAUAAUAUGUAUAUGUUGAUAUGCAUGGCAUCACUCAAAUGUGUGUAUUCCUGCUGUUGAAUUUUAGAAUCAGCACUCUGUUUUCUUUUCAAGCAUCUCUCGAAACCAUCUUUGAGAAAAAUUCUUUACUAAGUAAUGAUUUCUUCUUUUCUGUAGUAUUCCUCAAGUUUAUGAAUGAACUGAUAGAUGUCAUCUACUGCCUAUUAAGUAGGCUAUGCAAAAUAUGUUAUCAUGUAACUUGUACCCAUGCAUCAGUGAUAAAGCUGAUAAUUUUCAUUUUAUCUCAGGGUUGCUCCGUCCAUUUAUCUCUUUUUAUGUUCAGUAGUGAAGAGGGUUAUAUUCCUAACUAUGCAGAGAUUAUUAAGGGUGUUAAGUUGCUUCUCAUAAGUGAUUGGGACUAUGAGAUCAUUAAGGGGCAUUGAGCCGCUGCCCAGAGGUAUACUUUCUUUUAUUUCUUAUAUAUUUCAACCACUUAGUUUUGUUGUCUCUAAACCAUUUUUGAUGACUCAAGUUGAUCAUACUAUUGUGAGAAUCUUGGCCAGGAUCAUUCUUUAUAUCAUGUUGGAUCAUCUUAGAAUUCGUAGAGCCAGUUACCAUCGAAGGAUGUACUCAUAGAACACAAUCAGUGUAAUUGUGCUUUUCUACACUUCUGCCUAGAGCAAUGGGAUAUGUAUGAUGUAUUGUAUGGCUACCCUCUAAUGCACUACUCAGCCUCCUGUACAAAUGACUUGAUCUAAUUAUUAUGAAAGACAUGUGGAGUGUGUUGCUUUAUAUAUACAUAAUUUGCUAUAAUUCUGAUUUAUCAUAGUGCAUAGCUUUUGAUCUAUUCUUUUUCGCCAAACUUGAUGCGUUGAGCUUUGAGUUACUAUGCUGUUUUGGAUCUUCUGCUUGGACCGGGCAACGCGUGCCAGGGUGUGCUUCUUAUUAUGUGCAUACAGACGUUUGGACCGGCACCCUCGCGCCAAGUCGCAAUCCCGGUCUAGUGGACAUGAUAGUGUGAUGAGAUACUACUAGCUAGCUAGGUAAGAAAACAACGAUGACAGUCGUCUAACAUACAUCUGAGACAGAACAAUUAGCAUCAUCUUACACGCACGCGCGCGUUAAUAAUUUAUCCCACCUCGAUCAUCACACUGCUGAUGGUACUAGUAAUUGUACGAUUAAUCACUAAGAUCCAUAGAUGUACUAGUAAUUGCUAGGUAGAAGAAGAUGGAUGCUCUGCGAGCUCGCUAAGCUAAGCAUGAGGUGAUGUACUAGUGUAGUAGUAGCUACUGCUAGAGGUAGAAGCAGAUGGAUGCUGCGACUGAUCUAAGCUAAGCUAGAGGGAAUCAGCGGCAGUGGCAGCCAGUUGGUAACUCCUACCCGCAAAGGGUGACGACGAGGCUGACGAUGAGCAGAACGGCGUAGGACACGGCGAUGGCCAAGUAGGAGCCGAAGUCGGGGAGGUACAGGUACCCAGCGGCGCAGUGCCCGCCGGCGACGACUGCCACCCCGUGGACGACAUAGCAGAUGGAAUAGACGUUCAUGGCGCCGACGAGGGGCGCCACGACGGCGAAGAGCCGGCCCAGAAUGCCACCGUCCCACGCCAGGGCCAAGUCGGCCGCCGCGGCAAUCAUUGCCUGAGCCAGCCCCGAGAGCACCAGCAUCAGCGCCGUCUUGCGCAGGUCCAGCGCCUCCGCCUCCGUGGCCGCGCAGUGCUGCUGCUGGGUUUCCCCGGCGUACGCGGCCGGCGCCGCCGCGUGACCGAUCUGCGACAGCAUAGUGCGUGCCGAGUAAAUUAGUACGAGAUCGGUGCCGGCCAAGGGAGAUGGCGGAGUUCAGUUGGUACCUGGGCGUGGACGUGGAGGUCGCUGGGGUGGUAGCUGGUGGCGAGUGGCGACGACGAGCGCCAUUGCGGCCAACGCCAAGCCGAGGAAGAAGUUGGCCCCGGCCGCCGCGCGGAUGUGCCCCAGCGCGCCGCCGCCACCUGCCGCUCCACCAGCACCUGGAAGCAUCUUCGUCCCUCUUCCUCUUCUCUCGACUGACGGGAUCGCACUGUGGGAGCCGGCGAUAUAGACGCGUAGGGAGGGAUGACGAUCGACGAUGGUGAGAGGAAAGCACGGCGAAGUUGCGCGCAUACCAUCUUUGGCCCUGCUCACCUUGUUUGCAAUUGCAAUUGGAUGUACACAAAUGUAGAGUGGAGCUCAACACAACACGAUGCGUGCCUGGGUUGGUUGGGGCCAUGUGCUAGCUAGCUUCCUCCGAUGUGAAGAAACCGAUCCAGAAUUCACCAUCAUGAGCUGCAUCUACCUUCCUUCCUUGAUUUUUCACUGUGCAGCUGAGCUAGCUCCAUUCGGAAAAGGGAGGAGCCCUACGUCUACGUGUUACGUACUCCUGCAAAAUAAAUAGUCUCAAGGUGAGUAGCUCGACCAUCUCGCUUGCCAACGCGCAAAAGCAACACCCACGAAAAUGCACCAUGCACGCAUUUGGAAAACCACAUAGCCGGUGAGUGCCUCCAACAGAACAUGUGUUCCAUCCGUGAUUCCGCUCGCGUGGAGUGAAUUGCAGAAAACAUCGACAUUGAAGGCUAGGGUUGCAGUAACCACACUUCUACGUAAUUGUGCCAAAAACAACUAAUUCCGAGGCUAAUUUUUUGCAGAAAACACUAGUAACCCGAUUUGCUCAUUUUAACUCCGAUUAUGACAGGUGGAGCCCGCAAAAGCUGAUGUGGCGCAACGGUUCAGACUAGACGCCGUUAGACUUCUUGUUUGCAAAAGACUCCUUUCGUAAGAAGCAAAUAACCAACUCCCAUAUGUUCAAAAAAACCCACCCAACUGCCAUUGUCGUGCCCGUGCUCUCAGGCGCCCCACAGCCAGCAGCCUGCCCCGCGCACCCCGGCUCCGGCCUCCUCCCCCUUCCACGUGCCUGAUCCGGCGGAAUCCGACUGGGAAAACAAGCCGCCGCCNNNNNNNNNNNNNNNNNNNNNNNNNNNNNNNNNNNNNNNNNNNNNNNNNNNNNNNNNNNNNNNNNNNNNNNNNNNNNNNNNNNNNNNNNNNNNNNNNNNNNNNNNNNNNNNNNNNNNNNNNNNNNNNNNNNNNNNNNNNNNNNNNNNNNNNNNNNNNNNNNNNNNNNNNNNNNNNNNNNNNNNNNNNNNNNNNNNNNNNNNNNNNNNNNNNNNNNNNNNNNNNNNNNNNNNNNNNNNNNNNNNNNNNNNNNNNUCCACGCACCGGAUUCGACGGAAUCCGGCCGGGAAAACGAGCCGCCGCCGCCCCACCAUGGCUGUGGACUCUCACCCACCUUGCAGAAUUCGCCCACGUCAUGGCGGUCAAGCACAUCGUCGCUGUGCAAGUCGCGCCGCCGCCAACCGCCGUCGUCGUUGACUGACGUCCGAGCGGGCCGACUAGCAACUCCCCCGAACCCCCCUGCGCCGGCCGAGCAGCAUCCCCCGCACCGGCCGCCGGCCGCCGGCGCUGGCUGCCAGCACGUUCUCAACUCCAUGGAGGACAGACGAGGAGGUAGGCGACGAGGGUGAGGGGCUGAUUGCUUUUCUCAUUUUUGAAUGAGGGUGUCUUUGUAAAUCUAUAUAAAUCCCCCUUCUAACAUAGUCAAAUGUCAACCGUUACGCCACGUCAGCUUUUGCGGGUCCCAUUUGUCAUAAUGGUCAUUAAAUGGGGUAAAGCUGCCAACUAGUGUUAUUUGCAAAAAAUUAGCCUCGGAAUUAGUGGUUUUGGGCAUAAUUUCGUAGAAGUGUGGUUUCUGCAACUCUAGCCUUCAAUAUUGAUGUUUUCUGCAAUUCACUCGCUCGCGUGAGUACAUACAUAACUUUCUUGCCUUGCAACAUGCACAGCACGGUCAAAACUAAUAGUUGAACCCAUCAUGAUCGUACACAAUGCAAGCAGCCGGACCCGGACUGAAGUUUAACCGACCGGGGGCACAUCUGAACCCACCCUAGCCCCUAGGGAUGCAAGCAUUGUGUAGUUUUUGCUUCGCGGACAUGCGGACGGCCGUCCCCUUGCAUCCCUAACUCACCCUAUAGAUGUGUUUAGUAAAAAAAAAUGUACACCCUUUAUAAGUCUCAAAAAACACAGAAAAUGUCAUGCGUAUAAACGGAUAAAAAUACAUGCGCAUAUGAAUUCUGAAACUUCAACACACCAGUAUUCUGCAUGUGCAAAAAUUGAAAUCAGAAAGGGCGCACCAUUUUGGGUAAUAUUUUUCUUUAUUUCUCUGUACUAGCUAGAUGAACCAUUGCACCUAUGGUGCAAAAGACAAAUGCAGCCAAGAAGUGAGGCUAACUAUAUGAAAGUGUAACUCAAAGAAAUGAAAAAGAAAUUAUCGAGCUAUAUAAGAUGGGUGUGGCUAGGUCUCAGUCAAGUGACAUAACAUGCAAGAGAGAAAAAAAGGAAAACCGAAAAGAAAAUUUUGCACGGGUCUAAAUGUAAGAUCUCAUAGAUAUAGCGUCGACUGAGACUUAACUAGCAAGACUGAUAUAAGAUGGGUUGGAUACUGUACACAAGGUUGGUGGUGCACCUCUGGUAUACGUUGUUGUACAGGUUGAGGCCCUGGAAUCAUGGGUCGCUCGUUGGAUUCCCGGCUUGCGGCAUCUCUAGAAUCAUGGCACCGUGUACCCUACUAGCCCUUCAUGAGUUUGGGUGUGUUCAGGUCGGCCGAAUUGAGCACAGAGAAUAGUAGAAUCAACCGGGUGAGAUUAUCAAAGAGGCAAGGUCGGUUUCAAAUACGUGGGGCGACCCAUCAGCCUGCUGUUUCAUCUUGUCCUAGCGAUGCCGAAAGUCGGCUCGUUGAGGACCAACAAUGCAACCCGAAUCUAUUAAGUUUAAACUUAGUCUAAGUUGGCUCGAAAGAUUGAUAAGCCCCGCAAAUCUGUCUUAGGGAGGUGCGACGAAUCUAACGAGUCAGAUCUGGUCAAACAGGAGCACGAUGGCACGAGCCACAGCUAGGUCACGUCCAAUCGCCUAGAGGUGACCACAGUGCGACAUAUGCUCUCUGUCUUCAACAACCUGAAACGGCACUCCACCUCUUCAACACUUGUGCCUUCUCCAACGCUGUCUGGUCCAAGCUUUGUUUCGUGCGGCCAUGGUGCUGCCCUACUCUGCCUGCCAAUCUUUUGUCGAUUUCUCAAUGGUGGAGGGCCUGCUCUGAGAGUUCCAAAGAGCAUGCCGCGGUCGCUGCCUACUUCGCUUGGCAUAUUUGGAAUGAGAGGAACAGAAGGGUCUUCAACUCCAAAUCAACCUCAGUGGACGGAGUCCUCUCGUUGAUCAAAGCUGACUUAGAUUUAUUGAGAGUAGCGUUUUAGUUUCCCCUUUUGUAUAGGCAGCGCCUUCUGACGACUGCUAGACUCUUUGUAUAUUCGUAAUCUAUAAUGAAAAGGCAGAGCACCUGCCGUUUGAGUUAAAAAAAAAAUCGCCUACCGCUGGGUACGUGGUCACGUGGCAUGAUUUACGGGGUACGUGAGCUAUAGUGAGCACCAUUUACGGGGUAUGUGCAUGUCAGUUGUUGAUUUUUAUAAUUGGUGUUGUUCAAUUUAGGUAAUACUUGUACAUACGGAAGAGGCCUUCAGUUUAAACCUAUAUAUAUAUAUAUAUAUAUAUAUAUAUAUAUAUAUAUAUAGGUAAAACUGUGUCUAUAAUAGCUAUACACACACACACACAGAGCAAUGAUCACAGCAACUGCAGGCUAUCAACAAAUGGGGUUUGUCUGCUUUUCUUUCAGAGAUGUGCAACUGAACUUAUUGAGUCAUCAAGAAACAUGAUUUUAGAAUGUAGUGAUCUUGGGUGACAUAACCGAUUGUUCCUGCAUAAGCUUGACAUAGUACUUUAUAUGUUCAAAUGUCUGAACCUAAAUUCCAGUGUGCCUGACCUCAUACAUGACUACAGUUAGGUAAUGCUCCUUGACUUGUUAAUCUUUCGACUGACUUUCACUAGUCUUUCUAGUAACCAGGCCAAGUGAAUUUGUCAAAUUCAAACAAGUGGAUGAGACAGAGAUGAGAGUAUCACAAUCACAGGACUUGUAAUCCAUUGAUCAAUUCUCGCAACUGGAAACAAAUAAUGGUUUGUUAAGUUGCACCCUGAAAAUAUACAUAUGAUGAAUAUUUUGGAAGGUCAGGUGUGUAUCAGUUGCUGAUUAUAGCAAUUAGUGUUGUUUGAUUUAGAUAAGCAAGCAAGCAAUGAUCCAGCAACUGCAUUUUACUUUAUUUUUGAGUCUACAGAAGCCAUCAAGCAACUGCAGGCUAUCAAGAAUGGGUUUUCUCUGCAUUUGUUUCAGAGACGUUCAACUGAACUUAUUCAGCCAUCAAGCAACAUGAUGUACUAUCAUGUUCGAGAAUGUGGUGAUACUGGGUAGGGCGACAACCAAUUACAGAAAAAUGCUUCUGUAGCCAACCAUUAUAAUGUAUUCUACAGAAGCUGGACAUAGCAUUUGGUGGUACUCACAUACACAAAUGUCUGAACCUGAACUCAUACUACGAUGACAGGUAAAAUACAGGUUUGCGAUCCUCUGCUUCUUCAGCUUGCAACUUCUAGAGUAUCAGGUCCACAGUGAAUUUAUCAGAUUCAAACGAUUGGUACAUACAACAAUUUGUCCAACCGUGCGUAUGUAAAACUUGAUAGCAUUGCAAAAUCAUGAAGAGACGAACAACAUAGAAUGAAUUUACUGUAAGUCAGAGAGAUUUCUGACGAUCUUUUUCUCAGCAGAUCAGAACAUCACAUCAACACCAUUAGCCAAACUGCAAACACUAAUUCUAUUACGAUGCACUAGAUAGCCUGCCACAAUCGACUAAGCCUUCUUGGGGGACUUGGCGGCCUUCUUGGUCUCCUUCUCGGCCGUCUUCUUGGGGAGCAGCACGGGGUUGAUGUUGGGAAGCACACCGCCGUGCGCGAUGGUGACGCCGGCGAGCAGCUUGCCGAGCUCCUGGUCGUUCCGGAUGGCGAGCAGCAGGUGGCGCGGGAUGAUGCGGGACUUCUUGUUGUCCUUGGCGGCGUUGCCGGCGAGCUCGAGCAGCUCGGCGGCGAGGUACUCGAGGACGGAGGCGAGGUAGACGGGGGCGCCCAUGCCGACGCGCUGCGCGUAGCGGCCCUUCUUGAGGAAGCGGCCGAUGCGGCCGACGGGGAACUGCAGCCCGGCCUUGACGGACCGCGCCACCGCCUGCUUCCUGGGGCCGCCGCCAAGCUUGCGCCCACCACGUACUUCUUCACCUUGGAGACGGCGCCGGUGGCUGAGGCGUCCAUGGCGGCUAGAGCGGAUUUGAGAUUUGGCGCGAUCCGCGAUGGUGCGGGGAGAUUUGGCGAGGGGGAAUUCAGAUUUGAGUGUUGUGAUGGACGACGGGUUUGGGCAGACUAUUUAAACGGCGCGGGAAGGGGAUAGUGUGGGUCCGGCGAUCCGCGACCACAGGCAAUGGACGGUCGGAUCGGUGGCGAAUGGACGGCAGCGAUGCGAAAAUUACACUGUGCCUUCCUAUCAUUCAGUCAAUAUUUUUGCCAACAGAAAAAAUAAAUGGAAGGACCUCAGAAAUUGGAUCUGCUCUCAAGGUCUUCCUUUUUUAAUGCAAAAUGGAAACCCAUAAAGCCAGGGGAGCAUUAUUUGGAUACAAUAUUUUUCACUAGGAAUCUUUUCUCAUGCAAAAAAAUUGGGUCAAGGAAUGAAACCACGAAGUUAUAAAUUGGUUAUGUAAACUCAAAUUCAUAUGACAUGCCAGGUACUAUUAGAAAUUUCCACAUCUGUUUUUUAUGGGCGUAAUACUAUUAUAAAUUUCCUCUCUCUUGAAUUUUGUUGUAAAAAAUGUCAAAGAUUUCUCAUUUUAUCUGCUUUCUAUGAAUGUAAUAAAGCCAUAAUAUAAUAUACUAAAAGGUUUGACUUUACUUUGAUUUAGAAUAGCGUGCUUACUAAGUAGUAAAUUGGACAAAAUCAUCACAUUAAAGAUUAAGUUAGCACAAAACACAAGUUUACAUUUAUUUUAUUUUUGGGCACAAAACAACAUGUCUAUGGUAAUCUUUUUGUAAAUAAUACAAAUCGGCGAUUUUGACCCGGUUGACCGCGUUUAUAACAGAUGACGCCCGCUAGUCAAGCUAACGUGGCACCGCUUAACACCUCGCAUGUAAGGGCGACAUUUGGGACGUUGUCCUCUUGUGUGGAGACCUGUGGGGUCCACCUGCCAUUGAUAGAAAAAAGAAAAAAAAAUGUUGAGCCGGCGACCAAGCGAUGAAGGAAGCCUCCGAUGUCGAGCCGGCGCCCCUGCCCGCGUCGGUCCAUGCCGGCUUCACCAUGGAGCGGGCGCAGGCACACUUCAACGCCGUCAUGACGAAGGAGCAUCCGUCGCCGCAGCCAUGUUCCGGCAGGCACGUGAGGAGCAUCACUACAACCUCGCCCCUCCUCACGCAUUACCAGUCAACGAAGGGCCAGAUCUACGGCAAGUUCGCGAGCGAGGAGGCUGUGUCAGCCAUGGCCACGGAGAACCCGAACUUCCUUCAGGAGCAACGAGCACUCUACGAGGUCAUGUGCAACGCUCGCGCGGCGACGACUGACGCACAGAUGGCGUUGAAGGUCGCGGAUGGGAACGUCAGCAGUUGUGCGCCAUUAUUGGCGCCGCUACGACCACGAUGUCGAUCCGUCCAUGUCCAGGCAGCGGACUCCAACGAGGAAGAGUAGGACAUGGGAGACGGUGACGCCUCGUGUCCCAUGUGGGCCAGUCGGUGUCCCAUAUCUUCUCUUCCUCGCAGGCGACCGCAACCUCACUUCGCCGGCUCACGGCUGCGAGCAUGGACACGGAGGGGAAUAGCAAAAAUUUGGAGGACGGGCGUUUGCUGGAGAUUUAGACUAGGUUAGGAUCCGAACAUUUUUAAUGAGUAUGUCGACAAUGUAACGAAUGUGCUCCAGUUUAAAUGACAUUUAUCGGAUUUGCAUGAAAAUCGUCUCGUCUAUUCAAAUACCGUUUGAAAUGUAUGUUGACACGGUUGGAUGGCCGCACAGGCAGAGCUACGGCAACGUCCAAUGGGCCGCGGCCCGCCCAUCCUUUUACAGCUUUUAAUAAUAAUAAUAAUAAUAACAAUAAUAAUACAGUUUGUACACUAAUUCUGUUACUUGCGGGACUUAAAACACUAGCACACAAACUGUUUUCUACUAUUUGGCCCGGCCAGCCCGCCCAACAAUGGGUUUCAAGCUCGGCCACAAGAUGGCAUACCAGUGUGCGCGCGCGUGGAAGGAAGGAAGAAAGAAACGGUGCACGAGCGCGCGCGUCUGAGAAUUGGAACGCAUGGCGGCACGUACGUUGGCCCGAUGCUCGCGCGGCGCGGCCAGGGAGAGACGCGCUACGCAGGCUGCUGCUUGAUUUGGCGCCCGGUGGUGCGCGGGAUGGAAUGAUGCGCGCGUGAUUCGGCGCCGGGUCGAUCGAUGGAUGGUUCUAGGUGGAUGGAUCCGAUCGUGUCGUGUGCAGCAACAAGGAACGGUGGGAGUGGAACGUGACGGCCGGCGGCAAGCACGCGCGUACCACCUGUACUGCACGUCGUCGGCGCAUGCACCGCAGCGGAUCAUUGGCAUGGCAUGGACCGAAGGUUCAGAGCGGCUCUACCAAAAACAAAAACAGCUGAUCGGUCGGACCGGAUCCAUGUGGCAGUGGAGACGACCGAGGGAGGGAGAAGCAGGACUCCCCUCUCGGCCUGCCAUUGGCGAUGGGCAUGCAUGCACCGUUGCCGUGCAUCCCUUUCGCUCCUCCCCCACCACCCUUCUUUUUCCUUCCCUUCCUUCGCUAGCAUCCAUUGGGAUUGGGGAACACGCAGGCACAGGCGACAGAAUCGCGACGCAGGUCUGGGGCUGGGCUCCGGCGAUCUCCCUGUCGGGCCCGCAAAGCUGAUUAGAGGAUAUCCCAAUGCAUGCAUGGUGGCCCCACAACCCACACGACACGACCAUGACCAGGUGAGAGGGAGUGGGGGAAGUGGGAUCAAGUGUGGCCAUGUGCAAAAGUUUCUUUUCCGACCAUGUGGGACCCUCCAAACUACACUUCACCCAGCCUUGCUCGGCAGCGCGGGCCAGCCGUCUGGUCUCGGCCAUUGCAUGCAUCCACGGAUCCACCAGAUGAUCUCGUCCUCAGCUGUGACCACCUGGGGUCCCCUUCUCGGCCUGCCAUUGGCGAUGGGCAUCCGUUUCGCUCCUCCCCCACAAACUUUUUCCCUUUCCUUCCUUCCUUCCUUCCUUCCAUCUUAUAGUUACCACAAAGACAAGUUCGUGACAUGAAAUUGGUAGUACAAGAACUUGCAGCCAACUAACAAAAUCAUACACAAACUAAAAAACCCCAGAAAAAUGGUACACUAACUUAACUAACAGCACGUUUUGGUAUAAUUUCUGUCAGCCAUAACGGUGCACCGUCUGUCGCUGUUAACGCUCUCCCUCUCCCCUGUGUGGGUCCCGGUCGUCAGUGGGUCAGAAGAAAAAAGCAACGAGAAGGAAAGCACCGGUGUCGCCAAUCGAAUCGAACCAGGGACCAACCAAACUACCGAGCGCUUGGUCACCACUAGACAAGCAAGUGGUAGGUACGAUGAUAUAUACUCCCAGCUUCAGACACGUGCAGGCCUUUUUCGACUGUUUUCAUUUUUUUACAUGCUCUUUUCGUUUUUUUUCCUUUAUCUUUUUUAGAUCUUGGUAUUCUUCGUUGUUUAGAUCUUGGUAUUUUUCGCAAUAUUGUACACAUCCAGUCUGCCCCCAUCUUGAAGAUAACAUUUUUCAUCCCAUAUGACGAAUUUAUGAUGUAAUUUAUUCACGCGAUAUCGGACCCUUACUGAAAGCGACAAAAGUUUCAAGGUUUUGUUCAGGCUCUAUAUUUCAUGAAGUUUUUGAAAAUUAUGUAAGAUAUUGGAGUUGCUCUAGGAAAUAUGUGUGUUCUUUUUUAGUAUGUGUUCUAUUAAAAAAGUUCAGAUACAGUAGAAAACUAUAUUUUAGAAAAUUGUCUAGUAUGUGGACGUGGAGUUUCUACACCUGAGCUAAUAUGCUCCUGAUGUGAAGAGUAAAAUAAAUAAAAUAUUUGAAAGAAGUCUGAUUUUUUUGUGGCAUGCUUUAAGAAAUGUUUGCUAUGCAUGCAAAAUUUCAUCAUGAAAUUAUAUUGGUGGAACGCGUGAAAAGAAUAACAAAAUCGAUGCUCUGAAAAAAUGUUACUUUCAAACGCAUUUUGGAGCUCUGAUUUUUUUUGCCACGGCUUCCACCAAUGUGAUUUCGUGAUGAAAUUUUGCAUGCACAACAAACAUUUCUUAAACAUUGCCAUAAAAAAAAUUCAGAUGCCACCGAUGCAGACAACAAUCUGCAUCUGCUCUGGGACUACCUCCAAAGCUACGUGUUGGUGAUGCAGCAAACGUCGUCGCAACGGCGGAGCAUGAGGACACAGGUCCACCACGAGGAUGUCGUCGCCACCGCACCAUCCUUGCUUGAACAAACUGGAUUCCAAAUCCACCUCCAACAAUAGGAUUGAUCAGCCCGUCAGAGUAGGAUCUGAAGAAACUUUAUUCAGCGGCACCAUUGCCGCCGCCAAAGUCAAGACGAUGGAUGGCCUNNNNNNNNNNNNNNNNNNNNNNNNNNNNNNNNNNNNNNNNNNNNNNNNNNNNNNNNNNNNNNNNNNNNNNNNNNNNNNNNNNNNNNNNNNNNNNNNNNNNNNNNNNNNNNNNNNNNNNNNNNNNNNNNNNNNNNNNNNNNNNNNNNNNNNNNNNNNNNNNNNNNNNNNNNNNNNNNNNNNNNNNNNNNNNNNNNNNNNNNNNNNNNNNNNNNNNNNNNNNNNNNNNNNNNNNNNNNNNNNNNNNNNNNNNNNNNNNNNNNNUAGAGGGGAGUCGUCGGAGUACGACGGCGGAGAAACUCUUCUAGCAAGGGGCACCGGCGUAGUUGCCUUUUCCUUCAAGACGAAGAAAGAAAACGACCCGUCAUAAGCGUUCUAUGUUUAGCAUGUAUUAAAAAAUAUUCAUCGUAUAAUUAAGAAAGAUCACCAUAUAUUAAAAAAUGUUCAAUGUAUAUAACCAAUUAUUCAUCAUAUAUUAGUAAUGUUCGGUGUGUAUUUAUACAAUAAUGAUCAAUGUGUAUUCACAAACAAAGUUAUCGUAUAUAAAAAAUUCCAGUGUAUUCACAAACAAAAUUAUUGUAUAUAAAAAAGUCCAGUGUGUAUUUGAAAAAAAAUUGCUCAUUGUAUAUUAAAAAAAUGCCGACCGUAUUGAAGAAAAGUUCACCGUAUAUUGCAAAAGGUAUAUAAAAAAAUAAAUAUGUAAAAAUAAAAAGGGAAAAACUGAAGAAUACCCAAGAUCUGAUUUAAAAAAAACGACACAAAAAGAAGCCAUAAAAAAUGAAAACAGUCAAAAAAAGGCGAGCACGUAUCCGUAUUUAUAUAGGUAAGUCUGCCUAUUUUUGACGUAAAUGGUAGAGUUGUGUGGUUGUCAGCGACCGCUGGCUACGAUGGUCGUUUUGCUGUUCGAGUCCCGCGAGGUUAAAUUAUUUUUCUUUUCUUUUAUUUCUCGUCCCACUGACGAUUGGGACCCACACAGGGUAGAUAGAGGGAAAAAGGUCACGUAGCGGCAGUUUAACAGAGGGGACGGUGCAGUCAUGAUUAACGGAAAUUGUACCAAAACGUACUGUCAGAUAAGUUAGCAUACCAUUUUUCUGGAGUUUUUUAGUUUGUGUAUGAUCUUGUUAGUUCGCUACAAGUUUUUGUACUGUAGAUGUAAUUAACUCCAUGAAAUUCUAGUUACAAACUUCCAUCUUGAGCGACAACAUCUUAUGAUUUUGAUCUCUACUGUCCACUGUUGUUACAAACUGAAGGGUUCCAGUGAAACAACAUCGGUCCAGUUGCUCUGAAUAUUUGUCGAAUAAAUGCAACCAAAAGACUAUGAACUGAAAAAGUUUACUGCACAGAGGGAAAGCAGAGCACAAAUUGUCUUUGCAACUCAUCAAACGUGCCUCGCAGGGGUUAUUACAAACUCCUUCCACGGACAUGCAAAACGUGCCGAAAACACUCCAGCGUGGAUUCAGCCAAAGCAUCAUUUUGUAUUCGACGAUUUCUUCAGACCCUCAAGGGCACCCCAUAUGACAGUUGAUACAAUAAAGAGGAGCGCCCCCGUGCCAAUGACAUACUUCAGACCGAAAUUCAUGAGCAAGUUUACCACCAACCCUGCUAGGACGACUCCCACAAAGUUGAUGGACAAGCCUGACAAGAACGGCAUGUCCAGGACAGACGCGAUGAUGGCGCUGGUCCAUGGGAACAGAACGGCAACGAACAGCAUCAGCCCGAGCCACUGGAACUCCUUGACAGGCGAAGCCUUACCUCGCGCCCGCUCGAAGAGGAGGUCCAUUAUCCGGGUCGCCCAAGCGCUUCUUUGCGAGUUUCUUCAGAUAGAGGAUGAUGAAUGGCACAGGCACCAUGUUCCUGGAGAAACAGAGAGUAGAUGUAAAGUUCUAUGUAUAUUUGAAAAAUCUGAUAUAGAGCAUGAAACGUUUUCUGAAGAGAGAUGUCAAGUUGCUGACACAAGAGCGACAACUCGCAAUUUACAUUUCAGCUACGCCACUGGAAAUUGACCAUAAAACAUCAUCAUGGCCCAAUACAUCAAUCACCAGGAUAAGAAAAACUACUAUAAUAUCAAAUGCAAUUUCAGCCGCACCACUGAAAAAUGACCAUACAACAUUAUCACGACCUAUAUAUCAAUCAUCAGAAUGUAGAAAACACUAAUAUGAAAUGGUAAAUAGUCCAGCACUUGGCUUCAACAUCAUAACGAUUUUGCAGACGCGGAUGUCACAUAAGUACAUCACCUCCCCCCCCCCCUCUCACUCUCUGUUUUGUCUUCUGCACACUACAGAAAUCAAUUCAGAGUGGAUUCUUUCUCAUUCUUCUGAAAUGGCCGUGCAGAUUUUUUUCGGAAUGUUGAUAUACUGGCAUUUUGCAGGAGGUUGUCAAACACGUUUCACAUAGAGGUGAUGCUGACGUUUGUAGUAAGUAAAAGGCAAGGAGUUGAGUCACGUGGUUGGGGCUAGGGAGGAAGAGCUUGAGAGGAAGAUCAACAUGUUCAUCUGAUCCUCCUAAACCUAACUAAAAACCUGUACUUCAACAUUAGUAUCAGGUCCUAGCUUCUCUCAGUGGAAGGGGGCUCCUAUGCUUUGUCCAUGUUGUACUCCCUUUUAAAAUGCUACCAGUUGUAGUACAUUCAUCUUAGGGAUGUCAAUUCAAAAGAAGAAACAAGUCGCAGGUAUCAGUUGAACCACAUUCAUGCAAUUCCUAUAACAUAUUGCUUCCAACAAAGAAUUAAACACAUGCACGUAUCUAUAAUGGAUCAAUAGUCUCCAGAAUUCGUCAAAUGAGCAAAUCAAAAGGAGAGAGGGUGGAAUGUUCUCACUGCUAUUCAUGCAAAGUCGGUGAGAAGGAGGUCUCACUGGUAGGUGUGCUAUGCAGCCGACUUCAACACCGAGUCACCGACACAACAUGGAGUUAUCAGUGGGCUUUGUGUGCUGGACGGAGAGUGAAAUGAGAGCCAGCGUGCCCAGACUGGUAAAGCCGUGCAACUCCUGCGUGCGGAGAUGCUCGAGCGCCUUUUCAUGCAGCACAUCAGCCAGCGGCUCUCAGAUAGUCCAAGUGUGAGUGGCACAGGAUUGGAUUUCGGGAUUAGUCAGUGAUGGUAGGAUGAGGCGGAGGGAAGGGAGGACAAAGACAGGAGGUGAGGGAGGAAGAAGGUGAAAUACCACCCACAUGUGCAAAGCCAAGGUGAGGUGCAUGCCACUCGAGCAAAACCAUCAACCACGCCAUUACAGCCGUUGCCAAAACCAGGCAGGGAGUAUUGUGCCUUGUGGUCCUCUAUCUCCGGCUGCGCUAGUUAUGUCAUCUCUGGUUGCUGCUUCCAGUUGGUGGAUGCUUAAGAUCUUCUUGUUAGUUCACCGCAUUGUUUUCUUCAAUGGAUAUAAAGCUCCUGAACUGGAACAUGAGAGGGUUGAACAACCCGGCUUGGAGGAGGUCGAUACAGAAAUUUGUCUCAGCUAAUCAGUGCAACAUUGUAUGUCUUCAAGAAACUGAAUUGGCUGAUGUUGAUAAAAAAGUAUUGUGGCUGAAGUCCUGGGCAGCAGAGUUUCUGAGGACCUCAUCUUCAAAGCUGCUAAUGGUACAAGGGGUGCGAUCCUGGUUGCCAGCACAGAUGAUUUUGAUAUUUCCUUCCACGAGAAUGCCUCCAGCUCUCACUUUAUUACUGAUACUAUUACUGAUCUGACCAAUAAUGCCACUUGGUCCAUCUCUGGUGUGUAUGGGCCUCCCGAGGACAGUGACAAAAUUCUUUUUCUCAACAAGCUUAAGAGCAUAAAGAAUAGCGUGUUGCCUGAUUGGAUGAUUCUUGGGGACUUUAAUCUCAUUUGCCAUGUCAGCGACAAAAGCAACUCCAACAUUAAUCUCGGAAUGAUGGGACACUUUAGAAACGUGAUUGAGGAUCUUGAGCUCUGGGAAAUUGCUCUUAAUGGAAAGAGGUUCACCUAGUCUACAGAGAGAGAGAGAGAGAACACGGCUCAUUCCAAAAUCGAUCGAGUUAAUCUUGGGAGCUGAUCCACUUGUAAUAUCAGUUGUCUCCGGCCUCAACUGCCAUUUCGCUAUUGUCUAAUGAUCCUCCAGAAGAUGGAUGUCAAGCACUAUAAGGGGUCAGAUUUGAGGCUUGCUGGCUAAGGAUGGAAGGAUUCAUAGAGAAGCUGCUUGAGGCUGGGCUAAACCUGCUUGCUUUAAGGAUGCUCUAAAGAUUCUGCACAUCGAGCUGUCAAAAACCGCUCAUGCUCUGAAACUGUGAUAUACAAGAUUAAAGAAGGAAGUGAGAUUCAGACAUGAGGUAGUCAAUGAGGUGAUUUUCCAGCUGGACCUUGAUCAGGAGGAAUGAGAGCUACUCCCUCCGUCCCAUAAUGUAAGACGUUGUUUGUCACUGCACUAGUGACCAAAAACCAUGUGAACAGACCAUGGAAAGGACUGCCUGUUCCUUGCAACGAGACCGUUUAGCAAGUCUUUGCGACCUGCGCUUUGAUUCACAUUUGGAAUGGGGAAAAGGCCUCAUUCCGGUUCGACGGUUGGCUUGAUGGAGUCCCUCUGAAAGAUAUGGCGCCCGGCUUAUACUGGUUGGCCUCUAGGAAAAGUAUCUAUGUUUGUGAUGGGAUCAGGGGAGGAAAGUGGAUGAAGGACCUUGAAAGGAUUAACUUGGAGGAGGAAAUUGGCAUGUUCUUGCAGAUUUGGUCUAAAGCGCUCAGGGGAGGGGGAGGGGGUCUUAGAAGCUCACAGCCUGCAACUCUUAAUCGGCGGUGUCUGCAUAUGACGGGCAGUUCUUCGGCAAAUUCAUUGUAACGACCUCCUUAAGAUUUGGAGUGCUAAGGCGAGAAGCUUCUUUUGCUAAGCAAAAUUGGUUUGCCUUCUCUUCCUCUCAUCCUAGAGCUUCUGCCAUUGCCCUGAGGUCUUCCGUCGCUGGCCGGUGGAGAAAACUUUCACAUGGGGUCAAAAAUCCCCAAUGCCAGAAGAUGGCGUCAAUGGCGAUUCAUGUAGUCUGUCCCCUGUGGAAGGAGCGCUGCCAUGGGAUCUUCCAAAAUGCCCAGGCCUCCUCUGAUGAGGGCAUGUCUUUAAUUCGUGCUGAGUGUUAGACCUUCAGUGCAUAGGCUAGGUUGAUCGACAGUAAGUGGCAUAUACUCCUAUUUUUCUUUAGUUUUCUAGCUGGUUUUGAGCAAUGUACAGACUUCUCCCUUCUUUAAUGCAAACUACGAAUGAUAAGUCUGAACUGAAAUUUAGUCAAUGCACCACCGGCAAUUAAUCGAACAUUUGGCGUACACAGGCCUGGGCGGACAGACACUAACCUGACAUCAAAACUGCCAGGACGGUCAGCUGGACGGGGUGACGGCGCAUCCAAUACCCGGCCGGGAUUGCUCCGCGCAGCUCUAGCACCGGCAAUGUGGCAAUUAUGAACACGACGGCGUCGUCGGGCCAGCCGAGGCUUCGCAGAGACGCCGCCACCCGCAGCCCGAACCCGGACGCCUUGAUGCAGUCCUCGGCCGCCACGGCAGCCGAGCAGGGCGGCGGAGCCCAGGAGCGCGCCCAGCGCCAGCCGCCCCGCCCAGUCGCCGGGCGCCUGGCCCGGCUCCUCUGUCGCGUCACCGCCGCCUCGCGCCGGCGCCGGCGCUCUGGCGACGGGAGUGAGAGCUUUGCGGGGAGGCGGCGGGAUUCCGGGAGGAGCAGAGGCUGGAUCCCUCGGGCGGUGGAGCCGCGAGGAGAGGCCUCCGUCUCCAAAAUGCCAGCGGGAGAGGCGAGCGCGUGGCGGCGAGAAGUGCGGCCGCCAUGGGCCCAUGGCUGUCUGGAUCAAGGACAGAGGAUGCUUUAGCUUGCCGUCGCGGCCGUGGUGCUCUGUGGAUUUGGGCCGGUACGGACGGUGGUUACGAGGAGAGGAGGGCUCGUCGGAGUUGGUCUCCUGCGUUUCAACUGUUCAACGAGCCACACGUGUGUCCGGUUUUUCUCUGGAUCAACUGUUCAUUAAAGAAAAUAAUAAAAUAUACGAGCCACACGAGGGAGUAGCACGCUAUAGCAUUUUAAACAAUAUCUUGCUAAAUAAAUCUGUCUAGUUCACUUUCGGUUUUGUAGUUGCUCUUAUAUCACUGAAAAAAUAGCAUACUAUAACACCACACCGCUAAUAGCCAGCUAUAGCAUUGUGAGCAAUUACUCGUCAAAUAAAUCAGUGUAUAAUAGAUUUUGUAGUGUGUUUAGAUUAUACCUGGCCAUACCUCGGGCCGGGCCGGGCUUUGGGCCGGGCCUAGCCAAACCCGACGCAAAAAACCCAGGCCCGGGCCCGGCCCGGGCAUCGGACCUGUUUUCUGGGCCCAAGCCCAGCCCGAACAUGUAAAAGCCCAUCGGGCUUCGGGCCGGCCCGGCCCGACCUUCAGGGAAAUGCAAAAAUGACGGGCCCGGCCCGGCCUUCGGUCUCAAAAUCUAGGCCCGAGCCCGGCCCGGAGGCAGCGUCGGGCCGGGUCGGGCUUUUUCGGGCCGGGCCGGGCUUCCCAUGGCCAGGUAUAGUUUAGAUCACUAAAAAAUAACACGCUAUAGCACCAAUAAUAGCAACCUAUAGAGUUCUGAGCAUUUUCUAGCUAAAUGGAUCAGUGUAUAAUGUCUCGCUAAUAGUGUAUUUUAAAGACGGUGCUAUAGCACACUAAAUUUUUCAUUGGUUUAGACUAGACUAGAUGUUUCUCAUGGACUCUAGAAAUUGCACGGGUCCCACCCUAUCACUUUAUCCUCUCGCAUCGAUCUGGCGCAACCGCAUCUUCUUCUCUUCUUCCUCCUCCCGUUCAAAUCCACCCUUCCUUUGGGAGUCGGGUCCACUGCGGCAGGGAAGGGCUAAAGUGGCAGGACACCACGCGUGAGUCGAGCAGUUCGAUGAUUGGCGGGAACAUCAAGCACUAGGGCGCCUUGUAUUGGCUGAUGGAGGCGCCACGGAAGACGGCCACGAAGGUCGAGGGUCUCCUUGUCCACCGUCCACUGGCGCCAGCGCCGCCUGUGGUCAGCAGCUCCUAGUAGAUGAAGUGGUGCCCGAGGAUGCUCUUGGUGCGCGCCUGGCUGGUGUACUCCGCGGAGUGAAUAACAUAAAACUACCACUUUUUGCCCUAUGGUUCCAAAAAACUACUAGAUUUUUUUUUGUGAAUGAUAACUACCCAAAUAGGUGUCGGCUGUUUCAAAAAAGGAAAUAGCCGGUGGUUAACAUUUAAUCAGGUUUAUGAUAGCUGGGGUCCGCUCCUAAACAAACCGUUUGUUUGACUGUUUAGUUUGGCCGUUAGCUUAUAUGUGUGACCCACAUGUAAGCCACCUAACACGAAAAAUGGUAGUCUUAUGCUACGCUACGCGGACUGGUGGUUGAUUUGGCGGCGGCUUUGCGCGGGAGGGUGGGAUGGUCAGAUGGAUGGAUGGAAUGAAUGCAUGCAUGGGUGGCGGGGGGAAGAUUCGUCCGUCCGUGGAAAUCAAAACGCGCACAUGUAAAUUGUGAUGGGCAAGCGAGUCGGUGGAUCAUUGUAGGCAGAUUUGGUCGUGUGUAACAAUAACACGGUGGGAGGUAAUAGCCGGCGGCAUGCACACGCAUACCGCUUGCACGUCUGUGGCGCAUGCACCGCACCUGCUACCUAGGCGGAUCGAUGGCAUGACUCGAAGGUUCAAAAUGUCUCUGGAAAAAGCAGCAAAUCAGAAAGGACCAGACGAACACUGGUCGGCAUCCCAUGUAUUCCCGUACUAGAGAACGAGGGAGAAAGAGGAUAAGGGAGGAAGGAACGGGCACGUGUCUUUUUUUUUUGAGGAAUAAUGACAGGAGUUCUGCCUUUUCAUAUUAGAAGAAAGAAGGGGAACCAAGGUUCCCUGGUAGCGUACAGAGAAUAAGGAGAAAGGGAGGAAGGGAGGCGGGAAUCGCAGUACUGCACAGAGGGAAAGAAGAGCAGAAAUGUCUCUGCAACUAAUUAAACAUGGCUCGCAACGGUUAUUAUAACUCCUGGAACCACAUAGAAGAUGCACCCAAAAAACAUUUAAAAUCGGAGGGAGUAGAACCGUUGGGCGUAGAGUGUUAGGAGAGAGUAUACGUUAAUGUUAGUUGGGAUUAAAACCUUGAGUGAGUAUAGCAAGCAGAUGCACGGGAGUGUACGAUCAUGCAGGCAUGUACUCGUAGACGAUACGUGAUCGCUGCGAGCGGGACGAUCGACGGAGCCGGGCGCGCGCGCACUAGGCGUUCCGGUGCAACGGGACUGCGAGAGAGGGAGUGUUGGUGGAGGGCCGGGGGACAUGCACGGCCUGCGCCUGCGCGCCUGGCCAGGUCCGGCCACCCCUGCGCUGCCAGCUGCUCCGGCCGGGCAAAAAGCAAAGAUAGAUCAAGCCGCGCCGUGACGUGCGUGUGCGUACGUUUUUCCUGCCCAUCUGCGCCGGCUUGGCCAGGGAGAGAGAGAGGGGUUGCGUGGGAAAGGUCGUACGCGCUCCGCGGGGGGAUGGAUGGAUGGAUGCGCGCGCGUGUGGAGGUGGAGAUCAACAAGGCGCGCGCGCACCGCACCUCCUGCCUAGGCUAGGCGGAUCGUCGAUCCAAGACUCGAAACAGCAGCAGCAGACCGGACCGGGCCGGACGGACCCUGCCUGGCUUUCCAUGCAUGCAGUGGACAAAGGGAGGGACAUGUGUCGUCGCCCUUUCGCUCCCUCCCCAACGAUCUUUUACUAGUGUACCUUCUCUGUCCUGCAUUGCGAUUGGGUGGGGUCUUGGGGAUCAAGCGCGGGCGACAUACAGUAGGAUGGGAGUCCUGGGCUGGCGUGGGGACCCACCAAACUCCACUUCGCCCAGCCUUUGCUCCGCAGCGCGGGCCAGCCGUCUCGGCUCGGCCAUUGCAUGCACCACAUGAUGCGCACCUCUCCUCCUCGCCCGUCAUCACCUGGUCCCCUCUCUCGGCCAUUGCAUGCAUGCCGUUGCCCUCUCUCGUGCUCUUCUACAACCAAAUGGAAUGAAGGAAGGAAGGCCAAAUAAUUCCGACACAAGAAACUCACCAUGGUAUUAUUCCAUGAUAACUACGGUACCAUGGUCAGAAAUAGUGAAAAUGCCAUGAUCUAAUUAAUAGAAUUUUUUUCCCAUGAUCUAACUGAUAAAAGUGCCUACAUCUAAGGAAUAACCACUAAUUAACAUGGUCUAAAUAAUUUUCUUGCCAUGGUCUAAUUAAUUGCACCCGCAAACUUUUUUUAAUUAAAAUGCCAUGCUAACUACAAUAAAAACUACCAUGGCCUAAUUUAGAAAAAUAAUUUGUUGGAGCAGCACCGGUCCACCUGAUGGGAACGUGUACUAAAGUACGAGGCCAGGAGCUCCAUAGUGUGGGUUAAGUGCGUGACCUCUAUAGAGUGUAAAUCUAUUCGAAUAACCGCGUCAUCGUUCUUGGGGCACAAUUCGUACUAGGUCACACUAUUUGGUCUGUGUCGAGUCUAGAGGAAUAAACCAUAUAAUGUUGUUGCUAAAAAUGAACUAGAUAAAAGGUAAGGAGCUCCAUAUAAUGUAAAUCUACUCCCUUUUAACAUUUUAUCCAUGAGAUCUUUCUAGCAAUACCAUCGAGGAGCUUAUGAAUUUGUAGCCAAACCGGCAUGUAAACAAUGGUCACCUCCCUAAGCUUUGGUAAAUCCAUCAUAUGGGCACAUCAAGACCACCCAGUUUAUGAAUAACAAAGGACCUUGCUACAUCAUGUGCUCCCAAUCCCCCAGGCAAGAUGCAUGCUUGGACAGUUAACAAAUUCGGUCCUGCCGGGCGGAAUCUGACUUCCUCCGUCGGGCUACACGCAUCUCUCAUAUCUCUAUAGAAAAGCGGUUGACUAGAUGACUUCUCUGUAUGAAAUCUAGCUAGGGCAAGCCAAUGAACACUAUAGUUGAAUGCUGGGUCAUCCUCAUCUAUCUCAACAUCAUCAAAGACUUCAUCGUUCAAUUCGAGUUGGUAAAAAUCCACCUAGAUUAGAAUUUCCAAUGGCCACACCAUCGCAGUUGGUUGUAGACUGGCGUCCGAAAACAUCACACAUGGGCUGUCGGAGGAGACGACCGCCACACGUUCGUCCAAAUCCUAGGCCAUGGAGGAAAGAACCCUAGCCACGUCAUAGGGGAAACUCGUCCGCUUAUUAACUUUGACCUAAAGUUUGACCAAGUUUAUAGGAAACAAUAUGAACAUUUGCUAUGACAAAUCCAUAUAACGUGAAAAUAUGUUCAAUGAUGAAGCUAACGAUAUUGAUUUAGUGGUGUAUAUGUUGAUUUUUUUUCUACAACCUCGAUCAAAGAUUAGAAAGUUUGACAUUAGACAAAAUUAAUAUGUGGAGUAAAUAAAAACAGAGGCAGCGUUAAUUAUGUGGAUAUGUGUAAUAAGUGUGUCCAACGGAGGUAACAUUAAUUUUAUCCCAACUAAAAAGAAUAUUAGUUCUAUAAAUGCACCCGUUUUUAUUAUUUGUGCACAAAUACUUAUUAAAUGUUUAACUAAAAUUAAGAUUGUCCGUAUGAUACGGAAACGUCCCGAGUCGCAACCUGUAGCUAGCUAGUCAGAAAUCGAAUCGAAAUUUGAAACUCCUGUCUACAAUACCGUUUACACCUGACCCACCCGUGGUUAUUAUUUUCGGAACCAUGGUUACAAAAGCAAUUAGGUGUACUCACUCACAGAAAGGCCCUCGCGUUGCCGCACAUUUCUGAGACCACCACACCGCGUGCACACUGUCAUCCAUGCACCCAAGCGGAGUCGGACAAUUCUCCUACGGGCGACAACCUUUUUACUCAAUUCUGAAUGGAACCAUGAAAUUUAGAACCGUAGCCACACACUCGCAUGUAUGUGCAUGGAAUGCGGUCACCGCGCUAGCUAGGGUUUCGAGUCUAUCAAUAAUAAAGAUGCGUGACAAUGGUUUGUAUUUAACAAUAUUAAACUACUUGAUGCAUAUAAAAGAAUUCCAACAUGUUCUUUGAUAAUCAAAUGCAUCGAGUCAAAAAUAUUAUUGCCAAGGGUUUUGCCAAAGGUUUAGAAGGAAUGUCCAUAAUUAUUGAAAACACAGUGAUUACCUUCAGCACAGAUAAUGUAUAACAUGACAAUCACUUCAAGGCCAACCCUUGAGACAAGACCAAAUACAAACAAUUGUUUCUUUUAUGCGCUAUUUCAACCAAUCACACAAUUUAGAAUAAAAUAUGAGCAGAAGUCUAGGUUUCAUGCCCUAAUCAUUGGCAUGAGAACGCAAUGUUAGGGUUUCAAAAAGUCAAAAACAAAGAAAAUAUUGCAUAAAUGCAACUGAUAAUUAGCCCACGAAGAAGACUUUAUAAUUGAUAUUAAUGCAAGGAGUUUGGAUUGACAUGCAACUACAAGGCACAUAGAGCUAUGUAUGUAUGAAAGUUCUCCUCUGGACUAGUGCAGGUGCAUCCAACUUGCCUGCUAAUGAAGACCUAAAGCUAAUUUGAAGAGGCUCGUCAUUGUACGAGACACGUUCUAUAAUGUGAGGUCCCCACCAGUAUAUGAACCAAUGAAACUCCCGACGACCGCGCCACGUGGCUCGACAGAAGGCUUAUUCGUCGAGUCUUUUUGUUUUACCGACGGCUCUCGGCGAACGGAGGAUUGCGCCGAGUACGCUCUAUUGCCAAGUCAUGUCCUCGGCACACAGUUGUUUUGCCGUGUGCCCGUGAGUGGGAGCUUGGCACUCGGCAAAGACGAAUUUUCCAGUUUUGAUAGAGGGAAGGGGAAAGAGAUUAUAAAGUCGGUAGCUCGUAGUUGGUUGACGCGGAGUGGGUUGGCUAGCUAGCAUGUAGUUGCGAGAUAAUUUGGUCCAAGAAACUGCCUCAGCAUGUAAAGACACACACCCUCCUUCCUCCCCCACCACGGUUGGCAACACUGUAGAAGGAGAGAGGAAGGAAGAUGUCUGAAUUUAACACUCCCGUGCCAAGCUUCUGAAUAUGCCACUAUGCUAGACAGAGAGAAGGGGAAAGAGAGGGUGAGUCGGUGGUUCGUAGUUAGUUGAUGUGGAGUGGGUUGGCUAGGCAGCCCAGCCGCGAGAUAGUUUGGUGCAAGAAACCUCACAACAUUUUUUUAGGAUACAGUUCACAUUGCUAUUCAUCAUCCAAUAAAGGUGUAUUGGAAGCAUCUACCCCGAUUAGAAGUAACUAAAAACACUUUCUAAAUAAGCUCUAUUUGCGAUGAUGCUACCAUUUUUAAAUCAAUCUCGGCGUGAGAGAGGUCUAUUUAUCAUGUAGACGUAUGUGUAGAAAUUUCACUCAAUAACCAAAAGACGGAUGAGAGACGCCACAAAGGCCGGGUUCUACCAAUGCACCAGAAUUAAAUGAUCAAGAAAGUGCAUGUUCAAAAGAAAAGUCAAAGAUUUUCGCACCCGUUGGCAGCUCAAUCAUUCUUUCGUGGAUGGGAAUCGAAAUUCGAAACCCCCGUCCGUCUACACUGCCGUUUGCUGGCACGUGACCCAACCCCAACCCUGGUUAACCAACCACUCCCGCUCUACCACGGUUACUUUUUACUAAAGCAAAUCAGGCGCGCGCAGGCGCAGCUGCGCAGUUUGCAGAAAGGCCCCUCGCGCCGCGGCGCAUUUCCGAGGCCGGCCCCCCGCGCGCGCGUUCUGAUCCGCGCACCCGAAGCGAACCCAGAUAUUUCUCCUCUGGACGACGGCCUUUUACACGCCGGUCCUGAGAGAACCGCGAAAUUCGGCCCACCUCCCCUUCCCUCUCCCACGUACGGACCACGCCAUGAGCUCACCACCCCGCUGGCUGGCUAGGGUUUCGCCACCCCCCACUCGCUCACCGCCCCGCAUAUAAAAGCCGCCUCGGCCGCGCCGAUCCUCCCACCAACUCACCACCGUCCUCGCUCACUCCCUCCUUUCUUCCUCUCCAAUCCACCGCCGCCUCCACCGUAGCCUAGCCUUCCCACCACCACCACCGCGCUCUCUCCCCCGCCAUGGCCUACCGCGGAGGCGGAGGCCGGGGCGCGCCGGCGGGAGGAGGGCGUGGGGCCACGGGCCGGCCGCCUCCGUGCGCGUCCUCGGCGCCUCGCCCCGCCGCGACGGCGCCCGUGGUGGCCGACAACCCCAACGCCACGGGGCCGCACCAGGGCGCCUACCAGCACGGCGUCGUCGUCCGCAACCCCGCGCCGGCACCCUACGCCGCCGUCCGCGCGCCUCCCCCGACGCCGGUCACCAUCCGCGCGCCCUCGCCCACGCCGGCCACCAUCCGCGCCCCUGCUCCGACGCCCUCGUCGGCCGCGCCUCCGUUCCAGCCGGCCCGCGUCUCCGCCCCCGCCCCCGCUCCACCGACCCCCGCGGCCGUCGCCAAGGAGCUGGAGCAGAAGCUCUUCAUCACGGAGACCGCGCUGGCGCCUCCCGCGGCCGCGGCGGCGCAGGUGGUGCAGCCCGAGGCGGUGAAGGCGCCCGAAGUGGAGCACGCGCCGGUGUCGAAGAAGUGGCUCGCCCACCCCGCGCGCCCCGGCGCCGGCACCGUCAUCCAGAAGGUGAUGAUCCGCGCCAACCACUUCGUCGUCAACGUCGCCGACAACGCCCUCUUCCACUACGAUGUGAGCUGCCUCCGGAACCCCAUCCCGCUCCCUACCUACACUAUCUGUUCACGUAGUAGCUAUUUCUGGUUUAGAUCUGGCGUGCCAUGCAUGUUCUCGGUAUACCCUUGUGAUCGUGUUGUUUUUCCACGCUAUCUGAUUCGUUAAUUUUCCCCUGUGACUUGUGUCCGACGACCUCAUCGAGUAGUUUAUGUGGGUGUUUUGGUCUAGCGCUCUUGCUACAGGAUGGGAGCUUCGUCUAGUUUAGUUCUGACGUUUUCAGCAUGUUUUUCCGUUGUACCACGGGAUAGAUCUACCACGGGAUAAGCUUGUACUGACCCAUCCAUGGGUGAUUUGGUCGAGCUAGCGCUCUCGCUACACUUAAUCGGCCCUUGUAUUUUUCGCUUGGCGUUUUCGAAGAUGCACGGAUGGAUGGUUUUCUUCUGUUCUCGUGCAUGAACAGUGGGAAUUUUUGGAGAGCGAGAGAGAGAGAGCUAAUUGCCUCCGUGCAAAGCCAGCCCGCAGACAGUAGCUAGAGCGUCUUGUUUUCGGCUCUGUUGUUCUUGUCUUGUCUUGGAAACUAGCAGUAGAAGUACUAGUCAUUUUUUGGGCAACUUUGCGGUCUUGGGUGCAGAUUCUUGGGAUCCGUUUUGGCUUGCUAUAGACGGGAGGUCGUCGUGGGAUCCCAUCCCAUCCUCCCCGUCCCAUACAAAGCCACCCACCUUUUUCUUUUUUCGAUUCGAUCUCACCUUUUUCUUUUUUCGAUUCGAUCUCCUGUGUCCUUUUCUGGCCUUCUUGCAUGGUUCUGAUCUGUUAGUAUCCAUGGGAGGUAAUAGCACCCCAGGUACCCUAACUUGCACACAAUGUGAUGAUUUAGUCCCAAACUUGCAAAACUUGACUCCACCAUACCCCAACUUGCACCUCAUGUGAUGAUUUAGUCCCAGGCCAAUCACAGCUCGACAAUUGGCAGCCACGUGGCUGGACCGGUCAGCGCAUGCACUUUUACACAAAGCCCCCUGUUGUUUUAUGUAAUUAACCAGCCAUUGACAACAAUACUACAGUUUGAUUUGCAAGCUUUCUAUUUUAUCAUGUAGAUACUUCACUUUUUCAGAUAGGGUAUCUGUACUUGGCGUUGCUGCUGCAGUUGUUUGUUUCAGCAUCUAAAUUUGUAUGCUUAAAUUUGAUGAGUUGGUAUGCUGCUUUAAUCAUGAUCUCGCUGACUUUCCCCUGUCCUGUUAUUUGUUGAUGUCUUUUCACAGCAGCUCCCAUUUUGGAGAUACCGAUGAUUUUGAUCCUUUUGGAGAUAACUAUGACAAUGACAGAACAGAGAAUCAUGCGCUAGAAAAUGCUACUAAACUGAAUUACCAUUCGUAUAUGGACAAAUGGAGAAAAUUUGACACUGACUGAAUUACCAUUCGUAUAUGGGCAAAAAAACAAGAGCCAAAUGGAGAAAAUUUGACACUGACUUAUUUUACCAGGUAUUUGAAAUCAACUACUCACUACUAUUUUGAUGUUGAAUCUACCUCUUUUUGUGCUGAUGUUUUCUCCUGCAGUCUUAGCAGACCUGUAGAAUCAGAAACAUUCUCAUGUGUGCAAGGAUGGCUGCUAUAUGUUAGUUUUACAGAGAGUUGAUGUAAAUAUGAGAAUUCAUUCAGGUUUUUUCUUAAAGCACCACAUUAUUUGUUGAUCACACUCAAGCAGUUCACUGUUUAUCACACUCGAGUACUCAGACAGGCAUGCAUAGUUUCUUCCCGAACAUCAACUGUUUGCAUAUACUUGGGACUGGGAAGACAGUGUAUGUCUAGUGAAGCAUCAUGUAUCCAUUUUUUCUUUUCUUUUGGUAACUAAAAUUUCAUGACUGGUCUCACCAGGAUAACAUGUGAAUGUCAAUGGCCAUCAAACAGUAGGCUGAUAAUACCCCUCAGCGUUAGUAGAAUUACAUCUACUAUUACCUGUUGAUAGAUUAUUUAUGCUGCAACAAUCACUUGUAACUGUACCACUGUUAUUGGUGUAGAACAGUCAGUAGUGAAGGUAAGUGGCAACAAGCAGAAACUAUUGCCCCCCAUAUCUACACCACCUCAUCAUUCAACACAGAAGGAUCCAAAGGAAGAUUUCAUCUUUGAACACAGAAGGAUCUAAAGUAUGAUUUCACCAUUCAACACAGAAGGAUCCAAACUAUUGCACACUUUUUUUUGCUGUUCUGUACUUGCACACAUCACAAGUUAUGAUUCGGAGAAGAGUAAAAUCAACUAGCAAGGGAGAUGAAAUUUGCCUACACUACACACUCACAUCAAUGUAUAUCACCUGUUAUAUUCAUGAUCAUGUUGCUUGUAAACUUACUGAUCCCUUCGACUUCAGUGAAACAGGCAGUUUGCAUAAUUCCACGAAGUUCGCCGUCUUCUCAUUUGAAUAGAGUAGCUACAUGUAUGAUCAAUGGGCAGGGGCACAUGAUAGUCCAUCAGCGCGGGACUUGAAGGCCUAGAGGACGAGCGAGAACCCCGGCGCGGCGGUGGCGACCUCCUCCUCCUCUAGCCACAGCCGGCUCUCCAGCGCGCUGCGCGCCCGGAGCAUGACCACGGCGCUGCCGUACGGAGGCUCCCGGAACCACCAGCCGUGCAGGUCCCACAUGACGUCCACCGGCGCUCUGUCCACGAACACGGUCUGGUUCCCGUCGACGCUUGCCCACAACUCUUCUUCUUUCGCGCUGCCGCCGACGUCGCCGCUGGAGCACCCUACGCCUACCUGGAAGCAGCGCGGGAUAGCUCGACGAGACGCGAGCAACACCAUGGCAGGAGCCCUCCACAGCAGCCGUGGGCAACUGCGACGCAUGCUCUGUGGAGCAGACAUUGCCAGCGCCACGAGCUGACAGAUCUGAAGGCUGGGGAGCCGCACCAACUCUGGGCUCUUGUGCGAUGGGAGGAGGCGGUUGCUGCGUCAGUUCCUCGACAACGUCUCCGCUGCGGCUGGAGACGGGUGGAGGCGACUGCAGGGUCGGUUCAUCACCCACCACGACAACAGGCUGAAGCAAAGCAUCUCCGGAGACAAGGCCCGCCGGCGGCGACGGCGCGGCGAACUCCCCAUCCUCUACCUCAACGCCAGGCAAGGGGAUCUGGCCCGUCGGAGGCGGCAGAUGCAGCGGGAGGCGGGGGCCAGAUCUGCCAUGGCUGGGAGUAGGGAUGGGAGGCCCGAGGGGCUAGUUGCCGGGGGCUUCAGAUGCUGAACGGAGCCAGCGCCGGCAGGGGGAGCCGGGGCGGCGAGCAGCGGGUCGGCCGCCGUCGCAGCCAUGGGGGUGUGCGCGCGUCGACGACCCCCAUUCUCCACUCUGAACCUGCAAGCGGGGGGCUGCGGUGGUGAGCGACGAGGGACGCGCGGUGGUGAGCGACGAGGGACGCGCGGUGCCGAGAGGGGGGCCGACGGGGCCGGGGCGGCCGCCGCCGGUGGGGGCUGGUGGGGUGGGGGAGCGGGGUCACGGGAGGUAGCCGUUGUCAUGUGGAUGUCACGGCAAAUUCAGGUGGAGGUGAGUGCGGGUUGAUUAAAGGAAACGACAGGGGGUUUUGUGUAAAAGUGUGUGCGCUGACCGGUCCAGCCACGUGGCUGCCAAUUGUCGAGCUGUGAUUGGCCUGGGACUAAAUCAUCACAUGAGGUGCAAGUUGGGGUAUGAUGGAGUCAAGUUUUGCAAGUUUGGGACUAAAUCAUCACAUUCUGUACAAGUUAGGGUACCUGGGGUGCUAUUACCUCAUCCAUGGGGUUCUUCCCUUGGUCUUGGUCUUCUGGUUCCCGUCUGGUCCGUUUGGCGACAAAAUGCAAAGCAGCGUACCACCAACACAUCCGUCCGUUGGGACACGGCAGAUGCAUCGGUCUUUCCGUGCUGUUUGUAGUAGUGCCAUACAUUUUUUGGCAAAGUAGGAGUCCUGUUCGUGUUCCCUGGUGUACUUCUCUUCGUGAUUCCUUUGCCUCUGCCCUGCCUGCGUGCGGUCCCGCGGCAGGCCAUGCAGCUUUUGAGUUUUGUCUUUGGUUCACGGCAUGCAACGCCGAGGCCGUGCUGCUCCGCUCCUCGGAUCUCCUGUACCGCCACUUCGGGUGCUACUCCGUGUGCCACCCCGGCACGUGGCCCUCCGUGUUUGCAUCUAGUAGGUCGUGGUCAACUUUCUUUUUUCGGGACACUCUUUUUUUAACUCUCUCGGUCCAGCCUUGGACGUUUGCUCUUUGUGUGUGUGCGGGUGGAACAACAGUGGUAGAUCUCUUCUUCAGGUGAAUGGUCGACGCGUACGUUGAUUUAUUCCCAUACUUCGAAAAUAUACCCGAAAAUUUCGACGUGGGAUUUAAUAUUAUUGUUUUCCAACUUUUUACAGUGAGCUCUAAAAUUGUGAUGUGGGGUUUAAUAUUUUUAUUGUUUUCCAACUUUUACGGUGAGCUCUAAUUUGCUUAAAAUCUUGUUCUCUGCUCACACAUGUAUGAAUGUAGUACCUCCUUUAUUGCCAAACUAUUUUAUAUUCCUCUAGUACAUUUAUAAAUGGUAAAUUGACGACCAUUUUUUUUUGGUACUCCUCGUAACAAGUAGUCCAUAGUUCCUUUUUUAAAGUACGUAUAUAUACAUACAGGUCCUUUAUUUUAAUAUAUACACGUAGUACGCAGGUCCUUUAUUUUACUAUACACACAGUACGCAGGUCCGCUUAUUGUAUUCUGUACCGCAUGAUUGCAACAAGAUGCGUGCCCGUCGCACAUGCCGUCACAGCCUCCCACUCAACCCCUCCUCGCCCAGCGCCGCCACCCCUUCUCCGCCUCCGCCGCUGCCCGCCGGCCUGCUCACCCGCGGCCCUUAGUCAGGAACCCUAGUAUGGCCGUGCCCAAAAAUUUACUUUACUGUGCCCUCCUUGAGUUUUGGGUGUUCGAUUUGGGAUCUAGACUUCUUCCCCGCUUGAUUGACUCCAAUAGUUCGAGUGGAUUUUCUUCUGGGCUCUGUAAGUCGAAAUGGAGGCCGCCACCACAUGGUAUGUGUUGCCGUUUGCUUGCCACAUUUCCAGUCCUGCGAUGCCACUAGCAGCUAGAUCUCCUUUAUUGCCUAAUUUUGGUUUACUGUUUUCUCAAGAUCCGGUAGUUUUCCCUCACGGAUUGACUGGAUUCUGUGGUGUGUUAAUUCAACCUGCACGAUUCGACUCUUUUGAAUCAAAUGUAGCAUAGAUUUGAUUUGUGCAAGAUGACUGGGCAAAUCAGAGGGCUAAUUGUCUCUAUUCUGUGUACUGAAUGUAGAACAGAGCGUCUCCUGUUUUUGGAUACAUAUUGGAUUAAUGAUGUUGAAAUGUGCUGCUGUAGGUUUCCAUCAACCCGGAGUCAAAAUCAAGGGCUGUGAACAGGGAGGUACUCAGUGAGCUAAUCAAGUUGCACGGCAAGACAUCCCUUGGGGGCAAAUUGCCUGCAUAUGAUGGAAGAAAGAGUCUCUACACUGCAGGCUCACUCCCUUUUGAGUCUGAGGAGUUUUCUGUUACACUGGUUGAUCCGGAAAAGAAAGACAAAGAAAAGUAUGAUUGGAUUCUUUACCUUCAAUCUUGUCCAACUUUCUUAUCCAUUGUGUUUGUAGCUACUAACUUGUUCCAUCUUCAUUUGCAGGGCUGAAAGGGAGUACAAGAUCACCAUUAGGAUUGCUGGGAGGACAGACCUGUACCAGCUCCAGCAGUUUCUCAAAGGAAGACAGAAGGAUAUGCCUCAAGAAACCAUCCAAGUUCUUGAUGUUGUCCUCAGGGAGUCACCAUCCUGGAAGUAUGACAUCCACUUUCCAGCAGUUUCUUGCUAUCAGUUUUUCUUCAUCAUACUAGCUAGUUCACUAGAGCCCUAACACUAUUGCUGGCAAUUCCUUUUCAUUGCAGCUAUGUCACAGUGUCCAGAUCCUUCUUCUCCACCACCUUUGGUCACAGAGGAGACAUUGGUGAAGGAUUAGAGUGCUGGAGAGGUUACUACCAGAGCUUACGCCCAACCCAGAUGGGGCUGUCACUCAAUAUAGGUACUCCUCUCCCCUCCCCUGUCUGUUACUAUUACUGUUUUCUGAUUGCAGUGUGUCCUAGCCUUGUUUAUCUGAUGAUCUGCACUUCAUUUUCCAGACAUAUCUGCAACAUCCUUCUUCAAGCCUGUGACAGUGGUCCAGUUUGUGCUAGAGUUCCUCAACUUACGUGAUGCCUCGUGGCCUCUGACGGACAGGGACCGUGUUAAGGUACUAUUCAUCCAUGCUAAGCUAGUUUUAGAACUCAUGUUAUGUAGAUUGCGCCAUGUUAUUGGCUUGAAAUAGUUGACUAAUCUGUUCCUAUGCACUAUAUAUGCAGAUAAAGAAAGCACUCCGUGGGGUGCGUGUCGAAACAAACCACCAGGAAGACCAAAUCAGAAGAUACAAGAUAACCGGGAUUACCCCUGUUCCCAUGAGCCAGCUCAUGUAAAUAACUUCCCUCUAAUGCUAUAAUAUUUUCCAUUAUGUCUUUCAUCUCUAUGUUCUGGUGCAACUAAUCAGGGUUGCUGGAAUAUUAGAAAGACGCGUAGUCGUGUAGAUUUUUGUCUUAUUGCUUCUUCAUUGAUGUUGGUGUGUCAGGAACUGUUAGGAGAAUAAUUUUGUUUACAACAUUCUUCCUGUGGCAUAUGCAUUUGAUUUCUACAGCAUAGCAAAGAUCUGUAUGUGCCAAAUUGUUUCCUGUUCACAAUUUCCCUUAUGAACGUUUAGACCACAGUUUCCUUUUUAGCAUCUAUCCAUGAUUAUCAUUCCCUUUCUAAUAGCACUCUACACGUGUCCAUCAUUAUCAUUCCCUUUCUAAUAGCACUCUACCCGUGUUGUUUUGUUUGUUGUUAGAUUUCCUGUUGAUGAGAGAGGAGCAAGAAUGUCAGUUGUUCAGUACUUCAUGCAAAGGUACAACUACAAUCUGCAGUAUACUUCUUGGCCCUGCUUGCAGUUUGGAAGUGAUGCCCGGCCUGUGUAUCUGCCCAUGGAGGUAUUGUAUCCAUGCCUUCUUCGUCAUAUUCGAAUUAUACAUUGUUUUCUCAUGGUUCUCUGCAAAUUGAUUGUAGGCGUGCAAGAUUGUUGAAGGGCAAAGGUACUCUAAGAAACUGAAUGACAAGCAGGUCACCAACAUACUUAGAGCUACCUGUCAACGUCCCCAGCAGAGGGAGCAAAGCAUUCGUGAGGUAUUUACCUAUCUUCUCACAUGUGGUAGAUCAUUCCAAUCUGCUGGAACUCAUGUAGUUAGGAAUGUCCUUUUCAACGCAUAUAUGUCAUGUUUGCCUGUAAUGUGCAGUCUUUCUCAUAACACUCUUUUUCACACUGUAGAUGGUUCUGCACAACAAGUAUGCUGAGGACAAGUUUGCUCAGGAGUUCGGUAUCAACGUCUGCAGUGACCUGGUCUCUGUUCCAGCCCGUGUGCUGCCUCCCCCCAUGGUAAGGAUGCUGCACUUUUUCCCCUUUCUCUGAGUUACUUAACUGGAAGGAUUUGUAGUAAUCACAUCCUUCGUAUGUGUUUCAGUUGAGAUAUCAUGAUUCUGGAAAGGAGAAAACUUGUGUGCCAAGUGUUGGACAGUGGAACAUGAUUAACAAGGUAUUUCCCUGUUCAGUGUCUUCACUCCCAAUUUUACUAAGCAUUACUUUUUCUUGGAACUAAAUACAUGGAGAACUUGUUGAGUUUCUUCUUUGUUUGGUCUAAAUGUAUUGGGCAGGUCAUUAUUUUCUAUGUAGCAACUGAAAUUAUUUUGCUUGAUUGCAUUUUAUUGAUUAUGUAGUUAACUAGUUACUUAAAUUGAGAAACAAUUGAGCUUAUUUUGUAUGUAGUAUAUCGAUGAUGGUACAAAUGAUAGGUCUCAUUUGAGUUUUCUUAUUGCAGAAAAUGAUCAAUGGAGGAAUCAUAGAGAACUGGGCCUGUGUGAGUUUUUCACGCAUGCGUCCUGAGGAGGUACACAGGUUCUGUUGUGAUCUGAUUCAGAUGUGCAAUAUGACUGGAAUGGUAAAGGCUUUUGCAUUGCUUUCCUGUUUCUCAGGCAUUUAUGGUUUAUGUGUGUGUUACAGCUCACUGACUUGUAUUUUCCAACCCUGUAGUCUGUCAAUCCAAGGCCACUUGUAGACAACCGAUCAGCUAGCCCCAACCACAUUGAGAAUGCUUUGAGAGAUGUCUACAGGAGGACAACGGAAAUGCUUUCCAAGCAGGGACACGAAAAACAGCUACAACUGUUAAUCGUAAUCCUACCUGAAGUCAGUGGUUCUUAUGGUAUGCAUAUGGCUCCUCUGGUCAAUCCCCUUACACCUUCUCUUGGAUUUCUGUAGAUUUCUGUAUGUGCCAUGUUUAAUUUUGCAGGGAAAAUCAAGAAGGUUUGCGAGACUGACCUUGGGAUCGUGUCUCAGUGUUGCCUGCCAAGGCAUGCUGCCAGACCGAACAAGCAAUAUAUGGAGAAUGUUGCACUCAAAAUCAAUGUGAAGGUAACAUAACUACCUGGUCUAUGUUUUACAUUCAGUUUCCAUGGAAUGUUGAUUCGUUGUCUACUUCGGUUUCUGUUGAAUGUGAUAAUUCUGUGUCUUAUCUAGGUCGGAGGACGCAACACAGUUCUGGAGAGAGCUUUUGUGCGAAAUGGCAUACCGUUUGUGUCCGAAGUCCCAACAAUCAUCUUUGGUGCUGAUGUUACACCCCCCCACCUGGAGAGGACUCUGCAUCAUCUAUUGCUGCGGUUAGUUCUUCCCCAUAGCUAACAGUUUGUCAAUUCGUUAUAUCUGAUUUUAUCCUUCAAAUGGAAUUAUCAUCUUCAUGCACAUACCUGUUGAGUACAAAUAGGCUUAUCCAUUUCUUUUAUUGGAUUGAUGUAGGUGGUGACAUCAAUGGACUGGCCAGAGAUCACCAAGUACAGAGGUCUUGUCUCUGCUCAACCACACAGGCAGGAGAUAAUCGAAGACCUCUUCAGUGUCAGCAAAGAUCCGCAGAGGGGUAAUGUCAAUGGUGGCAUGAUCAGGUCAGUUUUGUGAUUAGUCAGAGACGAUUGCUAGCAAUUGCCCUGUGGAUCAACUGCUAAUCUGACAUAAUUUUCUCCACAGGGAGUUACUGAUUGCCUUCCGCAGGAAGACAGGCCGGAGGCCUGAGAGGAUACUCUUCUACAGGUGUGUGCACAAAUUCAGGACACUCUUUUCAUCCUGUCCAUUCAAUGGAACUGCCUGACCGAUCAUUCUCAUGUACAGGGAUGGUGUAAGUGAAGGCCAAUUCAGCCAUGUUCUGCUUCAUGAAAUGGACGCAAUCAGGAAGGUAAGCCUGCAGCAUAUGAUUACGUGCAAAUUUCCGUUUUGUCUACCUCUUCUGAUGUGUUAUCCUUGGCUUCUCUCAUUCUGAUGGUUCUUAAUUUUGCUGUUGCAAGGCCUGUGCCUCAUUGGAGGAGGGGUACAUGCCCCCAGUCACCUUUGUGGUUGUCCAGAAAAGGCAUCACACCAGGCUGUUCCCUGAGGUCCAUGGGAGGCGUGAUAUGACUGACAAGAGUGGGAACAUACUUCCAGGUUAGCAAAUACACUGGUAUUUCAAUGUCACUGAUUACAACUAUCUGCUACUACUUGUUGAAGCAUCGCUGACUGUGAUUGGGUGCGUUUCUGUUUCUGCUGUCCUGCAGGAACUAUGGUUGACCUCAUGAUUAGCCACCCUACAGAGUUUGAUUUCUACUUGUGCAGCCAUGCUGGCAUUCAGGUAGACACUUUGUCCACAUGUCCAUUUGUUCCUAUGCAGCCUAUCUUCAGUGCUUGCAUACUGAGUUGAGUGUGUUUGCAAAAUGCUCCUCAGGGAACUAGCAGGCCAACACACUACCAUGUUCUGUAUGAUGAGAAUCACUUCACAGCCGAUGCGCUUCAGUCACUGACCAACAAUCUCUGCUACANNNNNNNNNNNNNNNNNNNNNNNNNNNNNNNNNNNNNNNNNNNNNNNNNNNNNNNNNNNNNNNNNNNNNNNNNNNNNNNNNNNNNNNNNNNNNNNNNNNNNNNNNNNNNNNNNNNNNNNNNNNNNNNNNNNNNNNNNNNNNNNNNNNNNNNNNNNNNNNNNNNNNNNNNNNNNNNNNNCCCUCUCUCUCUCCCCCCCCCUCUCUCUCUCUGUGUGUGUGUGUGUGUGUGUGUUGUGUUAUGACUCUGAUGAUGGUUCAUUUCUGAUCCAUAUGCAGCUAUGCUCGUUGCACUCGUGCGGUUUCUGUUGGUGAGUUUCCUUUUCAGUUUUCUGCCUUAAUUUGCUUCAACUUUCAUCUGUACUUCUUCUCUCCAAGUAGAGCAUUCUUCUGUGGGCAUUAAUACUAGUAGCCUAGGAGCAUCUGCUUUAUGCCUUCUGCUAUUGCAUAUAUUUGCUUAUCCUGAUGAUAGUCCUAGCAGCUGUAGACUUGUAGUAGUUUGGCAUUAGUUUUACCUGUGUGUGGUUAGCAAUACAACCAAACUGGUUCCUUGAACUCUUUGAUGAAUCUGUGUUGAAGUACUUUGAUCUAAAACUCUAAAUUAAUAUGCACUUGCUGAAAAUGAGCCUUAGUUUAUGAAUGAAUAAUACACUGAGUAGUUGCCAUUCCUCUGGUAGCUUAUUGAUGUAUACAUUGUGAGUAGUUCCCAUCCCUCCAUUAGUUUAUUGAUGAAUACGCUGAGUAGCUUCCUUUCAUCUGUUAGUUUAUUUAUGAAUAACACUGAGUAGUUUUUUUAUCUCUGUUAGUUUAUUGAUGAACACACCGAGUAGUUUCCAUUCCUUUGUUCUGUGUUAUCUAUGUUCACAUUGAAAAGAACAACACAGAAGCAAUCCCCCUUGUUGUUUUACGAUUUUGCAUACUUGAAUAAGUUAGCUGAAGUCAGUGGUUCUUAUGGUAUGCGUAUGGCUCCUUUGGUCAGUCCUAUUUCACCUUCUCUUGGAUUUCUGUAGAUUUAUGUAUGUGGCACGUUUGAUUUUGCAGGGGAAAUAAAAAAGGUUUGCGAGACUGACCUUGGGAUCGUGUCUCAGUGUUGCCUGCCAAGGCAUGCUGCCAGACCGAACAAGCAAUAUAUGGAGAAUGUUGCACUCAAAAUCAAUGUGAAGGUAACAUAAGCACCUGGUCCAUGUUUUACAUUCAGUUUCGAUGGAAUGUUUUGAUUCGUUGUCUAUUUUGGUUUGUGUUAAAUGUGAUAAUUCUGUGUCUUAACUAGGUUGGGCGGCCACCUUCCAUUGAGAAGGCCUUCACUAGAUUUGGUGUUCCUGCUGUAAAAAAAGUACCAACAAUAAUUUUUGGUGCUGAUGUUACACACCCCCCACCUGGAGAGGACUCCGCAUCAUCUAUUGCUGCGGUUAGUUCUUCCCCAUGGCUAACAGUUUGUCAAUUCGUUUUGUUUCUAUCUGAUUUUAUCUUUCAAAUGGAAUUAUCAUCUUGAUGCACAUACCUGUUGAGUACAAAUAGACUUAUCUGUAUCUUUUAUUGGAUUGAUAUAGGUGGUGGCAUCAAUGGACUGGCCAGAGAUCACCAAGUACAGAGGUCUUGUCUCUGCUCAACCACACAGGCAGGAGAUAAUCGAAGACCUCUUCAGUGUCACCAAAGAUCUGCAGAGGGGUAAUGCCAAUGGCGGCAUGAUCAGGUGAGUUUUGUGAUUAGUCAGAGACGACUGCUAACAAUUGCCCUGUGGAUCAACUGCUAACCUGACAUGAUCAACUGCUAACCUGACAUAAUUUUCUGUAUAGGGAGUUACUGAUUGCCUUCCGCAGGAAGACAGGCCGGAGGCCUGAGAGGAUACUCUUCUACAGGUGUGUACACAAAUUCAUGACACACUUUUCAUACUGUUCAGUUAAUGGAAUUGCCUGACUGAUCAUUCUCAUCUAUAGGGAUGGCGUAAGUGAAGGCCAAUUCAGCCAUGUUCUGCUUCAUGAAAUGGACGCAAUCAGGAAGGUAAGUUACAUGCAAAUUCCUGUUUUGGUCUGCCUCCUCUGAUAUUAUCCUUGGUUUUUGUCAUUUUGAUGGUUUCCAACUUCUCUGUUGCAAGGCCUGCGCCUCUUUGGAUGAGGGGUAUAUGCCCGAAGUCAGUUUUAUCCCAGUCGAGAAAAAGCACUAUACUCGGCUAUCACGUGAAGUGAAUGAGAAGCGUGAGAUAACUGAUAAAAGUUCAUGGGAAGGUAUUUGUAUUUUUAUGAUGAUGCUAACAAAUUCCUUCUACUUCUUGAAGCAUACAUUUAAUUCAUGAAACAUUAUAAUAGCUGUAGCUUCUAGUUUUAUAUCAAUGAGAUGAUUUUCUCGAUACCUUUAAUUCUUGAAGCAUUAUACGAGCCUUAGUAACAAAUUUAUUUAACAUGUUCAGGAACUUGUGCUGGACAACUAAUCAAAAAGCAACAACCACUCAACAUUUUUGUGGAUACGCCUAUGCGCAGAUAUACCGUUGAUAUUCCUCCAACAUCUAGCUGUUAUUUGCUUAAAACGACUAUUGAAACAAAAGUUGGAGGAUGUAUUGACAACUGUACACUCACUUUUGAUUGCGGCCAAACUAUAGAAUGUAACAGAACUCUAGGAUACUAUGGAAUCAAGAAUUAUUCGGUGCUAAAGCUAAAUCCCAAAUUGAGAGGAGGAAACCCUCCUACCCAGGAGGUUUCCAAAAAACCUAAUAAGUAAGUAGUUUUUUCCCAUUUACUUAUAGCAACUUGUUAUGAUAUUUUAUUCAGGCCUUAAAGAAGCUAACAGUUUGUGUAAAUUAAUUCUUAAGGGGGGCUUCAAAAAAGUUAGGAAAGCGCCGGCAUGAUGAGCAAUCAAGUGUUCAGGAGACCUUGUGAGUUUCUCCAUUUUAAUAAAUAACACAAUGCCAGCACACAAUUUCCUGCAAUUUGUUAUGAUCUUUUAUCCAGGUCUCAAAAUUUAAAAAUUUAUGUAAAUCAAUUAUGCAGGAGAGUUUCAAAGAAACCGCGGAAGUGCGAACAUUGUGGUCAGAAACCGUGAGUUACCUCAAUUUAUGUUGUCUCAUUGCUUGCACUAAGUAUUUACUGUACUAAACAACACAACAGCAGUGUCUAGGGAGUGGGGGCCUAUAGUUUGCCCCCUCACUUAGAAUAAUUUUAGCCCUUGAACAGCAGCAUAUCCCAAAGAACCAUAGCAGAGUACAUCAUUUCUAGGUCCACCAAAACUUCUUGCCGUGAGUUACCUCAAUUUAUGUUGUCUCAUUGCUUGCACUAAGUAUUUACUGUACUAAACAACACAACAGCAGCGUCUAGGGAGUGGGGGCCUAUAGUUUGCCCCCUCACUUAGAAUAAUUUUAGCCCUUGAACAGCAGCAUAUCCCAAAGAACCAUAGCAGAGUACAUCAUUUCUAGGUCCACCAAAACUUCUUGCCGUGAGUUACCUCAAUUUAUGUUGUCUCAUUGCUUGCACUAAGUAUUUACUGUACUAAACAACACAACAGCAGCGUCUAGGGAGUGGGGGCCUAUAGUUUGCCCCCUCACUUAGAAUAAUUUUAGCCCUUGAACAGCAGCAUAUCCCAAAGAACCAUAGCAGAGUACAUCAUUUCUAGGUCCACCAAAACUUCUUGCUUCUCACAGUUCUCUCUCUCUCGUAAAUUCGUGGCCAUAACAAUUCAGUUUGGUCUGUUCAGCAGUAUUGCCCAACAAAAUCUCAGUUGUGCUCUUUUUUUGUGUGUAAAAUUCUAGAUGUUUCUUCCCCACCAUGUGGUGAUAGUGCAUUGAAUAUAUUUUGCAGGGGGAGACCCUCAAGAAUGCUAUUCGCAGAUCCACUUCUUGAUGAGUAUAUUCUUAAUCAUGGUUCUAGUUUUAUUAAAAAGAAAAGAAUUCCAUCUAUGAAAAGGAAGGGAUCCAAAAUAUGGAGAGGUGUUGGAAGUGCAGAGGGUAUCACACUCUGUAUCAGCAUAACUGAGAUUCUCAAAAAGGCGGCCAAAGCAAAGCGAUCUUGGGACGGUAAAAUUGGUCUGAGGGACUUCAGGGUUGUGGAUGGCCGAGCCAUAUUAAUCAAACCUACCAACUGCAGACUCAACUCUUUGAAUUUCCGAAAAGAUUGCAAAUGUUUCUCUGGAUUCAUUAGGAAAAUUCUAGGUGCAGCAGCAGCAAAAUUGUUCUAUAUGAAGGAUUUGUUGCAUAAGCUUGAUUGCGCAUCAAAAGAUGAUAUUUAUUGGUUAUUGGAUUAUGUGGGUGCUCAUCUUGCUCUGAAAACUAACACAGAAUGGGGUAACUAAAUUAUUAUUUGUUUCUUGUUACUCAAUUUGUUUGUUUAGUAUAGUAUUUUUGUUUCACUUGUCACUCAAUUUGUUUUUGUUAAUACAGGUAAAAUUAUUCGUCAAAUCAUGGUCUUUCAUGACGGAUUAGACAAAUCAGCUCAGAAAAACUUCAUGGCUGCGGUAAAUUGUGUUCGGUGCCCUUCAAAUUGGUCUCAAGGAAGGCUUCAAAAGCAUUUCAUCUUCAGACCAAAUGUGGCAUACAGAAAGAGAAGAAACUGGCCUGCAUAUGAGAAAACAUCAUUUGGAUGUUUCAAGUGUCUGCGCAACAAUUCAACUCACGGCUGCGCUGUGAGUUUUUUUGUACAGCAAAUUUGUUUCCUUUUGAACAAUCUCACGUUUAUGAUAACCAUUAAUUAUUGAACAGUUGGCGGAUUAUGCGGGGCCAAUGUUGUUGGGCAAUUUUGUGUGUGAUGUAAUUCGGGAACUGUUGAUGCACAAAUACCCAAUCCAAGAGGCCCUCGGAAUAUAGGUAUUCAUUUCUGCCAUAAUUUGUUUUAACUUUUUUUUUUCUGUACUUCCUCUCUCCAAGUAGAGUAUUCUUUUGUGUGCAUUGAUCAUUAGUAGACAGGAUAUCCGCAGGACUAUCUGCAUGCCUUCUGCUAUUGAAUUAUUAUGCUUGCUUAUGCUGAUAACAAACUUUCUUAAUAAAUUUGUGCUGAGGGACUUUGGUCUAAAAGUCUAAAUUAGCAUGCAUGAACACGGAGUAGUUUCCCUUCCUGUGUCAUUUACUUCCAGAAGAAGGCAACUUACUGAAAUUGUUAUGCAGUCAGACCACUGAAGUGCACGAGAGGGGCCUGUAGAGGUGUGCCAGCUCCCAAAGAUCAAGGACAACGUCAAGGACGUCAUGUUCUACUGCUGAGCUCCUGUGGAGGGAGCUGUUCCUUGUGCGACCUACCCUACCCUGAGUUGUGUGUGAGAGCCUGAGAUGGCCAUGACUCUGUUUUGCCGUGGAGCCUGUUGCUCAUGGUUAUCUUGUUCAGUUUGUAGUAGCCAGGAUAUCUAUGACUCUGUCUUUGUUACCUUCAACUCUAUCUGAGACCUAUCCUAUGCAAGUGGUUCAAGUUACCAAGUGGUUUUGCUAGUUGCCAUAUUGUUGUUCUGUGCUAUUCUGAUCUUUGGCUUCUUUUUAAGUUUGAUCCUUUUUUGGCUUUGUGGCUGGGAUCUGGUGAACUAUUUUGGUUCUGGAUUCAAGUCAGAGGAGCAACUUGCUUGAGCUUCUCUUGGCUUGCACUCGGGCUUGUCCAGAAUCCAAAACUGUUAGCAAGUUCUAGAUUCCACAGCCGAAUUGGCCUUUGAACAACUUGUCUUUUAUUUUACUCCUGGUUCUUUGCAGAAGAGUUCUCCAUUGUCUUGUAGAUAGAGAUCCAUGUGGAGUUUUUUAACACAAAGUUCUCAAAGAGAGGUUGCUUCCAAGGACAAGUUUUCACAAGGGGCAGGAUUUUCAGUUUCUAGUACUAUGAAUUUCUUGGAGUUUGUGGUAAGCAUGUUUGUACCCAUAAUGUGGUCACAAGCUUCACUACACUUCACUGUGUGUCCUUGUAAACUUGUUCCUUUUGGUAAGCUUUAGGCUGUUUGAGUUGCUGGGCUUGGACGUAGGCUUCAGAUCCAAAUUGGUAAGCCACGAAUUGGCGUUUGCCCAAUACAUCUUUGUUUUUAUUGCUCAGAAGAGUUUUCAGAGUUCUCACUCUUGUAGACAGAAUUCCAUGUCAUAUACACAAGUUCUCAUAGUGUUGCUUCAAAGGAUUAACUUCUCAAAACCAUCAGACUGCACCUUUCUAUAUAAGUCGUUUUGGUAUAGUUAGUAGGCAUACAACCGAUCGCAAAAGCCUAACCAUGCUAGUACACAAUCAUGUGUCACAAGAUUCACACCACACUUUACUGUGUACCGUUCUAAACUUAUUCCUUUUUCGAAGCUUCAGGCUCUACUUCUGCGUCAAUGGAUGAAUUAAAUCUCUGUUUGUGCCAAAAGCAAAAAGCGUCACAACACAGAUAAGAUACAAAGAUGACAAGCUUCACAACACAGAUAUGAGAUAUAAAGAUCGCGAGGACGGCAGAUGUAUUUUCUCCCUUCAUUUUUCUCAUCCACUUAGAAGACGUAUACCUGGCUAACAACCUGAAAUUUGUGCGGCAUAUAUAUAUGCAUAGGCCAUGUUUCUUCUAACAAUAAUUAGCUCAAACUACACACAAUAUAUCUGUCUCUUUUGUCAGUUUCAAAAAUAUUCAUCCCGCGUGAAGGGCAUAAGAUUGCAUAGCAUACAUGUACAGAUACUUUGAAUUUGUUCUACACCGUUAUCUCCAUUCAACUCAAGGUAGCAAGUGCCACAAAAAUUUGAUAGGAACUAUGCAAUUGUUUGGUAUGUUCAUAUUUUGGUACAGGAACUAAUUUGAGCAUGCCUACUCGGAUGACUUCUGUGAUGUGGGAGCUAGCCUGUAAGAAAACAAAGAACCAACUUCUGAUAGCCCAAUCAAUGAUCCAGUUAUUUCAGCUGUGUGGGUAUCUAUCGCUUGUAGCGGUAUCGCUUGAAGUUGAAAUACAGGUGAAGAAUCCCACGCUCAAAUGUGCACUUGAACUUGUGUGAGUACUCCCAUUCCUUGUUCACGAUGCGGAAAGACUGCCAAGGAAAACCAGAGUAGGUAAGUGGAUCUUCCAUGGAAACUGCGGCAGCUAAACUGAAAAGGUGAGGCAAAAGACUUACAAUAUCCUCGUAUGGAGGGCCAGCAUGAAACCUUAUAUGGCAUGUCUCCCCAGCGCUUCCAUCUUUCUCUAUAGUGUAUAUUGGUGCUUUUGAUUUAUCCACAAGAUCAGGGUAAAAUAUGUUGAACUUGUAGCCUUGGACGAUUUUAGGAGACGGGUUGUCAUGAUCAUAAUGAGUUUGAUUGUAUUUGUUCCACUCAUAUCCAGUAUGCACACGAUUGAAGUACUUUGCUUUCCUAAAUGUAAGUCUUUGUAGAGAUUCUACUAUGGACCACAUACGGAUGUAUAUAGAUGCAUUUUAGAGUGUAGAUUCACUCAUUUUGCUCCGUACAUGGUUUAUAUUGGAAUCUCUCCAAAGACUUAUAUUUAGGAACGGAGGGAGUACUUGUCAUGCCACCAGUACACCUGUGAGCACAUUAAGCAAGUAUGAGAGAAUCCAGCUGAGAGCUUGAGAGUGAAUGGAGGUUCACUAGCAGUAGUAUGAUGCUCAAACUUGCUACUCCCUCUGAUGCAAAUAAGUGUCGUGGUUUUAGUUCACUUAUUUUGGAUCAGAGGGAGUAGAAUUUUUCUAGCAUGUAAAAGCAUGUUAUCAUCCAAAUUGCUAAAGUAGAUAUCAAAUAUAGCUUUAGAAUAACAUUAAUAUUAUCCUCAGUUCCUGACUACACAGUGAAUCCAGCAUAUCAACAUAAUGUUGGAAACUGAGGUACGCAUAUACUGAUAUGCUUAGGAAGAAUAAUAUGGUAGCACUCCUACAUUCCUUGGAUAAUAAAGAAGAUUGUACUCCCUCCGAUCCAUAUUGUGCGAUAGCCUGAAGCGUCGUACCCUGUUGGGGUGCGCGCCUUCGUGUUAAUAUAGGCAGGGGCUUAUUCCUGGAUAUGCACGAAGGAAAUAUGCCCUAGAGGCCAUAAUAAAGUUAUUAUUUAUUUCCUUAUUUCAUGAUAAAUGUUUAUUAUUCAUGCUAGAAUUGUAUAAACCGGAAACUUAGUACAUGUGUGAAUACAUGGACAAAACAUAGUGUCCCUAGUAUGCCUAUACUUGACUAGCUCGUUAAUCAAAGAUGGUUAUAUUUCCUAACCAUAGACAUGUUGUCAUUUGAUGAACAGGAUCACAUCAUUAGGAGAAUGAUGUGAUGGACAUGACCCAUCCGUUAGCUUAGCAUUAUGAUCGUUACAGUUUCAUUGCUACUGCUCUCUUCAUGACUUAUACAUGUUCCUCAGACUAUGAGAUUAUGCAACUCCCGAAUACCGGAGAAACACUUUGUGUGCUACCAAACGUCACAACGUAAAUGGGUGAUUAUAAAUGUGCUCUAAAGGUGUCUCCAAAGGUGUUUGUUGGGUUGGCAUAUAUCGAGAUUAGGAUUUGUCACACCGUGUUUCGGAGAGGUAUCUCUGGGCCCUCUCGGUAACACUCAUCACUAUAAGCCUUGCAAGCAUUAUGACUCAUGAGUUAGUUGCGGGAUGAAGUAUUACAGAACGAGUAAAGAGAUUUGCCGGUAACGAGAUUGAACUAGGUAUGAUGAUACCGACGAUCGAAUCUCGGGCAAGUAACAUACCGUGACAAAGGAAACAACGUAUGUUGUUAUGCGGUUUGACCGAUACAGAUCUUCUAGACUAUGUAUGAGCCAAUAUGAGCAUCCAGGUUCCGCUACUGGUUAUUGACCGGUGAUGUGUCUCGGUCAUGUCUACAUAGUUCUUGAACCCGUAGGGUCCGCAUGCUUAACGUUCAAUGGCGAUUUGUAUUAUGAGUUAUGUGAUUUGAUGACCGAAGUUUGUUCGGAGUCCCGGAUGAGAUCACGGACGUGCCGAGGAAUCUCAAAAUGGUCGAGACGUAAAUAUCAAUAUAUUGGAAGGCUAUAUUCGGACAUCGGAAAGGUUCCGAGUGAUUCAGGUAUUUUUCGGAGUACCGGAGAGUUACUGGAAUUCGCGAGAGGAAGUAAUGGGCCUUAAUGGGCCAUAUGGGAAAGGAGAGAAGGGCCUCAAGGGGUGGCCGCACACACCCCCAUAGGCUGGUCCGAAUUGGACUAGGAGGGGGUGGCGCCCCCCUCCUUCUCCUACUAGGAAUAGGAAAGAGGAGGGGAAUCCUACUUGGACUAGGGAGUCCUAGUAGGAUUCCCCACACCUGGCGUGCCCCCCUUGGGCCGGCCACCUCUUCCCUCCCCUCCUUUAUAUACGUGGCCAGGGGGCAUCCCAUAGACACACAAGUUGAUCUUUAGCCGUGUGCGGUGCCCCCCUCCACAGUUUCCACCUCGGUCAUAUCGACGUAGUGCUUAGGCGAAGCCCUGCGCCGGUAACUUCAUCAUCACCGUCACCACGCCGUCGUGCUGACGGAACUCUCCCUUGGCCUCAGCUGGAUCUAGAGUUCGCGGGACGUCACCGAACUGAACAUGUGCAGGUCGCGGAGGUGCCGUGCGUUUGGUACUUGAUCGGUUGGAUCGCGAAGACGUUCGACUACAUCAACCGCGUUACUUAACGCUUCCGCUUUCGGUCUACGAGGGUACGUGGACACACUCUCCCUCUCGUUGCUAUGCAUCACCUAGAUAGAUCUUGCGUGAUCGUAGGAUUUUUUUUUGAAAUUACCGCGUUCCCCAACAGUGGCAUCCGAGCCAGGUCUAUGCGUAGAUGUUAUAUGCAUGAGUAGAACACAAAGAGUUGUGGGCGAUAGUAGUCAUACUGCUUACCAACAUGUCAUACUUUGAUUCGGCGGUAUUUUUGGAUGAAGCGACCCAGACCGACAUUACAUGACCGCGUUCAUGAGACUGGUUUUACCGAUGUGCUUCGCACACAGGUGGCUAGUGGGUGUCUGUUUCUCCAACUUUAGUUGAAUCGAGUUUGACUACGCCCGGUCCUUGUUGAAGGUUAAAACAACACACUUGACGAAAAAUCAUUGUGUUUUUGAUGCACAGGUAAGAACGGUUCUUGCUAGAAGCCCGUAGCAGCCACGUAAAACUUGCAACAACAAAGUAAAGGACGUCUAACUUGUUUUGCAGGGCUUGAUGUGAUGUGAUAUGGUCAAGACAUGAUGAUAUAUAAAUUGUUGUAUGAGAUGAUCAUGUUUUGUAAAAGUUAUCGGCAACUGGUAGGAGCCACAUGGUUGUCGCUUUAUUGUAUGAAAUGCAAUCGCCAUAUAAUUGCUUUAGUUUAUCACUAAGCGGUAGCGAUAGUCGUAGAAGCAAUAGUUGGCGAGACGACAGCGAUGCUACGAUGGAGAUCAAGGUGUCGCGCCAGUGACGAUGGAGAUCAUGACGAUGCUUCGGUGAUGGAGAUCAUGAGCACAAGAUGAUGAUGGCCAUAUCAUGUCACAUAUUUUGAUUGCAUGUGAUGUUUAUCUUUUAUGGAUCUUAUUUUGCUUAGUACGGCGGUAGCAUUAUAAGAUGAUCCCUUACUAAAUUUCAAGGUAUAAGUGUUCUCCCUGAGUAUGCACCGUUGCUACAGUUCUUCGUGCUGAGACACCACGUGAUGAUCGGGUGUGAUAAGCUCUACGUUCACAUACAACGGGUGCAAGCCAGUUAUGCACAUGUAAAAUACUCGAGUUAAACUUGACGAGCCUAGCAUAUGCAGAUAUGGCCUCGGAACACCGGAGAUCGAAAGGUCAAGCAUGAAUCAUAUAGUAGAUAUGAUCAACAUAGAGAUGUUCACCAUUGAAAACCACUCCAUCUCACGUGAUGAUCGGACAUGGUUUAGUUGAUAUGGAUCACGUGAUCAUUUAGACGACUAGAGGGAUGUCUAUCUAAGUGGGAGUUCUCAAGUAAUAUGAUUAAUUGAACUUUAAUUUAUCAUGAACUUAGUCCUGAUAGUAUUUUGCAAAUUAUGUUGUAGAUCAAUAGCUCGCGUUAUAGCUUCCCUAUGUUUUUAUAUGUUCCUAGAGAAAACUAAGUUGAAAGACGAUAGUAGUAAUGAUGCGGACUGUGUCCAUGAUCUGAGGAGUAUCCUCAUUGCUGCACCACUAGGUGACAGACCUAUUGCACGAGCAGAUGCAGACAUUAUGAACGUUUGGCUAGCUCAAUAUGAUGACUACUUGAUAGUUUAGUGCACCAUGCUUUACGGCUUAGAGCCGGGACUUCAAAAACAUUUUUGAAAUGUCACGGAGCAUAUGAGAUGUUCCAAGAGCUGAAAUUGGUGUUUCAGACUCAUGCCCGUGUCAAGAGGUAUGAGACCUCUGACAAGUACUUUGCCUAAAAGAUGGAGGAGAAUUGCUCAACUAGUGAGCAUGUGCUCAGAAUGUCUGGGUACGACAAUCACUUGAAUCAAGUGGGAGUUAAUCUUCCAGAUAAGAUAGUGAUUGACAGAUUUCUCUAGUCACCAUCACCAAGGUUACUUGAACUUUGUGAUGAACUGUAGUAUGCAAGGGAUGACGAAAAUGAUUCCCGAGAUCUUCGUGAUGCUAAAAUCGACGAAGGUAGAAAUCAAGAAAGAGCAUCAAGUGUUGAUGAUUAAACAAGACCACUAGUUUCAAGAAAAGGGCAAAGGGAAAGAAAGGGAACUUCAAGAAGAAUGACAAGCAAGUUGUCACUCCCGUGAAGAAGACUAACGCUGGACCUAAACCUGAAACUGAGUGCUUCUACUGCAAAGGAAAUGGUCACUGGAAGUGGAACUGCCCCAAAUAUUUGGUGGAUAAGAAGGAUGGCAAAGUGAACAAAGGUAUAUUUGAUAUACAUAUUAUUGAUGUGUACCUUACUAGUGCUCGUAGUAAUCCUUGGGUAUUUGAUACUUGUUCGGUUGUUAAGAUUAGUAACUCGAAACAGGAGUUGCAGAAUAAAUAGAGACUAGUUGAGGAUGAAGUGACGAUGUGUGUUGGAAGUGGUUCCAAGAUUGAUAUGAUCAUCAUCGAGCACUCUCUAUACUUUCGGGAUUAGUAUUGAACCUAAGUAAAUGUUAUUUGGUGUUUGCGUUGAGCAUGAAUAUGAUUAGAUCAUGUUAAUUGCAAUGCGGUUAUUCAUUUAAGACAGAGAAUAAUUGUUAUUCUGUUUACAUGAAUAAAACCUUCUAUAGUCAUAAACCCAAUGUUGAUGGUUUAUUGAAUCUCGAUCGUGGUAAUACACAUAUUCAUAGUAUUGAUGCCAAAAGAUGCAAAGUUGAUAAUGAUAGUGCAACUUAUUUGUGGCACUGCCAUUUGGGUCAUAUCGGUGUAAAGCGCAUAAAGAAACUCCAUAAAGAAGGACUUUUGGAAUCACUUGAUUAUGAAUCAUUUGAUGCUCGCGAACCGUGCCUUAUGGGCAAGAUGACUAAAACUCUAUUCUCCGGAACAAUGGAACGAGCUAGUGACUUAUUGGAAAUAUACAUACCGAUGUAUCCGAUCCAAUGAGUGUUGAUGCUCGUGGUGGGUAUCGUUAUUUCCUGACCUUCAUAGAUGAUUUGAGCAGAUAUGGGUAUAUCUACUUAAUGAAACACAAGUCUGAAACAUUUGAAAAGUUCAAAGAAUUUUAGAGUGAAGUGGAGAAUCAUUGUAACAAGAAAAUAAAGUUUCUACGAUAUGAUCGUGGAGGAGAAUAUUUGAGUUACGAGUUUGGCCUUAAUUUAAAACAAUGUGGAAUAGUUUCACAGCUCAUGCCACCUGGAACACCACAACAUAAUGGUGUGUCCGAAUGUCAUAACCGCACUUUAUUGGAUAUGGUGCGAUCUAUGAUGUCUCUUACCGAUUUACCACUGUCAUUUUGGGGUUAUGCAUUAGAGACAGUUGCAUUCAUGUUAAACAGGGCACCAUCAAAAUCCGUUGAGAUGACGCCUUAUGAACUGUGGUUUGGCAAGAAACCAAAGUUGUCAUUUCUUAAAGUUUGGGAAUGCGAUGCUUAUGUGAAAAAGCUUCAACCUGAUAAGCUCGAACCGAAAUCGGAGAAGUGCGUCUUCAUAGGAUACCCAAAGGAAAUUGUUGGGUACACCUUCUAUUACAGAUCCGAAGGCAAAAUCUUUGUUGCUAAACAUGGAUCCUUUCUAGAGAAUGAGUUUCUCUCGAAAGAAGUGAGUGGGAGGAAAGUAGAAUUUGAUGAGGUAAUUGUACCUUCUCCCGAAUUGGAAAGUAGUUCAUCACAGAAAUCAGUUCCUGUGAUUCCUACACCAAUUAGUGAGGAAGCUAGUGAUGAUGAUCAUGAAACUUCAGAUCAAGUUACUACGAAACCUCGUAGGUCAACCAGAGUACGAUCCGCACCAGAGUGGUACGAGAAUCCUAUUCUGGAAGUCAUGUUACUAGACCAUGAUAAACCUACGAACUAUGAGGAAGCAAUGAUGAGCCUAAAUUCCGCGAAAUGGCUUGAGGCCAUGAAAUCUGAGAUGGGAUCCAUGUAUGAGGACAAAGUGUGGACUUUGGUGGACUUGCCCGAUGAUCGGCAAGCCAUUAAGAAUAAAUGGAUCUUCAAGAGGAAGAUAGACGCUAAUAGUAGUGUUACUAUCUAUAAAGCUCGACUUGUCGCAAAAAGGUUUUCAACAAGUUCAAGGAGUUGACUACGGUGAGACUUUCUCACCCGUAGCGAUGCUUAAGUCUAUCCGAAUCAUGUUAGCAAUUGCUGUAUUUUAUGAUUAUGAAAUUUGGCGGAUGGAUGUCAAAACUGCAUUCCUGAAUGGAUUUCUGGAAGAAGAGUUGUAUAUGAUGCAACUAGAAGGUUUUGUCGAUCCAAAGGGUGCUAACAAAGUGUGCAAGCUCCAGCAAUCCAUUUAUGGACUGGUGCAAGCCUCUCAGAGUUGGAAUAAACUCUUUGAUAGUGUGAUCACAGCAUAUGGUUUUAUACAGACUUUUGGAGAAGCUUGUAUUUACAAGAAAGUGAAUGGGAGCUCUGUAGCAUUUCUAAUAUUAUAUGUGGAUGACAUAUUGUUGAUUGGAAAUGAUAUAGAAUUUCUGGAUAGCAUAGAGGUAUACUUGAAUAAGAGUUUUUCAAUGAAAGACCUUGGUGAAGCUGCUUACAUAUUGGGCAUCAAGAUCUAUAGAGAUAGAUCAAGACGCUUAAUAAGAUUUUUCAAUGAGUAAAUACCUUGACAAGUUUUUGAAAGAGUUCAAAAUGGAUCAGUCAAAGAAGGAGUUCUUGUCUGUAUUACAAGGUGUAAAGUUGAGUAAGACUCAAAGCCCGACAACGGCAAAAAAUAGAAAUAGAAUGAAAGUCAUUCCCUAUGCCACAGUCAUAGGUUCUAUAAAGUAUGUUGUGAUGUGUACCAGACCUAUUGUGUACCUUGCCAUGAGUUUGGCAAGGGGGUACAAUAGUGAUCUAAGAGUAGAUCACUGGACAUCAGUCAAAAUUAUCCUUAGUGAGGACUAAGGAAAUGUUUCUCAAUGAUGGGGGUGAUAAAGAGUUCGUCGUAAAGAGUUACGUUGAUGCAAGCUUUUACACCGAUCCAGAUGACUCUAAGUCUCAAUCUGGAUACAUAUUGAAAGUGGGAGCAAUUAGCUAGAGUAGCUCCAUACAGAGCAUUGUAGACAUAUAAUAUUUGCAAAAUACAUACGGCUCUGAAUGUGCACACCCGUUGACUAAAUUUCUCUCAUAAGCAAAACAUGAUCACACCUUAGUAAUCUUUGGGUGUUAAUCACAUAGCAAUGUGAACUAGAUUAUUGACUCUAGUAAACCCUUUGGUUGUUGGUCACAUGGCGAUGUGAACUAUAGGUGUUAAUCACAUACAUAUGUGAACUAUUGAUGUUAAAUCACAUGGCGAUGUGAACUAGAUUAUUGACUCUAGUGCAAGUGGGAGUCUGAAAGAAAUAUGCCCUAGAGGCAAUAAUAAAGUUAUUAUUUAUUUUCUUAUUUCAUGAUCAAUAUUUAUUAUUGGGUCUUUUACAUUUGUGUCCCUAACUCGAACCCACUACUCGGAUUUGCCCCUAGUUUCAAAGCAUGCUCAAAUUUGCCCCUCUGCCAUUAUGUGCCAUUACAGAAAUGCCCUUCCGUGCCGUUUCCGUCUGGUCAAAGGGCUUUGACCGUUUUCCUGACGUUUAAUGGACAUUUUUGCCCCUCAAUGCACAUGCCACUUACAGGUGGGGCCUACCCCGGGAAAAAGAACUCUCUUUCUCUCAUCCCCUCUCUGACUUACACAUGGACCCCACCAAUAUAAAAAAACUCUCUCCCUCUCUCGGAAUCUCUCUCUCCCUCUUGGCGGCUCGGCCGGUGGACGGCGCUGGCGAGGGCCAACAUGCCUGCGCCUGAGGACCACAGUGGCAGGCUCGGGGUGGUACGACUGAGGGGGUGGAGCCGCCGCCCACAGCUAUCGCCGGAGCUAUCAUCAGAACUGUAACAUCCCAAAUUUUCAAUUUGGAAUGUUAUACAAAUAGAUCAUCAUUGCAUAUCAUAUUUUAUUGCAUUUGGUUUCGAUCCUAGAAAUGCUACGCAACUCAAGGACCCACGGAGAGAGUUGGGGAUUUUGAUAUUUUCAUAUUUGAGUUUUCUCAAAUGUUGGAAGUAGGAUCAUUUGAUUUUAUUUAUUUUAUCUUCAAUUAUUUCAAUUAUAUAAAUAUGAGAGAGGGAAUAAAAUGACUUUCCCAAAAUGAAGGAAUAUUGAAGAUUUAAUAAAAAAAUCAAAUAAGUUUUUAUUUUGGAUUUUCUGGCUAUUUUAUUUGAAUUUAGGAAAAAUGCGUGUUUUCCAAAAUUGCAUUUAGGCCCAAAUAAAUGUUCAUAUAAACCGGCUUGAUUUUAGAAGCCGGGGAAAAUUUAUUUCGGGAUUUUUGGAGUCUGUUUAGUAUUUCUUUCGUUUGUUUUUCUGCGUGAUAAUUAUUUAAAAAAAUAUAUCUGGAACCGACUACGGGCCGUAACCGGCCAGGACUCCGCCUGGCCGGGUCUUUAUAUAGCGCGCCCCGGGCCCCGCCUCAGCCCAAACCGCCGCCGCCAGCCCAACCCGNNNNNNNNNNNNNNNNNNNNNNNNNNNNNNNNNNNNNNNNNNNNNNNNNNNNNNNNNNNNNNNNNNNNNNNNNNNNNNNNNNNNNNNNNNNNNNNNNNNNNNNNNNNNNNNNNNNNNNNNNNNNNNNNNNNNNNNNNNNNNNNNNNNNNNNNNNNNNNNNNNNNNNNNNNNNNNNNNNNNNNNNNNNNNNNNNNNNNNNNNNNNNNNNNNNNNNNNNNNNNNNNNNNNNNNNNNNNNNNNNNNNNNNNNNNNNNNNNNNNNNNNNNNNNNNNNNNNNNNNNNNNNNNNNNNNNNNNNNNNNNNNNNNNNNNNNNNNNNNNNNNNNNNNNNNNNNNNNNNNNNNNNNNNNNNNNNNNNNNNNNNNNNNNNNNNNNNNNNNNNNNNNNNNNNNNNNNNNNNNNNNNNNNNNNNNNNNNNNNNNNNNNNNNNNNNNNNNNNNNNNNNNNNNNNNNNNNNNNNNNNNNNNNNNNNNNNNNNNNNNNNNNNNNNNNNNNNNNNNNNNNNNNNNNNNNNNNNNNNNNNNNNNNNNNNNNNNNNNNNNNNNNNNNNNNNNNNNNNNNNNNNNNNNNNNNNNNNNNNNNNNNNNNNNNNNNNNNNNNNNNNNNNNNNNNNNNNNNNNNNNNNNCCGCCGACCCGCACCCCGAGGUUGACCUCGCCGCCGCCGUUUUUUUAGAAAAACCGUUCGGUUUUCCGUCGGUUUUCUUCAUUUUUUUAGAUUCCGUUUUUUUCAUUAGAUCAGUUUUUCUUCCGAUUUGGAUUAAUUAGCGAGCAUUCACUCGUUCGUUCGUUUUAACGAACGCGCUCAUCGUUUAGAUCCAGAUAACGAACGUUCGUUCGUUAAUCUAUUCGUUGUUUUUCUUUUUCUCGGAUUUAUUCCGCGAUUUUUCUGAUCACGAUUUCUGAUCCGAUUUUCGUUUUAGUAUAACUUUUCGCUCGUUUAUCGGAAUCAGGCGAUUCAAGCACCUAGAGUUUCGUCUCGAAACCCUCUUUCCGAAUAAUCUACUCAAACCAGUUUUUGCUUCUGUAAAAUUUGACUUAGGUCCAGAUUAGUAAACAAAGCUGGUUUCUUUCUCCGUUUGAGUUUUGUUUCUUCGUUCGAUUUGAUUCUUUUUGCAAACCAGAGUUCUUAAGUUGAACUUUCUGGUUAGACCUCUUAUUUGAGUUUUACCCGUGCAUUAGAUGAGUACUUAUUGUAUGCUUGUUGUUUGUUUGCUUGCGAUAGAGUACCCGGACUGCACCGCUUGCUACUUCGAAUCCCUAGGUUACACGGAUCAUCAGCAAGGCAAGUAACACUUUGGUCAUAUCCCUUAUUACCCAGUUUUUAUGCAUUAGAUCAAUCCUCAAACAUUGCAUGAUUAGGAUCUAAUUAAAUUGUGGGUUUUGGGAAGUAGAUUGAGGUAGUACCUAUUACCUGUUUUAUUAUCAAACCCUUGGGAGUUACUUCUGCGUUUGCUUAUUAUGCCAUGCUAUGCUCAUAGACGUGGAUUGGGUUUGAGUGAUUUCCAUGACAGAUGUGAGAUUGUUAAUUAAUGGCUUAUUUAAGGUGGCAACAUUAAUACACAUCUGGGUGGAUUGAGGUACCUGGUUAUUCCAGGAUUGCCUGUCUAGGCACCUGGGUAGACCAGGAUUGCCUGUUUUUUUUGGACCGCCACCCAGGCUCAAAGGGAUCAUAAGAUUAUUCAUGCUAGAAACUUUCGUGUGCAGCCACAUGCUAUUAUGGGCUCUAGCAUAGUUGAUUAAGUCGUGCGGACUCUUACAGUGGUAGACUAGCAGAUGUAGGGGAAAGUAGGUGUACCGGUCUACCCAUCGUAAGGUGCUAGCGCUUCUGAAAGACUAUGUCUCGGUCAUUCGUUUCUCAAACACCAUGUAGUGCGAGAAAACCAACGGAGGAGAUCGAGUCAUGUGGGGAAAAGUGCGCAAACUCUGCAGAGUGUAUAAACUAAUCAUGAUUAGCCGUGUCCUCGGUUAUGGACGUUUUGAGUAUCUAGUACUUGGAUUAUCAUGUGAAUCUCAUCAUGUUACUUUAAUUAAUAUUGUUGGGUUUGUUUAAUGAUGAUGCUUAAUUGGGAUUGAGGAUGCUGUCAACCAUUCUCAAUGUUUAACAACCACCAUGAUAGUUAAAUAAAUUUAUUCCUUUGCAAUAGGGAAAAAUUGGCUUUACGCAAAACUGUAACCAUAGAGAUAUCCACCAAGCCAUAUAUUCAUGUAGUAUAGAUUUACUCUUUCAUUUUCCUCUAUGUGUUACUUUGCCAGCAUAUUCCAUGUGCUGACCCGUUUUCGGGCUGCAACGUUCAUGUUGCAGAAUUUUUAGACGACGAGUAAGAUGCCUUAGGAUCGUGGUUCUAUACUCAGUGAUGCUGUUGGAGUUGAUGGACUCACUUAUCUCCCAAGCCUUCCGCUGUUAUCGUUAUUAGAUGGCCUUAAGCCAUAUUUAUUGUAAUAAGUUCUCUUUGGAGACAUUCGAUGUAAUAAGUGUGUGAUUGCUACUCUGUUAUAAAUCCUUCAAGUACUGUGCGUGUCAGCAUUACUGAUCCAGGGAUGACACUGAUGCACAGAGAUCGGACUGUUUGAGGUCUGGUCGCUACAAGAUGGUAUGAGAGCACAUGCUGACUAUAGGACACGACCACUAAGCAAAAGCCAUAGAUCACUACUCUAUCUUCUCAUUCUAACUCCUCAUCUUUUCUAUGCUUCUAGGAUGGCGGAUGCAAGGAACAAGUUCAUGCAACCAGAUGAAGAUACACCCUUUGGACGACACCUGAAGGAAAUAACCAAGUACCUGAAGAUCGGAGUACCAAGCUUCACCAGAACCUACAAUGCCACUUUACCUGAAGAGGAGCACUGGAUGAUUCAAGUUCAAGUUCCAGGAAGGACGUUCAUGCUGGUCACUGAGCCUAUAGAGUUUUCCUUUGAUGCACCAACCUGGAGUUUAGCGAAGAGCAUGGCAGCUCACAUCACCAUGUGACGUAUUGGAGAAGUUUAUCACAAGGAGCUUAAGGAUACUACCUACUAGAUUUGUGGGAGCUGAGAUGAGCAAUGGGAGAUGAUCAACACCAGGAAAGACAGAUCAGUUGCAGCUUUCAUCCAGGAGUGAAACCAGCACAUUCGAUGCCAGGAGAACCAGAUGUGUGCAGGCAUGAUGGAUCUGAAGAAAGCCAUGACCAAGAUCAUGGAACUGGAAGAAGAACUUAAGUCUACACGCGAUGGAUAUGAGGAGGAAAUAUCAACUCUAGUUGAGAAGAAUGAUGAUCUGAAGAAGAAGCUAAGAGUGUUCAUGGGAUUUCCGGCAACUAGAGAAGACGAAGAUUGCACUUGUCUCGAGAACUACAUCAUCGAUGAUACCGACUCGGACCCGGAUGAUAGUGAUGACGACUAUGUUGAUGAAGCUGGAGCAGAUAUCAUGGAAUCUUCGUCGGAGCAGUUUUUCUAGUAGACCACCAUAAAGUAGUAGAAUUUCCCUCCAUGUAUCUAUUAUAGUCUGAGCACUUUGUAAUGAUAGAUAGACCGUUGUAUGCCCUUGCUUGUUUGAGUGAAGUGUUUUAUUGCAAUUUGUCUCAUGUGCAUAUGGGUAGUGUUUUCCCUCUAGACCUCAUUCUAUUCUAUAUUCUCUUCUUUUCUAAACCUCAGAUGCCUCCGAGACGUGACAACGGAUUUGCUUUCCCACCGGAGCUCACCCAGUUGAUCCAGCAGCAGAAUGCAUUGAUGCAGAUACUAGUCCAGAAUCAGAAUCAGGGGAACAACAACAACAACAAUCCACCACCACCACCACCUAUUGAUCACUUAACCCGUUUUCUUAGGCUGAAUCCACCGGUGUUCUCUAGUAGCACCGAGCCGAUUGUUGCAGAUGAUUGGCUUUGCAAGACAGCCAGGGAGUUGACCACUGCAGGAUGCACAGAUGCGGAGAAGGUGCGAUUUGCCGCACAUCAUCUUGAGGGACCCGCAUCAUCAUGGUGGGAGAAUUUCACAGCCACUUAUCCAGCAGACACUAUCACAUGGGAUCAGUUUCAGCAGGCUUUUCGUACUGCCCAUGUUUCAACAGGAGCUAUGGCCAUGAAGAAGCGUGAGUUUCGUAACUUGCACCAGGGAGGAAGAUCAGUUGGCUAGUAUGUGGAUGAUUUCAGUAAGCUAGCAUGUUAUGCCUCAGAUGACGUCGCUACGGAUGCAGCUAAGCAAGAGAAGUUUUUGGAAGGGCUGAAUGACGAGUUGAGCAUGCAGUUGAUGGUAGCAAGUUUCAACAACUACCAGGAGUUGGUAGAUCAUGCUCUCAUGAUUGAAGGGAAGCAACAGCAGAUUGAAAACCGCAAGAGGAAGUAUGUACAAGGGAAGUACAAUUCCGGAGCUCAGCAGAAGCCCCGUUUUACUCAAAAGUCAGGAGGACAGUUUCAGCAUACCCAUGGAGGAGGUAGAUCACACAACCACAAUGGUCCCAAGAAUGGUCCCGGGAAUGGAGGAAGUAGUAGCCAGAACCAUACCAACCCCUCAACACCAGCCAAGAAAGAUCUGAGUCAAGUCACUUGUUUUAAGUGUCAGAAGACCGGACAUUACGCAAAUGAAUGUCCUGAAGGCCAGACUGGGAAUGGCAAUGGAAGCUCUGGGAAGAAGCCGAACCCUUUCAACCGAGGACAAGUGAACCACGUUAGCGUGGAGGAGGUUGAAGCUCAGCCAGAUGCAGUAAUAGGCAAGUUUUUGGUUAAGUCAUUUACUGCACUCGUUCUUUUUGAUACUGGUGCAUCACAUUCAUACAUAUCAAGGGGAUUUGUGGAUAAGUAUAGACUGCCCACUAGGGUUCUAAAAAUACCCAUGCUAGUAACCUCACCAGGAGCAGAGUGUAUGGCCAGUCGAGGAUGUUUUCAAGUUCCCUUGGGUAUAGGCAAGCAUGUUUUCCCCUCGGAUUUAAUCAUUUUGGAAUCCCAAGGUUUGGAUGUGAUUCUGGGUAUGGAUUGGCUAUCAAUGUAUGGAGGAAACAUUGAUUGCGCCAGUAAGUUGAUUCUGCUUACCACCCCAGAAGGGAAAAGGAUAAGGUAUGUAUCAAGGCAUGAACCGAGGAGGAUGCACAUAAAUUCCUUAUCAGGAGUUGUGCAGGAGGAAGUACCAGUAGUGAAGGAUUUUCCGGAUGUAUUUCCAGAGGAGUUGCCAGGCAUGCCACCGGACAGAGACAUUGAGUUUUUGAUCGAGCUUUUGCCAGGCACAGGGCCAAUAUCCAAGAGACCAUACAGGAUGCCCGCAAAAGAUUUGGAAGAGAUUAAAAGUCAGAUUAAGGAGUUACUGGAUAAAGGAUACAUUCGCCCAAGUUCUUCACCUUGGGGAUCACCAGUACUUCUAGUGGAGAAGAAGGACAGAUCUUUAAGGAUGGUUGUUGAUUAUCGAGGAUUAAAUGCGGUAACCAUCAAGAAUAAGUACCCAUUGCCAAUGAUCAAUGAUCUGUUUGACCAACUACAAGGAGCAAAGGUGUUUUCCAAGAUCGAUUUGCGAUCAGGGUACCAUCAGUUGAAGAUUCGAGAACAGGAUAUACCCAAGACAGCUUUUACCACUAGGUAUGGGCUGUACGAGUAUACCGUUAUGUCAUUUGGUCUGACUAACGCACCUGCAUAUUUCAUGAACAUGAUGAACAAAGUAUUUAUGGAGUUUCUAGAUAAGUUCGUCGUGGUGUUCAUUGAUGACAUCUUGGUCUACUCGAAGAACGAAGAGGAGCAUAAGGAGCACUUGCGUUUGGUAUUGGAGAAGCUCAGAGAACACCAAUUAUAUGCCAAGUUUAGCAAAUGUGAGUUCUGGUUGAAGGAAGUUGGAUUCCUCGGACAUGUUAUAUCCGGAGAGGGUAUAGCAGUAGACCCCACCAAGGUUGUCACCGUGACAAAUUGGGAAGCACCAACGGCAGUUGGGGAGAUCAGAAGUUUUCUUGGACUGGCAGGAUACUACCGGAGAUUCAUUGAGAAUUUUUCAAGGAUUGCAAAGCCCAUGACGGAGUUGUUGAAGAAGGAUACCAAGUUCAAUUGGACGGAGGAAUGUGAGGCCAGUUUCUAGGAAUUGAAGAAACGUCUAGUUACCUCACCAGUGUUGAUUCUGCCAGAUCAGACUAAGGAUUAUGAGGUGUACUGCGACGCUUCACGUCGAGGACUUGGAGCAGUACUUAUGCAGGAAGGAAGAGUUGUUUCGUAUGCGUCACGACAGCUUAAACCUCAUGAGUUGAAUUAUGCCACACAUGAUUUGGAGUUAGCAGCCGUAGUGCAUGCAUUGAAGACGUGGAGACAUUUUCUUAUUGGAAAUCAUUGUGAGGUGUACACGGAUCACAAGAGUUUGAAGUACAUCUUCACACAAAAAGAGUUAAACCUCAGGCAGAGGAGAUGGUUGGAACUCAUCAAGGAUUAUGAUAUGAGAUUGCAGUAUCACCCCGGAAAGGCUAACGUAGUAGCCGAUGCGUUGAGCCGUAAGAGCCAUGUUAAUACACUAAUGACCGUAGGACUGCCAAACAAGUUAGCCGAGGACUUCUGUGAGCUAUGUUUGGAGGUAGUUCCGAGAGGCUAUGUAGCAACAUUGGAAAUUCAGUCGACUUUGAUGGAUAAGAUCAGAGAAGCUCAAAAGACCGAUAAGGAGAUUGCAGAGAUAAAGGAGAGGUUGAACAAGGGAAAAGCCAAGGGAUUUCGUGAGGAUGAGCACGAUACCCUCUGGUUUGAGGACCGCGUUUAUGUACCCAAUGACUCGGAGAUCAGGAAGUUUAUUUUGCAAGAGGCCCAUGAUUCGCCGUAUUCAAUUCACCUAGGGAAUACCAAGAUGUACUUGGAUUUAAAGGAGACUUUCUGGUGGACCGGAAUGAAGAAGGACAUUGCCGAGUAUGUAGCAGUUUGUGAUGUAUGUCAGAGGGUAAAGGCAGAGCAUCAGAAGCCAGCAGGAUUGUUGCAACCAUUGCCGAUACCCGAAUGGAAGUGGGAUAAGCUAGGCAUGGAUUUUAUUACGGGAUUGUUGGGGAACGUAGCAGAAAUUUAUAAUUUUCUACGCAUCACCAAGAUCAAUCUAUGGAGAUUCUAGCAACAAGAGAGGGAGAGGAUGAGCAUCUUCAUACCCUUGAAGAUCGCUAAGCGGAAGCGUUUCAAGAACGCGGAUGAUGGAGUCGUACUCGCGGUGACUCAAACCGCGGAAGAUCCGAUCUAGCGCCGAACGGACGGCGCCUCCAUGUUCAACACACGUACAGCCCGGGGACGUCUCCUCCUUCUUGAUCCAGCAAGGGGAGAGGAGAAGGUUGAGGAAGACUCCAUCCAGCAGCAGCACAACGGCAUGGUGGUGAUGGAGGAGCGUGGCAAUCAUGCAGGGCUUCGCCAAGCACCGCGAGAGAGAAGGAGUACUUGGGAGAGGGGGAGGGCUGCGCCAGAAUUUGGUGUGUUGGGCUGCUCCUAUGCCUCCACUAUAUAUAGGGGGAGAGGGGGCUGCGCCCCCACCUAGGUUUCCACCCCCUAGGGGCGGCGGCCAGCCCUAGAUCCCAUCUAGGGGGGCAGCCAGGGGGGAGAGGGGGAAACUUGCCCCCCAAGCAAGGUGGGGCGCCCCCUCCCCAAACCCUAGGCGCCUUGGGCCCUUGUGGGGGGGCGCACCAGCCCACCAGGGGCUGGUCCCCUCCCACACUUGGCCCAUGCUGCCCUCCGGGGAUGGUGGCCCCACUUGGUGGACCCCCGGGACCCUCCCGGUGGUCCCGGUACGUUACCGAUAAAACCCAAAACUUUUCCGGUGACCAAAACAUGACUUCCCAUAUAUAAAUCUUUACCUCCGGACCAUUUCGGAACUCCUCGUGACGUCCGGGAUCUCAUCUGGGACUCCGAACAACAUUCGGUAACCACAUACAAACUUCCUUUAUAACCCUAGCGUCAUCGAACCUUAAGUGUGUAGACCCUACGGGUUCGGGAACCAUGCAAACAUGACCGAGACGUUCUCCGGUCAAUAACCAACAGUGGGAUCUGGAUACCCAUGUUGGCUCCCACAUGUUCCACGAUGAUCUCAUCGGAUGAACCACGAUGUCAAGGACUCAAUCAAUCCCGUAUACAAUUCCCUUUGUCUAGCGGUAUUGUACUUGCCCGAGAUUCGAUCGUCGGUAUGCCGAUACCUUGUUCAAUCUCGUUACCGGCAAGUCUCUUUACUCGUUCCGUAACACAUCAUCCCGUGAUCAACCCCUUCGUCACAUUGUGCACAUUAUGAUGAUGUCCUACCGAGUGGGCCCAGAGAUACCUCUCCGUUUACCGGAGUGACAAAUCCCAGUCUCGAUUCGUGCCAACCCAACAGACACUUUCGGAGAUACCUGUAGUGCACCUUUAUAGCCACCCAGUUACGUUGUGACGUUUGGUACACCCAAAGCAUUCCUACGGUAUCCGGGAGUUGCACAAUCUCAUGGUCUAAGGAAAUGAUACUUGACAUUAGAAAAGCUUUAGCAUAUGAACUACAUGAUCUUUGUGCUAGGCUUAGGAUUGGGUCUUGUCCAUCACAUCAUUCUCCUAAUAAUGUGAUCCUGUUAUCAACGACAUCCAAUGUCCAUGGUCAGGAAACCGUAACCAUCUAUUGAUCAACGAGCUAGUCAACUAGAGGCUUACUAGGGACAUGGUGUUGUCUAUGUAUCCACACAUGUAUCUGAGUUUCCUAUCAAUACAAUUAUAGCAUGGAUAAUAAACGAUUAUCAUGAACAAGGAAAUAUAAUAAUAAUAACUAAUUUAUUAUUGCCUCCAGGGCAUAUUUCCAACAGUCUCCCACUUGCACUAGAGUCAAUAAUCUAGUUCACAUCGCCAUGUGAUUAACACUCACAGGUCACAUCGCCAUGUGACCAACAUCCAAAGAGUUUACUAGAAUCAAUAAACUAGUUCACAUCAUCAUGUGAUUAAGACUCAAUGAGUUCUGGGGUUUGAUCAUGUUUUGCUUGUGACAGAGGUUUUAGUCAACGGGUCUGCAACAUUCAGAUCCGUAUGUACUUCGCAAAUCUCUAGGUCAUAUUGUAAAUGCUGCUUCCACGCUCCACUUGGAGCUAUUCCAAAUGGUUGCUCCACUAUACGUAUCCGGUUUGCUGCUCAGAGUUAUUCGGAUAGGUGUUAAAGCUUGCAUCGACGUAACCCUUUACGCCGAACUCUUUAUCACCUCCAUAAUCGAGAAACAUGUCCUUAUUACUCCAAGGACAAUUUUGACCGCUGUCUGGUGAUCCACUCCUUGAUCACCUUUGUACCCUCUUGCCAGACAUGUGGCAAGGCACACAUCAGGUGCGGUACUCAGCAUGGCAUACCGUAUAGAGCCUAUGACAAAAGCAUAGGGGAUGACCUUCGUCCUUCCUCUUUCUUCUGCCGUGGUCGAGCUUUAAGUCUUAACUUCAUACCUUACAACUCAGGCAAGAACUCCUUCUUUGACUGAUCCAUCUCAAACACCUUCAAGAUCAUGUCAAGGUACGUGCUCAUUUGAAAGUACCAUUAAGCGUUUUUGAUCUAUCCUCAUAGAUCUUGAUGCUCAAUGUUCGAGCAGCUUAAUCCAGGUUUUCUAUUGAAAAACACUUUUCAAAUAACCCUAUAUGCUUUCCAUAAAUUCUACAUCAUUUCUGAUCCACAAUAUGUCAACAACAUAUACUCAUCCGAAAUUCUAUAGUGCUCCCACUCACUUCUUUGGAGAUACAAGUUUCUCAUAAACUUUGUAUAAACCCAAAAUCUUUGAUCAUCUCAUCAAAGCGCAUAUUCUGACUCCGAGAUGCUUGCUCUAGUCCAUGGAAGGAUCGCUGGAGCUAGCAUACCUUUUAGCAUCCUUAGGAUCGACAAAACCUUUCUGAUUGUAUCACAUACAACCUUUCCUUACAAAAACUGGUAAGGAAACUCGUUUUGACAUCCAUCUGCCAGAUUUCAUAAAUGCAGCUAAUGCUAACAUGAUUCCGACGGACUUAAGCACCGCUACGAAUGAGAAAAUUUCAUCGUAGUCAACUCCUUGAACUUGUGAAAAACUCUUCGCCACAAGUCGAGCUUCAUAGACAAUGACAUUACCAUCCACGUCUGUCUUCUUCUUAAAGAUCCAUUUAUCUCAAUGGCUUGCCGAUCAUCGGGCAAGUCCACCAAAGUCCAUGCUUUGUUCUGAUACAUGGAUCCUAUCUCGGAUUUCAUGGCUUCUAUCCAUUUGUCAGAAUAUGGGCCCACCAUCGCUUCUCCAUAGCUCGCAGGUUCAUUGUUGUCUAGCAACAUGACCUUCAAGACAGGAUUACUGUACCACUCUGAAGUAGUACGCAUCCUUGUCACCCUACGAGGUACGGCAGUGAAUUGAUCCGAAACUUCAUGAUCACUAUCAUAAGCUUCUACUUCAAUUGGUGUUGGCGCCACAUGAACAACUUCCUGUGCCCUGCUACACACUGGUUGAAGUGACGGUUGAAUAACCUCAUCAAGUCUCCACCAUGCUCCCACUCAACUUUCCGAGACAAACUUUUCCUCGAGAAAGGACCCGAUUCAAGAAACAAUUCCUAUUGCUUUCGGAUCUGAAUUAGGAGGUAUACCCAACUGUUUUGGGUGUCCUAUGAAGAUGCAUUUUAUCCGCUUCGGGUUCGAGCUUAUCAACCUGAAACUUUUUCACAUAAGCGUCGCAACCCCAAACCUUUAAGAAAUGACAGCUUAGGUUUCUCUAAACCAUAGUUCAUAUGGUGUCAUCUCAACGGAAUUACGUGGUGCCCUAUUUAAAGUGAAUGUGGUUGUCUCUAAUGCCUAACCCAUGAACGAUAGUGGUAAUUCGAUAAGAGACAUCAUGGUACGCACCAUAUCCAAUAGGGUGCAACUAUGAUGUUCGGACACACCAUCACACUAUGGUGUUCCAGGCGGUAUUAAUUGUGAAACAAUUUCCACAAUGUCUUAAUUGCGUGCCAAAGCUCGUAACUCAGAUACUCAUCUCUAUGAUCAUAUCAUAGACAUUUUAUCCUCUUGUCAUGAUGACCUUCAACUUCACUCUGAAAUUACUUGAACCAUUCAAUAAUUCAGACUUGUGUUUCAUCAAGUAAAUAUACUCAGUAUCUACUCAAAUCAUCCGUGAAGUAAGAACAUAACGAUAUCCACUGCGUGCCUCAGCACUCAUUGGACUGCACACAUCAAAAAUGUAUUACUUCCAACAAGUUGCUUUCUUAUUCCAUUUUACUGAAAAUGAGGUUUUCAGUCAUCUUGCCCAUGUGGUAUGAUUUGCAUGUCUCAAGUGAUUCAAAAUCAAGUGAGUCCAAACGGUCCAUUUGCAUGGAGUUUCUUCAUGCAUAUACACCAAUAGACAUGGUUCGCAUGUCUCAAACUUUUCAAAAAACGAGUGAGUCCAAAGAUCCAUCAACAUGGAGCUUCUUCAUGCGUUUUAUACCAAUAUGACUUACAUGGCAGUGCCACAAGUAGGUGGUACUAUCAUUACAAUCUUAUAUCUUUUUGGCAUGAACAUGUGUAUCACUACGAUCGAGAUUCAAUAAAGCAUUCAUUUUAGGUGCAAGACCAUUGAAGGUAUUAUUCAAAUAAAUAGAGUAACCAUUAUUCUCCUUAAAUGAAUAACUGUAUUGUGAUAGACAUAAUCCAAUCAUGUCUAUGCUCAACGCAAACACCAAAUAACAAUUAUUUAGGUUUAACACCAAUCUCGAUGGUAGAGGGAGCGUGCAAUGCUUGAUCACAUCAAGCUUGGAAAAACUUCCAACACAUCUCGCCAGCUCACCUUUAGCUAGUCUCCGUUUAUUUCGUAGCCUUUUAUUUCGAGUUACUAACACUUAGUAACCGAACCAGUAUCUAAUACCCUGGUGCUACUAGGAGUACUAGUAAAGUACACAUUAACAUAAUGCAUAUCCAAUAUACUUCUAUCGACCUUGCCAGCCUUCUCAUCUACCAAGUAUCUAGGGUAAUUCUGCUCUAGUGGUUGUUCCCCUUAUUACAGAAGCACUUAGUCUCGGGUUUGGGUUCAACCUUGGGUUUCUUCACUAGAGCAGCAGCUGAUUUGCCGUUUCAUGAAGUAUCCCUUCUUGCCCUUGCCCUUCUUGAAACUAGUGGUUUCACCAACCAUCAACAAUUGAUGCUCCUUCUUGAUUUCUACUUUCGCGGUGUCAAACAUCGCGAAUACCUCAAGGAUCACCAUAUCUAUCCCUGAUAUGUUAUAGUUCAUCACGAAGCUCUAGCAGCUUGGUGGCAAUGAUUUUGGAGAAACAUCACUAUUUAUGGAAGAUCAACUCCCACUCAAUUCAAGUGAUUGUCGCACUCAGACAAUCUGAGCACAAGCUCAACGAUUGAGCUUUUCUCCCUUAGUUUGCAGGCUAAGAAAAUCGUCGGAGGUCUCAUACCUCUUGACGUGGGCACGAGCCUAAAAUCCCAAUUUCAGCCCUCGAAACAUCCCAUAUGUUUCGCGACGUUUCGAAAACGUCUUUGGUGCCUCAACUCUAAACCGUUUAACUGAACUAUCACGUAGUUAUCAAAAUGUGUAUGUCCGAUGUUCGCAACAUCCACAGACGAUGUUUGGGGUUUAGCACACUGAGCGGUGCAUUAAGGACAUAAGCUUUCUAUUGUCCGCAUAAUCGCUACUGUCAACUUUCAACUAUAUUUUCUCUAGGAACAUAUCUAAACAGUGGAACUAAAGCGCGAGCUUACGACAUAAUUUGCAAAGAUCUUUUGACUAUGUUCAGGGUAAUUAAGUUCAUAUUACGAACUCCCACUCAGAUAGAGAUCCCUCUAGUCAUCUAAGUGAUUACAUGAUCCGAGUCAACUAGGCCGUGUCUGAUCAUCAUGUGAGACGGACUAGUCAUCGUCGGUGAACAUCUUCAUGUUGAUCGUAUCUACUAUACGACUCAUGCUCGACCUUUCGGUCUCUUGUGUUCCGAGGCCAUGUCUGUACAUGCUAGGCUCGUCAAGUUAACCUAAGUGUUUCGCGUGUGUAAAUCUGGCUUACAUCCGUUGUAUGUGAACGUAAGAAUCUACCACACCCGAUCAUCACGUGGUGCUUCGAAACGACGAACUUUCGCAAUGCUGCACAGUUAGGGGGAACACUUUCUUGAAAUUUUAAUGAGGGAUCAUCUUAUUUACUACCGUCGUUCUAAGCAAAUAAGAUGUAUAAACAUGAUAAACAUCACAUGCAAUCAAAUAGUGACAUGAUAUGGCCAAUAUCAUAUUGCUCCUUUUGAUCUCCAUCUUCGGGGCUCCAUGAUCAUCAUCGUCACCGGCAUGACACCAUGAUCUCCAUCAUCGUGUCUCCAUGAAGUUGUCUCGCCAACUUAUUACUUCUACUACUAUGGCUUCCGGUUAGCAAUAAAGUAAAGUAAUUACAUGGCGUUGUUCAAUGACACGCAGGUCAUACAAUAAAUAAAGACAACUCCUAUGGCUCCUGCCGGUUGUCAUACUCAUCGACAUGCAAGUCGUGAUUCCUAUUACAAGAACAUGAUCAAUCUCAUACAUCACAUAUCAUUCAUCACAUUCUUCUUGGCCAUAUCACAUCACAUAGCAUACCCUGCAAAAACAAGUUAGACGUCCUCUAAUUGUUGUUUGCAUCUUUUACGUGGCUGCUAUGGGUUUCUAGCAAGAACGUUUCUUACCUACGCAAAACCACAACGUGAUAUGCCAAUUGCUAUUUACCCUUCAUAAGGACCCUUUUCAUCGAAUCCGUUCUGACUAAAGUGGGAGAGACUGGCACCCGCUAGCCACCUUAUGCACCAAGUGCAUGUCAGUCGGUGGAACCUGUCUCACGUAAGUGUACGUGUAAGGCCGGUCCGGGCCGCUUAAUCCCACAAUACCGUCGAAACAAGAUUGGACUAGUAACGGUAAGCAUAUUGAACAAAAUCAACGCCCACAACUACUUUGUGUUCUACUCGUGCAAAGAAUCUACGCAAUAGACCUAGCUCAUGAUGCCACUGGUGGGGAACGUAGCAGAAAUUCAAAAUUUUCAACGCAUCACCAAGAUCAAUCUAUGGAGAUUCUAGCAACAAGAGAGGGAGAGGAUGAGCAUCUUCAUACCCUUGAAGAUCGCUAAGCAGAAGCGUUUCAAGAAUGCAGAUGAUGGAGUCGUACUCGCGGCGAUUCAAAUCGCGGAAGAUUCGAUCUAGCGCCAAACGGACGACGCCUCCGCGUUCAACACACGUACAGCCCGGGGACGUCUCCUCCUUCUUGAUCCAGCAAGGGGAGAGGAGAAGGUUGAGGAAGACUCCAUCCAGCAGCAGCACAACGGUGUGGUGGUGAUGGAGGAGCGUGGCAAUCCGCAGGGCUUCGCCAAGCACCGCGAGAGAGAAGGAGUACUUGGGAGAGGGGGAGGGCUGCGCCAGAACUUCGUGUGUUGGGCUGCUCCUAUGCCUCCACUAUAUAUAGGGGGAGAGGGGGCUGCGCCUCCACCUAGGUUUCCACCCCCUAGGGGCGGNNNNNNNNNNNNNNNNNNNNNNNNNNNNNNNNNNNNNNNNNNNNNNNNNNNNNNNNNNNNNNNNNNNNNNNNNNNNNNNNNNNNNNNNNNNNNNNNNNNNNNNNNNNNNNNNNNNNNNNNNNNNNNNNNNNNNNNNNNNNNNNNNNNNNNNNNNNNNNNNNNNNNNNNNNNNNNNNNNNNNNNNNNNNNNNNNNNNNNNNNNNNNNNNNNNNNNNNNNNNNNNNNNNNNNNNNNNNNCUCCCCAAACCCUAGGCGCCUUGGGCUCUUGUGGGGGGGGGGGGCGCACCAGCCCACCAGGGGCUGGUCCCCUCCCACACUUGGCCCAUGCUGCCCUCCGGGGAUGGUGGCCCCACUUUGUGGACCCCCGGGACCCUCCCGAUGGUCCCAGUACGUUACCGAUAAAACCCGAAACUUUUCCGGUGACCAAAACAGGACUUUCCAUAUAUAAAUCUUUACCUCCGGACCAUUCCGGAACUCCUCGUGACGUCCGGGAUCUCAUCCUGGACUCCGAACAACAUUCGGUAACCACAUACAAACUUCCUUUAUAACCCUAGCAUUAUCGAACCUUAAGUGUGUAGACCCUACGGGUUCGGGAACCAUGCAGACAUGACCGAGAUGUUCUCCGGUCAAUAACCAACAGCGGGAUCUGGAUACCCAUGUUGGCUCCCACAUGUUCCACGAUGAUCUCAUCGGAUGAACCACGAUGUCAAGGACUCAAUCAAUCCCGUAUACAAUUCCCUUUGUCUAGCGGUAUUGUACUUGCCCGAGAUUCGAUCGUCGAUAUGCCGAUACCUUGUUCAAUCUCGUUACCGGCAAGUCUCUUUACUCGUUCCAUAACACAUCAUCCCGUGAUCAACCCCUUGGUCACAUUGUGCACAUUAUGAUGAUGUCCUACCGAGUGGGCCCAGAGAUACCUCUCCGUUUACCGGAGUGACAAAUCCCAGUCUUGAUUUGUGCCAACCCAACAAACACUUUCGGAGAUACCUGUAGUGCACCUUUAUAGCCACCCAGUUACGUUGUGACGUUUGGUACACCCAAAGCAUUCCUACGGUAUCCGGGAGUUGUACAACCUCAUGGUCUAAGGAAAUGAUACUUGACAUUAGAAAAGCUUUAGCAUAUGAACUACACGAUCUUUGUGCUAGGCUUAGGAUUGGGUCUUGUCCAUCACAUCAUUCUCCUAAUAAUGUGAUCCCGUUAUCAACGACAUCCAAUGUCCAUGGUCAGGAAACCGUAACCAUCUAUUGAUCAACGAGCUAGUCAACUAGAGGCUUACUAGGGACAUGGUGUUGUCUAUGUAUCCACACAUGUAUCUAAGUUUCCUAUCAAUACAAUUAUAGCAUGGAUAAUAAACGAUUAUCAUGAAUAAGGAAAUAUAAUAAUAAUAACUAAUUUAUUAUUGCCUCUAGGGCAUAUUUCCAACAGGGAUUGCCCAAGACUCGUUCAGGCUAUGACUUGAUUUGGGUGGUAGUCGAUCGUUUGACGAAGGUAGCUCAUUUCAUCCCAGUGAAGACUACUUACACCAGUGCCAAAUUGGCCAAGAUUUACAUGACCAGGAUCGUAUGUCUGCAUGGAGUUCCAAGGAGCAUUGUAUCGGAUAGAGGAACCCAAUUCACCUCAAAGUUUGGAAUCAGUUGCACGAAACCUUGGGUACCAGGCUAGAGUUCAGUACCGCUUUUCAUCCGUAGACAGAUGGACAGACCGAAAGAGUCAAUCAGAUUUUAAAGGACAUGCUGAGAGCUUGUGCGCUAGAUUAUGGAUCUAGUUGGGACGACAAUUUGCCAUAUGCAGAGUUCUCUUACAACAAUAGUUAUCAAUCCAGUUUGAAGAUGACCCCUUUCGAGGCCUUAUACGGAAGGAGGUGCAGAACCCCGUUGUCUUGGGACAAAGUUGGAGACUGUCAGUUGUUUGGACCAGAUUUGAUUAAGGAGUCUGAACGGAAAGUGAAGUUGAUUCGCGACAGGCUCAAGGUAGCCCAGUCCAGGCAGAAAAGCUAUGCUGAUGCAAAACGCAAGGAGACAGUUUACGAAGUUGGGGAUAGAGUUUAUCUUCGGGUAUCUCCACUUCGAGGAGUUAAGCGUUUUGGUGUUAAAGGAAAGUUAGCGCCGCGUUUUGUAGGACCAUACAAAGUUUUGGAACGUAUGGGAGAGGUUGCCUAGAAGUUGGAAUUACCCGAGGGAUUGUCAGGAGUUCAUGAUGUGUUCCACGUCUCCCAGUUGAAGAAGUGCCACGCAGAGAUGGCUGAUAUACCGCUAAGAGAUACAGUGCCACUAGAUGCGAUUCAGUUGGACAGUGAUUUGACCUAUGAGGAGAAACCAGUUAAGAUUCUUGAGUAUGCCAGCCGAGUCACCCGCAGCAAAGUUAUCAAGUUUUGCAAAGUUCGGUGGAGCCACCACACCGAGGAUGAAGCCACCUGGGAGCGAGAGGAAGACUUGCUGAAAGACCACCCUCACCUAUUCUCUAGCCAACCCGAAUCUCGAGGGCGAGAUUCAUCUUAAGGGGGGUAGGUUUGUAACAUCCCGAAUUUUCAAUUUGGAAUGAUAUACAAAUAGAUCAUCAUUGCAUAUCAUAUUUUAUUGCAUUUGGUUUCGAUCCUAGAAAUCCUACGCAACUCAAGGACCCACGGAGAGAGUUGGGGAUUUCGAUAUUUUCAUAUUUGAGUUUUCUCAAAUUUUGGAAGUAGGAUCAUUUGAUUUUAUUUAUUUUAUCUUCAAUUAUUUCAAUUAUAUAAAUAUGAGAGAGGGAUAAAAUGACUUUCCCAAAAUAAAGAAAUAUUUAAGAUUUAAUAAAAAAAUCAAAUAAUUUUUUAUUUUGGAUUUUCUCGCUAUUUUAUUUGAAUUUAGGAAAAAUGCGUGUUUUCCAAAAUUGCAUUUAGGCCCAAAUAAAUGUUCAUCUAAACCGUCUUGAUUUUAGAAGCCGGAGAAAAUUUAUUUCGGGAUUUUUGGAGUCCGUUUAGUAUUUCUUUCGUUUGUUUUUCUGCGUGAUAAUUAUUUUUAAAAAAAUAUCUGGAACCGACUACGGGCCGUAACCGGCCAAGACUCCGCCUGGCCGGGUCUUUAUAUAGCGUGCCCCGGGCCCCGCCUCAGCCCAAACCGCCGCCGCCAGCCCAACCCGCCGCCGCCGCCCAAACCCUAACCCUAGCGCCGCCUCGCCGCCAGCCCGCGCCGCCGCUCGCUGCUGCNNNNNNNNNNNNNNNNNNNNNNNNNNNNNNNNNNNNNNNNNNNNNNNNNNNNNNNNNNNNNNNNNNNNNNNNNNNNNNNNNNNNNNNNNNNNNNNNNNNNNNNNNNNNNNNNNNNNNNNNNNNNNNNNNNNNNNNNNNNNNNNNNNNNNNNNNNNNNNNNNNNNNNNNNNNNNNNNNNNNNNNNNNNNNNNNNNNNNNNNNNNNNNNNNNNNNNNNNNNNNNNNNNNNNNNNNNNNNNNNNNNNNNNNNNNNNNNNNNNNNNNNNNNNNNNNNNNNNNNNNNNNNNNNNNNNNNNNNNNNNNNNNNNNNNNNNNNNNNNNNNNNNNNNNNNNNNNNNNNNNNNNNNNNNNNNNNNNNNNNNNNNNNNNNNNNNNNNNNNNNNNNNNNNNUCCGACCACCGUCGCCCUCGCCGGAGCCGCCGCCACCGCCGACCCGCACCCCGAGGUUGACCUCACCGCCGCCGUUUUUUUAGAAAAACCGUUCGGUUUUCCGUCGGUUUUCGUCGGUUUUUUUAGAUUCCCUUUUUUUAGUUAGAUCGUUUUUUCUUCCGGUUUGGAUUAAUUAGCGAGCGUUCACUCGUUCGUUCGUUUUAACAAACGCGUUCAUCGUUUAGAUCCAGAUAACGAACGUUCGUUCGUUAAUCUGUUCGUCGUUUUUCUUUUUCUCGGAUUUAUUCCGCGAUUUUUGUGAUCGCGAUUUCUGAUCCGAUUUUCGUUUUAGUAUAACUUUUUGCUCGUUUAUCGGAAUCAGGCGAUUCAAGCGCCUAGAGUUUUGUCUCGAAACCCUCUUUCUGAAUAAUCUACUCAAACCAGUUUUUGCUUUUGUAAAAUUUGACUUAGGUCCAGAUUAGUAAACAAAGCUUGUUUCUUUCGCCGUUUGAGUUUUGUUUCUUCGUUCGAUUUGAUUCUUUUUGCAAACCGGAGUUCUUAAGUUGAACUUUCUGGUUAGACCUCUUAUUUGAGUUUUACCCGUGCAUUAGAUGAGUACUUAUUGUAUGCUUGUUGUUUAUUUGCUUGCGAUAGAGUACCCGGACUGCACCGCUUGCUACUUCGAAUCCCUAGGUUACGCAGAUCAUCAGCAAGGCAAGUAACACUUUGAUCAUAUCCCUUAUUACCUAGUUUUUAUGCAUUAGAACAAUCCUCAAACAUUGCAUGAUUAGGAUCUAAUUAAAUUGUGGGUUUUGGGAAGUAGAUUGAGGUAGUACCUAUUACCUGUUUUAUUAUCAAACCCUUGGGAGUUACUUCUGCGUUUGCUUAUUAUGCCAUUCUAUGCUCGUAGACGUGGAUUGGGUUUGAGUGAUUUCCAUGACAGAUGUGAGAUUGUUAAUUAAUGGCUUAUUUAAGGUGACAACAUUAAUACACAUCUGGGUGGAUUGAGGUACCUGGUUAUUCCAGGAUUGCCUGUCUAGGCACCUGGGUAGACCAGGAUUGCCUAUUUUUUUAUGGACCGCCACUCAGGCUCGAAGGGAUCAUAACAUUAUUCAUGCUAGAAACUUCCGUGUGCAGCCACAUGCUAUUAUGGGCUCUAGCAUAGUUGAUUAAGUUGUGCGAACUCUUACAGUGGUAGACCAGCAGAUGUAGGGGAAAGUAGGUGUACCGGUCUACCCAUCGUAAGGUGCUAGCGCUUCUGAAAGACUAUGUCUCGGUCAUUCGUUUCUCAAACACCAUGUAGUGCGAGAAAACCAACGGAGGAGACCGAGUCAUGUGGGGAAAAGUGCGCAAACCUCUGCAGAGUGUAUAAACAAAUCAUGAUUAGCCGUGUCCCCGGUUAUGGAUGUUUUGAGUAUCUAGUACUUGGAUUAUCAUGUGAAUCUCAUCAUGUUACUUUAAUUAAUAUUGUUGGGUUUGUUUAAUGAUGAUGCUUAAUUGGGAUUGAGGAUGCUGUCAACCAUUCUCAAUGUUUAACAACCACCAUGAUAGUUAAAUAAAUUUAUUCCUUUGAAGUAGGGAAAAAUUGGCUUUACGCAAAACUGUAACCAUAGAGAUAUCCACCAAGCCAUAUAUUCAUGUAGUAUAGAUUUACUCUUUCAUUUUCCUCUAUGUGUUACUUUGCCAGCAUAUUCCAUGUGCUGACCCGUUUUCGGGCUGCAACGUUCAUGUUGCAGAAUUUUUAGACGACGAGUAAGAUGCCUUAGGAUUGUGGUUCUAUACUCAGUGAUGCCAUUGGAGUUGAUGGACUCACUUAUCUUCCAAGCCUUCCGCUGUUAUCGUUAUUAGAUGGCCUUAAGCCAUAUUUAUUGUAAUAAGUUCUCUUUGGAGACAUUCGAUUUAAUAAGUGUGUGAUUGCUACUCUGUUAUAAAUCCUUCCAGUACUGUGCGUGUCAGCAUUACUGAUCCAGGGAUGACACUGAUGCACAGAGCUCGGACUGUUUGAGGUCUGGUCGCUACAGGAACUAAAUCCUGAGAGCGCGUGAGAUCUUCUGCCGGCGAAGCCAUUGCUAGCCACCGUGGCCGGAGUCCAAAUCGAGCAGCACGAGCAUGUCCAUGAGCUUUGGCGGGCGCCUCUCCUUCGUCCUGCACAGUGGAUCUGGCCUGGGGCUGCCCGUAGACGACGCUCGGGACGUCGAACUCCGCCAUGGCCAUUGCUCUUCCCUUCCUAAAUUCGGCCGCUCUAAGCCAUUCUUGACCUACCCGGCCCCUGUUCCGUCGUCAAGGAAAGCAGGUGCCCCUACUCCGCUCUUCCCCCGCCUGAUUCCGUGCCCGGAGCUCCCUGACAGAAUCCGGCUGCCAUGACCAACCUUGGUUGGCUCGGUCGUGCACGCGCCCAUCUACACCCUGCCGCUCCUAGUGAGCUUGGCGCGUCUCGCGCAGCUUGCAUGCCUUGCGCAGUAGGCACCAUCCUCCCACGGUCAUCCUCCUCCCCUACGGCGAGCCGCCAGCGAGCACAGGCGCUCACGGCCGGGAACGCAUGGACCGGGGGUGUUUACCCUCAUAGUGGGUCCCGUCGGGAGGAGAUGGAUGAGAGAGAUUUUUUUUGUUUUUUCCUGGGUAGGUCCCACCGGUAAGUGACUGACCCACGGGAGGGCUGAGUUGGCCUAGUUUUCCUUUUAUUUUUUAGAGGGGGUCCCGCAUGUAAGUGUCACAUGGAUUCAGGGGCAAAUUGUCCAACUAACGUCCAGAAAACGGUCAAAGCCCUUUGACCGGACGGUAACGCAGCGGAAGGGCAUUUCUAUAAGUGCACAUAACGACGGAGGGGCAUUUUUGAGCAGGCUUUCGAAUUAGGGGUAUAUCUAAUUAGGUGGUUCGAGUUAGGGACAGAAAUGCAAAUGGCCCUUUAUUAUUCAUGAUAGAAUUGUAUUAACCAAAAACUUAGUACAUGUGUGAAUACAUAGACAAAACAUAGUGUCCCUAGUAUGCCUCUACUUGACUAGCUUGUUAAUCAAAGAUGGUUUUGUUUCCUAACCAUAGACAUGUGUUGUCAUUUGAUGAACGGGAUCACAUCAUUAGGAGAAUGAUGUGAUGGACAUGACCCAUCCGUUAGCUUAGCAUUAUGAUCGUUACAGUUUCAUUGCUACUGCUCUCUUCAUGACUUAUACAUGUUCCUCAGACUAUGAGAUUAUGCAACUCCCGAAUACUGGAUGAACACUUUGUGUGCUAGUAAAUGUCACAACGUGAAUGGGUGAUUAUAAAGGUGCUCUACAGGUGUGUCCAAUGGUGUUUGUUGGGUUGGCAUAGGCCGAGAUUAGGAUUUGUCACUCCGUGUUUCAGAGAGGUAUCUCUGGGCCCUCUCGGUAAUACUCAUCACUAUAAGCCUUGCAAGCAUUGCGACUAAUGAGUUAGUUGCGGGAUGAAGUAUUAUGGAACGAGUAAAGAGACUUGCCGGUAACAAGAUUGAACUAGGUAUGAUGAUACCGACGAUUGAAUCUCAGGCAAGUAACAUACCGAUGACAAAGGGAACAACAUAUGUUAUUAUGCGGUUUGACCGAUAAAGAUCUUCGUAGAAUAUGUAGGAGACAAUAUGAGCAUCUAGGUUCCGCUAUUGGUUAUUGACCGGUGAUGUGUCUCGGUCAUGUCUACAUAGUUCUCGAACCCGUAGGGUCCGCACGCUUAACGUUCGAUGACGAUUUGUAUUGUGAGUUAUGUGAUUUGAUGACCGAAGUUUGUUCGGAGUCCCGGAUGAGAUCACAGACAUGACGAGGAGUCUCGAAAUGGUCAAGAUGUAAAGAUCGAUAUAUUGGAAGGCUAUAUUCGGACAUCGAAAAGGUUCCGAGUGAUUCGGGUAUUUUUCGGAGUACCGGAGAGUUACGGGAAUUCAUCGGGGGAAGUAAUGGGCCUUAAUGGGCCAUACGGGGAAGGAGAGAAGGGCCUCAAGGGGUGGCCGCGCGCCCCCCAUGGGCUGGUCCGAAUUGGACUAGGAGGGGCCGACGCCCCCUGUCGUGGUUCUAAGACUGAAAGUAGAAUGGGGGGUAGGUAUGAGGAGGCAAGAUCUCAGCUAUGGUGAAGUUGUACUCACAAGAUUUACGAGUUCAGGCCCUUCACGGUGGAAGUAAAAGCCCUACGUUUCGGUGCCCGGAGGCGGUCGAUUGGAUUAUAUGCGUGUAGAGAUACAGGGGGUGCGAACCCUUGUCCUAAAGGAAGGGGGUGGCUUAUAUAGAGUGCGCCAGGACCCCAACCAUCCUCUGUUACAAGGAGUUCAAUGUACAUAAAGACGGGGCGUUACUGAUAACGCCAGCCAUAAGUGCUAUUAAUGAUGUUAAAGACUACGGAGUGAACACCUGACCAUUGCAGUUUUGAGUGACUUCUGCUCUUCGGUAGGUCGAGUGGUUACUUGUAUAGUCGAGUGACACCAGGAAGGAGGGGUACCCGAGUGAUAUGAUUUGUCGUGUGGAUUGCACUCGACACCUUUGGUUGGGGAUUCCUUGUUGUCUCUUGGACUUCUUUUUUUCUAGGGUAGUGACCUUGGGUAGGGCAUAUAGGUCAGGCCUAUGACCCUACCCUAGGUCUGUAUCCUCAUCAUUAGCCCCCAAAUGGAUUAAGGUCCGAGUGGAAAGUAGGUUGAAGUUGAUCUUAUUCCGAGCCUUGCGACUCACGUGUAUUUUAUGCAGGACGGAGGACUCAUGUUGGAACUUCAGCCUCGAUUCAGUCGCCUUGAUUGAUUCAGGAAGUUGCCGAGUGAAUUUGUAACAUCAUCUGUCGAGUGUUGUUUCGAGGUACAAAAUCUUUGGCGUGAUUGGUUGCAGUGUAUCCCGGAUCUCACGGGAUUCGAAAUAUCAGGGAAGCGCGCGAGACGGAGCAUGCCGAGGUAAGCGGGGUGGAUAAACAAGAGCGCCUCAAUUUCCACGCCACCUUUUUCACCAUGUAUGUCGCGCGCGACUGUUGCGGGAUUUGACAGGAUCGCCUGGACCCACGCGUCAGCCACUCGGAAGCGGGCCUUUAUAAGGCGACGGAGUCGAGGCGCCUGCACUGUGCGCGUCCAUCUUCCCCUCUUUCUCUCUAGUUCUCCACUGCAUCCGGCUCCUCCGCUCUCGACGCCGCCGCUCCGCCACCAUGGUGAAGGUCAAGACGGCGGCGCUGGAACGCACGAAGAAGGCGACGGGGGCGGUGAAAGGCAAGAAGCAGAAUCAUGGGUUGUCGUCGCGCUCUGCGCUGUCGCCGGGCUGGAUCCAAGGCGACUGGAUCCGAUAUUCACUCCGCCAGGAAGAUCUGGAUGAAUUGGUGGAAUCCAGAUUGAUCGCCAAGGGCGCGGCGAGGCUGCCGGAGGGGGAGGCGGAGCCGCAGCCACGGCCGGGUGAGUGUGUUCUUCUCGCCACCCAUGUCGACCGGGUUUUUUCGCUUCCUCCUCGCCCCUUUUCCGGGGUUUCUUGAACUUCUUCGGCGCCCAACUCCACCACUUUUCUCCCAAUACCAUCACAUAUCUUGCUGCAUUCGUGUCCAUGUGCGAGAAUUUCUGGGGUGUCGACCGCACUGGGGUCUUUUGAAGCACAUUUUCACCAUCCGUUCUCAGUCGGUGAAGAAAGCAAAUACGAGUGACGAGAAAACACAUGUCAUUCAGAUGUGUGGGGGCUUGGGCAUCCAGAAGAGGCAGAGGAGCUCUUUCCCUUCCAUGACUCUUCCUGAAUCGGUCAGGGGUUGGCAGUCGACCUGGUUCUACUGCUAGGACCUCGCAACUCCAGGUCAGUCGACCGGACUUCCCCACUUCACCUUUGAUCAUGUUCAGACUCCAUCCUCGCUGAAAGUGACUGCCGCCGAGAGCGUGGAGACGAACAUGUUAGUUGAGAGGGUGGUCCAGCUGAUCAAUCAGGGCGUCACUGGCAUGGAUCUGCUGGAAGUAUUCCUCAGUCGACACAUCCAACCUCUCCAGGCCCGUAACCACCCCAUGUGGAUGUACUCUGGGGUCGACGACACCGCUCGGGUCCAUCCAGAGGAAGUACCAGCUAAGACGGUGGCCAUGUGGUUGAAGAGCAUUACAGGCAACAAGGACAACCCCAGAGGAGCCAGGAGAGUCGACCCCUUCAGAGAUAACAAUCUGCCAGACAAGGUGGGUCUUCUGUCGCCGACUGUUUUUGGUUAUAUAUUCCGACUGCUCUUGAUCCCGACUGACUUUUACUUGACUUCUUGUCUUGUAGGUUUUUACUGAGAUGUACUCGAUGCCCAAUGGUGAACAAGUUCUGGAGCAGGGCCAGGAGGGAGAGAACAGCGCGGUGGAGAGCGGUGAAUGGGAAUCUUCAGACGAAGAAGACGAGGAAGAAAGCAAGGAGUCGGACACGAAAGAAGCGGUCGACUCACCGCCUCGCUCAGAACAUCUAUCCAAGCAAUAUCAUGACCCAGCAGGAGGGCACGGUAAGAACGUGGCCCCAAGCACCCAAUCGCAGAAGCGCACGCGGACGUCGACUCUGGAGCCAACAGAAAAAGUCACCAAGCAACCCAAGGUUGCUCUUCCAAAAGCUCGGAAGACUCUGCCUAGGAUCAAGAUGGAUGUUCCUGUUGCCUCUGGGUGAGUAUCCUUUCUGUGUUUAUCUCUACCGGUUGAUUCUUCUGUUCUGACCGAAUGGAUCGUGCAUCUUUCCAGCCCAACCUCAGCCGCGACUGAUGGACAUUGACAAGGCCCCAAGAGAUGAGGAGACCGACGACGCGGCCACCUCCUGAGCUGGUAAGUCCGUUCGACCAAAACUUAUUUUGUCGAUUGAGUUGUCGAUCAGUUGAAUCUCUGAUGUUCUCUUUUUGCUGCAGCUCCAUGAGACAUCGUCAUGCUUCCUGAUGAUGAAGAAGAAGUGCCUCUGAAGGAGAGGAGGAGGAGAGGCAAGGGCUCAAGCGGGAGAGGGCUUGAAGUUCAAGCCCCUCAGUCGACAUCGGUGCUUGAGGCGGUGGUCGAGCGAUCGGAAGUAAAGGCUUUGGAUCGUCGGACGAUCUGUCGAGUCUCUUCUUCAUCCUCUGGAAGUUCUUUCCUAAGAAUGUAUGCAAUGUAUGGCACUGUCCAGUCGGGAGUGACGAUAUAAACCUCCAUGAUCAAGUUGACCACGGCUGGGACUUCAACUUCAGUCGGAUUUGUGGCACUCUUAGGUUGUGGGGGCUCUUUAGUGAAAGGAUCUUCCUGAACUGAAGGUGCGUGAAUAUGCUCCAAAAACAAAUUGCUAGGAAUGGUCUCUCUCUUGGAUCCUAUCUUUGCCAAGUCAUCUGUAGCUUGAUUUUUCAGUCGGGGUAUAUGGUGAAGCUCCAACCCCUCAAACUUCUUUUCCAACUUUCUUAGUAUGUUGCAAUAACCAGUCAUAGCCGGGCUCCUGACAUCCCACUCUUUCAUUACUUGAUUAACCACCAAAUCCGAGUCAUCGUAUACCAUGAGGCGACAGACGCCAAGUGAAAUGGCCAUACGCAACCCGUAUAAAAGCGCUUCAUAUUCAGCUUCAUUGUUGGAGGAAUCAAAACGAAUCUGGAGAACAUUGCUGAGCAUGUCCCCACGGGGGGAUACCAAUACCACCCCAGCACCAGAACCAUUCAGCAUCUUAGAGCCAUCGAAAAACAUGGUCCAAUGCUCCGAGUGAACCUGAGUCGGCAGUUGUUGCUCAAUCCACUCGGCAAGGAAAUCUACAAUUGCUUGGGACUUGAUAGCUUUCUUUGCCUCAAACUUGAUAUCCAAUGGGAGGAGUUCAAUCGCCCAUUUUGCCACUCAACCAGUUGCAUCCCUGUUGUUCAGAAUUUCAGAUAAUGGUCCAUCGCUGACGACUAUAAUGGAGUGAUCAGAGAAAUAGUGUGCAACCUUCUUCAUGGUCAUGUAGAUUCCAUAAACAAGCUUCUGAUAAUGCGGAUAUCUCUGCUUAGAUGGAGUCAAAACUUCAGAAAGAUAAUACACUGGACGCUGAACUUUAUAAGCUUUUCCUUCUUCCUCCCGCUCGACCGUGAGUACUGUAAUGACAACUUGUCUGUCGGCAUUCUGGGAAUGGGGGUCCCCAGACUUGCCUGCCUACGGCCUGCGACAUGGCUUAAAGGAGGCCCAGCACAUCCCAUCUUCAUCAGCGCAAGCUCAAGACCCUCGCGAGGGGCCAAGCCUUGCGGGGCGGACGACUAGGAGCUUCCUCAGGCACGACCUCGUCAGGAUGGCUCAUGAGGGGGCGGAGAGUUCAAGGCAGGGUACCUCGCGAGGUGCCCAUGACGCAAGCCAUGACGACCAAGGGCGCCAGUCGGGCGCCAGCCCGCGCAGUGUCCUCCUUUCCCCUUUGGUGCAAAGGGAGCAAGCGCAGGCGAGAGCAUCAAGCAAAGGCAUCCAUUUUGGUGCAACAAGACCAAGACCAGCCCAACGGCUGGAAGGAAGUCAUUGUGGAGCCCAAGCCGGCGUCAUCACCAGAGCCUUUGACAGGCGAGGACCAACUUUAGUCAGGAUAAGUGUACCCGCUGUUCCCCUUCAAAAUGGCCAAUUGUUGGCGCCCUUCCCGCUCAAUAUUUGGGAAGAGGCCCAGGGCCUUUGCCUAUAAAUAGGACUAGCCACCCCCAGGGUAGAGGCAAUCGGGAUCCUCAUCAAGAAACCAGUAGAUAGAGCGACUGAACCUCUCCUAGCAGUUCAUCGCACCAGCCAAGAACAGACCCUCGCGAGGCUGUUCUGCUUUGUAUUGUUCAUCAUCAAGCCCAAGAGGCAAUCCACCACACCACACACUGGAGUAGGGUAUUACACCACAAUGGUGGCCUGAACCAGUAUAAAUCUUGUGUCUCUUGUGCUGUUUAGUUUGGUAGUUUAGAUCCUAGCGAUUCGGUGAGGAGCGAGCUGGCAGAGGGCAGAAUCUCCGCGCACACCCCAGAGUUCAAACCUCAAGGGUCCGCCAGAACCCGAAAUCCGACAUUUGGCGUGCCAGGUAGGGGUGCGCCGGAAUCUGCCUUCCGUCGUCUUGUUCUUCCCCGACCACCGCAACCAUGUCUGACGCUUGUCGGGCUCGCGCCGAGCGUCGAGCCGCCCUCGCCUCCCAUGUCGCCCAGACGACUCCUGUCGGCGGGCGCCCUCGUCGUUCCCUGUCACCUGCUGUCAAUGCCGCCACCGGCCCGGCGGGGAACGAGCAGCAAGCAUCGUCCCAGCAUCCGUCCAUGAGGCGGGACGGCCGCACUGCCACACCCUCGCUCACCCCCGCUGGUUCUUCGUCAUGCGCGCCCCGUGCGGCCAUGGAGGCCCGAGCUGCGCUCAUCGUGGCGAACGAGCUCCUGCGCUACCGCCCCAUCGAUGACGUCUACGAAGAAUGGCUCGACCGAGUCGCUGAGCUCGUCCGCGCUGCCGGAGGCGCCCCCGCACCGUCCUUCUCACUGCACCGCACCCCGCCCCGCGUGAGCGAUGAAGCUCCUGGUGCGCCUCAGCCGCCUCCUCCUCAAGAAGACGCCCUGGCCCCAAGGUGCGCAGCCCCUGGGCGGAACCCGCUCCACCAGGCGCCAGCGCGGCAAGAGCAGAGCUGCCAAGAAGUCCCUCGCCCACGAGAAGCCGCCCGAGCGCUCCCUGCUCCAGCACGUCAAGACCCUGCGCUGCCCCCAGCCGCGGCGCAUGGGGACCCGCAGGACCAAGCUCUCUGUCGCCCAAGGCCCCCCGUGGCCACGGCGGGCUGCCGCGCCUUCACCUCUGAGCUGCGCAGCGUCGCGUGGCCCGGAAAGUUCAAGCCAGACCUACCCCCUCGCUACGACGGCACGGCUGACCCUGCGGAGUUCGUCCAACUCUACGAGUUGGGCAUCGAGGCUGCCAACGGAGACGAAAAGGUCAUGGCAAACUGGUUUCCCAUGGCGCUCAAGGACGGAGCCCGCACCUGGCUCCUGAAUCUGGCCCCAGGCACGAUCUCUUCCUGGGACGAGAUGCGCACCCGCUUCAUCGCCAACUUCCAGGGUACUCGCGACCGGCCACCCGCUGUGAGCGACAUGCGCCGUAUCAAGCAGCAGCCAGGGAAAACCCUGCAGAAGUACAUCCAGCGGUUCAACAACGCUCGCCUCAAGAUCCCCAGGGUAACAGAGGAAGCCAUCAUAUCUGCCUUCUCCGACGGUGUGCGUGACGUCAAGAUGAAGGAGGAGCUGGCGAUGCAUGAAGACCUGUGCACCUCCUUGGAGCUGUUCAACUUGGUAACCAAGUGCGCCAGGGCUGAGGAGGGGCGCCUCUCCCUCCUCGAGCUGCCUGCCGUGGACCCCGAAGAGAAGAAGCCCAAGGCCAAGGACGUGAAGCACAAGGGGGCUGCCGUGCUCGUGGCCAAGCCAGACACCAAAUGGGGCAGAGAUCAGCCCGAAUCCUCCAAGGGCAGUCGGUACUGCGUGUACCAUGACCUCCACACCCACAACACAAAUGAGUGCCAAGAGCUCUGGGCCGUGCGUGAGGGAAGGGUUGGCAGACGCCCCGAGCGCAGCGACCGGGGCUACGGCCGAGGAGGAGGAAGGAAUGCAGGACGCUGGGAAGACCGCGGCCCCCGCCAAGGGUGGCGCGACCAACCUCGUGAGGACCGCUGGCAGGACCCGCCUCGCGAGGGAGGCUGGAGGGGGAUCAGCCUCGCAAGGAUCGCCCGCAAGGGAAUGCAGGCCUCCCUCCACUGCCGCUGCAGCCAAGAAGGAAUGAAGACCGUCAUCAGGACGAGGGGGCUGGGGGCUUCCAGGAACUGCGUGCGAUCGCCUGCAUCCUGGGCGGAGCUCAAGCCCCAGCCUCUCAGCGCAUCUUCAAGCAGUUCGCCUGCGAAGUGAAUGCAGUCCUCCCCAAGCUCGAGGCCACACGCCCUCUCAGGUGGUCGGCGUGCGCCAUCACGUGCAGCUCAGCGGAUCAGCUCAAGUGCGUGGCCACAGCAGGAGUCCUCCCAAUGCUUUGUUCCCCCAUCAUCAGCAAUGUGCUAGUCACCAGGACCCUCAUCGACGGUGGGGCAGGGCUCAACGUCCUGUCCGUGGAAACAUUCAACAAUCUUCAAGUGCCUUACAGUCAGCUUCAGCCAGCCAAGCCUUUCUUCGGAGUCACCGACGGCUCCACGGUCCCGAUAGGGCAGGUCCGCCUUCCUGUCACCUUUGGGGCUCGCGACAACUACCGCACCGAGCUCAUCGACUUCGACGUCGCCCACAUUCGCCUGCCGUACAACUCCAUCCUCGGGUACCCAGCGCUGGCCAAGUUCAUAGCUGUAACCCACCACGGCUACAACGUCCUCAAGAUGACAGGAAGCGGCAGGGUCAUCACGGUGCCCUGCGAAGAGAGAGACGCAGUGUGCUCCUUGGAGCGAGCCUUUCAGGCCGCAUCACUGGAAGACCCAGACCGCGGCAGCAGGAGGCCUUCCGAGGCCGCACCCAAGAAGAAGAAGACAUCGACCGGCCCGGCCCCUCAGGAGGCAGGCCCCUUAGGGCCCGCGCCUGGCCAGGAGGAGCCUCCUUCCAUCGCAUAGGAAAGCGCGCCCGACGCCCUCCUCAGGCAGGGCUCGGGGGCUCUCCCCUGGAGGGCCGCCGACCUCGCCAAGGUCACGAAGGAGGCGCUUGGGCACCAUGUGGAGGCGUGCUUCGAAGCCCAUUUCCCUCAAGAAGGAGCAAGGCAAGGAGGGCCAAACCCUCAGGAGUUCGUCAGCAAGGCCAUUCAGGAGUUACAGGAGUCAAGGGUCAUGAGAGGCAGCCGCCGCCUAGCCACUGUGGCCCCCCAUCCAGGCGAGGACGGUGGGCUGCGCGUCUGCAUCGACAUACCAGGGCUCAACCGAGCCGCGUCUCAAGAGCGCCUCUGGCCCUCGCGAGUGGGACGUUGCGAGGGUCCGCCCCAUAGCUACGUGCGCAUGCCUUACGGCCUGCCGAACGCUACUGCUGCGCACCAGCGUCUCAUGAGGGCCAUGUUGGAGGCUCAAGAGGUCAGGCGUGCCGCAGUCCUGGCAGAGAUGGAGAUGGCCCGCGAGGAGCCGCCGGCGCCUCCGGAGCCUCCCGAGGCCCCUGGGCCUGGGGGCUCGUGAGGAUUGGCUCUGCAGCCCACCAAGUCUGCUACACCAACACCCCUUCGUCCCCAACAUCAUCAGGUGACAUCUUUUAAGUUUCAUUUCUGGCUGGGAGCGCCUUCAGGGCCGCAUUAUUCCCAGGCCGCGUGGGUCCGUCCCUGUGGCAUGUACCCCCUUUAUCUCAUGUCCUUAGCUUAUCUUAUUGGGGGCGCCCCUCGGGCUGCAUCAUCCCCAAGGCGCUCGGGCAUGUCCCAGCGGCAUGUAUCCUUCUUGGGUUUAUCUUAGGACUAUGCUUUCGAUCCACCAUGCUUGUUAUUUGGUGCCUUUUUCUGGGUGUCGGAAUCUUGCACGUUAAAGGGGGGGUGCCUGAGCAUCGCGACUCAGGGCUCCUACCGGCUCUCCGGCCCUCACCCUUUGGUCUUGUCCAUGGCAUCGCGACCUGGCAUGCCAGCGACGGCUCAGACCAGCCCGAGAGCCGGGACCCGAGGACGUAGAGUUUCGUCAUCUAACCCAGCUUGCGCGUUAAAGGGGGGGUGCCUGAGCAUCGCGACUCAGGGCUCCUACCGGCUCUCCGGCCCUAACCCUCUGGUCUUGUCCAUGGCAUCGCGACCUGGCAUGCCAGCGACAGCUGAGACCAGCUCGAGAGCCAGGACCCGAAGACGUAGAGCAUCGGCAUCUGGCCAAAUUUGCAGGAACACACUCCAAGAUAAGGCCCAGAGCCAGGCGCAACCCGCCUUGAGGUAGGGCCCCGUGAGUCCCGCUCUGGCUCACGGGUGCCCAGAUACACCUCGUCCAGCCCUACCGUGCCAGCCACGUGUCAGGGUGGGGCUGUAUACUCCCCGGGGGCUCCUCCCGGAGGGGAUCCCCCUCCCACGUACCAGUGGAAGCACCAUGCUCCGCGCUGGCUGACGACACUGCUGAGGAGCGGCUAUGCCCGUAUGCAUACGGAAGCGCUAUGCUCCGCGCUGGUGAUAAACAACUGAGGGUGGCCUCCGGGUCGCAUCAACCUCAGGGAGCCCGGAGCUCAGUGUCUGGCCUUGUCGCAACGCCUCCCCUCGGAAGUGCCGCGCGAAGGGGCUGGGCACGGGGGCUGCGCCUGGGUCUCGCCCAGACGCACCCCACCUGGCCAGGCCCCCCCGGGCCUGGUUCGUCGCACGUCCCUCCCCGAGCGGAGCCAAGGUACGAGGGCCGUUUGAGCGUCAAGGGGGACUCCUGAGCAUCGCGACUCAGGAGCCUAACUGGUCACGUAGCCCCUCACUCCUUAGUUCCGAAAGGCUAACGGCGGUUGAGGUAUGCGCGGGGCUGGGCCCUGCAGACGUAGAACGGCAGAUCCACCCACACCUCACCUCCCUACUUGUUGUUCGAGCACCAAGGGGGACUCCUGAGCAUCGCGACUCAGGAGCCUAACUUGUCACGUAGCCCCUCACUCCUUGGUCCCGUCCUGGUUUCCGGUCGGGGCCAACGACGGCUGAGGUAUGCGCGGGGCCGGGCUCUGCCGGCGUAGAACAUAAGCAAGUAGGAAGGAAUAAUGCAAAUUUCAGGGAAUUCAAAAGCAAAUAUUACAGUCCAUGCUGUUAUCACAGCAUCAAACAUAAGUUUUAACGCCUCCCCGAGGCAUGGUACAUGCGCAGGAAUUAAAAACAGGAUGGGAGCCGCGACGGAGUCACUUGCUGGCGGGGGAGCCGCGUGGAGUAGGUUCGCCUUGUGGAGCAGCAGGGCCAGCAACGCUUCGCUUCGGCCUGGUGCUGAAGGCUCGGAACUUCCCCAGCAGAGCCUCCACGCGACCCUUCACGGCCUCAACAGCGGCAGCGGCACGCUCGCCGCUCACUGGCUCCAGCAGGCUGUCGAGGUCGAUGUUGGGGUCGUGAAGGUAGAUGUGGGUGAAGACCCGCGUCAGCGCUGCAGAAGCAAAGAUGCGUGCCUCGGCCUCAGCCGUAGGGCCAAGGCCAAGGGUGACGUCGUUAAGGGCGCAAACCAAGAAGGGAAGCAGCUUGGCGGGGCCAUCCUCCUCGCCGGCCAGCGGGCUCUCAAGGCCGCUCUCAUAGAGCGUCUUCAGUGAAGUGCGAGCCUUCUCUUCCAUAUCCGCGAAGGCCACGCGAUCCUCGGCGAGAACCCGGGCCUUGCCGUCCAGCUCAACCCUCCUCGCCUCCAGCUCUUGCUCCAGCACACCUAGGCGGCCACGGCGCCUCUUGAGCUUGACCUCCAGGUCCUUGACGGCCGCCUCGCGAACCUUCAUGCUUUCCUCCUGCUCCUGGAGAAGGUGGGCCUCCUCUGCAAGCUGGUUCUGCAGGCCCUUCAGCUCGCUCUCCAGUGUCUCACAGCGACCUUGGACGCUAGCUGCCUCCCCCAGGGCAGCAUCGCGGGCAACCUUCGCCUCAUGGACGGCCUGUUUCUCCUCGUCGCAAGCCGUCGAGGCUUGGACCAGCGCCACCCGUAUCGAAGCAUCGGAGCGAAUCUAGCCCGAAGCCAGCUCCAAGCGCCUGGCCACCAGACAGGGGUCGGCGCCCAGAAGAUCCUGCCGCAGAUGGUCCAGUCCGGCAAUGGCGUGAUCCAGAACAGUAUUCGGAGAAGCAGCAGCCGGUGGAGAAGGAGGAGAAGACGGCUGUGUGACCACUGCGCCUUGAGGCAGAACCAGCGGCGCCACGACAACAGUGGAGGCAGCGCCAAGCAAGGGCACCUCGGGAGUCGCCUGUGUCAAGGGGGCUGAGCUUGCCCCAGCGGGCUCAACCUGGCCUCGGGAGGACGCCCGGGCAGGAGAGGCUUGCGCGUCACGAUCACUUUCUUUCUCGGGCAGAGGCACUACCACGAACGGGACCUCAGGAGCUCCCUUCGGCUUCUUCGCCGCGGGCGCCAGCCUGGCCGAAGGACAUGGGCAUCAGGUUUCGUUGACAGAACAAUAAUCAAGACGGGAAGCAGGCACUUACAGGUCGUCGCCGGUGGACUCGAGUAGCCUCCGGCCGAACUUAAAGCCCGAGAGCCGGCUGCAAGGGUCGGCCUCAAGGGGCUCGGAAGCAGGAGGCGCGCCUGCGGAUCACCCCGGGGCCGGGGCAGACCCGCGGGGGACCAGCCCAGUCCGGUCCUUCUUCGGGAUCGGAAGCAGGCUCCCGCCGCCCUGCUCACCCUCAUCCUCGUCGUCGUCCUCUGGGGAAGGCGGAGAGUGCGGGACCUGCGCCGAAGGGGAGGAGCUCUUGACUCCGCCUCUGAGUCAACCCCUGCUUCCUGCUCCUCUUCUUCCUCCUCAUCGCUGGAGUCGUCGGAGGGCACGUUCACUAGGUCCUCCGGAGCCUCCACGGGCACGGGCCCGUCCCCGUUGAAGACAGGCAUGGACCCCACUACCUGAUCCCAAUCCUCGCGAAGGAACAGGGGCGUAGGAGCGCCCUCCAGCCUCACCACGUCGCCCCCAACCAAGGACUGGAGGACCGCAGCCAGAUCCUCGUCGGCCAAAACCACGGGGCUCGAGUGAGGCCUCCACAUCGGAAGCGAAUACUGACGGAGCGGGGCCAGUUGAUGCUCCAGGAACUCCCUCAGCAGCGACACGCCGGUCAGCUUUGCCGCCGCCAUGCUGGCCGCCUCAGAUCUGCGUCCAUCUUCUCCAACACCAGCUUCGCGCAGGGAUCCAGAAGCUCCACUCGGGACCAGUCGUCGGAGCUCGCGGGGUGCUCCGUGGGCAGGGUCAGCCGAGGAUGGAUACGCCCAGCAUCCACCAAGACCCACUUGCUCCUGAAGCCUUCAAUCCUCUUCCCAGGGUUUGAAAUGGCGAUGGCACCGCCAUAUGCGACGAAGCUCGCGCACGCGGAGGCGGAACCACGGGAGAUUCGGAGGUAGAAGUAGUGGCGUAGCAAGGCCACCGAGGGCUUCACCCCUACGUGAGCCUCACAAUAGUAGGCGAAGAUCGCCAGGAGAAGGACAGAGUUGGGAUGGAGGUGAAGAGCUUGAAUAUUGUAGUGGCGAAGGACAGAGAAGAAGAACUCGGAAAAGGGGGGCACCAGACCGGCGAUGAUGGCGCUCACGAAGAGCGGAUAAAAGGUGCUCCCUCGACCCUCAGGGACGGCAGAGCCGGCCUUGAACGCCUUCAUCCCAUCGAUGCCCUGCGCCUUCGCCAUCUGGUGCACCAGGGCACGGCUCGCCCCUGACACGUUUGGCGGGUCCAAGGCAGGCGAGUACCAAGCUCCGGCCGGGGCUUGGCGAGGCGCCAUGACUGGCUAGGGCACGCAGGCGGAGUAGAUCUGAAGAUUUUGGAAGCAGGGAGGAGAGGCACAAGAAAGGGGAUCUGAGCAGCAACUGGAGGAAAUAAAGGAGGCAAGGGAGAUGCCGCUCUUUUAUCAACUCACGCGGUUGCAGAGGCGCCCACGUCCAAUCAACUGCCACGCGGCGCCCAAGGCCGCAGGCUGUUAGGGCCCGCGAUGCUUCGCACUUGCCCUUUCGCCUCUCUGCUCAGCCAAGUUCGGGCGUGCCGUGGGCCCGGGGGCUACUGUCGGCGUUCUGGGAACAGGGGUCCCCAGACUUGCCUGCCUGCGGCCUGCAGCGUGGCUCAAAGGAGGCCCAGCACAACCCAUCUUCAUCAGCGCAAGCUCAAGACCCUCGCGAGGGGCCAAGACUCGCGGGGCGGACGACUAGGAGCUUCCUCAGGCACGGCCUCGUCAGGAUGGCUCAUGAGGGGGCGGAGAGUUCAAGGCAGGGUACCUCGCGAGGUGCCCAUGAUGCAAGCCAUGACGACCAAGGGCGCCAGUCGGGCGCCAGCCCGCGCAGUGUCCUCCUUUCCCCUUUGGUGCAAAGGGAGCAAGCGCAGGCGAGAGCAUCAAGCAAAGGCAUCCAUUUCGGUGCAACAGGACCAAGACCAGCCCAACGGCUGGAAGGAAGUCAUUGUGGAGCCCAAGCCGGCGUCAUCACCAGAGCCUUUGACAGGCGAGGACCAACUUUAGUCAGGAUAAGUGUACCCGCUGUUCCCCUUCAAAAUGGCCAAUUGUUGGCGCCCUUCCCGCUCAAUAUUUGGGAAGAGGCCUAGGGCCUUUGCCUAUAAAUAGGACUAGCCACCCCCAGGGUAGAGGCAAUCGGGAUCCUCAUCAAGAAACCAGUAGAUAGAGCGACCCUCGUGAGGCUGUUCUGCUUUGUAUUGUUCAUCAUCAAGCCCAAGAGGCAAUCCACCACACCACACACUGGAGUAGGGUAUUACACCACAAUGGUGGCCUGAACCAGUAUAAAUCUUGUGUCUCUUGUGCUGUUUAGUUUGGUAGUUUAGGUCAUAGCGAUUCGGUGAGGAGCGAGCUGGCAGAGGGCAGAAUCUCUGCGCGCACCCCAGAGUUUGAACCUCAAGGGUCUGCCGGAACCCGAAAUCCGACAUUGUCCAGUGGCUGCAAUGUAAAGCAGUAAAGGCUCUUUGUUGAUUGGUGCAGCAAGCACCGGCUGGGUGGAAAGCAGGGCUUUGAGCUCUGCAAACGCUGUGUCAGCUUCAUCAGUCCACUUGAAUUUAUCAGAUUUCUUCAUCAGUCGGUAAAGAGGUAAGGCCUUUUCACCGAGACGAGAAGUGAAUCGACUCAAGGCGGCCAAACAACCAGUAAGCUUCUGAGCGUCAUGUACACGCACAGGGUGGUUCAUUCGAAGGAUGGCACCGACUUUCUCUGGGUUCGUGUCGAUCCCCCGUUCGGAAACAAGGAAACUGAGUAACUUUCCACCUGGGACUCCGAAUGUGCACUUCGACGGAUUAAGCUUGAUAUCAUACCUUCUUAGGUUGGCAAAGGUUUCUGUGAGGUCGGUCAGCAGGUCGAACCCUUACGCGACUUGACCACUAUGUCAUCCAUAUAUGCUUCCACAUUCCGACUGAUUUGAGUGAGCAGGAACUCCUCAUGAAUGUGGCGCCAGCACUUUUGAGACCAAAUGGCAUGGUGACAUAACAAAUCACCCGAAUGGGGUGAUGAAAGCUAUUUUUAUUUCAUCGGGACCAUACAGUCGGAUCUGACGAUACCUGGAAUAUGCAUCUAGAAAAGACAAGCGCUCACACCCCGCAGUUGAGUCGACAAUCUGGUCGAUGCGGGGGAGAGGGAAAUGAUCUUUCAGGCAUGCCCGAUUUAUAUGCUUGAAAUCGAUGCACUCCGUUGCUAGGAGCCGAUCCACUUCCUCGCUAAUUGCUUUUUCUUCUGCACGACGGACCGUCGAAGAUGCUCUUUGACAGGUUUUGCCUUCGGAUUGACUCACUAACGAUGCUCAGCCAGUCCCCUGAGUACACCCGGCAUGUCAGAAGGUUUCCAUGCAAAGAUGUCCCAGUUCUCACAGAGGAACUGGGUGAACGCUUCUUCCUAUUUGCUGUCGAGUGUUGUUGAGAUAUGAGUAGGUGCAACAUUGGGAUCGGUCGGGUGAAUAUGAAUUGGCUUCAUUUCUCCAGACGACUGAAAUGCAGAAUCUAUGGCAGGCUUCUUGGUUCGUAACAAAUCACUCGGAUCUGCAUUUUUCUGAUACUCUUGGAAUUCAACUGCUGCAAUUUGUGCAUCAGCAAUUUUAGAACCCUUCUAGAAGCAAUUUGUGCAUCAGCAAUUCAAUUGCCGAUUGCCAGUGACUGUGAUCACUCCUCUGGGGCCAGGCAUCUUCAGCUUGAGGUCCACGUAACAUGGCCGAGCCAUAAAACGUGCAUAAGCAGGCCUACCGAGAAUAUCAUGAUAAGCACUCUGGAAACCCACUACUUCAAAUGUCAACUUUUCCUUGCGGUAAUUCUUGGAAUCACCGAAAACCACGUCAAGGGCGAUCUGCCCGAGUGAUUCGACUUUCUUUCCAGGGAUAACACCAUGAAAACGCAUAUUGCUUUCGCUAUGCUUGGACAUUGGAAUGCCCAUCCCCUUUAAGGUUUCUGCGUAAAGGAUAUUCAGGCCGCUACCACCAUCCAUUAGCACUUUGGUCAGUCGAGUGCCUUCAACAACUGGGUCGACUACCAACGCUUGCCUCCCAGGAGUGGCUAUACGUGCUGGGUGAUCAGACUGGUCGAAUGUGAUGGCUGUUUGAGACCAUUUCAGGUAUGUGGUCGUUGUUGCCGGGGCAACCAUAUUUACUUCUCUGUUGAUAACUUUCAAUCUACUUUUGCUCUCAACAUCCGCAAAAAUCACCAGGGUGGAAUUGACCUUAGGAUAACCAUCGUCUUCCUCUUCGUCCUCGUCCUUUUCUGACUCCUUUUCCUUUUCACUAGGCUGUUUCUCUCGGAAUUGCUGGAUAAGGAGUCGACAUUGCCGAGUGGUGUGCUUAGGAUAAAUCAGAUUACCCUCUUCAUCCUUCUUCGUAUGAAUGUGACAUGGUAAAUCCAACACAUCAUUUCCCGCUUGAUAUUUUACCUUCUUAGGGGUCCAGGCCCCCUUAGGUUUCCCUUUAAACUUCCCUUGAACUACUGCCGCAAUUUCACCAGGCGCUGCAGGUGCAACCUUACGUUUCUGUUUCCGAUUGGAAUUGCCUCCACCGGUGUCCUGGCCGACUGGUUUACUCUUCCCACUUCAGAGUCGAUCCUCUUCUUCUCCAUUAGCGUACUGAGUGGCUAUUUCCAUCAUCUGAGUCAAGGACAUAUCACCAGUCCGAACGAACUUUAGGACCAACUCUUGAUAUUUAAUGCCUUCCUUGAAGGCGCACACUGCUUGGUGCUCAGAUACAUUUUCCACUUUGUGAUGCAAAGUGGUCCACCUCUGAAUGUAAUCCCUUAGAGUGUCACUCAGUUUUUGCACGCAAUGCUACAAUUCUGUUAAUCCUGUUGGCCGCUUGCAAGUACCUUCAUGGCCACUUCAUCAUUACCGCCACCAAUCUGCACAGCCACUCGGUAAUCCUCAAGCCAAGUUUCAGGCUUGGACUCUCCAGUGAACUUGCUGACUCCAGUUGCCAACCUGAAGUUGGGAGGAAUCACUGCAGCCCUGAUGGCUCUGCUGAAACAUUCUGGACCCGAAACAUGAACUCUGAUGCCAGUCGGACGAUCUCUGUCAAGGUCCUCCCUGUGUGCUCUGUUCCAGUCGACUAGACCUUGAACGAGGAUAGAUCUUGCAUCAAAGCCUGGCUCUCUUGGGUCGACCGGUACUCUGUGCUCGCCACUAUGAAGGCGUCUGUCAUCGUAUUGCCGAGGCACAUAUGACCCACUCCUCAGAGGAGGUGUGGGCACUCGAUGACGGUCGUCACGGCCGAGUCGGUGAUCAUACUGCCCAUGGUUCCUGUACUGAUCCUGCUGAUGCCCACGACCUUCACGACGCGGGGGCGAUCUUGGGCUGUAGGCCGACUGAACUGUAUCCGCCACCACAGACCUGCUAUGAAUCCUAUUUCGUGACUGAGACACUGCUAUAUUCUGUUCUCCUCCUACCCAGUGUAAGGCCCAGAUCUGCAUCAAACCUCUGCCAGCCUCCGACUGGGAAGGCUCAAUUGACUCUGCUAUAUGGGCCGCAGCUGUGAGAUUUUGAAUCGGAGUGCAGUAUACCUUAGGUUGAGACGGAAAAAGCUGUCGUCGACUGUACUCAGGGAUCCGCUCCCGAGCACGCUCGUCGAGUGCAUGUUGAAGGUUCUCCAGUCGAGUGCGCUCAGCCAAAUUGGCCAGGCGCACCUCUUCCAGGGCCCGAGCCUCGGGGGUUUCCCCAAUGAUGGGCAUGUGGAGCGCAUCCAUGUUGCGGCGACGAAGUUCUUCUCUUUGCUGUGAAGAGAGAGGUUCGGGACGGUACUCCUCGUAAACGCGCGACGGAUCGCCGCCACCAUCACCGCCGUCAUUGCGACGGAAGCCAGGCGGACUACGCGAUCUGUUGACCAUCAAAACUUUAGCCGCAGGGUCGCUACUAUCGCACUUGGAUGCGGUCUCAAUGGAGCCAGUCGACAGGUCAAACAGGCCGUAGAGAGUUUCGUCGGGCUCGAUUGCCGCAACUUGAUGGGUGGCCGAAUGACGAGCCACUGCAUGUUUCACCCACCGCUGAAGCCGCGACCGACCGGAUAACUUGCGACGGCGAACAUCGGGGAGAGAGGACACCACGGGAGCCGAUCGAUACUGGGUCGACGGCUGCCAGAGAAGGAUGGCGCGUACACACGUGUGGAAGUGUGUCGCCCCUCGGAUGGGGAGCGCCUCGAUGUCAAGGGGAGGUUCCUGAAGCCAAACGGAGUCGUCGGCGAUGAAGACGAGCGCGCCGAGACAGAUCUCGUGGCCCUCAGCCAAUCCACCGCCGGAAACCAUGAUGACAGGGAUCGGAAAAAUUGCAACUUCACCAAAAAGUCGCUAAGACACCUGCCCCACGGUGGGCGCCAACUGUCGUGGUUCUAAGACUGGCAGUAGAAUGGGGGGUAGGUAUGAGGAGGCAAGAUCUCAGCUAUGGUGAAGUUGUACACACAAGAUUUACAAGUUCAGGCCCUUCACGAUGGAAGUAAAAGCCCUACGUCUGGGUGCCCGGAAGCUGUCGAUUGGAUUAUAUGCGUGUAGAGAUACAGGGGGUGCGAACCCUUGUCCCAGAGGAAGGGGGUGGCUUAUAUAGAGUGCGCCAGGACCCCAGCCAUCCUCCGUUAUAAGGAGGUCAAUGUACAUAAAGACGGGGCGUUACUGAUAACGCCAGCCAUAAGUGCUAUUAAUGAUGUUAAAGACUACAGAGUGAACACCUGACCAUUGCAGUUCUGAGUGAAUUCUGCUUUUUGGUAGGUCGAGUGGUUAUUUGUAUGGUCGAGUGACACCAGGAAGGAGGGGUACCCGAGUGAUAUGAUUUGUCGAGUGGAUUGCACUCGACACCUUUGGCUGGGGAUUCCUUGUUGUCUCUUGGACUUCUUUGCUUCUAGGGUAGUGACCUUGGGUAGGGCAUAUAGGUCAGGCCUAUGACCCUACCCUAGGUCUGUAUCCACAUCACCCCUCCUUCCUUCUCCCCUCUUCUUCCUUCCCUCCUUCUCCUUCUAGGAAUAGGAAAGAGGAGGGGAAUCCUACUUGGACUGGGGAGUCCUAGUAGGAUUCCCCACACCUGGCGUUCCCUCCUUGGGCCGGCCAUCUCUUCCCUCCCCUCCUUUAUAUACAUGGCCAGGGGGCACCCCAUAGACACACAAGUUGAUCUUUAGCCAUGUGCGGUGCCCCUCCACAGUGUCCACCUCGGUCAUAUCGACGUAGUGCUUAGGCGAAGCCCUGCGCCGGUAACUUCAUCAUCACCGUCACCACGCCGUCGUGCUGACGGAACUCUCCCUCGGCCUCAGCUGGAUCUAGAGUUCGAGGGACGUCACUGAGCUGAAUGUGUGCAGAUCACGGAGGUGUCGUGCAUUCGGUACUUGAUCGGUUGGAUCGCGAAGACGUUCGACUACAUCAGCCGCGUUACUUAACGCUUCCACUUUCGGUCUACGAGGGUACGUGGACACACUCUCCCUCUCGCUGCUAUGCAUCACCUAGAUAGAUUUUGCAUGAUCGUAGGAUUUUUUUUGAAAUUACGCGUUCCCCAACAAUGCAUACAAGUUGUUGAGCAAGAUUACAUCUUGGAGAGGAAGGAAAAGAUAAGAGAUAAAGGGAUAGAGUACAUGCGGUUAAGAGAAUCCCUAACUACCUCCUAGCUAACCUCCUACCGAAGGGCUUCAUCUUGUAACGUGACAAUGAUCAUGACAUGAUGUUUAACACCCUCCCUUAAUCUCAAUUUGGACGUUUAAAUUCUUCAAAGCUCCGUGUAGGUAAUACUUUGGUGAAGCCAUCUGCAAGCUGAUCCUUUGAGUGAACAAACCGAAUUUCCAGUUGUUUAUUAGCAACAUGUUCUCUGACAAAAUGGAAAUCAAUCUCAAUAUGUUUUGUCCUAGCAUGGAAAAAUGGAUUAGCACAAAGAUAUGUGGCACCAAGAUUGUCACACCACAAACUUGGUACUGGGAUUCGUCUUAUGCUGAGUUCCUUGAGGAGAGACUGAACCCAUAUGAUCUUUGCAGUUGCAUUUGCUAAUGCUUUAUAUUUUGCUUCUAUACUAGACCUAGAUACCAUAGCUUGUUUCUUUCCACACCAAGAUAUGAGGUUAGGUCCAAAGCAAACCCACCUGUAGACCAUCUGUCAUGUAGACAUCCUGCCCAAUCAGAGUCAGAAAAAUCGCUGACUAAAGUGGAUGAAGACUUGCUGAAAGCACUACAAAAAAAUACACUUCUGUGAUUAUACGUGUUUGUCAUAGUAGGUCACGUUUUCUGUCAUGCAUGUACAUCCAGGAUGAUUUUAUGACAGAAUCAAGAUAGUCAUACCUGUGCUGUCGUAAAAGUGUUCCAUGACAAUACCAAAAUUAUCAUCAUGGAAGUGUCCACUUCCAUGACGAUAAAUGGUGCGUCAUGGAAGUGUUUUCGUCAAGGGUAACCGACACGUGGCAUCCACCAUAACGGGUCGCUGUUAAGCUAUCGGGUUCCGGUUUGGAUCCGAUAACCCAUUAACAGCCCCGACCUAUGUGGAUUUUCCAUGUGUAAAAUUCUCAUUCACCAGAUGAUCCACGUGUCAGCUCGUCGUUGGGACAAAUGUCAUCCCUACAAUGGACGAAAGACACCAUAUGUCAACAUGUGGCACAACCCAAUAGUGGCCCAUUUAAGGUAAAAAGGCCAGCCCAGCUAAAGGCCCGCUAUAUUUUUUCAGACACUAGUGGGCUAGCCCGUUAACAACCUUCCAUGUUUUGGGUCAAAUUAAGGCCCAUAUCAGAUCAGGCCCGUUCACAGCCUGCCAUGUUUUGGGCUAAAUUACGGCCCAUAUCAGAUCAGGCCCGUUAAUAGGCCACUGUUCUUUUGGGCCCAUUCUAAGUCGGUUUGUAUUUCAGCUUGUUAAAUGCCCGUUUACCAGUCCGGCCCGAUAAUAGUUUCGACCUGUUAGCGGGCCAUGGUGCAUCAAGGCCGUUGUCAGCCUGAUUUCACUUUAGGCCAUUUAACAACCCAUGCAGAAACUGGGCUAUUUCUUGUAUGAAGUAACUUUAGGCCUAUUAACGACCCGUAGUCUUCGUGGAUAAAUUUCAGCACAACUGGCCUAUUGCCCUGUUAAUUGCCCGUGUAACAAUUGGGCCUAAUAACAGCCCGCGUUGAAUCCGGCAUGUUUACAACCCAUCUGUUAAUGGCCCGUGACACUGUUGGGCCUACAGCCCGCGUUGAUACCGACCAGCUUAAAGCUCAGAAUUUUAUUGGGCCAAACAGGGCCCGCGAUAUAUUUCGGCCUGUUAAUGGCUCAUUCUAUUUGGGCCAAACAUGGGCCUAAGGUAGUUUCGACCUGUAUUGGCCCGUGAAAUUUUCGGCUCAACGCUAGCCCAUUCUAGUUUUUAGCCUAUUAAAAGCCCAUGGUAUUCUCUGGCCCAGAUGGCUAGAACUUUACUCGGCCUGUUAAAGGUGGAAAACUACUAUACUUUAUACCUGCUAAUGGCCCAAGAUGAUUAUUGGCCAUGUUUUGGCCCAUAUAUAGCGAAUUACGGCCGGCCUGAAGACCGACAACAUUGAGAUCCAUUGAAGCUUCCGGCCUAAAUUACAGCAUACCGACCAAGAAUAAACCUAGAGUAUACAAUAAAAAAAUUAUGGCAUAUUACAUCCACUAGGCAUCAAAGUUCGCCACCGGUGAUAAUAAAGCGCAACGUGACCACGAAUUACAUACACUAGGCAUCAAAGUUCGCCACCAGUGCAUAUAAAUGCGCGGACAAAAGAAUAUACAAAACUGAGAGCACUUCAGAAGGCAUUAGGCCUGCCAUGGCGGUGCACCAAAAACAGCAGAACAAGCUGAUGAGACCUCAGUUGUGUCAACGGUAGAUGCUCUAACUGUAGCUGCGUAGCAAGAAAGCACACAUGGGUGUCCUCUGCGGCCUUCUUUACAUCACUGACAUCAAGUUGGAGUUGAGCUAAAGCAAGCCUUUCCACUUUAAGCUAAUAUUGAAGAAGGCGAACUGAUUGAGGCGGCAACCGCACAGAGGUUGUCUCACAACUGCUGGUGAGUAGCUUCAACUCACUGUCUUCAUCAAGACAUGACCUUGGGGUCAUCUCGCUCUCUUCAAGAUGGUUUGACUCACUAUCUUCCCAAAAGUUCUACCUGGCAUAAGAGAUACGACUCUGAAAGAGAAACAAGGAGACACGUAACAAGUUUCACAAUUAUAUAAGCAAAUAAAUGGAUCUGUUCUGCAUAAGGAACAUGUUUUUACAACUAGAAUUUAAAACAAGUAGUUGUUGCAAACAUCCAACCAGAUGUAAACACCAAAGUAAACAGCAGUGGAGGAAAUGAUGCCUAUCCAAAUCUAUACUAGAACAAAGUUUGAAGGCUUGAGAAGGAUGAACUUACAUUACAUGUUAACCAUGUCAAUGGAAGGAUAAUUCAAUAAAUUCCCCAAAGAAACUUAUUUUUAAGCGUUGCCUUUAUUCUACAUUUUGUAAAGAGUAAAUAUAGAUCAAAUAAUAUUGGAAGAAAUAGAGGAUAAUGAAGCUCAGGUGCAGAGUGAUGAUCCAUAAUCAAAUAGCAAUUAAUUAAGUACAACGUUACAAGGCAAAAGGUACUGGCAAGAGGAAUGCAUACAUCAACGUGUGCAGUGGCAUUGGCUUUAUUCAACAUUUUGUAAGAGUAAAUGUAGAUCUGAUAAUUUGGAGAAAGUGGAGGGCAGGGCAGAUAAGAUGUAGAGUAAUGCUAAACAAUCAACUAUCUUGCAAUGCAAGUACAGUAAUACUACCACCGUUCGUUAUUACUUGUCGCUCAAAUGGAUGUAUCUAGCACUAUUAAGUUCUAAAUACAUCCAAUUGAGCAACAAUUAAUUUGAUACAUGAGUACAUGACAACAGGUACUUACAUGAGCAAUCCAAAACUUCAUAACCAUUGUGUCAAUUCUACAUUUAUCUUAGAGUAAAUAUAGAUCUUAUAAUUUCGAGCAAAGGGAGGAUAAAGAAUCAAUAUGCUACAUAAUCAAAUAGCAAUGAGUGUAAGUAUGCUGACAAAGGGCAAGAGGUACUGACAAGAGCAAUGCAGUACCCAGUAUUGUUGUGAGAUCCUAUGAUCCUUUGAGAAAGGAGAUUCAUCUGAAAUUAGUUUUCAUACAAGAGAGAAGGUAAGGCACAUGCAGAAAUUUACGGAGUUCAAAUUUUGAAUUGAUAUCAUAGAAAGUACCCGACGCUGGGCUCUCUGCGGUUCUAAUAGGGGUUUGGCCAGUGGAGUAGGGGUAAAGUGUGGUACAGUUGGGCCUGUGUUUUCUGUGGCUGCUGAUCUAUCUAAUUUAACAGGUAUCACUACCUCUUCCAAAUACCUAGUUUAGAAUACUUGAGGAUAUGCACUCACCCUCUUCCUUUUGGACAUCUAUUACGAAAGAACAACAUUUGACUGGAAAAAAUAGUAUGAUGACACAUGGAAUAGGUACAGAAAAUGGAUAGGUAUGACAUAUACUCGUAUAUGAUGCUUAAACUAAGCAGAUGGCGGUGUAACAAAGUAGAACUAAUGCAAGAGGUCAUAUGCAAAAUAUGUGCGACCAAUAGAACCUUGCCAAGUUAGAGCAAGCACCUUGAUGGGUGAAUAAGAUAGGCCAUCCUCCACCAUGCCAAGUUUGUUAGCCAGUGGAUUGUUCCGUAAUAUUCCUCUCGUGCGCCCAUUCUCAUAUUCAUUCCGAUCAUGUUGAAUACCUGACAUGAAUGAAAGCAUAAAAACAAGUGAGAUUAUCUUUGUAAUGCAGAAGUGAUUCUAAUCCAAUACCGCCUCCCUGUAAACCCCUUUGUGCUAUCUCUACAAUUCUUCUGAGAGAUGCCAUGCAUGCUGUAAUUUGAUGUGUGCAUUAAUAUAAUGUGGCCUACUACUCAAAAUAUGAGAGCUCCAGAAGUGAUGAUACUUUGCAGAUGACAACUUCAACAUAUAGUAAGAAGAACAAGUCGAUCUGACCCGACAGAUUCAAAAUAUACUAAGGGAGAACAACUCGACCUAACCAGUCGACUGCAAAUGUCUCUGCUACUCUUCCCAACAAGGAACAUACUUAUUAAAGAAGAGAAGAGGAUCGUGUUAAAGAAGAGCAAGCAGAUUGAAGAUAUUACAAGUCUUUCCAUACAAUGUCUGUUCCCCACCCAUGAUGAACCAGAGCGCACAGAGAAAUACUAUUCCUUCCGAUCUCUCCAUAUGUGGCUCACAUGCAUUUCGAAACUAAAGUAGGAACAUUUAGCUGACCAAUUAAAUGUGUCUCAGUUUUACUAAUAUCAGCAUAAUACCAGAUUCGAAUUUGUACAACUAAGCUUGUUUAGCUUGAUGGGUGGAGCAGUGCUAUUACGACACGAACCAGGUAGGCUGAUCAUGGUCAUCAUCAAAUGGGGAACCGUAAGCAUGCUGAGUAUAGUGUUGACCGUGGCAGUGUGAUGGCAGAUCUGAAGCUGCAAACCACACAAAGGGUAGUUAGCAACCGAUGUUUGCUUUGAAAUAACAACUAAGAUUUGGUAUGUACAAGAAAGUACAGUCAAUAAGUGACAAAGAAAUGCAAUUCUACUGUCUCUCUAGAUGUUGUGACAUGCAUUUGGAAACUCAAGUGAGACCUUUAGCUAACCAAUUACAUGUGUCUGUUAACUAAUAUCAGUAUCAUAUCACAAUCAUAUUUGAACAAUUAAGCUUUGGAAUUAUGAGUGUUGUGUUUUUUAGCUUGAAGGGUGGAGUACUGCUAGUACGACAGAAAGCACCUACGCAGAUCAUAGUAGGGUAGAUAAAAGGGGAAAACCCUAAGAAUUAAGAGUAAAAUCAGGAAAGUGGAACUAGCUGGAUCAUAUGGGCUUGUAUUGCCGGUACAACAAGAAAGCGUUCAGAAAGGAUUCGGCCCCAAAAGGUGUCGGGGGGAUGAACCCCGGGCAGGCAACGGAACCCGGAUCCUUUUCAAAAACAGCAGGGCCCGCAUCGCCCCGCAAACCGUCAUGUGCCUGGCCGGGUCGCUCGACCCGGCAAGGCCUGCAACCCGGCCAAACUCCCCGACCCGGCAAGGUACGUCAACCCGGCCGCAGCAACUGGCACAAGACAACUCAACCCGGCGCAACAAAGGCUUCCACGGCAAGUCAGCCCCACCCAUGGUGUCCACGACAACCCAGCCACGGGUCAGCUCCCGUCCCAUCCAGGCCGUACGAUGGGAUGAGACCUAAACCACCGAUGACCAAGACAACAGUGUUUUCACCCAUGCCUGUGGUCAGCCGGGGCAUGGCAACAAUGCCCCUCACCUACCCGCUGACGUGGCAACAGUGCUCCCACCCUCACCGCUGACGACAUCAAGUGACAGCCUGACGGAGAGCACUGUACACGACUCGACUCGGCCACGCCCUGACGAUCGACAAGACGGCGCAUAGUCCCCCUAGGCACGCGGGGCCUGCGCCUAGGGGAACCCGACGAACCACAAGCCCACAAGCGGGACCCAGCUCGGUGUCCCGGACACCGACAAUACGGACUCACCGACUCGGCAUAUUACCAUUGUAACCCUGGGUGGGUUGAUCUAUAAAACCCCCCAGGAACCCACGCCUAUAGGGAGACGAGAGAUGAGAGACGAGAGACAGAAAGUAAGAAACAGAAGCACAAGCAAGAAUAGAACUAGCCACCCAACAGCAGUACUGGAGAGAAGGAGCAGCCCAAGCCUUGGCCAGUUUCCUUCCUCCUCCACACAGCUCCAGGAGCAACCUUGUACUAUCAAUCAUCCAACCAAACUCGGCAGGCCUAGGGGUGUUAUCUCUCCGGAGAGCCCCGAACCUGGGUAUGUCCGGCGUCCCGCGCCCGCACAUGCCAACCUCGCCUCUGGAGCCCACCAGCGCCCUCGAGCCUCCUCCUCUCUUUAGCCAUCCCUUGGCAUCUGCCGUGCACCCACCACGACAGUUGGCGCCCAUCGUGGGGCAGCUCGAGGAGCUGGCCGGGAGCAUGCUUCAAACGGGGCCCUUCUCCUACACCGACGAGUCCGUCGCGCUGGCGGACGAUGUCAUCGGCGCGCUCUCCGCCUCCUUCGCCGCGCUCCGCAUUUUCGAUGCGCACGCGGACAACGAGUACCCCAGCAAGGUGCUCAGCUACUCCGACUCUCCCAUUUCCCUCGGUGGUGGCAUUGCCGCUGGGGGGAUGGACGUCCAUGUGGAGGUUUACGCCACGGGCUAUGGUGCCUCUUCCUCGUCGAGGAAGACGAGGAAGGCCGCGGAGGCCAGGGCCACCGCGGAAUGGACCGAGCCGUCUGAUCCGUUGCGCACUAUGAUGCAGAGCCUCCGCAUCCCCAUCGACACCAACAUCAACGCCACCAAUGUAGCCGAAGCCCGAACCCAGCUCGAGGAUAGGCGCCAGCAGAUGCUGGACCUGUCCGAGACGCUGGCCGCCACCAGGCGCCGCCUGGAGGCCGCUCAGAUGGAGCACGACGCCGCCCACGGAGUUACGCCUGCCACGGCCGAGCCAAGCCGGGUCGCCGAUGCACGCGCCCGGGGAGGAGCGAUCGGCCGAGCCUUCGGCACCGUCCGGACCGUCUACGAAACCCUAGUGAAGAACAUGCGUGCUGCGGAGGCAGCCGCGGUCGGUCUCGACCAACUCACGGGCGAGGAGCUCAAGGAGCACAUCGGGCGGAUGCGCAAGCUCCUCCGCGCCGCCAACACCCAGCAGGAUCGCCUCAACUGGCUUGCCAAGCCGGCGGGAUCCGGCUCCGCCCGUCUUGGCGGACCCGGCGAACUUCUGCACAUGGCUUCCUCGCCACCCGGCGAGGCGCACUCCGGCCAAGCCCGGACUCGACGCAACCCGGCCACCACCACCGCCGACGCUCUGGGCAACAAGCCUGCCCCGGAGACCCAGCACGGACCCGACCAGCUUGGCCGACGUCCGGCUCCAACCGACCCGGCCCCUCGGGGCCUGGCCGCCAGUCGACUCAGCCUGCGCGCCAUCGACGAUGCCGAUGCGUGCCACCGCCUCGAUGAGCUCGUGCGAUCCCUGGAGGUGGAGGAGAGCGGUGCUAUCGGGCCGGCGUGCUUCGGCCCACACAUCCGGGAGGAGCCCUUUCUGAAAGGGUUCGUGCUCCUCCGUGACACCCCCAAGUAUAAUGGGACCGUGAAGCCAGAAGACUAGCUCACCGACUACACCACGACCAUUGGCAUCACCGGCUCCAAUCGUCAUCUAGCCGUGCGCUACGCACCGCUCAGGCUCCAGGGGUCGGCCCGCACGUGGUUGAACAGUCUGCCGAUGGGCAGCAUCAACGCGUGGGUCGACUUUGAGGAGGCCUUUGUCCGCAACUUCACGGGGACGUACAAGCGACCCGGUCGCCCUAGCCAGCUCGCCAUGUGCAUGCAGGGACCGACGGAGACGGGUCGCGAGUACCUCGCACACUGGACCGAGCUCCGAAACAGCUGCGAGGGCGUCCAUGAAGUCCAGGCGAUCCAGUACUUUGUCAACGGGUGCCGAGACGGCGCCCUCCUCAAGCACAAGCUCUUACGCUCCAAGCCGGCCACCAUGGCCGCGCUCAUACUGACGGUGGCAAGUACGCCAACGCCGACUCCGCCAUGAAGAUCUAGGUGGCGCUGGACGAAGCCGGCAAGGCAAAGCCGGUUCCUCCCCCGAAGCAGGCUGGCGAAAGCAUCCGACAGCAACAUCGUCAGAACAACAAGCGCAAGGCCGACCAACCGGCGCAGCGUCACGACAACCGGCUCGUCGCGGCCGCCGAGCCCGCGGCGGACCCGGCAGCGAAGUGCCGGCACACCGGCAAGAUGGCAUGGCAACCCGCCAUGAGUUUCAAAGAGAUGCUCGACGCCCCAUGCAAGCAACACAGCGGCGCAAGACCCUCCACGCACACGCUUCGGCAGUGCGCCAUCACCAAGCGCAUCAUGAGGGGAGAUGCUCCGCCUCCUUCGGCUCCGGCUCCAGCUCCGGGCGCAGGGCAGUCGCCUCCGCCUCCACCGCCGCCUUUUGCCGGCGGCGCGAUGCGGAACGACGCCUACCCAGACCAGAACGCGGCCUACGUCGUCUUCACCAGCUUCGACAACGACAAGCGCAGCGAGCGCCUUCUUCAGGAGGAGGUGAACACCGUCGUCCCGGCCAAGCCGGAUUUCAUGCACUGGUCGGAUCGCCCAAUUACCUGGACCCGUGAGGAUCACCCGGCAGUCAUGCCGAGUCCGGGUGGAUACGCCCUCGUCCUCAACCCCACCAUCGUCACGCGACGCACAUGCAAGUUCUCUCGAGUCCUCAUCGACGGCGGCAGCAGCAUCAACAUCCUCUACCGCGACACGAUGACCAAGCUUGGCCUCAAGGCCGAAGACCUGGAGCCGACCCAGACAGUCUUCCACGGAAUCGUGCCCGGCAUCUUGUUCGGCGACAGCAGCCACUUCCGACGCGAACCAAUCUGGUUCGAGGUGGUGGACCUGUCCAGCGCAUAUCAUGCAUUGCUGGGCCGGCCCGCGCUCGCCAAGUUCAUGGCGGUUCCCCACUACGCAUACCUGAAGAUGAAGAUGCCGAGUCCCAAGGGCCUCAUUACCGUCACCGGCGACUACCGCAAGUCUCUGGAGUGCGCCCGAGACGGCGCCAAGCUGGCCGAGUCGCUGGUCAAUGCCGAGGAGCGGCGCCGGCUCGACCGGAUCAUCGCCCUGGCAGGCGAGGCCUCCGAUGCGUCGAUCCCGACCUCGGACCCGGUCGACGAGGCUGCCUUCAAACCCUCCAAGGAGACCAAGAAAGUGAAUCUCAACCCUGAAGACCCCAGCUGCAGCAAGUACGUUGUCGUAGGCGCCCGCCUCGACAGCAAAUAGGAAGGCGAGCUCGUCGACUUCCUCCGUGAGAAUUGGGAUAUCUUCGUGUGGACCCCCAAGGACAUGCCGGGUAUCCCGAGGAAGUACGCCGAGCACAAACUUCAUGUCCGCAAGGACGCCAAGCCUGUACGUCAACCCCUCUGACAAUUUUCUGAAGAGAAGAGAAGAACCAUUGGUGAAGAGGUCGCUAAGCUUUUGGCGGCCGGCUUCAUAAUGGAAGUGUUUCACCAGUCCUCGUCCUGAAGAAGAACAAGACCUGGCGCAUGUUUAUCGACUACACCAGCCUCAACAAGGCCUGUCCCAAGGAUCCGUUCGCUCUCCCGUGGAUCGAUCAAGUCAUCGACUCGACCGCCGGGUGCGAGCUCCUAUCCAUCCUGGACGCUUACUCCGGCUAUCACCAGAUUAAGCUAGACCCGGCCGAUGCCCUGAAGACGUCCUUCAUCACGCCCUUUGGGGCGUACUGCUACAUCACCAUGUCGUUCGGAUUGAAGAACGCCGACGCCUCCUUCCAACGCUGCAUGCAGAAAUGCAUGCUGCCGCAAGUCGGCCGCAACAUCCACGUGUACGUAGACGACAUUGUGGUGAAGACCAAGCAGCACCUCACGCUCCUCGACAAUUUGAAGGAAACAUUGCCAACCUCCGCGAAAACAAGGUCAAGCUCAACCCGGAAAAGUGCGUCUUCGGUGUCCCGGCCGGAAAGCUACUCGACUUCCUCGUCUCGGAACGCGGCAUUGAGGGGAACCCGGAGAAGAUCAAGGCCAUCGAGCGCAUGCACAAGCCGGCUCGGCUGCGCCACGUCCAGAAGUUCACCGGGUGCUUGGCCUCGGUCAGCCGGUUCCUAAGCCGGCUGGGCGAGAGGGCGCUCCCCCUGUACCAGCUGAUGAAGAAGACAAGCCCGUUCGAGUGGAACAGCAAGGCAGAUGAGGCUUUCCAAGACCUCAAGCGCAUGCUCUCCACCGCACCAGUCCUGGCCGCGCCGACCGACAAGGAGCCGUUGUUGCUCUACAUAGCCGCGACCUCGUGGGCGGUCAGCACGGUGCUGGUGGUUGAGCGACCAGAGAAGGGCAAGAUCCAAGUCGUCCAGCGACUAGUCUACUACCUGAGCGAGGUGCUCUUCAUUUCCAAGCAGAACGACCCGCAUUACCAAAAGAUGUGUUACGGCGUGUACCUCACCGCCAAGAAGCUGAAGUAGUACUUCCAAGAGCACGUCGUCACCGUCAUCAGCCAGGCGCCUAUCGGAGAAAUCAUCGGGUGCCGGGACGCCUCCGGCCGGGUCACCAAGUGGGCGAUCCAGCUAGCCGGCCACACCAUCCUCAACGAGCCCUGCACCACGAUCAAGUUUCAGGCCCUAGCCGAUUUCCUCGUCGACUGGACCGAGACCCAGUACUUGCCGCCUGUCACAUUCCUAGUCUGGUAUGACCUAGGCUAGCUAGCCAUUUGUGCAUCAUAUUUAAAUUUCAUUUAAAUUUGAAAUGAGGAUUGGUGGAACCCUCAGAAUCAUUUUUGAAAAUGACCCAAAUAAAAAUUUCUCCAAAAGGGUCCAAGAAAAUGCUCAUGUUGCCCUCUGAAAAUAUUGGACAGAGAUAAAAAUCAAAACAAUAUUUUUAGGAGCUCAUGGACAUUUAUUUUGGCCAUUUGGAUUAAUUCGAUAAAUAUUUGCAUUGGAAAUAUAUUUCUAUAUAUAUGAAAUAUGGUCCGAAAAUUAUGCCAAUUAUAAAAGAGCUCUGGAAUAAUACCAUUAGCCCCUACAAAAAUUGGCAUAAUAAAAUUAAAUGAUUUAAUAUAUUUAUUAAAUCAAACAAAUGUCAGAAAAUUAGAAAAGAAAACAGAAAAAGGGGAGAGAAACUUACCUGGGCCACUUACCUGGCCCAUCUCCAGCUGGCGGCCCAGCCCACCCCCGCUGCCUUCUGUCGUCUCCCUGCUCGGACAGAAGGACGAGGGCGCGUGCCCGACGCUCGCCGGCACGCGCGCGCGCCACCUCCCCCCCUGCUAGCCACCUCCUGCUUCCCCGGACCCCUCCCCAUGCCACGGAGACGGCCACGCACCCCAGGCCCUCUCAUUCCUCCUCCCCCCCAUGCUUAUCCCCUCCUCUGGCUCCCCCUCACUUCCACCGAACGCGGCCGCCGCCGCCGAUGAGAACCNNNNNNNNNNNNNNNNNNNNNNNNNNNNNNNNNNNNNNNNNNNNNNNNNNNNNNNNNNNNNNNNNNNNNNNNNNNNNNNNNNNNNNNNNNNNNNNNNNNNNNNNNNNNNNNNNNNNNNNNNNNNNNNNNNNNNNNNNNNNNNNNNNNNNNNNNNNNNNNNNNNNNNNNNNNNNNNNNNNNNNNNNNNNNNNNNNNNNNNNNNNNNNNNNNNNNNNNNNNNNNNNNNNNNNNNNNNNNNNUGAGAACCACCACGGCCACAGCCACCCCCUCGCCCCUCGGUUGUGCCCACGAGCUCCGCGACGUCGUCCUCGACCCCCUCACCGAACCACGCUCCGCCGGAAGCCCUGCAGCGUCGACUUCGAGCUCUUCUUCAACCUUCGGCCGCCGGUGACCUUGUCUUCGAUUCGCGCCGUCUAGGUCGUCCCCAGGCCCACUGAGCUGCGCUUCGACCUCCCAGUGAGCUCCACCGUCGUUCCCCUUUCUUCUCCCCCUCGUAUCCACGCCGUAGCACCGUUCCCCACCACGGCCGAAGCCUCUCGCCGCCGUCCAUGUCGCCGCCGCCGUCUCGGCCCGCCCCCGCCCAAACCAAGCCUCCCUCCGCGUUACUGGUGCCACGAGGGUGCCGCCGGGCCCCUCAGGUGGCCUCCCCGUGCCCCGCAGCCCGAUCCCGCUCGCGCCCGAACUCCGGCCGCCGCCGCGAGCUUUGCUCCGGCGAGCUCCGGCCGUCCCCGCUCCUUCCACCUGUCCCACCAGAUGCGCGAGAGCCCGGGCUACGCCCCGGUGCUCUCAGACGCCGUCCCCGUGGCCUGUGGCGCGGACUCCGCCGCGUCCAGAGGUCGCCGGCGACGAGCCCCCGUCGCCUGAGCCCUGCCAGGUGGGGCCGGCCCGUCAGGUGAUUAGCUUAGUGCUAAUCACCGUUAACUAACCCCCCCUGACGCUGACCAGUGGGCCCGACCCCCCCUAACCUUUUAAUUAAAUUAAAUUAACCCUGUUAACCCCAGUGUCACUGACGUGUGGGUCCCACACGUCAGGUUUGACCCUGGACAGCCGCGUUGACCCGCUGACGUCGUGCUGACGUCAUGCUGACGCAAUUAUACAUUUUCUGGAAUUAAAAUAAUUCAGAAAAUCCAGAAAAUGUUUUAAACUUCAAAAAUUCAUAUCAAUUCAACCGUAGCUCAGAUUUAAAUAAUUUAUAUAUGAAAAAUUAUCAGAAAAAUGCAACCUUUCCAUCUGUACUAGUUUCAUGCAUGAAAAACCAACUUAUACAUGCUGAAUAUGGGAAAACACAUUAUGGCAUAUAUAAGAGACCUAAUUUAGAAAUGCAUUUGAACCUUUGGUUCAAAUGGACUUCAAACCAAUUGAACACUAGUUGCAUUAGCUCAACAGCAUCACAUCUACAUGCCAUGUUCAUGCAUCAUAUUGUUGCAUAUGAUUGUGUAUUGAUUGCCGGCACCGUUCCUUCUCGAUAGGUCCUGCUCCGGAGACGUUCCAGAGUACCUGUCUGUGAAGCAGUGCCUCCCUUGUUGUUUUACCAGGCAAGCAACCCCCCUUGUUCAUUUCGAUAAAACCCUACUCUCUCGCUCCUACUCUCAGUUAUUGCAUUAGGACAACAACGAUUCAUCUGCUACUUUGUGCUGCGGUAGUUGAACCCAUUCCUCUGCAUGACCUGUCAUUGCCACAGUAAAUAGUUGAAACCCACUAGCAUGUGUAGGAGUUGAUUGAAGCCAUUGUUGUGUUCCUACCAUGCUAUGCCUGCUAUUGCUUAGAGUUGUGUCAGGUCUGAUUCAUUGGGAAUGAAUUGGAGUGUUACGAUAUGUUCUGAUGCUGAGAGUGAAGUGUGUGAACACGAUUUGGUAAAGGUAGCGGUGAGAGGCCAUGUAGGAGUACAUGGUGGGUUGUCUCACUGGAACCGUCCUUAAGCCCUGAGUUCUUUAUAUGUUGUCCAAUGACUCGAUACUACCACACAUUGGGCUCCGGGCGCUCCAAGCCCUCUCGACUUAUUAACCAACUUGAUCUCUGUCCAGGAGUCGCAACUAGUUUCUGGUGUUUGUAGGUAGUGCUAUUUUUCUACCAAGUGGCACCCGGCAGGGUGGGCUUGGGACAGACUAGGCACACGUGGCCCGAUGUAUCGAGUGGCACCCGGUUGGUGGGCUCGGGAACCCUGUACACAUCGUUUGGGGCCGUAAGCGACACCCCGGCCGGAUCUCCUUGCGGAUGGAACCCGAAUAGGCGAUAAACCUGGACUAGAGUCUUGUGUGGUUAGUCAGGUCGUGGCCGACACCCUCGCCAGGCUUCCGCUUGAAGGUUGCCGAGAUACACGACGUGUACAUGGCGGUAAGUGGCGAGAGCGUGUGUGAAGAAGUACACCCCUGCAGGGUUAACAUGAUCUAUUCGAAUAGCCGAGUCCGCGGUUAUGGACUUCUUGGAUGCUUACAUGGUACAUAGACAACUUGAAGUGGAUACUCUAAAAUGCUCAAGACAAGUGUGAGUGCUAUGGAUGGCCUUCUCGUAGGGAGACGGGGAUGAAUCCAUAGUAGUGUAUUGUGUGGUGAUUAGUGGACUCGUGUACGUUGUUUCAUCUCCAGAGUUUCUGGUAGUCGUAGAUUAGGAUAGCCACAGAGUCAAAGCUGGCUUGCUGCAACUAAACCCCACAUUACCCUCUUGAUACAAAUGCAUGUAUGAUAGGAUCUGAUGUAAGUCUUGCUGAGUACCUUUGUACUCAUGUUGCUUUAUUUAUGUUUUUGCAGCGGAGACUUCGGUCUUACUAGGGUUCUCAUGGACUUCGACUAGUAGCUAGUACCUCAGCUACGAUCUUGAUCGGAUGUUGUAGAUAGUCAGGCUCUUCAGCCUUUUUCAUUUGUAGAUGUCUGUACCCAGACAUGUAAUGCUUCCGCUUGUUGCUUGUAUGCUCUGUAUGAUGGAUCUAGUGACCCUGUUUGCAAUAAUUGCUAUGACGGCUCUUCUAAGCCUUUAUUUAUAAAAUUGUUGAGUUAUGCUGUGAUGCCAUGUUGUACAGCACAUAUUUGCAUGUUAUGCGUACGUGUAAUGUGUAGUGCUAUGUGUGGGAUCUGACUAUCUAGUUGUUUAUCUUUAGUAGCCUCUCUUACCGGGAAAUGUCUCCUAGUGUUACCGCUGAGCCAUGGUAGCUUGCUACUGCUCUGGAACACUUAGGCUGGCCGGCAUGUGUCCUUCUUCGUUCCUGUGUCUGUCCCUUCGGGGAAAUGUCACGCUUUGAGUACCGGAGUCCUGCUAGCCCAGUGCUACAGCCCGGACCCACUUGCUGAUGACCGACACGUUCGAAGCUGGGUCAUGGAUGCCUGUCCCUGUAAGUCUGUGCCACUUUGGGUUUACGACUAGUCAUGUCAGCCCGGGCUCCUUAUCAUAUGGAUGCUAGCGACACUAUCAUAUACGUGAGCCAAAAGGCGCAAACGGUCCCGGGAAAAGGUAAGACGACACCCGUGGGGAUACCGUGCGUGAGGCCGCAAAGUGAUAUGAGGUGUUACCGGCUAGAUCGAUGUGACAUCGAGUCGGGGUCCUGACAGAUUUGGUAUCAGAGCCUGACUGCCUGUAGGAUUACCAAGCCAUUCUGGUCGAAGUUGAGUUUAGAAUAUCUUUAGUUAUGUAAGGGAAUUGAUUGUGGGAAGGAACGUAAGGCUCUCUUUACUCCUUUACCUCAUGGCCUUAUGAUCUGAGUCAUCCUAUCUUUCCUACGGGGUUAAGGAACUAGGCUUUCUCUUCCGUCUAUCAGGAUCACGUGAUACUACUCCGUAGUUCCAUAAGACUGGUUGAUCAGAGUCAUACCCCAGUUUUGAGUAUUUCCGGUGUAGUCUGUUUAGUACUAUCCCAGAACCUUGAGUGGUGAUGUUGAGUUGUUGUACUACCCCAUUUUUAGUAGGAUGUCUCAUUCUGAGCAUUUUACUGCCGUUAUGCUGCCGGAAUUUUCCUAGGAAUUCGAGAGAUACUAAUUCCUUGUCCUACAUUCUAUAGCCUAUAGUUAAUGUUGAUUCCGUCCUUGGUUCGUUUCUCAGGAUGUCAUCGGCUAAGCGAAGUUCCGUCGCUCGUAGCCAGAACCAUGGAGGUGGUAGGGAUGAGGAUCCUCCCGACCAGUCUUCGUUGACAGAGCUCAUGCUAGAGAUGGAGAGGAACAAGCGUGAGUCUCACCGCUUGUUGGCACGUAUCGAGGAGAAUACCGCACAUCAGCUCAAGGGAUCUGUGACCAUUUAUGACUUCAUUCGCUUGCACCCACCUACCUUUCAUCAUUCCAUCGAGCCACUCGAUGCAGAUGACUGGCUCCGUAGCAUCACCCAUAAGCUGCGUUCUGCGAACGUAGCUGAAGAUGACAAGGUCACUUAUGCCACAUAUCACCUAGAAGGUCCUGCUAGUCUUUGGUGGCAGAACUAUGAGGCUAUGCUUCCAGUUGGCCAGAUUCCUACCUGGAAGGAUUUCACUGAGGCUUUUCGCGAGCAUCACAUUCCCCAAGCCCUCCUUGAUCGCAAGAGAGAAGAGUUCUGUAGUUUCACCCAGAGUAAGUUGGCUGUUGAUGCUUAUAGCAGAGAGUUCGAGAACCUCGCUCGCUAUGCCACAGAAGAAGUGUCCACGGAUGCUAAGAAGCAGGCUAGGUUCCGGAAGGGUCUCAACCCCAAGUUGCGUCGUGAUCUCCACCUGCAUCAUUGUGAUACAUUCCAAGCCCUUGUGAACAAGGCCAUCAAUGCAGAGACAGCUCAACUCACUUACGAGGAGUCUCGUAAGCACACCUGUGAUUUGGGAUCUUCCUCCGGUUCUAGUUCCCAGAAGCGCCGGAUUUGGGUUCCAAACUCCGCUCUUCCUUUCUGAUAUGCACCGAGGCCAUCCUAUGUGGUGCCUUCUCCAACUCCGUCGUAUGUUCCACCCAGGCCUACUGGUAGACCGUUUGUCAGUGCGGGUCCCCGUCCAACCUCAGGGACUUGCUUCACAUGCGGGAAGCCAGGACACUAUGCACGUGACUGCUCUCAGACUAGUUAUGCUCCACCCCAGCCCGAGAAGACUGUUGGCUGUAUUAAGCCAUCACGCAAGAUGAUCAGUGUCAAGUCAGCCCCCACUGAACGUGGACGUGUGCAUCACGUCUCAGCUAAAGACGCUCAUGAUGAUCCAGAUGUCGUUCUUAGCACACUCCUUGUCAAUUGUCACCCAGCAUCAGUUCUAUUCGAUACUGGAGCAUCUCACUCCUUCAUUUCUGAAGGUUAUGCUCGUUUGCACGACAUGUCAUUUUGUGAUAUGCCAACUCCGCUUGAAAUCCAAACCCCAGGGUCUAGAUGGCAGACCACCAGAAUCAGCCAUGGUAACGAAAUUCUUGUUGAUAGACUUGUGUUCCUUGCAUCACUUGUAGCCCUCAAGUCCUCAGAUAUCAACAUCAUCUUGGGUAUGGACUGGAUGACAGCUCAUCAUGCCAAGAUUGAUUGUUACACAAGAUCUGUUCAGCUUACACACCCAUCUGGCAAGAUAGUCACCGUCUCCACUAGAGUUGCAAAGCGUCAACUCUAUUCUCUUAAUGCCAGCCCUCUUCCAGACCUUGAAGAUAUCCCGGUAGUCCGUGACUUUCCGGAUGUCUUUCCAGAGGAACUGCCAGGUGUUCCACCUGACAGAGAUGUAGAGUUCGUCAUAGAUCUUAUCCCAGGAACAGCUCCAAUCUCCCGGAGACCUUACAAGAUGGCACCCCUAGAACUAGCCGAGCUUAAGAAACAACUCGAUGAGUCCUUGCAAAAGGGUUUCAUCCGUCCUAGUUCUUCUCCUUGGGCUUGCCCCGUCCUCUUCGUCAAGAAGAAAGACGGUACGGACCGGAUGGUUGUAGAUUAUCGUCCCGUUAAUUUGGUCACGAUAAAGAACAAGUAUCCGCUUCCCAGGAUCAACGACCUGUAUGAUCAGCUCGCUGGAUCCUCAGUCUUUUCCAAGAUGGAUUUAAGGUUAGUCUACCAUCAAAUCAAGAUCAGAAACGGGGACAUUCCCAAGACAGCUUUUGUCACUCGUUAUGGCCAAUACGAGUACACCGUCAUGUCCUUUGGUCUAACCAACGCCCCAGCCACAUUCUCCCGUUUGAUGAACUCGAUCUUCAUGGAGUACUUAGAUAAGUUCGUCGUGGUUUACCUCGAUGAUAUUCUUAUUUACUCGAAGAACGAGGAAGAGCAUGCCGAACAUCUUAGACUUGUGUUAGAAAAACUCAGAGAGCACCGCCUUUAUGCCAAGUUCUCCAAGUGUGAAUUUUGGUUGCCAGAAGUGACCUACCUAGGCCACGUAAUCUCUGGUAAGGGCAUUGCUGUCAAUCCCGAGAGAGUUCAAGCCAUUCUCGAUUGGACUCCACCUGAGACCGUGAAACAAGUUAGGAGUUUCCUUGGUCUAGCCAGCUAUUGUCGCCGCUUUGUUGAAAACUUCUCCAAAGUAGCCAAACCCCUCACGGAACUUCUCAAGAAAGAUAAAAAGUUUGAGUGGUCCCCACAGUGUGAGUACAGUUUUCAGGAACUGAAAAGACGCCUGACUUCUGCUCCCAUACUUGUGCCACCGGAUUUCACUAAAGACUUUAUUAUCUACUGUGACGCCUCACGACAGGGACUAGGUUGCAUUCUUAUGCAGGAUCGUCAUGUGAUUGCCUAUGCAUCUCGACAGUUGCAUCCACAUGAGGAGAAUUAUCCUACACAUGAUCUAGAGCUUGCAGCCGUAGUCUAUGCACUCAAGACCUGGCGACAUUACCUCCUUGGUAAACGUUGCGAGAUCUACACCGAUCACCAGAGUCUCAAGUAUAUCUUCACCCAACCAGAUCUGAACCUUAGGCAAAGACGUUGGUUGGAGUUAAUCACAGAUUAUGAUCUAGGGAUUACCUACACCCCAGGCAAAGCCAAUGUCAUGGCUGAUGCUCUAAGCCGUAAAUCCUAUUGCAACAAUCUCAUGUUGCAGCAAGGCCAACCACCUCUCCAUGAGGAAUUCUGUAAGCUUAACCUUCACAUAGCUCCUCGCGGAUUCCUUUCUACCCUGGUGGCGAAACCUGAUCUUGAAGAUCGGAUUAUCGCUGCUCAAAAGCAAGACACAGGAAUUUCUCGGAUCAAGAGAAACAUUAAGAAGGGAGUUGGUGGAUGUUUCUCUAUGGAUGAUCGUGGUGUUGUUUUCUUUGAGAAUCGCUUGGUGGUUCCCAAGAAUCAACAUCUGCGACAAUUGAUCCUUAAGGAGGCGCAUGAAUCUCCUCUCACGAUUCAUCCCGGUAGUACUAAGAUGUAUCAGGAUCUACGCCAGAGGUUCUGGUGGACUAGGAUGAAGAGAGAAAUCGUUGAGUUCAUUGCUAAAUGUGACAUUUGUCGUCGCGUUAAGGCAGAGCAUCAGAGACCUGCUGGCACCCUUCAGCCUUUAGCUAUUCCUGAGUGGAAAUGGGAUAAAGUUGGUAUGGACUUCAUCACCGGCUUUCCCAGGACCAAGAGAGGGAAUAAUGCUAUCUUCGUAGUCGUUGAUCGUCUUUCCAAAGUGGCUCACUUCCUCCCUGUUCGGGAGAGUAUCACUGCUAGUCAGCUUGCUGAUUUAUACAUUUCUCGAAUAGUAUCACUUCAUGGUGUUCCACUAGAGAUCAAUUCAGACCGUGGCAGUCUUUUCACUUCUCAUUUCUGGGAGAGUUUCCAAACUGCCAUGGGAACCCAUCUUUCCUUCAGUACCGCUUUCCACCCUCAGUCGAGUGGUCAGGUGGAACGGGUCAAUCAAAUUCUCGAAGACAUGCUCAGAGCUUGCGUUAUCUCAUUCGGUAUGGAUUGGGAGAAAUGUCUUCCUUUUGCCGAGUUUGCUUAUAACAAUAGCUACCAAUCCAGCCUCAAGAAAGCUCCUUUUGAGGUUCUCUAUGGACGAAGAUGUCGAACACCUUUGAACUGGUCAGAAACCGGUGAAAGACAAUUCUUUGGACCGGAUAUGAUCCAGGAGGCAGAAGAGCAAGUUCGCAUCAUUCGUGAGAAUUUGAAAACAGCCCAGUCUCGUCAGAAGAGCCAGCACGAUCGUCAUCAUAAGGAUAUGACUUAUGAGAUUGGCGACCAAGCUUACCUUCGGGUUACUCCUUUGAAGGGUACCCAUCGUUUCGGUAUCAAGGGCAAGUUGGCUCCUCGUUACAUUGGUCCCUUUCGCAUUCUCGCUAAACGAGGAGAGGUUGCCUACCAAUUGGAACUACCCCCACAUCUUUCUCGAGUUCAUGAUGUCUUCCACGUCUCUCAACUCAGGCGUUGCUUCUCGGAUCCUAUCCAUGGAGUGGACCACGAAACGCUUGAUCUCCAAGAUAACCUCACAUACCGAGAGUACCCGGUUCGCAUUCUUGAUCAAGCAGAGCGUGUUACCCGACGUCAGAACAUAAAGUUUCUCAAAGUUCAGUGGUCUCAUCAUUCCGAGAGAGAGGCUACUUGGGAGCGAGAAGAUCGUCUUCGACUGGAGUACCCCGCUUUCUUUCCGUCGACCCCUGAAUCUCGGGACGAGAUUCUUUCAAGUGGGGGCGAGUUGUCACAUUCCUAGUCUGGUAUGACCUAGGCUAGCUAGCCAUUUGUGCAUCAUAUUUAAAUUUCAUUUAAAUUUGAAAUGAGGAUUGGUGGAACCCUCAGAAUCAUUUUUGAAAAUGACCCAAAUAAAAAUUUCUCCAAAAGGGUCCAAGAAAAUGCUCAUGUUGCCCUCUGAAAAUAUUGGACAGAGAUAAAAAUCAAAACAAUAUUUUUAGGAGCUCAUGGACAUUUAUUUUGGCCAUUUGGAUUAAUUCGAUAAAUAUUUGCAUUGGAAAUAUAUUUCUAUAUAUAUGAAAUAUGGUCCGAAAAUUAUGCCAAUUAUAAAAGAGCUCUGGAAUAAUACCAUUAGCCCCUACAAAAAUUGGCAUAAUAAAAUUAAAUGAUUUAAUAUAUUUAUUAAAUCAAACAAAUGUCAGAAAAUUAGAAAAGAAAACAGAAAAAGGGGAGAGAAACUUACCUGGGCCACCUGGCCCAUCUCCAGCUGGCGGCCCAGCCCACCCCCGCUGCCUUCUGUCGUCUCCCUCCUCGGACAGAAGGACGAGGGCGCGUGCCCGACGCUCGCCGGCACGCGCGCGCGCCACCUCCCCCCCUGCUAGCCACCUCCUGCUUCCCCGGACCCCUCCCCAUGCCACGGAGACGGCCACGCACCCUAGGCCCUCUCAUUCCUCCUCCCCCCCAUGCUUAUCCCCUCCUCUGGCUCCCCCUCACUUCCACCGAACGCGGCCGCCGCCGCCGAUGAGAACCACCACGGCCACAGCCACCCCCUNNNNNNNNNNNNNNNNNNNNNNNNNNNNNNNNNNNNNNNNNNNNNNNNNNNNNNNNNNNNNNNNNNNNNNNNNNNNNNNNNNNNNNNNNNNNNNNNNNNNNNNNNNNNNNNNNNNNNCUCUCAUUCCUCCUCCCCCCAUGCUUAUCCCCUCCUCUGGCUCCCCCUCACUUCCACCGAACGCGGCCGCCGCCGCCGAUGAGAACCACCACGGCCACAGCCACCCCCUCGCCCCUCGGUUGUGCCCACGAGCUCCGCGACGUCGUCCUCGACCCCCUCACCGAACCACGCCCCGCCAGAAGCCCUGCAGCGUCGACUUCGAGCUCUUCUUCCACCUUCGGCCGCCGGUGACCUCGUCUUCGAUUCGCGCCGUCUAGGUCNNNNNNNNNNNNNNNNNNNNNNNNNNNNNNNNNNNNNNNNNNNNNNNNNNNNNNNNNNNNNNNNNNNNNNNNNNNNNNNNNNNNNNNNNNNNNNNNNNNNNNNNNNNNNNNNNNNNNNNNNNNNNNNNNNNNNNNNNNNNNNNNNNNNNNNNNNNNNNNNNNNNNNNNNNNNNNNNNNNNNNNNNNNNNNNNNNNNNNNNNNNNNNNNNNNNNNNNNNNNNNNNNNNNNNNNNNNNNNNNNNNNNNNNNNNNNNNNNNNNNNNNNNNNNNNNNNNNNNNNNNNNNNNNNNNNNNNNNNNNNNNNNNNNNNNNNNNNNNNNNNNNNNNNNNNNNNNNNNNNNNNNNNNNNNNNNNNNNNNNNNNNNNNNNNNNNNNNNNNNNNNNNNNNNNNNNNNNNNNNNNNNNNNNNNNNNNNNNNNNNNNNNNNNNNNNNNNNNNNNNNNNNNNNNNNNNNNNNNNNNNNNNNNNNNNNNNNNNNNNNNNNNNNNNNNNNNNNNNNNNNNNNNNNNNNNNNNNNNNNNNNNNNNNNNNNNNNNNNNNNNNNNNNNNNNNNNNNNNNNNNNNNNNNNNNNNNNNNNNNNNNNNNNNNNNNNNNNNNNNNNNNNNNNNNNNNNNNNNNNNNNNNNNNNNNNNNNNNNNNNNNNNNNNNNNNNNNNNNNNNNNNNNNNNNNNNNNNNNNNNNNNNNNNNNNNNNNNNNNNNNNNNNNNNNNNNNNNNNNNNNNNNNNNNNNNNNNNNNNNNNNNNNNNNNNNNNNNNNNNNNNNNNNNNNNNNNNNNNNNNNNNNNNNNNNNNNNNNNNNNNNNNNNNNNNNNNNNNNNNNNNNNNNNNNNNNNNNNNNNNNNNNNNNNNNNNNNNNNNNNNNNNNNNNNNNNNNNNNNNNNNNNNNNNNNNNNNNNNNNNNNNNNNNNNNNNNNNNNNNNNNNNNNNNNNNNNNNNNNNNNNNNNNNNNNNNNNNNNNNNNNNNNNNNNNNNNNNNNNNNNNNNNNNNNNNNNNNNNNNNNNNNNNNNNNNNNNNNNNNNNNNNNNNNNNNNNNNNNNNNNNNNNNNNNNNNNNNNNNNNNNNNNNNNNNNNNNNNNNNNNNNNNNNNNNNNNNNNNNNNNNNNNNNNNNNNNNNNNNNNNNNNNNNNNNNNNNNNNNNNNNNNNNNNNNNNNNNNNNNNNNNNNNNNNNNNNNNNNNNNNNNNNNNNNNNNNNNNNNNNNNNNNNNNNNNNNNNNNNNNNNNNNNNNNNNNNNNNNNNNNNNNNNNNNNNNNNNNNNNNNNNNNNNNNNNNNNNNNNNNNNNNNNNNNNNNNNNNNNNNNNNNNNNNNNNNNNNNNNNNNNNNNNNNNNNNNNNNNNNNNNNNNNNNNNNNNNNNNNNNNNNNNNNNNNNNNNNNNNNNNNNNNNNNNNNNNNNNNNNNNNNNNNNNNNNNNNNNNNNNNNNNNNNNNNNNNNNNNNNNNNNNNNNNNNNNNNNNNNNNNNNNNNNNNNNNNNNNNNNNNNNNNNNNNNNNNNNNNNNNNNNNNNNNNNNNNNNNNNNNNNNNNNNNNNNNNNNNNNNNNNNNNNNNNNNNNNNNNNNNNNNNNNNNNNNNNNNNNNNNNNNNNNNNNNNNNNNNNNNNNNNNNNNNNNNNNNNNNNNNNNNNNNNNNNNNNNNNNNNNNNNNNNNNNNNNNNNNNNNNNNNNNNNNNNNNNNNNNNNNNNNNNNNNNNNNNNNNNNNNNNNNNNNNNNNNNNNNNNNNNNNNNNNNNNNNNNNNNNNNNNNNNNNNNNNNNNNNNNNNNNNNNNNNNNNNNNNNNNNNNNNNNNNNNNNNNNNNNNNNNNNNNNNNNNNNNNNNNNNNNNNNNNNNNNNNNNNNNNNNNNNNNNNNNNNNNNNNNNNNNNNNNNNNNNNNNNNNNNNNNNNNNNNNNNNNNNNNNNNNNNNNNNNNNNNNNNNNNNNNNNNNNNNNNNNNNNNNNNNNNNNNNNNNNNNNNNNNNNNNNNNNNNNNNNNNNNNNNNNNNNNNNNNNNNNNNNNNNNNNNNGCACCCGGCAGGGUGGGCUUGGGACAGACUAGGCACACGUGGCCCGGUGUACCGAGUGGCACCCGGUUGGUGGGCUCGGGAACCCUGUACACAUCGUUUGGGGCCGUAAGCGACACCCCGGCCGGAUCUCCUUGCGGAUGGAACCCGAAUAGGCGAUAAACCUGGACUAGAGUCUUGUGUGGUUAGUCAGGUCGUGGCCGACACCCUCGCCAGGCUUCCGCUUGAAGGUUGCCGAGAUACACGACGUGUACAUGGCGGUAAGUGGCGAGAGCGUGUGUGAAGAAGUACACCCCUGCAGGGUUAACAUGAUCUAUUCGAAUAGCCGAGUCCGCGGUUAUGGACUUCUUGGAUGCUUACAUGGUACAUAGACAACUUGAAGUGGAUACUCUAAAAUGCUCAAGACAAGUGUGAGUGCUAUGGAUGGCCUUCUCGUAGGGAGACGGGGAUGAAUCCAUAGUAGUGUAUUGUGUGGUGAUUAGUGGACUCGUGUACGUUGUUUCAUCUCUAGAGUUUCUGGUAGUCGUAGAUUAGGAUAGCCACAGAGUCAAAGCUGGCUUGCUGCAACUAAACCCCACAUUACCCUCUUGAUACAAAUGCAUGUAUGAUAGGAUCUGAUGUAAGUCUUGCUGAGUACCUUUGUACUCAUGUUGCUUUAUUUAUGUUUUUGCAGCGGAGACUUCGGUCUUACUAGGGUUCUCAUGGACUUCGACUAGUAGCUAGUACCUCAGCUACGAUCUUGAUCGGAUGUUGUAGAUAGUCAGGCUCUUCAGCCUUUUUCAUUUGUAGAUGUCUGUACCCAGACAUGUAAUGCUUCCGCUUGUUGCUUGUAUGCUCUGUAUGAUGGAUCUAGUGACCCUGUUUGCAAUAAUUGCUAUGACGGCUCUUCUGAGCCUUUAUCUAUAUAAUUGUUGAGUUAUGCUGUGAUGCCAUGUUGUACAGCACAUAUUUGCAUGUUAUGCGUACGUGUAAUGUGUAGUGCUAUGUGUGGGAUCUGACUAUCUAGUUGUUUAUCUUUAGUAGCCUCUCUUACCGGGAAAUGUCUCCUAGUGUUACCGCUGAGCCAUGGUAGCUUGCUACUGCUCUGGAACACUUAGGCUGGCCGGCAUGUGUCCUUCUUCGUUCCUGUGUCUGUCCCUUCGGGGAAAUGUCACGCUUUGAGUACCGGAGUCCUGCUAGCCCAGUGCUACAGCCCGGACCCACUUGCUGAUGACCGACACGUUCGAAGCUGGGUCAUGGAUGCCUGUCCCUGUAAGUCUGUGCCACUUUGGGUUUACGACUAGUCAUGUCAGCCCGGGCUCCUUAUCAUAUGGAUGCUAGCGACACUAUCAUAUACGUGAGCCAAAAGGCGCAAACGGUCCCGGGAAAAGGUAAGACGACACCCGUGGGGAUACCGUGCGUGAGGCCGCAAAGUGAUAUGAGGUGUUACCGGCUAGAUCGAUGUGACAUCGAGUCGGGGUCCUGACACCGCCGCCUCCAGACAUGACGCACUGGCGCAUGCACUUCGACGGGUCCAAGAUGCGACUCGGCUUGGGGGCCGGCAUCGUACUAUCAUCUCCGAAGGGCGACCGGCUCCGCUACGCGCUCCAGAUCCACUUCGCCGCCUCCAACAACGUCGCCAAGUAUGAAGCCCUUGUGCACGGCCUCCGGCUUGCCAAGGAACUCAGCAUCCCGCGCAUCUUGUGCUAUGGCGACUCGGACCUGGUGGUGUAGCAGUGCUCCGACGAAUGGGACGCCCGUGACUCCAACAUGGCAAGCUACCGCUUCCUCGUCCAGAAGCUAUCCGGAUCCUUCGAGGGCUGCGAGUUCCUCCACGUCCCGCGCGCGGACAACGAAGCAGCCGACACGCUUGCCAAGAUCGCCUCGUCACGACAAGCCAUCCUGUACGGCGUCUCCCUCGAGCAUCUACGCAAGCCGUCCGUCAAGCCAUCACCGGACUCCGAGUCUAUUCAUUUUCCAGACGACCCGGCUGCACCCCAAGUCGGCCCGGGGAAUGCUGAACCCGGCCUAGGGGCUGCUCAGCUCGACCCGGCCACCAUCAUCCCGGACCCGGCCGUCGCCAUCCCCGACCCGGGGGCUGCUCAACCCGGCUCGGGGGCUGCCGACCCGGAACCCACCCUGGUGGCCGUCUUCGCAGUGGUUGGAGCUCCAUCUUGGGCUCUCCCAAUAUCAGAGUUUCUGGAGAACGGGGUUCUCCCCAUGGACGAGACCGAAGCUCAGCAAAUUCAGUGCUGGGCAUCCGCCUACAUCAUCAUCAACAAUGAGCUCGUCAAACGCAGCUCUACCGGCGUGUUCCAGCACCGCGUCGAGCAGGAUCGCGGCAUCGACAUCCUCCUCGACAUUCACCAGGGCGAGUGCGGGCACCAUGCUGCAUCACGAUCCUUGGUGGCCAAGGCGUUCCGCCAUGGUUUCUAUUGGCCCAUGGCCCUCGAAGAUGCCGAGUCGCUCGUUCUCAAAUGUGAAGGGUGCCAACGCUUCAGCAAACGCAGCCACCAGCCGGCGUCAGCACUCCGCACCAUAACGAUCGCCUGGCCCUUCGCGGUCUGGGGACUCGACAUGGCGGGACCCUUCAAAACCGCUCGAGGCGGCAUGACGCACUUACUGGUGGCAGUGGACAAAUUUACCAAGUGGAUCGAGGCAAGACCUAUCAAGAAAUUGGACGGACCAACAGCCGUCCGGUUCAUCAAGGAUAUAGCGGUGUGCUACGGCAUGCCGAACAGCAUCAUCACCGACAAUGGCACCAACUUCGCCAAGGGCGCGCUCGAACAAUACUGCUCCGUCUCCGGCAUCCUCCUCGACCUGGCCUUCGUGGCACAUCCGCAGUCCAACGGGAAGGUCGAGCGGGCCAACGGACUCAUCCUGUCCGGCAUCAAGCCGCGACCCGUCGAGUCACUUAUCCGCUCACCCGGCAGCUGGCUUGAUGAGUUGCCAGCAAUACUCUGGAGUCUGCGCACCACGCCGAAUCGGUCGACCGGGUUCACCCUGUUCUUCCUCGUUUAUGGAGCUGAAGCCGUCAUCCCGACCGAUGUCAAGUUCGACUCGCCGCACAUCACGAUGUACACCAAAGCCGAAGCCAGAGAGGCACACAAGGAUGGCGUCGACCUGCUCGAAGAAGCGCGCCUUCUGGCACUUAGCUGUUCGGCUAUCUACCAGCAAGGCCUGAGGCACUACCACAACAAGAAGAUGAAGCCCCUCGCGUUCCGCGAGGGCGACCUCAUCCUCCGACUCGUCCAAGAGCAGGCAGGCUAGCACAAGCUGUCCCCUCCAUGGGAGGGCCCGUUCAAUUUUAAGCAGGGCCUUGCAAUCGCAACACCUACUACCUCAUCGACGCGCGCAAGUCAAAGAAGCGCAAGAAGGACACCGCCGACGAAGAAACGACCCGGCCAUGGAACGCGGAACUCCUCCGCCCAUUUUAUAGUUAGCUGCACGAAUGUACGUAUUGUCGCCUUUUGUAAACACAUGAAACUACAGGGUCCCCGAACGAGACGGUGGCUGCCUUUUGCCGACCAAUUUAUUGCGUCCUUAUUUUUUCUGCAUCACUUUACCACUGAACCCGGCCACCGGCUCGACUCGCUCGACCCGGGGGAUUGGGGGCAGGCCGGCUCGGUCGCCACCCCGCCGCCUUACUUGGUGAUUCCUGAUAAAGUUGGGACGCUGCAGUCCCCCACUUCGCCCUAAAACCGCAGAUCCAGCUUUCGCUGUCGGCGGGCAAGCACAACGGACCAAAGCUCCUUUACGAUUCAUACACUAAGUCAAAGGCCGCCGGGUCGACCGACCCGGCCCGUCACUCAUCAAAUAAGUAGCCGCACGACUGGCUGCUCGCCAACCGGCCAAGCCGGAUUGCCGCCAGCCGGCCCAGUGGGUGUUUCGCUCUCGCUCAACGCUUCUAAGGACCCAGGUCCUACGCGCCCCUCUCGAAGAAUCGAACUCCUUGUCACGGACCNNNNNNNNNNNNNNNNNNNNNNNNNNNNNNNNNNNNNNNNNNNNNNNNNNNNNNNNNNNNNNNNNNNNNNNNNNNNNNNNNNNNNNNNNNNNNNNNNNNNNNNNNNNNNNNNNNNNNNNNNNNNNNNNNNNNNNNNNNNNNNNNNNNNNNNNNNNNNNNNNNNNNNNNNNNNNNNNNNNNNNUGUUUGACUCGCGGGGCGGGGAGGGGGGGGGGAGGUUUGAGAGAGGAGAGGCACAUGAAAUCGGUUCGAAAAAGCGGAAGGCAAAGAGCAAAAAACCACUCACAAUAUUCACACAUAAAUAUUUAAAGCAAAGGCCCACGGCCCGAGUUCAUUACACCCCAAACAACCCCCAGUGGGUGGGUGGAGCUGCUACUUAACAAAUUCUGCGUAAAGUAUCUCAGGCAUCUCCAGCGCCGCGUCGCGACGUCGGCGACCCUCCCCUGGCGGCCUCCGGGUCCGGCGUGACACCGGUGUCCUCCUCAGCAUCCGCGUCGCCAUAGAUGCCCGUCUCCUCCGAGCUCCCCUCCGGGUCAUGGAGAAGCAAGCCAUAGUCAUCGCCAUCCACGGCCCUGCCAUCUUCCGUCCGCUACGGAUGGAACUCGUCGUGGAAGGCGAACUCGGUGAUGUAGCUGGCCCGGGAGGCGAUCCGCCCGGCUUGCUCCUGCAGCAACUGCUUCGAACCAGCACGCUGGCCCAUCAGCGCGUCCAGCUUAAGAUCCGGAUGCCAAGACAGCGCGAACCGAAGCGCCAUCUCGACACCGGCACGGGCGGCGGAAACACACCUCUCGCCAAGGCGGUCUGGGCCCAUCUCCAAACAACGCGCCAGGCGCGAGAAGAUGCGCGGAUGGACGGAGUCCGGCCACAGGGCCGUCGUCAUCGCGGUGCCAGCUUGGGACAGCCGCUCUAUUUGCGUCCCCAGGGACUGCAGGCGAGCCUCUGCAGUGGUGUUGAUCUCCGGGAAGGUCCAGGCCACCCGCGGAUCCGUCCCAGACCCAACAACACUGGUCGGGUCAUGCUGGUGGCGGACGGCUUCCUCCGCCAGCCACUGCGUCUCCGGGAAGGCCCCUGUCAUAAAAGAAGAAGCAAGAUUAGAAGAACAACAAGGAAGAGAAGCUGGGCCCCGACCCGGCAAAUUACAAGAAGCAGUACUUACUAGAGAAGGACUCUUCCAGGUGCUGCGCCUCGAGCAACGUACCACGCCGCUCCCGCUCCCCGAGCGCCUUUCCAGAUCGGCCGCCUUAGCAAGGGCCGCCUUCAGCUCGGCGUCCUUGUCUUCGGCCGCCUUCUCGGUCGCCUCACGGCAACGUGUCUCGUCCUGACGAACCUCCUCAGCCGCGGCGGCCUGCUCCCGCAGGCGAUCCACCUCGGCCUGGAGCCGGCCCUUGUCGUCGGCCAGCUGGCCGCGCUGCUGGUCUGCCUCGACCAGGGCCCACUGCGUCUCCAUCACCUUGGCGGCCUCCGCCUUAAGGAGCUCCACCUCGGCCUCAAGGCGGCUCUUGUGACCCGCCAGCUGCUCGUGCAACCGGUUGGCCUCAUCAAGAGACCAUUGGGCCGCGGCCGCCUCCGCCCUCGCCUGCGCCGUCUCGACGCCAAGGCGGCCGGCAUCAGCAACAAGCCGGUCGUAAUGAUGACCGGCCCGGAGCAGCCAGGUCCGCCAAGAUAGCACCUCGGCUGCAAAAAGAAAAGUUCAGCAAAAGAAAAAGGCAAGACUUAAGAUUUGGCCCAACUACUACGUAGUUGGCCCGAAUCUCGGGGGCUACACCCAGUGGGUGCGCUGGCGCGCCCCCACUGGAAAAGAGCACGAACGUACCUGCGGCAACGCGAAGCUCCUCCUCCUUGGCAGCAAGCUGCUCCUUGAGCUCCCGAUGCUUGCCCAGGAGACGGUUGAAGGCGGCAACCCAGAAGGCAUCAAGAUGCUGAAAAAGACAGAAGUCAGAACAAGGCCCGGCGAUCUAAAGAUUCGACCCAACUACUACGUAGUUGGCCCGAACCUCGGGGGCUACACCCAGUGGGUGCGCUGGCGCGCCCCCACAAAGAAGAAACUACAAGAAAACAAAAGAAGAAAGACUUACCAGGACUGCGUGCUCCAGGUCGCGCUUCCGCUCCGUCUCGGCCUGGGCGAAGGCCUCAAGCCGCUCCGUCCGGCCUCGCAGGCGGCGGCUGACGGCAUCCAGCACCGCCUUCUCUUGGGUCUGAGGCCCAAAGACGAUCGCGCCCUCGCUCCGUGCGGGCUGCGGCAUGGUAGCUCGGCGCCCACCCUGCCGGGGCGCUAAGGCGAGUCCCCCGCUGGCCGCUUGCGACGCGGCCAGCAUCUCCUCCGACGCCCCUCCCGAAGCUCACGACGGACCGGACGCCGGAAUGCCCUGCGUCGCCACCUCAGGCACCGCCGCCUGUGGUGCCUCCUCCAUAGCCGACGGCGCCUCCUGCGGCGUCUCCUCCAGGACGCCGCCGCCUCCACCACCAUCAGCCCCCCCCCCCGCGCUCGACCACGUCGGCUCGCGGCGGGGUGUCGCCCCCCACCUCCACGACCUCCCGGUCGAGGAUCACCACCUCAGCCCGGCCCCCACGGCCGCGCUCCCUCACCGACGACGGCUCAAAAACCGUCGUCUCCACCACCGUGCCCUCCGGCAUCUCGUGCCAGGCCGGCUCCACGCUGGAUCGCGCCCAUGCCACUGCCGCGUCGGUCCAAGCCUGGACCAACGCCGCCUCCAGCUCCGCCUCGGCCCGGUUCCUGUCCCGCCAGGCUAGGUCCUCGGCGUCGUUCGGGUCCAGGCCGAGGUCCGAGUCGCCCCGUCCCUCCUCCCCGGCCAGGCCAGCGAGGUCGGACCGGCUCCUGCGGAACGCGGCCCCUUCGGCGACCGCAGCCUCCGCCGCCGCCCUCGCUAGCGUGAUGGGCGACCUGAAGAAGAAGGCAGAAUAAGCAAAUAGAGACAACACUGGCUCAAGAAUUCCAGGCGCAAGCAGGAAAUAAAACUUACCCCAUCAAGACUGGGACCGGGGUCGGCUUCCCGCGCUUCUUCUUGGCCGGCCUCCCAGGCUCGGCCGGGUCUGCCGCGCGCUUCGAUCCCCGGGGUCGUGGCGCGACACUGUUCUUUCCAUGCGGGCGGCUCGGCGCUGCCACAUGCGAGGACCCGGCUCCGCCCGCGUUGCCGCCUCCCUCGCCCAACGCCGCUACACUAGCAACCGGCGUCAGCGUCGCCUUCACCGCGACACGAUAAACAAUUCAAGACAAAAUGAAGAAGGAAACAUGCAAGACUUACCAGCACGACACCCAGCGCCAGCGUCGGACUCGGCCACCUCCUCGCUGCCUUGGGCCGCGGGCUCCUCUGGUGCCACCGGUGCCACCUGUGACGGAGCCCGGGCAUAAGGAUUCCGGAUUGCGUUCAAGAGAAUCUCCCGCGCCGCGUCGGGACGAACAAGAAGAUGGGCGGCAGCAAAGUAAGAAGACCAGACGCUCACCUGCGGCGCCGGGUUCGAUUGGCUAUACGACGCCUUGCCGAAUCGCCAAUCCUCUCCAAGGUUGGCCUUGGAGAUGUCAUUGACGCCGAGCGCGACCUGCUCCGCAGACAGCCGCGUCGACCCAUUCAGUUGGGGUCCUGUAGGCCAAUCAUCUCGCCGAUGAGGCAGGAGCGCCUCUAAAGCGGACGGACCUGGCGGGUGAUGAACGCGGCGAGGAGGUCCAUGCCGGUGAGCCCCUCCCGCGUCCUUGUAGGACCUUGAAGUAUGUCUAGAGGGGGGGGGGUGAUUAGACUACUUGACCAAUAAAAACUUAACCUUUUCCCAAUUUUAGAGUUUGGCAGAUUUUAGCUAUUUUAGGACAAGUCAAGCAAUCAUCACACAAUUCAAGCAAGCAUGCAAAGAGUAUAUAGGUAGCGGAAAUUAAAGCAUGCAACUUGCAAGAAAGUAAAGGGAAGGGUUUGGAGGAUUCAAACGCAAUUGGAGACACGGAUGUUUUUGGCGUGGUUCCGAUAGGUGGUGCUAUCGUACAUCCACAUUGAUGGAGACUUCAACCCACGAAGGGUAACGGUUGUGCGAGUCCACGGAGGGCUCCACCCACGAAGGGUCCACGAAGAAGCAACCUUGUCUAUCCCACCAUGGUCGUCGCCCACGAAGGACUUGCCUCACUAGCGGUAGAUCUUCACGAAGUAGGCGAUCUCCUUGCCCUUACAAACUCUUGGUUCAACUCCACAAUCUUGUCGGAGGCUCCCAAGUGACACCUAGCCAAUCUAGGAGACACCACUCUCCAAGAAGUAACAAAUGGUGCGUUGAUGAUGAACUCCUUGCUCUUGUGCUUCAAAUGAUAGUCUCCCCAACACUCAACUCUCUCUCAUAGGUUUUGGAUCUAGUGGAAAGAAGAUUUGAGUGGAAAGCAACUUGGGGAAGGCUAGAGAUCAAGAUUCAUAUGGUAGGAAUGGAAUAUCUUGGCCUCAACACAUGAGUAGGUGGUUCUCUCUUAGAAAUGGUAAGUUGGAAGUGUAGGUUCGUUCUGAUGGCUCUCUCCAUGAAUGAAGAGGAGGUGGAGGGGUAUAUAUAGCCUCCACACAAAAUCUAACCGUUACACACAAUUUACCAAACUCGGUGGGACCAAAUUGUUAAACUCGGUCGGGCCGAUUUAGUAAACCUAGUGACCGUUAGUGAUUUUCGGUGGGACUGACAUGCAUCUCGGUGAGACCGAUUCGGUUAGGGUUAGGGCAUAACGUAAUCUCGGUAAGACCGAUUACACAAACUCGGUGAGACCGAUUUGGUAAUAAGCUUUCUAGAGAGUUGGUCAGGUAAACUCGGUGGGACCGAUUUGCUCUUUUCGGUGAGACAGAAAUGUUACAAAAAGGAAACAGAGAGUUUACAUUGCAAUCUCGAAAUGUUACAAAGGGAAACAGAGAGAUUGCAACCCCAUCUUGGUGGGACCGAGAUCCCUAUCGGUAAGACCGAUUUGCUUAGGGUUUGUGGCAGUGGCUAUGACUUUUGGAACCGGUGGCGCCGGAUAGGAAGUUUCGGUGUGACCGAUUUUGGCUUUGGGUAUAGGUCAUUUGUGGAUGUGGGAAAGUAGUUGAGGGUUUUGGAGCAUAUCACUAAGCACAUGAAGCAAGAGGCUCAUUAAGCAACACCUCAUCCCUCCUUGAUAGUAUUGGCUUUUCCUAUAGACUCAAUGUGAUCUUGAAUCACUAAAAUUUAAAAUGAAGAGUCUUGAGCUUUUGAGAUUGAGCCAAUCCUUUGUCCUUAGUAUUUUGAGGGAUCCACUUUCAUCAUCCAUGCCAUGCCAUUCAUUGAGCUUUCCUGAAAUAAUAAUCUUGGAAUAGCAUUAGCGCUGAGCUAUAUGUUGUUAUGAAUUACCAAAACCACCUAGGGAUAGUUGCACUUUCAGUCCUCAUCAUCGUCACCCGCUUGCAGAGAUUGACGAUCUCCUGCGACGGGCGCGGGAGCGAGUAUCCCCAGUUCGUCUUCGCCCGCGGCGGCGCGAUGACGAAGGGCGGAUGAUUAAUAUAGUCCACGCCAUGGUUGCAGAUGUAGAAGAAGGAAUUCUGCCAUUUCUUGGCAGAAUCCUCGAGCGGGAUCUUGGGAAAAUCUGCCCCAGACCGCUUCGAGAUGACGGCGACGCCGCAGUCGGCGAACUCCCCGGCCGACGGGCCCAGCUGCUUCAAGGACAAGAAGCGUGCCCAGAGGUCGAUCGCCGGCUCGACCCCCAGGUACCCCUCGCACAGGGUCACGAAACCGGAGAGCUGGACGAUGGUGCCGGCACCAAGAUGGUGCGGUUGAAGCCCGGAGAACUCCAAGAAUGCGCGGAAGAAGGUGUUCACCGGCAGCCCGAACCCGCGCUCGAAAUGCGUGAGGAAGACGACGCGCUCCUGCCCCUUGGGCCGGGGCCUCUGUUCGCCGCGUCGCAGGCGGACGCGGAUGUCCGUCUCCUGCGGCAAGCGCCGCGAAGCUCGAAGUUGCGCGAUGUCCUCGCUGGUGACGUUGGAGCCCAUCCAGGAGCCUGAUGGCAGCACCAUGGACGGAAGCGGGAAGAAGAAGAUGAACGAUGGAGGAAGCUCCGAUCAGGGCUGCGAGCGCAGCUGUGCAUCGGUGGCAAAGAGCAAAGCAGGAGCAGGGGGCAGGAGGGCGUGAGCGAGAAUGGUGUUCGCCGCCCCCUUGCCCCCCUCAAUUUAUAAGCCCCAGUUCAAAUGUGGGGAAGUGGGAUUGUCUGCACCCGUUCGUUCCACUACCCCGCAAUAAGUGCGCACGUACGCACGCACUAACUGCUCGGGGAAGUGCAACCGCCCCCAGACGCCACAAUAUAUCUGUGCGCGUGGCCCAAGGGCGCGCGGCGGCGGGCCCCUGGCCCGUCGCCCGGUCCCGUCACGCGCGUGGCCUGUCAGGCCCCUUCGACUUCCGUGCGCCACGUGGCGCCUGCGCGAAGCCCAAGGGAUCGCCUCAAGAUUCGACGGACUCCUCGAUUCUCGCCACGGCCGGGAUGCCGCGAUCCGAUUUCCGAGAAAACCGGCACACAGUGGGUGUUGCCAGACCCGGCGCUCGCAGAAUCCGCCUUGCUCAGGGGGAAACUUCAAAGGCCCACUCAUCAGAAGACGGCGGACCUUCACAGCUUCGGGGACUACUGACGGGGGGAUGAACCCCGGGCAGGCAACGAAACCCGGAUCCUUUUCAAAAAUAGCGGGGCCCGCAUAGCCCCGCAAACCGGCACGUGCCUGGCCGGGUCGCUCGACCCGGCAGGGCCCGCAACCCGGCCAAACUCCCCGACCUGGCAAGGUACGUCAACCCGGCCGCAGCCACUGGCGCAAGACAACUCCACCCGGCGCAACCAAGGCUUCCACGGCAAGCCAGCCCCACCCAUGGCGUCCACAGCAACCCAGCCACGGGUCAGCUCCCGUCCCAUCCAGGCCCUAUGAUGGGACGAGACCUAAACCACCGAUGACCAAGACAACAGUAUUUUCACCCAUGCCUGUGGUCAGUCGGGGCAUGGCAACAGUGCCGCUCACCUACCCGCUGACCAAGGCUGGCGUGGCAACAAUGCUCCUACCCUCACCGCCGACGACAGCAAGCGGCAGCCUGACGGAGAGCACUGUACACGACUCGACUCGGCCAUGCCCUGACGAUCGACAAGACGGCGCACAGUCCCCCUAGGCACGCGGGGCCUGCGCCUAGGGGAACCCGGCGAACCACAAGCCCACAAGCGGGACCCAGCUUGGUGUCCCGAACACCGACAAUACGGACCCACCGACUUGGCAUAUUGCCAUUGUAACCCUGGGUGGGUUGAUCUAUAAAAGCCCCCAGGAACCCACGCCUACAGGGAGACGAGAGACGAGAGACGAGAGACAGAAAGUAAGAAACAGAAGCACAAGCAAGCAUAGAACUAGCCACCCAACAGCAGUACCGGAGAGAAGGAGCAGCCCAAGCCUUGGCCAGCUUCCUUCCUCCUCCACACAGCUCCAGGAGCAACCUUGUACUAUCAAUCAUCCAACCAAACUCGGCAGGACUAGGGGUGUUAUCUCUCCGGAGAGCCCCGAUCCUGGGUAUGUCCGGCGUCCCGUGCCCGCGCAUGCCAACCUCGCCUCUGGAGCCCACCAGCGCCCUCGAGCCUCCUCCUCUCUUUAGCCAUCCCUUGGCAUCUGCCAUGCGCCCACCACGACAAAAGGGGCAGCUCUGUUCAACUAAAGGCACAAUACUGUUACUAUCAGUCUAGACUAUCAAAGACGACAUAGCUCCCAGCAUUUCCCAGAUAUUAUGGCAGACAAUCUAGAAUCGUUGAAAGCAUCCAUCUAAAGUGACCCAAUAGACCUGUCGACUGCAAAUGUCCCUGCUCCACUUCCCGACAAGGAACAUACUGUACUACUCCCUCCCUUCUUAAAUAUAAAUCUCUUAGAGAUUCGAAUGCAGACUACAUACAGAGCAAAAUGAGUGAUUGUACACUCUAAAAUAUGUCUAUAUACAUCCGUAUGUAGUUCUUAUUGGAAUAUCUAAAAAGACUUAUGUUUUACCGAAAAGGGCUUUCGCCCUGCUUUAUAAAUAAAGCAAUGAUGAACAACACCCGGUACAAACGCACGCCACCACAACACACGCAUGCACCCAAGGCAGUUUAGGAACGGAGGAAGUAAUAUACUUAUUAAGAAGAAUAGAAGAGAAAUAUGAUAACAAAGAGCAAGUAGAUUUUAGAUAAUACAAGGUGUGUUGCCUACCUACGAUGAACCAGAGCACACCAAGAAAUGAAAAUCCCUGCUGUCUCUCUAUAUGUGGCGCACAUGCUUUUCGAAAUGAAUAUAGGAACAUUAGAUGACAAAUUAAACAUUCUCCGUUUUAGCAAUAUGAGCAUCAUAUCAAAUUUGUAUUUCAACAACUAAGCUGUGGAAUUAUGAAUGGCAUGUUGUUUCACUUGAUUGGUUGAGGUCUUGAGGAGCAGUGCUAGCACGACACGAAGCACCUACAAUGAUGGUAGCGAAUAUAAAGGGGGGAAACCAUAAGCUUUACGAGUAUAGUGACCAUGCCAUGGCUGAUCUGAAGGUGCAAACCGGACAAAGGCUACUUCACAACCAAUGUUUGCUUUCAACUAGCCACUACGAUUUGGUAUGGAUAAGAAAAGUACAGUAAACAAGUUACGAUCUAUUUUUCGGGUGAGAUCAAUAACUUAAGAAGAUAUGAAAGAGUACCACCUCUCUUGCAACGCUGUGUAGGCCCCUGCUGAUACAUUGAGGGUGUUGCGCGUGUGAUGGCUAUCAGCGGCGCGGAAGAAGACUUUAGACGGCAGACGGCCAGGUCGGGGGAUAAGUCUUGUUGCCGUGGACGAGGUGGUCGUAGGAGCAGCAACAACAAGGUGGACGAUGAUGCCGAUGAAGCGAGAGGACGCGAUGAAAUGAUCCUGGUCUGGCGCCGUGGAUGAGAGACGUCCAUCUCUUGCAGUGGACGAUGGGGUAGGGGUAGCGGCUCUGGCAAGGUGGAGGAUGGGGUGGCAGACGGAGGAGGCUCUCCGGAGUGGGGAGUUGUUGUGGCGCCGACGGUGUAUGAAUGGGGAAAUGGAGGGGGAGGGGGGAUCUCAAACUUUGGGAUGCGCUUAUCUGGAAUGUGGGGAAGUUACGAUCUUAGCCCCCAUUUAAAAUUUCUGACAUGUCAUCGGUUGGGGAUAGGACGGUAAUCUUGCAUCUCCCCAAUAUUUGUCGGUAGCGAUUUCGGGCGAGGAGAGGGUGUUUUGGCGGCCAUAGUUGGCGCCCACGGUGUAUGAACGGGCCUAACAGGUAGGGCGGUUGUGUCACGUCUGAGGGAAGUGACACAUCUGCCCCUAUUUAAAAUAUUUGCCUACAUCGAUUUCGGACGGGGAGAGUUUGUUUUGCCGCCCACUGUGUAUGAAUGGGGAAAUGGAGGGAGAGACACAGGUCUUUCGGAUGAGCUUGAAUCAAAUGUGUUUUGCUGCCCACGUUUGGCGCCCACCGUGUCUGAAUGGGCUCACAUGCGGUCGUGUCAUGUCUGAUUGAAGUUACUAGUCUACCCCUAUUGGCAGCAGUGGAAAUCGGGUCGAUUGGGAUGUGAAGUGUCAGGAGUAGACAGUAAUUUCCAUCUUGCAAACACUUGCUUCUAGAAGCUGACAAAUGAUAGUGGGUGUUUUGCCGAUUCGUUGAAAAUUUGGGAGAAUUAGCAUUCAUGUUUACCCUGGGCCCUGGCAACUAAAUUCAAAUCCAAUUUGUAUUCGAUUAUGAAUAUCCAUACAUCAUUCUACGUUUUAUUAUUUAUUUUCUCAAAACCACGACAAAUAUUUAUUCCACCUUUAUUAUAUGAAUAUGAUUUAGAAAUCUCAUGAUCUUCGAAUUCAGUAGGUUGGAUACACUUUGAGUAAAACAGUUAUUUCAUCCAAUACAAUAUGCUCACAAGAAAAAAAGUUCACCUUAUGGCAAUCAUACAAGUACUGAGGAUUACCUCGCCUAAAAAAUUUAGAUCAUUACAACACGUGGACAACAUAGGGGGUCUUACAACAUAAUCCAUUCAGAGACAUGACACAACAUGGAAGUAUACUAAUCUAAUGACAAUUUCAACUGCUAUCUAAAGAAGAAUUGAGAUUACCCUGGGCUUCAUAUAGCGGAAGCAGCAGGACCUUCUCCGUCUUCAAAUGCAACAUUCUUACUUCCUCCAAUUCUUGGGUUGCUUUCAUAAUGCCUGCAGCUAAUGCAUAAUUUCCAGCCUUAAGAUCAAGAUUUCCUCAUUCAUGGCAGCCACACCAUCUCGUUCCGCCUCUAGUAGAGCCUCAAGAACUAUAAUAUAUGUGCUCAGACUGCUUCCAUCUGGACUGCUACCAUCUGGUAACAUGGAUGGCACACUGCUUCCACAAAUAGAUUCUGGGGUUGUACGUUGUGUCCUAGUGUGAACGACAUCCUGAAAGGUUUCCGCUGGACAUAAGUAAGAGAUAGUUAUAGCUUACAUGGUAAACGGCAUAUAAAUUAUUGCUGAGCAUGGCAAGCUAUAUUUAAAUGGUUCGAAGCAGCAUCAGCCGAAAACAAAUUAAAAUGGUAAGAUGAAAUUAGGGAUGUAAGUGGCAAAUAAAUGGCAUCCGCCAGUCCCAUCUAGUUAGUUUUUGCUAGCUCACUAGUUCAUUUUACUCAAAAAACAAAAACUCUUUUGAACUAUCAUACCACUAGUGGACUUUAAUCGGGAUUAAAUGGGGCCCAGUUGACAUCCCUAGAUGAAAGGCAGUGUACCACUGCUAUAUUUAAGUUGCCAAGGCAUCUAAGAAGUCGAAAUAAUCUAAGAAAGCACUUAACAGUGUGGCCUCAUAUAAACUACGAAGACAGUCUUGUGAUGAAGUUCAUAGGAAAAGUUAAGGAGUCAAAUGAACUAGGCAUCUAUUUCUUUACCAUAGUACAACAGGCACUACUGACAUAUUGGCCAACUCAGGUAUAGCCUAACAAUUAACAAACAAGCACUCAAAUCAAGCAACAUAGCAAAGUAGACAACUGAAAUAUUUGUAUUUUUUGUAGGAUUACAGGUUGAGGGCACAAGCUAAGAAAGCAGCCCACACGCAUUACAUUUCGCAUGUACUAAAACACAGUGGCUUACCAUAUGUUGCUGUGAAGCCUCGCUGCUGUUGCAAUGUUCUUUGAAGAUAUCGUCAGCAUCCCGUGGUUGAAAAUCUAGUUUUUGUAGUUUAUUUUGCACCCUCUAUUUAGGACUAAUUUUGAUCUCAUGCACUGGUUCGAAUUGAUCAUCAAUAGUUAAUCUAAACUAAUAAAAGAAGGGUGUGUGCUUACACGACAAUAUAUGUGAUUCACUCUAUGUUUAUGCUUGUUCGAGGUGGGAGCCCCAAAAGAACAAAUAUUUUGCUUGAUGGGGUUGGCAACUCCAUAAUUAAUAGAAGCAUCAAAUUAGUCAUGCAACUUGGGAAGAUCAAGAACGCACAAAAAAGUAAUGAACAGAGGCUCGGAGCAGUGAUGUAAUAGCUAGCAUCGGAAAAUGUAGGGUAAAAUGAACAAAAAGCAACGGAACCACAAGCUAGUUUGCUGAUGUGUAAUUAAGCAUAGAGAAGAUGAAGCGGUCUGAUGUAACCAACAGGUGGCAUCAGAACAACACCAUUAUCAUAAAUAUAGCAUGUAAGAAAUAAAAUAGUAGGCAAUGAUAUCUAGGAAGUGCAAUAAUACUUAGGACAAAACAAAAGCAUUUUAACUAUAUGUGCACUGAUACGUCUGCAACAUAUCUAUAAUUUUUGAUUGUUCCAUGCUGUUAUAUUAUCAUUCUUGGAUGUUUUAUAAUCAUUUUAAAGUCAUUUUAUAUCAUUUUUGGAACUAACCAAUUGACAUAGUGCCAAGUGCCAGUUGCUAUUUUUUGCAUGUUUUUUACAUCGCAGGAAAUCAAUACCAAACGGAGUCCAAACGCAGUGAAUCUUUUUGUGGAUUUUUUUGGACCAGAAGACAUCCAAUGGGCCGGCGAAGCGCCUGGGGGGGUGCUCUGAGGGGAGCACAACUCACCAAGGCGCGCCAGGAGGCCCAGGCGCGCCCUGGUGGGUUGUGCCCACCUCGGGUGCCCCCUGAACCGACUCUUUGCUCUAUAAAUACCCCAAUAUUCCAAAAACCCUAGAGGAGUCGACGAAAAUCAAUUCCAGCCACCGCAGAGUCCAGAACCACCAGAUCCAAUCUAGACACCAUCACGGAGGGGUUCACCACUUCCAUUGGUGCCCCUCCGAUGAUGCGUGAGUAGUUCUUUGUAGACCUAUGGGUCCGUAGUUAGUAGCUAGAUGGCUUCCUCUCUCUCGUCUGAUUCUCAAUACAAUGGUAUCUUGGAGUUCCAUAUGAUGUAACUCUUUUUGCGGUGUGUUUGUUGGGAUCUGAUGAACCUUGAGUUUAUGAUCAGAUCUAUCUUUAUAUCCAUGAAAGUUAUUUGAGUUUCUUUGAUCUCUUAUAUGCAUGAUUGCUUAUAGCCUCGUAUUUCUUCUCCGAUAUUUGGGUUUUGUUUGGCCAACUUGAUCUAUUUAUCUUGCAAUGGGAAGAGGUGCUUUGUAGUGGGUUCGAUCUUACGGUGCUUGAUCCUAGUGACAGAAGGGGAACCGACAUGUAUGUAUUGUUGCUACUAAGGAUAAAACGAUGGGGGUCUAUUUCUACAUAAAUAGAUCUUGUCUAGAUCAUGUCAUCGUUCUUAUUGCACUACUCCGUUUUUCCAUGAACUUAAUACAUUAGAUGCAUGCUGGAUAGCGGUCGAUGUGUGGAGUAAUAGUAGUAGAUACAGCUAGGAGUCGGUCUACUAAUCUUGGACAUGAUGCCUAUAUAAUGAUCAUUGCCUGGAUAUCGUCAUGAUCAUUUCAAGUUCUAUCAAUUGCCCAACAGUAAUUUGUUCACCCACCGUUUGUUAUUUUUCUCGAGAGAAGCCACUAGUGAAAUCUAUGGCCCCCGGGUCUCUUUCUCAUAUUAUUUGCCUUUGCGAUCUAUUUUAUUUGCCUUUUAUUUUCAGAUCUAUUAAACCAAAAAUACAAAAAUACCUUGCUGCAAUUUAUUUUAUUUGGCGUUUGAUCUAUCAAUAUUUACAACUCUCUCACGUCCGUUUGCCAAUUUUUGGUGACGUUGCCCGAAAGGGAUUGACAACCCCUUUAAUAUGCGGGGUUGCGAGUAUUUGUUAUUUGUGUGCAGGUGUUGUUUACGCAUUGUUGCUUGGUUCUCCUACUGGUUCGAUAACCUUGGUCUCAUCAGUGAGGAAAAUACCAACUGUCGUUGUGCUGCAUCAUCCCUUCCUCUUUGGGGAAAUACCGAUGUAGUUCUAGCAGACAUCAGAAGGAAUUUCUGGCACCGUUGCCAGGGAGGAUCUUUAACAUCUACCAGGUUCCUAAUCACAAAUCUCAUCUCCUCGCAAUUUACAUUAUUUUCCAUUUGCCUCUCGUUUUCUUCUCCUCCACUUCACAAAAAUUUCUCGUUUUAUUCACCCUCUUUUUCGUUCGCCGUUUUGCCGGAUCUGUUUUUAGUGCAAUCUUGUUGCGUAGUCACCAUGACUCAAGAGAACACCAAGUUGUGUGAUUUCUCAAAUGCCAACAACAAUGAUUUUAUUGGCACUCCUAUUGCUCCUCCCGCAACUAGUGCGGAGUCUUGUGAUAUUAAUACUUCUUUGCUGAAUCUUGUUAUGAAAGAUCAAUUUUUCGAUACUCCUAAUGAGGAUGUCGCGUCCCAUCUAAAUACCUUCAUGGAAUUAUGUGAUAUGCAAAAGAAAAAAGAUGUGAACAAUGAUGUUGUCAAGAUGAAAUUGUUUCUGUUUUCCUUGCGUGAUUCUGCAAAAAAUUGGUUUUCUUCCUUGCCUAGCAAUAGUAUCAAUCUUGGAAUAAGUGCAAAGAUGCUUUCAUCACUAAGUAUUUUUCGCCCGCAAAAAUUAUUUCCCUUAGAACCCAGAUCAUGGAUUUCAAGCAACUUGAACAUGAGCAUGAUGCACAAUCUUGGGAAAAGAUGAAAAUGAUGCUAAGGAAUUGCCCAACUCAUGGGUUAAAUCCUUGGAUGAUCAUACAAAAAUUUUAUGCGGGGUUGAAUUUUGUUUCUCGUAAUCUUUUAGAUUCUUCCGCGGGUGGGACUUUUAUGGAAAUUACUUUGGGUGAAGCCACCAAAGUUCAUAUAAUAUCAUGGCAAAUUAUUCACAAUGGCAUACCGAAAGAGCUCCCACUAGUAAAAAAGUUAUUUCGGUUGUUACACCUAUAGUGCUAUGUCCAUGGCUCACACUCAUGAUGCAUGAAAGUUGAAAAAGUUUGAGAAUUCUAAAGUAUGAAACAAUUGUUUGGCCAAUAUAGGGGUUGUGCAUGAUUUAAAUAUUUUGUGUGGUGAAGAUGGAGCAUAGCCAGACUAUAUGAUUUUGUAGGGAUAAGCUUUCUUUGGCCAUGUUAUUUUGAGAUGGCAUAAUUGCUUUAUUAGUAUGCUUGAAGUAUUAUUGUUUUUAUGUCAAUAUUAAACUUUUGUUUUGAAUCAUUCUGAUCUGAACAUUCAUGCCACAAUAAAGGAAAUUACAUGGAUAGAUAUGAUAGGUAGCAUUCCACAUCACAAAUUCUGUUUUUAUCAUUUACCUACUCAAGGACGAGCAAGGAUUAAGCUUGGGGAUGCUUGAUACGUCUCCAAUGUAUCUGUAAUUUUUGAUUGUUACAUGCUAUUAUAUUAUCUGUUUUGGAUGUUUUAUAUGCCUUAAUAUGCUAUUUUAUAUUAUUUUUGGGACUAACCUACUAACCUAGAGCCUAGUGCCAGUUUCUGUUUUUCCUUAUUGUUGACCUUCGCAGAAAAGGAAUACCAAACGGAGUCCAAAUGGAAUAAAACUUUCAUGAUGAUUUUUCUUGGACCAGAAGACACCCAGGAGACUUGAGAUGCAAGUCAGAAGAGCCACAAGGCGACCACAAGGGCGGAGUGCAUGCCCAGGGGGUAUGGCAUGCCCCCACCCUUGUGGGCCCCUCGUGACCCCCCUGACCUAAUUCUUCCGCCUAUACAUUCUCAUAUAUCCCCAAACCAACAGAGGCAUCCACGGAAAUGCUUUUCCACCGCCGCAACCUUCUGUACCCGUGAGAUCCCAUCUAGGGACCUUUUUCGGCACCCUGCCGAAGGGGGAUUCGAUCACGGAGGGCUUCUACAUCAACUCUAUUGCCCUUCCGAUGAAGUGUGAGUAGUUUACUUCACACCUACGGGUCCGUAGCUAGUAGCUAGAUGGCCUUUUCUCUCUCUUUGAUUCUCAAUACCAUGUUCUCCUCGAUGUCCUUGGAGAUCUAUUUGAUGUAAUACCUUUUUGCAUUGUGUUUGCCGAGAUCCGAUGAAUUGUGGAUUUAUGAUCGGAUUAUCUAUGAAUAUUAUUUGAAUCUCCUCUGAAUUCUUAUAUGCAUGAUAUGAUAUCUUUGUAAUUCUCUUCGAACUAUCGGUUUGGUUUGGCCAACUAGAUUGGUUUUUCUUGCAAUGGGAGAAGUGCUUAGCUUUGGGUUCAAUCUUGCGGUGUCCUUUCCCAGUGACAAUAGGGGCAGAAAGGCACGUAUUGUAUUAUUGCCAUCGAGGAUAAAAAUAUGGGGUUUUCAUCAUAUUGCUUGAGUUAAUUCCUCUACAUCAUGUCAUCUUACUUAAUGCUUUACUCCAUUCUUUAUGAACUUAAUACUCUAGAUGCAUGCUGGAUAACGGUCGAUGUGUGGAGUAAUAGUAGUAGAUGCAGAAUCAUUUUGGUCUACUUGACACGGACGUGAUGCCCAUACUCAUGAUCAUUGCCUUAGAUAUCGUCAUAAUUAUGCGCUCUUAUAUCAAUUGCUCGGCAGUAAUUUGCUCACCCACCGCAUUAUUUUCUAUCUUGAGAGAAGCCUCUAAUGAAACCUAUGCCCCCCGGGUCUAUCUUCCAUCAUAUUAGUUUCCAAUGUACUACUUUGCAAUCUUUUACUUUCCGUUCCAUUAACCAAAAAUACCAAAAAUAUUUACUUUACCGUUUAUCUAUCUCUAUCAGAUCUCACUUUUGCAAAUAACCGUAAAGGGAUUGACAACCCCUUUGUCGCGUUGGGUGCAAGUUGUUUGAUUGUUUGUGCAGGUAUUCGGGGAUUUGUGCAUUCUCUCCUACUGGAUUGAUACCUUGGUUCUCAAACUGAGGGAAAUACUUAUCUCUACUUUGCUGCAUCACCCUUUCCUCUUCAAGGGGAAAACCAACGCAAGCUCAAGAAGUAGCAACAGGCACACUCCCGCUCGACGUGUAUGCACGGAGGGAUUUGACAUUGGCAGGUGGUUUCUCAGUUGCCCCUUAGAGGUUAGUGCUAAGUUCAUCAUUUUACUUGAGUUAAUGCCACCGCUCAUCCUGAAUACUAUUUAACAUUGGCAGGGAUAUGAGGCUUGUGCCUUUGUUAACUGGCUGGAUGAAGAAUGGCAUCGUAGGGCUCAGAGUGUUAUCACUAAGCUCGUAGAAGAUAAUGUAAAGCUGAAGAAGAGUCUGGUUGAUCUGGAAUGUACAAUCAGUACUGUGAAGCAAGAAAUAAUCAAUCACAAGCAACAGACAAAAGCAAGAGACAAGAAGGAACUAGCAUGUCAAGUUGUAGUUGUCGCAUUAGCCAUGUUCUAUGCAUUGUUUGCAAUAAUGAUUAGGGGUUUUGUUUGAUAGUAUUGCUAAAGCACAUCUAGAUGUGCUCUAAGUAAUGCACAUUUAGGUCCUAUGCCAUUGAUGUUACGCAAAGAUUCGUGCAUAUAUUUUCGUUUGUCUUUUUCCUUUUCCUUUGUAGUUUGAUUAUUACUGGCUUCAUCAAUAAGAAGAGCUCAAUGUAUUGCUUGCCAACUGUCCUACUCCGUUCGUACCGGUACGUGCUUUUGUCACAAUUAUCGUCAUAGAAGUGUCAUAAGCAUGAUAGAAAAAGUUUUCAUUCGGGCCAAUGUCACGGAUGUGUCUUUUUUUGUAGUGAUUACUAUUGGAGGUUUUGAAUUCCCUCUUCCUACUGUCGAAAAGUGUCGAUGUACAGAAGUAGGGGCUCUACUUUGCACCCCUUUACCUGUGCACAGGCAGUCGGAGCCACGCCUGCGGCCACACUUAGCAGGGCAAAGGAAGGAAGCCGGAGCCACGAGACGAUCAAAGCAAUGCCAAGACAGAGACACGAAGAGCAAGAGGGUGAGGUGGACUCCCCCGGCAAGACCCUUGCCGGGGCGGCCUCAACGGCCCUGGCAAGCGCCUUGCCGGGGCAACUUGCCCAACACCAGUGGAGCGUGCCAACCUUGAGCCCGAGGUUUCCAACAUCAUCAACAACAUUGGAACCAAGGCUCGGGAGGCACCUCCACGGUGGCAUGCAGAUCUUUGUGAAGAUCAUUAACACACAAGAUCAGAUGAGGACCAUAAGACGAGACCUCCGGAAACAUCCUUACCGAGGACGACCAUAGUGCCAUGGCAAGACCCUUGCCAGGGCCCCGGCAAGGCCCUUGCCGAGGACAUCAGCGGAGUCGUGGCCAGGCUCGCGCGCGCCAAGACCCCACCACCGUUUCCAUGCAGCUGCCAGCCCAGCAAGCCAUGCGAGCACCUGCGUGGCGACCUGUGGCCCCAAGACCAGCUCAGCAAGCACCUGCGUGGUGGCAUGCAGAUCUUCGUGAAGAUGCUGCCACCGCGCCAGCUUAGCAGCAUGCCAGCCUACAUGGCACUACCUGCCUCACUGGCAUGGGCGCGUGUCGAAGCAGGGCGAGGCGGCAACAAAGCGAGGGGACACCUCAGGGGUGCAUUUAAUGCGUCUUGUCCCGUAAUGGCAGGCGAUAAGCUUGUACACUAUACCCUUUCCACCUCCUGUGUGCCACUGUGGCGCCUCCUUCGACUAUAAAAGGAGGCCCGAGGCGUACUGGACGGGGAUUCGGCUCUGUGAGCAAGUCAUGCAUGAUAGCUAGCUCAAGAACACUGAAAUACACACCAAAGCAGGACUAGGGUAUUACGCAAUCCCCGGGGCCCGAACCUGGGUAAACGACCUUUGUGCUGGCUCUUAGACCCGCUCUUCUCACAACCCCACGCCCACCGGCCACGGAAGGAUCCCGUUGAUCCCAUAGGUGUCGUUCUCACCGACAUCUUUUGUCAGGACCCCGAUCCAAUGCCAUACGGUUCUAGCAUGUAACACCUCAUAUCAGUUUGCGGCCUCACGCACGGUAUUCCCACUGGUGUCGCCUUACCAGGCCUGCGACCGUUUGCACCUUUUGGCACACGUAUAUGAUAGUGUCGCUAGCAUCCAUAUGACAAGGAACCCGGGCUGACAUGGCUAGUCGUGAACCCAAAGUGGCACUAACUUACAGGGACAUGCAUACAUGACCCAGCAAUGAACGUGUCGGUCAUCAGCGAGUGAAUCCGGGCUGUAGCAACUGGGCUAGUAGGACUCCGGUAAACCAGGCUGUAGCGGGCUAACAGGACUCCGGUAAACCCCGCGUGACAUUUUCCCAAAGGGACAGACACAUGAACGAAGAAGGACACAUGCCGGCCAGCCUAAGUGUUCCGGAGCAGUAGCAAGCUACCACGGCUCAAUGGAAGCACUAGGAGACAUUUCCCGGUAAGAGAGGCUACCAAGGAUAAACAACUAGAUAGUCAGAUCCCACACAUACCAAGAAUUUCAAUAACAUACACACAAUAUGCUCGAUAUGUGCAAAUACAGCAUGGCAUCACAACAUGACUCUACAACUCAAGUAUUUUAUUCAAUAGGCUCCGAGGAGCGAGAUAUUACAAACAUGGGUCUCAUGACCCAACAUUCAGAGCACACAAGUCAAAGCACAAGCGGAAGCUUAACAUGUCUGAGUACAAACAUCUACAAAUGAAAAAGGCUGAGAAGCCUGACUAUCUACAAGAUCCUGCCGAGGGCACAAGAUCAUAGCCGAGGUAACAAGCUAAACAUCGAAGCCCACGCGAAACUACUAGUGAGAUGGAAGUCUCUCUGCAAAAACAUAAAAUAGGCAAACGUGAGUACAAAUGUACCCAGCAAGACUUACAUCAGAACUAACUACAUAUGCAUCAUUAUCAACAAAGGGGGUGGUGGGGUUUAACUGCAGCAAGCCAGCUUUGACUCAGUGGCUAUUCUGAUCUACGACUGCAUGUGACUCUUUUGAGGUGGAGCACACGAGUCCACAUAUUCACCAUAUCAAUACACCACUAUGGAUCCGCUCCCAUCUCCUUACGAGAACGCCAUCCAUAGCACUCACGCUUAUCUUGCGUAUUUUGGAGUAUCCACUUUCACUUGUCAAUGAACUGUACAGGCAACCCAAAAGUCCUUUACCACGGACACGGCUAUUCGAAUAAAUAAUGCUAACCCUGCAGGGGUGUACUUCUUCACACACGCUCUCGCUACUUACCGCCAUGUACACGUCAUGUAUCUCGGUAACCUUCAAGCGGAAGCAUGGAGAGGGUGUCGGCCACGACCUGACUAACCGCACAAGUCUCUCGUCCAGGUUUAUCGCCUAUUCGGGUUCCAUCCGCAAGGAGAUCCGGCCAGGGUGUCGCUCAUGGCAACAAACUAUGUGCAGGGUUCCCAAGCCCACCAUCCGGGUGCCACUUGGUACACCGGGCCACUGUGCCUAGUCUGUCCCAAGCCCACCUGUACCGGGUGCCACUUGGUAGACUACUAACACUACCUACAAACACCAGAAUUUAGUUGCAACUCCUGGACAGAGAUCGAGUUGAUUAAUAAGUCGAGAGGGGUCGAGUUACCGGAACCCAAUGUGUGGUAGUAACUGUUCAUGGAUCAAAACACAGAACUCAGUUCCUGAGGGCGGUUUCAAUGAGACAACCCACCAUGUACUCCUACAUGGCCUCUCGUCGCUACCUUUACCAAAUCGUGUUCACACACUUAGCUCUCAACAGUAGGACAUGUUCACCACAUUCCAAUUCAUCCCUGAUGAAUCAGACCUGACACAACUCUAAGCAAUAGCAGGCAUGACAAACAAGCAUGAAUGAGUAGGCACAUCAGGGCUCAAACAACUCCUACUCAUGUUAGUGGGUUUCAUCUAUUUACUAUGGCAAUGACAGGUCAUGCAGAGGAAAGGGGUUCAACUACCGCAGCAUGUAACAGUUGAAUCGUUGUUGUCCUAAUGCAGUAAAAGAGAGCAGGAGUAAGAGAGUGGGAUUGUAUCGGAAUGAACAAGGGGGUUUUGCUUGCAUGGCACUUCUGAAGAUAAUAUAGUUCUUCAUCGGUGUCAUCGAACUCAUCGUCGGAACCAUGUCUAUUGAGAGGGGACAAAUAUCGGCAACACAGAGAAAACACAAUUAAUGCAAUGCAACAAUAUGAUGCAUGAAUAUGACAUGGCAAAAUGAGUGUGUUUUGGCUAAUGCAACUGAGAACAGAUUAAAUGAAGUUGGUUUGAACCAAGGGUUCAAAUUCAAACUCCAUAUGUGCUUAUUUAAAUGCCAAUUAUGCAAAUUGCCAUAUACAGCAACCUUAGGUUGUUCAAACAUGCAUGAAAAUGGUACAGAUGGAUAGAUUGGAUUUUUUUGAUAAUUUUUCAUAUAUAAAUUAUUUCAUUUGGAGUUAUGGUUGAAUUUCUAUGAUUUUUAGAAGUUUAAACUAUUUUCUGGAAAUUCCUGGAUUAUUUUGAAUUAGAAUAAAUCCAGAAAAUCACUUACUGCGUCAGCACUAUGUCAGGGUGACGUCACCGAGUCAACAUGUCAGCCCAGGUCAAACUGACCUGUCGGGCCCACUGCUCAGUGACAGAGGGGCUAAUCCCACGUUGACUCGUGCUUUGACUCUUUGCGGGGCCCACUGUCAGUGGCCGGUGGGGUUGUUAGUGCCUAAACUAAUUAGGCCACGUCAGCCCGCCGAAGAUUAGCCGGCGAUGACCACAGCCGGCGGUGGGGGUUCGCCGGAGUUGCACCAGAGGCGACGGAUCUACGCGCCGAGGGAACCAGAAAGUAGCCCGUGCCCGCGCGCAUCCAGAUAAAGCAACGGGAGGGCGUGGGGUGGCCGGAGUUCGCCGGAAGAGAGCUCAUGGCGACGGCCGGAGUGCGGGUGGAGUCGGGUUUGGCACUACGGUGCACGGGAGGAGAAUCUGGUGGGUGGAACGUGCUCCUGGUGGUGCACUGAGCGCGCUUACAGGCUCAGACGCGGGUGGCGGCAGCUGUGGCCGCAGCGGCGCCAUGGACGUCAGUGGGGAGCUUUCGGGUGCGGUGGGAACAGCGGCUACAGAGGCCAAACGAGCACGGGAGCUAGGGGGAGAGGAAGAGGAGCUCACAUCAAGGUAGUCGGUGAUCUCAGCGCGCUCGGGGACGGCUUGGAGACGACGGAACGUCGGUGGCGAUCUCCGGCGGCAGAGGAGGAAGAUGAUGAGGUAGCCGGCGAUGCGGGGCGCCUGGCGCCGCAUGGCUCUUCGUAGAUGAUGAAUACGAUGUUACGGUUCUUCUGGUCGGGUCGGCAAGGCGAGGGAGGGCAGGUUGCCGUGGUGGCAGUGGACGGCGGCGAUGAGCUCCACUCAGUGGCUACGUGCGAGAAACAGAGGAGGGGGGAAGGAGCGAGGAGAGCGAGAGAAGGGUCGGGGGGUCGCGUGGCAUCGUCUAGAGCCGUCCAGAGCGAGCAGGCAGGCUGGAGGUGGCCGGGCGUGUGCCGGCGAGCGUCGGCCACGCACACUCCAGUCCUUCUGGCGUGAGCUGGAAGAAGACAAGGGAGAGAGAUGGGCUGGGCCAACACAGUGCAGGCCGGGUGAGUUUCUGCUCCUUUUUUGUUUUGUUUUCUAUUUUGCAAUUUGUUUUGAUUUGAUUUUAUCCCAAAUCAUUUUUAUAAAUUCUAAAAAUUAUAAUGUGGCCUGGUAAAAUAUAUUCAAGGCCACUCAAAAUUUUUAGAAUUAUUGGAGUUAUAUUUAACAUAUAUCAAAUAUAAAUCCAAUGCAAAUAAUUAUUGGAUUAACUCAAAUGCCCAAAAUAAAUAUUUCUGAGACUCCAAAAAUAUCGGUUUGAAUUUUAUCUCUUGCUAAUAUUUUCAGAGAACAAGAUGAACAUUUUCUUGGACUCAUUUGAUGAGAUUUGAAUGUUGAUUAAUUUUUGAACUGAUUUUUGAGGGUUUCAACUAACCUCAAUUCAAGUUUCAGAAAUUUAAACAUGAUGCAUGGCUACUUAUGCAGAGUCAGGCAAGGGCUAAGCUAGGGCUGUGACAACUCACCCCCACUAAACAAGAAUCUCGUCCCGAGAUUCAAAACGUGAGGUAAGAAGACACAAGGGACUCGAAACUAGCAUGAUCUUCAUGAUCAAACUUGCACAUCAUAGGAACGUCUAUUCGUUGGAUCAUCUUGAUCUUGACAACUCUGCUUUCGAGAUCUGCAUCAAACACGAGUUUAGAGACAACUCUACAAUGAUGGAUCAUCUUAAUGAUCACAAGAUCAUCUCAUAGAAUGAGACGUAGAAACAUCUCUUGAGCUGGGAGGCAAAACACACCUUGGAAAGGAUGGAAGAAACGAUUUGAUGAGGGUUUCAAAGUAGCAAGGAAAAUAAUUGCCAUGAUACCAUAACGAGACAUCUUAGAGGAGGUGACUCGUGGAAUCAUCCCCUUAAGUGGCAAAAAGAAUUACCUUUGAUUCAGAUAUCAUUGAAACUCUUUAUACCAGCCUAAGGCAAUUCUCGAGCGACCAUUUGGAGGGGUUCGGUAGAAUGGCAUACCCGGAUUAGAGAGAGAACUAGAGUUAUAAGACAACUUCAGCAAACAGAAAGCACAUUCUGGAUGAUGCCGAGGAUAUAAUCCAGUGGCUGAGCGUGCUCUCAAAAACUUGAGCAUUUCCUUACUCAUCAAGGUCUUACCAACAUCCAUGUCGAGGAUCCUGGCAACACAUCAUACUACCAUGAUGAAUAGUGAUGGACGAUGCAUAUGCAAAAGAAGGCAACACCUUCUCAGAUUUGUCCUUAGCAAUGCCAAGGAACAAAACCUGGAUGAUCGACCGAGAGACAUUUAGCACUCCGCUUCUAAUGUUCUCCUUGAUGUUCUAGCUACCACGAUCAUGCUUAAAAGCAUCGACAUGACGAUCAAGUAAAGGUCGGACUUCGGGAGCACAAAAUCCGUAAGGAUCAACUUCUAGAAUAAGUCAUGCGAGAUCCUCAUGGGAGGUGACCAAACGACUUAAACAAGAUACUACAAUAACAGUGCUUCCAGCUAGGUGCAUCCACUUCACUGGAACCUAUAUCAUUGUUCUUGGGAGAAGUUCCAACCAUCAUAUCUGCAUGAGAUUCAGAUCUGGUUGGUAACAGGGUAAUUCAGACAACGUGUCUAGAAAAGAAAGUUUGCAACACAAACCGACGAGAUGACGUUGCGAGAUUCUCGGGGAGUGAACUACGAUAGCAAGCUCCAAAACAUGAGCUAGUUCUGCUACAACAUGUGAACAUGUUGUCCGAGACAAGCAUGACCGCCUUGUAGUCUUAUAAUAAAACGCUACCGAGUUCAGAAGGGGAACCAUCAUCGAGGAUAUUGAAGCCCUUGCAUAAGUCUUGCUCUUAAGAAGGAACUUCUUCUCCUUGAAUAAAUCAAUCAGUGGCUUGGUGUGCUAGGAAACACAUAUGGAAUGGAGGCGGCCAACCUAUUAAACCAUAGAGUACUUCGCAUAUAGGCGUGACUAACUUGGGACGAUUCCAUAGGAAGCAAAAACAAUCUUUCUCGGAUCCACGGCGACAACUUACAUCAAGUGCACGUGAAUUAAAGAAAGUCACUUCUUUCAUCCAAACAUAUCCUUCAUGAGAUAGUAUGAAGAAAAUGCUUUCAAAAGUUUCCAACACUAGCUUAAUGUUCAAAAAAAUCAUGGAGGAGAUAAAAAUGUUGUUGAUGGACUCAACAACAAUUCAUCCAGGUUUCCAUGAAGAUGGAAUUCCAUAAUUAUGAGAUCAAGUGAUAGCAUUGGUCAGAACCAAAAGACAUAACGGUGUAUGCUCGAGGAAAAUCCACGAGUAAGACAGCAUUACGAACAUCGUUGGUUCUGAUUUGAUUUGAGGAUAGCCCACACUCAAAUCAAAGUUUUGGCAAGACAAUAGGUCCAACAACUGGUCGCGAGGAUCAAUCGAUGAAGAUAUCAUAUUUCUUCAACACACAUAAAAGAUAUCCCUUAACAUGAACUAAGUCGGAGAAGCCUUUAUCUUCUAGCUCUCCAAGUUGCUGUUUAGCUAAAGCAACUAGCUCAGGGGUAUCCAACACGGAUUCUUGCAGAAAGGGUGGUUUACAGGAAUAAACCAACUUGAUCACGAACUCAACAUAAGGGUCAGGGAACAACCUGGUAAUACUUCCGAGAAGAUAUUCGGGAAAUCAUGAACCACCGAUAUGUUACUAAGCUCGAGAACAAUCUUGCUUUUCAGGGCAAGACGAUAUGAUCAAUAGAGCGAAGAUUUGAAAUAAUCCUAACUCAUCGAUCGAGGAGUGCACCAGGAGAAUGGACUAGGUAGCACGAUCAAUCUUAGAAUGAUGAUUCAAUAACCAACAUGCUAAGAAUGAAAUUAUUGUCCUCUAACUACCAAGCAACAGAGUUGCUAGGAGUAUUGAUUUGACACACCAUGAUUCACUUGUCGGCAUUCCGGUUACAAUAGCAGGGAAACCUAGGAAUGAACCAUGAUGGCAAGAAGUAUCACUGCGUCAAAAUUUCAUAAGAGGUGGUGCAAUUCUCAUGACAAUCCUAACAUAAAGAGGGCAACACUCCAAGGUAGAACAGAACAAAAGCUGGAUUGACAUUUUGAUCUGCGGAAUACAAUUGCUUUGACCCAAUCCUAGAUAUGGAUGAGGUACUGGAGUUUGUUUCUCCUAGUCACUCUGGAAUAGAAUGGCUUGACGGACCACAAGGGGAAUAAGCAUCGAUGAACGAAUGCAUACAUACGCUUGACUAUCAAUUGAUAGAUGAAGGUCAGAAGACAACUAAAGAGGGACAACUCAAAGGAACAUAUGAUUUUCUGAGUUGUGGAUGCAUGGUUUAGCAUGUUGAACGAAGUCCAACAGGUUUCUUCCGGAUAACCCAUGCAAAAAGGUAAGACUGGCAGAUUCUCAAUUCUUGAAUGGAGAACCCAUCAAGAGCACUCUGGUCGUAACCUUUUGGUUCAAAAGAACUCCUGCCAAGAAUGGUUCAUGGUAAUUGGAAGAAGGAUGUACCACGAACCUCGAGGACUAUCGCAGAGGUUACUAAUAUCUUAAUGGAACUAGCAAAUGCUAACAACGUGAAGUAAGUAGGGAAAUCUCGGGUUCAGAAACCCAGGAGUAGAAUACCUACUACUAAGUGGCAUCACGGGAUGCUUUCGAGAAUGAUGGCCAGAAUCAUCACACUGGGAGCACAAAGCAUGGCUAGAUUACUAGGUGAUACUCUAGACACCUAGGGUCAUAAUAAUUGCUCCAACAUAUAUGAUGAGGCAACAAAGUACCUCAACUCACUGGUUAGUGUGCUUAAACUGGCCUAAAGGGACAGCGAGAACGGGAAGAAGGGAUUUGCAAAUGCAUCAGAUUGUUUAGAAACCUGGGACGACUCGGACAGCAUAACAGCUGUAAAUGCUUGAAAAUAUUUGAGACAUCCUACAAAAUGGUGGCAUAACCACUCGAUCAUCCUGAUAUCAAGGUUUUGAAGCCAUCUAUGAACACAGGAAGUAGUAGGAACUGAACUGAGGCUUGAAUCCACCAAUCCUAUAAGUUUAUGGAUUAGUAACACGUGAUCCUGAUAGAAAGAAGAGAAAUCCUAGUUUCUUAACCCCGGUAGAAAAGAAGAGGCUGACUCAGAUCAGAAGGGCAUAAGGUAUAAGAAGUAAAAAGAGCCCUACUUUCCAUCCCACAAUCAAUUCCCUUAUAUAACUAAAUAAUCUCUAGACUCAACUUCGACCAGUUUGGCUUGGUAAACCUACAGGCAGUCAAGCUCUGAUACCAAAACUGUCAGGACCCUGAUCCAAUGCCACACCGAUCUAGCAUGUAAAACCUCAUAUCACUUUGCGGCCUCACGCACGGUAUUCCCACGGGUGUCGCCUUACCAGGCCCGGGACCGUUGGCGCCUUUUGGCAAACGUAUAUGAUAGUGUCGCUAGCAUCCAUAUGACAAGGAACCCGGGCUGACAUGGCUAGUCAUGAACCCAAAUUGGCAUUAACUUACGGGGACAUGCAUACAUGACCCAGCAACGAACGUGUCGGUCAUCAGCGAGUGAAUCCGGGCUGUAGCAACUGGGCUAGCAGGACUCUGGUAAAUCGGGCUGUAGCGGGCUAACAGGACUCCGGUAAACCCUGCGUGACAUUUUCCCGAAGGGACAGACACAGGAACGAAGAACGACACAUGCCGGCCAGCCUAAGUGUUCCAGCGCGGUAGCAAGCUACCAGGCUCAGUGGAAGCACUAGGAGACAUUUCCUGGCAAGAGAGGCUACCAAGGAUAAACAACUAGAUAGUCAGAUCCCACACAUACCAAGCAUUUCAAUAACAUACACGCAAUAUGCUCGAUAUGUGCAAAUACAGCAUGGCAUCACAACAUGACUCUACAACUCAAGUAUUUUAUUCAAUAGGCUCCGAGGAGCGAGAUAUUACAAACAUGGGUCUCAUGACCCAACAUUCAGAGCACACAAGUCAAAGCACAAAAGGAAGCUUAACAUGUCUGAGUACAGACAUCUACAAAUGAAAAAGGCUGAGAACACUGACUAUCUACAAGAUCCUGCCGAGGGCACAAGAUCGUAGCUGAGGUAACAAGCUAAACAUCGAAGCCCACGCAAAACUACUAGUGAGACGGAAGUCUCUCUAUAAAAACAUAAAAUAGGCAAACGUGAGUACAAAUGUACCCAGCAAGACUUACAUCAGAACUAACUACAUAUGCAUCAUUAUCAACAAAGGGGGUGGUGGGGUUUAACUGCAGCAAGCCAGCUUUGACUCAGUGGCUAUUCUGAUCUACGACUGCAUGUAACUCUUUUGAGGUGGCGCACACGAGUCCACAUAUUCACCAUAUCAAUACACCACUAUGGAUCCGCUCCCAUCUCCCUACGAGAACACCAUCCAUAGCACUCACGCUUAUCCUGCGUAUUUUGGAGUAUCCACUUUCACUUGUCUAUGAACUGUACAGGCAACCCAGAAGUCCUUUACCGCGGACACGGCUAUUCGAAUAGAUAAUGCUAACCCUGCAGGGGUGUACUUCUUCACACACACUCUCGCCAGUUACCGCCAUGUACAUGUCAUGUAUCUCGGCAACCUUCAAGCGGAAUCCUGGCGAGGGUGUCGGCCACGACCUGACUAACCACACAAGUCUCUCGUCCAGGUUUAUCGCCUAUUUGGGUUCCAUCCGCAAGGAAAUCCGGCCGGGGUGUUGCUCACAGCCCCAAACGAUGUGUGCAGGGUUCCCAAGCCCACCAUCCGGGUGCCACUUGGUACACCGGGCCACUGUGCCUAGUCUGUCCCAAGCCCACCUGUACCGGGUGCCACUUGGUAGACUACUAAAACUACCUACAAACACCAGAAUUUAGUUGCAACUCCUGGAUAGAGAUCGAGUUGAUUAAUAAGUCGAGAGGGGUCGAGUUACCGGAACCCAAUGUGUGGUAGUAACUGUUCAUGGAUCACAAACACAGAACUCAAUUCCUGAGGACGGUUUCCAUGAGACAGCCCACCAUGUACUCCUACAUGGCCUCUCGUCGCUACCUUUACCAAAUCGUGUUCACACACUUAUCUCUCAACAGUAGGACAUGCUCACCACAUUCCAAUUCAUCCCUGAUGAAUCAGACCUGACACAACUCUAAGCAAUAGCAGGCAUGACAAACAAGCAUGAAUGAGUAGGCACAUCAGGGCUCAAACAACUCCUACUCAUGCUAGUGGGUUUCAUCUAUUUACUAUGGCAAUGACAGGUCAUGCAGAGGAAAGGGGUUCAACUACCGCAGCAUGUAACAGUUGAAUCGUUGUUGUCCUAAUGCAGUAAAAGAGAGCAGGAGUAAGAGAGUGGGAUUGUAUCGGAAUGAACAAGGGGGUUUUGCUUGCAUGGCACUUCUAAAGAUAAUAUAGUUCUUCAUCGGUGUCAUCGAACUCAUCGUCGGAACCAUGUCUAUUGAGAGGGGACAAAUAUCAGCAACACGGAGAAAACACAAUCAAUGCAAUGAAACAAUAUGAUGCAUGAAUAUGACAUGGCAAAAUGAAUGUGUUUUGGCUAAUGCAACUGAGAACAGAUUAAAUGAAGUUGGUUUGAACCAAGGGUUCAAAUUCAAACUCCAUAUGUGCUUAUUUAAAUGCCAAUUAUGCAAAUUGCCAUAUAUAGCAACCUUAGGUUGUUCAAACAUGCAUGAAAAUGGUACAGAUGGAUAGAUUGGAUUUUUCUGAUAAGUUUUCAUAUAUAAAUUAUUUCAUUUGGAGUUAUGGUUGAAUUUCUAUGAUUUUUAGAAGUUUAAACUAUUUUCUGGAAAUUCCUGGAUUAUUUUGAAUUAGAAUAAAUCCAGAAAAUCACUCACUACGUCAGCACUAUGUCAGGGUGACGUCAGUGAGUCAACAGGUCAGCCCAGGUCAAACUGACCUGUCGGGCCCACUGCUCAGUGACAGAGGGGCUAAUCCCGCGUUGACUCGUGCUUUGACUCUUUGUGGGGCCCACUGUCAGUGGCCGGUGGGGUUGUUAGUGCCUAAACUAAUUAGGCCACGUCAGCCCGCCGAAGAUUAGCCGGCAAUGACCACAGCCGGUGGUGGGGGUUCACCGGAGUUGCGCCAAAGGCGACGGAUCUACGCGCCGAGGGAACCAGAAAGUAGCCCGUGCCCGCGCGCAUCCAGAUAAAGCAACGGGAGGGCUUGGGGUGGCCGGAGUUCGCCGGAAGAGAGCUCGUGGCGACGGCCGGAGUGCGGGUGGGGUCGGGUUUGGCACUACGGUGCACGGGAGGAGAAUCUGGUGGGUGGAACGUGCUCCUGGUGGUGCACUGAGCGCGCUUACAGGCUCAGACGCAGGUGGCGGCAGUUGUGGCCGCAGCGGCGCCAUGGACAGCAGUGGGGAGCUUUUGGGUGCGGUGGGAACGGCGGCUACGGAGGCCAAACGAGCACGGGAGCUAGGGGGAGAGGAAGAGGAGCUCACAUCAAGGCCGUCGGUGAUCUCAGCGUGCUCGGGGACGGCUUGGAGACGACGGAAUGUCGGUGGCGAUCUCCGGCGGUAGAGGAGGAAGAUGAUGAGGUAGCUGGUGAUGCGGGGCGCCUGGCGCCGCAUGGCUCUUCGUAGAUGAUGAAUACGAUGUUAUGGUUCUUCUGGGCGGGUCGGCAAGGCGAGGGAUGGCAGGUGGCCAUGGUGGCAGUGCACGGCGGCGAUGAGCUCUGCUCGGUGGCUACGUGCGAGAAACAGAGGAGGGGGAAGGAGCGAGGAGAGCGAGAGAAGGGUCGGGGGGUCGCGUGGCAUCGUCUAGAGCCGUCCAGAGCGAGCAGGUAGGCUGGAGGUGGCCGGGCGCAUGCCGGCGAGCGUCGGCCACACACGCUCCAGUCCUUCUAGCGUGAGCUGGAAGAAGACAAGGGAGAGAGAUGGGCUGGGCCAACACAGUGCAGGCGGGUGAGUUUCUGCUCCUUUUUUGUUUUGUUUUCUAUUUUUGCAAUUUGUUUUGAUUUGAUUUUAUCCCAAAUCAUUUUUAUAAAUUCUAAAAAUUAUAAUGUGGCCUGGUAAAAUAUAUUCAAGGCCACUCACAAUUUUUAGAAUUAUUGGAUUUAUAUUUAACAUAUAUCAAAUAUAAAUCCAAUGCAAAUAAUUAUUGGAUUAACUCAAAUGCCCAAAAUAAAUAUUUCUGAGACUCCAAAAAAUAUUGGUUUGAAUUUUAUCUCUUGCCAAUAUUUUCAGAGAACAAGAGGAACAUUUUUUUGGACUCAUUUGAUGAGAUUUGAAUGUUGAUUAAUUUUUGAACUGAUUUUUGAGGGUUUCAACUAACCUCAAUUCAAGUUUUCGAAAUUUAAACAUGAUGCAUGGCUACUUAUGCAGAGUCAGGCAAGGGCUAAGCUAGGCUGUGACAUCUUUGGCGCGCCAGGUAGGGGGUGCAGUUGUGAAAAUCUGAUCUAGUAGCUAGUCUAGCAGUCCUUCGUCGCCAUGGUUUCCAAGGAAGGAUGCGAUCGAACGGGCGGCAUCAUCUGCGGGUGCAGCAAACGCUCGCGCAGCGACAGAAAAGCUAAGUCACGCAAAAACUUUGAGCAAUUCUUUUUAUAUAAGGCUAUUUUCCUUGGAGACCUUUCCCUCUGUAUACGAAACCUGCACGCAAUGGGGCCCUUCCACUAUUGGCAAUGCCUUCAUUCUGUUUCGAGUCCGCUCAAUAGUUCGAGCGGCUGCAUCAAGAACGGCAGGGUAGCCUUCCGCUAUUGGCAACGCUCUUGUUCUGCCUUGAGUCCGCUCGAUAGCUCGAUCGGCCGCAUCGAGAACGGCAAGGUGGUUCGCCUGGCAGCACGCACACCCGGCAGGCUAUUGGGGAUCCGUCCUUGAGGCGCCGCGACAUGGGUUUACAUGCCAGCAAGCCUACCCACUUAACGUAGGGUGGACAUACAGAGAAAGAUCAAAUUAGAAAAUAACAUGCAUCGUUUCAAAAGUACUGCAGAGUUAUGUUACAUCAAUUGUUGCUGCGGUUCUAACUAAAGAUAUUAAUUGUCUUGGUCGUGAACCUGCAGCGGCAAUGAGAAAUGGGGUGCCUAGUCCCGGCGCUGGCCCUCCACCCUCUCGAUUCCAUCGACGUGGCUGAUAAUGGGCUUGAUGCGCUUCCUGAGCGGCGCGAGGUCCACGUCCUCCGAAAAGCUCUCCAGCGCGGCAUCGAGGUCGAGGUUGGGGUACCAGUACGCCACCUUGGUGAGAACCUUGGUCAGGGCACCCCGGCAAAGCUGCCGGGCCUCUUUGGCCAGAGAGCUCGCUCUGUUAGAGCGGAACUGCACCAGGGCACCAAGAACGCCCUCGAAAAACGGGGUCAGCCUGGCGUUGGGGCUUACGUUCGGCUCUGGGGUGUACCUCACAUCUGACAUCCCCAUUUCAGCCAGCUUCUCGGUGAUCCUGUUGGCGACGUUAGUGAGGCGGCUGAUCCAAAGGUUUUCGCCCUUCACGAAAUCCUCGUGGUUGGCGGCAUCAUUCUUCCGCAGCUACCUCUCCGUCUCCAGGCUCUUGGUCAAGGUCUCCUCCCGGGCCUUGGCCUCCGAAAGCAUCCCCUCAGGACCCUCCAGCUUCAGCUUCAGGUCCUGAAUGGAAUCGUUGGCGCGAGUGAGCAUCUUGGCCUUGUUGAAGACUGUGCCCUGCGCCUCUGUCAAGGCGUAGCUGACCGUGUCCUCUCCUUCGCCAGCUUCUCGACCCUAUUCUUCAGGCCGUCCCGCUCCGCCUCUAGCUCCGUCACCUUGUCGCCAUGGGCCAAAGCUUCAGCAUCAAGUGCUUCUUUGUGCUUCUGCUCCAGCUCCUGGGUCUGGUGCGCGACGAGCUUCGCGACCUCCUCAUCCUUGUCGCGGAGUGUGGUGGCAAGCGCCGCCUCACGAGCGACGAGAUCCUCCUCCUGGGAGUUUAGCUCGGCCUGGCGCUGGGACCGGGCGACCUCAGCCUUGGCGGCCUCUUCCCUCGCCGCCUCCUGGGCCUUCUUGAUGUCGGCCUGCUUCAAGAGGAGCUCCUACUGGCGCUCGGCCAGCUGGUCUUGGGCAGCCCUCAGCUCCUCGUGGGCCUGGCAGAACCAGGCAUGCACCUCGGCAAUGCGCUCCUUGAGAUCCGCCUCCACCUUGCCCACCGCUGCCUUCCUGGACUUCGCCUUGUCCAGUCGGGCGCGGUGGAGCACCUGGAGCUUCCAGAAGCUGGCGCCCAUGGCCUGGAGAAGCUGCCCUCCUGGGUACCGCCGCCACCGAUGCUCGGUUCGUUGUCAACCUCAAGCCCGGCGGCGACGAGAACCUCGUCGUCGAACACCUCCCCCUCGGCCGACGCCCUGGUGCCCGCCGUCCAUGGAAGGUGGACGAACAAGUCGUCGCCCACCUUCAGGUAUCUGCUCGAGCCAGAGGCAGCAUAGGAGGAGGGUUGAUCAUCAACCACCUCCUCAUCGGCAGCGGCCUUGCCGGCCUCUUCGGCAGGCCCGUUGCCGGCCUCCUCGGCAAUACCCUUGCCGGCCUCCUUGGCGGCAGCCUUGCCGCUCUCUUCGGCGGACCCCUUGGUGCCGUCCUCAGCAGCAUUCUCGGCGGCCUCCUCGGCAGCGAUCUUAUCGGCCUCGGCCUUGGCAUCCUUGGAGACCUCCGUGAUGACGGUGUCGACGUCCUCCUGGCCCGCCAAGGGAGGAUCUGGAUGCCGGAAAGGAGAAUGAGGCAAGGCCAAGAUCAAGGUUCGAAAAAAAGAGGAAAGAAGGAGAAGCAGGAACAAAAAGCAGGUGACUUACCUGUGCCGGGCUGAAAAGAAGUGGCCCCCUCCCUGCCAACAUCUGUUACCGGGACGGAGCCACCAGUACCCAAGUCUACCUCCUCCUCCUCCUGCGUGCGCAUGGGCUCGGCGAUUGGUGCCCUUGCCGGGGACACCCCUCAGGGCAGUGUGGUUGAUGGGGCGGCGUGUUGGAGGUGGCCCUCGAUGUCUCCUCCUGCUGCCGUCCUCCUCCUGCAGCCACGACAAGGUCAGUGCCACAAGAUCGUACCCCGGCGCACAUUGAUGAGGAGUAGGCGGUGGACGCACGCUGGGGACUGAGCCGGGGACUGUUGUCCGUGCUGAUCUCCACCACCAGCGUGUGUGAAGCGACCACCGGGGGCUGGUCGCUUGCCGACGCCCUGGCCCUCUUCGCCACCCUCUAGGCCAGCGCCUCCCUGUCCCUGCGAAGACAAACACAAGUUACAAAAAGCAACGCGGCCGAGAAGAAUGGAGAUGACGAAGGGCGGACACUUACUCAUCCUCCGCCUCCUCUUCCGCUGCCCUCCUUUUCCUCCUUGGGCUGACGGACCCAAGGUCGAAGGCGACCUCCGGGUCGACAUCUGUGGGAGGAGGGGAAGGGGAUGGAGUCCGGCGACGCUUGGACGAAGAAGAGGCGGUCGCCUUCUUCUUCGCCACCGUGGUAUUCGCCGCCUUAUUCGCUGUCGCGGCCCUUGUCUGGCGCACGGACUCCCCCUGGGCCCCUUGUCGCGGUUCGGUCCACCUGGGCCGGACCGGCUCGCCAGAGCUGGCCCGCCGCAGAACACGCCCUCUUCCCGUGGCCGUUGGAUCGUCGGCAUCAGCCUCUCCCUCGGUCGACUCCUCGACCACCUCCUCGACGAGAGGGGCCUCGGUGUUGGCGCCUCUGGCCUCCCCGGCAGCCCUCGCCCACUGAGCGAGCUCCCUCUCCUCCGCGGCCAUGCCGUCCUCAUCCUCCAUGCCGCCAGCACUGCCGGUCUCCAUGGCGAGCUGCGCCUCGACCACCCGGGCAGCAAUGUAGUCAAUCUCCGCCUGGGUGGUAUCCGCGACGAGCAGCGGCUCAUCACAGUCAAAGCCCUCCGACAAGUUGUCGAAGAACUCCUGCACCUCGCAUGCCGGGGGCUCGACCCAGGACGGGUCAAGGCCGUGAGCAUUGAAGACGGUCAUCAUUUCGAGAAUGGCGGCCUGGCAUGUGUUGUUGCUCAGCAGGAACACACCCGGCGGCAACCCAAACAGGGGCCCCUUGAUGACCUUGCCGGCCUUCAUGGCCCUGCCGGUCCUCUCUACCCUGCCGUCGGCAAACACAUCAAGCUAGAAGAGCCUCUGGCAGUAAUGGGCAUGUCCCAUCACCAUGAAGUUAUGCUUCAGGCCGGGGCAGAGCCUCAUGAUGUCGGCCACGUUCCUGAAGUCCCAGGCCGGCCUCCCCUUGUUGUGCAGCGGGGCGAUUCGGCGGCGAAUGAAGUCCGCCCCGAUCAUCUCAAGGGUGAGCCCGGUCGUGGUGAGGUGAUGGAUGCUGGUGAUGGCGACCGAGAGCUUCGCGUCGUCGGCGUCGAUAUCGCUCCAGUGCUCGCCGCGAAUCGGCGUGCUCCGGCGAACCCGGCAGAACUCCGGCGGAUUCUUCUCCUUAAUCCAGCACCACCGACCCCGCCACUCCUCCCACCUCUCCUUGUGGGCACCCUCCGGAUGCGUGCCUCUCCCUUGGACCCUCGGGAUCCAGGAGAUGAUUCCGGAGAGAGCGCCCCCUGGCUGGAGGCAAGGAGAGAAGUAGUGGCGGAAGAGCGCCGUGCUGGGAAGCACCCCAAUGAAGCCCUCACAGAGAUGGCCGAAGAACACCAUGCACGCCAUGGCAUUCGGUGUGAGGUCCAGAAGACGGAAGCCGAAGGUGCGCAUGACGUUGUUGUAGAAAUCGGAGAAGGGGGGCAGAGUCCACAGGAGAAGAAAUCGAUGAAGAAGGGGUAUCGAUUUGGGCCAGCCUCGCCGUAGUCGGCGGGGAUGAUGCGCGUGGCCGGGUGCCCCGUCGUCUCCGCCUCCCACAGAGGCCUGAAGAAAUCCUUGAGGUGGAAUACGUCGACUGACGACGGGGAGAAGUAGGUGAACUGCGCCCGCCGCACCGGCGCCUCCUUCUCCACGACAUCCUUGGCCGCCCCCUUGCCCUUUCCCUUGCCAGUCUUGGGCGCCAUGGCGGCUGGGCGAAGGCAGAGGAUCGAGAGCAAUGGGGCCGCAGCAGCAACAAGCAGAGGCGAGCUCGAGGAGGAAGAAAAUGAGGACAGUGGUGCCCAGAUUGGAGAAAGCACAGAGGGUAAAUGAGCACCGCGCCUACGGUUAUUCCUUUUAAUGGGGAAGGCGUGGGCCGCCUCUUUACCAUUUACUACGACGUGACGCCUGCGUGCAGCAGACGCCCCACACAUGCGCCCCACGUCACACAUGACCCUCCACGUCGCGCAUUCAACGCGGGUCAUGGGGAAGCGCAGCGGGCAGAAAAAUUACCGCUGUAAAAAUCGGCCCCGCCUGCCGUGCACCGUUCUGGGCCUAGCCCAACAACGCGUUGCGAUUUUGUGUGGCCAAGGCCCGGGGGCUUCUGUCGAUGUACAUAAGUAGGGGAUCUACUUUGCACCCCUUUAUCUAUGCAUGGGCAGUCAGAGCCGCGCCUGCGGCCACACUUAGCAGGGCAAAGGAAGGAAGCCAAAGCCACGAGACGAUCAAAGCAACGCCAAGACAGAGACACAAAGAGCAAGAGGGCGAGGUGGAGUCCCCGGCAAGACCUUGCCGGGGCAACUUGCCCAACACCAGCGGAGCGUUCCACCCUUGAGCCCAAGGUUUCCAACAUCAUCAACAACAUUGGAACCAAGGCUCGGGAGGCACCUCCACGGUGGCAUGCAGAUCUUUGUGAAGAUCAUUAACACACAAGAUCAGAUGAGGACCAGAAGACGAGACCUCCGGCAACAUCCUUACCGGGGACGACCACAGUGCCACGGCAAGACCCUUGCCGGGGCCCCCGCAAGGCCCUUGCCGAGGACAUCAGUGGAGCCGCGGCCAGGCCCGCGUGCGCCAAGACCCAACCGCCGUUCCCAUGCAGCUGCCAGCCCAGCCAGCAAGGAGAGCACAUGUGUGGUGACCUGCGGCCCCAAGACCAGCUCAGCAAGCACCUGCGUGGUGGCAUGCAAAUCUUCGUGAAGACGCUGCCACCGCGCCAGCUCAGCAGCCUGCCAGCCUACAUGGCACUACCCGCCUCGCUGGCCUGGGCGCAUGUCAAAGCAGGGCGAGGCGGCAACAAAGCGAGGGGACACCCCAGGGGCGCAUUUAAUGCGUCUUGUCCCAUAAUGGCAGGCGAUAAGCUUGUACUCUGUACACUUUCCACCUCCUGUGUGCCACUGUGGCGCCUCCUUCGACUAUAAAAGGAGGCCCGAGGCGUACUGGAGGGGGAUUCGGCUCUUUGAGCAAGUCACACAUGAUAGCUAGCUCAAGAACACUAAAAUACACACCAAAGCAGGACUAGGUUAUUACACAAUCCCCACGGCCUGAACCUGGGUAAACGACCUUUGUGCUGGCUCUUAGACCCGCUCUUCUCACAACCCCGCGCCCGCCGACUACAGUAGGGAUCCCGUUGAUCCCAUAGGUGUCGUUCUCAACGACAAAAAGAAAUAUGUUCUUCUUAUUUUUGGGGACAUGCAUAUCCCCAUUGAGGUAACCUAGUGUUAUACAAAAAUUCUCCAGUUUCAUGUCAUUCGGAAGAAGUUUGUUAAUAAGACUUGAUCAACCUUGUUAAUGGAUUCCUUUUGAUGGGCAUGACAUGGAUGAAUUUAGUAAACACAACUCUUUGUACCCAUCCUUUACCUUCUGUUAUUUAGAGUAAAUAAAGCAAAAAGGCUAUUAUUUUUCUAUUUUCUGAAUUAUCCAUGCAAUAAAAAAAUUACCAGAAAAUAAAAGUUCUCCAAAUGCCCUGAAAAUUUAGUAUGAUUUUUUUUAUAGAAUAUUUAAGAAUUUUCGGCACUGAACACACAUUAGGGGAUGCACCAGUGGGACACAAGCCCACAGGGUGCGCCCACCCCCUUGGCGCGCCUACAGGGCUUGUGGGUCCCACGUGGGUCCCCCUCACUUAUUCCAGCACCCAUUCACUUCAUCUUCCUCUAGAAAAAAUCCCACCAUUACUCAAACUCGUGUUCUUGCUCAUUUUGCUGCCAUUUUCGAUCUCCUUGCUCAAAGAUCCAUUUGCAAAACUAUUUCAGGGGAUUGUUCUUCGGUAUAUGACUCCUCCAAUGGUCCAAUUAGUUUUGGGAUUUUUGCAUUCGUGCCCCUAGUUGGGUCAUGCUUGACAGAUUUGCCCCUAGUUUUCCAACAAUUGCGGUUUUGCCCAGCUCACUUCACUCGCCUUGUGUUUUUGCCCUUCCGGGGCGGUUCCGACCAAUCAUGGUUUGCCAUGUGAAGUGAGCUGGCGACUGCUCAUUGGUCGGAACCGCCCCGAAAGGGAAAAACACAAGGCGAGUGAAGUGAGCUGGGCAAAACCGCAAUUGUUGAAAAACUAGGGGCAAAUCAGUCGAGCAUGACCCAACUAGGGGCACCAAUACAAUUGUUUCAUUAGUUUUUGUUCUAGUGCUUUAUAUUUUGCAAAUCUUUGCUGUUGUGGUGACCAUGUUCUUGAGCUUGCAUGUCAAAUUUAUAUGGUCCAAAGUAGUUUUGUUACAUGAUAUAGCCUCUAGACACUCGUGGGAGUAGUUGCUAUCAAUCGUGUUGAGCAUUGUUCACUUUUAUUUUGAGUCACUAAAAAAUUCAAAAACAAUUCAAAAAAAGAAAAUGUUGAGGAACAUGUUCCAAGGUGGUUCCUCAAAGAAGAAGGCCCCAAGGCUCGCAAUGUGUGAGCCAGAUCUCGAACCACCGAGGGAUGCCCAAGUGCAACCUUGUGAAUGGCCGUCAGGUCCCUUCAUGACUCAUGCAGGCUUCAAGGAAGAAUUUGAAAUGUAUGUACACAACGCCGGACUGACAGACUUCGUGUCAGAUAAGUGUUUUCAAUACUACAACCUCACUGAUUCCUUUGUGCAAAGAUUUAAGUAUUCAGUCUAUCGCAAUAUGCAUUUUGUUUUAUUUGAUCUUUAAGAUAAAUCAUUUACCAUGGACCUAGAAGAUUUUAAUGAUGCAUGCAAAAUUUCACAAUGGUGUACUUGUACUGAACCUCGCAAAUCUGAUUGCAUUGGAUUCCUUUCGAGCAUUACCGUAAGUGAAACUAGGACCAUAACCCAAGCCACUAUAGGGAGCAUUCACUUUCCUGUAUUACAUAACUUUGCUCUCUUCGUGGAGGAUGCAUUAAUGGUAAACAUGAUCACAGUCACCUCUAUGCCCCUGAUUUGAGUGUACUCAAGAGCGCUAUAAUGAAUGAAUUUUUUUAACUUGGGGGCUAUCAUUGCGCGUAGAUUACAUAACAAUGCUAAAGAUGGGGAUUUCUUUGGUGGAAUUUAUGCCACCCGCUUAGCUAAUUAUCUUGGUGUCCCCAUAAGAGAAAAUGAUACUCUGUUACCACCUGCUUUCCUUGAUUAUAAUGCUAUGGUAUGUUACCAGUUCCUUGAGAGGAACGAUCAGUCCCUCCUGUACCGACUAAUCUUUGAUAGGGAGCGCGUCUUCCGUAUUACGCUUCCUGCUCCAGGCUUCUUUGAUUAUCAGGUGAAAUGAAGGUACUUCAUAACCAUAGAGGAGGCAGCCGACUAUGAGAGAGAGGGAGAGUCUGCCCGUAUCCACGAGGCAGCUCUCCAAGCGGUAGCUGCCGCAGCUCUCCAAGCAGUAGCUGCCGCAGCUCAGUACAACCCCAACUAUAACUUUGGAUAUCCGCCAAGCCAGCCGUGGCCCUAUACCAACUUAGUCCAAAGCCUAAGCUUGGGGGAGUACGUAUUUCUCACCGACAUUACAUUUAUGUUCACACACUCAUUUUGGUUGUCGGUAUUCAUAUUGUUUCAUUGCAUUAUCCAUGUUAGUUUAUUUUUCUCGCUUUCUUCUAGUGUGUUUGAAGAAAAAAAACUUUGAGAAAAUCCAAAAAAAUUAGUUCUCACUUCUUUCUAGUUUUUCUUUCUAGUUUAUUUAGUUGUAGUAUUAAAAGAAAACCCAAAAACAAUCUCGUUCUUCUUUUGCUUGUUGGGAGCUUUCCCGUGUAAAUAGUUUUUCUCGUUCUUGUGUUACUUUCUUCAGAAAAAUAAAAACUCCAAAAAUAGUUCAGUGUGUUUCUUUGAAAUUCCUUUCUUUUCUUUGGGUCGUAAGAAGAAGACCACAACGAAAAUGUUGAGUGGCUCUCAUAUGCAUUAUUGUUGAUCUAACAAAGAGACCAUAUUACCUUGUCUUCUCCUUUGAAUAAAUGUUGCAGAUUCCAACUUAGUCCAAGUCACAUGCACUCUUAUUAUUAUUCACAUCGUUCGGUCAUGCAAGCGAAAGGCAAUAAUAACGAUAUAUGAUGAAAUGAUUGAGAUGGAGAAAAGCUGGUAUGAACUCGACCUAUUUUGUUUUUGUAAAUAUGAUUAGCUCAUCGUUCCUGAUUCAGCUUAUUAUGAAUGAAACAUGUUUGCAAUGACAAUUAGAGAUUAUAGUUACUCCUUCCAUGCUUAAUUAGCUAGGAGCGUAUAAUGGUUUGUCUUGAGUGCCAACACGCAAUUUUAAUAUGGUUAUGAUGUAGUAUGAUACGAUGGUAUCCUCCUUUGAAUGAUUCAAGUGGCUUGACUUGGCACAUGUUCACGCAUGUAGUUGAAACAAAAACAACAUAGCCUCCAUGAUAUUUAUGUUUAUGGUGUCAUGCUUGCACUCAAUGUUGGUUAAUCUCAAUGCAUGUUUAUGACCAUUGUCGCUCUCUAGUUGGUCGCUCCUCAAUCUUUUGCUAGCCUUCACUUGUACUAAGCAGGAAUGCUGCUUGUGCAUCCACUUCCUUAAACCCAAAUUUGAUCCAUAUGAGUCCACCAUACCUACCUAUAUGCGGUAUUUACCUGCCAUUCCAAUUAAAUUUGCAUGUGCCAAACUCUAAACCUUUAAAUAAUAAUCUAUUUUGGAUGCCUGAAUCGCUCAUGUAGUGACUGGGGGGGCUGUCAGUAUCUUCCAUGCUAUGUGGGUUAUUGUCACAAUAAGUGUUUAUUCACUUGUCAUUUACGAGAAAGUGGCUGGUAAUCAGGAUGCCCAGUUCCAUGCUCGAAAUCAAUCAAAACUAGAUCAUUGAUGGUGCGCGUUGUUGCGCCCAUCUAUUUUGGCGCUUAGUUGUUAGGGAUAUAAAGUAACUUGUAUACAUUUGUUUGCAAUGCAUUUAAAUAUUGUGCUUGUCUCCUCCAUCUUGGAUAAUAUAAUGGUAUGUAACUAAAGAGAGAAAUCCAGAAAAGUAGUGAUCUAGGAAGCAAUAUUUUUUUUGGCUCCUAAUAAAAAAGACUAUCCCAAAGGCUCACAUCACAAUAACUAAAAAAUAAAAAUAUUGAGGAAACACAUCAGCAAUAUUCAAGAGGGAGAAAAUUGGACAUUACAAACAUUUUAGAACUUUGGACAAUAUUUGUAUUAUCUAAAAUAUCUCAAUGUGUUCUAGAGAGUAAUACAAUUAUACAUUGUGGUCUAAGGGACAAAUAUUGUUGCAUCACGUCAGGAUAGAUGACUGAAUGUGUACUAGCUUAGAUUUGAGGUUGUAGAACACCAUCUGAUCUACAAUAAUAAGAGUUUCCUUAAGCUCAAUAUUAAAUGGUAGUGGUUGUUGUGAAACAAUUACUCAAGUUGUAUUACAUCUUAACCAACUUAGAGUUACAAAUAAAAUACAUGUUAAUAAGGCAAAACAAUUGAGGAAAUAGCUACAUAGGCAGUGCCGAAAAGAGCAGAACAAUUAUAAUUGCUCUGUAAACAACAUGGUGUAUGCUGAUGAAGGAAACAAUAAUGAGAACAUUACCUACAGAACAUUUUUUGCUAGUAUCCGUAAAUGAGCAUCAUCCAUCAAAUCAGAAUCAUAAAUCGAGUGUGGCUUAUAGAACUAUCCUUAGUAUAUCUUUGAAGAUGGGAAAAUAAAAUCUAGAUCAUGUGUAACAAAUGAGAUUUGCAUCAAGUGAUUAAAGCUCAGCUAUGUGCAUGCAUGUAGAUGUUUCUAUAAUAAUUAUGAUGCCUUCCACAUGCUAACACUGACAUAAAAUAACCCACUUGCUUUAAGCAAUGGAAAAAUAUUAAAAUAAAUUACUACUAUUAUAAUCAUGUAAUUUCACUUCUUUCAAAAGAAGUUUACCCGAUUUUGUAGCUGAGAGAUACCUAAAUAAUGUGUGACAACUGACAAUGGUUGCAAACCAGACACUUGAUGGUAUGUAAACAUUUAAGAAUCGUUUGUUAAAAAAGUAUUGGAAUCUAAUUUGUGAGAUCCCCUCUCGCCAGAACCUAUGUGACUUUGAACUAAGCACGACAAAAGUGUGCAAACCAAAUAUAAGCUCAAGAAUACCUAAUGGCGUGGCAUUCAUGCCAAUUGAUAGAUAUCAACAUGUUUACACCAUUCAAUCACUAAGAAUUAGUCUUAAUUUAGAAAAGGAUGUUAUACGUAUUAGAUUUAGGAUUUGUCCAUCAUCUAGUAAUUAUAAUAUUUCUUAAAAACAACAAAUCAGGCGGCCUGCUCAAAAUACCAAAAAUAGAAGUGACUUAAUCAAACAUUUUGCCAUGCCUUAUCUGAUUCCAUAUAUUCUCAUAAACCAGCAAAAAAACAACCUCAAACUAAAUUGAAAUGAGGUAGGAAAAACUCACAUUCAUGUGUAUGAUUAGGCAUUAGGUAUGUAACAGGGGUUGUGGUCAUGCGGUAGGUGGCGCAAGUAAUGCAAUAACGGUGGCGGUCUCUUGUGCUCCGGCUCGCAGCCUCUUUUGGUGCCUUCCUCCUGUUGCACGGUUCUUAUUACUAUAUGACACGACUUAGCAUAUGAACAUACUUGUACCGAUUCUUUUAUCAAAAAUGCAUGUAGUAAUUAGUACUCUUGACAUGUAGAACCUAACCAAGAAACAUGUUAUGGUGUUGUCUCCUUCGUAGUGAAAAUAUGUUACAAAGCUGAUAUAAAAUGAUCUAACAAUAUAUUUCACAACUGGAAUGGUAAAUAGUAGUCUAGCAGCAAAAUCCAGGCUACAUAUAAUGGAUAGGGAUUGAACAAGCACAGCUGAAACCAGGGGAGUAAAUUAGAAAGGGUGUCUCACCUUUGUUCAAAUGACGAGCAUUCUAGAAUUCAUGUCGACCUGAGAUUCAAUCUUGUACUAGAACUUACUGUCAAUGAUGAAACCAAAAUAAAUGGAGUUAGUAAUGAAUUAAACACCUAUUUCUAGGCCUAUACUAUAAAUGUGUGGGUGGGGUUGUUCAAGAAGAUAGAACUGAAGAGCACAAAAAUAAAACACUUUUGAGCAUCUUGGACGGAUCUAUUUUGGUUCGCGCCUGGUGAACAUGUUUGUAAGCAAUAUCGAUGGUACCGAAAAUGACUUCUCACAAGCGAUGGAAUGCAUGUCGAUAAAGCAAUGAGCCCAAUCUCUGUUUGAUGUUGUUCAAACAAUAAUUGCAAAGCUAGAGAUACCAAGUCCUUUUAUUUAAGAACACAACAGGCGGUACACUUGCAAAUAAGACUGCUUCAAUUCAUUAACUAAAUGGUUUUUCCAGUUGCUAGCUAGACAUCCUACCACAGACCCCAUGAAAUUAAUUCUCGGCCAUUCAAUGAAUCUGCACCGUGUGAAACCAUUUCAAAAUGGGGAUGAAUGAAGAAGGAUGCUAAGCUUUGUUCACGACAUGACGAUGUGUGCCGGGCUAAGGUAGUUGCAAACCCGAUAACUUUCUUCACAACAGGGUCUUCAAGUGGAGUAGAACUACUGCAAGCGCGCGGAUUGAUACGUCUCCAACGUAUCUAUAAUUUUUGAUUGUUCCAUGCUGUUAUAUUAUCAUUCUUGGAUGUUUUACAAUCAUUUUAUAGCAACUUUAUAUCAUUUUUGGGAAUAACCUAUUGACAUAGUGCCCAGUGCCAGUUGCUGUUUUUUGCUUGUUUUUACUUCGCAGAAAAUCAAUACCAAACGGAGUCCAAACGCAGCAAAACUUUUUGGAGAUUUUUUCUGGACCAGAAGACACCCGUUGGGACAAGAAAGUACCUGAGGGGGGACUCCGAGGGAAGCACAGCCCACCUGGGCCUGCCUGGCCCCCAGGCGCGCCUUGGCGGGUUGUGCCCACCUCCGUUGCCUCCCGCACCAUCUCUUUGCUCUAUAAAUACCCUGGAUACCCAAAACCCUAGGGGGUCGACGAAAUCAAUUCCAGCCGCCGCAAGUUCCAGAAACCACAGAUCCAAUCUAGACACCAUCACGGAGGGGUUCAUCAUCCUCAUUGGUGCCUCUCCGAUGAUGCGUGAGUAGUUCAUUGUAGACCUACGGGUCCGUAGUUAGUAGCUAGAUGGCUUCCUCUCUCUCUCUCUCUCUCUCUCUCUCUCUUGAUUCUCAAUACAAUGGUCUCUUGGAGAUCUAUUUGAUGUAACUCUUUUUCCGAUGUGUUUGUUGGGAUCCGAUGAACUUUGAGUUUAUGAUCAGAUCUAUGUUUUUAUCCAUGAAAGUUAUUUGAGUCUUUUGAUGUCUUAUAUGCAUGAUUACUUAUAGACUUGUAUUUCUUCUUCGAAUCUUUGGUUUAGUUAGGCCAACUAGAUCGAUUUUUCUUGCCAUGGGAAGAGGUGCUUUGUGAUGGGUUCGAUCUUACAGUGCUUGCUCCCAGUGAUAGAAGGGGAACCGACACGUAUGUAUUGUUGCUAUUAAGGAUAACAAGAUGGGGUCUAUUUCUACAUAAAUAGAUCUUGUCUACAUCAUGACAUCAUUCUUACUGCAUUACCCCAUUUCUCCAUGAACUUAAUACACUAGAUGCAUGCUGGAUAGCGGUCAAUGUGUGGAGUAAUAGUAGUAGAUGCAGGCAAGAGUCGGUCUACUAAUCUUGGAGUGCUGCCUAUAUAAUGAUCAUUGCCUAGAUAUCAUCAUGAUUAUUUGAAGUUCUAUCAAUUGCCAAACAUUAAUUUGUUUACCCACCGUAUGCUAUUUCUCGAGAGAAGCCACUAGUGAAAUCUACGGCCUCCAGGUCUAUUUUCCCAUCAUAUACUUCCAGAUCUAUCUUGCUAUUUGCCUUUUCUUUUAUUUGCAUCUUUUAUUUUCAGAUCUAUUAAUCCAAAAAACCCAAAGAUACAUUGCUGCAUUUUAUUUUAUUUGAGAUCUGUUAUCCAAUAUAUCUUAUUUUAUCUCCCGUCCAUGUGACAAUUUCUGGCACCGUUACCCGAAAGGCAUUGACAACCCCUUUAACACGUCGGGUUGCAAGUAUUCGUUCUUUGUGUGCAGGUACCGUUUAUGUAGUGUUGAUUGGUUCUCCUAUUGGUUCAAUAACCUUGGUCUCAUCACUGAGGGAAAUACCUACUAUUGUUGUGCUGCAUUAUCCCUUCCUCUUUGGGGAAAUACCGACGUAGUUCAAGCCAUUGAUAUGAGUAAAUGUGAGACCUAAAUGUUAUUGUGAAUAUGGAUAGUUCAUAACCUUUGCUGAAAACCUGAACAUCAGUUAGACAUAUUUAAUUACAAUAACAAGAUCAAACAGAGUUUGUAAAAGUUUUUCUUUGUCACUUUUAGUUUGUCAACUGAAUUGCUUGAGGACAAGCAAUGGGUUAAGCUUGGAGGAGUUGAUACGUCUCCAUCGUAUCUACUUUUCCAAACUCUUUUGACCUUGUUUUGGACUCUAAUUUGCAUGAUUUGAAUGGAACUAACCCAGACUGAUGAUGUUUUCAGGAGAAUUGCCAUGGUGUUAUUUUUGUGCAGAAAUAAAAGUUCUGGGAUUGACCUAAAAAUUUACGGAGAAUAUUUUUGGAAUAUAUAAAAAAUACUGGCAUAAGAGUUAUCCAUAGAGGAGCCACCCAGAGGCCGCAAGCCCUGGGGGCGCGCCCUGCGGGCUUGUGGGCCCCCUGGAGACCCUCUGGCCUCAACUCCAACUCCAUAUAAUCCUAUUCAGGGAGAAAAAAUCAGAGAAAAGAGUUCAUCACGUUUAACGAUAUGGAGCUGCCGCUACCUCCUGUUCUUCAUCAGGAGGGAAAAUCUGGAGUCCGUUCGGGGCUCCGGAGAGGGGGAUUCGUCGCCAUCAUCAUCACCAACCUUCCUCAAUCACCAAUUUCAUGAUGCUCACCGCCGUGCGUGAGUAAUUCCAUCGUAGGCUUGUUGGACGGUGAUGGGUUGGAUGAUAUUUAUCAUGUAAUCGAGUUAGUUUUGUUAGAGUUUGAUCCCUGUUAUCCACUAUAUUCUGAGAUUGAUGUUGUUAUGACUUUGUUAUGCUUAAUGCUUGUCACUAGGGCCCGAGUGCCAUGAUUUUAGAUCUGAACCUAUUAUCAUGAAUAUAUUUGUGUUCUUGAUCCUAUCUUGCAAGUUGUAUACACCUAUUGUGUGUUAUGAUCCGCAUACCCCAAGGUGACAAUAAUUGGGAUUCUUUUCGGUGAUUACCGUAGUUUGAGGAGUUCAUGUAUUCACUAAGUGCUAAUGCUUUGGUAUGGUUAUCUAUUAAAAGGAGGCCUUAACAUUUUGUUUCCAUUAGGACCCCGCUCCACGGGAAGGUAGGACAAAAGAUGUCAUGCAAGUUCUUUUCCAUAUGCAUGUAUGACUAUAUACAGAAUACAUGCCUACAUUAUAUUGAUGAAUUGGAGCUAGUUCUGUGUCACCCUAUGUUAUAACUGUUGCAUGAUGAAUGCCAUCCAACCUAAUUAUCCAUCAUUGAUCCAUCGCCUAUGAGCUUUUCACAUAUUGAGCUUUGCUAAGUUACUUUUGUGCUGCUGCUGUCGCAAUUGCUACAAAACUGCUACUGUCACUUUUGUCAUCGUUACCUCUACUUCCAUACUACUUUGCUACUAAAUAUUUUGCUGUAGAUAUUAAGUAUUUCAGGUGUGGUUGAAUUGACAACUCAGCUGCUAAUACUCAAUAAUAUUCUUUGGCUCCCCUUGUGUCGAACUAAUAAAUUUGGGUUGAAUACUCUACCCUCGAAAACUGUUGCGAUCCCCUAUACAUGUGGGUUACCAAGACCUUUUUCUGGCGCUGUUGCCGGGGAGCAUAGCUCUAUUCUCCGAGUCACUUGGUAUUUAUAUCUGUUGAUCACUAUGAAGAAUCUGAAAGAUACCAAAACCAAGAUUUAUCCCUCUACUACAAGGGGAGGUAAGGAACGGACAUCUAGCUCUGCACUUGAUUCACCUUCUGUUUUGAGUAAGCUUGCAACACCUACACCUGCUAUUAAUCCUAAUAUGUUACAAGUAAUUGAUGAUGCUACCUCUACAAUGCACGAUGCUUAUGAUGCUAGUACUUUGCUUGAUAAUAUUGUGCCACUGGGUGGAUUUAUUGAUGAACAACUUGCUAGAGUUAAUGUUGAAACUGAUGAUAUUUCUGAAACUGGUGAAAUUAUUGAAACUGAACACUUUGAAACACCUAUUAGGCAUAGCUCUCCUAGAUAUGAAUUGCCUAUUAUACCUGAGGGUUAUGUUAUGGAUGGAGAGGUACUAGGGAAUUUCUUUCUUGUAAGGAUAGAUAUGAUCUUAAGAAAUUACUAUGCAAGUGGAAAGAAAAAUCUUUGAAUGCUAGAAUGCAAUAUGAUCCUAUGUUUGCUACUUCACCUAUUUGUGCUACUGAUAAGAAUUAUGAAUUCUCUAUUGAUCAUGUGUUAAUUACUUUGGUUGAAUCUGAUCAUUUCCAUGGUUAUGAAUCUGAAACUGUUGUGGCACAUUGUAGGACCUUGAAGUAUGUCUAGAGGGGGGUGAUUAGACUACUUGACCAAUUAAAAACUUAACCUUUUCCCAAUUUUAGAGUUUGGCAGAUUUUAGCUAUCUUAGGACAAGUCAAGCAAUCAUCACAUAAUUCAAGCAAGCAUGCAAAGAGUAUAUGAGCAGCGGAAAUUAAAGCAUGCAACUUGCAAGAAAGUAAAGGGAAGGGUUUGGAGGAUUCAAACACAAUUGGAGACACGGAUGUUUUUGGCGUGGUUCCGAUAGGUGGUGCUAUCGUACAUCCACGUUGAUGGAGACUUCAACCCACGAAGGGUAACGGUUGCGCGAGUCCACGGAGGGCUCCACCCACGAAGGGUCCACGAAGAAGCAACCUUGUCUAUCCCACCAUGGUCGUCGCCCACGAAGGACUUGCCUCACUAGCGGUAGAUCUUCACGAAGUAGGCGAUCUCCUUGCCCUUACAAACUCCUUGGUUCAACUCCACAAUCUUGUCGGAGGCUCCCAAGUGACACCUAGCCAAUCUAGGAGACACCACUCUCCAAGAAGUAACAAAUGGUGCGUUGAUGAUGAACUCCUUGCUCUUGUGCUUCAAAUGAUAGUCUCCCCAACACUCAACUCUCUCUCAUAGGUUUUGGAUCUGGUGGAAAGAAGAUUUGAGUGGAAAGCAACUUGGGGAAGGCUAGAGAUCAAGAUUCAUAUGGUAGGAAUGGAAUAUCUUGGCCUCAACACAUGAGUAGGUGGUUCUCUCUCAGAAAUGGUAAGUUGGAAGUGUAGGUUUAGUCUGAUGGCUCUCUCCACAAAUGAAGAGGAGGUGGAGGGGUAUAUAUAGCCUCCACACAAAGUCUAACUGUUACACACAAUUUACCAAACUCGGUGGGACCGAUUCAACAGACUCGGUUGGACCGAUUUAGCAAACCUAGUGACAGUUAGGAUUUUCGGCGGGACUGACAUGCAACUCGGUAGGACCGAUUCGGUUAGGGUUAGGGCAUAACGUAAUCUCGGUAAGACCGAUUACACAAACUUGGUGAGACCGAUUUUGGUAAUAAGCUUUCCAGAGAGUUGGUCAGGUAAACUCGGUGGGACCGAUUUGCUCUUUUCGGUGAGACCGAAAUGUUACAAAAGGGAAAUAGAGAGUUUACAUUGCAAUCUCGGUGGGACCGAUCGCUCACUUCGGUUAGACCGAAAUGUUACGAAGGAAAACAGAGAGAUUACAAUCCCAUCUCGGUGAGACCGAGAUCCCUAUCGGUAGAACCGAUUUGCUUAGGAUUUGUGACAGUGGCUAUGACAUUUGAAAUCGGUGGCGCCGGAUAAGAAGAAUCGGUGUGACCGAUUUUGGCUUUAGGUUUAGGUCAUUUGUGGAUGUGAGAAAGUAGCUGAGGGUUUUGCAGCAUAUCACUAAGCACAUGAAGCAAGAGGCUCAUUAAGCAACACCUCAUCCCUCCUUGAUAGUAUUGGCUUUUCCUAUAGACCCAAUGUGAUCUUGGAUCACUAAAAUAUAAAAUGAAGAGUCUUGAGCUUUUGAGCUUGAGCCAAUCCUUUGUCCUUAGUAUUUUGAGGGAUCCACUUUCAUCAUCCAUGCCAUGCCAUUCAUUAAGCUUUCCUGAAAUAAUAGUCUUGGAAUAGCAUUAGCUCAAUGAGCUAUAUGUUGUUAUGAAUUACCAAAACCACCUAGGGAUAGUUGCACUUUCACACAUCUCACUAAAUUAAAUGAUAUAGCCACCAUGUUUGCUCAUGAGGAAAGAAAUCUCUCUUACUAUAUUCUUAAGUUGUUUUCUUUCUCAUUAAAGGGUGAUGCUAAGAUAUGGUUUUAAUAGAAACAACUGCUUUACAGGAAAUAUUUAACUUUGUGCAAAUUGAAGAAGAGUGUCUCCCACAAGCUUGGGGGAGGCUUCUCCAAUUACUUAAUGCUUUGCCUAAUCAUCCUCUCAAGAAAAAUGAAAUACUCGAUAUCUUUUAUAAUGGACUAACCGAUGCUUCUAGGGACCACCUAGAUAGUUGUGCUGGUUGUGUUUUCAGGGAACGAAAUGUUGAACAAGCUGAAAUACUAUUCAAUAAUAUAUUGAGUAAUGAUAAUGAUUGGACUCUUCCCAAACCACCUCCUAAGCUAACUCCGAAGAGAAGGGGUAUUCUAUUUCUCAGUCCUGAAGAUAUGCAAGAGGAAAAGAAAUCUAUGAAAGAAAAAGGUAUUAAAGCUGAAGAUGUUAAGAAUUUACCACCUAUUGAAGAAAUAUAUGGUCUUGACCAUAUAACUGGCACAAGUAGUAGUAGUAAAUUCUCUCUAUAGAUUUGAUGAAGGUGAUAUUCCUCAUAAUAGGUCUGCUAGUCAAUGCUUGGAUGAAUUUGAUAAUUUUAUUAUUAUUAAACAAGAAAACUUCAAUGCAUAUGUUAGUAGACAAUUGAAACGUAAUGCCAUGAGUGCCAUAAUUUCAGAUCUGAACCUGUUAUGUUUUCAUGAAUGUAUUUGUGUUCUUGAUCCUAUCUUGCAAGUUGUAGACACCUAUUGUGUGUUAUGAUCCGCAUACCCUAAGGCGACAAUAAUUGGGAUUCUUUCCGGUGAUUAUCGUAGUUUGAGGAGUUCAUGUAUUCACUAAGUGUUAAUGCUUUGGUCCGUUUCUCUAUUAAAAGGAGGCCUUAAUAUCCCUUAGUUUCCAUUAGGACCCCGCUGCCACGGGAGGGUAGGACAAAAGUUGCCAUGCAAGUUCUUUUCCAUAAGCACGUAUGACUAUAUACGGAAUACAUGCCUACAUUAUAUUGAUGAAUUGGAUCUAGGUCUGUGUCACCCUAUAUUAUAAUUGUUGCAUGAUGAAUGCCAUCCGACAUAGUUAUCCAUCAUUGAUCCAUUGCUUGCGAGCUUUUCACAUAUUGAUCUUUGUUAAGUUACUUUCGUGCUACUAUCACAAUUGCUAUAAAACUGCUACUGUUACUUUUGUCAUCGUUACCGCUACUUCCAUACUACUUUGCUACUAAAUAUUUUGCUGCAGAUAUUAAGUCUUUCAAGGGUGGUUGAAUUGACAAAUCAGCUGCUAAUACUCAAGAAUAUGCUUUCGCUCCCCUUGUGUCCAAUCAAUAAAUUUGGGUUGAAUACUCUACCCUCGAAAAUUGUUGUGAUCCCCUAUACUUGUGGGUUAUCAAUGUCUCGGGGCACAAAAUCUGGGAGUGAAGCUCCCGUCCAGCGUCCAUCCCCUUCCCCGUUGUUCCCCUACCUCCCUUCCUCCUCUCCACCACCCAUGGCUUUCCACCACCAUCGCAAGAGACGAGGCCGGGACAGGAGAGAGGGAUAAGAAGUAGCGGCGGCCGACAAGGGAUGAAGGAUGGAUGCGGUCCCAGACUCGCCACGGCCUUCUGCCCCCACCCCAACUUAGAAGGUUCGUGCGGCGGUGGCUGACGAGAGAAGGAGGAGGCAGCGGACCGGUGGCCAGUGGUGACGAUGGAGGGAAGAGGAACAGAAAAAGAGGUGCGGCGGUGGUGUGGUGGCUGUGGUGAUUGAGGAAGGAGCAGCAAUGGAAAGAUGAAAGGAGGAAAGGGAAGUGUGCUGUCUCUCUCCACACCGAUGAACAAAUGCACUGGAAUAGACCCACCAGUGCGGCGAAGGCACGUGUCCCAAGAGAUCGACCGAACCCACCGUACAUCAACCCAUGGGAGAGAGCCAGCCCGCGCAAGAGAGAGAUGAUCACACCCUCCAAGGACGCGCAGGCUCGGUGCACGCCUCGCAUAGGAGGGGCCCAUGGCGCGGCACUCGCACGUCUCCCCAUGACGCACGACGCGGGCAGCUGUGAGGAACGACGCGACCGGGGUAGUUGACCCGAGGAAAUCCCCACGAGACACCUAGGCAGCGCAACCGCUGCAACCGACGGGUGGGACCAGCAGUAGUACGGGGCCACAUGUCACCAAAGCAGCAGCAGGAGUGUGCACCACCAGUCGGGUGCACAUGCACUUGCCCACCCUGCGCCAACCCUGCGCGGGCCCUCCAGGACGCAUGACACACCGCGGCUCCUCCAUGACGCAUGCUGCAUGGCCUUCCCGCUCAACCCAUCCCGUGAGGAGUCUAGCCACGGCAGCUGACGAGCGGGGCCAGUAGCAGUACGGGACCAUCUGUCAUCCUGUGGAGAGCGCCCAAAGCGAGUGCACAUGCGUCGUCCAACCACCCUCUGCGGCUUCCCAGGACGCACGACGCGAGCAGCGGGUCCCAUGACGCACGACACAAGCAGCGAAUGUGCGGCGCGCGAGGACAGGCUUGUUCUCACCCGCCAGCGAUUCACCCAGCCAAUAACGCGGCCACAAGAGCCCACCAGUCAUGGGCGUGGAGAAAAUAACCAUGGGCGGAAAACUGGAGUCAGCGAACAGACAGUGAUCGAACGGCCAAAAGGACAUGGUUGACCAGAAAGAGCUCGAUCGAAGGGCCAACGAAGAGCGAAAUCGGGCGACCCCCUGGGAGGCCGAGUUGCCCAGCCACCUUAUAUGUUUAAAUUUGGGCAAAAAGAUAGAUGGGCAAUGAUUGUAAGCACCCAAAUUUGGCGGCGCCACAUGGGAUCAUUUGACAUGUUGUUGUGCAGUGCAUGUGUACCAUUCAGAUAUGUUGUGAUUCAAUAUGGCUAGAUAAUUUCAAGUCCCUAAAUCAUCAUAUGAAACACUACACGUUUUACAUGCAUUUUAUACGUUUAGAACUAAUACAUAUUGCACUCAACAUGUCAUUGUUAGGCUAACUAUAUUAAUUCAAGCCGCACCCUGCUAAACUAUAGAAGCGUAAAAUUUUGAGUGUACUUCUAUGAACCGGACGGAGCCGAAGUCAUAAAUCAGUUACAAGAGUUUUAAAAAAUUUACUCUUCAGACGUAAAAAUUGUGUCCCCACUCCCCAACCCUAAAAACAAUCAUAAACAACAACCUCCACCCCCCUCAUUGCCCCGCCCGUAUGGUGCCAUCGUUACAGCCAGCGAGUCCCCACGCGCCGCAGUCACAGCAGAACACCACAAUCACCGAACUAAGAAAACUUGCCCAGCCCACCACACUGGCCAUGACCAACAGUACUAUUGUACAGUGAGACGCCCUGCCACUAAUACGCCGGCGGCAAACAAUGCCAGGGAGAAGACGCCAAUUGAUUGAUGAAUAGCCUACUAUGUAAAGUUUUUAUUUUUUACUUGGAUGGCCUAUGCAAAUUGCGGUGAUUGUCGGCAGCUGAUGGAUGAUGGGGUUUAAUUUUGUGGUUUUCAUAUUGCGUAGAUCGACACAUUUAAAUUAUUGGCGUCCUUGUAGUCGUCUACAUUGUCCUUGAUGGUCUCAAUCAUGAUUUGGUGUUCGAUCAUCAACUUAAACAAGCGGGAUGCAUAAUAUGAGGUUGUCGGGGAGGAAGAAUUUGACACCAUGAAUGAUUUCACUUUGACCAAAUGGAGUCCAAAAUCUAAUCAAGCAUGAACCAACAAAGAACGAGGGCUAAAAAAUAAAUCAAAGUUGAAGAUCUAUCUUUUUGUGAUGCUUAGAUAAACAUCUCCAUGGAUGCAACGAUGGGAACGGCCUUAUCAAAUGACAUUUUUUGGCGAAGAAUUCCAGCGCACUAACAACUCCAUGGAUGACAUGCCAGCCGCACUGAAGCCUCUCUUGUUCAUCAUUUGGGCACCCUCAAAUAUCAAUGCAAUAGAUGGUAUUGUUGUAUUGGAAAAAUGUAUCAUGCGCCACAAAAUGGUCUUCCGGGCACACACUUUGGCCCUAUCAUGCAAGAGUAGUAAACAAGAACUUUGCCCACAAGCCAUUUACGUUGCUAAAAACCUUGUGACCCAUCAGAAGUGUGUUAGGAUAUAUACUUGGCGAAACAAAUACAAAUAUAUAAACAUUAAACAUUCCAGAAUAAGUUCCGCGAAAUUAAAGAUAAAGAACUAACUGUCGGUACUGGUGUCUUCCUUACAAUACAUAAGCAACACUCGUUCAUGGCACUAGUUUUUCAUGCGCACGCCAAAAGGAACAAGUACUACUUAGCCUAGUCUUGUAAGCACAACCAAAUUCCUCCAUCAUACCGAAGACGUCUGCUGUCACAGGAAUAUGGCACCAUCUAAUGCUUGCGGGCUGUGCGGGAUGGAGGACUCAUGGCGACACUCGUUAAUCGAGUGCUUGAUAUCCAGAUGCAUAUGGGCGCUAGUUGACGAGGACAUAGCCGAGCACAUGAUUUCAACAACGGAACCGAAUGCCAAGCAGUGGUUAUUUACUACCCCUUCGUCCCAAAAUAAGUGUCUCAAUGCACGGAUGGAGUAUGAAAGAGUCCAUGUCACAUAUAUCUUUUGUAAAGUUAGCUGUGACGUUGUGGGCAACUGGUGGACGAGAAGAAUGGCAAUUCACGAAGGAGUUUACCAGAGCCUACAUUCCACAAAUCUAUUCGUGAGUCGCUUUAUAGCCGAGUUGGGAGAUGUGAUAGAAUCUAUCCAUGCAUGUCCAUCUGUGAUUUCAAGGCAAGGAGGAGCUACGGCAAAUACCAGGAGAAGCGUUCAUGUUCGGAUGUUGGCACCACCACCGGGGUAUGCUUUAUUUCAUGUGGACGCAGGAGUGGCAAAGGCUGGAAACGACGGUUCAGCGGCAGGCAGGGAUGCUGAUGAGAAUUAUCUAGGUUCUUCAUCGUUGGUGUUACAUGGGAUCAAGGAUGUGGCAUCUCAGUGGCAAUUCCAUGCCGAGAAGCGUUGUCGCUGGCCGAGGACCUGAUGAUCCACAACAUUGUCCUGGUGUCCAACUCAAAACAAGUUAUCAAUGAUGUUCAGAAGGGAACUAGUGGCAAAUAUGGGCAGAUUAUCGAGGAGAUCAAACUAAGAGCCUUACAUUUCAAUUGUAUUUCUCGUUUUGAAAAUCGGUCGACUAACUUCGAGGCCGAUGUAUUAGCCAAGCAUUCACAUUCAUCAAAUCGGGGGCUCCAUGUAUGGUUGGGCCAACCCCACAAUCCGAUUUGUAUCCUACGAACUGUGGAGUUUGAAUAAUAGAGCUUGUUGUUUCUCAAAAGAAAAAAAAAAGGAAGUACGGGUUCACUCCACUUCAUCUUCAAUGCAUGAUACACCUACAAGCGAGCACAUGUCAGAUGGAAUAUAGUGGUAAAUCUUGUUUCUAUUUAUUGUAAUAUUUAACUACUCAUUUUUUUACUCAAUGUACUUACGAGGAAUGAAGAAAGUCGAAUAAGGGCAUACUGCCAUUUCAACUUCAGGGCCAAACAGCCUUCUUGUGCUUUCUCUGUCUGAACGUACGUCAAACACUUCAUCAAAUGUUCUGACAAGCAUUGCCGCUCUCUUCAAACACAUAAGCAGCAAUUUGUCCUCAAAUCAUUGGGCUACUCAGUCUGGUAAGUUAACUGGGCUACUCAGUCUGGUAAGUUAACUACGCAUCAUAUGCCUUCAAACAAAAUGGAGAAAACAACUUUUUUUUCGAAAAGGGGGACUCCCCGGCCUCUGCAUCAGAACGAUGCAUACGGCCACAUUUAUAAAUAAAUAAAGUAGUUCAACAAUGUCUUGCAGUCUGCAACAAAAUGAAAAGCUGGCUCACAAAGAGCAACAAAAUCAAAAAAAGUCCCAAAAGCCACAACCGGCUGGCAUAAGAUAGAUAGGUAAACUAAUCGCAUAUCCUAUUACAUGAUCGUCAUCCAAACCGGUUGAAGAUAUCCCGCGCUACCAUCUCUCACCGGAGAGAUCCAGUAACCAAACGCUCCCUGGCCUCCGUCGGAAUGAGUAAGGACCACAUACGGAUUAGCAUAGUAGCCCGGAAUUAAACCUGCAAAAAAUGAAUAGUUGUUGUUCUGUUAAAAGCCAAAUCAUUUCUGCAGUUCCAAAUUGCCCAUAACAACGCACACGCUCCUACGCGAAUUUGUCUAGCUGUUUCGGACUCUAUCCCAACAAGCCACGUUCCAAAUAACGACCCGACCGAAUUCGAAGGAGUAAUGUUAAAGGCAAUUUGCACCGAGCACCACAGAACCCUCGCCAACGGGCAAUCAAAGAAGAGGUGCUUGAUAGUUUCAUCCCAAUCACAGAAACUACACCUAGUAGAGCCUGUCCAGUUGCACUUAACCAAUUAUCUUUCAUUAAGAUAACUUGUUUAUGUACAAACCACAUAAACACUUUGAUUUUCAGAGGAACUUUAACUUUCCAAACAUGUAUAGAACUAGGAAUAAUACUAGAAUUGAUGACAUCAAGGUACAUCGACUUGACUAUGAAUUCUCCAGAUGUAGUAAGCUUCCAACACAACUGAUCGGGCUGAUGAGUAAGCUGAACCUCCAUCAGUCUACUCACCAGAUGAAGCCAAGCUUCCCACUGUUCUCCAACAAGCACGCUUCUAAACUGAAUAUUAAGGGGAGUGGACUGCAAACUCGUUGCAACCAGAGCAUUGCGUCUCUUCACAAUACGAUAUAACGAGGGAUACUGAAGCGCCAACGGCACUUCCCCCAGCCAAGUAUCCUCCCAGAAGCGAGUGUUAUUACCAUCACCAACAAUAAACUUUGUUCUAUUAAAGAAAUUAGCUUUGACUCUCAUUAGCCCUUUCCAGAACGGCGAAUCAGUCGGCCUGACUGUCACCUGCGACAAAGUCUUUGAGUGCAGAUACUUGUUACGCAGAAUCUGCGCCCAAGUUGCUUCAGUCUCAACUGCUAACUUAUAUAGCCACUUACUGAGAAGGCAUCUGUUCUUGACCUCAAGAUUCUCAACACCAAGACCCCCUUGGUAUUUCGGUCGGCAAAUGAUGUCCCAUUUGGCUAAACAGUACUUUCUCUUAAGUUCAUCACUCUGCCAGAAGAAACGGGAUCGAUAGAAGUCCAGCCUUUUCCUGACUCCAACUGGCACUUCAAAAAAGGACAAAAGGAACAUAGGCAGACUCAUGAGCGCCCAAUUAAUGAGAAUCAAUCGUCCUCCAUACGACAUGAAUUUGCCCUUCCAGCAGCUCAGUUUCUUCUCAAACCGAUCCUCUAUACACUUCCAUUCACUGUUUGCCAACUUACGAUGAUGAAUGGGGAUACCUAGGUAGGUGAACGGAAGUGCUCCCAAUUCGCAACCAAACAAUUGCAUAUAAGCAUCUUGUUCCUCUUUGGCUCUCCCAAAACAGAACAACUCACUCUUAUGGAAGUUAAUCUUCAGGCCGGUCAAUUGCUCGAAAAGGCACAACACCAGCUUCAUAUUUCUCGCUUUUGCCAAGUCAUGCUCCAUAAAGAUGAUCGUAUCAUCAGCGUACUGCAGGAUGGACACACCACCAUCAACUAGAUGAGGCACCAGGCCACCUACUUGUCCGGCCUCCUUUGCCCUACCUAUCAGGAUUGCCAAUAUGUCAACGACAAUGUUGAACAGAAUAGGAGACAUUGGAUCACCUUGUCUUAGGCCCUUGUGUGUCUGGAAAUAAUGACCUAUAUCGUCAUUCACUUUAAUUCUGACACUCCCUUUUUGCGUGAAGGAUUCCACUUGUCGUCUCCAAGCUUCAUCAAAACCCUUCAUGCGUAGUGCCUGUUGAAGGAAAGGCCAUUUGACUUUGUCGUACGCUUUCUCGAAAUCCACCUUGAAAACAACGCCAUCAAGUUUUUUCGUGUGGAUCUCAUGGAGCGUUUCAUGCAGGACCACAACCCCUUCGAGGAUGUUCCUGUCCGCCAUGAAAGCAGACUGAGUAGGCUGCACCACAGUAUGCGCAAUCUGUGUGAGCCUAUUCAUCCCGACCUUAGUAAAAAUUUUGAAACUAACAUUGAGAAGACAGAUAGGCCGGAAUUGCUCAAUCCGCACAGCCUCUGUCUUCUUUGGAAGUAAGGUUAUCGUUCCAAAAUUCAGCUCAAAAAGAUGAAGUUGGCCCGAGAAUAAAUCAUUAAACAACAGCAAGAGAUCUCCUUUAAUAAUAUGCCAACACUUCUUAUAGAACUCUGCCGGGAAACCAUUCGGGCCAGGAGCCUUAUUAUUCUUCAUCUGGGAAAUGGCCUCAAAUACCUCUUUCUCAGAAAAAGGAGCGACUAAAAUAUCAUUCUCAACAGCCGUAAGUUGAGGCACAUCCUCAAUCCUAGACUCAUCCAGCAUCACACAGUUGUCCUCUGGAGGCCCAAAUAGCUGCUUGUAAUACUCAGUAAUAUAGUGCUUUAAGUUUUCCUGACCAAGAAUCAUUCCCUCAUCCUGUUCAAGCUGAAAGAUCCUCUUCUUUCUAUGCUUACCAUUGGCGAUCAAGUGAAAAAAUUGUGUGUUCGCGUCCCCCUGGACGACUCUAUUGACCUUAGCCCGAAGCGCCGACUUUAGUUCUUCCUCGCGAAGGAGCUCUUUCAGCCUCAUUUUUGCAUCAAGCUUGGCAUGAAGCUCCGAGGCUAGCAGUAUCAUGGUUUCGGCCUUUACAUCAAGGGACUGAAUAAGCGUAAUGAGUUGUUCCUUUUCAACCUUAUAAAUCCCACUGAGAUGCUUAGCCCACCCACGUAGGAAACUUCUCAAAUGCCUAAUUUUAUUCUGCCAGCGCUCGAGCGCAGACCGAUCUCCUGCAUCCUUAGCCCAUUCUUUGGCUAUGAGAUCCAAGAAACCUUCUCUCUCAAACCAAGCAAGCUCGAAAGAGAAAACAUUUUUAUUUCCCAAGUGGGUGGCCUCCCCAGAGUCAAGGAAUAAAGGCGUGUGAUCAGAAAUACCGCCAGUAAGCACCUGGACCGUAACAUAUGGGAAUUUCUGCUCCCAUUCGACGCUAGCCAGGACUCGAUCCAGCUUUAAGAAUCCACAUUGACUCCUUUAAACAAGAGUGCAUCAAACAACAUAGGCAACCACCAUAUGUUUGGUCAUCUUUCGAAUUGUCAUUUUAACUUUUUUUGUGGGGAUAAAAGAAAAACCACCUAACACAGGAAGAAUGUGCUUUGCACACUUCCAAAAAUUACUUCCAUGCGAUGAAGUCAUUUCCUGACAUGCAUCAUGCGACGGUGCGGUGCUAACAUGGUUUCCUCUAGAUGCAAUAACAUACACCUGUAAUGCAAGAAAAUGCACUUAUCUACAACCAUGGAGUCGAUCAGGCAUGAAUGCCAAUAAACCAUUGGAUUAGAUUGAAUAAGAGGAGGAAGAAUGAAGACCUCAUUCGGAUUGCUCAUAGCAAAACAAGAACAAUCAAGAAAGAUAUGUUCGAGAUCAAAAUUAAAUCUCUGCAUUGAUCGGGAGUUGCAUAUUACAAUUUAUACCAUCCAGGGAGACGCGGCGCUAGGGAAGGAUGCGUCGGUUCCAGAGAGAGAUGCGAGAGGCGUCUGGACGGGAGAGGCGUCUGUUGCGGAUGCAACCGCAUGCCGUUUGGGAAAGUGGAGAUUUUCUCCUAAUUACAAGUGCUAAUUAAUCACAAACUCCCCCUAAUCUAUGCUUGACCAUGUAGAAUCAUCUUCACAAUUGUUCAGGAAGCUCUAUCAUCUCAAAGGAUUCUCCUCCAAUAGUUCUUCGUAAAAUCUUGGAUGAGAUCCUGAAACAUAUACUCACAAAGAAAUAUAGUGUAAUGUGAUGUUUGAACAAGGAUAUCUCAAGAAGAGAUACCCCCUGAUGCUUGCAAGUCCCUAAGUCGUCGCAUACCAAUUCCAUGAACAUAUUUCUGGAAGUAGAAUUUGGUAGAGACUUGGUAAACAAAUCGGCAAGGUUUUCACAUGUUUGACUUGCAAGAUGUUUAUUUCCCCGCUUUGUUGAAGAUCCUGGGGGAAAACCACUUAGGAGAAAUAUGCUUAGUGAUAUUACUCUUGAUGUAUCAUGUUUGCAUCUCUGCAACACAGGCCGCAUUAUCUUCAUAGAUAAUGAUGGGUGAUUCUAUUGAACCAAUUCCACAUGACUGUUGUAUGUGAUUUAUCAUUCUGCGAAGCCAUACACAUUGGCAUGUUGCUUCAAAUAAUGAAAUUAUUUCAGAAUUAUUAGUAGAUGUUGCCACCAGAGUCUGUUUCGAAGACUUCCAUGAUAUAGCAGUGCCACCAUGUAGGAACACGAAGCCGGUCUAAGAUCUGGCAUUAUGGGGAUCAGACAAAUAUCCAGCAUCUGCAUAUCCAACCAUAUUAGAGUCCUGAUUUUUCUGGAAUUGGAAAAAUAGGCCAAGAUCCUUUGUGCCUUGGAGAUAUCGAAAGAUAUUUUUAACUCCAGACCAAUGACAUUUGGUGGGAGCUGCGCUAUGUCUAGCAAGUAGAAUCACUGCAAAUGCGAAAGUAGAAAUGAUGAUCCUUGAGGUAUUCGCGAUGUUUGACACCGCGAAAGUAGGAAUCAAGAAGGAGCAUCAAUUGUUGAUGGUUGGUGAAACCACUAGUUUCAAAAAGGGCAAGGGAAAGAAGGGAUACUUCAUGAAACGGCAAAUCAGCUGCUGCACCAGUGAAGAAACCCGAGGUUGAACCCAAACCCGAGACUAAGUGCUUCUGUGAUAAGGGGAAUAGCCGCUGGAGCAGGAUUACCCUAGAUACUUGGUAGAUAAGAAGGCUGGCAAGGUCGAUAGAAGUAUAUUGGAUAUACAUUAUGUUAAUGUGUACUUUACUAGUACUCCUAGUAGCACCAGGGUAUUAGAUACCGGUUCGGUUGCUAAGUGUUAGUAACUCGAAAUAAAAGCUACGGAAUAAACGGAGACUAGCUAAAGGUGAGCUGAUGAUACGUGUUGGAAGUGUUUCCAAGUCUGAUGUGAUCAAACAUCGCACGCUCCCUCUACCAUCAAGAUUAGUAUUAAACCUGAAUAAUUGUCAUUUGGUGUUUGCGUUGAGCAUAGACAUGAUUGGAUUAUGUCUAUCGAAAUACGGUUAUUCAUUUAAGGAGAAUAAUGGUUACUCUAUUUAUUUGAAUAAUACCUUCAAUGGUCUUGCACCUAAAGGAAUGGUUUAUUGAAUCUCGAUCGUAGUGAUACACAUUUUCAUGCCAAAAUUAUAAGAUAGUAAUGAUAGUACCACCUACUUGUGGCACUGCCAUGUAAGUCAUAUUGGUAUAAAACGCAUGAAGAGGCUCCAUGUUGAUGGAUCUUUGGACUCACUCAUUUUUUGAAAAGUUUGAGACAUGCGAACCAUGUCUAUUGCUGCAUACGCAUGAAGAAACUCCAUGCAUAUGGAUCGUUUAGACUCACUUGAUUUUGAAUCACUUGAGAUAUGCAAAUCAUACCACAUGGACAAGAUGACUGAAAAGCCUCGGUUUCAGUAAGAUGGAACUAGAUAGCAACUUGUUGGAAGUAACACAUUUUGAUGUGUGCAGUCCAGUGAGUGCUGAGGCAUGCAGUGAAUAUCGUUAUGUUCUUACUUCACAGAUGAUUCGAGUAGAUGUUGAGUAUAUUUACUUGAUAAAACACAAGUCUGAAUUAUUGAAUAGUUCAAGUAAUUUCAGAGUGAAGUUUAAAGAUCUUCGUGACAAGAGGAUAGAAUGUCUAUGAUAUGAUCAUAGAGAUGAAUAUCUGAGCUACGAGUUUUGGCACACAAUUAAGACAUUGUGGAAAUUGUUUCACAAUUAAUACCGCCUGGAACACCAUAGUGUGAUGGUGUGUCCGAACAUCAUAGUAGCACCCUAUUGGAUAUGGUGCGUACCUUGAUGUCUCUUAUCGAAUUAUCACUAUUGUUCAUGGGUUAGGCAUUAGAGACAACCACAUUCACUUUAAAUAGGGCACCACGUAAUUCCGUUGAGACGACACCGUUUGGAGAAACCUAAGUUGUCAUUUCUUAAAGGUUUGGGGCUGCGACGCUUAUGUGAAAAAGUUUCAGGAUUGAUAAGCUCGAACCCAAAGCGGAUAAAAUGCAUCUUCAUAGGACACCCAAAACAGUUGGGUAUACCUCCUAAUUCAGAUCCGAAAGCAAUAAGGAUUGUUUCUUGUACCGGGUCCUUUCUCGAGGAAAAGUUUGUCUCAAAAAGUUGAGUGGGAGGAUGGUGGAGACUUGAUGAGGUUAUUGAACCAUCACUUCAACCAGUGUGUAUCAGGGCACAGGAAGUUGUUCCUGUGGCACUUACACCAAUUGAAGUGGAAGCUUAUGAUAGUGAUCAUGAAGUUUCGGAUCAAGUCACUACCGUACAUCGUAGGGUGACAAGGAUACGUACUACUUCAGAGUAGUACAGUAAUCCUGUCUUGAAGGUCAUGUUGCUAGACAACAAUGAACCUACGAGCUACGGAGAAGCGAUGGUGGGCCCAAAUUCCAAUAAAUGGUUAGAAGCCAUGAAAUCCGAGAUAGGAUCCAUGUAUCAGAACAAAGCAUGGACUUUGGUGGACUUGCCCGAUGAUCGGCAAGCCAUUGAGAUAAAUGGAUCUUUAAGAAGAAGACGGACGUGGACGGUAAUGUCACCGUCUAUGAAGCUCGACUUGUGGCGAAGAGUUUUUCACAAGUUCAAGGAGUUGACUACGAUGAGAUUUUCUCAUCCAUAGCGAUGCUUAAGUCCGUCGGAAUCAUGUUAGCAUUAGCUGCAUUUAUGAAAUCUGGCAGAUGGAUGUCAAGACAAGUUUCCUUACCAGUUUUCGUAAGGAAAGAUUGUAUGUGAUACAAUCAGAAAGGUUUUGUCGAUCCUAAGAAUGCUAAAAGGUAUGCUGGCUCCAGAGAUCCUUCUAAGGACUGGAGUAAGCAUCUUGGAGUUGGAACGUGCGCUUUGAUGAGAUGAUCAAAGAUUUUGGGUUUAUACAAAGUUUUGAGAAACUUGUAUUUCCAAAGAAGUGAGUGGGAGCACUAUAGAAUUUCUGAUGAGUAUAUGUUGUUGACAUAUUGUUGAUCAGAAAUGAUGUAGAAUUUCUGGAAGCAUAUAGGGUUAUUUGAAAGGUGUUUUUCAAUAGAAAACCUGGAUUAAGCUACUUAAACAUUGAGCAUCAAGAUCUAUGAGGAUAGAUCAAAAAACACUUAAUGGUACUUUCAAAUGAGCACAUACCUUGACAUGAUCUUGAAGGUGUUCAAGAUGGAUCAGUCAAAGAAGAAGUUCUUGCCUGAGUUGUAAGGUACGAAGUUAAGACUUAAAGCUCGACCAUGGCAGAAUAGAGAGAAAGGACGAAGGUCGUCUCCUAUGCUUAAGACAUAGGCUCUACAGUAUGCUAUGCUGUGUACCGCACCUGAAGUGUGCCUUGCCAUGAGUUAGUCAAGGGGUACAAGAGUGAUCCAAGAAUGGAUCACAGACAGCGGUCAAAAUUAUCCUUAGUAACUAGUGGACUAAGGAAUUUUCUCGAUUAUGGAGGUGGUAAAAGAGUUCGUCGUAAAGGUUACGUCGAUGCAAGCUUAACACCUAUCCGGAUAGCUCUAAGUAGAGAUACAGGAUACGUACAAUGGGGCAACAAUUUAGAAUAGCUCCAAGUGGAACAGUUAUUUGGAAUGGCUCCAAAUAGAACGUGGUAGCUACAUCUAGGAGAUGCCAUAGAGAUUUGUAAAGCACACACGGAUCUGAAAGGUUGAGACCCGUUGACUAAAACCUCUCUCACAAGCAACAUGAUCAAACCCAAAACUCUUUGGAUGUUGGUCACAUGGUGAUGUGACCUGUCAGUGUUAAUCACAUGGUGAUGUGAACUAGAUUAUUGACUCUAGUGCAAGUGGGAGACUGUUGGAAAUAUGCCCUAGAGGCAAUAAUAAAAGUGUUAUUAUUAUAUUUCCUUGUUCAUGAUAAUUGUCUUUUAUUCAUGCUAUAACUGUAUUAUCCGGAAAUCAUAAUACACGUGUGAAUACAUAGACCACAAUAUGUCCCUAGUGAGCCUCUAGUUGACUAGCUCGUUGUGAUCAACAGAUAGUCAUGAUUUCCUGGCUAUGGACAUUGGAUGUCGUUGAUAACGGGAUCACAUCAUUAGGAGAAUGAUGUGAUGGACAAGACCCAAUCCUAAGCCUAGCACAAAGAUCGUGUAGUUUGUAUGCUAAAGCUUUUCUAAUGUCAAGUAUCUUUUCCUUAGACCAUGAGAUUGUGCAACUCCCGGAUACCGUAGGAAUGCUUUGGGUGUACCAAACGUCACACCGUAACUGGGUGGCUAUAAAGGUGCAUUACAGGUAUCUCUGAAAGUAUUUCUUGGGUUGGCACGAAUCGAGACUGGGAUUUGUCACCGUGUGUAAACGGAGAGGUAUCUCUGGGCCCACUCGGUAGGACAUCAUCAUAAUGUGCACAAUGUGACCAAGGGGUUGAUCACGGGAUGAUGUGUUACGGAACGAGUAAAGAGACUUGCCGGUAACGAGAUUGAACAAGGUAUCGGUAUACCGACGAUCGAAUCUCGGGAAAGUACAAUACCGCUAGACAAAGGGAAUUGUAUACGGGAUCGAUUGAGUCCUUGACAUCGUGGUUCAUCCGAUGAGAUCAUCGUGGAACAUGUGGGAGCCAACAUGGGUAUCCAGAUCCCGCUGUUGGUUAUUGACCGGAGAACGUCUCGGUCAUGUCUACAUGUCUCCCGAACCCGUAGGGUCUACACACUUAAGGUUCGAUGACGCUAGGGUUAUAAAGGAAGCUUGUAUGUGGUUACCGAAUGUUGUUCGGAGUCCCGGAUGAGAUCCCAGACGUCACGAGGAGUUCCAGAAUGGUUCGGAGGUAAAGAUUUAUAUAUGGAAAGUUGUUGUUCGGGUUCCGGAAAAAGUUCGGGUUUUUUCGAUAUUGUACCGGGAAGCUUCCAGAAGGUUCCGGAGGAUUCCGGAGGGGUCCGGAGGUCCGGAAAUUGUUCCACCACGUCCAAUACAGUAGCAUGGGCUGUAAGGGGCGCCCUAGCCUUUAUGGGCCAAGGGAACCAGCCCCCCAAGGCCCAUGCGCAUGGGAAAGGGGAAACCCUAAAGGGGGAGGCCUCCACUUGACUUGGGAGGCACUCCUUCCCCCUUGGCCGCACCCCUUGGGGUGGGAAACCCUAAAGGGGGCGCAGCCCCCCCUUCCCCCUAUAUAUAGUUGAGGUUUGGGGCUGCUAAACACAUGAGAACUUCUCCCUCUUGGUGCAGCCCUGCCUCUCCUCCUCCUCCUCUCCCUUGGUGCUUGGCGAAGCCCUGCUGGAUUACCACGCUCCUCCACCACCACCACGCCAUUGUGCUGCUGUUGGAUGGAGUCUUCCUCAACCUCUCCCUCUCUCCUUGCUGGAUCAAGGCAUGGGAGACGUCACCGGGGUGUACGUGUGUUGAACGCGGAGGUGCCGUCCGUUCGGCACUAGGAUCUCCGGUGAUUUGAAUCACGACGAGUACGACUCCAUCAACCCCGUUCACUUGAACGCUUCCGCUUAGCGAUCUACAAGGGUAUGUGCACUCUCCUUCCCCUCAUUGCUGGUUUCUCCAUAGAUAGAUCUUGGUGACACGUAGGAAAAUUUUGAAUUUCUGCUACGUUCCCCAACAAUUUGCAAGAUACAUAAGCGCUCUAACGGCACUGAGGUAUGGAACUUUAGGUCCCAACAUCUCUUCUCCAUCACCCCUUGGUCUGAACGGAUCUUUCUCUACGUCUAGAGAUCGAACCACCAUGGGAUGAUUUGUCCAUAUUCAAUUUCUCCAAUAUUUUCUGGAUAUAGGUAGAUUGGUGUACCAUGAUUCCUGAGGGAAGGUGCUCAAGUUGAAUGCCUAAGAAAAAUUUGGUUUUACCCAAAUCCUUCAUCUCAAAUUCCAUCUUUAGGUGAUUGUGUGCUUCAUCAAUGUCUGGUGUGCUGCCGAUGAUGUUGAGAUCAUCAACGUACAUAGAAAUGAUGUAAAAUCAUGUAUAGGACUUCUUGAUGAAAACACAUGGGCAAUCAGCACUAUUGGAGUAACCUUUCUGAAGAAGGAACUCACUGAGUCGGUUGUACCACAUCCGUCCCGACUGCCUUAAGCCAUAUAAUGACUUAUUCAGCUUUACACAAUACAUGUUGCAUUUUGCACUUUUAUUCGGGAUAGAGAUUCCGUCAGGAACCUUCAUAUAUAUGUCCGAAUCUAGUGACCCAUAAAGAUAUGCGGUCACGACGUCCAUCAACUGCAUAGAUAGACGAUUUUGCACUACCAAGGAUAUAAGAUAUCGGAAAGUGGUUGCACUCAUUACUGGAGAAUAUGUUUCAGUGAAAUCAUUGUCGGGUUUCUGCGUGAAACCCUGUGCUACGAGCCUUGCUUUAUAUCUCACCACCUCAUUGUUCUCAUUCCGUUUCCGGAGAAAAACCCAUUUGAAUCCCACAGGGAAAACACUGGGAGAUGUCGGUAUUGCUUCAGUGAAUACCUUUCUUUUGUUAAGCGAGGCAAUUUCUGCUUGGAUUGUAUCCUUCCAUUUAGGCCAGUCGAAGCGCUUUUGGCACUCUACAAUAGACCUUGGAUCAUGCUGAGUGAGAAGGGUAUCCGCAAUCUUUUCAGCAAAUAUAUGUCGACAGUCGCAGUCUUACGGUCAAAUGAUUCUCCAGAAUCAACAUAGUUGGUCGAAAUUUCUUGCACCCCAAGUGACUCUUCGUGAUUUCCCAAUACGAUUGAGUCUGGGUGUUCCGAUGUCCCAGUCAGUUUGUGCACACUUGAGCUGGGUUGUGGAGGUUGCCCUUCCACUGGGUGUAUACUACCCAUUAGGUGUUUGUCAACGUUGAGUUGACCUGCAUUUACUGACUCCGAGGUUUUUCUCCUCGAUUUCCUUUGAUGCUUGCUAGAAGCAUGCUCCAGGUUAGAGGCCAUACUACUCCCCCCUCUUUUAGGAAUAGGGAGUUGAGUGGUUUUUAUUGGCACCUCCACUCUUUCUGGCGCGUUUUUGGCCAGAUCUAAGGAUUUUGUAACACCUUUCAGAUCAGUAAGUGAAUCUGGCAGAUUAUUUGCAAGACGUUGCAAAUUAAUGAUCUUCCAAACUUGAAGUUCGGUCUCUUGGGUACGUGGAUCAGAGGAUGAAAUGGCAUGAGCAUUCCAAUCAAUUUCUGGGCAUUCUUUCUGGUACUUGAAACCUCCCCCUAAUGCCGGAAAAUGUUCCUCAUUAAAUAUGCAAUCAGUGUGACGGGUUGUGAACAGAUCCCAGUUAGGGGUUCCAGGUACUUGAUAAUCGACAGCAAUUUCUACCCCACAUAGAUCCCCAACUUCCUGUGUGUGCCCAUAGAUGUCCGCUGUGGUGGUGAGAUCGGGAUGUAUGCAGCACAUCCAAACUUACGCAGAUGGGAAGUGCUUGGAGGAUUUCCACGUACGAAUUCUAGAGGGGGAGAACCUGAAGGAAAUAUACCCUAGAGGUAAUAAUAAAGUUAUUAUUUAUUUCCUUAUUUUAUGAUAAAUGUUUAUUAUUCAUGCUAGAAUUGUAUUAACCGGAAAGUUAGUACAUGUGUGAAUACAUAGACAAACAAAGUGUCACUAGUAUGCCUCUACUUGACUAGCUCGUUGAAUCAAAGAUGGUUAAGUUUCCUAGCCAUAGACAUGAGUUGUCAUUUGAUUAACGGGAUCACAUCAUUGGAGAAUGAUGUGAUUGACUUGACCCAUUCCAUUAGCUUAGCACUUGAUCGUUUAGUAUGUUGCUAUUGCUUUCUUCAUGACUUAUACAUGUUCCUAUGACUAUGAGAUUAUGCAACUCCCGUUUAUCGGAGGAACACUUUGUGUGCUACCAAACAUCACAACGUAACUGGGUGAUUAUAAAGGUGCUCUACAGGUGUCUCCGAAGGUACUUGUUGAGUUGGUGUAUUUCGAGAUUAGGAUUUGUCACUCCGAUUGUCGAAGAGGUAUCGUUGGGCCCUCUCGGUAAUGCACAUCACUUUAAGCCUUGCAAGCAAUGUGACUAAUGAGUUGGUUGCGGGAUGAUGCAUUACAUAACAAGUAAAGAGACUUGUCGGUAACGAGAUUGAACUAGGUAUUGAGAUACCGACGAUCGAAUCUCGGGCAAGUAACAUACCGAUGACAAAGGGAACAACGUAUGUUGUUAUGCGGUUUGACCGAUAAAGAUCUUCGUAGAAUAUGUAGGAGCCAAUAUGAGCAUCCAGGUUCCGCUAUUGGUUAUUGACCGGAGAUGAGUCUCGGUCAUGUCUACAUAGUUCUCGAACCUGUAGGGUCCGCACGCUUAACGUUCGGUGACGAUUUAUAUUAUGAGUUAUGUGUUUUGAUGUACCGAAGGUAGUUCGGAGUCCCAGAUGAGAUCGAGGACAUGACGAGAAGCCUCGAAAUGGUCGAGACGUAAAGAUCGAUAUAUUGGACGACUAUAUUCGGACAUCGGAAAGGUUCCGAGUGAUUAGGGUAUUUAUCGGAGUACCGGAGAGUUACGGGAAUUCACCGGGGAGUAUAUGGGCCUUAUUGGGCUUUAAGGGAGAGAGAGAGGCAGGCCGCGUGCCCCCCAAGGCCUAGUCCGAAUUGGACUAGGGGGAGGGGCGGCGCCCCCUCCUUCCUUCUCUUCUCUCUUCCCUUUCCUUGACUCCUGCUCCUACUACAUGGAAGGGGGGAAUCCUACUCCCGGUGGGAGUAGGACUCCCCAGGGCGCGCCAUAGAGAGGCCGGCCCCUCCCCUCCUCUCCUUCUUUAUAUACUGAUGCUAGGGGCACCCCAUGACACACAAGUUGAUCUGUUGAUCUCUCCCAGCCGUGUGCGGUGCCCCCCUCCAUCAUAUUUCACCUCGGUCAUAUCAUAGCGGUGCUUAGGCGAAGCCCUGCGUCGGUAGCAACAUCAACACCGUCAUCACGCCAUCGUGCUGACGGAACUCUCCCGUGAAGCUCUGCUGGAUUGGAGUUCGCGGGACGUCAUCGAGCUGAACAUGUGCUGAACUCGGAGGUGCCGUACGUUCGGCACUUGGAUCGGUCGGAUCGUGAAGACGUACGGCUACAUCAACCGCGUUGUGCUAAUGCUUCCGCUUUCGGUCUACGAGGGUACGUGGACUCACUCUCCCCGCUCGUUGCUAUGCAUCACCAUGAUCUUGCGUGUGCGUAGGACAAUUUUGAAAUUACUACUUUCCCCAAUAGAACUGUGAUAUGCAGUUGGCCUCAAUUGUAUCAAGUCAGCUGCGUGUAAACAGCGCGACCCCAACAAGAGGUUGGCAAGUUGCAAUUUGUCAACAAAGGUCUUGCAAUGAGUGUGAUCCUCUUAAUCAAUGAUUCAGCCAAACAAUUUUGUGUAUGGACAUAUGGAACAGAGUGCCGAACUUCAAUCCCCAAAGCCAUGCAAUAAUCAUUGAAAGCACAUGAGGAGAAUUCUGUAGCAUUGUCCAUUUGAAUUGACUUAAUUUGACUUUUAGGAUAAUGGGCUUGCAACUUAAUGACUUGCCUCAUUGUCUUGGCAAAAUGCAUGGUUCCGUGUGGAUAGAAGACACACAUGUGACCAUCGUGUAGAUGCGUUAAUGAGAACCAUGAAAUACCGAAAAGGUCCAGAUAAUGGCUGAAUGGGACCACAAAUGUCUUCUUGAAUACGUUCGAGGAACUGAAGUGGUUCAACUUGUAUUUUGAGGUGCGAGGACCUAAAAAUUAGCUUUCUCGUGGCACAAGAUGUGCACACAAAAUCAUAAGAUUGAGAAAACUUUUACUCAAGCAAAUUAUGACCAAUGGAAUUGCUAGUAAUUUUUCUCAUCAUCCCGAUUCCGGGAUGUCCUAGGCGAUCAUGCCAGGUUUGGAAUGCGUUAACAUUCUGAAAGAUUACUUUGUAUCAACAUGUUCCACGGUUUUGAUGUACGUAUAGUACAAACCAAAUGAUAGAGAAGGAAUUUUCUCAUGUACUUUUUUGUCGUAUCCGUGAUCUUUAGUAAAGAGUAGAUACUCAUCUUUGUUGUCUUCAUGGGUUUCAAUGUGAAAACCAUUUUACAGAUAUCUUGAUAACUGAUCAGGGUACGUGAUGAGUCGGGAUACAACAAAGCAUCCUCAAUCGUCACUUGUGCACCGCUGGGGAGGGUGAAUAUGGCACGUUUAGUACCAACAAUCACUGCAUCAUGUCCAGCGAUAGUUAGAAUAUCUCCAUUCAUAUUUUUCAGAGUUUGGAAAUAUUUCAUCUCCCUCGGUAUGGAGUUUGUGGUACCACUAUCCACAAGGCAUAAUUCCUCUUCCAUCGGAUUGUCCCCAUAGAGAACUAUAUAAAACAAAGAAUUUUCAAUAAGAAAACCUCAUGGUAAUAUAUAGAAUACAAUCUUUAUUAUAUCAACUGUGCUGAUACAAUACAAUAUAAAGACAACAACAAACUUAUGUUCUUAUUACAAUCAUCACAAAUGGACAUAAAUGAGUAGAUCACUAGGAGAUUGAGGGACUAGUCGAAGUCGCCAAACACGUUGUUUGCGGUGUACUCAAUCAACAUGUUCUCCAUUUCAGCAGGAUCCUCAAGCGGAUAAGGAAUCAUGGUGUUGCUCGGUCCAUGAGGAACAUCAUGCGAACCACCAGCUCCUUUUGCGCUAUGCGGAUGAAGGUUGAAGUUGGCUUCAAACCUUUUCCCUUGAGGUGCUUUGGUCCCUGAGAUUGUUGGUACAGCAUAACCAGAUGCUUGGGCAUUAUGCACUUUUCAGUAGAAUGCGUGUAGCAUCCACACUUGUUGUAAAGCUUAGAUUUAUCAAACCUGGGCUUUGAAGUGCCUUUUCCCUUUCCUAGGUUUUUGGAUCUCAUGUUCCCAUUGCGCUUUCCUUAUGCUCGAAGUUGGAUUGUUUACCCCGAGAGGUACUAUUAAACUUUUGUCUAUUCGCAACAUUCAGAUGAACUUCAGGUAAAGGUUGUGCCCCAACUGGGCGCUGAGAGCCAUUCUUAGCGAGUAGCUCAUCAUGCUUUUCAGCCUGAAGUAACAUGCGAAUAAGCUCGGAAUAGACAGUGUAGUUACGAGCACCGUAUUGUUGUUGGAGGAUCCUAUCUGAAGGGAGCAUAGUAGACAAAGUUUUCUCUAUCUUCUCCCCCUCAGUAGGUUCCUUCUCACAAAACGCAAUUUGGAACAUAUCUUAUGAACAACAUGAUUGUACUCACCAAUGGAUUUGAAAUCCUGAAGACGGAGAUGAGUCCAAUCAUGAAGUGCUUCUGGCAGGACUACUGCCUUUUGUUGUUCAUACCUCGUUUUGAAAGCCAGAAACAGAGUACUAGGAGAUUCCUCAUGUAAAUACUAAGACUUGGGAUCUGGAUGAAUAUGGUGCCUUAUGAUGAAUAAGGCAGCAUAGUUCUGCUGUUUUUUCAGUGGCGUGGCUCUAGCCGGGAGAGGAGUCUCAGGGGGAUGGAUUGCACGCGCUAUCCGACGGGACGCAAGACUGGUCUUGAUGUCCAUAGCCCAUGUAGGGUAGUUGUGGCCAUUAAGGCAAGCUCCUCAAACUCUUUGGUAGUCAUCUUUGCCUACAUGGGAAAACCAGAGUUUACGGGUGGUAAAUUAAAAACCAUCAUGGUUCUGUAAUAAGAAUCAAAAAAUUGAUACUCAAGUGUAAACUUGAAAAAUUCUCAACCUCAAUUGUGUGAACAUAACACUUUGAAGAUCACUUAGAUCUCACAGUAAUAGGCUGCACGGCCAUUACGUUGUGUAUGCUACAAUUUAGAUAUAAGGAAUACGUGUUGAAGGUAAUCGCUUAUCGGGAUUGACAAAGCGUAGACCUCACAGUAAAAGAGGAUAGUCUGCAAAUGUGCAAUAGAUCACAACUCAUUACCUUGUGAUUCCAAAUAAGAUGAGGGAGAAAAAUUCAAAAAUUUGCAAGUUUGAUAUGCGAGAGAAGAUCUCAAUCGCAAAAACAUGUUCACUAAAAAUGAGAAGUGGUAAACACAUGGAACAUGUCAUUCUUCCCGAAUGAAAUUCGAUACUUUAUUUAUAUUAUCAAUCCAUUACAUAAUAUAAACACACUAAUAAUUACACAAGUCCUAAUCUAGAUUUAAUCUAGAACUGGACCAGAAUGUAAGUAGCAGUCAAACUAGGUACUAAACAUAGUCUAAAACUGCACUGAUACAAUAAUUAGUACUCCCUCCGUUCCCAAAUACUUGUCUUUCUAGGCAUUUUAAAUGGACUCAACAUACGGAUGUAUGUAGACAUAUUUUAAAGUGUAGAUUCACUCAUUUUGCGUCGUAUAUAGUCACUUGUUGAAAUCUCUAGAAAGACAAGUAUUUAGGAACGGAGGGAGUACUACUGUUUAAUUAAAAACAAAUAUAGAGAGAAAGAAAAGAAAAAAAAAUGAAUCCUGGCAGGCCGGGCGCCUGGACCUGGGCCGCCACAGCCUUUUGGCCGGCCCACCCACGGCUCCAUCGCAUAAGAGCGAGGGGAGGAGCGGAUAAGGGUCGGACUAUCCGACACCCAUCCACCCGCUCGAUCCCAUCCCACCGUACACGGCGGUGCCGGCGGGAGGAGUGGCCGCUGCCGCAUCCCAUCGAGCUUCCGGUGGUCACUGACUCAAAAAAAACCAGGUCCUCGAGGGCAUUUCAAGGCGACGCCUUGAUUUUUUAAAUAACAUGAAGGAUAAACCACAUAUCGACUUAAUUGUGAAAGUCCACGACUGGGAUCGCGCACGAAAUAGAAAUUUACUUGUGUAGCCCCGACGACGGGGUCCAGGCGUGCUCCCUGUGACGCGACGCUGGUGAGGCCAAGGCUCGCCGGAGCCCACGAGCCGGUGCGGCAGCUAGAACAACGGUCGAUGGCAGCAACGGCCCGCUCGGCGCGGCUGCUAGAGCCCGCGGCCGUUUCCAUCUGCGGCGGGGCGAGUCCGUUGGAGGAUUCGAUCUCGGCCCCGAAGCGGAUGACGCCGGAGGCGCCGGUCGUCCUACGCGGUCACCUCAGUGCGCAUUGGCACGGGAAAGUAGCCAGGCGGGCGGUGACUUGGGCCGGCGUCCUCGGCAGCGGGCGUCGGCGUGUGCGGAGGCAGCGACUGCGCCGGCGGAGGAGGGGGCGGAUGCGGCUCCGCGUGCAGCAUCGGCGCGGCCGGGCCGGCGAGCAGCCACGGGUCAAGGCCGACGGGGGGAUACGCGGCGGUGCCAAGGGGUGCGGUAAGCGCCCCGGGCGGCGCUCACACCGCGUCCAGCGGCGGCGACGGGCAAGAAGGCGGUCCCGGCGGUCGUCCUCACUGAUGAGGCGGAGGAAGAAGGAAGUGAGGGGCGACAUCUCACCGGCAGCGAGUGCUCCUACCCUUCUCUAUUCACUUGCUUUUCGCUCUCACUGGUUGUCUAAGUAUCAAAAUGAUAUCUCUGCACUCCGUUCAAAUAUACUUGUCUUAAAAAUGAAAAAAAAUAAAUGUAUCUAUAACUAAAAUAAGUCUAGAUACAACAAUUUCUAGGACAAAUAUUUUCGGACGGAGGGAGUACAAUUUAGUAUACCAUCGGGAAGGCGUCUGUUGCGGAUGCAACCGCAUGCCGUUUGGGCUCACGCGCUGUCGCCGUUAACCGUGCAUCUCUCUCUCGCAACCUCCCCCUAUCCUUGUACCUGUCGUGGCCGGCGGGCAGGCGGCGGAUGCUGGAGGCAAAGUAGGGAACACGAGGCGGCAGGCAGGCAGCGUAUGACGAGAAUAAAUAAUCCUAGAUUGAGGUCAAGAUGAAGCAAGCUUGGAGAUGAGGAAAAGAGACAAGAAGAAACAUGGGUAAGACACGAGUGAACGACACGAGUACAACCACAUAUGGCCACACGAGAGGAAGGGACUGACAGGUGCAGGCAGCAACAACUCGUAACUAAUUCAAGAGAGCUUAGAAAAACUUUCAAAAAAAAAAAACUAACAAAUUUUAGGGAUAUUCAAUCACUACAUCAUGAUUAGAUUAGAUAAUCCAGAAACAUGCAUCGUUUACUCUAAUAAAUAAAUAGGUAGAUAAAGGUAUUCAUCAGUACAUCAUCUUCUUCACAU
rnacentral:lncRNA from 1 species